UGACGAGUGAAGUGUAGUCCCAUCGUAGUAGUUCUAUCUUAUGUGGUGAUCUGAACUUGUGCUGUGGCACUUAUUUACCUGUAGUCCUGCAACAGGCAUUUUUGUUUAAGUUUGGUGAUGUGAACAAAGCUGUUCCUCUUAGUUUUGAGCUGGAGUUAUGGAUAUUUACUCUUAUCUUAAAAUUAAGAUGCUACCAUUUGGACAUGGUUCUUCUGAAUCCUUUUGUGUUUUGUGGCUGCCUGUCUGGAAUUAGUACUCUGUUGUCUAUUUAUUUUCUUUCGUAGCUUAUUGUCUGUUAUAAAUGUAUUUUGUUAUUUGGCGGGUUUAGUCGGCUCUCGGGUGUGUUAUCUUGAAUGGUUGCCUUCUCUUGUUUUAUGGCCACAGUAGUGUGCAAGUGUUAACUGGAACUACUAUAGUUAACAGAGAUGGUGUUUUUUUCGAUUCUUCUAAUGUUUUGUCAGCUGUAGCGUGGUAUUUUCAUUUGAAUUUGAUGACUGCUUGUGUUUUCCUUCGGUUCUGUAACGCUGAUGACUGUUCGAAGUCCAUAACACUAGCUGCUUUUGGUUGCUCAUCCAACGGUGCAUCUCCCCCGGAACGGCGAACGCGAACCAUUCUGCCACAGCCGGCGCCCUGGAUUUGCUUUCGUUUGCAAGGACGAACCGACUGGAAUUCUAAUCGAUCCUCGUCUCAUCAAUUACGACUGAUUCUUCGCCUCCUGGCCCGCUCGAUCUAUAAACCAAACCUUCUGCUUUGCAGAUCCGGUUGUGUGCAUCCAUAUCUUACGCUUCCUUGGGAAAAUAAAUUUCCUCUCUUGACCCGGUUGGUGUUGAUGGCGUCUCCAUCUAAGCGGCGGUGGCGGAACGAGGAGCCAUCAAAGAAGAAGCACCUGUAUCUGGUGCUGGAUGACUGGAAGGGCGGCUACAGCAUCCACAAGCUUGACGCCGACAACAUGAGGACCACUUCCCCGAGCAUGCUGCCCUCCGGUUCGCGUCGCCGGAGUGAGCUGUAUGCUUUGACACUCGUCUUCCAUGAGCGCGGUCAUUCUUCCUCCUUGCAGGUCUUGUCGUGGUCACCCACCACCGAUCAGGUUGGGCCAUGGGAUCCAACCAUGGCGUGGUCCUGGUAUACCUCAACGACGCCGCCCCCAUUCACCGGGUACGAGACCAUCAUCUCGUACGCGCUGCACCCGGACGGCCGCACCAUCUUCAUGUCCACUGACCGGCGCCGUACCCACUCGUUGGACACCAGCAAUGGCGUGUGGCGGGACCUUGGGGAAUGGACGCUGCCUUUCCGAGGCCAAGCCUACUUCGACGGUGAGCUAGAUGCAUGGGUUGGCUGGCCUCCACUGCAAGGAGGGCGGAUACGUUUGCUUGUGCCCAGUUGCCUCACGCAGCGGCAGCGCCACGGCGGCGCGGCAGCCGGAGUGCACGAUUCUCAAGGAGAAGCUGUGUUUCGUCGCGGUGGCGAGGAGAAGCAUCCCUACGGCCGGUACCUGAGUGCCACUCUUACGUACAUGGGUGACAGCAAAUUUUGCCUCGUCGAGAACGCACUGCGUAGUAAGAACGUUCUCGACGCCGUGCUCCAUGUCACCUUGUUUGGCCUCAAGUAUCACCAUAAGGGUGAGCUAAAAACUAAGAUUUACCGCACCAACAGAUCCUAUGCGCUGUCCAAAAAUACCCUAGAGUUUUCUCAUGCCGCAUUCUGGAUGUAACCGUAGUCUAUUUUACCUUGAGCAGCAGCAGGCACUCCUAUGUAUUUGUUGAAUCACCUUUUAUAAUAUGAACUUGCAUUAUCGCGAUGUCUGUGCAAAUGGGUAUUUGAUUGGUAUGGGAUAUGGUAGUGAGUAAUUUCCAUAAAACUAUACCAAAAAGUUGCGACAGAAUCUACAACUUCUGCGUUAACACCUAGCAGGCAAGCCCAUUGAUUUCCUUUAGAAGUUUUGUCAAAAGAGGGUCAAAUUAGAAUUCGGAUGUAGCUUAAACACAGCAAGAUCCAUAUUAGAUACAGUGUCUAUACAUAUGAAUAUAAAAAAAAAUAUGAAUGUAGAAAUUGUAAAAAGAUCUAUAAUUUGAAACGGAAGAAGUAGCUAAUUACUUUAUUUUUAAUAAAGCGAGUACAAAGUGGUAUAAAAAUGGUCCCAUGGCAAUAUAUAAGAACAAAAUUAAUCCACGACGCAUCGCGGGAUAAUGGAUCCACAACCCCUCCGCCUCACUUGCCUUUAUCUGUGGCCGGUGACUCCAUCCACCCUCCAUGCUGCCCGCCACCCACCACAGCCCCUCGACCCACCCUCCCCUAACCACUCCAGGUGCCGCUACUGACCCCGCCUACUAUCCUACAACUGCUCACGUCAACGGCAGCAACCUCGCUGCACCAUCGGGCAACGAUCCACUGUCGUGUUGCGCCUAUCGCCCCCGAACCCCUUUUCUAGGUCUGCUAGUGAUGUCCAACCCCAGAACCCUGAGCCCCCGACCCUAAUUAGGGGUUGUCCCCUUCUUCUCGGUAGGGACGACAUAAUAUAUAAUAUUAAUAUUCCAUUUAGCUUUCCUCUCCUACUGUGCGAGUAGUCUACAACUCCACUUGUUUCAAAUUGUAAGUUAUUUUAUCUUUUCUAGACGCAUAAAAGAAUUAUAUACCUAGAAAACAUAAAACGACUUACAAAAUUAAAACAGAUGGAAUACAAUAAAAUGAAAGGUGACUCGUGGGAUGGAGCUAAAUGGUAUGUCUUGUCGGGUGGGCCACAUCAUACUCUAUAAUAUGAAAAAAAAACGAAGUCCUGAUACUGCAGGUUGAUGUCCUACUACUCUGAUGCCGCUCAUAAUGCAUACUAAGACUACCUCCAAGUAUUACAAAUAUUUUACCCGUGUUUCAAAAAGUUCUUGUGACAUAUAUAUAUAUAUAUAUAUAUAUAUAUAUAUAUAUAUAUAUAUAUAUAGUGAUGUACCCAAAUAAUAGAAACUAAACAUCACUAACAAAUAAGUCCACAUCAUUGAUCAAUUUAAUCUAGAAAGUGAACAAAUAGUUUAGUUAUAAACAAAUUAGUCUAUAAAGUGAAUGAAAUAGCUCCACAAGACAACUAAUAAUUCUACAUGGAGAAAAAAAAUUCCAUAUCGUGAGCAAAUUAUUCUUAUAUGCGAACGGUUUAGCCUAAAAAAUUUAAAAUAAUUAACAUCAUGAAUAAAUUAAUCUACUAAAGUGAUGUUUGGUUCUACAAUAGGUGUCAAGGAUUUCCCUGGUCUGUUUCAAAAUAAUCUAGCCACUAAGUUUUAUAUUGCACUUAACUAGGGAAGGCUCAAUUAUGUUUGCAAUUUUAUUAUGCUGUGCUUUUUAAUGUGACCUACUUGUUAACUUUUCCAUGUAUGUACCGAUUGUUUUUUUUAUCUGUUGUUCAAUUGAUUAUUUUUCACAUGUGAUUGCAUGUCCACGUGAUGCGAAGGAAGGAAAUUGGUGGAAAAUUCCAGGUCCAUCAAAAAAGUAAGUUUAUUAGUUAUUUGCAUAAGCGUUCGGGUGGCACAACCUGUGGAAGAACAGUGCAUGCAUCCUAUGUCCUAUCUAAUAUUCUCCCCAUUGGCGUGCACCAAUAUACAAAUGCAGUGUUAUUUUUAUGAUCUACUAUAGUUUUUAUCUUCCAUUAUAGGACAGCUGGAGAAGAAAUAUAGGUUGAUAUUGCCACAAUUGCCUCACUGAAUCCAAUAAGAGUAAUUGUUGUAAUCAGCUUGUGUUGUUUUUUUUCUGAAGCGGAGGUAUGCAUCAGAACUGUUCAUUAAAUUCUCUCAAACCUGCAGAUAUGAUGCGCUUUGUCCUCUCUUUUUCUAAACAUGUUGUCAUUUUUUCCAAUUUUUGGUACAUUUGUUAAGAUUGGACGGAUCUCAAGAGCUGAUACCAUUACUUAUUUAGUGUUGGAGAAAUGACGUAAGCGUAGACUCUAGAAAAGAAGAAUGUUGCAAAAAAUUCCAUGUUUGCAGUUCUCAGGAUUUAUUUGUUUUAAUUUCUAUAUCCAUUUGUAUUAACCAAAUUUGUUUCAUCUACCAUUUUUUAGAGAGACAUGAUUGAUAUGAUAACUUUAGUGCAAAUAAGGGACACCAAAAUUGUUGAGAUCUUUGAUUCAAGUGAUUCUGAGGUUGUAAUCAUAUGCCAGUAUGAGGCAAUAUUAUAAUUAUAAACCUGCACAUAAUAUUGGAUCGCAUUUUCAUUAUUCGGUUCUGUUAGACAAAAAAUGUUCAUAAAAACAUGUAUUAUGACAAUUGAAAACCACUUUCCAUUUGCUUGUGCUGUGAAGAGAUAGCUUGCGAUCGAUAAGCCAGGCUCCCAUGACAAGCACACAUGGAACAACAUGUUGCUAUUUAGAAGCGAGCAUGGUGAUGUUAUUUGAUUGAAGUGCACUUAGGCUACUGAAUUAUGACUUUGCUUCAAUAAUAUUGUUUAAUAAAAAACUUCAUGUUUGCAUAGAAAAAAAGGCGAUGCUUCUGAAUCUCAAAUAACCUCAAAACAACAUGUGCUAAGAUGAGCACCAUGGGUAUCUGUCUAUUGAACUGAAAAAUCUUUUUGCACCCGAUGGUAAAAGCACCGGCAUAAAACAUAGUCUAAAAGUUAAUAUUAUGUUUUUAGAGGCAAAUACUAUGUAUUCCUAAAUAGAAAAAAAGUUCAUUUUACUCCUCACCUGUUCAAGAAUAGUCCACUUAAUCCCCUAAGUAAAAAUUAGGCUCGAUUUACUCCCCCGAAAUAGUUGACCCAAAUUACUCCGUAAUGAGUUUUUAUUUUUUUAUUUCUUCAUGUAUGAGUUGAUUUUAAGUUCAAAUUUUGUGAGUGGAUACAUACAUUAAAAAUUAUUCUAAGAACUUUUGGUUAUUUUCAUAGAUUACGAACAUUUAAUACGAAAUUGAUCUUAGAUAUACAAAAGGAAUAUGAAAAAUUUCUAAUGUAUUUUUUUAGCAUGGUAGAUCAUAUUAUGAAUUGCAAGUCAACUAACAAGAUCUGAAAUUAAAAUCAACAUGUACGUGUAGAAGUAAAAAAGAAAAAUCUUAAUGGUAGAUUGGACCAACUGAAAUUUAGAGGAAUAAAGUGAGUUUCAAUUUUUGUCGGGGAUAGGUGGACAAAGUGAAUUGGUGAGGGAAGUAAAAUAGAUUUUUUUUCUAAAUAAUACCAUGUCGGGCCCAAACUGCCCAAAACAGUAUCAUCCCAAGCCCACAAUCCAAGUCGAAGGCACGAACCACUCGAAAAUCCUAUCUAUUUUUCACAAGUUUUUUCUUACCCACCUUCCACCAUUUUAAGGUCUGUGCAACACUAUGUGACCUGUUGAGAUUGCAUCUAGAUAAUAAUUGCACCGGCAACUGCACCACAUGGCGUGUUUGGAAGGUGGAGGUUAAAUUUUAGCCCCCGUCACAUCGAAUGUUUGGACACUCAUUAGGAGUAUUAAACCUAGACUAACUACAAAACUAAUUACACAACCUCUAGGCUAAAUCACGAGACGAAUCUAUUAAGCCUAAUUAGUCCAUGAUUUGAUAAUGUGGUGCUACAGUAACCAUUCGCUAAUGAUGGAUUAAUUAGGCUUAAUAGAUUCGUCUCAUGAUUUAGCCUAGGGGUUCUGCAAUUAGUUUUAUAAUUAGCUUAUGUUUAGUCCUCCUAAUUAGUAUCUGAACAUCCGAUGUGACAGGGCUAAAGUUUAGCCCUGGUAUCCAAACGUCCCCAUUGAGGAGCCAAUAGUACAUGGUGAGGACACGUGUCGUGACGUGAGUGGAGGGAGGAGGAUUGGAAUCUAAGCAAACUCUAAUCUUUGAAUGAUCUUUUUCUCUUAAACCAUGUAUCCAAUUUAAAAUCCGAGUGAACCUAUCUGUUGGAAUUAAUACUAUAAAAUGAGAUGACUAUGUUUUGUUGUAUUUUUAAAAAUCAAAAUUUUUGAUGAAUUAUCUUAACAUUAUUUACUAAAAAAGUUGGUGAAUUUCAAUAGAAUAUUGAGCAAAAAAUGUUGGUGAAUGUAAAAAAAAAGUUGGUGCAUGCAAAAAAUUGUUGAGCAAUGAUGUUGGUGAAUGUAAAAAAAAUUAAAGAAAAAUACUGGUACAUGUAAAAAAUGCUGGCUAACAUCAAGAAAUGUUGGUAAUAAAGAUGUCGAUGAAAAUGUUAAAAAAAUGUUGUAAUUAAUAUGAAUACUAAAGAUGGGUUCGUUUUAAAAAAAUAUUAAAGAUGAGUUGGUUAUCUCCGGAAGGCAUACUCUCCGAGACCCCCUCUCCCUCUUCUUCGCCCGCCCCCGCCCGCGAGGUCGCCGACGGCAACUCCACGGCUCCACCACGCAAGCCACUACAAAAGCUCUUACGCGCUUCUACCUGGCGCUUACGUCUUCACCUCCUGCUCCCUCCCUUUACCAAUGUUUGAUAGCCGGUGUUUGAUUGGCGUGAAGUAGAGAUCCAUCUCGACUCGGGGUUGAUUCCUUUUGUAGGUAAGGAACCCUAACUCGUUCAGAUGGAUUUCCCCACUAGAAUCAAGUGAGCUUCCAAAAAUUAAACACGAAUCUCUAUCCCUGUAAGCUAGUGAAGCGCCUUUGUGGCUCAAGCGUCACACGAACACUGGUUCUACGAUUUUGCUAGUUCUGCCGAUAGUUAAUUCAUUCCAUUUGCUUAAUACCUUUGCUUGUUGUUACUUCAGAUUCCUGGUGGCGAAUUUCACUUUGAAGAUGGUUCAGCUCUUUUUGCAUGUGCCGGCAGAAGGUGGUAGUGUUAAUACAGCUGCUGUGGAGGCGAGGAGAUCUCUUCUUAGCAAUGUUGAAUCCAUAAUCAAGUCAAUUAUAAAGUCAGCAGGCAGGUAUGAAGCUCGGCUGUGGCUGUGCAGCACUGUCUCGUUGGUCCAUUCCCUCAGUCGCCAUGACCAGCGGAACCUGUUUCUCGAUCUCUUAGAGAUGAAGAAUUCCAGGCGAGAUGUUGCUGCCCGCCUGCUGCGGAUGAUUUUUGAUAAGAAGCCCAAGAAGGCUGGGUCUAUUCUAGCAAAAAAUGGCCAUAUACUGGAGGAGUUCUUCCGAGGUAAUUUCACUAGGAAUUCGAAAUAUUUUUCUGUUACUCACAUAGAUCUGGGUUUUCUUUCUUUUGAUUUCUGCAGUCCACCAAUUGUUCUACCUGGCACAAAUUUGUUAAAAAGUCUACAGAAUAUGUCCCUAAUUCAUUAGUUGCAUAAAAGCGGCUAAACCAUCUGCUCAGCUUCUUCGUACAUUGUAAUGCAAGAUGUGCAUCUCAAUUUGAACUUUUGCUGGUUCUAAGGAGUAUAACAUCGCCUUACACUCAGAUUUAUUAUGUUGUAAAUCAUAUACUACCAUUUAACAUCAGUGUUUCUGUCAUGUAAAUGGGAUAUCAUAGUACUAUAUAAAUUAGUAACACACUUCCAUGUACUAGAAGGAUUGAAAUGGUAUUUCAGUUUCAACUGCAUCAUAUUCUUUUCAUUAGAUACAAUCUUCAUCUCUGAAUGUGGUGUAGUUCUGGAGCUUAUCAUGAAAUUUCUUGCGAUUACUUACAUAUGACUAUUACAUCUGCUUACUGUCAGUCCACAGCAAACUUAGUAUUGUCCUUUUGUCCUGAAUACGCUUCACUAAAAGGGAAGCUGUGUGCCCCUUUGUCCUGGCCACUUAAGAAGCCCCCCUUAGUCAAGUUAUAAGCAAAUAAGCGCAACAUUUUUUCCUCUGUUGAACUGUUGCAAUGUAGCAAGAAUUUGUUCAUAUGCUAGUUGGAACUGCUUUCAUUGCUUACAUGCCCUCUUUUAAUAUCUGCAGGAAACCCGAAGCGGAUAAUGCAGUGGUUCGGUCAUUUUGCUGUUACUGGUGAAUCCACACAUAAAAAGGGUGCUAAGGCAAUUUCUCAGUUUGCAUUUAUAAAUCGUGAUAUGUGCUGGGAAGAACUUGAGUGGAAAGGAAAGCAUGGGCAGUCUCCUGCUGUUGUUGCUACUAAGCCUCAUUAUUUCAGUGAUCUUGAUGUUCUGAAGACAGUGGAGAAUUUCUUGGAGUAUGUCCCAGACUUCUGGUCCUCUGAUGAGCUUUCUGAUUCUAUUAAAGAUGGUGAAAUACUGCAAAUUGAUGCAGAAUAUUUUGUAGAUCAAUUUUUGUACUUGAUGUACGAGGAGAAUUGCAAAGAUGCAUGGCAUUUAGUUGAAGAAUUUUUGAUGGAUGAGCAGUUUUCCUCUCUCUCCCAACAUCUUCUCAUUCAUCUGGACGAGCAAAGGCUUCUUGAUUUCUUAAAAUCUUUAGGGAAGCUCAUCAAUACUACUUUGCAGUGCAAGGAAUUGAAAUUCCCAUGCUGUUGGCUUGAGGUUCUUUUAUCAGCACAUUGUGAUCACAUAUCUCUUGAUGAUCUUGUCUUAUUGAACUGUGUCAUUGCCAAGUGUAGACAACUUUGGCGCCUCAUGAACGAUGAAGAACAAGAUGAAGAACGGGGACAAAUGGAAGAGCUUUUGAAGGGUGUAAAUCAUUUAACUGAUGCUGAUCAUUUUGCUCUCAUGAAGGAAUUCAUGGAGACAGAAUUUCCUGAUGGACUUAAGUGGAUAGGCAUUCAGUCCUGGGUAAUUUUCUGUGAUUUAUCAAAAGAAUGCAAAUCAGGAAAUUCUUGUGAAUCUUUGUUCUCUGAUAACAAAAUACAAUUUCACAAGGAUGAUGAGUACUCAUUGGUUCAGAACAAUGCGUUCUCAAUUUCACAUAUGCCUGAUACUGAUGAUGAGGAUCUUGUUGGGAGCAGUCAUAAAAGGAGAAAGAAGAAUAGGAGGAGGAAGCGGCGUAGAUACGAGUUUGAUGAGGACAAGCUUGAUGAACUGCUUGAACUUGAAUCUUCCAAUGUAAAGAACAGUGUUGAAUCACAGCGUGGAAGCUGGCACCUCUCAACUGAUGGCUUCUCUGCUUCUUGGGACAUUGUAUGUUACCUUCUUUGUUGCUGAAUACCGUAUCAGUAGUCAUUGAAUUACUCUUCUUAACUUUUCUUUUUUACACUAUGUGCUCCUGCAGGCAGACAUACCGGAUCACCUUUCUACGUAUUAUUUCACGACAUGGGUAAAGUGGGCUUGCUUUAGAUGAUUCUCAUCACAUCAUGGGUAGUAUGGCAAUCCUGCUACCUUUUCAGGCGGCAACAUAUUGGAGCAUGGAGUUGUAUAGCAGGCAUUUCCGCAUCAAAUCUGCAAUAUUUUGGUGAUGGAUGUAUUCUGAUGGUGAGUGUUAAUUUCCUAUGCUUUGAUGUUACAUACCAUGAAUUCAUUUCCUAUGCAGAGUGUUUUUUUUAUAAAAAACUAAAUAUCCUAUGCAGAGUGUUGUAAUUCUAUUGUUAUGCAUACUAUAUAAUCUGUAGGCUCGUGGUGGUUGUGAAAUGGGUGCAGUGCCUUUCACAGUCAUCUUUUUCGCUGUCAUGUUACAACUAUAAAAGAUGCAUUUGCUCUAUUUACUUCAGUUUAAAGUAUGCUCAUAUUUGUCAAUGUUUUUGCAGAUUCUUGCAUUCUAGAGUUGCAGAGUGCUGCAUGAGAUCCAGUACCAACUCUCUUUAGUUCGGCUUACUUAAGUUGCCACCAAUAGAAGAUUUUUGGCUGCAUAACAUUGAAGGAUCCAGGCAUUUCCUUGAAACCCAUUUGGACUUUGGUGGUGGUUGCUGAGAUUACAGAUAUUGACUACUGAAAACAAAAAUAGUCUGUAAUUGUACUGUACAAUGCUAGUGACUUUCGUUGUCGUUGUGAUUACAAGUUGUGAUUACAAGUUGUCGUUGUGGUGGUGUAAUGUAAGCUAAAACAUGCCUAAACCCGUGUGCGUGCGCCCGGAUAGGCCCGCGAUGUACAAUUCGUUUUUCUUCUUAAUACAAAGAUACGCAGCUCUCCUGCGUAUUCACGAAAAAAAAAACAAUGCUAGUGACUUUCCAUAAAAUUUCAACUACACCUUUAAUACAAGGAUAUGUGCCGGAUUGUAGCUGUGAAUUUGACCACCCUACUGGGAUUAUACACGCUUACAGCUAUAACUGUAUUUGGUUCUCCAGUAUGAGCUGGGAAUCUGCAUUGGCUGCAGUUCCUGGGAAUCCGGGCAUUUUACGGUUUAUUAUCUGCACUGCUUGCAGUCCCCAGGAAUUCAGGCAUUUUCUCACCUUGCAUGUAUCGUAAGACAUGUCGGGCGUCAAACUAUUCGUGACAUGCUGCAAGCGAGAUGACAGAAGUGAAGAUGACACAGCAUUGUUCUGAGUUUGUUCAUCUAUUUUGUCACUUGAAAAAAAUCUUACCUCAUAAUACAAUUUUGAUUUUGCAAUUUGGCAAUUCAUGACAGUGCGCUGAAAUCAACACUGAUUGUUUGAACAUUGAAACCUGGCACCAGAAACCAAGAACAACGACACCGUCCAGCUACUGAAUGUGUAUAUACAAUGACAUAUAUCCGAACUUCAAGGUUACAUAAAACCGGUAAAUUUCCAGACUGAAAAGGUACGAUUCUCUUUAAAGAGUACAGUUCUCUUUCAAGUGUACUAAUGAUCGAAUAUCCCAGACGUUAAUUUCCCUGGAUCUCCCUCGACCACCUUUUGCUAUCAUAAUUGCGCAAGAGAUGCGUCCAUGGCCCUAAAGACAUUUGUUUUGUCCCAGCCAUGGAAUACUCGGCUGCAACAAUUGCAUCUUAGGAUGUGUAAAGAGCUGCAGGCACCUCGAAGUCGUUGAACUGUGUCAUGAUCUCUCUAGUUGAAUUGGCUAGCACUACAGUCAUGCCAAGAGAAGCAGGAUUAGCAUAUACGCCAGCACAGUUUGAUCUGCAAUUAAAGCUAGCUUUAGAUGUUUUUAUUGAGCCAACUUACCAAGGGGAUCAUAUGUUGGCAGGGUGAUGUACUGCGGGCAAUGCUUUCUUCUUGACACAAUUCCAUUUGUCAAAGUAGUAAGACAAUCACGAGGCUGGAAACAUAAAUUGAGAUCAGAAUUGCCAUGCAAUACGUGUCACUUCAAAUUUGGAAAUAAAUAUGCAUCCAACAUGGGGGAACAGAACUUUCAGUAUUUAAAAGUGAAAUUUAUGCAACGCAUAUUGACCGGAAGCUAGGAGAAAGCAGUUUGCAAGCUCAGGUUCCGACACAACAAAACAUAACUUAACCGGGCACGGAACAUCAUUAUGAUUCAGAUAAUCAUGUCCUCUGAUUCUAGAUGGUGGUUCUAUCAAGUUUUGUUUUCACAGGAUCCAGAGCAGUUGUUGAGGAUAUAUACAUAGGAUGUGACAUUAUUGAGAAACACUUUAAGGGUGUUUGGCAGUACUCCACUUCAAAUUUUAUAGCGCCACUUCACCAACUCCACAAAAAUACUGGAGUUGUCCACGUGUUUGGCAAGUUGCAUAGAUCCAGCUCUAGAACAGUAAGCUUGUUGUGAAAAGUCUAUUAUACCGUUGCGAACGGGGCAUGUGUGUCAGUUUCUCUCUCGUUUGCUGGCACGCCUCCUCACCAUAUCUUCUGCUGGCGCCGUCCAUCUCCACUCCACCUCGCUGCUCCCUCUCCCUCUCCUUGGGUUGGCCAGCAAGAGGGCGAGGCUGCCUCGCAGGCAACGGCGGCGCACCGUCCAGCGGGCGCCGCAAUGGCGUCGUGCUCUAGCCGGUGGGGGGCGGCCCGGGUCCGGUGGGCAAGGGCAGCACGGCGACAGUGGCGCAGCUCCGACCGGCAGGAGGGCGCGGCCCCAGUGGGCGGGGGCGGGGGCGGUGAGGUCUGACGAGCUGGGGCCGCGCGGCCAACGCGGGCAGGGGCGGAGAGGUUCAGCGAGUAGGGGCAGCGUGGCCGCGGCUGAGGGGGGCGAGGGCGGCACGGUCCAGCGCGUCACCGGCGGGUGAGGGUCGCGCGGCUCCGACGGGCGACGGUGGCGUGGGUACCAUGGUCAGCGGCCAGAGGGAGGAAACGAAGACCAUGAGCGGAAAGGAAAAAUUAGAAAUGAACCGGUGUGUUGUGUAACGAGUAGCAAAGGUGGGUAAAUAACCCCAACUCCACGAGAAAGUCUGAAACUGAUGUUUUUGGAGCACCCCUAAGGUACUCCAAGAAAAACGUGGAUCUGACCCCUAGCUCCACGUUUUUUGUGGAGCUGGAGUUGAAGGAGCUAGACGUGUUUGGCUGCGAGUUUUUCGAAGUUGGUGGAGUGGAGCUAAUUUUCCUGGAGUGGAGUGUUGCCAAACACUCCCUAAAAUUUAGCAAAUGAGACUUUUAAUCCUGUAGGAACAAUAUUUACAAAUAUGCGUUGCUGGUAAUAUGUCUUGAGUCGAUGGUUCUAUUCUAUCCAUGACCAUAAUAUUUCAUAGCAACAAAUUCUAGGGAGAUAUUCAAGGGGAAAUGGGGAACUCACUUUCAGUUCUUUGUCGAAGCAUAACCUGAGUUCUUCAACUGAGCCCCUCUUGCAAACAAUUUGUGGUGAUCCCCCAAAAGCAUGUUUGAUGGUAUCGAUGACAUCGCUCAGUGCGUAUUCCUUACCAUUUGAAAUCUGUAUACCUCCACUUGACAGCAUUUCCUGCAAUCCAAAUUUAUUAUAGAGAAAGGACAGAGCCCUGCGACACACUUGCUAUAAAAGUUAAACUAAGAGAUGGGUAUUCUGGUUGUAAGCACUACUUUGUCAAAGCCAUGUAGGUAAUGUUAAGGUGCUCUAGCCUAACAAGAAACCAAUGUUAUGGUGAUUAAUCUGUCAACAGCCCGGGUACUAACCGUAACGUUAUAUUUGAAGUAGAGGUCAAGGGCAGUGGUGAAAUAUUGUAAUUCAUCCUGAACCACCGGGGCAGAGCACGUUCCAUGCUUCUCUGAAAAAUUAAACUUCAUGUUAAGGCUAUCCAGUCAUGCAAUGCUCAGAAACGUCUGAGCAAUCAGAGCACAAUGUCAGACGCUACUUCGCAAACAAAGUUUGUAUCACAAGGCCUAGAAAAGAACAUUACCCCACUGAAGAUAAGCAACAGACGAAUCGAGCAGAAAAUGCCGCCAGACAACAUGCAAAGGAAAGAUUAAGCUGAGGCAUAUUUUGGAGUUUAGUAGCACAACAGACGAGUCAGAUCUUAAUCGCACACCUCGUGAGCCCAGAAGGGUCCUUUGCCGCUGAAGCAAGUCGAAGAGGAGGAGCAGAACAAGGACGGCCAGUACUUGUCAAGCGUCUCCUUCAAUGGCAAUAUCUACACGAGAUUAUGGAAGCAGAUCAGCAGACCAUCAAUCAGGACGGUCAUUGAGAGCUUCCCCACAGAACCUAAGCCAAUCGAGUACGCACCUUGUCCAUCUCGAACUGGGUGCGGCGGCAGCACGCCGGCCAGGUCCCGUCGUCGUAGUCCGGCCACAGACCAUCUGCUCCAGCAACAAUCGCGAAAUUCACACCGAAUCGAUAAGGAAUUCACCCUGAGAAGGAACCAAAUCGAACGAGCGGAGCGAGCGCUUACGGAUCGUGAACGUCUGGAGCGGCUCCGAGCUGCACGCGGAGCAGGAGUAAGGAAAAGAAUCGCGUGAGAUCUCCCAUCAACCGAAACGAAAUACUAGCAGAAAACAAUCUACGGGGGGGAGCUCCCGGCGAUUGGAGGAGAGGAUGAGAUGGCGGAAGGGGGGUGAUGAGAGCCGCUGGUAGGUAGCGCGGCGGCGCCGCGCGGCGCACGUACCGGCAGCAGCCGUUGCUGGCGCAGCAGUAGCGGGUGGAGGCGCAGAUGGUGCCGGGCCACUGCAGGGAGAGCUUGAAGUAGUCGAACUCGCGCUGCGCCUCGCGGCCCAGCGGCGCGCGCGCGGAGACGGAGCCCAGGCCGGCGGCCGCCAGCGCCCAGACCACCAGCACCCACGCCGCCUUCCUCGCCGUCUUCAUCGCCAUCGCCUCCCUCUCCUCCUCCUCUCCCUCUCUGUCCGGGGGCAGCGGUGGGGGCGGUUGCGCCGGCAGCUCAGUACAACUGCUCCCUGCGCGGCGACGAGGCCAGACGGGACGCUAUCACUGGUAACCGGGCCCGCGCCGCCAAGUCAGGGACCACUUCAGAAUUCAGAAUAAUUCACCGAGAUUUUAUCUGUAAAAAAAUCGUCGGUUGCUAUGCUUAUCGCGAUCAUCCUGUGGAAUCUGCAGACGGCUGAAGAUGAGAUCCCCUGCGUGACAAGCAACCGGACACCAUUUUUGGCCUAGUGGCACAUGGGUCUGAUACGGGAAAUCCUUUCCUUUGCCGUCGAAGGGCAUCUCAACCACCACCGGUAUAGCCCGUAGCCGAUAGCAAAGAUCAAGCAGUUUCCGAAAGAAAUAAAAAGGACUCUACUCAGCAAGCAACCCUCAUGAGUCCACGAUCAGAGUAUAAUAACACACGCAAAUGGCAGAGACUUCUCGUGGAAAAACGUCAGGGGCUCUCUUCAGAUAUUUAUUCACAUCACGUUCCAGAUCUCAAUGGCCUAUCAUACGCGAGAUCAUGAAUUCAUGAUUCAUGAAUGGAGAUUAUUCAGAACCAGGCAGGGCUGGCGGUUUCUUUACACACAUCAAUGUAGCGUCGCUCUGCACGACUCGGUGCUCGUCGGAGUUCAGAACCCUGAAGAGUCUGAACUCUACUCAGCCGUACGCGUGUAGCUCGCCACUGGCUUGGUCGAUGAUCCCCUCCGUAGCAUUGGCCAGCACUGCAACCAUAACCACAGCGUUCAGUUAGUGGCAGUACAGCGGCAAUUAGUGUACUUCCAAGCAGAAACGGUGUAAAGCCAAGGUGAAAAAUUCUCUUCUCAUGUAUUCAGAACUGGUUUCAGGCAACGGCAGCAGCAACGGGCAUAGAAUGAGAGCUCACCGGAUGGUUUGUACGAUGGGAAGGUGACGUAGCGAGGGCAGUAGCUUCUGCUGUUCGUUGCCUUGUCGGUCUCGAACGUGCAAUCACGAGGCUGCCACACAAGAUAUACAAGUGAGCAUCAACAGUAUUAGAAGCUGGGGCAUUCAUACGUCCACUUCAAAGCUUAUCUUAGUUAUAUGAUGGUCCUUUGUUAAUAAUUGCUUAUGCUAAAGCCUACUAUACUCCUGAUCCAAAGCUGAGCUCUUCUCUUUACUACCAUAGCAGCAUAAGUUUAUCUUCCUGCUUCAACUGACUUGACUUAAAUUCAUAGUAUUGUAUGUAAGGACUAGCAUUUUCCAGAAACGUUAUUACUUAAUGUUGGAACAGCAACUUUUAUGUACCAUCUCAAAAAAAAAGGAAAAGGAAAAGGAAAAAAAAACUAAUAUAGCUAUGACUGACAGAAACUACCUACCUGAUAAUCCUUGUGGAAGCAGAGCCUAAGUUCUUGAACUGAGCCAUUCUUACAAACAAGUGAUGGCAUUGCCCCAAAUGCGUACUCAAUCACAGCAACAAUAUGUCCAACAGCGUAUCUUCUGCUGCUUGCAGGCCGAAUAUGUGCUUUUCUCAGGGCUUUCUGCAAGACAAGAACAAGAACAAGAACUAUAGUAAAAGCAUACCGGCAAAAUUUAACAAUCUCACAAUUGUUGUGCAAAGAGCAUGGCAUGCUGAGAUGAGAUAACUUAAUAACUAACCGUAACAUUGUAUUUGCUGUAGAGAUAAAGUGCUGUGGAGAAGUAGUCAUAUUCAUCCUGUAUUUCAGGAUAAGCGCAAGUUCCAUGAGUUUCUGCCAGAAAAAAUAAAAUAGAGUAGAACGUUAGGAACAGAUCUUGAAUGACACUAUAUCUGCAAAAAAACAAGAUAUAACCGGACUACUUAAUUUAAUGAAAUUAAGAAGUAAUUGAGCACAACAGUUUUUUCUGCCAACAAGUUCAGAAAUUGCAUACCCCACUGGAGAAGAUCCAGCAAACCAUCAGCACAUGCACACAAACAAAAGAAACCCUUGGUCAGCACUCAGCAUAUGCAUUCUUCCUGGUAGUCAAAUCUCAAAAAAUCCCAAUCACCUCAUGCACCCAAAAUGGCCCCCUUCCACCAAAGCAGGUUGAUGAAGAGCCACAGUACAGGGAUGGCCAGUACUUCUCUAGUAUCGGCAUCAGCAUUAAGAUCUGUGGCAAAGCAAAUCAAGCACAUUGACAUGGCAAACUUGCAGUAGUCCAGACAUUUUGUUCUAAAAAAGAUUUUGCAAAGCUGGCACCUUAUUGAUGUUGAAUCUGGCGGGUCUGCAGCAUGAUGGCCAUCCCCCAUAGUUGUACUGUGGCCAGAGACCAUCUGUUCAGACAGAAUGAUGAUAAUGAAAUGGCUAUCAGCUUUUUUUUCAAAAGAAAAAAAGAAAAGAAAUGGCUAUCAGGACUACUUGGAUGCAAUUGUCUUAGUCUAAAUAUUACUUUGGUGCCCAUGUGCAACCUCAAUGUAUACACAUGCUUUAAACUUGCAGCGGAAGCUAUCACUAUCAAUAAUACAUUUCGGUGUAAAAAAAAGGUUCAGCAGCAGUUAAUGUCUGAUGGCAACCAAAUCAACCAAUGGCUCAUCAAAACAACAAAUCAGGCAGGUAAACUAUUUGGAGGCCGUUCACUGUUACUGCUCAGAAAUUCUAAACAUCGACCACUUCAAGUCAACAACUGAUCAAACAAUUGCUGUGCGCAUUUAUUUAGUCCUUUUCUUAAUAUGACAAUUCCAUUUUAGUAUAUGAGAUAUUUAGUACUUGGAAGAAAUGGUCUUAUGGCACUUUAAUGUGCAACCUCAAUGCAUACACAUGCUUUAAACUUGCAACCGAAGCUAUCACUGUCACUGUCACCAAUGCAUUUCGGUGUCAAAAAGUUCAGCAGAAGUUUAUGUCUGACAGGAACCAAAUCAAACAAUGGCUGAUCAUAAUAACAGAUCAGGCAGGUAAACUAUUUGGAGGACGUUCACUCCUGCUCAGAGAUUCAAAAACGUCCACCACUUUUAAGUCAGCAACCAUCAAAUAAUUGCUGAGUGCAUUGCGUCUUUUCUUAAUAUGACAAUUUUAUUUAAAUACGCAGCAUGUGGUUUUUUGUAGUCUUAACUCCAGGACAGAUAUAUGCAAUAAAAAGUUUGGAAAAUCAUCUAUGGUUCACGUAUCUAAAUCGAAUGAACUGACGGGAGAAUCUAAUAGUUGCUUAUGGGAAAUUCACAAGAUACACGUGCAGCGGCCAAAUGAGGAAGACAAGUGAUUUGCGUGGACUUACGAAUCGUGAACCAUUUAAGGGGCUUCGAUCUGCAGGAAAUGUCAAGGAAAACCAAAUGAGCUCGCUCAAUCGAGUUCCAGCAGCGACAAUGCCAAGAUAGAGGGCAGGCGAAAUGGUACCGGCAACAGCCAUUGGUGUCGCAGCAAUUGCUGGUCUGGCGGCAGAUGGUGCCCGGCCACUGGAGCGCCAGCACGUAGUAGUCGAACCCCGCCCAGCGCCGCUUCCUGCUACCACCCGCCGCCGCCGCCUCCGGCGACGACGACGCCGAGGCGGACGGCGCCAGCAGCGCGCUCGGAAGCAGCACGGCGAGGCAGAGCAGCGAGAGGGGGAGGAGGAGGCGCUUCCGCCCGCGCCGGUGCCGCCGCGUCUCCAUCACCCCGCGGCCGCCGUCGCUUCCCGAACGAAUCGAGGCUUCGUGGCGCGCGUCUGGAUCUGCCUAUGUAUACUGCAGCAAAUCCAUCAACUGCUGCAAGAUCGCGACUUGAAAUGGUGGGGAUGGAUGGAGUGGCUUGGAGAACAUGCCAGAUAUCAGCAAUGAGAUUACGGCGGGCUCGAUUAGUCUAUAAUUUCGCAUCGGGUAAAUCCUCCGUGGGAAGAUUAGUUUUUGCUUGCAGAUCGGUGGCUUGCUGUGCUCGUGAAGCAUACACACACUAGGCGAAGCUACGGCAGCUACGAGCACUCCUCUUUUGGGUUUCCCUUUCCUUUUGCUUCCAUCUAUGGAGGGUGCAAAUGUCGGGCAUACCAAUAUACCAUAACGGUGGCAACAAGCCACGGACAUCAACUGAGGAGCUGUUUGGAUACUAAAGGGCUAAAGUCACGGUCACAUCAGAUAUUCAGAUCUUAAUUAGGAGGAUUAAAUAUGAAAUUAUAAAACUAAUUGCUAGGUAAAUUGCAGAACUCCUAGGCUAAUUCGUGAAAUGAAUCUAUUAAGUCUAAUUAAUCCAUCAUUAGCAAAUGGUUACUGUAGCACUACAUUAUCAAAUCAUAAACUAAUUAGGCUUAAUAGAUUCGUCUCACGAUUUAACCUCCAUCUGUGUAAUUAGUUUUGUAAUUAAACUAUAUUUAAUACUUCUAAUUAGUAUCUAAACAUCCGAUAUGAUAGGGCUAAAGUUUAGUACCCUGGAGCCAUACGCUCCCUGAAUUGUCCCUUUUAACCAUAUUCCUCUCCUCAUGCCUCACUAACCGAAGGUAAAGUUUAAUGAUUAGAGCUCAAUAAGAACGACACAAGGAUUUUGAUGGUGAUGAUUGACACGGGUGAUAACUGGUGACUAAGGUGCAAGUUCCACUUCGUUUUAGAUGAUUAGGUUGAUCCAUUCACGUUUUUUCGGAAUAUGCAGGAGAGCUGCAUGUCAUUUGUAUUUAGAAGAAAAUAGUUUUCAGUUACAACGCAUGAAAAAACUAGAAUAAGUGAGGAUGGCUCUCGUCCUCCCGACCCCUCCCCUUCCCUCCACCUGCCCCACGCCGGCGUCCACUCCGGCCCCGGCAGCCACCCUCAAGGCCAUGGUUCCCCCUUGCCUGGCCAACCCCUCUUCCUCGGCAUCGUUUUUCUCUCCUCCCUCAUCUUCCCCUCCGUUUCUUCCCCGGGGAACGGCGGGGCGCCCUAAAGCCCAGCGAUGGCAUGAUGACUCUCCACUUGCGGCUGACUCCGACGACGUCCUAUCUCCUCUCCCACAGCGCUCCAUCUCCUUCAACGAAGCAUUGCUGAAGGGCGCCUCUAUGGACUCGACCUUGCAGGCCCCGUGCACCACUUGCCGGGAGUCCUCAGUCGUUGUUUCGCAGGGGGUGCCUGGGGGCUGCCCGUCGCGGAUUGUUCUACGUCCGGAAGACCGCUCGAGGAAGGUGGGCCCGGAAGACCGCUCGAGGAAGGUGGACCUCAAAGCCCCGGACAAGGACGGGUGGUGGUCCGUUGAGGGACGUCGGCGGCGGUGCGAACGGCGGAGGUAGGCGCGCGUGGUGCGGCAGCCAGUCCCCACGGACCUCUAGGGAAGAUGUUUUAACUGCUUCUAUCCUCGUUACCGUGCAGCCGAUUGUCGUUCCCCCCUGCGAUGCUUUCACUGUCGUGCCAUGGGGCACCUAUCAACCAUACAUGCUCGGACCCACCAGAGGGUUUGUACGAACCCACUCAAAGGGACGUACUCGAGACGUUUCAGGACAUGAAGACUACGCUACAGGGCAACGUAGACUACAUAGAACUCCUGAAGGGCUAGUUAGAAUACAAGGAAACUAUUCUACCGAGUUAAAAGUAGAACUCUAUAGUUUUGUCCGACUAGUACCCUUGUACUCAAAGCUACCCUGUAACCCUGCUCCCUGGAUAUAUAAGGAUGGGUAGGGACCCCCUCAAAAUACGUUCAAUCGAACACAAGCAUACAACACACAGGACGUAGGGUAUUACGCGAUCUAGCGGCCCGAAUCUAUCUAAAUCGUGUCUCUGCGUCACCAUCGACUCCUUGAACUCGGGUCCAGAUUAGAGUCAAUUGAGGACUACAACUCUGACUCGAACUCUUUUGAAGAACUCCCCUUAUCAGGUUCGCAACGGGGCCUAGUAAUCACAUCAACACCGCGAGGCAGAUUCGUCUACUAGCCUGGCAUGAAGCCAUCUUUCCUUGCCCAAGACAAUGAAUCACGCCUCAUCGCACACUUGGAUAUCCUCCCAUAUCAAGAGGGUACUCCACUCUCACUGAUCCAUGAAGAAGAUGGCUCCACUGAAGUCAUAACAUCCAGCUCUGGAAGCUAUUCUCCGAAUAGAGAACUCUUUGUUAUGGUUUCGCCAAUUGAUGGAACAGGAACUAGCGAUCACCACCAAAGAACUCCUCAUCGGGACGCCAAAUGGAAGAAGUCUCCCAAGAUGAAUUAUCAGCCGACGCCCCGGAGGGUGAAACUAGCAGCCAGAGAACUCAAAGAAGAGCAAGAAACAAUCAGAGAGUGGAACGUCGUCGACUUUUAGCGGCAAGAGUUCCCAUUGUGAACCUCGACAGAGCAUUCAAAGCAGUUCAAACAUAAGAACAUAACACACCACUUGCCGCUAUCGCUUCUAUCGACCUUAUCGCUCAUUCAAUGCCUCCAAACAAAUACAGCGAACCCCUGUUAUACUUGGCAGAACACGCAUACAAACUCCUUGACAAAGAAACACCAAUCCCAUCCGUGCCUCGUAACCCAAGUCAUCAUGAUGAUAGUAGAGACAAUGCAAGACUCUCAAACCAACAACAUGACGAACCAAGACAACAUAGGGGCGUACUCGAAGCUUCAAGAUGAAACAGAGAUGCAGCUGAGGGUAGUCAUACAGCCUCCGCGGAAGAACCAUGCCACCGCAGAGUAAUUCCAGAACCCUCGCACAUUAGUGAUCUUCGAGAAACAUUAAACCACAAUCGUGAUGCUCAAGAUAUAAUCAACAACCGCCGUCGUGAACAUGAAGCUGAGGGUGAUGACAAUGACCACUUCCCUGCUUUUACAAGACAAAUCAUGCAGGCUACUCUCCCAGAGAAAUUCAAACACUAAAUAUGAUGGCAAACAAGACCCAGUUCAGUGGCUCCGCUGCUACGCAUUAGCAGUUCAAGCUGCACGUGGAAGCGAUGAUACAAAAGUCAUCCACUUUCCCGUAUGCAUGGAACCAACGCCACUAACUUGGCUCGAAUCUUUGAAACCUAACUCCAUCGACUCAUGGUCUGAUCUAAAGAAAGAUUUUACAAGCAACUAUGCGGGAGCUAUGCAGCGUCCCGGCAACAGAAUUGACUUGGCUCAGGUUAAACAGCAAAAGGAUGAGUCCCUCCGCAGCUACCUACACUGUUUUUUCAACAAAAAGGCUAUAAUUGUCGACAUCUCAAAAGCAGAUGUAAUUGAAUGUUUUCAAAAUGGUCUCUGGGACUGACGCAUGUUCCAAGACUUUUGCAGAUGCCAGCCAGCGGAUAUCAAAGAACUCAAAAUUAUGGCUCAUUCAUGGGCAGACGAAGAAGACAAGGAGCGCGAAAGGUUUGAUUCACACUGCAAUCGCGGACGUGACAACAAUACUAGCAACAAUAAAGAACAAGACAGAAAUCGCAACGGCGAUCACCGAAGCAAUUAUUCGGGCAAUCAGAAUUGCAAGCGCAAACCAGACAAUACCAUUGCAGCGAUAUCAAACUCAAGCAAGAAAGGAAGCCAUGGUCUUUCAAAUUUGAGAACUUUUGGAUGAAAAUGCCGUGAUUCAAAGAAAUUGUCACGAAUGCACGGAAUGCGCCAACCGAACAUCACAAGACUUUCCACAUAUUGUACCAUAAACUCCUUCACACCUCACAGGCGCUGCGAGCAUGGAGCAGUGGCCUUAUACCAAUGCAAGACAACAACUGUAUAUGUCACUGGAGGUCAUCCUACGUCUGGACAUUGCAAUCACUCACCCAAGGCGAGCAACAACUAAGAACCCAACUCAAAAAGGAGGGUGUUAGGCCUAUCUGCGAUUGAAAGAGUGAGAAGGAAACAAGCUGCGCGCAUAACAAAUCUCAAGGCAGGAGAUGCGAACACGCGGUUCUUCCAUCGCAAAGUGAAUGCACACAAAAGGCAAAAUCACAUUUAGAGACUAUAAAAGGACUCUGGAUGGGCUGUCUCACAUGAAGAAAAAGCAUUAGUCGCUCAGGAACAUUUCACGGCUGCCCUUCGUCGACCACCGUCAUGCCAAAACGACAUCAAUUGGGACAGGCUAAACCUGCAACGCCACGACCUCGACGGCCUAGACUCCCAAUUCAUAGAAGAGGAAAUUAAAAGAGCCAUUCAUCUUCUGCCAGCUGAAAAAGCCCCAGGACUGGACGGGUUCACUGGCGUAUUCUUCAAAGAGUGCUAGGAGAUUAUCAAGCAUGACGUUAUGAAUGCAGCAAAAGCUUUUCACCUUCUCUGGACCGCCAACUUGAGCCUUCUAAACUUAGCGAACAUCAUUUUGCUACCUAAGAAAGAAGGGGCUGACACAAUCACUGAUUUCCGCCCAAUCAGUCUGAUUCACUCAUUCAUCAAAUUUAUCACAAAAGCUUUGGCAAUGCGACUCGUACCUCACAUGGACACAAUCGUAUCUAAAAACCAGAGCGCGUUCAUCAAAAAAUGUAGCAUUCACGAUAAUUUUAUGUCAUUCUGCUCCAUGGCUAGACGUCUCCAGCAAAGUAAAUGUCCUGCCUUGCUGCUCAAACUUGACAUUGCGAAGGCUUUUGACUCCAUCAGGUGGGAAUACCUUUUGUCCCUCAUGCAACGACUAGGUUUCCCCGCUCGCUAGUGCGAUUGGGUGGCCGCACUCUUGCUUACUUCAUCAUCACGAGUACUACUCAACGGGAUGCCAAACGGGCCUAUCAAGCAUGGGAGAGGACUGUGACAAGGGGACCCACUACCCCCCCUGCUGUUCCUCAUUGCCAUUGAUCCGCAACAGAAGAUCCUGAAACUAGCCACCGAUCGAGGGCUCCUUUCCAAAUUACAAGGACACGUAAACGAUCUCCCGGUAUCGAUGUAUGCGGACGACACGACCAUCUUUGUCAAUCCCACACAAGCGGAUAUCUCAAAUUUGGUCGAAAUCAUGUCACAUUUCGGUGAUGCCACAGGCCUCAACACCAAUUUCCACAAUUCAACGGUAGUCCCAAAUCGAUGCACAGGGUUGAACAUGGAUAGCAUCCUUCAAAACCUUAGGUCUCACUUCCCCCAUCAAAUACUUGGGUCUACCUCUCACCACUAGGAGGCUUCGACAUGUUGAUUUUCAGCCUCUAGUGGACAAGGCAGUGGCGAAAAUGACUACAUGGAAUGGGAAGAAUAUCAACUACGUGGGACGAUUGAUGCUCGUCAAGUCAGUCCUCACAUCACAAGCUAUCUACUUCCUCACGGCUUUGAGAGCGCCGAAGAGCGUCCUAAAGGAAAUAGACGCCAAGAGGAGAAGAUUCCUCUGGGCGGGAUCCGAGGUCCUGACAGACGCGAAGUGCAAAGUGAAUUGGCCUAAAUCAACUCGUCCAACUGACUUGGGGGGCUUGGGCAUCCUUCGCUUCGGCAGAUUCGUGCAGGCACUGCACCUGCGUUGGUUGUGGAAGGAUUGGGUGGAAGACUAGAAACGCUGGGACGAUCAUGACCUGCCAUGCAACACAACAGACAUGCUCCUAUUAGCGGCAGCAUCCUCAAUCACAGUGGGCGACGGUGCGCGAACUUUGUUUUGGCAAAGCGUCUGGCUGCAAGGACAAAGACCGUGUGAUAUAGCACCAAAUAUUUUCAAGAUUUCAAGGAAGAAAAAAAAUCAUUGAAGGAAGUGUUAAGCAGCAACAGAUAGGUCCGUGAUGUAAACCUGCGUCACCCGAAUUUUUCGAUCCGGCACUUCAUCGAAUUCAUCCAACUGUGGAGGGCGGUCUGAGACGCCGACCUAAGGGAAAAUGUGUAAGACACCAACACUUGGAAAUUCUCAAACAAUGGAGAAUACACAACAGCUUCAACGUAUCGUGCACAGUUCAUCGGAACCGAGAAGACAAACCUGAAAAACUUUGAUUUGGAAAACUUGGGCUCCUCCAAAAUGUACGUUCUUCGCUUGGUUGGCCAUCCAAAACCGACUGUGGACAUCAGACAGGCUACAAGCCCAAGGUUCGGCAAAUUCAGGGCGCUGCCCCCUAUGCACACAAGACCAGGAGUCAAGCUGCCAUCUGUUCGUGGAGUGCCGCGGUGGGUAGUGGAGGUGGCGGGGGCAUCAGACCCCAACAGGUUAGUGUUGGCGGCGGCAAAGGGCAGCUACGGAGGCGGUAGAGGCCACCGGAGCAGGAAGGAGGUGGGUGGCGGCGGGGUGUCGCAUCAGGGCCUCGCGUGGCUUAGGCUAUCGAGAGGAAUCGAGGAAGACGAAGACGGGAAGAAGAAAAGGAUAACAGAGAAGGGGGGUGUGAUUUUGAUAGUUGGAUCUACAUCCAAUGGAUAGGAACGGUAAUUGAUAGAAAAUGGAUAUUUCAAUUCAUUGAAGAGAGGACAGUCCCAUGAAUGAACUGGCGAAUUGAUCCACUACUUUCCAUGAGUCUUAUAAGAGCAACUUCAAGAGUUUUUCAAAAAAUUCUUCCCCAAAACGAGGUAUUGAGAGCUAUGCUAAAAAUAUUUUCCCCCAAAAAACAAAUUAAGCCAAAAAAAACACUAAAAACUAUCUCCCAAUAAUUUUAAAAAAAAGGCCAUGUUGUCAUAAUUCGGCCAAUAUACUUAGCCUGCCCACCUUUCGACCCAUGACACCAGGCGUCCUUCUCCACGUGCUGCGCCAUGCACCGGACCUGUGCUGCGCCAUGCACCGGACCUCCUCGACCCCUUCUGUUUUGAGUAGUGUUGUUUGAGCUUUCAAGGGAUCUACAUAGAAAAGGAAACAAAAUGCAGAGCAGCAUUUGUACUUGGAUUAUAUGUUAGCAGUAUAGCCCAGUUGAUAUUAGUAAAGUUCAAGGUACGCAGAAUCCAAACUCUUAUAGCACUAUAAUUACCGACAAUCUUCAAGAAUUAUGAGCACUACAACAUGUAAUAUGGGAGCAGGAAUAGUUCAGUAGCUGAGUCCCUGUAAACACCCAUUCACCACUAUAGUGUUUUUAUACUAAUUCAAGAAUUUCUGUUGCUAGAAAGAAUGUUCCUCCAACUCUCCAAACACUAAAAUUGGAAUGUUGUAGAGAUCAAAGCCUUUCAGCUUUACUUGUCCGAAAGUCUCUUCAUACUUCACCAUGGCUAUCUUCAGUGUAUCUUUGUCGCAGUGCCUGAAUACAAGCUCCAUGGGCAUUCUGGAGCUUUGUGCUUCUACUCUAUCUCCUAGAACCUGAAGUGAAUACAAAUAUGAGGUGAGUAUUAUGCAACUGUAAGAAUGGGAAGUUUCUAAAGUUGAACUGAGAAAUUAAGAACUUAUGCAGAAGAAAGAAAGAAAAAUUGCAGAAGAAAGAAAGAAAAAUUGAAUAGCGGUGUAAGGCUAAAAUCUGUCCGAAAAAUCAACUGCGUGCUUCAAGCGUCACCGGAGUGCAGCAGGUGAGGAGCCAUCGUCGUCGUCAAGGACUCAGACCUUGAGCUGCGUGCCAUCACUGGCCACGUAGUGCAAGCGCCCGCCGGAGUGCACGAGGCGCGCAUCGCCACCGCCCACCGCCGGCGCUGCCGCCCCGCUGCUCGCCCCGCCGGAUCUUGAAGCUACAGAUACAUCAAACCUCAGGAGAUCUUGAAGCUCAGCAGAUCUUGAAGCUCCGGAUGGACACCACUAGUGGCCGUCAGCUGCCAUCCUUCUUCCGUGCGUCGUGGCCGCACUUCCCACCGACUGCCCUCCUCGCGGCCGCCGCUCUCGCCGCCGCGCAGCUGUGGUCCGCUGGGAACCGAUGCUUGAGGCACACCUUGAGGCCACACCCCUUGCACUGCAUCGUGUUGCAGAAGGUGAGCGCCUCCUUGCACCGCGGUGCGGGGCACUGUGGCUUGCGCUUCCUCGCCGGGUUGCAGCUACCCGACCACGCGUGCACGUCCAGGAUGUCAGCCUACCCCGGUGCCGCCCGCUCGACGGAGUCGCCGCAGUCCGGGCACAGCACGACGGGAAAAAACGCGCGCGGGGAAGGGGAGGGAGGCGGAUUGGGGAAGACCGGCCGACGCGAAUAUACGCGGGGCGAGCGGUGUUUUUUGCGCGUCGCUAAUAUUUUUGGGAGUUCUAAUGGAUUGUUGAAGUUUUUUUUCUCUUUUUUUUCCCUAAAAGAGGUAUUGGGGUAAAAUUAACAGUUUUUUAGAGUUGCUCUAAGUCUUUUAAACAAUAAAUAUGAUGGUACGACUUUGCAGGAGCAAAUGCUUAAUUCAGCAAUAAAUGGCACUCUGAACGUGCUACGGUCAUGCAAAAAGAAUCUCUUGCUCAAAAGGGUCAUCCUCACAUCUUCAUCGUCAACUGUGAGGAUCAAGGACGAAGCUGACCUGCCCCCUAACGUGUUACUGGAUGAAACAUCAUGGAGCUCCAUCGAGUACUGCGAGAGUCUCCAGGUGAGCUUGGGACAAUCCAAUCCUAAUUCACUCUGAUCUUAUGCCAGUGCAAACAAUUUCUCUGAAGAGUGUUUGUUAUCUCUCCGAUGUGAUCCUUGAUAUGGUACGCUGUCGCGAAGAUCCUAGCUGAGAAGGCGGCCUGGGAGUUCGCCAAGGAGCAUAAGAUCGACCUCGUGACUGUUCUUCCCACCUUUGUUAUCGGACCUAGUCUGUCCCCCGAGCUUGGCCCCACUUCUUCAGAUGUCCUCGGCUUAUUCCAAGGUGCGUGAUCGAAUCAUAUCUGACCACGCUGUUAACUGUUCAUCAGGUCUCGUAAGCCUAAUUGCUGGUCCAUCACACUCUAGAUGUCGCCAUACACGCUGUGCAGCUUUCCUGCUCUGGAAAGAACCAUAUUCUCUGCACACACGUUCUAGUUUCUGAAUGCCAGUGAAACCAUGUCGUUGUAGGGGAGACGGGGAAGUUCACGGUGUACGGGCGGAUGGACUACGUCCACAUCGACGACGUGGCGAGCUGCCACAUCCUGGCCUACGAGGCCGCCGGCGCGCAGGGGAGGUACAUCUGCAACGCGGCGGUGCUGGACUGCGGCGACCUCGCCGCCCUGCUCAUGCGGCGGUUCCCUUCGUACCCGAUCCCCAAGAGCCUGCCCACGUCUACGCCGAGCAGUCGUACGGCUACGACACCUCCAAGGCCCGCGCGCUGGGGAUGCAGGGGUUCAAGGGCGUCGAGGAGAUGUUCGACGACACCGUGGAGUCGCUCGUCGGACACCGCCAUCUCCCGACGGAGAACGCGAGCACGAGCUCUCUCUCCUUUGAAUUCUGGCGUGGAAGACCUGCGUUGUUGCACAGUCGCAUAUAUUUGUAGUUUCUAUACAAUAACAGGUAUUUGGACUGUGAGUGACAGCAGAAGAGAUCACAUAGCCGUAUGAAGAGAAUAAUCAGUUGAGAUGUGUUCCAUCUUGCAUUUUUAGUGGUCGAUAACUUUGUUCUCUUUGUGUGUUUCUUUUUUCAAAAAUCACCAAUGACACGGUACAACGUAACAAUGUUGGUCAGGAAUGCAAAAAAAAAUUUGCGAAAGGGGUAGGGAUUAUAUUAAACUUCCUGGAACAGUACAAAGCCUUUACAUCCAAGAACCUACACAACACACUAAAAGGGGGGAAAAGGGAAAACGAGUAGUUCAUUUCAGCCAUGGGUCCUCUCACUCCUCAGCAUUAUCUUCCUCCUUCCCACUGAAUUUGAGCCAUGGGCCUACUGAAUUUAGUGGUGCCGGGCUAUGUGCUUCUGGGCUGAAUUUAGUCGUGCCGGCCUAUGUAUUUUUGGGCCUUUCAGAUCGCUGCAGCUCUCUCCCAGUUUUGAUACAGUCAGAGACAGACAGAUAAGCACCGUCAUCUUCUCUUAUCCUCCUCCCCUCCCUCUUUCCUUCCUACUCGAUUACGCGCCCGCAGCCUCUCCUUCUCCGGUGCCGAGAACAAGGUGGAUUCUAUCUUCCUCCGAACUUGUGUGCUGCUGCUCAAUUUUGAUUCUAGACGCAAAGUUUUAUCAUCGUCUUUGCAGCCCUACACCUGUUAACUAUCUUCGAUUUGUUUCUUUUUUUCUUUGGAAAUGUUGGGUGGUGAGUGGUGCGUUGCAGUGAUCAAAUUAGUAGUUCAGAGAGUAUAAAAAAAAUUAGUAUUUCAGACGAUAGUAAGGUCCGUCUGGUAGGAUUGCGGCUGUGGUUAAAACGGUUGGGGCUGUGGCUUCUCCAGUGAAGCAAUAUUUUUAGUUUCGACUUGUCUAGAUGGAAAAAAUUUAGCAAAAUAGCUUUUUCUAACCGUGUAACAUGAAUAAAAAUGAUGAAAUAUCUAUAAUACUCUUAUUCAUUUUAUUUUUAUUUUUCGGUUUUCUCUUUUUUCCCUAUUUUUUCUUCUCUCUUUCUUUUCCCUUCUCUCCCUUUUUCUUUUUCUUUUAUUUUUCCCUUUCUCCCUUUUCUCUUCUCUUCCCAUCCUUCCCCACUUUCCUUCCCUUCCUCUCUUUCCUAUCCAUUCACCCGCCGCAGCUCCCUCCAGCUCCGCCCCGCCCCGCGCCCCAGCGCGCGCCGCCGCCCUCGGGCCUCGUCUGCGCCCGCCGCCGGCCACCUCCGCCCGCGGGCCCCACCGGAGGACAAGGGUGUCCAACGACGCGAGAAGCCGCGGGGAGCCAAUUUUUUUUGGCUCCCGCUCCCUCAAUCGGCUCCACCGGAGGACAAGGGUGUCCUCUCUAGCAUGCUAAUUCUGUCACAGGAUUUCGUUGUUGGACAGGGAAGGAUCCCAAUGGCCAGCGGCGUCAGUAAUGGCAAGAGCCUGACGCAGUGGUUGAGGGAGAACGGGUUCGACGAGGAGACCGUCGCGCGCAUGGCAAGGAGGUGCAAGAACCUGCACAGCCUCGACGCCGGCGAGGCCUCGGGCGUCUGGGACUACCUCCUCACCAGCGUCAAGAUCGAGCGGCGGAGGCUGCGGCACGUGGUGGCCAAGUGCCCCAAGGUGCUCACCCUGCCCGUGGACGGCAAGCUUGUGCCCACGGUGCAGUGCCUCGCCACGCUGCAGGCCAAGCCCGGGGAGGUGGCGCAGGCCAUCGCCAAGUUCCCGCAGAUACUCUUCCACAGCGUAGAGGAGAAACUCUGCCCACUCCUGGCCUUCUUCCAGACACUCGGCGUCUCCGAGAAGCAGCUCGCCAAGCUGCUCAUGGUCAACCCGCGCCUCAUCAGCUACAGCAUUGAGGCCAAGUUCUCGCAGAUGGUCGACUUUCUUGUGGACCUGGACAUGGACAAGGAAGGCAUGAUCGGCAAGAUCCUUACCAAGGAGCCGUACAUCAUGGGGUACAGUGUCGAUAAACGGCUGCGUCCCACUGCCGAAUUCCUCAAGUCGGAGGUCGGGUUACAGGGGUUAGAUCUCAAAAGGGUGAUCAUGAGCUUCCCUGAUAUAUUGUCACGAGAUGUGGAUAAGAUUCUGCGGCCCAAUUUAGCGUUCUUGCGGAGCUGCGGUUUCAGCAAGGGUCAGGUUAUGGCAUUGGUGGCUGGAUACCCUCCUGUUCUUAUCAAGAGCGUCAAGCAUUGCUUGGAGCCAAGGAUAAAGUUCCUGGUCAAAGAAAUGGGGCGGGACAUGGGUGAGGUGGUAGAUUACCCCCAGUUCUUUCGCCAUGGCCUCAAGAGGAGCCUGGAGUACCGUCACAAGGUGCUCAAGCAGAAGAACUCAAGUUGCAGCCUCAGCGAGAUGCUAGACUGUAAUCAGAAGAAGUUUGCCAUGAAAUUUGGUUUGGUUGCAGCAGUUUAGGUACUCAUCUUGUCUCUAGUUCCCAGGUAGUAUGUUUUUUUUUUGUUUCAAGUGAAUGUUUUCGUUUGUACCUUCAGGUUGUAUUGUUCUUGAACAUCAGAAGAAGUAUCUUGAUUAGUUGAUCUUGAGGAUAUCUAUUUUAUUUGAGAGCAAGAAAGUGCACGCCAUGUGGGCUUUCCCUUCUGUCAUUAAAUACCUCGAUCGAUAUCCGCAAAUUUGUGGUAGUGCGGUAAACAGAAAGAAGCUUUUUAACGCUAUAACUUUCCUCCCUUUGAAAAUUUACCACUCACCUAUUUACACUCGCAUAUAUCAAUUUUUCUUAGUUCAAUACUUACAGGCACAAACAUAUAGAGGAAAAUAGUUUCUAUUGAGCCAAACUCCUAUGUACAGUAUAUCUGAAAGAAGAUUUGUAGGGCAACCACUCAACACAUUUGUCAAUCCUCCUCCUCAGAUAUUGUCUGAUCUCUUUUUGCUGAAGUUCAGGCAUGCUCUCACAUACCAUGUCAAUCAGGUCAGGCAACUCUAGAGCAGCAUCCUAUGCAUAAAAGUGGAGAACUUUGGGUAGGAAGAUGGUCUGCUUCCUGACCAUGACAUUUGCUUGAAUGAACUCAGUCCUGGCUUGCUCCAGUUGGUGGUAAUUUCUUAGCUGUGUACAGCCUUACCUGUAGAAGUCAUUCACAAUAAUUAUAACUUAGUAACAUAAGGUUGGAAUGGUGAAAAAUUAGUAAGGGCAGUGGAGCUUACAGGUGGAUCUGAAAAUGCUCCUGUGGAAAGAGCAAAGUGAGCAAUUAGCUCUGGAUGACAAAGCGCAUAUGGAUGCAUGGAGCUCCCUGAUUUUUUUGUUGGUGAAAUAGCGUGCGAACCCACUGUAAUUUCAGGCCCAGUAUGUUAGUAUUAUCCUUUCAUGAUGCGAACAUUUCUUUUCUUUUGUUAUAAAUCUUUGACUGAUAAUUGCUAUAUUGAUGAAUGCCAUACCAGUGAAGGGCAGUGGGAUUGGCAUCCUAGAACUGAGUUCUGAAUAAUUUGGGAGUUUACUGAAUGUCCACCCACAUUAUAUGCAGCCUGGAACAGAUUACUCAACACUGUCAGAGAAAUUCAUAUGUGAUUCGAAUGCCAGUGUGGUUGUUAUUUGACUGAUUGUCAAAAGUAUGAUAAUUGUACCUUCAGAAUCAUGUCAGUGCUUUUCAUGCGUUUUUCCUGUAGCCCAUAGGCCAUGAAAGCCUGUAAUAUUUCAGAAGCAAUGUUAGUUAUGUAUCAUGCUGAGUCUAAAAGCAAACAUUCUUUAAGGUGGUAAUAGCUAAAAAUAUUGAACAUACAUGCAUAAGCAAAGCAUUGUGGAUGUUAAUCCAAAAACAGAGUUGCUCUUCAUGUUCCAUCUUUGUAGGGUCAAUCUUCUCCAGCCGUUUUAUCAGCGUUCUGGGACACAAAGGGACCAACUGUAAAAUGUAAAUCAAGUUCUUUUUCCUUCCUAUAUUAAUCUUUUACAAGUUCGCUUACCUGAUAGUAUCCAGCAUUUUAGAGGCAUACUCAAAUUUGUCUUCAUCUAUAUGUAUCCUUGGAAAAAUUAUCAUCCCAGUGUAUUGUACAUUACUCCCAUCAAAUGAACCAUAUGCAUCAGAGGUUGUGUCGACAUUGUAAUGGCAUCGAGGGCUCCAACUAUCGACCGGGUACUUCAGAGAAAAGGAACUCGAUGCAGAUGAGAAAGAAGGAGUGGACGAUGGCUCAAAUUUUGCCUCUUUCAAUGGCUUGCUCGCAAGUUUGCAGUAGACAGCAGAAAUGCACCUUAGUAUGUCCUCUGAAAGUUUGCAGGAGAUCUUGGGUACAUAUUCAGUGAUAGAAGCACUCAAGAAGUUUGCGAGACUGGACCGCCCUGAAGAUGAUCUUGAUAGCUCCUGAGUAUGCUUCAGCAACAUCAAAGCCACGUCAGAGGCUUUCACUUAAGAAGAAUCAACAACUAAAACAGAGUUAAUAACUGUAUCGAUGAAUGGAAGAGAAGCUGUCAUACGCGUUUAUAAUCAGUGUGUUGGCAGGUUAUAGGCUGCAGACUCCUUGAUGUUUCUCAGGCGAAGGGUGCCCUCGUCAGUGGUCUUUCUGCCGCGUUGACGGUGCGAUUCUUUCUCCACCUGAUCAACAACUGUUGCCUUCGUAUGCAACAUAACCCCUGUGCAUUGAUCUGUUCCAGGUGGCAAAGGUUUGAACCAGAGCAGAAGCACGAGGAGAGACACCGAGGUAUUGAUCAAAUGCGGCUCUGUAUAAGGACAGCAGGUGCAGUUCCUUGCGAACAACUUCCUCCUCAAGGACUGCUAUCUCCCAGGCCAAGUCUGCAACAGACUGCAUUCAAAACAAAAUCAGGAAUCAAAGAUUAAAAGGUCUAAAUAUCACGUAUGAUUAAAUGCAUUCAAAACAACUGGACUAUUCUUUUUUGAUAAUUUACUUUAUGCUGUUCAAAAUUUGGACUUGAAACACAGUUCCUGACUAUAGCACACACACACAUAAUUUUUAAAAAGGGAGCAUAAUCAUAACUAAUGACUUUAAUCACAUCUCCCUAGAUAUGACAAAGCAUCAUUCUGUUGGCAUCAUGAUAUACUAAGUUAUUAAGAAAAAGGAACGUGAUUCAUAAAGAAUGGAUGGAAGACCUGCAUUUUGACAGCUUUUCUUCAGCUUUUGGAAACAGAGGCCCUCGAGAUCAGGAUCAUGAACCAAUUUGUUAGGGUAUGGAACUAACCUUUGAAAUAGUUCUUUCAGUUCUCUCUGCACUGGUGAUGAUGCGAUGCUCGGGAAAUUUGUCAGGGAGGUUAAGAGAAUAUCUUGUAUGGAGCAUCUUAUUGCGAUUGGUUGUCUGCACAAUAAGGAAAUGGAGUGGAACAAGCAAAGUUCAGUCAAAAUAAAAUAAGUGGCUGAAGAAUAAUUGCUUUGACUACUCGAUGAACAAGAAAGCAGUGCAAGCAAAAACAAAAAACAAAUUAGAUUACCCACAGGUAUGUGAUCGGAGAGUCACAGCGAUAUGUCAGUGACAUUUACAUAUGUGCUUAUAGCACUGAAAAGAGAACAAUUUAUCAAGGUUAGAUAGAAAAUCAAGCACUUGAGGUGUAACUGAAAGCUUGGCAGCUCAGGAUGCUGAAACUGAAUAUUUCUGUAGUCAAAGGAGGAUCUUUUUUCAGUCAAAGGAGACACGAAACAUAAUAGCAUAAAGAUGUGGUGCUGGAAAAUGAUUUUUCAAGUACAACUGUCUAUAAUGCUGUUCCUAUUCAAAUUCACAGAAAAGGCACGAGCACUCUGCGUAGCUAGAACAGAAACUUUCAACAUCAUUACUGGCAGUACAUGUCACCUGAGAGACUAUUGAAGUGAUCUGCUGAAGACAAUGGCAGAGCACAGUAACACACAAAAAUAUAAAUAGGUCUAUGCAGAAAAUGCUGCUAAUGCAACCAAAUAAGAAUCAAACAGUAUUAUCAAAAAAAGGCGAUCGAAACCACUGUUAUGGCCUUUUAUAGAAUUUAUGCUCAGUUUUUGUUUGCUCAAAAAAGAAAAGGAAUAUAUGGUCAGACACUCACACAGUCACACUGCUAGAAGAACCAUAUGCAUCAUGCUGAAAAAACUACUGCAUACUAACCUUCUUGAGUGUCGGUGUUGCUGAUGAGAAGAUGGUGUUUCUGCACUGAAUCCUCUUUCCUUGAGCGCCUCUAGUCCUGGGUCCUCCAUGGCUGCUGGACUAUGCUUCAAUCACCAAGAACCUGCCAAAGCUAUCAAGACUGAGCAUGUACUGCAAGCAACACCACUCCAUGUCAAGCUUCAGAGAAGGAUAAAGCUCAGGUAACCCCUCACACUGAUGAGCUAUCUGAACUCGCAUGUCAUGAGCUCCUGCUAUGUGCCAUGAGCUGCCACCGAGGAGAACGGAAGAAGAAUAGGAGGGCGAUGACUAAGCUCGGUAAAAUUUCACUCACUGAACUAGACAGAGCCUAUGUCCCUUGCCAUGCAAAGGAAUGAAAUGAAAGGUGAGGUGCAAAAGGACAAGAAGAGCAACUAACUGAGCACAACAAAAACGAUGAACAAGCAGAGAGGUCCUAACGCCAGCACAGCUACUACAUAGGCUGACAACUAACAGUGGCUUGGAGGAGGAUUAAGAGCUGAUAUUUGUGGAGGGUAGGAUUAGUAGUGCAGGAGCUAGCUGCUGAGACCUGAGAGACAAGGUGGCCCACACGCAAGGACGAGGCCAAAGUAUGCAGCAGAGGUAAGUAAAGAAAGGGGAUGAAACCCGCCGGAAGAUACGGUCAGGGGAAAAAAAUGAAAAGAAUAAAGAACGAAGGAAAGCUAGGCGAGCUUAAAAGGAGGCAAAACGAAAGAAAAGAGGAACGGGGGUACCCUCAAUCAUCACGAUGUGCCUGCUAAUCCCGCCAUUAAAAGAGCAGGGAGAGGGAGGUGAGCUAGCCAACGGCUCCAAGCUAAACACAACAGUGCUCAAUAAUGGCGACGUGGAGGCGACGAUGACGACGACGACGAUGCGGGACUUACCGGCGGUGCGUGCCUGGCGAAACGGCCGGGGGGCCAAGCCGGAGACGACGGCGACCCGUACCAGAUCUCAGUAAUGAUGCAGUGCUCGAUCGUUUUUGCAGAAAUGAAAACGAUAAUGAUCCUUUAUGUUGGCAUGAUCUCUUCAGUCAUUCAUCAACACACAACAACCGGUGCAUCAUAAAUAGGAAUGAACCUUUCAAUCUCUCAUGUUCUCUUACUUAAUACUGAAAAUGUCAGUACAUCUGGCUUCAUUCCCUGAUCCAACAUUUCUUGUAAAAGAUCUUCGGCCUUAGCUGUUUCUCCCUGGCUGCAGUAUCCAUUUACAAGAGCUGUGUAUGCGUAAACAUCAGGAGCAAGUCCUUUUGUUAACAUCUCAUCGAACAAUCCCCGAGCUUCAUCUAGAUAUGCUGCUUUGCACUGCCCGCCAAUUAAUACUGUGUAAUAGGCUACAUCAGGUUCAAUUUCAUUGUUUUUCAUAUUGCUCAGCCACGUCUUAUGCUUUGCUCUAAGAAGAAUACUCCUUGUUUCCUUAGCAAUGUCCUGCCACCUUCGGUACAGAAUCUCCUUUAGGUGGACAUCCAAUAGCACAGUGUAUGCAACUACAUCAGGCUUGAUUCCAAAAUUUAUCAUUUGAUCAAACAAAUCACAAGCUUCUUUCAACCGGCCAACCUUGCAAUAACCAUUCAUCAGUGCAGUGUAUGCAAUGACAUCAGAAAGUCCUCGCUCAACCAUAUCAUCGAACCAUAAGCGAGCAUUGUGCAUAUCUCCCGUCUGACAAUAAGCUGAUAUAAGUUUGCUGUAGGAAAUUACAUGAGGAACAACAUUCUUUUCCAGCAUCAUGCUACAUACACUUGAAGCCCGUUCUACUUUUCCAUCUCUACAAAGGCCGCUUAUCAAUUUGAAACAUGAAAACGGAUCCACCAUAUUUCCUUGUUUAGCAACCCUGAGGAAAAGCAUGUAAGCAUGGUCAGUCCAGCCUGAACGCAAAUAACCACAGACCAUAGAACUGUACAUCACUUCAAUAUCAUCUAUCCUUUUUUUCUUCUACUAUAUUAAAUAACACCUCUGCUUCGCUCAGGUUGCCUCCUAUACAAAAAUCAGCAAUAACUACACCAUAGGUGAGUGAAUUAGGCUCCAACCCUUGGUCCAUAAUGUGCUCUAGAAGAUCAAAUACCUUCAUAACAAGACCAUUCCUGCUAUAUCCACUGGCCAAUAUGUUAUAUGUAACUACAUCUGGUUUUAUAUUUGCCUUCAGCAUCUGCUCAAAUGCUUGCCAAGCAUUUUCUGUUUCUCCUUUGAGACAGUAACCAUUGAUCAGGCAUGUAUAGUAUAUUUUGUCUGGUGCCAAACCUUCAGCCAUCAUUUCAUUCAGUAGCUGAACUGCUGCGUUCAUGUUCCCAAGCUUGCAAUAAGCAUCCAUACCAAUGUUAUAAAGCAUGCCAUUAAAAUGGAGUCCUAAACCUCUAAAUUUCUGGAAGUACACAGUAACUUCAGAUGUCAUGCCUAAUUUCCUGAGGCACUGUAGAAGAUAGCCAACAAUGUGACAAUUUAUCUCAAUGCCAUGGGAUACCAUAGCUUCAACAUGAUGCCACGCCUUUUCUAGGUUACCCAUUUUGCAAUAACUACGAAUGAGAUAGCUAUAACCAUAUUGAUCAGGGGCAGAUCCAUGUUUGGUCUUGUUCUCCAAGACUUUUUCAGCCUUCUCCAGUUUCAUUUCUUUGCAUAGUCCAUCAAUUACCAUGUUAUAAGCCAUGGCCUCAAUUGGAACCCUCUCCUGGGUGAUUUCUUGUAGAACAGUAUAUAUGCUUAUCAUGUUAUAAGCAAGGUCAUACUUUCCACAAUCACAAAGACCAAUUAUAAAUGACGAGUAUCCGUGUACAUCUGGUUUCACUCCCAUUUCAAUCAUCCCAACCCACACUUAGAAUGCUUCAUCAGCCUUAUUUGCUUGGAAAAGCGACCUGGUGACUAUGUUUAAUGAAUGAGCAUCCAGCGUCAACUGAAAGCACUUCAUUUGAUCAUAAGUGGUGACAACCAUAUCCGAUUCACCGCUCUGAGAUACAAAUUUGAGCAGAAAGUUGCAAGCCAAAUUGUUGGACAAAUCCAAGUCUGCAAAGGUGACAAAACUUUUCUAUUGUUGCUUGUGCAUCGUGGCAUGUGGUGUAUGCCUUGAUCAAGCAAUUGGCUGCAAAUGAGAGUACGUGAGAAGUGACACAUGUUUUUCUAAGUUGAUCAAUGAGUGUCAAGAUUUCAGGACCUCCACUAUCAGUUGCCGAGAUAACCUCACAGAAAAAGGAUACCAGCAUCUUUCCCUGGAAUGAAUGGGAUAAAAUUUGUAUCAUCUCUGAGUAGGUUGAGAAGUCAUGGUGAAACCCAAGGCUAUGUGUAUCUUUAAAGUAGGCAAAUACAACAGCACCCUUCUCCUCUUAAUGAAAUACGUGCCUUAAAAAAUGCAACAGCACCCAAGGCUAUGUGUAUGUGUAUCUUUAAAGUAGGCAAAUGCAACAGCAGGCUUCCUCCUUAGGCAGCGGCAGCGGAGCGUCUGCGCAACACUUUCAGAGCUUGGAGAACGGUGUCGUUUCCGGAUAGGUUCAUUAUCAGGAGCACAAUUCAGGUUUACAUCACCGCUCGAGUCCUCUAACUGAACUGAAGAGGCGGAUACAGAGAACACGACGGGCGGCGCGCACGCACACGGGUGCUAACCCCCCGGCCGCCGGGCACGCUCAGGGACAAAACCGGCCGAGCCAACUGAACCUGCCGCGGCCGCCCUUACGGGAGGUUCACGUGAUGAGCUUGGGGGAGGAAGCGGCCCAUCGUCGCUCUACUUCGGCGAUGAUGAAACCCCGCCCGGUCAUCCUGCCUCCCGUCCCGCUGAGGAGCUCUGCUUUCUCGCCCGCGACGCUGCCAUGGACACGGAGGGUCGUCUGCGGUUGGCCUUACUUGCGGCGGCCCCGGGCGCACCGGCGGAUAUGCCCAUCGAUGGUCUGCGCCGCGCACUCGCCGAGCUCCCCGUCGCCGGUGGCGACAACUUCUCCAUCCGGCGCUUCUGGCCUGAACAAUUCCUGGUGACCUUCACCUCUCAGCGUGCAAGGGAUGCUGCCAUGAGCGCCGGAAGCGUCCCCGUCGGCGACACUCGCUUCUUCUUCCGGCCGUGGACGCGGCUAGUUCGUGCUGACUCGCGCAUUCUCCAGUUCCGCGUCUCCCUGGAGCUGGACGGUGUUCCUGCGCACGCGUGGAGUGAACGUACUGCACGGGCGAUCCUAUCCUCCUCCUGCUGGAUCGAGCACGUCGACGACGCGCGCACCGACAUGGCCAAGCUCAAGGUGCAGGCGUGGACACAUGACCCGAGCUGCAUCCCUAGGAGGAAGCGGCUGCUCAUCGCCGAGCAUGAACAGCAGGUACUUUACGAGGAUCCAGUGAUGCAAAGAGUCUUUGGGAAUCUCCCUCCAUACUUGCGGCAAAAAAAAUCUCUUCGUAGCAAGCACGUUUUGGUUUUCUGGGCUUUUCUGGGCCCUUUUGUUCUGUUCAACUUUUAGGCCUUUAUUCGGUUUUUGGGCUUUGACAACUGGGCGGGCGUCUCUCCCAAUUGGGCCAACAUACCCAGAGGAGCGCCGCCGCGCCGCCUCACGGACACAGAGCACGCGACGACGCCUGAUCCCUUCUUCCGCCGCCGCCGCCGCAUCCUCCUCCUCUUCCGGCGUCCACCUGACAUGGCUACGGCGCCGGCGUUCACCGGUAACCUGAAGGUGAGUUCGUCGUCGUCGUCGUCCUCCUCCUCCUCCUCCUCCCCCCUUUCUCUCUCUCCUCCUCCCAAGCUAAAACCUCCCUCACGCGCAUACAUUUUGCCCUCGCCCGGCGCUACAAACUUGAAGAUUCAAGCUCGAAGCCGGCGGUGGCGCGUCCGUGGCUCCGGCGCCUUCUGGCGCUUUAAUUUGGUGCGCGGAAGGUUGGGGAGUGUAGGGUUUUCGGGUUUUCGUGGGGCAUCUUGAGGGAGCGCGGCGAGUACCAGAACUUAGUUUGCGCGAUUGGGGUGACCGGCAGCAUGUGACCGGGAGACUGAUCCUCAAGAGCGUGUGUCACAGGGGGCUGACCAUUGGGGUGUUCUCUAUGAAUCAUGGAUUAACUUGGACAGUAAAUCAUCCAGAUUUUGAUCGGCCAUGCUUUUAUGUGGACUGAAUUGAACAUAGAUGGUACAUGCUGCCCGUUGAGACCUCUGUGUCUGAAGACUUCUUUGUUAUCAUUGUUUGCUGGGUUGUGAAGUUGUAGACUUGUUACUUGUGUUAAGCUGUGGUUCACCAGGAAGCAGGAAAUGAAAUGUGAUGCUGACACACUGGUUAGAUUUAUGCAUACUAAGCUGCCUUUGCUAGGCAUUUUGCUACCAAUAUUAUUACUUGUAAGUGUGUUCAUCCUGCCACUGAAUUUGUAGAACAUAUUAGUAAGGCACAUGCUGAUGGCACCUCUUUGCAACCAUUUUGGUAUUGUGCAAACAAAUUACAUAUAAUUUUUGAUGGUAGUGUGGUUAUGUAGAUUCAUCCAUUCGUGAUAUUGAGUUAAAGAAACUGUAUUUCUGUUUCUUUCAUUUACCUGUAAUAAGGGAAGAAUUAUGCAAAUAGGAUCCCCAAAUAACUAUGCAUUACAAAUCUGUUUCCACAUCCACCAUGUAUUUUUUGGUUUCCUGACUCUGAACUACCUUAAUGUAGUUGUUGAGCCUAUACUAGUAAAAUGUCAAGUCCUGGCAGUGACCGAUGCUUCCUUUUGUGCAGAAAGCACUUGCAGGUUUAAGGAGAAUCAAUUUAGAUGGUCUGCGCUGGCGUGUGUUUGAUGCAAAGGGUCAGGUUGGGAUUCUUUCACUUGUUUCAGCUGUAAUAAAAAUUCAUCAGAAAAUGUUAUGUGGUAAGUUGCUUCGUCUCUGUGAUAGGUGCUUGGACGGUUGGCAUCCCAAAUAGCUGUUGUGCUACAGGGCAAGGAUAAACCAACGUAUGCACCACAUGUGGAAAAUGGAGACAUGUGCAUUGUGCUUAAUGCCAAGGAUAUCAGUGUUACAGGAAGAAAAAUGACUGACAAGAUUUACUACUGGCACACAGGGUUAGUAAGUCCCAGCAAAAUUGUUCAAUACAUUGUAUGUAAGAUAUCAUUAGGUUUCUCUUGUUAUAUAGUUUCCUCCCUGAACAGGUAUAUUGGCCACCUAAAGGAAAGAAGGCUCAAGGACCAGAUGGAAAAAGACCCAACUGAAGUGAUUCGCAAAGCUGUCCUGCGCAUGCUUCCUCGCAACAGAUUGCGUGAUGUAAGUGAAACUUUGUUUCUCUUUUAUUCUCUAAUCGAUGAUAAGGCAUGACCGCGUGAGCUCAUUUGUUUCUUGGACUAGUUACUUGAUUGUUAUUGCUAGCAUUAUUUUCUGUUGUUUAACGGUUAAUGAUUAAUUUUAUCUUGCAUUGAUGAACAAUUUUGGCCCUCUUUAUUAUUACUACCUGUGAUUACCACCACUAGUAUCUCAUUUUUAUGCUCUUUCCUGAGACUCUCACUGGGUUUGAUCUCUAGCAGUCCUUUCUUGAUUCAACGACUGCUAGAGAAAUGUCUAUUUGUCUGUAUUAUAUCACCCCUGGUUUAUUAAAUCUGUGCGCUGCAUUGUUGAAGCUAGCUGAUCCAAUUAAUGAUUUUUAAGAAAUUGUUGCUGUCUUGUAACCAGUGUUAAAUAAAAUAUCUGUGAUAACUAGAUCUGUUGGAGAGCAAACUUGGUAUUGGAUAUAUUCCAAUCAUUUCUUUUCUUGGUUGAGAUUUCAUCAUAUUAAAUUGUAAUGUUGUGUGCCGAUGGAAUAUUCCAUAACAUUGUAACUUUGAGAAAUCAUGCCUCUUUUCUUGUCACGCUGGUAUAAGUAUAACCAAUGUGCUUAUGAUAUUGAUGUCUGACAUAUAUUAUUCUGAUCCUUCAGGACAGGGAUCGCAAGCUGAGGAUAUUUUCUGGAAAUGAGCAUCCAUUCCAUGACCGCGCUCUUGAACCUUUUGUGAUGCCGCCCCGGCAAGUACGCGAGAUGCGCCCUCGUGCAAGGCGUGCAUUAAUAAGAGCCCAAAAAAAAGAGCAGGCAAACAGAACCAAGGAGGAAGAAGAUGCUAAGAAUACCAAAGCUGAGGCUACUGCAUAGGCACAUUCAGAUGUGUAUUUGCAUGUUGCAGAUCUACCAGAUGAUGCUCGGAGUAUCUUUGUUUCCAUGACAUGUAGCAUGUCGAGCCGAAUGGACACUAGAAGUAACUAGUCAAAGAAACAUUCAGAAUUUCUUUUGUAUUUUGUUACAGCAUGUAACUCAAAACUUGUCUCGAGGCUGUCAGUUGCUUUUAUCUGAGUGAAUAAGGCCCUCUUCUGCUUUGUUCGACUUCUGGUAUCAGAAUUCUUAAGUCCAAUGAAAAUGUAGCAGGCAAGAAAUUUUACAUGCAUGGGCGAAAUAUUCAGAUGAAGUAUACCCUGUUGGCAUGUUGUAAGAUUUGAAUUUACAAUGACAUUUAUUUUUAUUUUUUUUGAAUCACACAGUACAGAUGAAAACCUUCACAUACGCAUACGCACACUCGUCCCUAUGAACAUACGCGUAACCCUACUAGUAGGUGCAUGUCGCUUACCACUGAAAGGAUAGCGUCAGUAUUAUCUUGAAAUAAAUCUAAGAAAAUACGAGCAGCAAUGAUGAGUUGAGAACUCGAACCUAGUAGGUAUGUUCAUCACAAAGAACCUUAACAGCUGAGCUACGCUCGUUUCGCCAAUGACAUUUAUAUUUUGGAAGGAAGCAGACGUGUCCAUAAGAUCGAUGGACUGCGCGUACUAAAAAAAAUUCAGAGCGAUCAAAAUUAGUAGAAACAUGCUUUCGGCCCAUUAGCAAGUUAUGAUGGCCCAACAAGAUGGAGACUGUCAGCCCCAGGCCCAAAAGCCCUUAAACCCUAGAAAGAAACCUCCUCAGUCCUCCACGGCAGCUCUUCCUCCACGCACACACAACCACUAGAACACCUCGCCGCCUCCGCCGCCGCCGAGGACGACGGCGACGAUGUGGCGUUCGCGAGCUCGUGCUCUCCUCCUCCUCCGCUCCUCCAUUCCCAGAUCGCCGCCGCAGCAGCCACCACCACAUCCCGCUCGGUCCCUGACCCGAGGUCCACCUCCGCGCCUUCUCUCCCGCUUCCUCUCCUCCUCCCCGGAUCCCAUCCCCGAUGCCAAUUCCUCCUCGGCCGACCCCUUUCCCGAAGCCUCCUCUCCGACCGCGGCUACUCCAGAUGAUGGCACCGAGGCGGGAGAAGACAGCUUGAGCUCGAUGUGGGAGGAGGCUGGGGACGCCGACGACAUCUUCGCUUCCCCCGGCGGCGCUGACGCCGUAGCCGACGAAGAGGAGGUCGCCCGCGUCCGCGACGUCGUGGAGUCCACCCCCGAGGACAAGAUCGCCUCCACCCUCGCCGACAUGGUCGUGGACUUCAACGAGCCGCUCCUCGCCGCUGUCCUCCUUGCUGCCGACCAAUGUUCCUGUAAGAAGCUGAUAUCCCUGUUCAACUAUGCCGCGAAGAACAACCCUGCGACCAAGAGCCUCUCGAAUCUUGAGAUCCUCGUGGGCAAGGUAGCGGAUUCUGAUGAGAUUGACAAGAUGGACGCGUACUUGCUUUGGGAUUCAGUCAAGGAAAUUGGCUCUGUACCAGGAUCAGUAAGCACACCGUUGUUGAAUGAAAUGAUUGCUAUAUUUUGGAAGCUUGAGAAGUCGAAGGCAGCUCUGGAGGUGUUUGCCAAGUUCGAUGAGUUCGGUUGUACUCCGGACAGUAACAGCUAUUAUCUGGCUAUUGAAGCAGCACGAAAGAAGUCCAUGUUCCGUUCUGCUUGUGAAGUUUGUGAGAAGAUGAUUGGCUCUGGCUGCUUCCCUAAUUGUGAGAAGGUUGGCAGGAUUUUGACUUUCCUUUGCGAUGGGAAGAAGGUGAAGGUGGCACAUUCAUUAUACCUAGCAGCGAAGGAGAAGAAGAUUCAGAUCCCAAAAUCAGCCUUGGAUUUCCUUGUUAGUGCUUUGGCAAGGAAUGAUGAGACCGUAGGAACUGCUCUGGAGCUGCUGGAAGAGUACCAAGGGGAGUCACUUAAGCAUGCAGGCAAGUCCUUUGCCACUGUUGUACAUGCUUUAUGUAGGACAAACAAACUGGAGGAUGCAAAUAAUUUGUUGACAAGGAUGGUGCAGCUUGAAGAGUACCAAGGGGAGUCUCUUAAGGAUGCAGGCAAGACAUUUGCCACAGUUAUACAUGGUCUGUGCAGGAAAAAGAAAUUGGAGGACGCGAAGAAAUUGUUGCUGAGGAUGGUAGAUCUUGGCCCAGCUCCUGGUAAAGCAGUGUUUAAUUUUGUCAUCACAGCAUUGUCAAAACAGGGAGAGAUGGAGGAUGCAAAGGGUUUGUUGAGAUUGAUGGAGAACGAAGGGGUUAGUCCUGAUAUUUAUACUUACAGUGUGCUCAUGAGUGGCUACGCGAAAGGGGGCAUGAUUGAUGAAGCCCAUGCUCUACUUCGUGAAGCUAAGAAGAUUCAUCUGAAAUUGAACAGGGUCAGUUAUCACAUUCUUAUCCGUGGAUACUGCAAGAUGGAGGAGUUUGAGAAGGCCAUUGAGUGCCUAAAGGAGAUGAGGAAAGAUGGGUUGCUGCCAAAUGUGGAUGAGUAUGACAAACUGAUUCAAUCAUUGUGUCUCAAGGCUUUGGAUUGGAGAAGAGCUGAGAAACUCCUGGAGGAAAUGGAGGAUAGUGGUUUGUGCCUUAAGGGUAUAAGUCGCAGCCUCAUAGCUGCAGUCAAGGAGUUGGAAGGGGAGGAAAUGCAGUCAAAGUCAAGCCUGGAAGCAUAAUUUCUCUAGGACACACUUGGAGCGACAUGGCUGCUAAUUAAUUUUUUGUGGCAGCUCUUCCUUUUUUGAACUUUGCAUCUCUGGUGAGCUUGCAAGAAACUUCAUCUUUUGUACUCGUGUCUGUUGUUUUUUACUAUAAUAAUUUUGCAUUUAUUUAAAUGCUAGACUGACAAAGAAGAGUAUUUAGUUUUGGUUUAAAGUGCUGUUCAUUUACUGUAUGAGGAUUUCCAUGUUCAUGCUACAUUUAGAGAUUUUCUUUUCCUUAUGCCUUAUUAAGAACAAGAAUUGAUUUUCCCUGCCAAUGGAAUUCAAGAUUGGGAAAUAUUUGUCACAUAUUUUUGAUUUAGAUUGUCAUUUAUUAUUUGUUUAAUACACUUUAAUGCCACAUUUAAUGUUAUCUCUUGGGCUUUUGAGCUGCACCACUAUGUUCAUUAAAAUUCAAUUGCAUGGCUAAAAAUCAUCGUUGCACUUUUGUUUGUAUAUCAUGAAAACUGGUCUCUACUUCUUGAAAAUAAUUGGUGCCUACCAGUUCUGUUUUCUAUAGAGUUUGAUUUAUGUACCUAGCUAGUAGCCAGUAGCUGAUGGUAACUGCAAUCUGACUCUUUCAUAACAGCUGAUUUGUGCUAUGUGAUAUGAGUUUUUUUGCUGAGUGUCAGAAGGUUCUUUUUGUAACAUCAUCAUUUUGGAGUGGACUGAAAACGAUAAAAUAUUAUAAGCAUCGUCUCCAAGUAUCACUGAAAUCUGCGCAAUCAUUGUUCAUGGACGCAAUUAUUUGUAAUGAGUUCUCUGACAAGACUAGAUCACAUGGUGAUUGGCAUAGGUUCUAAGACUGUCUUACAGUAUUGGGUGUACUCCUUACAGUACUAUAAUGUAUUGGCCCCAAGUUGUUUGUGCCUUCAGACUUUAGUUGUGCGUUGUAUUAGGUCAUUUAUCUGCCAGUGGCAUUGUCUGUCAAUUCAGUAUCUUAUAUUCUGUUCUACAUCUGCAGAAAUUGUGGCUUCCCUGGUAGCAUUGCUCUGAAAAGUUGGCAUGAAUGUUUAUGAAAAAGAUCACUGCAUGAUGUAAUGGAUUUUGCAAAGUUCAGAUUACAGCACUGUAUAAGCUAGACAGUUAAGCAUGGCUGUUGUUCUGGCAUCAUUUCCUCUACGAAUCAUUGCAUUUGUGUAUUUUUUUCAUUUUGCAUUGCGUGUCUAAACUAAUUUAUUGCAGAUUACCGAUUGUUUUCUUACUCAUGCUUACUACAUUGCAUUUGCUAUAGCAUACUGUUGUAUUCUAGUCAUCUGUCACUACACGUUAUUUAUUGGUUUGUUGCACAUUAUGUGAUAGUUUGUUUUCUUCCGGCGACUGGGAAGUCAAUAAGAUGGGGGCAAGCAACCAUGAUUUGUUUGUGCCUGUUUCAUUUGGGCAUGGCCAAUUUUGCUGAGCCUGCAGCUUUUUUGUUAUGUUUUUGUUUGUUUAUGGGAGUACUGAAAUUAAAAAGGAACAUGACAGAUCCUUUGAUUUACCUCUUUUUUGGAUUUGCAAUCUGCACAAUUUUUUGUACUGUGAUCUGUCAUCAUUAAAACCAAACCAUGUAAUUGUUAAGUUUCUUUUUUACAGUUUAAAUUUUGUCCAUUAUAGACACUAGUCCUUUUGUCCCCAGUCAUUGAUGUCAAUUUCAGCAUAUAACCGUUUAGCCGCAUGAUCCAUGCUGACAAUUUUCAAAACACUUGUCACAAUCGAAUUUUGCCAGAUAACAUACCGUGCCUUUUUAUAAAAGAAAUAUCUGGUCAUCAAUCCCUACUCCCUAUGAAAGAACAAACUGUUGAAUGCAUAAAGAGCACUGACUUUGCCCAUUCUGCUGCUGUUUGGUCUUGAAAGAAAACCAACUACUGGUGUUGUUGCUUUCGGCAAUCUCUAUUACUCCCACUGGUGUAAGUAAGCACAGUCAUCGAAAGAUGUGAUAACGUAUUCAAUUUGCUUUAGUUUGUUUUCUUCUGGCGACUGAAGUCAAUAAGAUGGGGGCAAGCAACCAUGAUUUGUUUGUGCCUGUUUCAUUUGGGCAUGGCCAAUUUUGCUGAGCCUGCAGCUUUUUUGUUAUGUUUUUUUUUUGUUUAUGGGAGUACUGAAAUUAAAAAGGAACAUGACAGAUCCUUUGAUUUACCUCUUUUUUGGAUUUGCAAUCUGCACAAUUUUUUGUACUGUGAUCUGUCAUCAUUAAAACCAAACCAUAUAAUUGUUAAGUUUCUUUUUUACAGUUUAAAUUUUGUCCAUUAUAGACACUAGUCCUUUUGUCCCCAGUCAUUGAUGUCAAUUUCAGCAUAUAACCGUUUAGCCGCAUGAUCCAUGCUGACAAUUUUCAAAACACUUGUCACAAUCGAAUUUGGCCAGAUAACAUACCGUGCCUUUUUAUAAAAGAAAUAUCUGGUCAUCAAUCCCUACUCCCUAUGAAAGAACAAACUGUUUAAUGCAUAAUUGAGCACUGACUUUACCUAUUCUGCUGCUGUUUGGUCUUAAAAAGAAAACCAAACUACUGGUAUUGUUGCUGUCGGCAAUUUUCUAUUACUCCCACUGGUUUAAGCAAGCGCAGUCAUCGAAAGAUGUGAUAACGUAUUCAAUUUGCUUUGCACACAGAUGAUGGUCUUGUUAAGAUGGAGUCAAGGUAGCUAAGAUGGAAUCGUAUCAUUGGUUUGAACAGUGGCCAUAUAUGGAUGAUGCUCUUGUUAGUCCUAUUCAAGGUAGCUAAGAUGGAGUCGUAUCAUUGGAUUGAACAGUGGCCACAUAUGGUGAUGAUCAGAACCUGAUCCUUGUACAUGCAAGUGCCAUAUUUGUAUCUUCUGUUUGGUACUUGCAUAUGGCGUCUCUUGAUUUUUAGCACUAACCGAAGGAUCCCAAUGAUAGGGUUGUCUUUAUGCUUUGAUCUUGCCAAGUGACGGCUGGUGGUUUGUUCGAGUUUCUUUGGUUGAGGCUGUGCCGCCCUUGCACUGUUUUAAAUUGGGCAUGGCAUCACAAAUGGACGGUGACAAAUUGUAUGCUCAUUUUCCUAGUCGAACUUUGAACUAGUGCUCUCCCUCUUUCGACUUUCCUUAACAACUCGCAGCAGACCCCGACACAUGUCCCGGUUGUUUUUUACUUUGAAUCAUUGUAAACUACUAGUGAGAGCUGACAGGCGGCUGAAAGCUCAUGUAAAACGUGACGCACUCACGCACAGACCAUCACCUUGUCAGCAUUCUGUUUCAGCUCUCAACUCUAAACUUUGGGAAAAUUCAGAGCAUGUUUGAAGCAAGGUCCGUUUCAGUUCAACUCAUGGCAACUGGAAAUUAGAAAAAAAAACGGCGGGGGGCAAAUCUCUUGGUCUUCUGCUCCCUCCGUUCCAAAUUAGAAGUCAUUCCAACUUUUUAAAGAAUCAAAGUAUCUCAAGUUUGACCAAAUUUAUAUAAUAAAGUACUAAUAUUUAUGAUCAUUAGUUUCUUCAUUAAAUAUAUUUUCAUAUAUAUUUUCAUAGUAUAUCUAUUCGGUGCUAAAAAUGUUUGUGAUCCUCUCUAUAAUCUUGGUCAAACAUAAAAUUGUUUGACUCUUCAAGAAAUUUAAAAUAACUUAUAAUUUGGAACGGAGGGGUACUUACGCCAUGUUUGGUAGAGCUUCGACUCCUUCCAAAAUAGCUUCGGCUCUAACUUUUUUGCUGGAGUGGCUUCUCUAGUGGAGCUAAAGCUGUUUUAUAAAAUAUCUGGUAAAAUAAUUUUUCAAUGGCAAUAUGAGUAAUUUUAUGAUCACUUAAUGCUUGGAGAGAGAGGAGAAGCCGGUGAAACCAAUUUUUUUAGCUUCUCCAAGUUGUUUUGCAGCUUCUCCCCAGUUUCAAUGAUGAAACCAUUUUGUAAUUGUCCCUUUGAUAAGACUUCACCGAAAAAUCGGUGGAGAAACUCCUAACAAACGGGGCCUCAGUCUUCCUGCAACUGUGCGUGACACGGAGGACCCGGUUCCUCUGGAACCGACCAGGUGCCACGCUGGACACAGCGCUCGCGGAUCUGCCACCUCGUCUCGCUCGCGUCGCGUGACGCCACCCCAUUGGCGUGGAUAGACACACCACGCACGCCGCGCCGCCGUGGCUGCUCUGCUCACAUGCUCUCUCCCACUCCCAGUGUCAGCGCCCUCGCCGGCCGGGGCAACUGGGGCAGCAGCAAGCGCCGGGUGCCGCUUCCGCUGCCGAGUACUAGUAAAUGCCAGCCGCUAUAUAUUCAACUCCCCCCACCCGCAUUCCCCCCAAGCCCAGCUUCCAAGUUCGCCCACGCCCCCACGCUUUGCCGAGAUCGCUCACGCCUUCCAGUUCAAGCAACCCCACCACCCAGCCCCCAACCCGCCGGAGCAAUGGGGAGCACGGGGGGCGAGGCGGAGGUGGCCCGCGCCGACUUCCCCGACGGCUUCGUCUUCGGCGUCGCCACCUCCGCAUACCAGGUACCGGCCCCUCGUCGGCUCGUCCCGCCCGCCCCCACCCCAUCUCAUCCGCGCGGCCGCCUUCGCUUGGCGCCCGUCCCGUCGCGUGGCUUGCGGCUUUGCCUUCGCCCGUAGACUGCGCGACAGCUAGUGCGCGCAGCACGCGCUGGCCUGCUCGGGGGGCUGUCCUGUUUGGUCCCUGUUUUGGCUGUAGUUGAGAGCACUGGCGCCGUCGUUGCAUUUUAAGCUUGUUACGCUUGGUGAUCAGCGUCUUAGCUUGAGUUUGGAUCGACGCACAGAGUUGAUCUAGCUUGUCCCGAACGUGCAGGGUGCGGAUUACCAUUCCGCGUGUAGGGCACUUGGACUCCUCCGUCAAAUUAGUAUCUCCUUUAUUCAUAUUAGCAUUCCCGUUUCGGGUUAAUUUCAAGUACAAUUUCUGGUGAAUUUUUGCUGUUGCCUCUUGGAUGGGGAUGAAGGAAGAUAAACGGAGUGGAAGCUAGAAUGAUGGACCUGAUAGAGGAAUCCCCUACCAUUAAAUUCACUAAUUAUUAAUGAAAGUAGUUUGUUCACGCCACUGUUGCCUUGUGUUGUUAAUCAGAGUAGGAACAUGGCUUACACAUUUUGGAUUAUUUAGGAUAAAUCUAUGCACGAAACCUUGUCACUCUAGCUUUCACCAUGCGAGCGGUGGACUGGAGGUGGGCGGCAGUGCCCCAUAAGGUACCUGAGUGCACAUUUUAAUAUGUACAUGUAUAAAAAUUUAUGUCUAACCUAUACAAUAACAAAGCGGUAAUGGUAAAAAUGCUUACUAAAAUUAUUUAUCUGAUCAAAUAUUGUAGGAAAAAGUGUUAGGAUGGGGAUGAUUAGUGCACCGAUAUAAUAGAUUAAGGGAUCGAUUUGCACCAAUUAAAAUACGAGGGACACUUCCAAAAUACUUAAGAGAUGAAAAAUACAUAUUUCCAAUAUUAUUACACCAAUUCCCCAAUUACAUGAUUUUGUAUAUUACUUCAAUUCCUCAAGUCUCAAAUAUCGAUGGAUCAUUUCUUAGUUGUCCAUUUGUUGCAAUUUGCAAAAGCAAAACCUCUAAAUGCAGACCCUAACAUUGCAAUUUAAAUGAAUGAAUUAGAAUUGGUGACCAAAGAAAUUGAAACACUACCUUAUUACUUCAAACAAAUUGAUUUGCACCCAAAAACAUUUGUGAGGAAAUUUGUUGCAUACUAUUGAAAUUUGGAGCAAAACAAAAUUCCGGAAGGAUGCUGUAGCGGAGAGAAAAAGAAAAGGAAGCUUACGAGCAGCUUGAGGCCAUGGGCACCAAUCCGGCGAGGAGGCGUGCUGCAGUGACCGGCAAUGAGCGAAUGAUGCCUCCCCAUCUUUCGCCGCUUGCGAUUUGGAAACUGGAUAAUGAAGUUUUUGCGUUUCAAGCGACCGCAAUGUCGUGGGUGUCAUUUAGCUUUCUCGCGCAACACUGGUAGAAAAACGAGUAUUAGUCCCGGUUGGGAAACCUCAUAUAUCUCGGUUUUCCCAACCGGGACUAAUUAAUCGGGACUAAAGGUCCCCAUCUUUCACCCGGGACUAAAGAAUAGUCCUGGCUGGUAACACCAACCGAAACUAAAGGUGUCUCCACGGACUACAAAAUUUAGACCCGUGACUAAUCUUUAGUCCCGGGUCCAAAAACAACCGAGAUUUUUGUUGAGGAAGGAAGGUCGUUUUUCUACUAGUGCAACUCUUGCUCGUCAUGCGCGCGACACACCUAGCUUGUUAGCAAACGACCACUGGCCCAUCCGUGUGGGCUUUCUCUGAUACAAUGUUUUGAACUGCCCCGUUUGUUAAUUUGUUGUUGUCCUGCCUGCAAAGAAAGUAUGCAAGCGCAGCAAGUAUGGGCUGCUGGGUCGGAUGGUGGUGCACGCAUCGGAGUUCAGCGAGUGCACAAGUGGUGGAAAUUAAGUGCUAAUCUCUGGAAUUUUAUUUUUUCCCUGGUGCCUGUGCACUCGUCAAGCCUAACGUGGCUUCGCCCCUAGCUGUCAAUAUCACCAACUCCAGGUUGUGAAUUAGAAGAGUGAUGGAAUAAUGAGAGUUUGGGAUUCAAGUCGGGGUGUAUAAAUCUCAAGAUCAGGGUGUAUAAAUUUCAGGGUGGACUAUUAGUUGACUCGAAGAUGCAUAGUUUUUCCUAAACAAAAAUUGUGCCUGUGCCUAGAGCCCUGAACACUAGAAAGACUAUAAACGAAAAUAUAGAGAGGAAACCGGCUUCUUUUCUAAUCCUUCCUCCAAAACUGGAAGUCAUGUUGUUUGAAUUCUCACCUCUGUAGAUUGAGGGAGCGAGAAGGGAGGGAGGCAAAGGAGACAGCAUAUGGGAUGUCUUCACAGAGGACAAAGGUUGCUUAUCUGGUUCCUUUAUGAUAUUGAAAUACAUAUAUUUAACUACUGUGUUCAAAUGCUUCUCCUUUCAGAACGUGUCUUAGAUAGAAGCAAUGGAGAUGUUGCUGUAGAUCAUUACCAUCGAUACAAGGUAUUGUCUAUCAUCUCUGUCUCAGUUUUCUAAAGGAAAAGAAUAAGUGAAAGAAAAAACAGGGGAAACACCAUCUUCUUAUUACUUGGGUAUUAUCAACGAAUUUGGAAACUGGCUUGUUCCUCAGUUUCUACAAUGUUUACACUGCAGUGCUUCCUAGAAGAAGUAAUUUCUUUUUUGAACUGUUUCCUAUGAAUUUUUCAGGAAGACAUUGAGCUCAUGGCAAGUUUAGGUUUUGCCGCAUACCGAUUUUCUAUAUCUUGGGCACGCAUAUUUCCUGGUAUGUUAAACUUAACAGAUAGUUGUAGCAUUUAUAACUGACCACAAGAUAAAUGUCUGCAUUUUCUAUUGUUUGCCAACACUAAUAAUGCUUCAUAUCAUUUCGUAUACAUAAGAGUUUAUCAUGCCUGCAGAUGGCUUGGGGGGAAAGGUCAAUGAGCAAGGAGUUGCCUUCUAUAACAACCUUAUCAACUUUAUGAUUGCAAAAGGUGGCAGAUGUUUUACUUAAUAACUGUAAUGGUUGCAACUCGUCUGCCUUAUCAACCUUAUCAAACACUCGUCUGCCUGCCAAUAGGAAUUGAGCCUUAUGCAACUCUGUAUCACUGGGAUCUUCCAAACCAUCUUCAAAAGACUCUGGGGGGCUGGCUUUCUGACAAGAUUGUGUAAGUCAUUGCAGGCAUCUUAAGUAUGCAGUAUGAUUUACAAAGUUUUCUUAACUCUUAAAUGGAUGAUUGCAUAGGAGAUUCUUUUCAAGACAUUUUUUUUCAAGAGUGAUUGCAGCUUGAUUUGCUGUAUUUUAUGAGUUUCUCACCAUCAAAAUAUCCCAGGGAUUACUUUGCAUUGUAUGCAGAAGCUUGCUUUGCAAAUUUUGGAGACAGAGUAAAGCGUUGGAUAACAAUCAAUGAGCCUCUCCAAACUGCAUUUAAUGGUUAUGGGAUUGGAGUUUUUGCUCCUGGAGGAUGCGAAGGUGAAACUGCUAGGUGUUACUUGGCCGCCCAUCACCAAAUCUUGGCUCAUGCUGCUGCUGUUGAUGUUUACAGAAGAAAAUUCAAGGUCCGUUUUAGAUUCUUAUAUGAAUUGGUAGUUUGAGGGUUCUUAUUUGGGGGGUGUACAUUCUGAUCCUGGCCAAUACUCCUGAAAGCAGCUGGUUCUCGGUCCCAUUAGUUCUUUGUCAGUAUGGGUUCUUGUUUACUCCCCUCCUCUUUCUUUGCAUUCUACCAAGUUUCUGUACCUUCUCUAUCAUGCUUAAACACUAAUUUCCUUUCAUAUAAUGGGAAUUGGAAGUAGGGCUAUUUGGUAACAGAGUAGAAUUCAUCUUGUUUCCUAUCACAUUGUAAAUACUGGUAUUUGGUAACCUGGACAUCAUUCCAUCAGUUUUCUGUCAAUAUGUUUUGUUUUUCUGACGGUUUUACAUGCUACAAAAAUAGGUUGCACAAGGUGGUGAAGUAGGGCUGGUUGUCGAUUGUGAAUGGGCAGAGCCAUUUUCUGAGAAAGUCGAAGACCAAAUUGCUGCACAACGGAGGGUUGACUUUCAACUUGGAUGGUAUGUUGCUGUUCAUAUUCCUAAUGUCACAUGGGCAUAUCUUUCCAACACUGUUUAUCUUUUGCACUUACUUGAGGUUUUUUUCCUAUACAAGGCAUAAAUGUUUUCACAGAACACACAAAUUUAUGUAGUACAAUGUGCCCACAUUUAUUUGGCUCUGUGUUCCUAGGAUGAUGUAUGAUGUCCACUGACUAGUUUCCCUUUCCUUGAAGGUACUUAGACCCAAUAUAUUUUGGUGAUUACCCAGAAAGCAUGCGUCAGCGACUGGGCAGUGAUCUUCCGACCUUCUCAGAGAAAGAUAAAGAAUUCAUCAGGAACAAAAUUGAUUUUGUUGGGCUGAACCAUUAUACUUCAAGAUUCAUUGCUCAUCAUCAGAAUCCAGAAGAUAUUUAUUUCUAUCAAGUACAGCAAGUGGAGAGAAUAGGUACGAUACUAUGCAGUCUGCCUGAGUCAUCUUUAAUAAACUUAGAUGUAUUCAGGAUCAUGCCUGCAAAUUGGUUUUAUCAUUAUUCUGACGUUUAUUCUUUUUGCAGAAAAAUGGAAUAGUGGUGAAAAAAUUGGUGAAAGGGUCCGAACUCAGAACUAAAGUUCUUUCUCCAUAUAUGUAAAUUAUAUGUGCCUAUUCUAACACAAAAUCUCAAUAUUUAUGCAGGCUGCAUCUGAAUGGCUUUUCAUAGUUCCUUGGGGCCUUCGUAAAAUACUUAAUUAUAUAGCGAAGAAAUAUAAUAAUCCAACAAUUUAUGUUACUGAGAAUGGUAAGGCUUCCAUACUUCCGAAAUGAAAGUAAAACAAUGUGAGACAUCUAAUACUGGUGACAUGGUACAUAAUAAAUUGUGACAGGAAAUUCUACAAAUGUGUAGUGGCUCAAAUCUUUAAUUGCUGAAGCCAAUUCCAUUACUGUUUUUUUGUCAUUCCUUUUCAUGAAUCAGGGUUGAAGAUAUAAUCUUGUAUGCCCUUAUUUAAUUCUUUAUGAUUUCAAUUUCCUGUAGACUGUAGUUGCAUGUGAAUGACUCGUUUAAUAUUUUAGUGGAGACUGGAGUACUAAAUGAACAAGCUUAAAUUGUGAAUGCAACACCUAAUGUAUUGCUGAAUAUGCAAACCCAAGAUGCAAGCUUGUAGGUUGUAUGUACUGUAUUUUUUUUCUCAAAUACGCAGGAGUGUUGUGUAUCUUGUAUUGAAAGGUAGAAGAAAAUGGUCCCCAUACACAGCCCCAAAGGGCAGAGAGGGAGGGCUCUAGGUUCAUGCCUGCUACUGGUAGCAAGAGUAUCUAUGGUCUUAUUUGUUCUUGUUUGGAAACAGAGUUUCAACUUCCAUCCUAUUUGCACUCUAACUGAACUGGCUAAUACAGAUUUAGAAAUGUCUCCGUAUUUAAAAACUUUCAUGCUACCCUGCAAAAAUUUGGGCAGUUCCAAAUGUCUGGUUUCGACAGCUACUUUUCAAUUGUCCAAAGUAUAUUAAAUGGAUAAUUAUUAGGAAUAAACUAGAGUGUGAACUCAGAAUUUCAGAAAUCUAACAAGUGAAAUGUACCAUUGCGAUGCAUUGUUUUGUUAUCGCAUUACAAAUGAUGGAAUUUUUGCUUGCACAAGUCAUUGUAUUUGGUGCUACUGAAUGUUUGCUCAUCUGAAUAAAACACAGUAUGUGUGCGUGAGAGAUGCCCUUACCUAGUUUUUUCCUGUAGGCAUGGAUGAGGAAGAUGAUCAGUCUGCGACACUGGAUCAGGUUUUAAAUGACACAACGAGAGUCGGUUACUUCAAAGGAUACCUCGCUUCAGUUGCACAAGCAAUCAAGUAAGCUGAUUCUGCAGUCCAUCGCACUACUACAAACGUUCAGCCAACAAAAUGACCGAUGCAACUAAUUGUUUGGGUUUUGACACAGGGACGGAGCUGAUGUCCGUGGAUAUUUCGCGUGGUCAUUCUUGGACAACUUUGAGUGGGCUAUGGGCUACACCAAGAGGUUCGGCAUUGUUUAUGUGGAUUACAAGAAUGGGCUCUCCAGGCACCCUAAAGCAUCGGCCCUGUGGUUCUCACGCUUCCUGAAGGGUGAGGCUGCCGAAAAUAAAGCUGAUACAAACUGAGCAAACACAGCUCGUGUCAAGUAAAGGAACAUUUACACAUACAGUCAGUACAUGUUUUUCCUGUUGUUGUAUCUUACAGUGACCACCAAUGUAUGAAUUUAUCAUAAUAAUCUCAGAUGUGCUUUGUAUCUUCUCAUUUGGUCGGACACUUGUUCAAAUGUAGUCUUUAAGAUUCAGAACUCUGCACCAAUAAGUUUCAAAAUCUUGCCAGGCUGCACUGGAGUUGCAGAUAACUCACGCUUGUCAUCUGAACACCCCAUGCAUUCGGCAUUGCUGUGCUGUAAUUGUUGUGUCAUUGAUCUGUAAGGUUGCAUUACCAUGACCAGUUCCCAAGUUCAUCUGUAUUUCGUUGGCGUUUUCCUUAGGGGACUUUUAGCAGUAUAGGCUCAAGACCCUUUAUCUUUUGCUGGUGGUGGUAGGGAGGAGAUGUCCUCUGUUGGGUCAGUGUUGAAGGACAAAGUGGCAUGUGAUCAUUGCCCCCCAUUGAAACUCGUACAGAAACAAGGGCUGGUGAAAGGGGAAAUGGAACCUACCAGCCCAGUUUCUUUUCUGCCCAGGGGCCUAUCGCUCCUCUAGGGUUCGCGUGACGCCUCUUUAUUCUGUUGCAUCAGGAAGCCGGGCGAUGGCGUUCUGCUCGCUUUCAGGUGGUUGGUCUGUUUGUUUACACGCUUUGCUGCCAAUGGUGCCGUUGCGUCCCGGGCUCCGGAUGUUGAUGAAGCGCCGGGACAGGAAUCGGGCCGUUGAGAUGGGUUCUUCAGACCCCAGGAGAAUGGAGACGUCCUAGUCCUACUCAUUGGUUCUGUGCUCCGCCUUUGGCCCUUUGCCUUUGGUGUUCUUCCCUUGGCGCCCCGGCAGCGGCAAGCAAGCUCUACGGUCAGGUAUUGGUCCCUUUCUCCUACUUGUUCCGUGUUGCCAAUUGCGCGACGCUACUCAAGAUCUGGUCCGCCACAGACAGCUUGCAAAUGCAAAUGCAAAUGCAAAGCGUUGUUUUUGAUCAAACGUGCUAGCCCGAACGUGCCGGUGCCCGGUGGAGACGGGUACGUUUAACACCUUAACCUGCUCACUCGGGUUCAAGUCUUCGAUCCGUGUCAAGUUCUGAGCAGGCUUAGAUCUGCUGUUGAAUCGCCUGUAUUAUUUCCAGACACGCAGAAUUUAUCAUAGUGACUGUAUAGCGAUCUAGUAGAGCACUAGUAGCAAGCUGUGCAGGCCCUUUACUAACGAUAACGUAAACAAGGGUUACUUUGCAACUUUAUCAGGACUGAACGUUGGCUAAAGCCACACGGGGAUCUUUGCGAAAAAAGAAAGGCACGGCGCGUAAAGCCAGCCGAUUCGUAGGCAUCUCGCCCUCACGUGACGGCGUGCGUGAUCAGUGCCUACUGCCUAAGGCUAAGAGACUAAGAGUCCCUAGGAAAUGAACCUGUGGAGUGUUGGAGUCGCAUUAACCAUGAUGAUUAGGGCCUAAUGGCCUCCAUCGGAAAACGCCAGGUGUUUCCCAAAGCCGAGCGAACCUGCCUUGCUUUCUAUACCUGUCAAAGGCAAUUCCAAAGCGGCCAGAUCAAGCAUUGGAUUCGAUCGGCUUCAUGGGUGAAUCGGUGACUGGCUCUUUCGCUUCGCCUGUGCUGUGCUAGGGCUGAAAUGGCAGGAGUUUGGUGCACGUCACAGGCUUCAUUUAUGCUCAUGUACCAUUGAGCCGGGGAGUAGUUUGCAUGUGCAGCUCACGAGACUAUGAUGGAGCGGAAUGCUGAGGAGCGAAAGGUUUGGCGUGAUUGCAAUUGCAAGAUUGGGUAGUGAGUGGUUCAGGUGCCUUUGUUGCUGCUGGCUCCUCCCCACAAACUGCCGGUGCUGGUCAUUCACAAAUCAUGAUGCUAGUAUUUGGGAGCACCCAUCAAUUAUCAUGCAUGUAUUCAUGCCUCCGUCUCUUCACUUGUGCUCUCAUCCCGGAUUUAGAAUCUUGCUAGCUAUUCCAUGGGCAUGUGCCUUUUUGUCGUGCCCAUGGAUGGGUCCUCCCUCUACCUUCCAUCCAUCUCCAACACCAACUACUACUACCAUAAACCUAGUAUCAUUACAAUUCCACUCCCCUUGUCAAAACUAAUAUAAUGAUCACACUUCUUAAACUUGGUAUUCUUGACCCUUGACACUUGCAUCAGCAACCAAAUGAGUACAUGUGUUUUGGAGGCCAAAGAGGCCAAGGAGACCCCCCAAAAGAAAACAACUUUGGUUGGCCUUGGAAGGCCAAUGAUUGAGGCCAUUAGAGUCACCAAAGCAUCCAUCCCAUACGGUGCACAGCCCUGCAGGGGGACGGGGACAAGAGACCGCAUGUGGGGCUGCCGAUCUUGCAGGAUGGGGAGGGAGAGGAAAAGAGUUUGGUAGGAAAGGGCAGCCACGCCAUGCCGGCCGCAAACGUUUUGUGGGCGUGCAUCCAAGACCCGAACCACCGCAUGGUUGUCACCCUCACAUGGGGGUGGCGAUGGGGACCCAGCGAUGGCGCCCACCCGAACCACCGCCCGCCCGCUUGGUUUCUCCCUCUCUCUCUCUCUCCUCCCCAUGUUCUCACGGCCAUGGAAACCUUUGGUUUUGACUGCUACUGCUCUGUUGCAACCUGCAGGCACUUGGUUCUUCAUCAGAUGUCCCAACUGGAAGCCUAUUGCAGCUUUUACUCCAUUCAUCCAUGAUUUCACCUCUUGGGGCAGUUCUUACAGUGUCUGGACUUACAGGGUGCUAAUGGAACAGGAAAGUUUCUUCUACUGUACUACUGCAGAUAAAAUUGUCAGGUAAACUGGUGUAGCCUUGAGGGGUAUGCAUGGGGUAUGGACCAUUUGUGAAAUUGCAAAGAUGGUGACAAAAAUGAUUUCGAAAAGAAUAUGAUGACAAAACACUGUUGGAUGGAUGGCACAGAUUGAUGUUUUCUUCCUUGGUAAUGCCAGAUUUUAAUGGAUUUUGUUUCCUUUUCAAGUACACCAGAGUCCAGCAGCCUUACAAUCCUGCAGAUCUUUUCUUCUAAAAAAAUUGUUACUGUAUUUUGUUCUGAAAUGGAUAAAUCUAUAUCUGGUUAACUGCUUCAAGGCAUGUACAGACUACAGACUGAACUGAAGAGCCAAGGCCGCAUGGAUACACGUAUGAACUGCUUAUUUUCCUCCUCUGAUCUAGAUUUUAUCCCUUCUUAUAUAUAUAAAUAAAUAUUUGCAAAAAUCUUGUACAUUCUAUAAUCUACAGGUACAAAAGGUAAAAAAAAAAAAGGACGUCUCGCUACCAUUUGUAUCCCUCUGCCCUCCGGCGGCGUUCUACUGAUGGUCCGCGAAAAAUUAUAUUGGCAGACUACCAGUGAUCAUGGCGAUGACACUGAAGCCGCUGAACUCUCAUCGUCGGAGAAUCCGGCUCUCAACGCAUGAAUCCGUGGGAACAACUGCGGCAUCAUUGGGUUAACCGGCACCGGGAAAUGGCGCACGGAGCUGGCGAUGGUGCGGUCAUUGAUCCUGCCGACUUCCUUGCAGACCUGGUCAAGAACCGAGAGGAAGUCCCUGACGACCAUGAAGAUUCUGAAAGGGUGAGCCUCCUCUUUCGCGGAGUCGCCAUGGAAGUACUCGGUGAUCUCCUUCACGAGCGACAGCGCCACGCUCUCCUGAGCCUGGACCCUGAUGAUCUCGUCGUCUGCCUUCUUCAAGAACUUCUGCAUUCUGUCAUGGAACUGCCACGCAUCGUCCCUUGACUUCACCUCUUCGUUCAACCGUAGUACCUCGGUGAUCUUUUCUAUUCCUCCGGCAAGUUUGGUAACGUAGCUGCUAAGCACGUCGGAAUCCAUGGCGGCUGCCUUCUUGACAUUGCUGAGCUCGUUUGCAAGGCCAGCCACUACCUGGAGGCCGAGCUUCUUGCACUCGUGCUCCUCUCGUAGAGGAUUUGCUUGGGUUCUUGGAGUUGUUUGGGUGCUGGCAGAGAGGCGGGCGCCCUCUGUUCGGAUGAUCUCCUGAACGACAAAGUGCAGAAGGGUUGUGUGUCCAUCAGUGCCUUUGACAUCAACCAAUUUGAGUAGAGUGUCAAGCUUGAACGCGUGUGCAUCGCCACGGUUUGUGCCAACAUUCAUCCUGUUGCCAGUCUUCAGAACUGCUUCAAGUAGCUUAAGGAAGAGUCUGCUGCUUCGAAGCUCAUCGCAAGCAGUCUGUGAAUAAGUAACAAAGAAAAUUAGGUUGAGGAAGCAAAAUAAUACAAUUAAACAACAAUGGCAAAGGUGCAAUGCUCACCUCGAGGGUCUCAAACGAAUUCUUUAGGUAAUUGACCUCUGAAUCAAAGUUGGCUAUGUAAAGCAUUGCAUCCACUCUUUUGAAGGCAAAAGGCACAUCAAGGACUGCCUUGAGGAACUUCUCGGCAUGAUUAAGUUUAAUUGGGGAAUUCUCCUCUUUGAAUUCUCUCAGUUUAAUCUCCUCUUCCUUGGUAGGAGCCAUCUUGAGCAAGGUCUCCAGUAAUUCUGCUCCGAAGCUGUCCGUGUUACCUGAAGGAUAGGCAUGGUAAAUUGCUUAGCACAUUUUUCUCAGAACGACUGGUUAGCACAUCAGUGAAGAAGACCCGUACGAUGGGAAGUGUAAAGCAACUAAUACAUCCUGUACAAUAAUCCAACUUGCUUUCAGUGAUUUCUAGAAAAAGCAGUGAUAAACGACUGUAAAAUGGAAGUUUCUACUGUGAGCAACUAUGAAUAGAGCACAAAGAGGGAUGAGAACAAGAGCAAUAUCUCCGACAUUCUUCACACGCUCACUGCCGUUAUAACUCCCUGCACCUAUCCAACAGACCUGAAGCAUCCGGUGAUUUUCAGCAUAAAUUGGCCAGCUAUUUCAGCAACGACUGGCAACUGCUCUAUGCUGGCAGUCACUUCUUUCAGACAAACUUAUUAAAAGCCCAACCAUACUAUACGGACAAGCAUGGCUGCAGUCAGUCACAAGCUAAAUGUGGUCAAACACGACUCACACAGCUCACGAGCGAAAUGAAUCCUACGCGAUCGAAAGGUCAGUGAACACUAGCUCUCGAUCCGAUACAGCAUGUAUGAAACGAAUAAAAAUGGCGGCAUGGCUGAAUUCUGAGAACUGGCGUCAGCGAGGAUCCUGCUCACCUUCGCAGAGCGCGUCGCAGACCUCCUCCUUGGUCACAUUCAGCGCGCGCAGCAAGAUGGCAAUGUUCUGAGCCUUCUUCGGAUCUAGCACCUUGUUCUCGGCCUUGGGCGUCGGCAGAACCGGCCGCCUCGUCGCCUCCUUCGCCGCCGCGUUCGCUGGGUUGCAGAUGAACAGCGUCUCGAUCAUCUCCUCGUUAACCCUGCAAGAAUUCAGUGAAACUGGUCAGAACACCGACCAAGAACAGCUGAUGAAUCUGAAAAAAGAUGAAUUUUUUUCCGGCAGGGUUCUCACUGGAAUGAGCUUGAUUUGAGCUGAUCCCACACCAUGACGCGGUCGGAGCUUGCCCGGACCUUGUCCCAGUGCAGCGGCUUCAGCUUCGGCCGCGGCGUCGUGUCCUCGGACUUGUCGCCCUGGUCCGAGCUCUCCGGCAGCCGGCUCGGGAACGCGUCGGUGGGUGCAGGGACGAUCCUGAAAGUGGCAGAUUGCGGUGGCGGCGACAGCGCCGGCGAGCGGGUUUCUUUGGACGUGUCGGGCUUCCGCACACGGCUCUCCCAGUAGCCCACCGGCGGCGGAGGAGGAGGAGGAGGCGGUGGUGGGCCUGCAGCUGCAGGCGGAGCUGGCGGGUAUGUGCUUGUCGGUGGGUGUGCUGGGUGGACGAAUGGAUUUCUUGAGAUGGCGUCGGUGCUGGAUCUGAGAGCCGAUUUGUCGUUUAGGGGAGAGCACGGUGGUGACGGGGACGGUGGUUUCCGGCGAGGAGGUGGAGGUGGUGGCAGUGUCGGUGCGAAGGGAGGAGGUGGCGGCGGAGUCGGAGGAACCGGCGGGAGGACGACGACGCGCGCGCUCUCCGAUCUUGACUUGACGGAGCGCCGGCCGGACUCGCCUGGGCUGGAGAAGGCAGGCGGCGAGGCCGGCGCCGGGGACAGCGUCGCACCAGGCGACGACGGGUAGGACGGCGUGCUCACGGCCGAACCAGGGGACGGGGUCCUCGAGCGGUCGCGCGCUUCAAGGGCCGCCUGAACUGCCGUUGCCAGCGUCCUGCGCGAGCUGGAGGUCUUCGUCGACGAGCCUCGCGGCGAGUAGAAUUCUUCAUCUCCGGACGACGGAGAUGCCCCGCCGGGGCUCCUCGACGGCGCCGGCGCGCAUUGCCGCGCCAGCGGCGGCAGCGGGCGGAGCUCGGGCGAUCCGCCGGAGCUCCGGGACUCCUCGUCGCCGGACGACGUCGUGUCGCUGCUCUUCUCGUCCGCCCGGCUCGCCAAGGUCCCAACGUACAGGAACUCAGCCGACGUGGCCGCCGCCGGCGCAGCCCCACCGCCGCCACCGCUGCCGCCGAACUCGUCGCGCGCGAAGAGGCUCGUCCUCUCCGGGUGCAAGAACUUGGGUUCCCCGCCACCGACACACCCGCCUCCGCCCCCGCGCGCCGCAUUGCUCCGUCGGUGCGAGAAGAAGAAGGCGAUGGACAGCCCGAGCACCGCCACCGUGAGCAGCGGCAGCAGAAUGGCCGGUACGAGCUUGGACGCCUUCUUGGACUCGUGCGAGCCGGCGGCCGGAGGCGCCGCGCCGCUGGAGCCGGUGUUGGGCAGCACCAAGGCAGGGUACGUCGGCUGGUCCUGCCCCGCCGGCAUCUGCGGCGGGGGCGGCACCGGGAGCGUCGGGAAGAAGGGCGGCGGCGCGGCCGGCUGCGCGGGCUGAUCCGGGAAGAAGGGCUGGUGGAGCUGCCUCCUGGCGGUGGCGAGGGCGUCGGGGCCGUUGGCGCCAUCGACGCAGCAAGUGGCGAGCAAGAUGGGUAGCAGCAGCUGCAAGAAUUGCCGGGGAGAUGGCAUUGUGAUGGAAGAAGAAGAAGCAAGUAGAACUGUAGAAGAGGAAGCAGGAGCAAAAGCUGCGUGUGUAUGGCGUGGUGUGUGCGAUCGACAGAUCUUGGAAGGGAGAGAGAGAGAGGGAGGGAGAGAGAGAGAGGAGGAGGGAGGGAGGAAGGGGAGGUGAGGUGUUGUAGUGGAUACAGCUCUUACAUGGAGGUGGAGUAUUUUGGAUGUGUCCUGCCUCAGUCUCUCUCCCUCAGACACACACUCUCCCUCUCCUCUUCUUGCUGUGCUCCUCUUAUUUCGCUUUUGAUUAGUAGAUUUUUUUUUUCUUUUGCGUCUAGUGCGUAUAUAAAGCGUGGGGGGUUGGCCACUAGUGCUGGUUUAGUUUUGUGAGCUGUGGGAAGAGAACGGUGGUGGUUGAAGCUUGCUUGGUUUGUUCUCAUUCUUUGGCCAUCUUCGCCUGCUCAAAUAAAACUAAUGGAGGGUUGUUGCAGAAGAGUGCGAGAGAGCAAAGGGGAGGUGUGGAAGAACAAGCACGAGUUCUAUGUUGGGGCACUCGGUGGCUGUAUGCAUACGUAUUCCCGCUUUAUACAUGUAGAAGCAGGGAACCGUAUAGAUCUUGUUUAAUUUCUUAAUAGAACUUUUUUCUGGAGCUGAAAAUGUACUCCUAAAAUCAUGUGACAAAACCAUCAUCGGUUCCUCAUGAGAUGAGGAUGCACCUUGAAUGAGAUGAGGAUGCUCCCCAAGUGAGGCAACAGUGUCAUGUCUCUCUGGCGCGCUGAUACGAGGCAUUGCGUACGUGGGACGAGGAUAGGAAGAAACCAAGGUUGGUGAUGCACAUUGGUUGGUUGGCAGGCUAAAAUGAAGAUACGAUGGUAGCAAUAAUGGAGAUGAGAUGACCAAGCUGGAUUGUUGGAUGUAUAUGAAUCCAGAGUCGAAAACAUGUGAACGAUAAAACAGAUACGUUCGUUAGUUUAUCAUCGGAAGAUGACAAGUGUGUUGGUCUCUCGAGUUAGCACAAGGUUGCUUAGGUUCUGAGUUAGCAAUCCAAUAGCGUUGCAAACAGCCAGGUGGUACCUGAAAAGCAUCAAGCAGUGGGUGACCUGAGCCUACUGUCGGAUCGAUGGACGUAUCAGUGUAUUACCUCCAAACAUUCGAGUUGCAAAACUGACACGCGUGGCCACAGCCGCCAUUGCUCCGAGCUAGUAGUUCGUAAAAUCUGAUAGGAAGGGUAGCUGGGUAAAAACACAUGCUGAAUUGCUGCUGCACACAAUAAUUCACGAGGACGCACCGGAUUAGCAUAUGCCGGCCGGCCGGCGCACGAACGAAGCAGCCGACAGGUUUGACUGCCUUGAGCCCGUGAGUCCGCACGCAAGCGAAGAACAAGCAUGCUUCGGGUCCACAUGGUCUCUGCGUGCAGGCAAUGCUACGCUAGGCUCGUGGUUUUUUUACGGUGUCACUUGCCCUUUGCCCCCUUUGGACACGCUCGCGCUUUGUUUGACGGGCAGACAAGCAGCGCUGCCGCUGGGGGAGCGAGCACGUGUGCGACCGACGCGAACGCGCGACGAGUACGUAGGCGCGCAGCGCAGGUGCUGUUGCCUCCGGCGCACACCGGCCGGCGGCACGCGCGCGCGUGGGUUUUAGGAUGCUAUGCCGCGGUGCGGCGCCCCUGCUCCACGAGCUCGACCGACGGCGUGCAGCGCCCCGGCCAACGUGGGGCGCGUGGCGAGGAAAGCGCUCCAUGAUCGGGUGAGCGGACGGGCGGCCGGGGUCCCGUGGGCGCCCCCCGCACUCGGCUCGGCGGCCGCUAGCUUUUGCCACGGCGCGCGCGGGCGCAGGAUGCUGUGGAGCUUACCAAUACCACCUGCCCUCUGCCUGGAGUCCUGGACUCAUCUCCGUGUCCCUCGUCUCCUCGCCUCCCGGCUUUUCCCCCUGCGCUCCCGCUGGAUUCGGCCUGGGCGGCGUAUGUAGUAACUUUUUGGAAGGCUGCCACGAGGGGGACUAUAGAAGAUGCUAUUCCACAGCCUUUUCCCUUCCAUUGUACGAGUAUUGUACAAGUACAGCGGCAUGCACUGGCCGGUCUAGUGCCCGUGCUGACCGCAGACUGCCUGGUGCUACGUGCACGGGCCAACCAAAAUAGCUCGCUUCGCUUCAGCGAUUUCCCACGGUGACGAUUGGAUUACUGCCACUGUGCAGCCAGGCAACGAUCCUAGUCUAUUGUAAGCGGUGACCUAACCUACCGAUCUGUAGUCUAUUGUAUAAGCUAGCAGUGGUCACGUACUCCUCUGUGGCGUGGUCCUUGCCGGUAUACGGCCGGGUGUCGUACCUGUACGUAUCAUGUAUGGCUGUAUCGAUACCUCUGGCGUGGCGCGUAGCCCGGAACCAAGGAUCUCCGGUGAUGGCUGUAUUUGAGUUGAAUUUGUGCGUGUAUGCAUCCAAUCACAUUGGCAAGAACCAGUGAAGCCGAGCUCAACCAACCCUGAUCAGGGAUCAAGUGCACAACAUUACAGUAGUACUAGUCCAUCAACCCGUGCUUCCGCACGGGCUAAUAUUUUUAAAAGCUAAUAUAUUUAAAAAUUAUUUAGAAAUUAAACUCUAGCUAAUAAUCAAAAUUGUUUAAUUACUACUCUCUUAUUUUUCAAUACUUCAACAUAAUACUUAUAUAAAUAUGUACCUAUCUUUAUCCAGUUGUCAUUAAUUUUUAAUUAAUAAUUACUCUAUGCACUUUUUCAUCCAUAUCCAUACUUUUUCCAUUUUAGAUCACACCUCCAAUCCUCCAUACAUUAUGUUUAGCAUACAAAUCAAUAUUUUUCAUCGAUUCCUCACAUAUUGUAUAAAUGGUCUAGCAUACAAAUCAAUAUUUGUCAUCGAUUCCUCACAUACUUGUAUAAAUGGUCUAAACGGUGGCACUCAUCAUGUGUAUAUACUUUAACUUAGUAUUUUUAUAUUAAAAAUGACAUAAAUAGGUAAUUUAGAAUCAUAUAUUAGUUUACUUUUUGAUAUUUCUGUAUGAUGCACAUGAAGAUAAUUAGAUUAAGAUUUAGGUGUUUACGUUAAGUUAUUUUUAAUACCGACAUUCGUGGGUAACAUAAAUAAAAUUUUAGAAUGACAUUUUAAGUUAUACUUUAUAAUGAUGUGUAUUAGUAAAUUGGAUGAAUAAUAUGGGGUUACUUUAGAUUAUUUUUUAUAAUAGCUGAGCUCGAUAAUUUAGAUAUAGGUUUAGAGCUCAUUUUUGAAUAUUUUCACAAUGACAGUGGUGGGUAACUUUUUAGAAAAUAUAAUAGAUCAAUGGCAAUGAUUAUUAGAGUUUACAGGAUUGGUGUUUGAUAUUUUUUAAUUUUUAUGAGAAUUUAUCUUUUUUUUCUAGCUUGUCUCGUGGUUAGAAAAUAUAAUAGAUCUCUUUUUUUCUAGCUUGUCUCGUGGGAACUAAUGCGGAAUCUCCAAUGGAACAAAAUAAGACUACAUUGCUACAAAACUAUUACUAUAAGCUACCUCUCGUUUGUUAAAUAUUCAAACACAAUAUCUAUGUAGAUAUAUACUUAAUAUUUUCAUCCAAUUGUGAUAGAUUUUAAUUAGUAAUUACUCUAUAAUAUUUUCAUUCACAUUUAUAAUCUUUAAAUUUUCACUUUGCAUCGCAGGUAUGCGCUUGAAUUUGUUUAAUGAACCCUAAUUUUGAGAUAAAAUUUAGCAUAGAAAUUUAUAUUCUCAUCAAUUUAUAUCCUUAUAAAUGGUGACACACAUCAUACGUAAAGACCUUAAUUAUUAUAUCGUAUACCAAUAGUGUAAGAUAUAGAUGAUUUAGAAUCAUAUAUUGUUGUAUAUUUUUAAUUAAGGUCAUUUGAUUAAAACGUAGGGUUAUCUCAUGUUAUUUUUAAUAAUGGCAUGUGUGGGUAAUAUAGAUGUAAAUUUAAGAGGUUCCUGGUAGGCAAUUCAGUUGCAAAUUAGGGGGUUAUUUUAAAUAUUGUUUAUGAUGGCAUAAGUGGGUAAUUUUGAUGAAGAUUAAGGGGUUACUUUAGUUUAUUUUAUAUAAUGGCAGAUGUGGGUAAUUUAUAUAAAUAUUUAGGGGGUUAUUUUAGGCUAUUUUCAUAAUGGCAUAGGUGGGUAAUUUUUUAAAAAAUAUAAUAGAUCCAAUGGCUAUGAUGAUUUGAAUCUAUUGAUUGAUGGUUGGAUGUUUUGCUUUUUUGUGAGAAUUUCUAGAAUUUCUCUUUUUAUAAGGUGUCCACCUAGGAAUCCUAGGUGGGGCUUCAAAAGGAGCCUCCAAUUAAUAAUAGUAAGAUUGCUCUGUCACGUCGUCCCCUGAUUUUAGGAAACCGUUCAUUAUUUUUUACACGACGUGAUUCCUGAUGCCGGCCGCGGGCGGUCACCGUCCGCUCGCUGCCGCGUCGAACUAUCAGCUGACCAAGACGAGAUGCACCAGGCAGGCAGGCAUUUGAUUCCGAUGCGUGCGUGGGAAUGUCUCGACACUUGACCUACCGGUCUAAGCUAGACCAGCUGCUAAUGGUAAAGCACGGUGAUUACGAUGGCAAUUCCCCCCUUCUUUGUGCCAAGAAUGUACAGCGACAUGCAUUAAUGUAGCUUUCGGGACUGAGAGGUAGAUUAGGGCACGUACAACGAUCCGUUCCGAGCCGUCUGGGAGCCGAUUCAUUUGCAAAAAGCCCCCCGCGACGGCCUGGAGACGGCUUCAUCGUCGCCUCGCGAGGUGACGAUCCCAACUCGUGCUCCCAGGCGAAAAAGGCGACUCCAGCACCGUUGUGCGUCUCACCGACGAACCCCUGCGUCGCUCCCUCGAUCCGCUGCGGCCCCUCCGCGUGGGAAGAUGGUGCCCCUCCUCCGCCUCUAAUUUCCAGGAUGAUUGCACACAUGAAUUGUUUUUCACUGUUGGCUAGCUGUUUACUAAAUGUUUCCUAACAUGUUAAUUGUUUAUCAUUGUUGCUUUGUUCAGACGAAGGAUGGUGUUAGCUAAGGCUUUGCAUGGCAGCUUCAAACUAUUUUAACUAGUGUCAUGGUGUAGCUGUUCUCUAUUGCAAUUAGUUUAACUAAAUUUGUAUUGUUCAUGUUAUGUAUGUAUUCCGAGUAUCUAAUACUAUAAAUAUAUAUAUUAUACUUAUGCUUUAAAAAAUUUCACGUGACUUGAUUGAAUACAUUGUGUUUUCUAAAAAAAAGCAACAAAAUAGCAUACAAAGAUCAAAUUAUACUUCAUCAACAUGAGUUAUGUACCCAUACACGAAUUAAAUAUUACACAGACAGCCUAAUAGACAAGUCGUUGUAUAGUUGUUUGUUUUGUUGUCUGUGUACGAUCUCCAAAGCACUUGCAGACGGUAGCUGUCUAAACUGUUGAACAUGCCCUUAGGACUGGGACUGAACAGAAAAUGGGAAUCAAGCGUGAUGAUGUGCAGUCGUCCUGGCCUGCUAACCCAUUGCUUGCAGGCAUCUUUGUUGCUUUAGUAAACACUUUUCUAACAGUAUUAAAAACACUUUGAGGACUAGCGACCGUUGGGGCUUUGCUUCGCCGCGUGCCCUCCUGUCCCCGACACGUGGGCCCAGAAAGCGAUGCGGUAAACUCUCCUGCUACGGUUUCGCCCGUUGUAACACGUACAGUAGACGAUGGAUGGGACAUGGGUAUUUGCGCUCAAGCUACAGAAGUAGGAGUACAGAGCGAGCCACAGCAUCCCCAGGACGUCGAAGGAACGUUCCAUCUCCCCUGCAACAUGCCCGCCUGCUGCCCAUGUCGGCUCAGUUAACAACGCCUUGUUCAGUCCAGACCGGAACAGUGAGCAUCCGAGCAUCUGACGACACGUUGCCUGCGUGCAUGGGGAAACCGAUCACGACUGAUUUAACCUCACCGGCACGGCAAGCGGAUCGAUCACUGGUGUCUGAUGGGGCUUUUGUUUUUGUCUGGGCUUUGGUGGACUUGACGUCAUGAAGCAGAUUCAUUAGUGGGUCGGCAGAUUUUAACUAAUCGCUAGCUUUCCCCACACCUUGAGAUUGGUAAACUACAGUAAUGUCCUGUGGGGCUGUGUCAGACGACGACUGACUCGAGGACUCGUAAGCGUGGACGGAUGCCGUGCCCAACUCUCUGCAUUCCGCCCGCACACUUCCUUCAGUACUUCUUCAGUAUUCCAAUUGAUACGCUUCAGAUUUGUGAUGUAUUCACUUGACCCUCCACGUCCAUUGCAGCAGCCGGGUGCAGUCUCGUUUGUUCGGCCGGCGCCGGGCACCCAACCAUCCAACUCCGACGGCAGCGAAAGCACGGAAGCGUAGCAGGUGAGGAGCAGGCAUGUUGCCGAGGUCAAAGCGCCGUACCGGUACUCGCCGCUAGGCAGUUGUCACGCGGACAGCGUCGUGCGUGCAAGGACGUCCGAUCCACCUCCCACGUGAGGUGAGGACCGUACGCAGCAGCAACAACCGAAGCCUUCCCAAACGAGGAGGCCUCGACAGCUUCGGCCACGGCUGUGCGGGUGCAGUGUGGGAGUGCGAGACUGAACAGCGGGAGGAUCGCGUGCGUGUUGAAUUGUUUGUGAAAACAGACGCGCCCAGGCGCAGUAGCAGCGUAGCGUAGCACAGGAUGAGGAUCGAGCGACUGACGACUGACUGAGCGAGCGAGAAAAAAGCCCCCCCCCCCGGUUUGCGCUGCAAACCGACCACCCACGUCUGCACCGACAUGGCACGUACGUACAGUACUCAUUGCUUGGCACUGCAUUCGAUGAGGCCAGUGCUGCGGGUCUGCUGACGAUGACGAGGAGAUACAGAUACUCCCACUACCGCUGCGCUGACAGCAGAAUCUGUUUCAAGCGCUUUCCGGGCCACCUUUAGCACAGCAGCCUUUUGCUUUUGGCCCCACUUUGCAGACCACAAAAGGAUCCUUUUUCAUCAGUAGUGGAUGGAUGACGAGAGGGCACGUGUGACCGACGACGCGUAGGAAUGGCAUUUCUCCUUGUCCUCCCCCAAAACGUACGCACCACGCGGCCGGCCUGUGUACCGACGAAAACUCACCCUGACAGUCUGACUCAGCGACUGGAGAUGGGGCCAUGGAGCUAGUUCAUCAGCGGUCCCCAUGAAAAGAAGCCGAGGACGACCAAGAUCAAUGUACAAGAUCCUUUUACGCGUGCUAAUACAUCUUGUACAAGGGUCCUCUACGACGACGCGCGUAGUUCAUCGAUCAGCUGGCGAAUAAGGCGAUAGAGAGGACAGAGGAGGACGAGCGUGACCCGUGCCUCUUCAAUUUCUGGCACAUGAUCGAGACCUGCACGCUCAUGUUAGUUUGGACACUAGUAGAAGCUUGGGAGAAAUAGAAUAUAUUGGCAUGGCAUACGAGGAUGAUUUGCGAAAGAUAGAAUUACAAGGAUUUGAGAAACAGUAGGUGCUAGCAUGCAUAUGGUAAAUUGUGCUGACAGUGGCUCACAUUGAUCGCGCAUGUACUGGUGCUACACUCAACAGACAGCGACAAUCGAUCAUCAGUACGCAGUACACAGUUACACACUGCUGUCCUAUGCUCUUAGCUUGAUGAUCUUUUCCGAAAUGAGUUUGGACGUAUACUUAGAGGGUGUCUGGUUCUUUUAGAACCUCCUAAAAUUACUAUCACAUCAAAUAUUUAGAUACUAAUUAGAAGUAUUAAAUAUAGAUUAAUUAUAAAAUCAAUUGCACAGAUGAAGAUUAAUUUGCGAGACGAAUCUAUUAAGUCUAAUUACUCCAUGAUUUAUAAUGUGAUGCUACAGUAAACAUGUGCUAAUGAUGAAUUAAUUAGGUUUAAUAGAUUCGUCUCGCGAAUUAGCCUCCGUCUGUGUAAUUAGUUUUAUAAUUAGCUCAUAUUUAAUCCUCUUAAUUAGCUUCCAAAUAUUCGAUGUGAUAUAAAUUUUAGUUCGGAGUAACGUACAAACACCUCGGACUGGCCAGCAAGAUGUGCGGCUCUAAAUGCUAGUAGUACAUCUUAAUCGCUUCCCUUUUGCGUUGCACGGGGAAGGUGAUAGAGAAUGGUUAGUUUGAUCUCGAUGGGGACUCUCGUAAACUAAUCGCUCCUUCUGACCUUCUCCCUAAGAUUGCAUUGGUAAGUGCAGGGUCAGGCGAGGACUCUCGUAAACUGCAGGUCAACGCGGACGUGGACGGGUGCCGUGCUCGAUCCCGGUACAGUGCUAGUAGUAGUACUCUAGCAGUAUGUCAUUGGAAAUUUAACCCACUUCUUAUAUAACAUCCAAAUUUAGCUCAACCCUUUAAUGCCAUUAAAAAUUUAACUACGUCCCUUUCCUGCCAUUACCGUACUUUUUAACGGAAAAACACCCUGACGGAGUUAAAAUACAUCUGUCUCACGAAGUUUUUCCAUUUUUACCCCAUCCCCCAUUUUAUCCUCAAUCAACAGCCACAUCCCAUACCAUCUCCGCCGGGGGCUGGACGUCUUCGCCGCCGAGGGCUUGGAGACGGACGGCCGCGGUGAGGCGGCAACGCGGGCUGCACGGGCGAGCAACUCGUCGUCAGGUAGGCUCGACGCCGAGAAGAUGUGGAUGGAGAUGUACCGGGUGGGGCACUGGGGUUCACCGCCUGUCCAUCUCCAUGACCCCGCCCCCGCCCGCGAGGCCCAGUUGCGCGACUGUAGCCUGCAGCGCCGACGGCAGCGACGGCGGAAGGAAGGAAGCGGACCUGCCGUGCGAGUCGUCACCAGUGAGAAACCAUCCGCGCAGUCCCACACUCCACUGCUCGGGAAGCAGAUCCUCUGACUCUGAACGGUAAAGUCAAGAGUCUAGUUCUCAAAGGGAGCAAUCAGAGAUUGCAAAGCAAACAUACUCCAAAUCCGGCAUUGGAAUCGAACGGGGAAAGGAAGUUGAGGAGGGGUAAAGGAGAGGAGGGAAAGGAGGGGUAUAGUUGUCUUUUGGUACUAAAGUGCUAAAAUUUAGCACCCAUCCAAACAGCUCUAAAUGCUAAAUUUUAGCACCCUCAAAUAGAGUGCUAAACCUUAGGCCUUGUUUAGAUAGCAAGUGGGUGCUAAAGUUUAGCACUUGCUAUCUAAACAAGGCCUAAGGGGAUGUUUGGAUACCAGGGGCUAAAGUUUAGCCCUAUCACAUCGGAUGUUCGGAUGCUAAUUAGGAGGACUAAACAUGAUCUAAUUAUAAAACUAAUUGCAGAACUUCUAGGCUAAUUCGCGAGACAAAUUUAUUAAGCCUAAUUAAUUCAUCAUUAGCAAAUGGUUACUGUAGCACCACAUUGUCAAAUCAUGGGCUAAUUAGACUUAGACUCCAGGUAAUUAGUUUUAUAAUUAGACUAUAUUUAACCUAAACAUCCGAUUUGACAUGACCGAGCACCCCCUAAAUCGACUGAAGCCGUCGGCGACGGGGCCUGCAUCUUCCGUCGGCCUUACCCCCGCAACUGCGCCCCGAGCUCCACCAGUCCCAUGCGGCCGCACGACGGGACUUUCACAUCCACCGGAGCCACCGCUCCCCUCGCGCGCCGGCCACCCGAGGCCCCGUUCGUCUCGCACGCGCUGCAGCUACGCUAGCCUUGCAUUGAACGGAUUCAUUUCCGACGACGUGAUCUGACAGUUGAUGUAUGCGACCAGCCGACCAUACUACUAUAGUAGUACGUGAAAUCGCAGUCGUCGAACUUGACGGCUCGGUGUAGUCGACCGAUCCGUACUCGUGUUUGGUCGGGCAGCUAGCAGCACAUAGCCAUCUCGACGGAUACAGCAGGUAGGUAUAGUAGCCGUGCUGUGGCAGGGUCAACCACCGGCAAGCACGUUGAAAAGAUCAACGCCCAAGCGCUCGCACUCGCCGCUCGGUUGUUGCUGUCUCGCAGUACAGUCGCAGAGACGUGAGCGCAGACGAUGAUGAGCCGAGAGAGCAGCACGCUCCGCCGCCUCGGCGUCGGCGGACAGAACUGCCGAGCACCGCACCGGCCAGGAGGUGCUUGCCGCAGGCAUAUCCCUCGUAAUUUCUCUCCGGUUCCGCGUCCGGCCACGGACACACGGUGCGUGGGUCGGCGAGUUGGUGCGCCCGCCGAGCGCCGACCCGACCAGCGCGGAGUGGGGGACUGUGAAUCUGUGAUGGAUGUCAGUGCCGCCGACGGCCGAUCCACGCGUCUGAUCGGUCACCGGCGCUCUCCGGGCUUCGGACACACAUAAUUCUGCGGAGCCCUGAGCCUGCUGCUACGUUGGUUUCCCUUCCCCUGAGAUCUCGCUCUCGAACAUGGGAGCGCGGAAGCGUAACCAAACAGUUACAAGCCGAAGCUUCCAACCUCUCGUUCUUCGAUCGCGGAUUCGCGGUCCUAGGGCCACGAGAGGACGAAAGCGCUGCAAUCAAUGAGGACGCGAAUGCUGGUAGCAAGGGCGCGUUUGGAGUUCCUUCUCGCUGCGGCUACUUCUGACCGGUCACUGUCAUCCAUUGUGCAAACAUUAUUCACAUGAUUUUUUCUCUCUCUCCUCUUCCUCCCCUCACAUCUGCUGGAGGAGCCACAAAUUGUGACUCCACCGGCUCCGGCUACAGUAAUCGAAGCCGGAGCUGGCGAAGCCAGGCCAAAUUGGACCUAACUCACGAGAGAUGGGACGGCUGCCGCUGCCGCUGCACGCUGCCUGCUGCUGCAACCGAGCAGCAGCAGGCAGCUGCAAAGCAGCGCCCGAACACGGGGAUACUGGUAAUCUGUCAUACUGCUGUUGUGCUGACAACAGAAUCUAUCUCGGCACUUUCUGGGCCAGCUUUUGCAGUCCCAAGCCUUUUUGCUCUGCUCUGGCCCUUCACCUUAGACCUUACCACAACAAAAAGGAUUCUCUUCUUUUGGUCUAGUGGAUGCAUUGGAGAUUUGGAGGGUGCACUGCUCACUGAUGUCGACUGCCAAACCGAAACCACCACAUCCAGCUCCAGCCUCGGCAGCUCCUCUUCCUUCCUUCCCCUUGCUUCGUAAGCAAAAAAGCGAAAAGGAACAUUUAGCAGUUGCAACAUAAGCCUUUUCUGUCUCAUCCGUUUGUUCCAUUAGGUUGGUCAUUAACCGCUGCUAGUUAUAUAUUAUAUGCUAAUGUUCCUGCGUGCAUGCAUGCGUGCAGUGCCUAACUCUUGUUUCUCUGUCGUUUUCAGGGUCAUGGCUCACAAAAAUGCCGUGCUGAUAGCCCAUCACCCGUCAGGCCGUCACUGACUGAUAACAAGCUCAUGACAAAAGGUAAAUAGCAUGCCAAAGUGUGCAUCAUCCUUGGGUUGAUUAUUGGGUUGGGCAUAGUGUUGGGAAGGAGCGACCACAUAUCAGCUCGCUUUUCAAAAGCGCAAGGACCAGCAUAGCCGCAGCCUCUUUGGGUGACAUUCCAAUGCACGGCCUGAGUGAUCUCUGUCACCAGACUAUCUAGGAUCUAUCAGUUACGUCCAAACGGGAAGCUUAAAAGCUAAUCGCAGGCUAAUAGUCAAAUCCAGCUGUUGAUCUAGGACACGGGAAGGCUACCAGCAGCCUGACGAAGAAGAUCUCGCGUGCUCGGCUGCUUGACAGUUGGGGAUGCCUCGUCGGCCAAUUUUCUCUUCUGCACCCCAUGCUGUGGAUUUAAUGUAGGCUUCUUCUCUAAUCAUUGUGAGAGGCCAUGCCCCAUGCAUGAUUGAGGAAUUGAUGAGGACAGUGCUACCAAUAGCAUAUGCAUCAGCAGCAGCUGAUCGAUCAGCAGACAGCAGCGUCUACCCGGCAACAAGGCCGUACAGAACCACAUGGCAUGUGAGCAUUAUGCGCCCAAUUGAAAAGAAUAAACAGGGUACACACACCAACCUCACGCUUCAGCUUUUUCUGCAUCGGAUCGUCUACCAGUAUGUCCUUCAAGUACAGCAGUACAUGCUUGCAAAUCAAGAAAAAAAAGGGGCAUCAAGAUUCGUUACAGAAACGUGGCACUUGUCUCUUUUUUUAAACCCAACUCGAAUGAUGAAUCGCAUGGACUAGAUUUAUUUCCUAUACUAGUAUUUUAAAUGCCACUAGUUUCUUCCAGAAAGUGACGAGAUGUACCAGCACAGUGAGGAUCAACGCCACCGACACUGGAUGUGUGGAGGCUGGAGGUUCAGAGCCAAGAUUUGCCGGUUCCGGCUGAUGGCUUGUCACUCGGCUGUACUGAACACUGUACAGCAGAGUGGUUUCAGUGUACGAUGUAGCCGUCAGAUCAGUGAGGAUUGGAGUAGGAGAACAAACGCACGAGAAACCACAGUGCAGCGCCCGAAAAGACGCGACUUUCUUCAGAGCUCCUCACGAAAUGCUGUCGACUCGACCAUGGCAGUCGCGAUAAAGAUGAUCCGAGCCUCCGUCCGAGACGAGAGAGCAUCGUGACGGCCGAAUAAUUCCAGCACCGACUUCCGCUGCGAUCCGCCCUUUGUGGUCGCUUUCCUCGCCUCCUUUUCGCUCCCCGAGGCAUCGCCGUCCAACGUGACAUGAUCUUGUUACUCGUCAUACUCUUACCAUUCCUCCUCCCCCCCCCCCAACCCCCGAAUUGGGNNNNNNNNNNNNNNNNNNNNNNNNNNNNNNNNNNNNNNNNNNNNNNNNNNNNNNNNNNNNNNNNNNNNNNNNNNNNNNNNNNNNNNNNNNNNNNNNNNNNCCCCCCCCCCCCCCCCCGGCCCCCAUUUUUUCGUGUUGCUCGAUUUCUUUUUUUGGACCCCCAUCUUGUUGUAAUGAAAACAUACCCAGCUACCAGCCGCUUUUGUUACGACAGAUACGGGUCGAAAGUCGCUUUACAAGGACCUUUUAUCAAAUGAACAUCGCAACUUGCUUCCAGUUGAUUAUAGUGGUUGUCCUGAACAGAGGAAUGAAAUUCGAGCCCUUUGAUGUACAACUCCAGAUCCAGCAGGGAAAAAAAAGAGUUCACAAGAACGGUCAAUUGGAAAUUACUGUAAAACAGGGGGUUGGGAAUCAAUCCUGACAUAAUCAACAGGUACAUCAUCAUCAUCAUCAUCAUCUCAGGUUGUAAGGUAUACAAUUCCUACAGGCUUAACCAAGCGAAAACAAUAUGCAAUAACUUAGGAGGGCGCCGAUGCUAUCAGAUUACAUGGCAGACUUUACAGGAGCCGCUAAAGCCAUAUAUACAAAGAAUAGCCAACGGUACAACACGGCAUCGAUCCUACUGAAACCCUAGCAACAACGGAUCAGCGCGGGAGAAUGCUACAGUGGGGAGGAUAAACUUAACGACAAACAAAAAUGGAUUCUGAGGGGUCACAAGGCUGCGUGGGGGCAUCUGCAAUGUUGUUGGUGGUGUGAUGGACAUGGUGAGAUGUAUGUAUCGUGCCAGGCUAAGCUGACUUUGAUAAGCUAGAAUUCUGACUUCAGGAGCUUUGGUCCUGGCUUUAUGCUCACAAAAUCGAAGGGGUUUGGUUGAUCCACGCUGAUGUAGUCCUUCGUCGUCAGGACCUGUCAGAUGUAACAUAGAGCAAAUCAGUACCAAUGGACACAGGGAAGGCUCAGCAGGUAGCUGUGGAAUAGGGGGUGGGGGUAUAAUUGGCAUACCAAGGUCUCAAAGAACAUUCUUGAUGCUUCCUUCCGAGUCUUUCCACGUACAAGAUGAUCGAUGGCGACACUCUUUCUCCCAAGACCAGAUUCUUCAUCGAAUAAAGUCUUGAGAUAUCUUGCAACACCCCUGCACAGCCAUAUACAAACCAUGAAAAUGUUGAACAAGGCACUGAACGUUGAAGUCCAAAGGAAAUAACAAUUAGCUCAACUGUACCUGGUGCGAGAAGACCAGCCACUGUUGUCAAGAGACUGGAAUUCAUCAGGAUUUGGCUCGUCAUUAUUUGCGUCAUCAAAGUCCCCAUCAUCAUCAUAGUUCAGAAAAUCUGGAACAACACAAGGUCAAACAAUGAGACAAAAAAUUUACUAGGUCUGUCACAGCACAAGCCCAACAAAGACUAGCACAGGCAUGGUUGGGAAAAUACUUCCCAUAUUACAAUAAGCUAGAGAUUGAAUUCUGAGUCUAAGUGAAGCCCCCACCAAAAAGUAGAAAAAAGAAAAAUAAAGGUCCUAGGUCUGCGGAUAUGGAAUCUCCAUGCACUACACCAUGCUUUAAUCAGAAUAGAAAAAUUACCUGUAUCAACACCAUGAAUUGCGCUUCCAAAAUCCUGUAAACCAAACAGGAAACCAGUUAUUCGUAAAAACAACUAAACAAAAAAGUGCAAGUACUUCUACAGCAAGAUAUUGGAACGAGGCCACCAGGAAAAGUAAGUCGUAGUAAGAAAAGAAAUUAACAGAUUCGCAAAGUAUUUAGAAGGGGGGUGUUAUAUAAAUGGACUCACAUUGCAGUCCUUUAGUCCAAAGUCAUUCACCAUAUCCAGAUCCAUAAGAGAAUCCAUGUUGUUUUCUUGGAAGCCAGAAUUAUCUCCCAUAGCAGACACAGCAUUUUCAUCCUCUGUUGGUUGAAGAAAACCAGAGGCCUCUUGAUUAUAUUCUACCCCAGUAAUCUCAGAAGUAGGAACCUCAUUGUUCUCAAAAACAUUAGCAUCACUAUGAACAAAAUGAUUAAACUCCUGUGUCAUGUCAUCCGCUGCUUGAGCAUAAGUUUGGCCAGAAGAGCUAUCUAGAGCCACAUCUGGGCGUGAACCGUUUGCAUCAGUACUCCUCUGCAAAUCAGAUGGAACAUCUUGAAGACGGUCAUUAUCCAGCGUAUCAACUUGAGCAUGCUCUCUGUCAGCAACUGCCACUUCUUUCUCAUUAUCAAUUAAAGGUUCAGCUACCCCUUGAAACACAGUGUCGGCAACAAAAUCAUUAGAUACACCGUUAACCUGGUUGUCAGGAGGUAUUUGCAAACCAAAAGCAGCUGUGGCACCAUCUGCAUCAUUUGCAUUUGGCAGCACAGCAUCUGAAUGAAAUAUAUCUGGCAUGUGGAGUGGGUCACCAGUAGUAGCAGCACCAGAGGUCCCAACAAUGUUGCCAUCUUCUGCAGCUGUUUCAGACAUGUCUAGCUGACCUUGUAGUUCCAUGUUCUGAACAGUGGGGUGUACAAUAGUCCCAUAUGUCCGAUUGUGUAAGUUGUUUAGCUCCUCAGAUAGGCCUAGUAGAGAUACAAAAAAACACACAACCAAAGGUAUGGUUUUAGUGAUCGGAACUAAAUAAUAAUCUUUGUCAGACUUCAAAGCUAAUUCAUCUCUAAAGAUGCUUCCAUCUUUUCCUACUUCAAUUCAUCAUGCCAUACGGAAAAGGAAAUUGAAAAUCAAAGACAUCGCAAGAAACUUACAGGAAAAUAUGGGCUCGUGGAAUAUAUCAUCUUCCAGUGAACCUUUCUCAAUAAUCCAUAUUUCAGAACGAGUACAUGGAGCCUUUUUACGAAUGCGCCGUAUAUCCUCAGUAUUGAUCAACUGUUGUCGUAUAGUACUGGAAAAGUAAAGCGACGGUCAGCAAGUCAGCUCAAGUUACAAGUUAAUUUGGAAAAUAAUCUAUAAUUGGAUUUGUGGAGACACAUUCAGCAUGUGCAUACGGAAAAUGUAACCAAACAGUGGAAUGUAGGACCAAAGAAAUAUCCAAGACCAAAAUUUCAAGCAAACCGAAUAUACUCUUCCGUAGCAUGAGUAAGACAACAGCUUCUACAAGCAAGAUUGUUGCAACUGUACAAAAAGAGCACAAGAAUAACAUGUGAUAAUGUAAAAAACUUAAAAAGUGAAAACAUCAAAGAUGGACAACAGUUCUGCACAAGUAAAAGCCAUGUUUUGACAGUGAAAAGUUUUAGGUUGGAAAUAUGAUCACAUAUGACAAGAACCAAGUCCAGGGACUAAAGAGAUAGGAAUUUCAUAUCUGGUCAGGAUAAAGAGGCAGUAACGAAAAAUAAGCAGUAACUUGUUCUCAACAAGAAGCUCAUUUGAUGGUCAUAGAUAUACAUACUCAGCAUGUAGAACCAUGGCAUCAUCUAUUUGCACUUUUCUCUUGAGUGUACCCGCCUUCGAUCCCAACCUCGGGCGUUUCAGAGAUGAUGCCCUUGGGGGUAGUGGUGUUGAACCAAGCGCCAAUCCAGAGGUCCUUCGACCAACUAAUGCAAGGUUAAGUGAUUAGGUAAAUGCAGAAAAUCUAGGCAACAGAAAUGCAGUGGACAAGUCAUGCAUACCUAAAAUAGAUGCCAGUAAAUCAUCAUCAUCAGGAACAAAAUCAGCAGAUCUUUUACCACGUGGUCGACUAGACAACCUUUCAGUAGUCUCACUCUCUAGAGCUGGUAAGCUAUCUUCCAGGUGUCUUUUUCUGCUAGUAAGACUGCCUAUUUUGUUACUUCCAUCAGAUUCAGUUGUUCCUUUUUCUGCAGUUAUCUGCCCCAAGUCAUUUGCAUCAUUGAAUUCAGCAUCUGGAGCUGACAGCAUUUUCUCAGGCUCAGCAAAUUCUGAAGUUAGUUCAUUUGGUCUAUCAUUAGAUGCCACUUCUUGUUGAACUGCCUGGACUUCAUGUUGAAAAUCUGCACUUCGCACAAUCGCAUUAGUUACAUGCACAUUAUUCUCUAGACAAAAAUGGUACUCCAGCUCUGUUAGUGAUCAUGGCAUGGGGAAAAUAAAAAACAACAAAUGGAUGUCAACUGAUUACCUUGUGCAUCAACCAAUAGCCCGUCAAUUUGUGCUGGGUUCUCCAUCACAGAUGGCUCAGUAGAACCAUCAACGCAUAGCUCAGAACCAUUUACAGCCAAAGGUAGAUCCUCAAUGGUUGCAUUAACAGUUACAGUUUCACCAGAUGCAGCUAUGUCAUCAGGACAGAUCAACUUAUCACCAGCAGCUUCCAGGUUUGAUGUUUGAGCAUGGGAUGGCAAAUCCUCACUUGUGCCUUGUUGCAUCAAUACAACAUCAUCCUGCACAACAGCAGAAGACUCAACUUGCACAGGCUUUGCCAAUCCAAGUUCAGUAGCCUCAGCACCCACAACAUCAGUGGCAUUUGCUGUGGCUGAAUGGAGAGAAUCUGAGCCUGGAGCAGCGGGAGUGCUGGCCUUCACGGUUUCAUCAUUGCUUGAUGGUGAAGCUUUUCUCUGUGGACUCAGAACAGGACUUUCAUGGACUCUGGAAGGAACUGUUUCUCCAAUUAAACCAGGUGUAGCUGGGGCCUGAGCACUAAUAAACUCUGGUGAUGCAGGUUCAUCACAAGGGAAGGGGCUGGGUUGAUAGUAUGAAGCUGAUGGUCCUGCAAUACCUUCAUUAUGCAAUAGCAUAUCAUUCAAAUCUGGUGUCUGUGCAUUGUAACCAGUCCAGUUAGGAAUACUGUUUCCUCCUAGAUCAUCUGCAUUCAGUGGACUUAGCUUUCCUUGACUAGAAGGCCCAUCAUCCAUGUUGUUGCAUCUUUCAGCUGUUUCGUCUUUACUUUGGUUAUCAUCAAUGUCCAUAUCGGUAGAAGGAACUGAUGGUCGACCUUGAAUGAUAAUGCUGGGGAGAGGCAAACGAAGAAAGAUAUAAGCAGUGUAACUCGAGCGAAAUAUGAUUAAAAGGGCAACAAUGCAACGUCACCAAAUUUGAAAUGUCAUGACAAAUGGUAUUUCAAAAUACAAGUAGCUAUACACAGAGAUAACUGGUCUCUGACAAUAUCAUUAAACUUUACAAUCCUACUGUUGCAGCAUAAGGAAACUUAUAACCGAUCCUGGAAAACCACAAAUAUCAAAACUUUGGAUGUGAAAAAGGACACAGAUCUUUGAAAAGAAAAAAACAUAAAUCACAUGAGAUUAUAAUGAAGGAGGCAAUCUUACCCAUCAUCAGACUCAAGAUGAAUUGAGUGAUCCUUGUUCAGCAUUAGUUCCUGAUAACAAAUAAAUAUAAUCAGCUCUUAAAGAGGAAGUAUCAAUGCUGGUACCAUAGAGUCAGGCUGCUCUUUUAUCAAAAUAUAAGAGAUUAAUAACACUAUCAAGACAGAUUGUGCCUUAUUCGUUUAUUCUAAUCUGCAACAAACAAAAACCACCAAAACCUCAACUUAAAAUAAACUGCUAAGUCUACUGUAAGAUGGACCAGAGUACCAACAUGCAUUCAGCACUUAACAUGCACGAAAACUCUCAGGAACAAAAAAUGGAGAAAAGAAAAAUACGUACCUCCUCCAAGUCCAAGCCAAUAUGUGAAGAACUGCCAUCACCAAAUCUUUCUGCACAUUUAAAUGCUUUACAUGAUCAAAAUGCUAUAUAAGAAAUGAAUCCAGACAAGAUGUGGACAGAGUCAGGACCAACCAUCUAGGCCAAACUGGGAUGUUGAAUACCCUGUUUUCUCUGGGUUGUCUUGCAAAGUGAUCUGUUCUUUUGUGCUCACAUGAUGAUCAGUGUCACUGGAUCAUAGUGGGAAGUGUUCAGAAAACUGACAAAAGCAUUAUUAAACAGUGAACAUAUCAAAACAGAUGACACAGUUUUACCCUUGAAACGCAGCUUCUGGCAGUUCAAAAUCAUCAAGAUGAAAUGUCUCAGGCAGUGUUAUAGAAUGAUAAGGAGCAGUUGACUCCUCAGGGGGUAGAUCAACAGCAGUGGACCUGAAAGCUUGUUUUAUCUUCAGCAAAGCUUCACUGCAGUCGUGGAAUAGGUAGUUCACCUUCCGAGAAUAGAUUCUAACCACGCCUAACAUAAGAUGACUUGAUAACCGAAGUGCAAUUGGAACAUCAGGGAAUAUGAUUGAAUCUGCAGGAAUAGUAGCUGUCAAUUUUCAAAACCGGAAUCCUAGAAAAUGUACAGUGCAGAAUUGUUAGGCUAUACACCGAUACUAGCAUUAAAUUCUACACACUGCCGUGUCAGCUGUACUAUGGAAGAUUUGCCCAGAGAGGCUGGCAGCCUUGUAAGGUAAAAUAUGCUCUACUGGCUCGUUAAAGAAAAAAGUGUAACAUACCAAGGGUUUUAAAUAUUGAGUAUGCAGUAAAGAAAACUUUCCGGUAUGACAGCAUACAACAUAAUAGACUGUUGAUUAUAUAUAAAUAUUAAUUCAAUGUGUUCUUCAUUUCCAUUUCUUAAAAUGCAACAAAUGUUCAUUUCUCUGCUACCACUGUGCCCCCUGCCCGUGUAUGCUAAUUUGUUAACAAGAAAUACUCUAGUAACUCAAACCCUCAUGCUACCCAGGCAUUAUCGAUUUAGAGGGCUGGAUCGUAGCCCACAUUAUCAUAAGAGCAGCUGCAUCCUUUGUUCAUGUUGUACAUACAGUUCUUUCUGGUGAAAUAUAUGGAUAGGCUUGAUGCACCGAUUGACGCAAUCAAAAGUGAUCAUAUUAGGUCAUAAGCAUUCUCACAUGUGCAACGAGAAAAGAAGAUGGGAAACCCAAUCAUGAUCACAAAAAAUAAGACCACAACAGAUAAAGCCUUCAUAUUUAUAGGGAUAGAAAGUGAUCCUAAAAAAAUGUUGCAGUUGUGAUUGUCAGGCUACACUAGUGUACAGAUAACAGAUCUGGGUUUCUCCAGAUCCAGAGUAACCAAGACUAAAGCUGCUUGAGUAUGUAUAAAAGCAUUAAGAACUAAAAACUCCCUCUCCCAAUAUGGAAGGGACAAACUGAAAACCAUAUGCAAAGAAAAAUAAAAAUAUGUCACACGGUAGUAUAGUUAGAAUGAUGCACUAUUAUCCAUAGGUAAAAAGGUCACAGUAGUCAAGCUAGAAUGAUGAGUUAUUUCCCACGUGUCAUGGGCACAACAGCGGAUGCAAGAAUUCUAUAUUGUUCUAAUAAGCUUUACCUGAAAACUACUCCCAAUACGGUGAUCUUUAAAUUUCAGUUUUAGGCCAAUUUUCUGUUGUAAUGCAAAAAGCUAGUAAAUUUUUAGACUUAGUAUCCUAGAGAGCAGCUACAACCAACAUAACUGAGCAAAAGAGCCGUUGGUGUUAUUUAACCCUAGCUGGCAAUAAAACCGCCUUAGCAGGCCAUAAAACUGUGAUAUGGAAACUGUUAAAUGCACCGCGAUAAAUAUCUUGCCAAAUCUACCGAGCAGUGAUUUUCUACCACAAUGUUCAUGAAGCAGCACAAAGUAAACAACAAGAAGAGACAGCUCAAAAAAAAUUACCCUUUUUAUGCCUCCAAUAGCAGCAACUAGAAUCUACUGAGCCCUAAACACAUAAAGGGCUAAAAAAACUACUAACAACUCCAGCCAUGUAAACAUGAUGAUUCAGACAGAGAGGUAGUGGUGCAGAAGCUAUAGGUGAGGGGAUAAAUACAGAAAACCCAUAAAUGGGCUAAAGUUAGCAUUUUUGUUGCGGUACUUGUGGAGCCAACAGCCAAAGUUAGCAUUUUUGUUGCGGCACUUGUGGAGCCAACAGCCAAAGUUAGCAUUUUUGUUCUGUUGUGGAGCUACAGCACUAACGAGCAACAGCAAAGCAGAACUGUACAAUACUACAGGUCAGGUCAUAGUAUGUGCAGACUUAACAGCAGAGUGCAAACCCUAGAUUGAAAUCGUUGAAACAGCAGGCAAGGCCACCAACCUACGGAGACGCCAAUGUCCGUGUCCGCGACCUGAUUCUUUCGCAGCUUCCGCUCCAAGUGCGCGGCAAUCCAUAUUGUCCCGAGGGGGCCCUUCUUGGCCAAGAUGAACUGCGAGUAGAACAUUUCCGCCUCCCCUCCUUACGCAGAACCCUAGAAAUUUCGAAAAACCAACCGUUGUUAGUAUCCAACACAAAUUGGAAGGAAAGGGGAGGAAGAAAGGUUCGGAUUCUAGGGUUCCCAUCAGCAAAGAAGAGACUUUUGCAGCAGAAAACAAGCAACCCACCCCAAAGCAAGCUAGGGUUUCCUUACCAGCAAAAGAGGAACUCGAGCCUGGUGGGGAUGGAUCUCCUCUCCACGCGAGUCCAGGGCGGGAACCCUAGAACCGCAUGGAAUUGGCGCGGGGUGGCGGGAUCUGAGGAGUCGGGCGCGAGGAAUCGAGCUGUUCGAAACUGAGGUCGAAUUGGGAGAGAAAAAAAUGGGGAUCUUUUUGGGGACCUGGCAGUCUGUGGACUCACUCGCGUUCGCAGCAGCGACUUGGGCUUGGGAGGAGCUCCGCAAGUCGAAGACAAGUGCAACACGUUUCGUGAUCCUACCCCUAUAAUCCUGCAGAAUCCCGUAUGAGCCCUCGUACUGAACGCUCUGAGGGUAUUGUGUCGUAUGUGAUAUUUGUUGGGGUUUAAUGCAAAAUACGCAAAUUCCUCUUCGAGCUCUGUGACAGUGUGAGUGACCGUGCGGGCUGAGGAGAAAAUAAAUGUCGCGAGAAACCGUGCGAGAACCGGGCGUGGUUGUGGAACUAGAGAGACGAAGUGCUUUGGCCUGCGCAGCAAUCUGGGCCGUUCGAUCCCCCCGUGUCUCUGCAACUGUCUCGUGUCACGCGGAGACACAACCACCCGUGCACGUGGUGGAUAGUGGCGAAGCCACUCUGACUUUCAGCGCUGUGUCAGUGACACAGGCACACAGCCGACAACGAUCGAGCGUGAUUGCGUGAAUGCACUUGUUUGUGUUUUAGCCUCUUUUGCGCUUGUUUGCGUUUUGCCUCUUUAAUUUACUUUCAAAAUACUUAUUGUUCUACGACUUCAAUAUGGUUUCGAAUUUUUUUCCUAACAUUAAGUUAGGGUUCAUUUCACUAAAUAGUACCAUGGGAGAGAGUGAGGAGUGCUUUCGGUAUCAUAUAAAUGUAAAUCAUGGUUUGAACUCACUCCGAGCUUUACCGUUACCUUGCAACGCAUGCAUGAUGUUAUCCCUAAUUUGUUAGGCUUCAUGUGCGUUUAUACCUUCGGCUUUCAUAAACUCAUAGCAUUUCCUUUCUCUCCGCUCAGUUUUCCAUUCCCCAUCUCCCUCUUCUUCUUUUUCUUUGUCGCGAAGGGCAAAUCCAUUCCUUCUUCUUCCCUUCUAUCUCCCAUAUCUAGGAAUGGAGGCAAAGCUCGAUGGCAGCAUGGGAUUCGUUCGUUCCCUCCUACUAGCAGCUGAGAGCUUGGUGGGAGCAUGUCGACGCGGCAAUCGGACCAGCGAGAAUCUGCACGACAUUUGGGGUUAGGAUUUGGGCAUUUCGAUGGUCUUCGAAUCCAAGAGCUUCAGGGAAGCCCCUUGGCCAACGAUAGAGAUGGUGGGGCUACGGGGAAGUCGAGGUGGUGAUGACACCGUUGAAGGCUGGCGGUGGGGAUCCCUGAUGGGUUGUGGAGCUAUUCCUUGACGGGAAAUUUCCUGUUGCCAUCUCUAAUGACAGGAAAUAAGGUUUAUCCGUUGCUGGAAUGGCGUUUGUGUCCGUUCACAAUUCCUAGGUUCGUGCAUGUGCCUGCUAAUUUUUCUCAUAUACAAAAAUUAUGCAUGCGUAGCUUUCUGCUGGAUUUAGGUCCAUGUAUGGUCCAAUCUGAAAAAUUCCAAAGUAUGCACAACCUUUAAUCCCAUAUUGCUAAGUCGAGGAGAGAUUGCCUUACUUAAAUAUGGGAGUCUUCUCUCUAUGCAAAAUAGGUGCAAAUAAGAGAGAGGAGAUUGUUGCUACACGCAUGUGCAGCUCGCGCAUUUUCGCGUGAAAAAUCACGUGACUUGUGACUUAAAUCACAACCGUACAGCAGGCUAUUGUUUGUGUAGUUAUUUUUUUUACGCGCUUCAAUCUGAUUGAAACUGCCAUUUUAAACAGCAAUAAGGUGCGUCAGUUUCUACUGCUCGAUGAGGGGAUUGAUGCACUAUGAAGGCCUAUAAUACUAGGAGACGUCCUAGUUGAUAGGUUACGCUGUCGCCUAACCACUCGCUGCGCUGAAUCUCUUGCUGCUGCGCCUCGUUACCCUUUGAGUUCGGCGUGCACUGGAUUUGAAGGAAAGCGGGAUCUCCAAAACCACUGUCGCGUAACUUCUGCACGGGGCGGCAAUUAGGUUUUUGAGCAACGUCUACACGCGACCGCUUGGUAUUUCUGCGAGAUCUACUUCAACGCAAUCGACUUCAUUCUGCGCAGGAUUUUUGGGUAACUUCCUUGUGCAUUACUGUUCUUAUCAGUAUGUUGUUUGUUGACAUGUGUUAUAUGCUUGCAUCAUAUUUUGUCUAUGUGUUUUUUCUCCAAAUAAAAUCUGAAUAGCACAUAAUUCUAACACUUUCUACUUAACACAUGGACGCUUAAAUUCGAUCCUAGACAUUCAUAAUGUACUACUUAGGGUGUGCUUGGAUCCUGGUAAGAACCUCGUCUUGCCUGGCGAGGAGAGGCAAAAGCAAGGAAAGGCCAUCGAGUUUGGUUCUCUAGCUUGCUAUCCCGUUCCUUCCUGUCCAAUUUAUCUCUUGCCAUUCCAGAUCGUCCAAGUGAAGUCAAAUCCACCUCCAAUGUUUAAUCCCCAAUCGAUUUGAAGGCAUACCUACGUUAGAUUUAGACUUCCGCCGUUUGUCCGACGUCGUCCGAUUUGGAUGUUCUUUAUUCCUUCUGUCGUCGAGAGUUUAUUCUGCAGGUCCCGUUCCCCAUCUGCGUGUGAUUUUGAUGUCGUUUUCUCGCUGGGCAAGGCACAGAGCGCGACGCCAACAUUGCUCACGUAGGAGAGCGGAUUUGGCUCCCCUGCGCUGGCAAGGCAAAGCUUUUUUCGGGGAACCAAACCGCUGGCCUUGCUUGGCGAGGCGAGGCGAGAGGAAGCCAGAGAUCCAGGGGCCGCUUGGUUUGCUUGCUGGCUAGCCUAGCCUCUCCUUACCAAGCAAGGCAAGGCUUGCUAGCGGAGGAGAGCCAUUCCAGCUCACCCGGGCAAGCAAGAAAAAAUCUUGCUUUCAUAGAAAUCGAGGUAACUGUCAAACUAUCCAAACACAUGAGACGCUGCGCUCCUUGCCUGGCUAGGCGAGGAAGGUAUGCCAAAAGAUCCAAAUGUGAAGCGGCCCCUUACUUUCAUUUAAUUUCAAUCCAAAUUCGUCCAGAGACCCAGAUAGAGAGCUGGGCCUUGGCUGUAUCACUUUAAACUUUGGAGCCGCUUAUAUGGGCGGGCUAUGCCACAAUGUUCGGUACGGCCGGCCCAUAACACAGCUCGUGGCGGGGAGCCUCGUACCAUGGCCAACCAAGCCAGUGCGUUGCAGCGGAGGGCGAGACGGUCUUGGUUCGCAGAGGCCGAUGCACCCGGUCACCCGAAGCCGCGUGGCAAUCGGCGUCGUUUCAGGGCCCGGGGCGAGGUCGAUGGUGAUACGACAAUUGUUAUCCGAUACACUCCAGUUGAACCUGAAGUGUCGUGUCGGGGCCCGGAGAUUUUGCCUCGCUCGGAUCCUCAUCUCACGCAGGUCUCACGGGGAUCUAUCCGCCGGCCCACGACGGGCUCCGGCCGCCGCGCCCAAACUCCAUGAUGACGCUCGCCUCUUCAUCCCGGCCUUCUCUGUGCGUUUGCUCUCGUCAGCCCAGAGAGCGGAGGCCUGCAUGUCCCAGUCCCGCGUCCGCGGAACCAACCAACGAUCCAGAGGACGAGCCAUGCCGCCGGGAACUUGUGCAAAAUCUUCGUCAGGGUAAUGAAUGUUCCUGGACGAUCUGGGAAUUUCCCUGUUCCCCACAAGUCCACACACAAACCACAAAGCGAUAAAGUUUAUGUGUUCCGGCGUGUCCGGCUACAACUACUACUUUGUUGGACUGGAUCUCGGACCUGAUCUGAUCCAUGGACCAGUGAUCCGAGUCAGACAUAAAACAUCUCCCGCAUCCCGUGAAAAAAACUCAUAUUGCGGCUCACGGUCUCGGAUCGCGCGCGCGCCAUGGCUCAUGCCGGCUUUCCCUUCCAAAUCUUUGCUUCCGGCAGUCACCGGCGGCCCGAAUCACCACCUCCGGCAGCAGGCGGCGGCCGAGGACCUCCUGUUCCGCUGGAUGGAAGCGUGCCGCAUCGACGCCCAGCAGCAGCCGCUGCUCCAAGCACAACCAAGAACGGAUCAGCCCGGGCACCUGGAAAAUCUUGAGGAUCUUCAUUAGGGUAUUCCUUUAAUUUUCAUGCAUCUAACUUAUUCAUGUGAGCAGAGUUGUUACAUUAGAUCUCACUUCCGUGCAUCCAUUUUACAAGUGUUUGUUGGGGUGAUGAGCAGAAUAACAGAGUUCUCUUUGCAGUGUUUUGGGUCACGGUAUCUACUGUGUUGGUCGCAUGGAUGUUGAUGAUGGCGAAUCAAGAGCAUCUGGCCUGAUGUCUAUCAAAAGAUGGCGCUCUCGGUUCUUGGCCUUUCGGUUGCUGGAAUGGCGUUCGUAUUCACACCUAAAGACCUAGACAAGGCGUGAGAAUUAUUUUGUACAUAUCGUUGACGUCUAAAAGUGGUAGCGGCACCGAUCCAGCGCGUGCCCACCGGUUUGACCGGUGACCCCGACUGGUCAGACCGGUCAGUUCGAGUCAGAGACAGUUCCUACAGUCUUGGUCAAAUUGGAGAUACAGCAGGAUUUUCUUGCGGAAAAAGAUCUCCCACCCUAUAAAUAUAAAGGGUCUGGGUAACCAACCCAAUCGUCAAAAAUAUUUAUCUACUUUUUAUCUCCAAACUCUAACUUUUCCAACCUCUUGCUUUCCUCCUUUUUAUUUUUUAAUGUUUUGGCACCAGGUUCCUAGAGUUUUGACAUGGUAUGACACGACAUCUUGAGUAGAUUGCUACGUUAGUGACAACAACCCGGUGGUGACAACCAUAUGCAUGCGUGGCUAACAAACUAUUACUAUGUGUGAUAAAGUUUGCUUGCCAACCAAAUAGGUUGACUCGAUAUGAAUAAUUUAUUCUGAUUGGUUUUCUUUGCUUGACUCGAUAUGAAUAUUUUAUUCUCACAAUAAUUUAUUCUCCAAAGAUUAGGAUUUUUUGCAUGGAAACUAUGUAGAGACGUGCUGUCUACACAAAAAGUAACAAUUCAAGAGAGGACUAGAAGUGGAAGACCCGUGCAACCUCUGUUGGAUGGUCAUGGACAGUGAGAGCAGCCACCACGCAUGCAGUGGUCGAGUGCCAGCGAGGAAAAUGAAAGACAGGCGGAUACCAGAACAUUGGAGUUGGCCAUGGCAGCACAAGGGCGGAUGUGUUGGCAGUCUUGUUGCAUCAUCUGACGGAAAAUACGUGCUUGUGCUACCAGUAGACGGCGAAAAUACGUUGGGUGUUAUAUGUGGUCGCGUGCACGAUUUACCAGGCACGUCGCGGCACGGCUUAGCGAGCGAGCGCACGCGUGUGGUAUCCUUCCAUCUCUCAACCAAUUUCUUGCAUCAAGAUUCCAUCUUAUAAGUUGGUUGGAACUCUCACAACUUUCAAAGUGAUUUUAUUAGCUAUGUAACUACCACCUAUUAUUAUGGGUCUUGGAAUUUAAUUGUCUAAUUGAACUUUAAGGGUUUAGGGUGUACAACAGUGAGACAGCUGCUGUCUCUAAGUUCUUGGAAUUUACAACAUAGACGGCUAAAUAGACAGCUCGUACAACCCACAGACAGCUGCUAUCUGUUUUGGCUGUCAACAAAUCAUUAAAUGUUUGCAUGCAACCAUGAUCAAUCAUGAAUAGUAUUUCUAUAUACUAUUGCGUUGCUAAUGGAUAGAAAAUAAAUUCUUCAAAGUAAAACAUAUAUUAUAUUAUACUAUAUAUUUCAAUCAAAUAUAACAUAGAUCUUCGUCCCCAUAAAUCAAAUACGACUGAAAUAUUCAUAUCUAAUUUUUUUUUGUUUCCAUAGCGAUGCCAUAUGUGUUCAACAAGAUCGUCCCUGAGUUGUCUAUACGUUGGCCGUGCUUGGAUAGCGGAAUUCCUUCUAAGCACCUCCGCGAAGCAUGGAUUGGGGUUAUCACUUGUAUGCACUUCAGGCGGGAGCACAAUCGUCGUACUUGCAUUCUCAUUCAAAUCCAAGGAAACUCCAGCCAAUUCCUUCUCAUCCUCCACUAUCAUAUUAUGAAGGAUAACACAAGCUUGCAUUAUGUUGAUAACAUCCUCCCGCUUCCAUAACCUUGCUGGCCGACGAACAAUAUCAAAGCGGGAUUGCAAUACGCCAAAUGCGCAUUCGACAUCCUUCCUUGCUCCUUCUUGCAUCAAUGCAAAUAAUUUGUCUUCACGGGUCUGGGGGGCUGUUAUUGUUUUCAAGAAGACCGCCCAUUCUGGAUAUAUUUUAUCAGCGAGAUAGUAGCCCAUAUCAUACUGUUUUCCAUUUACGGUGUAUUGUACCCUUGGAGCUUCCCCUUUUAGAAUAUUGAUGAACAAUGGUGACUUGUUUAGGACAUUGAUGUCAUUCUGAGACCCGGCGGUACCAAAGAAAGCAUGCGAGAUACGAAGAUUAUGAGAUGCUACUGCUUCAAGAAUCAUAGUAGGAACACCUUUGUCACCACGUGUGAACAUGCCUGCCCAACCUUUAGGACAAUUCUUCCAUGCCCAAUGCAUACAAUCGAUGCUUCCCAACAUUCCUGGAAAACCACGAGCCUCAUUUUCUUGCAGAAUUUUUUCUAGUUCGUCACUUGUAGGAGGGCGCAGGUACUCUUGACCAAAACAUUCAAUCACACCUACAGCAAAUUUUCCAAGAAUCUCCAAAGAAGUGCUUGCAGCAAUUUUUAGGACGUCGUCAAGUUGGUCGGCCGGCGAGCCAUAUGCUAGCAUCCGGAUUGCUGCAGUACACUUCUGAAGGGGUGAAUGUCCCUCUCUACCAGUUGCAUCAACUCUUCUAGUAAAAUAAGGAUCCCAAUUACUAAGAGUUUCAACGAUGCGCAGGAAUAAUGGUUUAUUCAUUCGAAACCUUCUACGAAACAUCUCAUCGGUGUAGAUAGGAUUUGCAGAAAAAUAAUUAGCAACAAGAUCAUCAUGACCUUGUUCUCGACUCCUUGGUAUGUACCUCCUUGGUCCACUUUGUCGUCGGCGCCGAGUCACAGACGAUGUUCCUCCUUCGAUGUCUGCCUUUAAUCCAUCUCCAAUCUGCAUCACAAAUUCUUCUACAAUUUCAUCUUCUGCUAGGAAAUCUUCCACGGUGAACACCUCUGUAGGAUCAAAGUCAUCGGCUUCUAGUAGAUCAUCUUCAUCAUCGGCAGGUGGAUGUGGUUCCAUAGUACUAGAAAAACAAAGUUUCUAUGCUGAAUGAAUGGAAGCAAGCCACCUAUUUAUAGUCUGCAGCCUAUGACUGGAUGGAAUUUCAUACGGGAGAUAUGCAGUCUGUACGCGGUUUCAAAGGAGACAUGCAGUCGGUGGACAAUUUCACAAGGGGAGACAUGCAUAUAGUGGACUAUUUAACAUACAAGUAACUGAAAAAUCUUGAAAUGCAUGCUUCUGGCAGAUCAGGUGUUUACCACGCAUUCACACAGGUUCACACAAGUAGACAUAUUCAAACAUUCGACAAGUAGACAUGUUCACACAAGUAGGUUUCAUCUAAUGCCUGUGUAAACGAAGGCAACAGGCCAUCAUCAGCUGGGCUGUUUACUAAAAGAACUAGCAAAUAUUUUUCUGUUGUUCAGCAGAAGACAACUCACCGUGGCUUUCAGCGCCCAAAAUUAAUUAUCCUGUACUUGAAAUCAUUAUAUAAUUAGUUAUCAGCUAUUCUAUAACUGAAAAAAAAUAAAACUACAUAAUGUGUGCAUACCUGACUAGCUCAUUUCAGGAAAUAAAGACUUCCUAAGACACUUCAUGGCAGCAACACGUUCAGCUUUUUCUUCAUCAGACAUUGAACUUGUAUCUUGAGAGAUGAGAGAGUUGUAAGCUUGCAUCAUCUUUGAUUCCUUCUCGAGCCUUUUUGCCUCUUUGGUCUCUUGAGCAGUAAGAUGAGCCAGUCUAGUGGUUUCAAGCUUUUCAGAUGAUAACUUAUGUUGUAGUUCCAGUACCUUCAUGCGGUUUGCAUUUAAAUCUUCCUGAAUUUUACUAAAUUUAUCGAGCUUCUCCACAUCAAUGGCCGAUUCCUUUGAUUUUCCAUCAUUAUCCAGGUUUGAUCCUUUAGACUUCAUUUUUGCAGCAAGAGCAGCCUUUUUAGCUGCCUUUUGUCCAAUAGGUCGCUCUAGCAUUUCUUCAAUAUCAUCAUUUUCAUCCUUUUGUCCUUCAAUGCAAUAUGACUUUCUUUUACGAGCAUUCUUGAGGUCUUCAUUAUAUGUUUUCCACUUUGCCACAUCUCGGCAUAUUUUCCAAACAUUCUUUAACACAAAGGGACCUAGCUUUGCCUUCUUGUUGUCUUCCAAAUAGAACUUGUCUGCUGUAUCAAUCCACAUCUGAUCGGAGUAGCCACUUGUGAAUAAUCUGCGAGCCUUCAAAUAUGCAGAUUCAUAUAGAUCAAUCUACCGAUUAAUCUUGUGCCAUCGAUCCUUGGCUUGCUUUGAAUUUCUUUUCCUCUGUGACGGGAUAGUCAUGUUGUAUGACUUGACAACAUCACCCCAAUAGUGCUCGUUGUUCCUAUCAGCUCCAACGGAUGAGUCUGUUGAAUUUUUCAACCAAGCACUCAUCAGUUUCUCAUCUUCUUCUGGUGUCCACAAGAUCCGCUUCUCUGUCCUGACAUUCUCAGUAUCACUAUCAACUUCAAUAGCCUCCUGUUCAGAUAAAAUUUGUACUUCUUGAGAUGAAUUUCAACUGUUGUUAGGCUGCAGUGCAUCCAUUGAGGCAAAACUGACACCAACAUCGACAGGCCUUGGUGCCUUGAAAGGUGCAUAAUGAGAUGGAGCACCAACAAAAUGUGAAUUCUGUGAUAAAUGGGAUUGGUUGUUGAAUAAGCCCAUAAAUGCACCAGGAGGGUGUGUGCUGUUGUCCCUGCAAAAUUGUAUACAUGAACUUAAUAUUCACUGAAACAGUUCUCUACCAGGGGAUACACGAGCUAGCAUUUCCUUUGUUUUUAGUUAGCAUAGAUUCAACUUUGAUCUUAAAUGGCAUCCAUUUAACAAAAAAAUGACUGACUGCACACUGAAGAUAAUUCUAAAUUGACCGACUGAACAUAUUUAGCUAUUGAUUCAGUGAUCAUCACUGAACACAUACAUGCAGCCACCAAUUCUAUUGAACUGGAAACAUUCAGUACCUUGAAAAAAUCAGUGAUUACUAAAUACACAUUCGGUAAUUUAGUUAUUAAUUCUACUGAAGUGAACACAUAGAUCUUCUAGUUCCUAUCCCAAAAACAUUAGCACUAUCAGUAACUGGAAAAUAUAAUUGCAGUGCAUACCUAGUUAGAUACUCUCAGCAAAACAACAAGCAGCAACAUAUGUAAACUUGUGAAUUAGAAAAUUAGCAAAUAUUUUUGGAAUUACCAUGCUGGAUCCCAACUGGAUUGUUUCCCAAAUGAAGGGGAACUUGGACUGAUGGAGCCACCACAUCUGCCGUGUGAAGAACCAACAACGCCAAAUCGGAUUGGGUAGCCUUGUCUGCCAUGGAUUGGUGGAGAAUUGAAGCUGUCUGCCAUGGAUUGAGGAUGAAUCGAACUUGCCGAGGGGUUGGUUGUUGGGGACGAGCUACUUCCGCGACCGACGAACGCCGCCGUCGCACUGUUGCUGAGGCUGACGAGGUUGGGUGCUAGAGCCGAACCGCUUCCACGAGGAACUUUGGUCGCAGCCGCACCCGCUGCCGCUACAACCGCCCGCGUCGUUCCUGCUGCCGCCGCCGUCUUGCUCUUCGAAGGUACCGUGACCUUCCUCUUCGAAAGUGAUGCCAUCCUGCUAGACAUCGCUGGAGAGGGAAGAGGCAGCUCUCGGCAAUGGCACGCAAGGGCGGCGGAGACUGUCGAGGUGGAGAAAAUGGCAAAGAUGAAACAUAUACGGCGGGAGAUUUGGCGCGCGCACAACAGGAUCCGCACGGUGUCGACGAGGAGGCGAUGCUCCGUACAACGCACAGCCAGCCGUCUUCUUCGUCUGGGAGCACGAGCGCUUGCCGUCAUCUCCCCACGCGACGGCUUCCCUCUCUCUCUUCAGUUACUGCAGUGAAGCGAGGGGGAUUUUGCAAAACUUCCAUCGUGAGACGACGGCUGCCACGACCGUUGUUCCUAUAACAGCUGGCGGCGCGGUGCUGGUGAACGCGGCACACCGCCACAGGCGCCUACAUCUCCACGCGCAACACAGCUCGAGGCCGAUUGCCCUAUACGGUCGGGUCGCGACCAACGAGUACACUUGAGUCACGUUUACUCGAAUCGGGUUGGCAAAUUAAAGUUGUAAUCGAACUCGCCGAUCGACGAACACGGAUAAAACUGAAGGCAUUUUCGGAUCGAUCUCAUCACUUUUGUCUGCGAGUUGCCCCCUCAUCCUGCCGGUCGCCGGGAUCCCGCCCUCGCCGUGCCUGCUGUUAGGUUCCAAUCCUGGUCUCCGCCGGUCCGGCCGGCGUCCACCGCGAUGGCCUUCCCUUACAUGCCGCUCUUAUCCACCAGGCCGCUGGGGAACCUCGCGUUCGUGGAGCUGGAACCAGGCUACCGGCCACUAUUCCGGAGGGCGAGCCAGGCCACCAGGAACUUCUGCAGGCUCCAUCAGGGUACUCUCAGGAUUCAGCUUCCUCAUUACACAUGAAGACGGAGAGGCAUAUGCGUAGCUUGGCUUAUGCUGGUAGUAUUUCAGAGAGAACCUUUUUCUGAUUCUUGGAAGCUAGAGGUUACCAUAUUAGCUUCUCACUUCUAUGAUAGCGGUUGGAAACAACCUAUUAUGCAUUCUGCUUCAUGUCUCUUCAUUGCAAGGAGUAUCUCAAUAAAAUCCACCAUGGUUUGCUGAUACCCAUUCAAGAUUGACUAAUUCUAUAUAGAUUUUUAUUUUUCAUUGAAGCUCCCCCUACUCACAUGGUUUUUGCAAUUUGAGCAUGAGUGUUCCACCUGAUUUCUAUUCUAUACACAUUUACACUUUGAAAUUGCUGAAGGACAGUUGAGCUGAUAUAUGUUGUAAAUUCAGUGACGCAUCGCAGGCUCAAAAGACAUGAGGCUGUGAACUAGUAAAGGAUAAGAACAUUUCAUUUCAGAACAUAUCAGAUAACAUUGCGAGAGUAUGUUGCAUUUGAUACAAUACAUCCUUUUGCAAAAACAAAAAGCAGCAUGAGUAGUGAACUACUGGUCAGACAAUUCCAUCAACAGCGAACAGCACACGCUGUUACACAAUCCGGGGCUAAGAAUAAUGUUGACAGACAGGUCGCAGGUUGAUCAAAAGAACUAAUCCAAGAGAAGCCAAUGUACAGUUGAGCACAAUUUUGGCAAAGAAUCAAAGCUACACUUCUGGAAUGCCACACUCAUCUCAGUACCACCGCAUGCACAAUCACAUAUCACCAUCGAUGCAAGCCUACAUAACAAAGGUCAAAGGCUGACAAUUUUAUAUAGAAAGUUGGGAACAAAUAAAAUAAGAUAACUAUGGCCUACACUUACCCAUAAGAAAAUGAUGAAGUGUAGACCGGCUGAAACAAUGACCAAUAUCCAAAGCGCUGCUACUGAGUCUGGGAAGAGCAACCAGUGGCAGUAAAAGAUCACGAGAAGUGUGGCAGCUGCAAGGAGGAGCAUUCAAAUUUAUUCAGCAGAACUAAUAAACUACCAAUCUACAAGUGACGCCAUUUGGCAACUCGUAUAAUAAGAGAUAUCUUUAUACCUAGCAAGCCAAUGCGGCUGGCGAGCCGGGUAUAAAAAUGCAGAAUCCGAGAUCGUACGAUUAUGCAGGGCACACCAAGACCGGCCAAACACCAGAUCCAGGUGAUCCUGAUGCGUUUUGGCAGAAGCGAGGCACGGUUGGUACCGAGAAAUGCCUUACUAGGAAAGAGCAUUCUGAUCUUUCUCCACCCCAUAUACCUAUGUUGGGUAUCUUGUUUGACACUGAGGAGCAGGUGGCGUACUUGUACGUUGCAGGUGCUUCGGCACAUACUUUGUGGAGUUGAAUGCUCACUUUCGGUCCGAGUCAGUUUAACCAUGUUUCUUUGAACUAUUUACGUAUAUGCCGUUCGUCUUGUUAUGGGCGGAGUUCGGUCUGAGACUAGUGGUGGAUAGUGCUUAACCUGUAUGCGGAUUAGAGGAUUAGUGUACGGAGUUCGAGGCGUUGUCCUACUCUGACCAGACUGCACCCCCGCGUGGGUAGGUUUCACAGCUUCGAGGUCUCCAACUGGUGACGGCGUACCCUGCAGUGGAAGACACUACCAAACUCGAGGAAACAGGAGAGUGCUAGCCACCUACUAGGGCUUCGGCCGUUAGGUAGGGUUUGGACGGUUGAUUCUCGUUCAGGCUCCAUCCGUGCGGGUACAGAUGUACAAUCUCUGCAGAGCGUAUAACCUAUAGCUAUAGUCUGUGUCCACUAGUUUGGACAGUCCUUUGAUCUGAUACUCUGACUAGAUUUUUACUACUCUUCUACCUCCCCAUUUUGAGAUGGAUCGGCGUUUGCCGUUGAGAUGUGAUGGGAGGGAGCUCUCACAUCGCCUAGUGUUUGUGUGCUGGAUUCUUGGGUAAAAGAUAUGGUGGUUUAUGACGACUUCCUUGUUGUGAGGUGUUGACCUCGAAUAUGGUAUUGCUUUGAUGCAUCCUUGAUUGUUACUUCUGCUACUACAUAACCUAUACAUCCAUAUAUAGGUUUAUCCAUGCAUAUAGUAUUAUUCCCCCAUUUCCUUAGCUCGCUGGUAUUGGGAGUUGACAUGGUCUACCCGCUUCUCAGGUAAACGGUGGCUUUUCAGGAUCGGAGCCCGACUAUGACUUCAACAACGAUGGAUGAGAAGAUUAGGAAUGAUCCCUCGCUCAAGUCACCUCUGAAAAUGGUGUUCUUCAUAGCUCAUGUUUACAUUGCGUCUAUGUUUUACCUUUCGUGAUUCAGUUCUGAUGGACUUGUACAGGCAUGAGCUGAAGAGUUGUACUCGAUGUUUAUGAUAUUAUUAUUUUUUUGCUACUUUAUAUUUCUGUGUUGGUAUGGAUUUGUACUAUCUAAGAUAGUGAUUCGCACGUGAUAUCUUUUCUGGGACUAUUAUGGAGGUGUGUAGGCUUGAUUUCUUAGAAUUGGGAAUUCAGGUAAUUUCAAAAGGUUUGCUCCUUGUGAAUGUUUCGAAGGUUCAACUUGAUGAUCUAUCCAAGUGCAAGCUACUGAGCUUGCCCUGUUCUCAUGGAAGCCGCUGCCGCAGUGCCGCCUGAGGGGACGGGGAAAAGCUGUCGCCAGCAGGCUCUAGUAACGUACAUUUGGCCCAUUGGCAGCUCACCACUGGAAGUUGCACGCGCGUGGCCUGUUAGCAGCCGGUUGAAGCCCAAUUAAGAUAAAUGCCUUGAUUUGUUUUCUUACUCUUUCCUUCGUUCGGUCCAUGUAUAUUUUGCGGCCCAUGUGAUAUAUUUCGCGGCCUGUUAGCUGAAAGCGGAUCGUGCGGAAUCGAAGGAGCAGAGUUGUAUGCAGACACAAUAACUAGCACACAAAAUGCCAGUAAACAGUAAGACAGCAAUUCGACUAGAAUAAUGCAAUUGGUACGCAAAAUGCCAGUGAACAAUCAGACAACAAUUAGACUAGUACAUGUGCUGCAAUCAAAUUUGGGUCUAUGUGUCAUCCAUCUGCACAAUAACUAAUUCCCAUGUCAUCAAAUAGCAUAAUCCCAAUCCACCCUCAUGAAGAAAUUAUUAAAGUCAAACAUGUUUGAUUAAUACAAUAUGGAGCUUGAGAGUUUUCUUUUUAAAAAAUAAUGGACCUUGAGAAUUUAGCUCGAGGUCGCUGCAGACAAGCAGCACCCUGGGCAAGGUGACGUUCUUCAGUCUGCGGGUUCAAAAAGUUCAGAAACUCGAGGUACCAAACGAAGUCGUUCUUUGUUCAGCGAUUUGAUGCGGACUGCAAGUCACAAACGCAACCAUGCAAGGAACGACGAUCAUCAUCCCUCCUACGGUUUUCAGCUUUUCACUUUGUUCGCUGCUUAAGUAUCUUUAUUGCCCGUUUUCAGACUGUAAGCAUGUUCAUUAUUCGUUUAGCUAAAGUGUGUUUGAGCCUGAUACGAACACUAAUUAUCAGUAGAGUAGCGUAAUCUAGACCUUCUAAUAUCUGCUUCUGCCGAAUGAAAUCGAACCCCAACUAUCUAUACAUAAAUCUAUCAUGUUCUUCAUCAUAUUUUUGUCAGACUUCUUCCGUUUCUAACACGAACGAGGCCUGAUGCUCUUAGAAGCCUCAUCACGAAGGAUAUGAACUCUUUGCAAGUCCCAAAACAACCUACAAUUUGGAACGCGGGGAGUAUUUGUCAUGGAUGCAGCUCAUUUGUGUGUGACUUCACAAAUAUAUAUUUCAUUCACAAUGAUGGAAAAGGAGCAAAGUCUUCACGAAAUACAAGCUGACCAAAACUCUCACCUUCAGGGUCCAUGAGCAAUCAGGUAUCCAAGUUCUACUCCCUCCGUUAGAAGGCUGAGGUAGGCUCACCAACACCUGCAAAAGAGGCUAAAGAAGACCAGAACCUGCUUGCAGGCUUGAAGCUAGUCGAUUUCCCAAACGGUCACGAAUUUGCCACAGGAUCAGACAUUUGACACAAGCAUUCCAGAACAACAAAUUAUCACCAGCAAGGGCUAAAUGGCUGGCUACUUCAGACAUUCAGUGUAAGCAUUCCAGAACAAGAAACAGAUUAUCACCAGCGAAGGCUAAAUGUUCGGCCAAAUCUGAACAAGAUAUAACAGCAGAGCAAGAGUGAAACGUUUAGUCUGGGAAACUAUCUCACAAUUCUGCACUCACUGUAGCAUUUUCAAACGCCAAACCCCCAUUUACCACUUUUUCGAACAAUCAAAUCCCUAUUUACUGAUCCCUGUACAAUCAAAUCCCCAUAGGCUCUGACAGACCGAUCAAUGAAAACAAAGAAAGAGCUCCUCGCACCUUCUGACUCACACAUCCUGUAGUGCUCGCACAAAUGCCUGCAUGGCAAGAUAUGCUGAUUGUUAAGGUUACACAAAGGUGGAAAGCUAAUGCCAAAGAUAGUAUGGUAACUGUGUUCAGGAACAUACCCAUAUCAAGAAAACAAAAUGAACAAAGCCACAAAAGCCUAAGGAGAUGUGAAGAGUGCCUGGGGCUUUGAUGCCAAGGAUCCAAUAGAUGAAUAAUAUGGCAAAGAUGCUGAUACCUACAAUGGAUGUGGAGAAGCAGGUGAGACCUAGCACUGCUCGAUGAGCAAAAUAUGAUAUAUAUAUAGCAAUAGAGGUAAAAACGUACCAAACAUUCCAACUCGAGAUGAUAUCAUCGCAAGCAAGCGCUCAACCCAAGAUCUAGCGGUCGAAGUCAACAGAACACCAAUGGCCACAAUAGUAAAACAGGAGGAGAGUACCAGAUUAAUUUUCCAUCUAUCUUCGUCGCUGAGAGCCCUUGGCACAUUACCGGUGCUGGCUGCCAGGUAGGGCACCAGACUAAACCAACCACUCAGAGCAUAUCCCUGCAUGCUUGCUUCCCACUGGUUUCCCUGCAGGAAUAAGAAUAAUGAGAAAGAGCAAUUGGUACCCAAAAUGCCGGUGGAUAAUCAGACAACGAUUCCACUAGUUCAAUGCAAUCAGGUAUGCGGAACGACAGUAAAUGAUUAUACAGCAAUUCAACUAGUAUGCAAAAUGCCAGUAAAUAUUCAAACAGCAAUUCGACUAGAACAAUGCAAUUGGUAAGCAAAAUGCCAGUGAACAAUCAGACAACAAUUAGACUAGUACAUGUGCUGCAAUCAAAUUUGGGUCUAUGUGUCAUCCAUCUGCACAAUAACUAAUUCCCAUGUCAUCAAAUAGCAUAAUCCCAGUCUACCCUCAUUUAGAAAUUAUUAAAGUCAAACGUGAUUAACACAAUACUUGUUCUGGUGUAAUUUGGGUAUAUGCGUUCCAUCGAUCCAUGGCCAAUAACAACGGCUGAGGAGGACCAGGUGGUGGCUCAUUCUGUACGCUGCCAGCAGCAUUCCCUCUCUGCUGUGCCCUCUCCUCGGUGGCGCGCUCACUGCCUCCAUGGCCUCUGCUGCUUGCUGGUGCCUCAGGCACGCUUCCGCCAGCUCCGCCACUGGAGCGCGGAGCCGUGAGAUGGCCUCUCGCUCCAGUUCCAUCGCUGCGGUGCCGAGCUCGGCGACGUCCGCGCUUGCGUUGCCUAGCCCCAUCAAUGCGUGCAUGGCCCAAUCCAGGUGGCAAUGGGGCACGCCGACAUCGUUGGCGAGCUUCUGGAUGAUGCGGGCUCGCGGUAAGAUCUCGUCGCGCACGUGCUUCCUCGACUCCUUGAGUAGCAACUCGACGGAGAUCUCUGGGCGAUCCUUUGCGCCUGUUGCCUAUAAACACUUCCGAAUUGAAUGGGCGUAAACCCGCAAUCCCCAGCGAAGGGCAUGAACCCCAAAAAAUUCAUCCCGAUUUGUUGUUGCCAGACCUGAGGGGGCAGAGGCGGAUCCUCGUCGGCGAAAAGGCGGGUCUCCAAGCUGUUCCUGCGGUGGCGCUGGACCCUCCCCCUCCCCCGGAGCAGCAACCACCACCAUGGUCCCGCAACCCGCUCCUCCCGCUGCUCCCCCAGCUUCGCCGUGGCGCGCCGCCCCUAUCCAGUGUCCUCUGCGGUCUUCAGAUGCUCGCGUCACGCGCUCGCCAAGUCCGACGCGACGCCUCGAAAGGCAUCCAGCUUGACCCCAAGCGUGCCCUCCAGCGCGGUAGCCGUAUUGAGAAGGUCGAGGACGGCCUACGAUCUUCUCGCGCUGUCCGCCUGGGACAACGCUUCCGCGGCUGCCGUCAGGUUGUUGUCGGGCACACCGUCGACGCUGACGUGCUCGAGGGCGAGCCUCACGAGCUCGGCAGCGCUGCUUCUCAGAGCCCCCUCCCCCAAAAUGGAGAUCGCGCGGGAAGCGGCGUAGAUGAAUUCGUCGGCCAUCUCCGAUUGAGCGGAGCGGCCGAGCGGGAGAGGGAAAGAGAUUGGGAGAACGUUAUGGUCUUAUGGAGUCCUCGACGGCGUUAAGGAGGGGGUAACGGUACACCCUUCCGCACCAUAUUUUCAAAAAAUCAUAACUAAUUCAUAUCAAUUUGGAUGGAGAUAAACUUUAUAUGAAAAUUGUAGAUCUCGAUGAGAUCUACAACUUUGUAGGUAAAUUUUUUUUUAUUUGAUGUCAUAUUGGUGCUCAAAUAAUCGACACAAGUUUCAGAUCUAAAUUUUUGGAUCUAAAACUUGUGUUGAUUAUUUGAGUACCAAUAUGAUAUCAAAUGAAAAAAGUUUUAACUACAAAGUUGUAGAUCUCGUCGAGAUCUACAAUUUUCAUAUAAAGUUUAUCUCUAUCCGAAUUUAUAUGAAUUAGUUAUGAUUUUUUGAAAAUAUGGUGCGGAGGGGUGUACCGUUACCGCCGCCUGGGCCGGCGGUAAGGCCCUUCCGCCGACCCAGCCGACGAUAAUAGCCUAGUUUUGCAAUUUUUUUUGUUUGACUAUAUAUUUUUCAAAAUGCUAAAAUAAAAAAUAUAAAAAUUAAAAAAGUUCAGAAGUUGCACGCGCGUGGCCUGUUAGCAGCCCGGUUGAAGCCCAAUAAAGAUAAAUGCCUUGAUUUUUUUUCUUACUCUUUCCUUCGUUCGGUCCAUGUAUAUUUCGCGGCCCAUGUGAUAGAUUUUCUAUUUUCGAUAAUAUUCCCUUUUUCAAUUUUCUUUUCGUUUCUUUGCCCCUUUUUUCUUUCUUUUUCCUCUUUUAGCAUAUUUUUUAUUUUCUAUUCUUUUCUUCUCCUUUUUUUUGUUUAUGGAUAAUACUAAUUUUUCUUAUAUUGUUCUUUUCUCUUUUAUACCAAAUGUUGGUUUGCUCUUUCAUAGAUGGUACUUUUUAUCUUUUUUCAUUUCCCCCUCUUUUAGAUUCUUUUCUCUUUUCAUUCCUUCUCUUUUUUUCAUUUACGUAUAAUACUUUUUUUCCUUUUUAUAUUUUUCUUUUCUUUUUUAUAUUUUAUGGACAGUGUCGUUGCUCUCUACAUGUAGGUGGGUAACGUGGUAUGAGAAUGGAUUCAUGAACUACUCUGAUAACAUUAGUUGCAAGGCGUAUCCAUGUCCCCAAAACAAAAUCUACUGAUUGAUAAGUAUCCAUCUCUAUACCGCAGCUCUUGCAUUAGUUGAUAUUAAAUCAAUGUUGGGCCCGAUCUAAAACCCAGGUCGAGUCCAUGCAUCGGAGACGCCCAUCCAUCCACGGGCAAGCAAGUGGGGGUCGGAGCCCACUAUAGCCCCAACAGGGCUCCGCCGGUGUAGGUGCGGAGUACAUCCAUACGUAUCCAUGUCCCAAAACAAAACCUGCCGAUUGAGUUAGGCACAUGGGAGGCAGGGAGAGGAGGACGUAGCUAACACUUCCAUGGCUACAGGCUGCGUUGUUCACCUAACGUGCGUUUCAAUUCUCUAGAGGUCAAGGAGCAAACCCGCGCCCACGCGCCCACGUUCAUCUCGGAAAAAAAACAAAACAAAACUGCGCGCCACGUUUCAGUCAGGACUCAGGGCAGAUAUUCCUCCGGCAUAUUUGGCCUGUUGGCAACCAAGGUCCAAGCAAGAUUUUUGUGAUGCAUCAGAUCGCUUUGCUGCAUGCAGCACACGCAGCGGAAUCACGCAUUCGCACACAGGCAGCCUGCGGCAUGCCCUGGCCCCUGGGUGCCUUGUUGUGAAACAACUCUUUCUACGGCUCUCUCUCUCUCUCUCUCUCUCUCUCUCUCUCUCUCUCUCUCUCUCUCUCUCUCUCUCUCUCUCUCUCUCUCUCUCUCUCUCUCCCCCACAUCAAAAGACACGAAAGCUUUUGACAAGUGCCCCUAUGGCCCCUAUCUGUCGACUGUCGAGCUAUAGCUUUCUGUACUACUACCCCCUCAACGGCAAAGGAUGGCCUUGAGUGACAGUCCAGCUUUUCAGCUGUCGCCAUUAGCGAGCAUCGACAGGCUAGCCAGUAGUAGUAACACAGCCACGGUUCGGUACUCUGCUAAUCCUUGGUUCAGAAAAGAGAAGGCAGCUAAUUACAGUACUGAUUCAAUGAACAAGAAGCUCUGUCACGCUCGCUAAUCGCCAACCACCAACACGGCAACGCUCGCUAAUCACGCCACGACGAGGACGCCUGGACGCGGUCGCCACUCGUUGGUGUUGGUGCGUAGGACAGGAAAGGACAGGUGGUGGUGGUGGACGCGCGAGACAGAUUCCUUUCCAUUCCCGACGCCGCCGCUGUCCUUCUCCAACCUCUGCUGCGAUGCUGCCGCUCCGGGCUCGGAUCGCGCGACACAGCUUUUGGAGCCAGAGCCAGCAAUCGGGAGAAUGGACAGCACGUCAGCACGGUUGGGAGGAGCGGCAGAAUUCCCACUCUGCCCUCCAUCGCUAGCCGAGGAAGCGAACGGCUGGAGGGCAUGAAGGUCUUUCCAAGCUACUAGAGCCUGCAGGCUGAACCGAAGUAGCGAGCCCGAGCUGGCAGCCAGCCUUGAGCCUUGAGCUCGCCCAUCCCAUCCGACGAGGAGGCCGAUCUGUCAGAAGCUCAGGAAAGAGGCAACAGAACGUGCCUUUUUACCGAAAAGCCCCCGGAAAUAUUCUCCCCCUUCCCAGCUGCCACGCGCACGGUGGAGAAAUCGCCCACGCGCUUGCGGCAAUCGCGCCGCACGCCGGCUACGAGUAUCCAGCAGCCGAGCCGGUGAGUUACAGCGGAGUGAGGCGACCGUUGCGGCGCAUCGCAUUAAACUACCCUGCCAGGCCAGCUGCCGACCUGCCGCGCCCCACCCCCACCCCACCACCGCUCCACGCCGCGCACGACCGGCGGCGGCACGGCGUCCGGUCCGGCGGGUCGAGUUGAGUACUUGAGUUGAGCCGGCGGCGCGCGGGGGGCGAUCGCGUCGGCUACGGCCUCCAGGUGGGUGGAUCCGUCCUCGCUCCGGGUUUCUCGCCGGAAUUGCUCGUUGCCGCUUGCCCGCUUCCGUUCUCGUUCCCGGUGCGAUCUGCGGCGUGGGCGCUGAGAAAGCUGCGUGAUCUUCCGCAGGAGUUUGAUCUGAUCGGGCGGCCGUUCUCGGAUUUGAGGAUCCCGAUUCGGUUUGCGCGACGGGGUGUAGCCGCACUCUUUUCCUUGUCCCCGUUUGGCGGCUCCUCACGUGGGAUUUGACUGAAGGAAUUGGUUUUCUCCAUCUCGUGUCGAAGUGGAUUUGGUCAAAGUCAGGCCGACUGGAAGGGAAUUUUCCUGGUUUGGUUUGGAUUUGGCUUCGGCAAAGGGUCGAAGCGGAAGGUGGUUGGUCAUUAAAUCGCCGCUGCUGAACUCGCUGCUGUUGCGAGACCUGUUGGAUCGAAGAGCAGUUCACUGUGCCGUCCCGAGAGUAGCAGAACAAGAGGUUUACCGUUACAGUGGGAGGUCUCUGCUGUAAGUGCUGGUUUCUGUUGUUUGAGCCCAAUCUUAUCCAAAAUUUGGAUUUUUGGGGCCACAAGAGUAUACCAAGGCAUCAGGAAUCGCGUUUGCUUCAGGAAGACGAAUUGUUCAGCUCGUCCUUUUGUUGGUGGGAUCGGAGACUAGAACCCUAGGAAAAUGGGGGUGAUGUCGCGGCGGGUGCUGCCCGCCUGCAGCAGCCUCUGCUACUUCUGCCCCUCGCUGCGGGCACGCUCCCGCCAGCCUGUCAAGCGGUACAAGAAGAUCAUCUCAGAUAUCUACCAGCUGCCACCAGUAUGUCGAAUUCUGCAUUGCUUUUAGAUUCCAGCCGUUUCUGAUCAUAAUUGUAUUUCUGCAAUUGGGUGUGUGGUCAAAACUGAGAGGAAAUUUGAUGACAAUUGAACUUUUUGCGCUAUAUAGGAUGGAGAACCAAAUGAUAGAAGAAUUGGGAAACUCUGUGAUUAUGUCUCGAGAAAUCCAACACGCAUACCAAAGGUAACACACUCAACAUUCUCUCCCCUUUGCACAGAACAGAGACACAAUCAUUUUAGAUUUCCCCAAGAAUUAAGACUGAACUGAGGGUUGUGAGAAAAUUGAGUGCAAUAGCGCAAGAAAAAUGAAAAAAAAUGGAUUUGAGUUGAACUGAACAAUCACCCUAAUGGAAAAUUCUAAAGCUGAUGCUUUUUUUCUGUACUUAAUGCUAAUACGUCAAGAAAUGAAUGAAUUAGCUUGAUGCAACCAGAAUUCAUGGUCACACUCGAACCUUUUUUUUGUUCAGAUAACGGAGUAUCUUGAACAGAGAUUCUAUAAAGAUUUGAGGCACGAGAAUUUCACUUUGGCCAAAGUUGUGCCCUGCAUCUAUAGAAAACUUCUCUGCUCAUGCAAGGAGCACAGGUAUGUGUUAAGGUUCUGUUCUACCAAUGACGCAUUCAUAACAGUUCCUUGCUCUCAUGCUUAUCAUAUUAUUCUUGAUUCAGGCCAUUGCUAGCCACAAGCUCAUUAAGCACCAUUCGCACUCUUCUUGAUCAGAAAGCACAUGAUGAUCUACGGGUUCUGGGUUGUCUAAUGCUCAUUGACUUUCUCAAUGGCCAGGUUGUUUACAUAACUUGCAACAAUUUGCAUUUUCUGAUAGAUGUUGCCAUCUAUUUAACUUAAUUAGAUAUGUUUUAUAGGUUGACAGCACGCAUAUGUUUAAUUUGGAAGGCCUCAUACCAAAACUUUGCGAAAUUGGUCAAGAGCUAAGGGAAGAUGAUAAAGGCCUCCGUCUUCGAUCUGCUGCACUUCAGGCUCUUGCUUCUAUGGUAACAGUUUUCUAACUAAAAUUUUCCUAUGAAUAGUAUAAACCUAUAAGGUGUUCUUCACAGAUAUAUUGUAUGUACUACAUUGAUAUAACUCGGAGAUUUUUAGGUCCAACAUGUAUAUUACACUUAGUCUCUAAGUUUAAGUUUUCCUGGUUGCUUUGCAUUGCAGAUUUUUUUAUUCCCUUAGCCAAAAAUAUUAUCAAUGUAGUCUAGCACGAUCAAGUUGGGUAAAAACAAAACAUGACUUUUUCAUUUUAUUUCAUUUGCAGUGUGGCUUGUAAUCAUGCAAAUAUUCUUCUUUGUUUUACCCAGUUAUGACUUGGUUUUCCUAAUAUUUUACCUUUUGUGGUGUGUACCAUCUGACUGCCAUCUUGUUAUCAGGUCCAAUACAUGGGUGAUCACUCCCACAUUUCAAUGGAACUUGAUGAAGUAAGUCUUUGUUGCUUUUAUAUUGUUACAAGGUGCAUAAUUAAUUUCGUACAUGGUCAUCACUUUCAUAUUUUAAUCAAACUUGAUGAAGUAAGUUUUUAUUUCGUAUUAAAUUGAUUCAUUUUGUAUAAGGAAUAGGAUAACCCAUUUCAUGCAAAAGAUACAAUCAGAAUCAGUGACUUCUGAAAAUUGUAGAUAUAGACUACUUCAUAUUGAAAGGAGUUCAACAUUAAUUUUCAUGAAACAAAAAAAGUAACAUUUCUGAAAUCAGGAGUGUUUUGUCUAAAUUCCAUAUUCAUUCUUGAACACAGGUUGUCUCAGUGAUCAUAAGCUGUUAUGAGGUUAAUCAAACCCUCUCAAUAAAAGAGGUUGUCAGACUUCAAGAUGAUGAUGAUUUGGUCAUCAAUGGGAACUUGGCUGUGGUACCAGUGUCUGGACAAAACAGUGCCAAAGUGGCAUCUGAUACAAUGUGAGUUCUCCUGCCAGUGUAAUGUGUCACUUUCAUAUUUCCAGAUCCUUUUGCAUCUUUCAUUCCUAUAAUGGCUUAAUGUGUCAGCAGGUCUGUGUCUGAAAAUCCAGCACAUUGGGCUAGGGUUUGCUUACGUAAUAUGGCUAAUAUUGCAAAGGAGGCAACAACAGUGCGGCGUGUUCUUGAUCCUCUCUUCCGCCUUUUUGACAACCAUGACUAUUGGUCUCCUGAAAAUGGGAUCGCUCUAUCUGUUCUGCAAGAAAUGCAGAAACUGAUGGACAAAUCAGGUGCAGCAAUUUCCACCCAUGUAAUUUCUUUUUCUCCUUUCCCCCCCAUUUAAUUAUGCCUUUCAAUCACUAUUGUUCAACAGCAGACAAAUUAAAUACUCUGUUAACUUCCUGUUCUCCCCAAUAUUGCCAGGGCAACAUGGCCAUUUGUUGUUAUCUUUCACUAUAAAGCACAUAGAUCAUAAGGUUAUUGCCAAGAAACCUGCCAAGCAAAUCAACAUUGUAAAAGUUGCCUCAAAUCUUGCAAGGCAUGCAAAGUUGAAGGCAUCGGUGACAAUAGCAACUGCAAUCAGCGACUUAAUAAAGCACUUGCGCAAAUGUAUGCAUUUUGCUAUUGAAGCAUCUAAUGCUCAUGCUGAUGAUGACAAGUGGAACAGUGCACUCCAUGUGGCCUUGGAGGAUUGCCUCGUGCAGUUGACAGAAAAGGUUAUCAUAUUGUUUUGGUUCCUUGUUACUAACUACCCCUUGCUCUCAUCAUAGAGAUAUUUAACUUGUUCAUUUCACUUCAUAGGUUGGGGAUGUUAGUCCUAUUCUUGACAUGGUUGGGGUAAUGCUUGAGAAUCUCUCUCAUACUGCUACCAUCGCAAGAUCAACAAUUUCAUCUGUUUAUCGCACAUCACAAAUAGCAGCUUCUGUCUACAAGUCAUCAUACCAUCAGAAGGCAAGUUCCGGGCAUGCCCACUACUGCUGUACUGCAUGAGAAGUAUUUUUUUCCUUUAAAAAUGAUAACGUGAAUUUCUUGUGCAUAUCUCAGGCAUUUCCUGAAGCUUUAUUUCACCAGCUUCUCUUAGCAAUGUUGCAUCCAGACAAUAAGACAAGGAUCGGUUCACAUCGUGUUCUAUCCACCAUUGUCGCACCUUCACUGCUGUGUCCAUGGUCAGCCAUGAGCUUUCCUAUCCCAGCGAAGGGUGAUGAUUUGCAGAACUUACGCCUGUUGGCUCUCUCAGCUUUCUCUUCUGAAGCCAUAAUCAAUGAAAUGAGGACCAAAAACAAGAUCCAAGAAUCCUUGCAGAAAAAUGACAAAUCAGAAGCUAUAGUUGGUCCUGAGAAUGGAUACGCACUGACAGAACCAAAUACAAGGCAGUAUCUAGGGAGCCCAUGUCUGAAUGAACAUCAUCUUACAGCAUUUAACGAUGAAGUAUGAAAUCCAGCUGGCAUAUCUAUACUACCUUGUUCUCCUUUUUUUGGCAUUGCUUGUUAGUGUCCAACUGAUUUAUCAUCUUAUUCUCUUCCAUACAAGCAGAACCUAAAGUUCAUGAAGUUGAACAACCACCAGAUUGAUCUUCUUCUUUCAUCUAUUUGGAGUCAAGCAUCUCUGGAGGAUAACUCACCUGCGAAUUUUGAGGCAAUGGGACAUACCUACAACAUUGCUUUAUUUUGUUCCAAAUCAAAAGUAAGUCAAGAUUCUGCAUAUAUUACUAUUGUUAUCCCAUAGCCAAGGCUACUGUUUUGUAAUAUCAAAUGUAAUUUCCCUUAAUUAGAUAAAACAUAUGCUACUAAGAUUUGUGAGCUUAGAGGAUACUCUUCUGUUCUGAGGGAAGGCCCUGAAAGAAUUAUGGAGCAGAGAACUAGAAAGAUUCUCCCUGUUCGUGUUAAUGUGUCCAUUUAAAAUUUAUGUAUUACAUUCUCUUUUGCAAAUGUUAUUAUCAAGAAAGCAUGGAGUGCCCUUUUAGAUUCCCAGGCUAGUUGGGUCCAGCGACAUCAUUAUGUUCUUAAGACAUGAAGUAAUGUACUGUGUACCACUUGUGUGACCGACGUAUUUUCAUGGCAGAGCUCCAGUCAUGUGGCACUAGUCCGCUGUUUCCAGUUGGCAUUCUCUAUCAGGAAAAAGUCUCUUAGCCAAGAAAGUAAGUUCCUUCACCAUUUCCUGCUCUGUUCCCUUCUCCACUUUUACAUAAGUAACUGAUGUUUCAAGAACUUAUAGCCUGUUAGGAUUUCACCAAAGAGGAAUGUUCUCUUAUUUUGCUUUACCAUAUCAUGUCAUAUUUUAAAUGUAUGGCUUGAUUUACUCUCUUAACCUUUUCACUGCAAUAAAGAUGAUUUGCAGCCAUCUCGUAGAAGGUGUUUGCAUACAAUGGCAUCAGCAAUGCUCAUCUUUUCAGCGAAAAUAGCUGAUCUUCACCAGAUAAUUCCUCUUGUCAAAGCAGCAGCACCAGAGAAAAUGGUUCGUUGAUUCUGAGCAUGUAAAUAUUACAUGCGUGUUUUAUAGCCCUUGUAGCCUUAUAUAUUCCUAAGCAACUUAAUGUGAUUUUACUCUUUCGUUCAAGUUGCAUUUACUCUUUUGUUGAUUUUGCAGGUUGAUCCUCAUCUUUGCGUGAUGGAUGACUGCCAACUCAUUAAUACCUCUGCAGAGUCUGCGAACAGUGAGAUGGUUUAUGGUUCUGAGGAAGAUGAAAGUAAUGCACAUGCCUUUCUUUCAGCCAUAAACAAGGAUGAUGUGGAGUUAAUAGAAAUCGUGAUGUCCCAUUUUAAGAAGAAGUUUGAAAAUUUACCAGAGGUGUGUAUAGAUUUAUUUAGUAUUUUAUUUAUUUAUUUAUUUAUUUGUAUUGAACAAAGAACAUGAUAGAUAAUUUAGUGUCUUUACUGGUGACCUGCAGAAGUUUAAUGGGAUAGAAGAACAACUUCUUCAAGAGUUUUCCCUGGAUGAUUCAUUUCCUCUUGGUGCUCCGCUAUUCAUGGAGACACCACACUCUUGUUCGAUGUAUGCUGAAAAGGAUGACCACUGUUUUGAUGAGGUCCUUAGUGAUCCUUCACAGAUUAGUUAAUCUUGCAUUACAAUGUUAAUACUGACGACUGCAUUAUUGCUGUUCUAACUUUUCCUUUUUGUCUACUUGUCUUCUGCCCUCAGGAUGGUGUUCCUUCUGAGCUAGAUGAUGCCGAUGACAUCAUUUUCGAACACAGUGGAUCUCAAUCUGACAGGAAAACAUCUGGUUCUAUGGCUUCAUCAGAUGUUCUAACUGUCAACCAACUAAUAGAAUCUGUAUGUGCCAUCUUUGCUAACCUUUGCUGCUUCGCACCUGUUAGUUUGUUUGUUAGCUUUAGACCAUGUGUAGUCCCAUCAUUUUUAUGCAUAGCUGUUUGCCAUGCAGGUUCAUGAGACAGCAAGGCAAGUCGCUAAUGUUCCAGUCUCUGCCAACCCUGUACCUUACGACCAAAUGAAGAGCCAAUGUGAAGCCCUGGUUAUGGAAAAGCAACAGAAGAUGUCUGUUCUAUUGAGCUUCAAGCAUUCAAGGACUGACUCCCAUGGUUCAACCGGGGUAAAUGGACUUGAAACAAACGAGGCAUGUAUAUCUGCAAAAUCUAGAUACCACAUGUAUCAUUCAGAUUUCUGACUCGUGUUUUUUUCCUCGAGGAAAGUUCUGUUCAGAUCUUAACAUCACUCUUAUCGCUUGUCAUGUAUUGCAGUCAUCUCUGCGAUCCGAGCAUGAGUUGCAAUCAACUAGGAAGGGGCGCAUGCGCCGCAGCGAUUCAGCAUCCAGUGAAUCUGACUGUUCGUUCAGGCUGCCUCCUGCAAGUCCAUACGACAAGUUCCUGAAAGCGGCUGGACGGUAGCUUGACCCUUCACUUUUCAAGUCUGUAUACAAGAGAAUUUACAAGUUUUCCGAGUCAUUCCUUGGCACCCUUUCUUACUCCCCGUUCUUGGAGUUUAUUCUUUCAAGUGUACAUUUACAAUCCUCGACAAGGUGUACAAAUUUCUGUUACUGUUGGAGACUCAUAAUAAAUAGAAAUGUAUAGGUAAUCUCUCGUGUGCGUGGAUCUGGAUCGCACAGUAUUUGUUCAUUUGUUGGUCGUGAAAGGAAUAAUCUUUUACCCAAAUUCCUGCCGUGUCGCUGUUGAAGAAUUAAUGUGUAACCGAGAAUCAUGUCUUUCCUUUUGUUUGCACCUUCCAUCUUUGUUGAAACUUUCGGCUAUAAGCCUAUGACUCCAAAAUCACAUCUUGCUUGGCUUUCGUUCACUUCAGUUUAGCGACCUUGACGGCUGUAUGCUUGAGAGCAUUCAGACAUGCAGGGGGUACUGAAAUCACUACUGUACAGAACGGCAAGAGACGGCGGCGCGCAAGGACAGCCGGCCGGCGGCCGGGCACCCUUUGUUUCAGCCAACCGCCGGCGAGUUGAGCAUCGCCACGCCAGGCAAGACAAGCGCCUGACGGCCGCGUCGCCACCACCGGCAUCGGGAGGUACGCAAUAGCGCCAGUAAUUGGAGUUGGAGAACGAGACCGCGACGGGGUGGCGAGCGUCGUGACCGGACCGAGGGAGGAGGGACGGCGGCGGCGUGGCAGGGAAGGGGAGAUUUUUUUUUUCAAUAAUAGGAGGGGAGAUCUCGAUGAGGACUUGAGGAGUGCAAGCCCAUUUGUGACGUCGAGGCAAUCGGCGAACCGUCGCCGUCGCCGGACGGGUAGGGAGAGAGACCGCGGAGGACGGCGGGAUAACUAUUUUGUAAAUAAUCAGGUCGAGGAGGGCAUUAUUUGAAAAAUAUUGGAUCGCGAUUAUUAAUCGCGAUAAAAAUAGGGGGUUUUAUGUAAAUAUCUAGAUCGAGAUUAACCCCUUGUCUACUUCACUCCCAACUCCCAACUUUGACACUAUGCAAAAAGAAGAUUCCCCAUCACAUCAAACUUGCGGUACAAUACUAAAUGUAGACGAAAUUAAAAACUAAUUGCACAGUUUUGUUGUACUUUGCGAGACGAAUCUUUUGAGCCUAAUUAGUCAAUAUUUGGAUAAUAAUUCAUAAAUACAAACGAAACGCUACAGUGUGCUACAGUGCUGUAACAGUAAUUUGGCACCUCCCAAUUUUGCCAACUAAACAAGGCCUAAUAGUCGCGAUCCAAUUUAGGGGGUUUUCUGUAAAUAUUUGGAUCGAGAUUAAUAGUAGCGGAUCCAUUUUAGGAGGUUUAUGAAAAAGGUGUAUCAGGAUUCUUUUGUAAAAAAGAGGGGAAACCCGCCGCCGCGACGAGCUCACCAUGGCCAUGGCGGUUCCGGCCGCCGCAAAUCCACUUUGUCGGCCAGGCUGCAUCCCUGCCCCGCAGACCAGAGAGCUUGCGCGUUUUGCCAUCCCCAAACGAUGAGGAGGUACGAGACGAGAUGGAGGCGGCAGCGGCCGCCGCGAGAUCCAAUCGCUCUGCAUCGCAACAGCUUCCACGUACUGGUUCGCGUGCUGACUGCUGAGUGAGUGAGUGAUGGCUGUCUUGUUUGCAUAGGAUUUUAAUUAAUGCGGCAUUUCGCUCUCACAUUUCGAUUCGAGAUUGACGAGGAGCUCGCGGUUCCUUUUUUAUUGGAACUUUGCUGAUAACGUAGCAAUUAGCAAAAUCGUUGAACUUUUACCUUUAUGUUUUGCAAACAGGUGUUCUGAUGGAUGUAUCGUGGGCUCCCAUCAUCAUUCAGAGCAGAGAACUCGCCAAUCGUUGGAGGUAUUGAACUAUUGAUCCCCUACCUCUUGAGAAUUUAUGGCGAACCCUUUGUCCUUUGGAGGCUGGAUCAUGUGCUAAUCCGUUGCGGCGUCGAUGGCUGGCCUGCAGAGAUGGAGGGGCGGCAACAAAGGGAUCUCAGCACGAUUGGGAAAGCACCAGAGCACGAAUGCUACUUCAGCAGCGGAUUCCGGAAUCUAACAAUGCCGUGAAGCCUAGCUAUCUGAGUGAUGAGGGGUGGAGCUGAACUGUGCAUACACUGAAAGGCGAUGAGCGAGAAGAGUGUAUGAUAGUCAGGCGAUGCGUCAAUUUGGGAGAACAGGCAAUCGAAUCGAAACUUCGCAAUGAUCCAUGGGCUAUCUAUAUGGUAUUGAUUUACUGCAUCAGUUAUCUUAUAUUUUUGCUUUGCUGAAUUUGGAAUGCUUUCAUAAAUUUUUGGUUAAAUAGUCUUGGUGAGCUACAAAUAUGAGAAGGGCCAAUGUCUGAAGAAACAUACAAAGAUUUCGAGUUGCUCUGGUAUCUGAUGGUUUAAUAAUUUAAUUACUCAUAGGCUAGCUACUUGAUGACGUGCCACUAUACCAGUAUGGCACACUGCUAUGCUAUAUGGUGUUAUGAUAUUAGAUUAAGGAACCAAUGAUCUGCAGGUCCUCACCUACAAGUUAAUGACUUUAAAGAUGGCCAUUUUAGGAAUUUUGACACAUCUUGUUUAAGACUUUCUUUUGUUGUAUCUUAUGGUAAGAUUUUUCUGUUUCACUCACCAUCACAAACUUCUUCAUGAUGGCUAAAAAAUUUGAAUUGUUUUAUACAAGUCCUGGCACCCUUUACUUGUGCAGAUAAUUAUAAUCUGAAGUUCCUUUAUGUCAUGCGGCACAUGUCAUGUUUCUUUGGUACAUCCUAGAUGGAAAACAGCUGGCAUGAAUGACAAUAGAGGACUCUAGGUUAACGUCCAAGCAUCAGGGUUAUGAGUUUAUCUGCAAUAAAGUUAGCUGAUGACUUUUUGGAGGACUCAGAGAUUCCAGAUACCCAAUCCUCUAUUUAGUUUUCUUGCUCAAUGGUUUUUCUCAAGUAAAAGAUAAGAUAAGCCUUAAAGGAUCUAAAAGCUCAAUAAAGUAGCACAUCUAAAGCAUAAAGGACAUUGUAAUUCACAGAAGGUGUGAACAUUUACUUGCCCCAGUUGUGUGCCAAGUUGUGGGAUAACCAAGCUUGUAGCCACAUGAUAUUCGAAUUAGAAGUAAAGCUAAUACAGAAAAAACAGGAUCUGAAAGGUGCAGAACAUAUGAGCAAUCCAUGAUGUGUAAAUUACGUAUCUUAUUGAACAAAUGCAUAAAGAUAUGUCUAUAGAAAAAUACAGAAAUCAUCUCAGAUAAGCUUGCCAGCAGUUUAGCAUGUCAAAAUAGAUGCAACCAUUAUUUGUACUACAAUCAAAACUUUUUGCAUUUCAGCAUGAGUUAUCUUUAGCCUCCCACACCUAUAAAAAUAGCAUUUCUCAUGUCAGAAUUCGUAAGUACCUCUUAAGGACAAUUGAGAAGACAUAGCGUGGUCAAUUGAACUACUUGUUUACCUCUGCAAUGGAAAAUAAGUAUGCAUGCCCACCACCGAGCAAGGGAAAUCUGAUUACAAUCUUGAGUAUUGAUGGUGGUGGGGUUAAGGGUAUCAUCCCCGCUACCUUCCUCGCAUUCCUUGAGUCCAAACUUCAGGUUGAUCCUAUGUUUCUCUGAUAUAUAUAUAGCUUAGCAGCUUUUAUUAUAUCAUUAUUAUUGUCAUAACUAUGUCUGAAUGUUGACUCUAACUGCAGCCUUUGAUCUCCGUAAGUUGAAUUUUGGUCUGUUUUGGUGACCAACAUUUUUUUUCUUCACACGCAUGCAUGUUUGAGGGUUAUUUAUUUGCUGGUAUGUUUUGCCAUUUUUAGGAGCUUGAUGGGAGCAAUGCACGCUUAGCUAACUACUUUGACGUCAUUGCUGGCACAAGCACAGGUGGCCUCAUUACUGCUAUGCUAGCAACUCCAUCGCUGAGCAAUGCUAAGCAACCAUGCUGUGAGGCCAAGGAUAUUGUGCCAUUUUAUCUCAAGCAUUGUCCUCACAUCUUUCCAUGCAGGUUUGUAUGUUCGACUAUUAAUCAUAGUUCUUGCUUCUUGGAGGGUAUUUAAUUGCUUGUGAAUAGCUAAUUCUGAAGUGAAUUGUAUUUAUCUGUUAUUGGAGAGGAAUACAUGGGAAUACUUUGCCUUAUUCCUUCGUCUGAUAUCGCAACCAGGACUGGAUUUUUUGGUUGGUUCUGCAAGAUCCUACACAUAAUUAAGAUGAUCUUUGGGCCGAAAUACAACGGAAGGUACCUGCACAAAAUAAUCAAUGAUCUGCUUGGCGACACGAGAGUGAAAGAAACAUUGACAAAUGUUGUGAUUCCUACUUAUGAUGUUAAAUGUGUAAAGCCAACAAUAUUCAGCACAUUUAAGGUUCAAUUUCUAAACUUAGUGUAUGUGAUGCCUUCACUGAUUCUUUAGGGUGAACUAAUAUUUUUGUUAUGGUGCAGGCAAGAUCUAAUACCUUGAUGGAUGCUCGUCUUGCUGAUGUGUGUAUUGGCACAUCUGCAGCACCAACCGUUCUCCCUGCACACUAUUUUGAAACUGUGGAUUAUCACACUGGUGCAUCACGGAGCUUCAACAUUAUUGAUGGGGGCCUUGUCGCAAACAAUCCGGUAUGUUAAAUUCUUUGGUGUUGAUACCGAUGUUACAAUUGUGGUUGGGUUUCAUGUCAAAUUCAUAUGUGCUCUAGAUUUAACUGUACAUUUUUAUCACUACUAAAUUUGUAGGCAGAGUAUAGUCCCCCCCCCCCCCCCCAGCCCCUUAUGAUCUUCCAUAACCUCUAUGCAUCAACCUUUGGUUACCAAAAUGGACAUAAGAGAAUGUAAAUGCUAACUGACCACCUUGCCCUCUAAUUUGACAGACUCUAGUGGCAAUGAGUGAGAUAACAAAGCAGAUCCAGAUGAGGAGCAAGGAAUUCCCUGAAACCAAGCCCUUGGAUUACAAUAGAUAUCUGGUAAUAUCAUUAGGCACGGGUCUUCCAGAGCAAGACAUCAAGUUUGAUGCAUUGCGUGUUUCUAAUUGGGGCAUUUUUCGAUGGCUUGGCUGGCACUAUACCAUGCCUUUGCUGCACAUGUUCUUGCAUGCUAGCUCAGACAUGACUGAUAGUCAUGUUGCAAACCUUUUCAAAGCAAUUGGAUGCUCAGACCAACUUUUGCGCAUUCAGGUAGAUGUCCCAUGUGUUUACAAGCCAAUGUCAAUACUCCCAAGUCUUGUCCUGCGAAUAUAUGCUGAAAGUCAAUGUUCAUAUACUGUUUUGCAGGAACACAACAUACCAAUAGCGGCUGUGUCAGCCGACCUCUCAACCGAGAAGAAUCUUCAAGGGCUGAUUAAGAUUGGAGAAAACCUUCUGCAUAAGCUACUAAGCAAGGAUGAUUGCAAGAACAGCUACAUCGAGCCAAUGCCAAAAGAUAGGCGUACUCGAACAUAUGCUGAUAUGCUCACACGGUUUGCGAAGCUCCUUUCUGAUGAGAGGAAGCUUAGGCUUCAGAACAUAGAACUGGAUGCGGGUCAGAGCAAAUCAUGAAACGUGAGCUCUUCAGAGCACAUGGUCCAUGCCCAUCCCAUCUUAGCAAUUCGUGUUGAUUACUAUAAGCAGUUGCGUGUAUUACAUGUCCUGAGUGUGUAAUUGGUAAAGUGGUAUGUUUGCUUGGAGCCCUGUAAUCGGACAAAGUCUAAUGCCUUGGCGUGCCAGGCUAUCUAGCUGUGUGUAAUGUGAGUGUGGAAUUAUGUUAUGGUAUUGGAUAUGCAUCCUAGGCUGUAAAUUAUGUGUUGAUCCUUGAUCGUAUUGAAAAAUAAAGUAUCUUGUGAUUAUUCAACAGUCCAACUCUCUAGUUGGUCUUGGAACGCCACACUGUUUAUCAUUAUCGAUGCAGAAGUUGUCCUAGAAUAUUAGGUCGUGAUACUUUUCUUUUUCUAAAGCAUAGUACACGCUACGAAUUAUUGGCUUUGAACUAUAUCCCAAACUAUCAAAGUACAUACCGAUGGGGCCAUUAGGUUCCUUUUUUGCCAUCGUCUUAUUUUUUUUUUCAUGAAACUUUUUCCUUCCCCACCGGGUCUAGCUACUAUGUCGUUGUGUAUUAGUAUUUUUUUAGUGAAUAUGUGAACUUUUUCCAUUUAACAUAUAUUUGCAUUAUUGUUUUCCUUUUACUAUGUCAAACAUGAUUGUCCCAUGGGUGAUGGGUCUCCUUUUCAGUUAGGAGGCUUUCCUUCUGCUGGCAAUCUGGCCAUUGCUAAGCUUCUACAUCCAUCAGCUGGCUCUCAGCCACAUCCAUCCAGCUACACCUUUUCAGAACACCCUGUCCUCAAUGAUGCAGUGCUACUCCUAGUCCUAACCAUACAUCCUAAACUCUUAUUUUAUCCAAACACUACAAGCUGCCACUGUACUUUACUGCUUACAUAAUAAUACAAUUCUGCCGGCCCAUCGUUAUAAUCCUGCAUGCUCGUUAUGGAAACCUCUUGGCUUGCACGUCACAGACUCAUCACAACUACUGCUGAUCUUGUGUGCCAUCAAUCACCUAUCUUUCAAUCGUUACACCUAACCACAGCUGGCUUGAGCUCGACACAUGAUUCAAUUCGAACCAAGGUAAGUGCCUUGGCAUACGCGUAUUGGGCACUAGCAGCAUGCACUGCCUACCUCUAGCGAUGCCGUAGCUUGCUGAUGCUCUGAACUAGCUGGGAAAUCUCACCAGUUCAAGCACAUGCCUAGCAAAAGGUGUCAAGCAGGGAUAUGUUCCUAGUUAUACAUGCACCAAAAACCCGGUAAAAUUUGGACCACGGGAUCUUUUAGUCACCUGUUAAAGUUUUUUUUUCCCCUUCCAGAGUUGGAACUGUUUGAUGUGAACUCUGAAACACUGCAGACUGUUAUGUUCUGAUGCAAUGCAUGACGGUCUAAAAAAAAUGUUUGAUGUGAAAUUCAUGUAAAAUUGGCUCACUGAACCAACAUCUGGGAAUAAUCCCACUGUAGAGUGUGUCGUACCAUCUGGAUAUGCAACGGUUAUCGCAUUGGCAUUCGCUCCUGCACAUUUAUCUGACAAAGAGCGCUGCGCAAGAAUUCUUCUUCUUCUUCUUUUUUAACGAGCGCGAGAACUAGGCUAGGGUGUUGUUGUUUUAUUUUUUUUCAGAUGAUGGCCUCGAGUCCCGCUUCGAUUGGCCAGGAAAGGGGGGGCCAAGGCCAACAGCUCGCUAGGUUGGAACAGGUGCAACAGAUAGAAGACGACGCGAUGGUCUGGUAGCUUUGUUUAUCGCCGAAAUCAGAUGCGUGGAGCGUCGUGCAAUCAUCAGGUGCGCCUGCAUCCAGCAAACGGCGCUGUGCGCCGCGGGGAAGAACGCAAUGAUCGAGGGGGUCAUAAUUAGUCGUUAGAUUUGGUGAUGGUGCUGGAUUAGUUAAAAAGAAUAAGGGCUCUCGUGCAUGAUUACUGUGGCUCUAUUCUUAUAGUGUGGAGUUCGUUCAACCUUUGAUGAUUUUAAUUUUAGUAUUAUGUAUAUGUACACAAGUCAUUUGACAGAACUCAUGCUUUCCAAUGGUGUAGUUAGGUUACUGAUCUCUCUUAGCUCGUUUUUUUUUAUUUCACUUUUCUUACUUGAAAUCCAGACUUAUAUGUUGAAAUUUGCAAAAGGAUAAACGUAACAGACGUCCAUGGUUAUCUAUUCAACAAAACUUAAGUGAAAAUAGCAUUUCUCAGAACUUAAUGGUAACACUGGUUUUCCUUUUCAUCUACGUGUUCAGGGCUCAACUUUUACUGACGUCGGAUGUUUAUUUCUUUGUUGCGAACACAAAGUACGCGGAAAUCGAAUUUCCAAAUUAAAGCACGGACAUCGCGACUCAUAAAUUUGUCGUCCCAGUUCGAAAACGACCCUAAUUUGUGUGACAUCCUGCCGUUUAGCGCCCGGACAGAUAGCGGGUGGUCCAGUGAAUUCGCCAUCUUUGAAUUCGGCAGUGAGGAGGACAAGUGGACAAUGACCCGGCAAAUUUGGCUCCAAAAGUUUAUCCAUUUCUCUCCUUUUUUUUCUAAGAGAAAAGGGAGAUCGUGUUGCUGAGCUAGCUUUCAGGUAGGCCACGGAAAGGUUUGCGUGGGGCCGAAUCCACACUACUACUAGCUGGUUUUAUGCGUUCGUCCAUCCACUUGGAAUGUGGAUCGAAUACUGUAGCUCGCGGCCUUGCAAGAUCAGAUUAUUCUCGGGAUCGAUUGCGACCUCACAAAAAUGUGGGCACGUGGCGCAAUUGGUUGGAUCGUAUGAGUUUGCCUGCCAUCCACAAACUACGGCGCCUACGCUGUCUCUUCUACUACCAUAUGCAUACACAUUGCAACAUGUUGGAACAUUGUUAUGAUUUUCUGGAUCAUCCCCACUUUUUUCUCGAAUACGCAGGAGCUGCGCAUCAUUGUAUUUAAGUAGAGAAAUGACAGAGUUUGUUGCACGACAUGAGGCAUCAUUGUAUUUAAGUAGAGAAAUGACAGAGUUUGUUGCACGACAUGAGGCAAUAGCGCUCGCAAGCGGGACCUAGGUGUGCUAUUACACAGCUUGUCAACCGAGAGAGGGAGGGGUUGGGGAUACAAAGGACGAUUACUCGCGAAAUAAACGACCUAGGUGCUCAUCGCCAGCCGCAAUCCAGUUGUCGCCUUCCUGCUUGAUUGCCAUGAGCAGCCGGGACGGUGUGAGCUCCGCGCCCCGGAAGACGCGAGCGUUCCUUUCUUUCCAGAGCUGCCAUGUGACAAGAGCAAAUGGCGAAUUGAAGCCUUUCCUCUUCUCCUUGGGAAGUUGACUCCUCAGACUUUGCCACCAUUCUGGCAAUGUUUCUCAUCAUCUCCUUUUGGCUUUUCCAUGGCGAGAGAGGAGACCUUUGUCAGUUGUCACGUUGAGGGGGAGGAACACAUCGUCUUUCUGUAAACACAUCAACAGUAUACGGUGCCACGUGGGGUGAAAGCGAAGCGAGGCACAUUUGGCGCCGCUGGUACAGGUUACACGAGGACCCGCAGCCCAGCGCAGCUCCAUCUGGCGGGGACAGUUACGUGGUCGAUGCACCGGCCGCGAGACAGCAAAGGGGAUCAAAAUCGUGGCCAGGGACUGCCUUGGCCAAGCGGAACUGGCCGAAACCCACACGGCCACUGGCCACACGCCCGUGCUCAUGCCAGGAACACACGCAGAUUCCCUGCCGCGGCUCGGCACCAGCCGAGCUGGGCUCCAUGAACCACGAGUCCACAUGCACGCACGCGCGCGCCUCGCCACGCCGCGAGGGGGCGCCCGCCCCCCGGCGCGGCGCUCGCCGCUCCUCCGCCACGAGCUCUCGCGGCGUCCCCCGUCGGCCGUCGCCGCGCUUAUCCGGCCACGUCGGCGCCCGCCCCCACCGCCGGUGCCCGCCGUGUCCUCCACGAACGCGCGCAUCUGUGUUCAUGCACGACAGCGACACGCACCGUACGUACACACACACACACACACGCACAAGUGGAGUAGCAAAAUCCCUUUUUCUGCAAGGCAUUGCAUUCUCUCGUUGAACUUGAACAUUGUUAAUCGAGUGGCAAAGCCCUGGUCAGCUCAUCAACGAAUAAAAAAAAAGAGCAAAAACUCUGCGUUUGUUACUACUGGUGGCUGAUGAGGCCACGGGGGAGGAACGGUGCUUUUCUUCCAGCUCCGGACAGGGGAUCGAGUGGUGAUGACUGACAAGGAGGCGAGCUGCCGCAUUCAGUCCAGGUCAUGUCAAUCUGCAUCUUCGGUUUACUGCAUGAAUCAGGUUUUUCAGGUCCAUCGUCUUAUCCAAAAGCUAACAUCACCUGCCUACGGAUUCACGAUACCGACGCUGAUACGUGCUGCUACGAAGUAAAAAGGUCGGCAGCCGAGUCGAAUCGUACUGCAGGAAUGAAGUUUCGUCGUGAAAGGGAACGUCCAAAUGCUCCGAUUUAAAUUUCAAUAUAUGAGCAUUCUUCUUAAUCGUGAAAGGGAACAUCCCCUAGCACAUCCUAGCCGUCGUGUGCGUGCGCUCGGGAAACCCACGUUGUACGAAACUUUUACCUUCUUCGUAAUCGAAAGAUACGCAGUUCUUCUGCGUAUUAAAAAAAAAUGAACAUUCUUAUUAUUGACAAAAUGGACUCACGCAGUAGCUCCAACUAAAACGGGUUUUAUUUUUUUUUCCGCAACAACUAAAUUAGCUCCAACUAAAACAAUCAUGAAUGUAGUAAAAAAAUAAUAAUCUGAAAAGAUGGCCCACAGAAAAAAUAACAUUUUUUAACCAAGAAAUACUCGUUCCUGUUUAUAAAUAGGCCAGACGCCGAACCCGCCCGGAGAGUACCUGCGGCGCCAUCAGCCGAGCCAAACGGAGCACAGAAAUGGAAGCCGUCUCCUCCACCGCCUACUUCUCCUCGCAGCCGCAGCUCCCGGCCUCCACCGCCGGCGACCCUGCGACCCCCAUCGCAAGCGCCAGCAGGCUGGUGCGGCAGCCGCGCCGGAACAGCAGCUUCGUGACGGUCGAGGCGUCCUCGGGCACCGGCGGCGACGGGGUGGUCAGGACGAGGAGCCUCACGGAGGACGACCUGGAGGAGCUCAAGGGCUGCCUCGACCUCGGAUUCGGCUUCGCGUACAGCGAGAUCCCCGAGCUCUGCGGGACGCUGCCCGCGCUCGAGCUCUGCUAUUCCAUGACCCGGAGGUUCCUCGACGAGCAGAGGGAGCCGGGCCAGGAGCAGGAGACUUCGGCGACGCCUCUCCCGAAUUGGAGGAUCUCUGGACCUGGUAAAUCAUUUUUUUUCUCCCCAGGUUUUGAUUUCGUGAAAAAAAAAUUACUCUAGCGAUGUUGUGAAUGAACGAAACAGUUGUUUUGUGAUUUUUUUUUCCCGGAGGAUUAGUGGUCAAUUUUGACAAUAUUAUAAUUGAAACUACCGGUCCAAUUGAGAUGCUCCUGACAAAGCAUACUUCAUUGUGCAUGAAAAUACACUGUGUCAAUAAAUCAGGUAUUCAUGUUGAAUUAAUAGUAAUUUGUUUCAAAAAAUCAUGCACCCCAACUCAGGGUGCAAGUAUGGGCGUCAGGAAAAUAAAAUUGACAGUCAUGAAGAGCAGUCCAGCAUCUCUCUUUGUAGGGAUCAUCCAGAUUCUUGGAACAAAUAUUAAGCACCUUGUCGAUUGCUAAAUUGGCUGGCUAUCUAAUUUCAAUGGUCCUGGGUCUAUCAACAUCUUUUCUAAUGAAUUAAAUGCUCUUCUAGCUGUUAUAACAAUUUGCACGGUUCAAUUGAUGCGUCAUUUUUUAAAUUCUAGGUAGAGUGCUGAAUACCUCUUAAUAAUUUGUUAGUUAAGAACUGCAGAUGUGUUGGAGGUUGGAAUAAAAUCUCUUUUAGGAACUGCCUUCGUCAGGCCUCGAUUUUUUGGUUUUAGUAGGAUACUGCGAUCUUGAUUUAUCCUUUUUUAUUUUUUAUGGGUUCUUUUACAUUUUGCCUUGAUGACUGUAGCAUUUACUCCGUAGGAGCUUUGUCAUGGAGAAGAAAAACAUUUUAUUCUACUCAUUUCAUAAAAAAGGAUAGGGAUGAUAGACUCUCCAAGAUUCUACCUACUUUUUUGUUGUCGUCCAUUCCAUGGUUUUGGUGACAUCUAAAUUUGAUACCAAGUGAAAGGAAAGAAAAAUUUCAUCAUUUCCAUUCAUAGUGGAGCAGGAAAACGAUAGUUUCAUUAUGGGUUACACCACAAUACAGAAGCAACGAGACUGAGCAUGCAUUUUUGUCAUUGAUGUCACUUUUCUUACAAGUGCUAACUGUCUUCUCCAAGACAAUCUUCACGACAAAGCAAAGCAAGACUAGGCUCCACUGAAUUAUGCUAUCUCCUUUCCAGCACACGUUUCCUCCUCAAAAGAAGUAACGUAAAUUUGAAGAAGGAUUAUUCUACCUUUACCAAAGGUCCAUUUUUGUAAGUCGCGAAAAAGGGCUCACUUUUUUAAAAGGAAAAACAAGAAAAAACAGUGAGCCUAUGUCCUUCACGAGACCUGUAUAUUGCUUCUUGAGUCCUGAGAUUAUGUUCUGUUUGUGACUGAUUUCUUCUAUGAAAGAGCUGUCGUUCUUUGCUGAUUAGUAUUGGCUCUGACAGGCGAUGAUCCAGAGGAAGUGAAGGCGAGGUUGAAGUAUUGGGCUCAAGCAGUAGCAUGCACUGUCAAGCUCUGCAGCUAAUGGAGGCUGGCUAGCUGUUUUCUGGUAGAGUAUGCUAUGACAGGAUGAACUGAAGGUUGGCUGGAAGUUGAGGAAUCUGCCUGUAUGGGUUUGGGAUAUGGGAUGCAGAUACUCCUCAGGAGCUGCUUCUGCUUCGUGGCAUCGAAGCAGCAUGAGUGAUCUCUGCUUCUGCAAAAACUUUGGAGGGGAGGAAUCAUGACCUUGGAAUUACAGCGACGAGACUCGAUGCGAUUCAUGGUCCGAGCUUCUACGAAAGAAUCAGAAGCUUAUCAUUCCUCAGGGUGGUUUGCAUAAUGCAGCGUUUGCAAAUGCAGGACCUGCUGGUUCUUUUUGCCUUUUCCGUGUAAUGAUCACUAGGUGCUCUAAUUGUUGUUCACCUGUAAUAAUGUUUUUGGGUACUAAUCCAAGGGUUGAUUAGUUCCAAUAAUGCUUUGUUCUGUGCUACAUGGAUGUGGUCACUUCAUGAACAGGUAUGUAGAUUAUUCUGUUCUACAAAAUUUACAAGAGUGCAGCAAAGUGUUUGGCUGAUUUGCAAGGCUCAGUCAUGUAAAAUGAUCUGUAUGUUCAGCCUGGCUGCAAACUGAUUGAAACUCUCUGAAACUAUAUGUUAUCUAGGAUGAUCUAUACAAUCAGUUUGACACUACAUAGGCGGAUAGGCUUUAGUGGUGUCAAACUGAAAAUGAACGUGAUCUAGUGCUGGUUACACACAGAUAACAUAAGUAAAUCGUAUUUGAUUCACAUAGCAGUUUCUAAUUGCGCCGUAGACCGACUGUUCUAUCCCAUGAUUUUUUUUUUGCGUUACGGAUCACAUAAAAAAAAACUGUCGGUGCCGGUCCGCACACGCAGCACACGUGCCGGGCGCACGGCUCCCAAUGAUUCCGAAGCUUCCAUGUGGAGCCUUGACUCCAUCGCGCCCGUCCAGCCCUCGUACCUGCAAUUAUAACUGAUUCCCCCCCUAACCCAGUUCGGUACGCUCACACCAGUGCCAUGUCAAAUACCGGGAACACCCCUCCUCUCCUCGAACACCUGGAGGGGUUGUGUGCAAAUAUGGCUGAAGGGUCGGGGGUAAUUUUGGAGUUUCCAGCCGUUGUCGGGUUGGUCUCCACUUUGUCGUCUCAAUCCUCAGCAAAGUAAGCGAUCUCCUCCGCGGUGACGAUGGUGGCCGGUGCCCAAGCAGAAACGGCCUUGGCAAGUUUCAGUUUGGUCCCUGACUUUUCUGUUUGUUUGAGGAUGUAGUGAGCACAGGAGUCCUGCUUUUUACUAAUUACUAUAAAUCAAUCCAUAAAUCCUUGAAAAAGAAAUCAACACGGGGCAGUUCAAUUACUACAAUUCAAUUGAUAUGCUGGUUUUUUUUCCUUCUUACACAAGUAGUUCAUCCUAAAAAAUUGCAUGAUAGUAGAUGCUUGCAUGGUUUACUCAGCGUUGAUAAUAUAAUAGCACCUAAAUUUUUCCCUAACAAGGGCAAUUCUAACAUGUAGCAUGGAUACACAAUUGUAGUUGCUACCAUAUUUAGAAAUGUAUUGUCCAAUCAUGUGUUUUUUCUUAAGAAAAAUUGGUUCACACAAAUGUAGGUGUUUUUGUUGAACCAUGAAAAUAAAACAUUUCUCUCCUCCUUUUAUUCGUUCGCUCGUGUGCCUACUUCAUUCCUGUGAUGUUCCAUAUUUCUAACACAUAUUUUGGCUAAAAAAUUAAAACUUUGAGGCUACAAGAUGCAAUGGUAUCUGUGAAAGUUUGUAAAAGUUAAGGGCUUUUGUGGAAACUGGGAUCUUACAUAAAUGUCCUUCCCUCUUUUGUUCUCGUGGCAUAUUCCAUCGGAAUAAUUUAAUUAUUUCUACAUUUUCCGCUCCCCUCCUCCGCUCCCCAUUGCGGCAUUGCCCUCCUCCCCGUCGCGGCCUCGCCCACCGCGCCUUCGAGGAGCUUCGAAUCGCGAUCGCUUCGGUCCCCACGAGCUCACAUGGUGGGUGCGCGCGCCAGAGGCUAGGGUUCCCAGUUCUCAACAUUCCCCUGGUUCGUCCCGGUUCGCUCCUGAUUUUCCCGCGAUUUUUUGCCGAUCUUCCCUGAUUUUCCUGCCGUUUUGGCGCAGCUGAUUGGAACCGCAGUGUUUCGGCGAGCCUGUGGCGGUGGUGGUGGCGGAGAUGAACGGGGAGGUGGAAUGCAGCGUGUGCCACGCGAAGGUGCCGGUGCCGCCGGCGGUGUCCAAGGCGUACGACAGCCACCGGAGCACCGUGUCGUCGCGGCAGCGCGCGCUCAACGUGCUCCUCGUCUCCGGCGACUGCGUCCUUGCUGGCCUCCAGGUGAAGGCUGCCUCCCUUCUACAUUUGGUCGGUGCGCUCAGUGUCUGUCGAAUCGCCAAGUGUUGCAUAGGGAUUGUUGAACUGUAGCUGAGUGUGAUUACAGUACGAGGAGGCGAAUUGAGUGGCAAAGCGAAAACAUAAUGUCACAAAUGUUUGUAGCCUGGUGAAUUUAGUUAGCUGUACUAGAGCUUCAGGACCUAUGAUUGUUCUGGAACUAACGUUUGUACUAGACUGGAUGCUGCAGAUGGUGUUGAGGUUAGAGACCUGUUUUUUUUCUUCCUUUUCUUUUCUUAAUUUAGUUUGUAAGGUCAGGUGCCCCCCCCCCCCCCCCCUCGCACUGCUGUUAGCAGCUAUCUUAAUAGCAUUCACCAAGUGCCAACUGGUAGGAGAGCAUUUAAUUAUCGUGAUCAGUACAUGAUAUGAAUCAUUAAUGGUGAAUUCAUUCCAGCCCCAAUCUUAAAUUGCAAGUGCUAUAUGUUGGAUUAUUGAGAUGUAUUACUUCUGCCUUAUUAUUUGUUGCAAAAUCAUAUGGCAUACGCAUACUAAGCAUGUUCUUUCAUUUGUUGUUUGUUUGCUACGUUGUAAAUUUUUUUAGUUGCUUAACACAGUUUUACCUCAUUUUUCUGUAGCCUAUACUAGUGUACAUGUCAAAAGUGGAUGGGAAAUUCAAAUUUAGCCCAAUCAGCGUAAAUUUCUUGACGGAGAUUACAAAAAUUAUCUUUGCCAUCAUCAUGCUAUUCAUCCAGGUAUGCCAAUCAUUCCAUUUUAGCACUUUGCUCUCCAUGAUUCAUUUUCAUAUCCAUGUGUUUAGUUGGAUGCGACUGUAGUGAUAACAAUGGUAUUUUUUUGUGUGGUAAGAUGUCUUUUGUUCAUGCAGUUGAGUAUGCUACUAAACUAGCACAUCAACAUUAUGUUUAAAUUUCUCACGUUUCGUUUCAGUGCUGGGUGUUGUAGACUUCUACUUUCACUGAUAACUUUGGUGUCCUUAAUGAGUUGGUUUUGUCCUUUGCAGGCUCGACGUCUAAAGAUGGGGGACAAGCCACUUCUCACAGUGUCAACGUUUAUGCAGGUAAUAUGACCUGUAAGUCUGAAACUAUGUCAUGCUUAUAUUUGGAUGUGGUCAACUCGUUCCCUGCCUUUAAUUUUGAGAAUUGAUUUUUAUCUUGGUAAACCCACGUGCUGGAACUGGAAGUGCAUGCUAGUUCUGAAGAUAAUAGGAUCCUGUUCCUGACUACCUGGCCAUAUGCUGUCAUUUUGAUACAUCUUACUAGAAAGCUCAUGCAAACUUCUACAGAAACUGUACUGUGAAUUAAUUUUACUACUUCCUGCAGCACAUAGGUCUCCCUUCAUUUGCUAUAGAAUAUUAUAUACGAAGUUAGUGAUCUUGUCUGCAACGCUAACCAUCCUUCUUCACUGGCCAGGCUGCUCGCAACAAUGUUCUUCUUGCAGUUCCUGCUUUUCUCUAUGCUAUCAACAACUAUUUGAAGUUCAUAAUGCAGGUAAAGCAUCGCACACCAGGAUUCAGAACUUGGUGUUCUCUGGUUUUCCCCUUCUUUAUCUGUCUGUAGGAGCCAAUAUAGUGGAUUCUAAGUUCCUACAGUUGUAUUAGCCUAACUUGGAUCUGGUACAUCUUUUCUAACUAUUAGUCCUAUGAUUUAUGCAGUUAUAUUUUAAUCCUGCAAGCGUCAAGAUGCUGAGUAAUCUCAAGGUAUGAUACUAUGGUUAAUGUUAGCCUUUUCUUCAAAAAUCAGGAUUAUUAGUAAUAAUAUGUACACUUGAAUGCCUGCAAAUAUGUGCAUAUGUUCGGGCAUGGUCCAAGUCGCCCAUGCUUGCAUGUGCUCACAUAUACACUUGAGCAUGCAAACUCCCUUUGGUCAGUCUGUUUUUAAAAAAUCUAUUAGCCACUGCCUUGAUAUAUGCUUCUCCUUGGUGUUCAACAUCUGUUUGAAGUUUGGCCGCACAUGGCACUGAUCAUGUACUCAUGCUAUAUGGAAUACUGAUAUGUGCAGGUUCUGGUAAUCGCUGUGCUUCUAAAGAUAAUAAUGAAGAGGCGAUUUUCCACAAUCCAGGCUAGUUUCCUCUCUAUUUUCGUGUGUCUAUUAUUGACUACUUAAAAAGGUUAUCCAAAGCCUAGUCUCUGAGUGCAAUAUAUUUCAGUGAUUUCAAGAAACUGUGUAGCUGACAUCAUGCUUUUGUAUAUUGACAGUGGGAGGCCCUUGCCCUUUUGUUAAUUGGAAUAUCUGUUAAUCAGCUGAAAUCAUUGCCUGAAGGUUCUAGCGCACUAGGUCUUCCUGUUGCUGCUGGAGCCUACCUCUAUACAUUCUUUUUUGUAAGUUCUGAUUUUCUCGUAGCUGGGAUGAUGUACAUGUUGAAGCAGUGUAAAACUCAUCUUCCAUGAAGUUGGGAAUACCAGUUUAAUUUCUAUACACUCAGAUUUCUCUGCUGAGCCCUUUUCUUGCAUAUACAGCAUUAGCAUGGUAUUCUGACAGUCAGUUGACUGCAGUGCAGUGUUGCAUCUGCACUGAACGUUUUUUCUCGAACCAUCUGCACUGAACAUUAGCUGUAGCAAUAAUAAAUUCUGCAACCAUUCCACCUCUUUGUUGUCUAUUCGGUCAUAUAAUGAUCGAGGUUCUUUUCUCUCCAAAACUUCAGCAUGUGCGACUAAAUGAUUCAGAACUAGUCCUUUGGGGCGAAACAAUAGGCUCUAGCCUCUAAGCACUCUUUGACUAAUUUGCUAGUUUAUAUGCUUCACAUAGAAACAAUAUGUGUCUUUUUGCUCAUUUAGGUCCCGUUUGGUAGGGCUUCUCAAAGUGCUUCUCCAUCGGCUUUUGGUGAAGCCCUACCAAAGGGUCAAUUUCAAAACGGUUUCACCACCAAAGCCGAGGAGAAGCCGCAAAACGGCUUACACUAGAGAGGAGAAGCUGAAAAAAGUGGCUUCACCGGCUUCUCCUCCCUCUCCAAGCAUUAAGUGAUCAUAAAAUUACAUAUAUUGCCAUUGAGAAGCCGUUUUACCAAAUGUUUUGCAAAACGGCUUCAGCUUCACUAAAAAAGCCACUCCACCGAAAAAGCCGAAGCCGAAGCCGUUUUAUGAGAAGCCGAAGCCUUACCAAACGGGGCCUUAGUUGACAUUGAAAAUUGUAAAGAGCAGAAAUAAAGGCGAUAUAUGACAUUUCAUACUAACUUUAUUCACAAUCAGGUAACAGUUCCUGCGCUGGCUUCAGUUUACAAUGAAAAGGCUCUUAAAAGCCAGUUUGAUACCAGUAUUUACCUUCAGGUUUGUGUCCAUUUAUAUGGUUAUCUUGCUCUGACAUUCUAUUCUAAGCUAUCUUGCUAAUGCUUUUAUGAUCUGUGUGAAGCUACCUUUUGAUUGUGAUUUUUUUUUCAUGUUUUCAGAACUUAUUUCUGUAUGGUUAUGGUGCAAUAUUCAAUUUUCUUGGGCUUGUAAUCACUGCCAUCAUCCAAGGUAAUUAUUGAGAAUGCAUGUCUGCUUGAGAGCAACAUGUUUUUGCAUACUGUAAUGUAAGGUGGUUUUAAACUAUUCUGUUGUGCUGAGAAGAGCUGUCAACUCUUUGAAUACUAGUAGUUUUUCGAUGUUGUAGACUAUUUUGGUUUGCCCUUGUAAGUUUGUGGUGUUCAUUAUUUAUAUAUUAUCCUUACAGCUUGAUCUGAUGUAUUAGAAGUAAAUAUAGUAUCUAGAACGUUACAUAUCCAACUCUCAGAUAUCUAAAAGCUUCGGCUGGUUUAACCCAUUUUGUUUAUCUUCACUUCCAUGGCCUUAUUUUUCUGGGACACCGCCAUUGGCCUUAUUUUCUCAGAAACCCUUGUGUUUUUUUAGAAGACUGGUGACCCUUGACUCAAUAUCAGAAUUCUGUCGAAACUGUUGCCCAAGUAUUUUCUUGCAUGAUUAAAUACUUACACUUUUGGGUUGAACUGGUUGGUGCAUGCAACUCAAUAUGGUGCUGUAAGAAAAUCAGACAUUGUGUACAUUUUUCAGGGCCCAGUAGCUUUAACAUUCUGGAAGGACAUUCAAAGGCCACAAUGUUUCUUAUCUGCAACAAUGCUGCACAGGGCAUACUGUCAUCAUUUUUCUUCAAGUAUGCAGGUAUGUUACCAGCAAAGAAAAAACUUAGUUCUUGUUCAAUAUGCUAUUAAAAUGGUACCAAAUAUCAUACACGUAUCUCUGAAAACUUGUUAUAAUGCAUGCAUGUACCCAUAAAAUAUAGCAUGCAUUUUAGGAGUUGAAAGGUUGCAUGUUUAUUAGUGGGUUGGUCAGAUUAACCUGUUUGUGGAGCACGUGGUUAUGGCAAUUCAGCUUGUGUGUGGGUUUGUAAUCGGAUCAUAUUCUUCUUCUUAAUUCAAAACCACGUGGAAAUAAAAAUAUUGUGCAUGCACAUGAAUAGGCUAAAUCAGUGGUAUUUGCAUGUUGAUUGCUACUGCUAUGUACGAGUUUUUUGCAAGUAAACUGUAGUUAUGUUUAAGAAAGUCGAUGAUGAAUGCAGAUACAAUUUUGAAGAAGUACUCAUCAACAAUUGCAACUAUCUUCACCGGAGUAGCCUCUGCUGUAUUAUUUGGACACACACUGACAAUAAAUUUUGUUCUUGGAAUUUCAAUAGUAAUCAUAUCUAUGCAUCAGGUAACUUCAUUUCCCCCCUUGCAUUGAUUCAAUAGUGUUGAAGUUUUCCUACUAAAAUUCAUUUUAUUUAAUAUUAUUUCAGUAUCUUUCUAACCAAAUUAAAGACGAAGUGCCUAGCAGCAAAAUUGAAAUGGCUGAAGCUCAUGAUCACAGGUUUGUCCUAUCAUAUUGUCGAUUGCACUGUAGUUGCUUAGUUGGCCGUUUGUCACAGUUUUGAAGCUCCAUUCUGUCAUCUACCGUUCCACAUUCAGGCGACAUUUCUUGUUUUCUGUUGUAGUCGUCCAAAACUCGGCACAGUCAUUUAGUGGAUGUUCAAAUUUGUUAACAGUAUAAUUUGUUUUGUGAUGCUCAGCAGAGUAAAGGAAUCCGUUUACGUCAACGUGACUGAUUCAGUGGCAAGUGAGGUAAACAUCUACUGCCUGGAAUUUCUGGUUCUUUCAGCGUGUAGCUAAUGGUCUUUCUACCCAUCAUGAAGGCUAAACACCGCCAUGGAUCCGACGAGAGGCAGCCGCUUCUUCCUGUAUGAUUUUGCAGCAGAGGUUGUCCUCGUUUUCUCUGGUUUUUUUAUAUUGCUAUAGAGUUGUGUUAUAACUUUCCCACGAGUUUGCUUCCUCCAUAAAUUUCUUAACUCCUUAUUUCUGACAGCAGGCAGUCUCCUUGACGAGAGCAUCAAGCAUCUGACGUAUCUUAGUGGGUUUUUGACCUCUCUGAAGCCACAUUGCCGCCGUGUUGUUGGGCGAGUAAGAACAUGCAUAUUACGUGGCAGAAUGAUGAGCUUCAUGAAAGAGUAAUGGAUGGAUGAUGCAAUACUUUUAGCCUAGUGAUGGUGACACUAAUGUGAUAGCUUUAUACGAGGAAUAAAGUCUCGUAUUUCACCAUUUUUUCCCUCUCUUGAGAGUUGAGUGGUUCUAUCGAGUGAUUUUUUUUAUGCGGCUCCAAUGUAAAUAGCGGUUAGUUUCUUGUUAUGUGCGAGUUGCAUGAGGUGAUGUUAUGGCGUGUUUGGUACACCACCCUAGCUUUGCCUAUGUCUUUCGAAUUGCAGCGGAACGACUUGCCUGUUACAGGAUAUUUAUCGGAUACUCUGAUAGUCGGAUGCGUAUCUGAUAUUCUGAUUUACUGGCAAAAGGCAAUCGCCGCGGUUCUGGUGAUCCCAUUUACUGUGUGUGAACGUUCCAUUGUCAUUGUAGUGCUGUUCGCAAAUUGCUCACGACCAAGAAUAGAAGUAUUUGACUCUUUUAUCCGACAUCAUAUGAAUGUUAGUUAAAGUAUAUAUAGAUAUAGUUUGAUUUUAAUAUUUCGAAAUGUAGAUCUUUUUAUAUGGUUUGACUUUAAAUCAUACCGGUUGUCACGAUCCCAACCGAAAUGGUUUUUCCUCAUUACAUGUUGAUUGACGCCUAUAGCUAGCAGUAGCACUACUUAUUGUUUUUCAAAUGGGCGCCACAUGCUUUCGGCAACACCAACAUCUUAAAUGAUGCUAGAAUCUUAGGAAAUCAAUUAAGUCACCAAUUUUCCAGUCAACAUUACAUGUAGCUCACUGAGCAAUAUAUAUGUCAACGAGACCACGUCAAAUGACAGCCCGAAGCUAUUAUGAAUGGAUUCCAGUGACUCGUAAAUUAGGCAUCUACACAUUCCCGUUUAUAUAUUUGACCCAAAUACAGGCAUCCAAUUCCUAUAGCCAGCCAAAAGUGCAGGCUUGCUUCAGAAUUCAUGUUUCUUAAAAGAUGAAUAUGAACAUUGCCGAAAAACCGCAGAUGCUUGGUUGUCACUGCAGUACCAAAGACGUCCUCCAUGUAGUUGUCCGAAUCCGAGAGGUGAAUCGAUCCAUUUUGUCUAUUAUCCAAGCCGUUGUUCCUAUCAUAUUUGCAGCCUAACAGAUAUUCCAGAGAGUAAACUGUCCAAAUCAGUAAGUUACAGGCAUUCUGCACGACUGCAAAUCAUCAAAUGUAACUUCCCGGCCCAUAUAUGUGAUAAGAUAUCCAAGGGAAAAGAACUUUACUCUGGUUAAUUAUAUGCAUCAACUGUCAACGGCAGGUGGGGGUGCAGGGGUUUGAGUCUGCUUACUUACGAGCAGUGGAGAUAAAGCCUUGACCACAAUGCUCAUAUUUGGGCGGAACUCAGCUUCGUAUUGCACACACAAAGCUGCUACAGCAGCGAGCUGCAUUAGGACAAAACAGUGGUAUGAGGAAAUGCGGAAAGAGAAUAGGCUAUUAGUUGUUCCAAGCUUAUGCACAGCACAUGCAGAGAGAGUAAGGGGGUACCUUAGCGAGUCCUUUUGCUGGAUAUUCACCCUUCAACCGAGGAUCUACACACUGCUUCACCUUGUCUUCAGUUAAUCUCGGUGUAGCCUACAGAACCAAAGAAAGGCAUUCUCAGAGAACUGGUGUGAAAAAUAAUGUUUGCAUUUCGGAUUGGGUUGUGUCAUGUUAUUAUCAAGAUCAUACUUAUAAGAUCAUACAAAGUGCUAUUUUAUUGUCUAGCAAGUUUUGAGGCAAUCAUUGUGCACUCAGAUGAUCCUUGUAGUUUUUUUCAGACAGCAAGGAAGCACACCCUAUGCAGCAGAUCAACUCCUUUGGGGGUAACUACAGUUGUGCUGCAGAUACUUUCGGGGAGUUUUGAGAAAUUCUAAGAUAUUUGACACAUGAAGUUCAAGCUCAUCAUUGUGCCAUUUAUUGUUGCCCCAGAAAAUGACAACAGUUCCAGAUAUGGGAUUGACAGAACACAUGAUUAUCUACUUGAUGAAUACCCACAUUACUGUACACAUUGUUUAGCUUGGACCCUCUGGACUAAAAUGAUUUUUUUUAAAAAACACCACAUUACUAUACGCAUGGCCACAAACUAUUGCAGCUUCACAAGAAUUCAUUUGACCAAAUAAGGUGCCAAUUGCAGCCACUAAUUAAAUGAUUCCAUCGAACCACAAAAUUAAAAAUGAGAAGGUAGCAAGUGAGCAUUACCCAGGUUACCAGGCUCUGCUGCCCUCUAGGCAUUGUAUGGUCUACAGGCUUUCUACCUGUCAAAAGCUCCAAGAGAACCACUCCAAAGCUAUACACAUCACUUUUCUGGGUUAGCUGACCAGUCAUUGCAUACCUGCAAAAAUUUUAGAAUGUGCACAGCAUUAAAGAAUGUAAUGCAAAACAAGUCAAUUCAUAGAUUGACCAGACAGCAGCAUCACAUGAACCGAGAAUCUAGAAACCAACACUGAUUAUCAAACUGAUUACUGCUAGGUGGGGGAUAUUAUAUGGUUGCUUGUAGUUGAGGAAGUAAUUGGUUGGUAGCAGGAUAAAAGCCAAAAUAGCACAAAAAUAAUCAUGUGUUCCCAUUACCUGAGCAGAGACUGACUAUUUUUUUUUUUGCUAACCUGCUUGUAUGAGUGCUAUGCAAUUCUCCCUAUGCAAAUGAGGUUUAAAACGUUUAUGUGUUUGCUUGGAACAAGAAUGUGAAACUGGGCAGCAGCUGUCAGCCUGCCACCCGAUUUGAGUCAAUAACAGUCAUGAACUAGUCUAACAUGGUGUGAGAGGUCUAUAGCAUACUUCCGAGGAACUGAUCAACUGGAAAAGUUACACGAUCAGCUUCAGGAAGGCAGUUUUCAUGUAACUUUCUAGGGUAGAACUACAGUAUGAAAAAAAUGAGAAGUUGAAAACUGACAACAUGGUGAGCAUGUGGUUUUCUAUCCAGUGGACUAAGGCUGAAGGGGAUAAAUAUUAAUGUGACGUGUCAGAGAGUAAGAAGUUGAAAUAUUUAGAAGAUAAAAAAUUUUCAUGUUUCUUUAUGACCUAGAAUGAGCUUAUCUGUAGGUACAAAACUAACCUUCAACUUUAAAAAUAACAAGCCACAGUUUUUUUUUUCAUAUACAGCUUCUAUUUCAACAGAACAUAGUGUCCAUGAUUAAUAAAAACAACCUAGCUUGCUUAUAUAUUGGAAAAUUGAUCAGACAACAGUACAAAUACAGAGCAGGAAAGCAUGACAAAAAUUAAGUAGUUAUUUUGAGCGAAGGAUUUUUACUCUGGAGCGUGAUAUCCAAAGGUUCCCAGCACACGAGUAGAAUGCAACCGGGCAGCCAUAUCUGGAGCCUGAUUUGAGAGAUUGAAGUCUGCUAUCUUUGCCUUGAAGUCCUCAAAUAAGAGGAUGUUACUAGAUCUAAUAUCCCUGUGGACAAUCGAAGGCUGAACUUUCUCGUGCAGAUAUUCAAGUCCUUUCGCAGCAUCAACAGCAACUUUCACUCGCUGCAUCCAAUCAAGCGCUGGGCCAGGUUGAGCACCUUGAACUCCUUUUCUUCCUGACAUUAGUUCAGCAAAUGAAAUUGCAAAUUAUCUGUUGUGGAUACAGUAUUCAAAUAAGAGGAGUUAUUGAACAAGUUAUAGAGGAUAUGAAGAAUCAUACCAUGUAGAACAUCAUGCAGAGAACCCAUGGUGGCGAAUUCAUAGGCUACAAUGCGAAGAUUACGCUCUGUGCAGUAACCCAACAUAUCUACGAAGUUUUCAUGCUUCAGCCUUGAAACCAAUGAAACCUAGCAUCAGAAAGUAAGUGCCAUUGUCUAAUUAGUAACCAACAGCACAUUAGCAGAAACAAAUAACCAAAGCAGAAUCCCCAUCAUUAACAAGUAAAAGCAAAGCCAACCUGGGUCAAGAAUUCGGUGGUGGGUUCAUUUUCAGUAGAGUCAAGUUUCUUCACUGCCAUUUUUGUUCCAUUAUCAAGGACGGCAUAGUAUACUCUCCCGUAAGAACCUUCACCUAUCAAAGCCGUUGACCCAAAAUCAUCAGUUUUUUCUAUCAGUUCAUCCAAGGAUAGAACAGGAAUAUUGAUAGGGGGAGCAGCAUUCUGAGGCUCGACUUUUCCAGUAGCAGAAUCUUUGAAUCCCUUUGUCAUCCCUGAAGAAAAUGAUAAGAUAACUUAAUAACAUCAAACUCUCUGCAUAGUGUAGACGGUUGAGAAGUGGAUUUUAGAUAGAACAGUCAAGUACACUGAAACAAACGUACCGUCAGCAUUGUUCGUUGUGACCUUGAAUUGCCCAUUUUCACGCUGAUCGGAUUCAUCCACUUGGCAAUUGCAGCAAACCCAGCGACACCACAUCACUAUACUUUACUGUAGUUUACACCUAUUCUGCAGACCACAGAUAUUUUUUUAUCAGGAGAACUAUCACACUGUCAGGGCAAACAUUCUGACAUCAUGCACAUUAACACAGGCAAUACUUAGAGAAAGCUGCUGUUCCAUGACAGAGUUAACCCCCAUGGCAACUUCCCGAUACAGGUUCUCUUGACUUUAAGACAAAUUCCAAAUUCACGCUUAGCAGUACAAAUGGGGAUUCUCGUAACCAUAUUAGAUAUAUGAAAAACCGGCCACCAAAAUAACUUCAGAUAAAUUCCCCAAAAAUCAUCUCAGAUAAACCUCUACAACCAGCACCUCACUACCAGACCGUUAUCAUCUACGACCCCAUCACACACAGCCCCGGCGACCCGCACGAUCGCUCACCUCAACCGCAACCAAAAUCCAAGCACGCAUAGAAGCACCGAGAUCCAAGUCACGAUACCGGAACGAGUAAACUGACUAGCCAACCGAAGCGCGGUUCCCGAAAAACCCUCGCCUAAUCACACCCGGAAGCGGCGCCCGCAAUCCCCACUGCAAUUACCGCCGAAUCGGGCGGUUCCACCGCCCCCCGAUCGCCCACAUUCCGCCGGAAGGGCCGCAGAAGCUCGGGGGACGGAGGGACGUGGAGAAGGGUUCGGAGCUGGGGGUGGUACCUCGAGGGAGGGGCGAGCCGUUUGCGGUGCGGCGUCGGCGCUGCUGAGCUCGUCGUCGGCUUCGCCUCGAACGCGAGAGAGGUGCGAGGCGGAGGGCGGUGGCCGCAUUUUAUAGCGCGUUCCUUUUUUUUUCCUCUGUCCUUUUUCUGAAGAGUCCUCUUAAUUUUUCUGCGCGUUCGCCUAGUGCGCAUCGCGCUGUACUUUGUUGCGCGGUUUUUUGGGGACGCGCCGAAGAUACUGGUAGGAGCGGGCGGACGGAGUGGAACGGUCGCGCGCGUGGGCCAUAUUCUUAGUUUUUUUUUAACUGAAGGCCCGGCAGAGAUCGCUAGAGGCUAUAGGCAAAAAAAAAAAAAAAACAAGAAGAAGAAGAAGAAGAACAGAAAAAAAAAUAAAGAAAGGGCUGCUCGAGACGUCAACACGGGUAACCACUCCACUCGCCGCGGUAGCAGAACCGAAGUCUUUAUACCAACAAUCACCCUCAUGUACUUGCUAAAAUUAUGGGUAGCCCUGCAUCGAUAGGGAACUUGACGGAAGUAGACUGCACCCCACCAAUAAGGCCACAGCCAUGCGGCACCCUCCGCCGAAGUACCGCUGCAGACACCACACUCCACGUGACAGAGUAUGCAGUUCAACAGAGAUAUUCUUAGCUUACGUGUGAAGAUUGCACAUUCUGCCAGUUGUGGCGUUAGCUAAAAACUAGACCUCCGAAAUGGCAAUCGGAAGAACGAAAGCGAAGCCGCGUCGCAUUUGGAGCAACUACGGAAACUGCUAAAGCUAAGCAACCACUAAUCCCACUGUCAGCAUGGCGAAUUACUCACACAUUGUCCGGUGCUGACGAAUUACUCACACAUUGCCCGGAAAGAAGAACAGGGCAUUGUUUAGUUCCCCUUUUUCCCAACUUUGGCACUAUGCAAAAAGAAGAUUCCCCAUCACAUCAAACUUACGGUACAUGUAUGGAGUACUAAAUGUAGACGAAAUUAAAAACUAAUUGCACAAUUUUGUUGUACUUUGCGAGACGAAUCUUUUGAGCCUAAUUAGUCAAUGUUUGGACAAUAAUUCACAAAUACAAACGAAAUGCUACAGGUGCACAUUUAUAGUAAAAUGCAAACUUUGUCACUCCUAAUUUAGGAACUAAAGGUUCAGGAAGCGAACUUGUACUCCUCGAAUCCCAUCACUACUUUCGGUGCCGGAGGAGACGACCUCCACGCGGCAAUAAUAACUGCCAUUAUGAUUAUGCCGUGAGAAAAUCAUGUCCAGACUCGACCUGCCCCGCGCUUCACUUUGCUUGGACAACACCCCAAUCAAACGGAAACAGGAACAGCACGUCCGGUACCCCAUAGUCUGAACUCGGAAAGUUACAAGGACCAGGUGAAAUCUGGCAGCUGCCAAUCAAGCUCCUACCUUUUUCUACACGAUGCAGUACAACCUGUAGGUUGCUUAGCGACCAAACCAAGGCAAAUUCAGAAACAGAAUAGUCUAAACUCCUCUCGCAUGUACAUCACCACUCACAAGAUAUGUACAGCUGCUAUACACAUGUACAGUCAAUGUGCGGCUAUACAGAAUCGAGAUUUGCUGGGUUCCAGCUGCACAGCUAGUCGUCAGAGCUUAAGAAAUCAAGCUGCAUACUGGAUAUUGGAACGAAGAAAUGGCAUCCAGCGGAGUCAGUGGCUCAAAAUAUAUUGCACUGGUCAUACGAGGAUCUGUACUCUGUAGUUCUGAAUCUGACUGUAGAAUAGCGUUAUACCCUUCAUUUGUACUCUGUAAUUCUGAAUCUCUGACUGUAGAAUAGCGUUAUACCCUUCAUCUGUACAGGUAAUAACACCCUGGUCGUCUGUAUAUUCUUCAUCUGUACAGGUAGUGAGAUCUCAGCCCACUUUUUGAAACAUGAGAAGACCGUAGAACUUGUUGUCAUGAACAUGAAGGGCUUGCUGACCCUGGUUCUUUGCUGCUUGCUUUAGCUCCCUGGGAGUGGUGGGGAAUUGUCCACGAUGAGAAGCUUCUCAGGAUCCAGGGGCCCAUUUUCAGUGUCAACGAUUCGGCUAUGCCAUCGUAGGCGGUCAGCAUCCUUCUUGACUUUGUGAACGACAUCAGCUCUGUCCCGAACAAUAGCGGCGCCCCCUGGCCGGAGAAUGCGAUCCAUCUCAACCAGGAUGUCAAUAAUCGCACAUCUGAGAAUAGUUUGGUGUCAGGAGGGAGAACUGAGCUAGAAUCACUUUAACUGCAUUGUUCAUGUGCUUUGUGAAAGCAUCCUAUGCCUUUCUAGUUCGCUGUCAGAGGCUUGAACAUCGAAAAUCAUGAGGGGGCAGUGGAUCACUUACUUGUGAAUAUGUGAACUGAAGAUCCCAUUAGCAUGUAUUAGAUCAUAUGUCCGCGGAUAAGUAGAGAAGGCCUCGCACCUGAAAAUAUAUUGAAAAUCAAGAUUAGUUAUUGCCUAUAUCUUACUCCGUACUGCAGAAUUUGGAAGUGCUGAUUUAUUUCAAGGAAAAAGAUGUUUUCAUUAACAUUACCAGUCUGUGUAUGUUCCAAUCAGUCCACGCUCAUAGAUGACACCAAGAGUAUUGUCUGUUACAUUAGUAGGAACGACAUUCAUGACCCAAACAGGAUACUUGGACAUAGCAGCAGCAAAGCCACCAAAACCAGCACUCAUAUCCAUGACAUUUCUGUAAGUUCCAUUAGAUAGAUAUUUUAGAUAUGUUACAUAGAAAUUAACCCUUUUCUCCCAAAUCAAACUGUCCUGCUUAUAUGUCUGAAUGGACAACCACUUCAUUUCCCCACUGGUUAUCCUCGGUGGCACUGCAUCAAGUCUUUUAGGCCACUUUUCUAUGACACCACCAGCACAAACAUUAACAAGUUCAGCUCUUGGAAGACAUGAUAUACACAUUGAAAUAUUCGCAUACCUGCAAUGUAACAAAACUUAUCUUUAAUGAAACUUUCAUGUUGGAAGAAUUUAAUGACUAAAAACUUCAAUGCAAGAGUACAAGUUAGAUUAUUUCAUGGCUCGGCAAAAGUGUUUUUACCCCAGUUUGGCAGCAAGUUCCUUGGAAUACUCUGGUGCUCUACUGUACUCGUGUUCUUAAUUGGAUGUGCCUUAUUGUAGCAUUGUAUUACUGUUACUGUCCUGAAAUAUUCCUGAAACUACAUUUGACUAAAUAAACUUUACGACUGCACAAGAAGUUCAGAACAAAACAUAGGCAGAUGAUGAUAUGAUCUUAGAAUAAGUUCAUACUGCAAGGCAAUCUUUAGAAGAAACAACGAAAACAACUUAUUAAUUUUUAUCCAGCCAGCCAAACUAUCAUGUGCAUUGUCGUAUCACAAGGAUAUCAUGAAGCCAAAGAAAAAAGGGGUGAGGUGGUGCCAUUGUUGAUAAGGCAACAACAUUGCAAUCCUUUUGCAUUCAAUUAAAUUUCAGAGCAUGUUCAUCCCCUCCUCAACUUUAAAGCGCAAAGGAUAGCUGAAGCUAAAAUAUGCAAUACUAUGUUUGGUUGCAAUUGGCUGGAAAUGCAAAGUGACAAGGAGACAAUGAUAACCUUACCAGGCACUAUCUGGGUCUUCUCUACAGAGUGGUGGCGAUCCUAAGAAUUUUGCUUCUUGGUCACAGUGGAGAUGACAAGUAGGCUUUCUCCAAACAGAAAUCGUGCCGUUCUCAGACAGCUUCGUCCAAUUAAGCUUAUUUGCCAUAUCAUCCAUGGUUAAUUGCUUGUCCUCAUCUUCAGUCGCUUGAUUCGAAAUAUUGUAUGCAGAUUUCCAGCUGACGGGUGGCCUAGAGAAGACCCAAUAGCCACCGGGUUGGAGAAGCCGGUCGAUUUCCAGCAUAUAGAGCCCAUCUGGAAUCAGCUAUAGGUGAAUGAGAACAAGAGCACUCCACUAGAAAACUUUACUAUUGACAUCGACAUAUUAGGAGCUGUUCUGUUCAGUGUUCACUGACGUCAACAUUCGCCAAUAGGAUAUUAGCUUUGAAGAAAGUAACUGAUAAGUGCAAUAACAAACUAGAUACGGUGAAUAAACGAUACGUCAGGAAGUCUACUUUGUCAUUAAUAGCAAUAGCAUGAUAUCUUGCAUGUCCUACCAUGAGCAGCCCAUGGAACAAGGCAGUCCGCACAGUGCACCAUAUCGAAGGACCUCGAUGGAUAUGGCAGCCUGUGAGCAACAAGCGCUCCGAUCAUGGCAGGCAGUCCACGCUCCAACGCGAGCUGCGCUUGUGCUCCACGAGCAAUGGACAUGGUCAGUACUCCAUAGUUCAGCAGGUAGUCCCCAAAGCUCGCAACCUGUCGGUGACUCGCAUGAACAGAGACAAACAUCAAAAUCACAUCGAGAAGGCAUAGUAAUCAAACAGUAACAACCAACUCUUCAAACGAGCAGCGUACUCGAUUGCAAAUAGGAAACGCUCUCACGCAAGUACUCACCCCGCAGCCGAUGUCGAGCGCCGUGCGCACCACGCCGCCGCGGAGCGGCACCACGCGCGCCAGCUGGUCGACGUAAUUCCGUACCCCCUUGCCCUUGGUGAACACCAGCCACUCCCCGCGACCGCGGACGGGGUCCUGGCCCGCCAGCUUGGCCGAGGACAUCCGCAGCGGGAGGUCCACGUUCGCGUACCGCGCGCGCUCGCGCCGCGCAGGCCACGGCGGGGGCGGGCGGUACCCGGGCGGCGGCGGGACGCGGCAGUGCGGCGGGGGCGGUGGAGGGUGCGGUUGAUGCGGCGGGGGGUCCUUGGGCGGGUGCGGAGGAGGCGGCGGGCGCGUGGGGCAGUGGCGCUCCCCGGAGGGGGACUCGUGGCAGGGGACGAGGUGGGUGGCGUUGGGCGGGCACGGGGGAACGGGCGGGGGAGGCGGGGGGUGGUGGUGGUGGUCGGGGUCGGGCGCGGGCGCGGGCGCGGGCGCCGGGGCUUGGGGGGCGGUCGUGGACGCGCUGGCGUACGGGGGAAGCGGAGGCGCCGAGGAGGAGGCGACGUGGUGGGUGCGGGAGACGACGGCGGAGAUGAGGAGGAGGGACGUGGUGGCCGCCGCGACGGCCGCGGCCGUGAGCGAGAGCGCCCGCGGCAGCGCCUUGACCACGGCCGCCGAAGACGGCAGCGAGAGCGGCAUGGCCGCCGCCGACACCGCGUAUGACGCACUGGCCGAGUAUCGGAUGCUCCGAGUGCGUGAGUGAGUGAGUGCGGCAAAAGUGGAGCGGUGGCGCCGCGGCCGUCUUGUUCGUAUUUGAAGGGGAGCACGAGGAGACAGCAGACAGGGAGGCUGGGAGCGGUUGCUGCCGCGCGGGUCCCGGCCGGUGGGGGUUUUGUGGGAUCCGCCGAGCAGUGGCACGUGCCUUUUUUUUUCCUCUAAUACGUAAGAAAGCUGUUUAUCAUUGUAUUAAGAAAAAGAAAUAAAUAAUACAAAACAUUUUACAAAACGACAACAGGUCGUGUGCCGCGUGCUCUCUUUCGCUCAUUACAUAUACGAUAUCUUUUUUUUUCCGAAAUAAGCACAUGUCAAAUCUGAAUAACUGAAUAUGAUCGAGCGCUGAAAAUGCAAGACGGCACGAGAAAUUUCCCCCCCUGCGUGCAAAACCCGCUGAGAAUCUAGUCUCGUGCGGAUCCUUAGAAAAUAGAAAUCGCAUCCUACACUGUGGUCCAAGCUCCAAACCGGACCGGCUUCCUCUCCGUAGAGAUUGAAAUUUGCCCCCCUCGAAUUUAAAACCAGCAAACUGCAAUGCUUAAAAAAGGUGAUCGAUCAGUACCUGCAGAAAGAUGUGUCGGAACGUCUUCAGAGUUUAGUCAUGGGCGAUCCCGUUGAGUCGUAGUACCAGUAGGACAAUCCAAUUUGCAGCUAACGCGCAACGCACUACGAGUCCAAAGGAGGCCGUGGUACAACUCGUCCAGCACCGCACGAACCCCAUGCACCUAACACAUCUCCUUUUUACCACGAAAAAAAAUCGAGCACAAUCCCAACCGAAGACAACGCGCGUCCGUGUGCUCCGGCCGUUGUCCACGACACCGGCGACGAUCAACACUGAUGAUCCAUUGCCGCCGUAGUUUUCGACGGCGACUCGUCAUGAUCGUAGCAUCGCUUGCAAGCAAGAGCAGGACCCCGUGCCCGGCCCCCUGUCACGCUCGCCAACAGCAACGUCUCGUUGCGGGAUCGAGCGCGUUCUCCUCGUCGCGCCGCGGCAGGUUACGAGAGCGGCCAAAAACGACGCGAUCGGGUCGGGCGACUCGGGCCCCCGUGUGCGGCCGGCGUAGGCCGCGCCGGAGACUUGCGCGGGGCGGCGACGGCGACGGCGACGGCACGGCGCGCUCCCGCUUGGACGGCGCGAUAAUCCGGCCACUCUCUUCCAAACGCACGCGUCACCUCUUCUCGCCCGUACGGCUACUUGCAGCGAGACGACGAGCUCCAGGGCCUCUGAUCUUUCGACGUCCUCUGCCGCCUGCACGUCGUCUGCUGUACUUGUUUCUCCUGGCCGCGAGCGAAUCUGCCCAAGGCCUCCGCGCCUCCGCGUCAGCUUUUGACGGGACCAAUCCGCGGGCGGAGUCGCGGAGAGGUGGUGCCGGCGAGGAGAAAGUGGGCACUGGCGUGGCGGCUGGCCACGGGCGGGCUGGCCGUGUGCGUGCGUCGUGUGGUUCGCUGGAGCGUCACCGCCGACGGCGACCGCCCACUAUCAGCGUGCGAAGCAUUAUCCCCGAGCUCAGUCGCCGUCUUAUCAGAGCAGCGGCAGCGUAAGAAAUGGCCGCGCCUUUUCAAAAAGGUAUUCGCAACGAAAACAUAUGGGCUCCAUGAUGUAUACAGCACAUGUGUGUAGAGUUUCUUUGCUGUGAAAAUUUACACGGGGAAAAAACUAGACGCUUUUAGUUUUAGUUCCCCGUGGAUACUGUAUAUGAGAGAGUACAAUAGGCCCCUACCGCUUUCAGGCUUCAACCAAGAAAAGGCUCUCGAAACUUUAUCAUUCUAUAUUCGUUUCUGUAGGUGAACAAACGACACAUAAUCACAGUUGCGUUACAUUUAUUCAGACAUGAAAGAGACGACAAGAAGUUAGUUACAGGUUGGGGUAUCAAGAACUGAUUCGAGUACAGGAUACUAUCUUCUUCUUCUUCUUCUUCUUCUUCUUCUUCUUCUUCUUCUUCUUCUUCUUCUUCUUCUUCUUCUUCUUCUUCUUCUUCUUUUUAAAAAAGAAAGGAUAAGAACUGUUUCAGGCCAAGGAGACCUUAUUACUCUGCCCGCUCUCCUUGCGGCUCGUUAUUACUGGAAUUUAUUGCUGACAAAGCUUGGCCAGCUACUCAGUUGCAGAUUUCCGCCAGCAUCAGAUUGCAGUGCAUCUUUUACAAGAGCUGGCACCUUAUUUGUUCUCUUAUUUGUCAGAAACCAAACUUUAUCCUUGGACUCGGAGGCAUGUUAGAGACCGUACAUGGCCAACCUUCCUUCACCAGUGAAGUCAAAACCUCAAUCAGGAACCCUGAUGCUUCAGGUCAUUCUCAGAGUCGACAGGUUGUGCGCUAUCUCCUAGCAAACGCGCAUAAUAAGAUCAGAUAAAAGAUCUUUUGUUGAUUCCCUUGACGCCCUUGUACUUGGACCGGGCGUUUAGGUGCUUUCUAGAGAAAAGUCAGCUGAUAGGUUGAGACUCAUCUUCAGUGGAGGUUUUCACGCUUUUACGCUGAUAACGUGGGAAAAGCAUUCGCCUGAUCUUUUUUUCAGCUGAACGUUCAGAGAGCGCCUGAAACCAGAGACUCCAAAUGAUUGUUCUAGGUUCAUUAAAAGGACCAAGGUGAUUUGAAAUUUCUAAGCCUAAUGACUAACCUGCGCAUUGAACGAAAAUCGAACAGUCCUAGCUUCCAAGCCAGAAAAGGCUCUUACAUCAAUACCAAGACUGUCAACGCCAAUCAAACUUGCCUCCUGCAGAACAUUUCAGAUAUCAGAUUGCAAACAAAGCUUACACUAAAGGAACACUUGUCCUAUUGGCAAUGCAAUAGUGAGAAACAACAACAUGCGUAACCAACAUAUGAACAGGUAAUAUGAUAAUCACAGUGCAAAUGACAUGCUUCUGAACAAAAGAUGAAAUUGCAGAUAUAUUUAAGGUCCUGGCAUUGCAGAAGUAUACCGUCACAGCAACUAAACAAGAAAAAGAACUUGUGCCUUGUUAUUCUUUUUCACAAUGAAAUAAUGAAUUUGGACAUAUGCUUAAAAGAAGAGGAUUCCAGGCACAAGAAUGGUAAUUUCAGAUUGUGAACAUGAAAAUAAAGCAUCAAUGACAACAAACGUACCUCGACAGUAAGGCUCUUUUUCCUGCGACAGAGUGACCUGAGAGCCACUGCACACUGAUCACUGUUUUCUUUGAUCCGUUCUAUAAUUGCUGAAGCAGAGUUUGCAAGAAUAUCUGGUUCUGAAUCUUGAAAAUCUUGUGGAUCGAUCAUCAACUGCAGAAAUCCAUGGAAUAUAAGAAACUAUAAUGGCCACAAUACCUGUUUGUAGAUCAAGGUCAAGUAGUUAUAUGAUAUUCCGAAGCAACAUUACCUGCUUGCCAUACAUGGAGAACAGUUCAAUUGUCAUUAUCUCCAGCUUGUAGAUCAUCGAACCGGUGCUAGUUCCGGUAUCAUUGAAGUCAAAUCUUGACUUAUCAUCAUCUGAAUAUUUGCUUAGAGUAAGUCAAACAAAAAUUGAAUGAAAGUGGGUAACUGAGGUGCGAGAUUUUAACCAAUUAAAUUACCAACUAGGUGAUUAGUUCCAGAAAUUGGCCGAGUUUCUGUGUUGUAUCCAUCUGUUUCAUUCACUACAUCAGAAAUGGCAUUGGAUUGAAGAAUAGCAUUGAGAAAAAGAAAAGAAGAUGCUUCAUAUCUGAAUUUGUUGUGGAAGUACCUUUCCAGUCAGAUGAAUAUCCAUCACUGUUGGAUUCGGCAUGAAACAAGCUCCUCAAGUAAGAUUCUUCCUCUAUAAAAGCAGGUCUCAGAUAUCCAACAAUAGAGACACUAUUUGAUGGACUAUCCAUCUUCUCCCCACGAUUGUCAUGAACAGCCUGUAUAAUAAAAGAGCAGGUAAUGUGAUUGCCUAGUUCUCUGCAACUUGGGUGAUUUGAAGUCACAUUUAGGGUUGUGCUCUUUUGAUAGGUCAUGCUACGAGACAUGCUUUGCUGAAUGCUGAAGCUUUUACUCUACAACAAACUGAUACAUGAGAGUUCAUAAUAAAUAAAAGAAGUUCAGGUUGGCAUAUAUAUAUAUAUAUAUAUAUAUAUAUAUAUAUAUUCUAUAAUAUAUUCUAUUUUAGCAGAGAUUUUAUCCAACACUAAUUGAUGGGAAAAAUACUCAGAACAAUACAUCAAACUGUUGCGAUCUUUUGUUUUGUUUUACUGAUACUUUCUGUCCCAGUUGAGAGAGAACAUACUCUGAAACUAAUGCAAGAUCAUACUGAUUUGCUAUCUUUGCCUCUCUUUUUUUUUGGAUCUUGAUGUGUGCCUAACCGAGUGGUCUGGACGGUUACUCAUUGCUCUACUAGAUGGUUCCCUUGCAACUCUUCAUGACAACACAAAAUUACUAACCAAUCUAAAGUGGAGGAUGUUAGCUGAAUUAUAGUAAUCAUUUAUAGCAUCUUUGCCAGGUUGACCAUUUUCACUAUUUCAAGGGCUGCUGGGUUGUCUGCAUUCUUUUAUAACGGUUUAUCUCUUACCUUUGUCAAACAUUUGGCAAAGUAAAUCGGAUGUAUUGCACGCAUUGUUGCUGGCAUCCCCCAUUCUAUAAGAAUAUCAGUUAUUUCUGUAUCAAUCUGUGACAUUUCACAAGAGAGACAUUAAUGAUGACAGGGCUUGCUGCUAAUAAGAAAAAUGAUCCACAGUAACCGCUGAAAGCAGGAAAAAGAACUUUUAGCAAACCUUGCUGUAGUGCUCAUCAGGAACGUCCAUAAAUUUUUCACCAUCCAUGUAAUCACUAAAAUCACUAAUCGCCACACUACUUUCUCCAAUAAUGGGUCCGUCCAUUCCAAUUAAAACUGUCUGCAAUUGAGAUGUCAUUUCAAGUAAGUGAAUCACCCAUCAAAGCACUGAUGCACAAGAUUUUCAUCAUCAGAGUAACACUGUUCUGUAGCAAGACAAUGGCAUGUUGACUGCAGCACUAACACUGUUCUGUAGCAAGACAAUGGCAUCUUCGUGAAAAUUAGUCCUUUAAGGAACAACUACCAUGCAAAAGAAUGAUGAUGCCAGUUGCCAGGCAGAUAGCCUCUAGACUGCUAUGAGUGUAUGCCUAUAACUUUUUGGUAGAGAAAAGAGUAGUUUAACUUUUUGCCCUAUUCAUAAUGGAUACAAGGUUGUCCAUUCAGGACUACUCGACCAAUAAUAUAUGAACUACACAAAUCUGUCCGGCUAUCCCUAAUACAUGGAGUAUAGUACAUAUCUACAAGGAAAGAAACCCAUUAACAAGGAAAAGCAAUUAUUAUUAUCUAGUUUCUAACUAGUAUUGCUCUGGUCAACACAGCAGAACAACAUCUUACCACAGGAUUGUUCGCAGUAUCAUCUUCUAAGAGGUUCUCGCUGUCAGGUACUUCAAAGAAUAUGUCUGUAAAUAAGUUCCCAACAGGUUAGCUGCACAAGAAGAACACUGCUAAGGCUCUAUAGUACAUUUUUAUCAUGCAUUAAGGCAGUACCUCCGUAGUCAUCAAUAACAUAUUGAAACUCUGACCAGGCAACAUUUCCAUGAGGUUCAUUGUGUACCCUUGCAGGAAAUACAAGCAAGCCCUUGCUAUUGCCCUAGACAAGAUGGAAGAUUGGAACAUUAACUAGGCUUAGAUGCUCAGCAACAAAUUUGUGUAAGAUUUUACAGAAUAUAUUUGGAUUAUUUUGAGGAGUUUUAUACUCUGCUAUCAGGGUAUCGGGAUGCAAUCUUAAAUGGAUAAUUUAGUUGCACCAGAUUACCUCUACUACUGUUCUAGCUGUUUCAACAUCUGUCAGUAGCAGGUCCUUUUUCCUUGAACGCUCUUUAACUUCUUCAAGAGGGUGAUAACCCCGAUCUCUCGUGUACUUUGAAUCUGGCACUGAGUCUGAAUAAUCAGCAGCCACGCGAACCUUGGUUAGGGAUGAGUCCUGAUCAGUUGGCAACCAGCAGCGCUGAAUUGGUCCAAAAGGGUUACGGCAUCGAAAACUGCAAGAAAUGGUUGCAGCUGUUAGUUUCAAAAUGCAAGGAAACCAUUCAGAGGAAUUACUUGCAAUGAGGGUCGGAAGGACCUUAAACUAGAUAGAUCAUGAAAUCUCCGGGAGUCAAAUGGAGUUUUAACCCAGUUUAAGGUGGCUCCUGCUGCCAUUUUACACUCCAGCAGAGGACAAUUAAUUCUGCUCUGCAAAAGUAAAAUAGAAUUGUUAAGCCAAAAAAAUAAAACGCUGAUGGCACAUGUACUUAAUAAAUACUUGUUUUUGAGGAAUAUGUACCCAAUAUGGAUGAUUCUGCAUAGAUGGUAUUUCUCUUGAAGCAAUUUAAAUAUACUAUUAUUUACCAGAUUAUAACAAAGCUCAGGCGUAGUCUCAAAGAAUGUAGAGCAGAAGAGGGUACCCAAACAAAUAGUGACCAAUCACAUAAGGAAAUGUCAAUUGCCUUUUUUGAAAGGAGAAGAAGUGACUAAUUCCUCUAGCAAAGGCAGUCACCAACAGUCAGCCCAAUGCAGUAUUCACCUCAUAUCAGAACAUAUAACGAGGAAAAAAAUGCAUCCAAAUGGAUGAAGAAUUGGGUGUAUCACUAUUUCCUUCAAGUCUCAACUGCAAUUGUACAUAAGGGUAAAACGGGGAAAGAGAUGGCUGGACAGUGUCAAACAUAAUGAAUGAGGUUCUAUUCAGAGAAACUGGGAUGAUUCCCUGAGAAAAGAGACACUUCUGAAUGUGCAAACUGCCACUCACGCUCACCAAUUCACAUCGAAACCGAACCCAAGUUAUGUUAUAUUCAAUCCAGCAAGCCUAAUUCUUGAACACCAUGUGUACGGUAAACCCUGGUGGAUCAGAGCACUUUACCAAACUGCAGUCGCUGCAAUUAACAAACAUAACACAUUACAAACCUCAUUUCUAACAAACCAGUUACACCAAAGCGAUCCAACCAAACUCUAGAAUCAAAACUAAACCAUUCGGUGAGCAACCGCACACGAAACCGCUGCUGCUGCACUGAUCAAGGAGCAGGUCUCCCCUGUUCUCCGAGCACAGAAACAUCAUCGGGGCGUCACCUUUGCGAGACCAGAAGAAUAGGUCCAGCCGGAACCACCGCAUCGCUUAUGCUAAACGCAAUCGAAUUCGGUACGGAAACGGAACUCACCGAUGAUACCAAGGCUGGCCACCUGAAACGAGAAGCAAAAAGGACCGCAGGAUCAAGCAGAAGCGGGCCGUGCGGGCGGCGAGAACGGAGACCGACGCGGCAGCCGCGGCGCGCGGCGGAAACACCCGCGGGCGAGACGGAUCACGGCGCGAACCGCGAGUUCCCCCUUGCUCCCUCCUGGUCUGCUGCGCUCUUCCUCUUUGGGAGGACUGACGAGACGUGAGAGAAGCCGCCAGGAGGGGUGCAUCAGGGCCCUUUUGGUAAUUUGCUCUUUCCUGCACGGCGCAGGGUUAGUUUCUCUCCCAGCAGUACAGUUUUUUAAUAAUUGAAAAAUGAAGGUAGAAAAAAUUGGGUGAUUAGCACGAACAGAUUUUGGUUUAGUAUUUUUGGAAUUUCCCUCACCUCCUGAAAAUGGACUAGUAUUAUCGGAGUUGGUGUGGGGCUUGGAUCUCGAGGUAAAUUCCGCAUUUAAUAGUAGUCGUUGGCCCCAUAACCGAAACAAUGAUGAUGAUGGGGGCAGGUCGCUCCCUGCUUUGAAUAACACGUGCAGCGACCACCGUACGAGUACAUGUGAGAACGGCAUCCACGUAGUCAGUAGUGAUUAGUGUUGGGCCGUAGACGUACAGCAUGUUUGCAGUCUUGAAGCUGUUGAUUCACAGUGUGUAUUGUGUUGGUGUUGCUAUUUCAGUGUACCAAUCACGAUAGCAGUUAACAUUUUUGGGUACCAUUUGAUAUCGUUGGAUGAUGACGGUAGAUCGGUGUCCACGUGCACAGCGGUUUAACCCGUUUACACGCCGUGUAAAAUGCUACGGUGCCUAGUCGUGUCUGUUUAAUCAUCCAUUUAGCCUGUUUAAUCUAUUUAAUUGGUCGUUUAGUUUGAAUAAAUAAGCAGGUAACUGACUGUUUAGCGUAAUAUUAUCAAGGAUUUGAGGUGUAUGGAUAGCAUUUGGGCGAGGGAAAAGAACAAAAGAGAACGGAUAGGGCCAUAGAGGUAGCUUCUAUCUGAAUGGCAGUUGGUCUGGAUGGAUCAUCAAAGGAUCAUGGAUGUGCGUGCCAUCCUAGCCUCAGAACAAGCCUCUCCAACCGUAGUCUGCAACAGCAGGCGCAGGGGAAGGAAUAUGUCAGUCAUAUUCCGUUGGCAUCAAAGUUCCAGGGCUUGUGGCCCUCCUGCAACGCCAGCCGCAGGCUCAUGAUCGGCUCGCAAAAGACGCCCGAGGCCGGGUUGUUCGUUUCCGCCCAUUUUGGCUCGUCCGCUACACUAUGGUCGCUUUUCUGGAAAAUGAUGGGCACCCGGAGCCUCGAGCUCUCGCCUACUUCUUGCUCACGAUUCACGAAAGACUACGACACCGAUGGCAGGACAGGUUUUACAUGGGCUUCUGGAAAAUCGCCCUACCGUGAAUUUCAUCAUGCGUCACAAAUUGCAUAGCCCUUCUUUUACCUUACAGUUGCGAGGUUUUGAUGCACAUGGAAUCUUCCCAGCUGAACCCGUGCCAUGCGAUGCUCUCGUGUCUUUCUUGUAGGUAGGACACGACUCUUACGUGAAGUGGUUGUCUUGAAGAGUUUUUUUUUUCCUUUCUUCAGAGAACAUGUUUUUGGUGCCGGUGCACCUGAACCGACCAGGAUCGUGCAUGCGAAGAACGGCGCAACUGGACGAUCAUGUGUCUCCAUGUGCUGCAUGGAGGUAGGCGCCACGUCGAUCGCUGUGCUGCACGCUUUCAUCGUCAAAGUUCUUCUUCUUUUUUUUUUGGAGUGGUGAUCGUCAAAGUUCGAUGCAGAGUGGAGGAGGGAGAGAGCUUUUUAUUCUUCUUUUUUCAGUCGGGCUUUAAACGCGGAGACUGAGACGCUACUGGCCCAGUGACGGCCUAGCCCAAGGGUAGGUCCAAACAAACGCCGGUUGAGCAUGGCCCAGGCCCACCCAAACAAUCCGGAUCUUCUGCGCCGGACAGAUCCGCCGCCGCAGCGGUGCUUGCUUCCGAAUCCGACCGACCAAGAGGCGCCGGCCCGGGCGUCGCUGUCGUCGAUGCCGGAACCGGCGACGGGGCCACGGGGCGACCAUGCGCGUAGACUGCCGCGUCGCGGGCUCGCGGCCACUCUCUCUCCGGUAAGUUCUCUGAGCCACUCGCUAGGUCACUAGUCCGUCUUCAUAGGUGAAGAAUGCAGAGUAAAUACCGCGACAAUCCGCGCAAAAAGAUGCACUCGUAGCGUGCUCAAGUUUUUCGUAAAAAUUGUGUUGCCUAUGUUUUGUCCCUUCCAUUUAUCUUGUGGUAGAGAGGAGAUAUCCCUUCUGGAUUCUGAAUGUCGUUUAGAUGCCACAGUAUAACCCGAGGAGCAAAAAUGGAUUUGAGUUUUUCAGGAACAAGUCUUUCAGGGUGAUUUCUGAUUUGUUCCAUUUUCUUCACAUGUAAGGGCAGAAACACAAAAGGCUAAUUUUUUUAACUGCAAUGAGUACACCAUAUAUUUCAUUGGUAGAGCUACUAAGAAAGCUCAUCGAACUUAUGAUUACAUUGCUGAAAUAGCUAUAGGCAGUGGAAUGUAAACUGCAACAACUCUAGACAAUGCAAUAAACAACUCUAGAAUACUGAGAUGGAAGCAGAAGCCUCCAGCUAUGAUUCCUCUCGAUAAUCGAAAUAGGCUUCAGGUCUUUUGUUUAUUCUGCUCACGCCUGGCCCUGAAAAGAGAGCGGAGUGAUAUCAUUAGCAUUGCAUGUCACUGCACUUUGGGAAUAUGAUUGCUUUCUUCGAAUUGUAGUUCUGUAUUUUUGGGUUCAUAAGAGCAUCUUGGAACGUUGAAGCUUUAAAAAACUGUGAUAUUUUUUUGGAGAUACAGUGUGUAAUAUAAUAAUAUGUAAAGUUUCACAACUAAAGAAAACUUACACUUAAAGAGCCCCAUGUUGAUGCUUAAGAUAGCUGAUUUGUUGGUGGUGGGGAUUGAUAGGAGUGCAGAGGUGGCGUUGGUGCCGACAGAGCUUCAAUUGGAGGUGGUGGAGAGUUGUGCUGGUAAAGAGGAUGUGGAGAUGCUGAAGAUACUGGUGGAGACUUUGCAUGAGGGACACUUGGAUGCAGAUUGUUUGGAGCAUUUGGAGGUAAUUGUGGGGAAUACUGGGCAGGUGGCGGUGAAGAUUGAUGGCUAUGUGGAGGUGGUGCAUACUGGUACGGAGGCGGAGAGUUAUAUUGGUAUGUAGUUCCUGUUGAUGAUGGUAGAAGUGGUGAACUGUGGAUGUAUGGAGGUGGGGGAUACUGGUUAGCUAGUGGCGGAGGUACGUAGUUGUACUGGUAUUGUGGUGGUGGAGAGUUUUUUUUUGAAACGUAUGGUGGUGGAGAGUUGUAGUAGUAUGGAGGUGGUAAAUACUUGUGGGAUGGUACUGGAGAAUUGACGCCUUGUAGAGGUGGUGGUGAUUGGUAGCUGUUUGGAAGUGUGGACUGUAGGUAAGGUGGCGGUGAAGCAUAGUUGUUUAGUGGAGGUGAUGGGUACUGGUAAGCUGGAGGAGGAAACAGGUUAGAAGGAGGUGGCGAAUGUUGAUAAGGCAAUGGUUGGGACUUAUGGCUAGCCGGAGGCGAGGGAUACUGGUAAGGGAGUUGCGGGGAAUUGUAGGGAUGCGCCGGUGGUGGCAUGUGAGGUUUUGAACAUUCCAAGGUAUUCUUUGAUGCAAAUGCCAUUAUCUGGUUCGCUUGGAGAACCACCUCCUUGCUUGACUUGGAGUAAACACUGAGCCCAGACAAAUUUAACUCAAUUGGCACAUUGCAGUCUGAUCCUCCUGGUGCUCCAUGGAGCUCGACCUUACACGAGUCGGCCCCAUAGGUGUUGCUAAUUGGCAAUCCCUUAAGGAUCACACUGUAUUUGCCAUUGCUUCUGGUGUAACCAAAUGCCACGAGUGCUUGGUCAUUUGCCUGACAAGUGACCUUGACCAUGGCUCCUGCACCCAGAUUAUUGUUAAGAAAUUAGUAUGAAACUCAGAAGGACAUUUACUCAUUUAGGGAUAAGUCUCAAAAGAUCAGCAGCUGAUGUUUAAGGAGGAUAAUUAUGAGCAAAAAGGAACAAUGAUGUAUUUUCAAGCUGACUGCAUUAGCAUGAUAUGAUCAUAAGAACAGGGUGAUGACAAAAUUUCACCUUCCAGGUGCCUUUUCCCAUGGGAUUCUUCUGGGUGUGCCUCAUUGAAGCAUCUGUAGCAGUACACCUUCCCUAUCACCUUAAUAACAGGAUCAUAUGUUGGUGAUAUGGAAAGAGAAGGUGGUGCAAAGCUGCUCGCUCCCUCACCGUGCAUUGCAAAAGUGACAAACAACAUGGUGAAGACCAGCCAUAGGUGACCCUUUGGCUGGCCUGUCAUGCUCAUUUUCAUGGCUAGAUAGUGCUUUGUCAAGUGAGAGCAGGAGAAGAUGUGGAUGGUUUUGGCUUUGAUAUGGAUGGCUAUUUAUAAUGGCCAUGGUCACAAGGUUUGAGGGACAGAGAGAGCAGGUAGGGGAUGAGUGAACCGGGUCAACAUUAUUCUGCUUCAUGUCACUGCAUUCUAAAAUGAGCACAUACAAUGCCUUGAUUUUUUUCGUCAUGUAUAGCAAACAGUGGAAAUUUCAUUUUUCUCUUUUAAAAUGGCAUAAUGUGAUUAUGUUUAUUUACUAUUGUGCAGGUAAUAUACGAAAAUACAAACACAAUCUGAGUUGAGCAAACCCAGUAUUGUUCCAAGUCACCGUAAAUCUGCAAAGGACCUUUGAAGCUACCCUUUCAUCAAUCCAGCUGGUAAUUCUCCUGGGUGAUUAUACUAGAGAUCAAGAUAACUUGUGGCCUCAUUUUCAUCCAGCAAAAAGGUCUGUGGCAUGUGUAGCUUCAACUACUCAGGCAUAGCCCACUGACCUGAUAGGAUAGCAGCCAACUAAAUCUCAAGUCAAAAAGGUGCAUUCCUGUGUUCAGCUCAGAUGGUUCAGGCUAACAAAUCCCUCCUGCUCCAUCUCCAUGCAAGAGUUGAGCAGGUUUAACUAACAAAUGAUUGUUUAUUUGUUGGUUUGUUCCACUCCCAUGCUGUUUGAAAAUCUGUUGCCUAUCCCCUUGACAUUUUGAUUUGCCACAUAUAAUGAUACAAGGAGGAGAAAAUAGCUUUUGGAGGUAGCAGGAAGCUCAUUUUGGUGCCGAAAAGAAGGAAGUGUGCAUUUGCUUUUGGUCGGUGGCAGCCAAUUCGGGCUAACUGGUUGGGCCUAAUCUGCACGGUGCCUUAAACUUGGGCCGACGGUAAGUGGAUUGAGCCCAUGUACUGUUGAAAACAAUAGGAGUAUACAGGACAUAGAACACAGCGAAACGAUAAUAUAGAACUUGCUUGAUUUCCCUGCUUAGUUUGAUCAUUUGAAUGGAAACACUAGACAAUUUAGAUGCCAUUAGUCUUCACCUCAUGUCAGGUCAUCCACCCUAGCUACCACAUUUUGCCCAAUUUACAAGCAGGCUUUGCUAGCUCCAUUUUCUACCCAUCUAAUGACUUGGUUAAUACUACUAGUUGGUAUCCAUCUUCUGAACCUGAACCCCAAAAUGUCAGCAAGUGAAGGUAUCGCCAUGGAGGUAGCCCUAUGACACUCUUCACAAACCAUCACCCUCCCUUCAGAAGAGACCCUAGCUUUCCUUCCAGCUACAAAGAACUUAAGCAUAUGACAAAGAACAACUCAAUGGUCACCUCCAUCAGGAACCCUAAGUGUUACUUAUGUGAGCGUACGUUUUACCGCGAUGCCAGGCCGGCGCACGCAGCUUAUGUAUCAUUCCAGACACUGAAGAGCUGCGCGCCGCCAUGGCCAACGCCGGCCAUGUUGUCGUUGCUGCUUGCCGCUGCCGGGGCCGAGGCCGGCGUCCACGAAGGCAUCCUCCCGCCACCGUAGGCCGCCUCCGCGUUCACCAGGUAGCUCUCGUACCCCAUCUGCGCCGCCUGCUUGGUGGCUUCGUCGUGCUCCCCUUGAUGUGACCGCGCAUGCACCUGCUCGUGACUCACCAUUGCCGUCGUGGUCGCCGUGGCAGCGCUCAUCGGCAUCAUGUAGCCGCCGCCGACGGCGCCACCGUUGCUGUCCCCAACCCCAUUGUACACGACGGAGUUGGAGCCGGUGCUAUGCUCGAGUGAGGCAUUGUCGAUGCUGCCGAGGCCGUGCAUCGCGGCCUGCCCCGCCGAGAAGAAGUCGUGCGCACCGCCGCCGGCGCCCAGGUUCAGGUGGUUGAGCUCGUGCAGGCUGUGCGCGGCGGCGAUCACCGCGUGAUCCUGCUCCUGCUUGCACCACCCACGCAUCGGCUGCGCGUACGGGUGGUACAGGCCGGCGGCGGCGGCGCUCGGCUGGAACGCGAUGGUCGGCCAGGCGGCUGCGGCUGCGUGGUAGUGCGUGCCGUAGGCUGCCAGGGCGCCGCCGUCGCCGAGGUGCGAGGCGAUGCGGCCUACGUCGUAGCUCACCACGCCAGCGUGCUGCGCGGACGCGGCGGCCUCGGCCUCCUUGAGGCGCUUGGCGGCGCUGCCGAUGGGGAGCGCGCUGCUGUCCAGGAUGCUCUUCACGUCGUAGCGGCUCAUGUCGAAGUUGGUGACGGCGUUGAGCCCGCGGAACUUGAUCGCCGCGAUGUCGUACGCCUCUGCUGCCUCCUCCUGCGUGCCUGCACCCACGCAUAAUUGCGCUCGGCUUAGCUCAUCAAUCCAAGCACACUCGUGCUGCACUUCGUCUGCACGGUGCAUGGUAUAUGCGAGCAAAAUGCAUGUGACAUAGCUUAUUAAUCAGAAUUUUUUAAUGUUGUAGCUUAAUUAUUUUAAGCUGUAACUUGAGAUUAGUCUACUGCAGAUGCAUGCUCGCUUGUUUCUAAUUAUUAAGGUAGUGUAGUGCUACUUUGACCUGAUGCACGGGUGAAUGGGAGACAACAAUAGCACCAGACAUGGGAUCAGAUUUGAAAAAAACAGCCACUUGCAUAGGAAUGCAUACACUACUGCAAUGCAACUUGGAAUGGCUUCAUGCUCACAUUUUUAAUAGCCAGCUAGCAUAUAUACAUCCAUGUACAGCAGGUCUCUUAGUGAGUACCAUCAUCAGCUAUGAAGCACUUGCUUAUUGCUUCUAAUUGCAAGCAUUGAGAUGGUUAUAGUUGACUGUAGUUUGCUUCUGUGGUUAAUAUAUUAAAAAAAAACCCUCUACUUACUGAAGGUGCCCAAGUAGAGAUCCUUGUUCCCUGCAACUCGUCCAAUCCGUGCUUGCCAUCUCCCAUGUUGGUGAUGCCUAAAAACACAGAGAGGUUCAAGUUACACACCACUCACAUUUGCUAUCCAUUGCUGAAUAUAUUACGCAUCUGCCGACAUCACUAUAUGAAGUUAUACCUAGUUACUCCUCUGUAAAUGGAUGCACCUCUGGAGAAGCCACUGCUCUUCCUGCAACCACAUAUAUGGGUAGUUUGUGUCAAAUAUGAUCUUGAUCUAUUAAUCUUGCCCAACAUCUAAUAAUAUAGAGUAAUUUCUUGUCUCAAUAAAUUAAAAGAUUAUCGUAGACUGACCUUCUCAGAGACGCUACAAACUCCUGCCUUGUCAUGUGCUUCAUUUCCUCCAGCUCCUUUUCGUAGUUACUCACCUAGAAAUACAAAAACAAAUGCCUUUAAGUAUAACUCCAGCAAUGUACAUAAUUAACAAAAACUGGCAGAACCUUCACUUCAGAUCACUAACCAUUUAACAGAAUUGAGAAAUAGCAACUAUUAAUGUGAAACUACGUUGUACAUAUACAUACCGGAAAAUUUGUGGUCGUCGUGGGACCCCAAUACUUAAGAGCAGCCAAAUCAUAAGCCCUAGCAGCUUUCUCCUCUUUGUCAUAACCACCUAUCAAUGAUAAAAGAUGAAAAAAAAAGGUGAGAAUAGCGAGAGAAAAAUAUGAUUCCUUCUAUUAGAUUUUGAAGAAAAAAAAAAGGUAGUCCAACCCGAAUCAAGUGAAAUCGCGUACCUAGAUAGACUGUAGAUUGAAGAGUUGAGUUCAAUCCCGCAAAUCACGAUAGUCAAUACAGAGACGAUCAAAGAGAAGUAAUAAUAUCAGUUAACAACAUUGGGGGAAAGAUCAAGCACAACAGCUGAUUUGAAUAUGCAAUCUGGCAUUAGUACCUUGACGACCCUUGCGAGUUUGUCCUUCCCUUCUGCAACUGUUGUCCCACAGAUGAGCCUCGUACCUCCCUGUCCAUCUAUGCCUAAAAUAAAUCAAAAGUAGAAGAUUUUUGUUAAUUUCCCACUACACAACGAUCAUGCCCAACACAAUGACAGUCCUAAUCACCCAAAUCAUCAAAUGCUACUUUGCUAGCAUCGGGCCUACUCAUUUUCUUCAUAAAAAAGAGACAUCAAGCAAGAACUUAGCUAGAUGCAAUCAAAUCUAUCAUAGCAUCUUGCAUUAGUAAUGGUUUGUUGUUUAAUUUCAUGAUCAUUACUUGAUGCAUUGCUGAUUUGUGCUAGUUAAUACUCCUAAGUCCCAUGAUUCAUUCAUUGCACCCGGGCCUACCUGGUCACCCCGCGGUAAAUCGACGUGCGCUGGCCGAACGUGUCUACCGUCUUCCUCGCCGCCGUCUCAGCAACCGUGCCGCUGCCACCCGUGUCUGUGCUCACGGCUAGUAGGGCGCCGGCACCGCCGCUGCUACCGCUAUCCUCCUUCCGAGCGGCGACUGCUCCACCCUGUGCUGAUGUGGACACGCUCUCGGGCGCCCGGCCUCGCUCUCCGGCGAGAAGCGGCAUGCCAGCGCCUUGCGCCCCUGCCAUGUUCAUGGACAAAGAAAGCCCCUGCGCCGCCUGCGCGCCCUCGGCGGCCGCCACUACUCUCGGUUGCGGCAGCGGCGGAGCUGGUUGACUCCGCAGCCAGUUCUUGAUCAUGGACAGCCCGAUGCUGCCGCCGUUGGCACUGGCAGCGCCAGCGCCGCCAUUGACGGUGGCCGCUGCACUGAGCAUGCUGGCACCGCCGUCAUGGACGCCGGCGGAGGAGGCCACCAUGACGGAGUCAGCGAAAUGGAGCGCGGAGCUUUGGUGGUGGUACAGCUGGUGGUAGCCUGUGCUAGCGCCUGAGCUCGCGUAGCAAGCGUUACUACUGCUGGGGAUCACGUUGAGGUUGGCCUUGUGGUGCUGCUCCGAGAAGUUGAUGCCGCCGAGGAAGUCCUCCAGCUUCGGCUCGGCGACUAGCGCUGAGAGUUCCGAUCCCCUCAUGCUCCAAUCUGCACGAAGAUUUCAUGCAGCAAGCUUCAAUAAUGAGUACAUACGCGUGCCAUGUGCUAUCUGUAGAUGUGUAAAGUUAUGCUUGCAUCGAUCGAUACGUAACCUUGGGGGAUGUUGAAGCAGACGUCGCCGGAGACCUCGUCGGUGGCGGUGGCGGAGAUGAGGGUGGAAUCCGUCUGGGAAGGCGGCAGAUCCUGCGGGGAGAGGGAGAAAGCCAGCCAGUUGUUCACAGUAGCCAUGGUUGAUUAACUGAUAGAGCUGCGAUUAAUUUGCCCCUAAUGGUUGCUUCUUGAGCUCUUGUUAGAUUGAUAAGGAAGUAGAGGAGGAGAUCAAGAAGCCAUUUUGGUGAGUGCAAAGCUUAGGGAAGGGAAGGGGAAGUCAAGCAGAGAGUUUUGGAGCAUUAAGCAAACAGUACUAGUACUGGUAGAUAUUUAUACAACCAGUACACUCCAUAAGAUUAGUAAUAGCACUAUGUGAAGACACACUAUACUACUGCAUGUAGUCUAUAUAGGUUGAUGGAGUAUAAUAUAAGCAUAUACAUGUAGGAGAAGAUUCUUUUCGAUAAGAAAAAAAGAUGGAGUACACUGUGUGUCCAAUACAGAAAAAAAACAGUGUGGCAUGAUUUAACUGAACAGAAAGCACUUUUUGCUUCUGCUUUCUGGGGAAGUCUCCACUAUAUUUUGUCUCAUUUUCCUCAAAACAAGACUAUAUGUGUGCCUAUAUCAGUACCUGAUGAUGUAUCUGCGCAUGCUUGUACAUGCAGUACUAAUAAAGUGACGACCUUUUACUCGAUAAUAGUAUUACGCUGUCACGGCCAUUUGACCGAAAGUUGCUGUUAAGAAUGAUUAAGAAAUCCUCUUGGAAAAAAGAAAUGGUGCGAGAUCUAAGCUUCACAUUCUAUUUGUCUAGGAUCUCAAUUCGUAAGCAGAUGUUCUUGCAUGAUCUUUUCAAGUAUAUACUCCACAGGAUGGUGCACAUGCACGCACGGGUACACAGGGGUGGCUGAACAUUUAUGCAUCCAGUUGACAUAUGCAAGCAUGUAUAUGCUUGCGUGUCCCAACUAUAUUAUUGUUGUUGUGGCUAUGAGCCAAAACACUGUUCAAGCCUUCUGAAAUAUGCGUAUGAACAAUUAGGCCUGGCCUGGUCUGGGCCUCUCCUGAAACCCUAAAGCCACUCACAGCUCACCUGCAGAAGCUGAAUGCCUGACAUGGUUUUUUACAAAUCCCUAGGCUCGCCCUUCCUCGAUCACCUCUGCCACAAAACACACCCACACCCAUAUACUUGUACAUGUACUAGUGGUGAUUCUAAUAUUACUACUACAAUCAUGCCCCAAAAUAUUUCCUUGAUCAUAGACAGAAGAGCGGUAGUAAUUUUAAGAUAUAUAAGAAAUUAUUUAGCACACAGCCAUUUCACAAGUAAUGAUCAUGAUUUAGAACCAAUACUCAAUUGUAGUACUAAUGAGAUGGGCAUGAUUCAACCAAUCAACUGCAAUCAAACAUGCCCUGAUCAGAGCACUACUGUAGAGGGGGUGCACGACAAUCCCUGCUUGUUGCCAUGCAUGCUUCAAGAAAACACUCUUUAAAUUGCUUCAAAAGAUGAAGGACAGGCAGAAAAGAUGAAAAGAAAAGGGCAAGUUCAUGCAUGGUCGACGGAGAGGGCGUGCCACCUGCACCCUAGAAGAGGACACGAACCCUUGUCUUCCGGCCAUAGAAAAGCUUGGCGUUCCCAAGCAAGUCCAUCGUCUAGCUCCAGACGCCGCGCAUAGAGAAGUGAGCAAAAAAACACCCUAAAAACCUCGCAUAGGAUCCUCCAGGACGAAUUGUUAACAAGAGGUCUCUCUCUCUCUCUCUCCCUCUCUCUCUCUCUCUCUCUCUCUCUCUCUCUCUCUCUCUCCGGGCCAGUACAGAAAACUAAUGCUUUCUCUCUCUUUAUGGGGGAAGGAGAAGUGGAGGUUAAGAUAGGGCGUGUGUGUUUUUAUCUUGGUAAUUGCACCGGUUGCCUCCCCUCCCCCCGCCUAAAACUUUGACCGUCAAAGCUAGCCAGCUCUAGCUGGAGGCGAGUUCAAACUGACGAGUAUCUUUAGUUACCGGCCUAUUCAUACUUACCCGGUGAAGCCUGGUUAAUUACUGGCUGAUGAUGUGUGCGGCUUUUUAACUGGAGCUAGGUUAAUUGAGCUUGAUCUUUCGCUUGAGAAUGCCAAUCCAUAUUCACAGGUUGGGACUACUAGAUUGGUUUGAAAGCUUGAACAUGCAAAGAUUUGUCUUGAGGACUUUUGAAAUAUAUAUACAUGCAUGAAAUUAAUUAUAUAUAAAAAUGUAUUUAUAAAAUAGUGGCCAAAAAAAUAUAUAUGCGUUAUUAAUAUAGUGUCAUAGUCCAAAAUAUCAUAAAUUAGUCGUAAAUAAGGUUGUCCAUUUGCAGAAUGUGUGCGUCGCAACUUUAUUUGCUUUGCAGCUAGGUGUAAGUUUUAAAUUUUUUUUCUCUUCUCUGAAAAGCUUCGAAACCCCCCCCCCCCACCCCCACCCCACCCAUAAUUUCAAGAAAAGAACCAUGUUCACUUCAAAGACGCGCUUGUCUAUAUAUCAACUAGGUUCCUUAACGCCAGUUUGAAUGGCGGCCCUUGCUUAAUUUGAACUAAGAAGUUUUAAGCUGCUUGUUGAGUCACAAAUAAUAGCUUUCAUGCAUCAUGAAAUAUCUAUGAUAAUAUAUGUAAAUAUGAAAAUUUUAGAGACACAUCUCUAUUACUAUCAUUUGCAUGAAUACUUAUACAUAUAUAUGUUCCUAGUCCAAAUUAGAAUUAAUUCCAUUCAUUCUGUUAUAUGGAACUUAUUUUUUGUAGGAGGUGGAACCAUCGUUAGUUGUUCCAUUGUGCUAGCAGUCUUGAUUGUCAACUUGACUACAUAGUUUAACUUUCUGACAAGUUUGACUAAUUUGUUUUCUUUAAAAAUGACAUGUUUGACUAAUUUGCAGUCCUAGCUACUCCCUCCGUUCCAAAUUGUAGAUUGUUUUGACUUUUUUAGAUUCUUAGUUUUUGCUAUAGACUUAUAUAUAAUGUAUGUCUAGAUGCAUAAUAAUAUAUAUGAACUUAGAAAAGCCAAAACGGCCUGCAAUUUGAAACGGAGGGAGUAGCUUUCAAAUUAGUCGCAGGCUAGGUAGGACCGUAUACUUAUAUUUUUUGAACUUUUCCCAUAAGUAGUAGUAAUAGGGUUUAUUUCAAUUAAGCAUGUGAGACAUAUAGUGGAAAUCACUCCUACCAAAUUUCUCUGUUUGAAAGGUGCAUAUAUACUCCUUGUUGUUUCAUAUUCCGGACAAAACAAGUGAAUAAGCAGCUAGGUCUGUAUAUAGUUGCGUUGCCUAUAUACACGUAUACAAAUUAAUACGAUGACAGUAGUGCAUAUAGUAUGAUGCGUCGUCGUUCUGUUCUCGCCAACCGGCCGGCCGAACACACAACGCAUGAUACGGUACAAUAGAAAUGGAGAUUUUAUGGCUUCUCACGUGCGCACACUGAUCACAGUCGUCCACCGUCGUCGCUGUCCAAUCUUCUCUUGGAACGAUAAAGCGCAUGUGCGCGUCCACUGGCAUGUGCGUGCAUGCUUUGCUUCUACUCAAGUCGAUGUCGAUCGAUCGCUAGCGGCUAGCAAUGGACAGCCACACGUGUGGGUCUCAGCUCCUCUCCUUGGAUGCAAUGCAAUGCAAUGCAAUGCAAUGCGGCAACAGAAGAUCAUAUCAUGAGCCUCUCCAUUCACGAGUCAUGCAUGACUUACGAGACAUAGCCCACGUGAUCACCACCACUUUGUUCGAUCUCUCUCACGUCCUAUACUUGCUGCUAGCUAGUGUGGCAUAUGAACUUCCACGUACUACGUACAAACCAGCACAAAAAGGUGAACAGAUAAUGGAGGGGGGAAGUGUUUUAAAAAAGAUCUUGUGCCCAUAUAUCCAACAAGAGUCUUCUUCAGGUGGAGUACAAGUAUGGGCCCGUGAAUGAACUGCAGUCCUAACGCUCGUGUGCAGAUCGAUCAUAUAUCCGUUUCGAGUUUGCAUUUUUGCGAGCUAGCUCUAAAAAAAAAUCCUAGAUGUAGAGAAUAUGAUGGAGCAUAGUCGAUCACAUGCAAAAAUUGAGGAUAGGAAUGUGAUCAUAUGGCGUAUUGCUACAUUCAUGCAUGCAUGGCAUUGGGUACUCCAGCUUGGCAGCUUUGUAUAUAUACGUAGUUCUGUACUAAUGGACAAGUGCAAGGGGAUUACGUGCAUACUACUACUACUACAUGCUACUUGGAGUGCUUAAGCAUCCACAAAAUUAAACAAAAUCAUUUCAUUGAACUGUGAGUUAACAAUGCAAAUAGUACGCCUCCAAGUUGGCUUAGGUAGUUUGAGAUGCAAACCAAAGGUUACUGCUAUCUAGCGAGCGGAGGCCCGGCCGGGCUGCAUGGAUGGCGGGGGUGAUUAAAUUAAGAAUGGUAAAAGGCGUGGCGUGGGUCGCCCGUUCAAACCCUAGCGAGCAGCACGCACUGGCCUAGGAGAAAUCAACGGGGAGCUGAGCUACCGCCCGUGCGCGCGACUCCUCGUAAACACUGUAAAAGAUAACCGGCCGUGUGUAUAAUACUACGUACGUACCCAUAUAGUAUAAUUACUCUAUCUGACUGCUUUGCAGUUUAGUUUGCAGUUUAGAGAGAGAGAGAGAGAGAGAGAGAGAGAGAGAGAGAGAGAGAGAGAGCUGUUUGUGGGAGGCAAGGCAAUCCCACUGAAAACACUUGCAUUGAUUUGGGCAGCUUUUCUGGGACUAGCUAGCUAGGCUCCGCCGAGCCGUUUGAAGACUACUCCUACAAACAAACAGUCCUAGUACGCUUGUAGAUGGAUCGACUGGAUCACAUACAAUACUGUACCUCAGGCUAGCAGUUACUGCGUGGAGCCGCCUAUACAUAGCCGCUAGCACAGAUCAUCAGGAAUAGCUUCGCAGCUAGCUCUGUCACAGUCCAAGUCUAUGGCCGCAUUUCCUGAUGACCGUACGCGUGCUACUCCUUCCCUUCUUUCUGACAGUCUCUGGUGCGUGCAUGCAGACGCCAUGCAGUGCAGGCAUGGAAUCUGAGCGUGCAGCAUGCAGAGCUCUAGAAAUGCCAUGUCCUGUGUGCAGAUCCAAGCACUUUUGUUCGCAGGAGGCAGAUAUAAGUUGCGAAAAAUACGCUACAAUGCCUUGCCUGCCAACGUAUGUGCAGCUUGAAUUCGUAAUGUUUGUGUUACACAUCCAUGCAUGCUUUUUAAUUAGCAGCAUACUCAUCAGGAAUCAAACAAUUAGUUAAUCUGUAGCAUGGAUGCAUGCUUAGCUUUAUGUAAGGAAUAGUACUCCAUUGAGCUAGCCAACUUUUUCUUCUUCUUCUUGCCUAAAAGAGAGUGAUUUAGGGUCUUGUACGUAUCUGCCGAUCGAUGCAGCGCCCCGGCCGUUUGACCAUGGCCUCUCUGGAUAGUGAUCUCACGUGACCUUGGCCUCUUGCUCCAUCUCGCUUCGCUCAACACGGACGGGAUGAGGACAAAAUGGGGUGGUUCGUGGUCAAAUGAUAGGGAUAAAGCUCAGAUUCGCCUCCCCGUGGUCCUACAAACCUACCACUCCUUUUGUGUGCUGUUAACUGUUAUUGUUACCAGGACCAGCGUGAGUGACUCGCUUGCGCAUGCAAAAAUGUACAUGCGCGGUGACCGUCGUCGUCUUUGCCCAUCAUGCAGCAUUGCAGCCUCGUGGUCCCAGGUGGGCUGGAUUCUGCUGCAGCCCAAGGAGUCGUGCUCGGAUGACGGCCCACUAGAAAGGUCGCGGCGGAGGAGACUAUUGUUAAGUGGUCCAACAACCGCUGGUUUCAUUACCUGUUGUCAAGCCCGCGUAACCAGCUAUUAAAGCCCAAGUCCGGAAGAAAACCUUAGUGGGCUAGUAGCAAAAUUCGCAACUAUAUCUGUUAGUUUGCGAUGGCUAACGGUCUCAAAACAAAAAAGUUUGCGAUGGCUAACGAAUUUUUGUGUGGAAAUAUGGAUCAUCCAUUUGUUUCGAAAAUCUCCAUACAACUUUUUUUGGAUGAAUGUUAUUGUUAAAUUAAUUUCAGUUCUCCCGUUUCGUUGUGAAUUAUAUCUUUUAUUUGGGUAAAUUUCACUUCAAUACAUAUAAUUUGUCAAAAUUAAUUUCGUGGUAGAGCUACUAAAUUUGUAGUUUUACGAUAGUUUUGACAAAAUAUCGGUAGUUUUUUUUUUAAAAAAAUAUAAUCUCUUUGAUUAAUAUUCUAGCCUUUUUUUCCCUUUACUUCUUGGUCCUUUAUUUAUUAUAGUUGUUGUUGUCAUUCUGUUGGUGCAAACAUUGAACACGACAUCCUUUCUUUCUAAUUCACUAUGCCAACUUUUGUAGCUUCUCUUGUUCCUAGACUAUAUAUAAAAAAAUGAGGCACACGACAAGGGCAAAAAUCCAGUUGACAAAGUAUUCACUGUGUAUUCUUCAUCUGUUCAUCAUAGGCAAGGCAAUCAUAGUCAACAGUUUGGUUGGGUACGAGGAAAUCAAGGGCAAGUUAGCCGCACAGGAGAAUGAUGACGAGGAAAUCUCUAUCAGUGAAUCACGCACAUCGCGACAAACAAAGGCCGGCGGCCUGCAGAGAUCGAGAUAGGCAAGCAACGUAUCAGCACUUGACAACCGGCGAGAUACAAGAGGAGGAGCUAAAUUGAACACUCCGGUUACGUCCCUAGACUUCAUCGUCUUCGGCAGUUCAUCGUCCCGUUAGCUUCGAGAUUGCCCGCCGCUCGAGCCCGGGGUUCCCGAUACAACACUCCAUGACAGCUGAACAGUUAGCAUCGGUGCAGGAAGGUCUCUUGACACUCGACAGGAUAUGGAAAUCUGUAGCAAUGUUAUUAUCCCCAAAUCACACGCCGACCGGAUUGGAAUUGUGAUCCGUCCCUUUGGUUUAAUCAGCAGCAACGAAUUGCAUCAUAACCUCGCGACUUGAGCCUACCGCAUCACAUGAUCACAAACCAUGCAUGCUGCUGUCUACAGGCCACCAAGUCAAUCAGCAGGGUGCACGUACUGACGGGGGAUGGGUUAAGCCGUUAAGGGAAGCCGCCAUUGGCUGCCGAUCUGCAGGAGCAGAACACUUGAGAACAGGUGAACGCUAACUUUUUUCUCCUCCUAGGCCAUGCUUUCAAACUUGCUACAUUCUCUACUUGUUUUCUAGCGGGCCGUCCAGAAUAUUGAGCUAUUAAGCAUAGUUAACUCGGUAACAGCUCUUCACACCUGCUGUCCCAUUCAAAAAAGAAAAAAGAAAAAAGAAAGAAGAAAGAAGAAGAAGCUCCACUCCUGGUUAUAUAUAGACAGUGUCAGGAUGGUCUUUAAUUUUUCUCAUCACACCAUAUGCAUUUGACCUCACUCUCUGUUGCAUCUAUCCCUUUUAGGCAGCUGCAGCUUGUAAAUUUUGAACAAGCCAUGGAGUUCUACCAGCAGCUGCUACCCAGCGGAGAUGCCGGCCAUAUGCCUGAGCAAGCCAUGGAGUUCCUCUCUCGUUCGUGGAGCCCCUCCUCCUCGGAUCUCUUCCAAAUACUCUCGCCGGCUUGCAGCGUAUGUUUAUGCACAUGCAGCGCAGCUUUCCAACUGAUAAUUUCAUCACUUUUUUUUCCGAACGAACGGGCUUCAGACAUUUUUUUUCCUGCCUGGGUGAACCCGAAAUUCAUUAGUACUCCAGAACGCAAUGAGAUUACAAGCCUUUCACGUCACUCAGUUUUGUACCUCCUUUCUUGCUAAAUAGAAACAACGCUCCUUAUAUAUUACUGUUUUUUUAAUAGAUAGAUGCAAAACGAACAAAUUCAUCACUAGCUAGGCACUUCAUCCCGGCCACCACCACCCUCUCUGCAGGCACUGCUUUCCAUUUCUCACCACUUAGAUACAAGCCUCGCGCCUUGGGCCUUACGCAAGUCAUUCCAAAUAUUGAAAUUUGUAGGCUAGCUUACUUAAGUUAUCGAUCGUACUGCUAUUUGUUUUACAAUUUCUUUCUAGAGCCCAGCUCCAGUCUCCAAGCUCCACCACCAUUUACACAGCAAACUCAAAUUCAUUUUACUUUGACCAUGAAUUCCCAAGGCUCCUCUUUCAUAAUAUUAUACAAAACAAUCACUUCCUCGUCUUAUCUAGCUAGUUUAUUGAUGAUUGUUUUCGAAAGAAAGUACAUAGGCAUGCUACUACCUCCGUUCCAUAUUAUUUAUCACAUUAGCUUUGUUAUAAAUCAAACCUAUCUAACUUUAACCAGUUUUAUAGAAAAAUAUGUUGAUUUUCACAAUACCAAAUAAACACACUAUCAAUACAUAUUUCAUGUUACAUUUAAUAAAAUUGAUUUAUAGUGGUAGUAGUAGUUGAUACGAUUUUUCUAUAAACUUGGUUGAAGUUAGAUAGGUUUGACUUAAAAUAAAAAUAACGUGCGGCAAUUUUGUACUUGAUAUUGAAAUAGAUAUCUUUUUGGGCCAAGAGCCGAUUGCACAAUUGACCAUGACAGUAUAUAGAAUCUCAAUUUCUCAGCAUCCUGACUGCCUAUUAUGACUUCAUUCAUGAAAUUAAUUUUCAGCCUAGACAUAUCUUCAUGAAAUUAAUUUUCAGCAAGUAAAGAAGUAGUUUCACGUUCACCGCAUAUUCAACAUUAUAUUGUCCUCAAUACACGAAGACAUGUCACAUGCGUAUUUGAGUAUAGCCACCCAUGUCCACAUAUUCAGGCACUAGACAUUGUCUAUUUCUCUAUUGAUAUACAUAUGUAUUAUACGAAGGAGGAAAAAUACAGAAAUAAAGAAAUAAAGAAAAUGAAUAAUAAUAAUAAUUAGUUACUCCGAUCCUUCCCUCCAAUUUUGUUCGACGAGACAUGGGAUGGAUCGGAGCUGUCGUGGCCCGUGGCCGUGGGACGCCUCGCUCCACCGUACGUGCAGCGCAGGGACAAGCUAUCCCAACCUGCCUGGGUACGCAGUACGCACACUGUAACGACAAGAAACAGUAGAGAAAAAUCAUGACAUGCUACGAAACAAAUCAAAGGACAGAUUUCCAUUUCAAAACACAAAACAGAACGUGAAAGAAUGGCACAUUAGUACUAGCUGACACGUACAAACAGUAGAAGAGCACGUUGUAUAUUAUAUCUGUAACUGCAGUAACACAACAGUGCCACUGGCUGGUCUGCUACUGCUAGCACAGUGAGUAUCAUGUCGUAACGUAACAUAUUGAUACAGUGAUCGCUUCUUUGUUGUUUCAAUCCGGAUGGACAAAAAAACUCAGCAGCUCAACGCCGGGCACGUGAGGGCGAUCCUGCGAGGGUUCCGGCUGAGCGCCGUGUCGGUCACCGGGAGCCAGCUAGCGUAGGAGGAGGAGGGACGAGCGGCGCAGGCCCACGCGGCCGUGUCCGUCGCGCAGCUCGCCGCGGCGGUCGCCGGCAUGGUGUCCGUGUGCGAGCUGAGGGGGCCGCCGGCAGCGAGGGGCGGCGGCGACACAUCCGCUGCCACCGGUGACAGGAGGAUGGGCGCGGUUCUCGGCGGCGCUCGUGGCCACCGUCUGCGCCGAGGCCGCCGCGGAGACCGGCGGCGCUAACAGGGCACGCGUCGCGUCCGCCGUGAGAGCCGGCCGCGAGAGCCGCUCCCUCGGUGAGCUUCUCGCACUCACUGCCUCUGCUGCUACAUGUAACUUAACGAAAACAACUUGAUAGAAUCCAAUCCACCGGUGUUAUUUGAUCAUCGCGUCUGUUCUUGUUUGGCCUUUUCUCUCUCAGCUCUCAGGGGUGCUGCGGCAUUGAGGAUCAGGGCAGCCGACGUCAGGGCCGAAAUCAGCGACGGCAACUCCGUCAGCAUCCGAGCUAACAUCCAGAAAGGCACAACCCUCAGGGUCUGCCUGCCUUGUGGUGAGGCAUCAGCGACGACUCUACUUUCCCAUAAGAUUGCUGCAUGAGAAGCACGAGCAAGCUGGUGUUGUAUACCAAUGUCCAAUGGUGUUUUUGGUGUGUUGUGCAGGAAGGGUGCGGGUGAGGACGGCCGCCAUCUUCCUGCAGGACGGCACCCACAAGGCGGCAAGUACACCCCCAUCCAACUCCAAUAAUCAAAUUCGGCAAGUGCACCCCUUCAAUUUACUAGCUUCGCCACUACCGGCAGUUCCUCCCGCCGGCGCUGAGCACGCCGGGAGGGGCGACGGUGCAGCUGCUGUUCGAAGAUCAGGCGCAGUGCAAGGCCUGGACGGCUUCCAUCGAGGGGAUGCUGUCUGAACAAAAGCUCAAGCACCCCAUAAACUGAUGAUAAUCGCAUGAUUUGCAGGUAUAACAUCGAGCUAGUGCACGCAUACAGAUGUACCGGCCGUUCUUCUCCAUGGAGUACAUGCACCGAUGCACGUGCGCAGUACAAGGUUUUUCAUGCAUGCUCGAUCAUCUUGUUUGUGUGUACGUUUUUUUUGGGCUAAAAAUUAUUAUGUGUAUGUACAUGUACGGCUGUACAAUGCAUGCAUGCAUGUAAGAUAAUAGUAAAUAAAAAUAAAAAAUAAAAUAAAAUAAACUUAUAUGACUUAUUAUAAUUUUACGUUUGAUCUCGGCAAGGUUUUCAUAUAGCGGAAACGGGAAUGGGAAUUGGAAGGCGGAAAUAGAAAAAAAAAAGGCUCACUUGGGCCGGAGGCACAUUCACAACACCAUCUGGCUUGAGCCCAAACGCAGACAUACAUACAGCUGUGUUCGCCAAGUGGCGUGGACUAUUUGCGUUGACCAGCGGUACCUGCCACGAUGACCCGAUUAAACAACCUCGUUCCAGAAAUAGUGCCACGUCAUUAAUAAAGUAGCUACUUUUCAAAAAAUUAAUAAAGUAGCUACGCGACGUUCACGUGCCAACCACUAACUUCCAACCUAAAUACCCUGGCCCACACCAAGACCUAGCCAUCGCACGGCAUCCAAAUGACGCGUGGGGCCCGGCGCGAACCAGGCCGUUGGGGCCCGCACGAGCCGCACCGGGUUCCAGACCGCGAACUUUUUCUUCUAACCUGGAAAAGGAGACGCAGCGACGAGUGCAAACCAAGGCUCCCACGAAAGAUUUGCUGUCAGUAGCUGACCAGUGGGCCCACAGACAGGUGGAUCUAUCCGGAAGUAAUUUGCUUUCGUCUUUGUACGCGGCCUCGAGAAAGCGCGCAGCAAAACCGAGCAGCUCAACUGCCAACCAAAUGGCAGUACAGCCCGCACUGUCACUGGCGCUGGGCCCUCUUCCCUUCCCCCUCUUAAGAAAUCCAGGUGGUGCCCAUGGCAUCCCGUGCCCACUGCCCACUGCCCAGCCCCAGUGCUGGCCUCGUGCGCCUCCACCUCGUCGCCUCCGCCGCCUCGACCCCGCCACCGCCGAGGCGGAACCCGCAUGGCCGCCGACGUGCUGUCCACCGUCCGGUGGGCCACCGCGUGCGCGGCGCUGCUCAACGCCGCCGUGGCAUCCACGGGCGCCGCCGUCGCGGCCCUCGCGCUCCGCCGCUGCGGCGGGGGUGGCGCCCUCGGCCCGGCCGCCGCCGUCGCGUCCGCGGCAUCGGCCUCGAGGCUCCUCGCCUAUGCGGUGGCGGGGUUCGCGCAGGGCGCCGCCGCCUCAGCUAUCGCCGCCGGUGCCAUCGGGGCCCACGUCGACAGCGAGCGCGACCUCCGCCAACUCUCCCGCGUAAGCUCCAACCUCCGUAGCUUAAUGCACUCAGUGUUUUAUUUUAAUCCGCCGUAAGUUGAUGGUUAAUACUAGUAAUUACUAAAAUGCGAAGAAAAAUUAAUGUUCAAAAAGCAUGGGGAGUAGUACUGUUCUCUGAAACCGAAUAGGAGCAGGCGAGCUGCGUGCUCAAAAGAGCAGCAUUUUAUUCCCAAGUACAAAAGUGCUCGACCUUGAAAAUUGGGUUUGGCCGGAGGCUGUGAUCAUGUGGUGCGCUUGGUGGUUUCACAAAUCACAAUAUUGCCCUGAGAUAUUGGUGGCACUGCGUGCUUGCAAUGCCGCUCUGGUUCUCUGACGGCCGAACCGUCUUCGCUUCUGCCCUGAGAUAUAGGUUGCUUAUUGCCAGCUUCAACCUUUACGUCAUGCUGUACACUGCUGAAUCUUUGACAUCUUUGUCUCCAUCAUAAUUCAUGAGAGAAGAUCAUUAUUCAUUGAGAAAUGAAAGACGGUGUUCUGAAUUAUUCCUUUUUUUUUGAAAGCUUAGUGUUCUGAACUAUUGAUUUUCUUUCUUUCUUUCUUUUUUCUCUGGUAAUUUUCCCUUCACCAGGAUGGGACAUUCGCAAUUACUUCAUCCAAGAGAGAGCUUGAUUAGCGAUAGGUUGUCCUCAUUUUGUUUUCUUAAGCUAAUCACCUUGUAGCAUUUUAAGCGCUAACAGAGUUCAUAUCUGACAUGGCAGUAGAUUCCCUUAGUAGUAUCUGAAGCUUUAUUCUUUUUGUGGACAGCUACGGUACAAGAGAUGGCUUUGGUGGACACGAUUUGGAAUGAUCAUUACAAUGCUGCAAUUUGUAUUGGCAAUUUAUUUGAUGUGUGCCAUCAUAAAGGAUGUCUUAGCCGAAGGGUCUUUAAAACAGUGCUUUUCAGGUUCACACAAUUUCAUAAACCAUUUUUGGGGAUUGGAUUGGAUAAAAUUUUGUUGAGACUUCAAUUCUGAUAUAAGGAUUGGCAGCUUUUGAUGCUAAUCACUGAGUCAUGCUAUUGUUACCUGAAAUUUAUCAGGAAAAAUUCAGAACAACAAGGAGUGGAAGCGCAUCUUGUUAAUAGUUUUUCUUGUCAGUAUGUGGGUGGCAAUUGUAGUUCAGUGUGUCACUGGUUCUGAUGUACUAAGGUGGAGAUCAUUUUAUGCAUCACAUGAUAUUGCGUGGAGGGCUCACUACCGGGAGGUGUUUGAUCAUGGAAUCCGUGAAGUUUUGUGCUGUCUAGGGCGGGUCAAGUAUUCGUACGUUCCCAUCUGGUCCACAUUCUUAUGUCCUUAUAUCAUUGGUGUUUGAACAAACUUAGUAACUUUGCUCUUAACCUUUCUAGGAGUGUGUUGGAAGAUGAUGACAUAUGUGUCGUGGCACAGUUAUUGGGUGAUCUUAUGGCUUAUCGCGCUUCUGGAACUGGUCAUCUUGAGCUUGUAGCAGGUAGUUUUCUAUUAACCUUGCAAUCCAAAACUCAAUUCUAUUCACUCUUGGUGAAUAUACAUGUUUUAUCUUUGCCUAAUGGAUAAAAUCAGAAGCAUCAAUGUGACAAAGAUCGCAGCUACAUUAGACCGGUAGUCAGCUAAAAUUAUCUAGAAGCUGCUGUAUGCCAUAUCGUGAGCCUUUUAAAGGUCAAAAAUAUUUUAGAGAACUAUAUUGGAACUUUAUUAUUUGCCUUGACUAAUAAAAUAGAUUGAAACUUCUUUUAGAGCAAAGCCUGAUGAUGUGGUUUCAUGAUAUUACUGUUCACCACACUUACCUGUAUCCCAAAUGAUUUUCCUUCAGGUCUUUCACUACUGCAGAAAUCUAAGUUGUCCACUGUUACUUCAAAAGAAUUAGUGGAGGCUCCUCAAGAUCUCAUCCAAGAGGCUGUUCUCUUUCAUCCAUUUGCUGAAGCUGCCUAUACAGUUAUUCCCCACAUCCCUGAUCUGUCUAUUUUUUCAGUUCUUGCCAGGCACAUUAAACGUGUUAUGCUUUCAGGGUCCACUGCUUGAUUUUGGAAGGAAUCCUCUUAUGUUUCCUUGUGUGUGGCUCAAUAGGCAAGGUGUUUUGACUCCAUGGACUCGUGCUAGGUAAAUAUUGUGAGCCUUCUUAAAAUACUUUGCUGCCACCUGUCAGAUUAUGCCGUGUAGACUGCAGAUAUUGGGAUGUUUUCUUGGUGCCUGAUAACCUUUUCUAAAUUUGGUGGUUCUUCAUUCUUUUGAGUCGAGAAAGAAUGCGGACUUGAAGAGUAGUGCUGUGAACUUGUGAUCGGCAAAAGCAUAGAAUGACACAUAGGAGUUGUCCCCACUCUCUCUUGCAUUAAAAAAGAAAUAGAUUCUUUUAAAAGAAAAGGAAGAAAGAAAUAAAAUUUCCAUUUGCAUCCAAGCCAACAGGUUGAGCUCCAAAACAUGUUUCAUUAGUUGAAUGAUGCAUAAUCAUGCUUGUAGAACUUUACUUCUGCAGACGACCAAUACUUGAAGGCGAUAACUGCUGGAGAGGGCAUGCAGCUGCUUUCCUAAAAUAUGCCAAUGUGGCCCCGGAAGUCCUUCGGAAAGGUCGUGUUAGCCAGGUAAAUCAGCUCAUCCUCUUACCAAAUUAUAGUUUACAGUUUUGUUGUGAUCAAGUUCUUUUCUUUUUUUUAAAGAUGAGUUCUCUUCUUUUCUGCUUGCAGACGAAACGCGAGGCUGCCUAUUUUGUUAUUGUCUUACAUGAUUUGAGUACAGUAGUCAUUGCUAUCCGUGGAACUGAGACACCAGAAGAUGUUAUAACUGAUGGCUUGUGUAAGGAAUGUUCCCUUACGAUGGAUGACUUGGAUGGGUUGAUCAAGUAACUCACUGCACCUUUGGCUUGUUUGUUGUAUUGUAACUUAUUUAGGUUAACUCUAGAUUUUUUUUAAAAAAAUGUAUAUAAAAGAAUCAAUGAAUUACCUUUAUUUGUCAUUCACAUCAUCAGAGAACCACCUUUACAUUUAUGUUCUGAAGCAAGCCUAUGAACAUGUAUCGUUUAGCGAUUUUUAGACCAUAUUAUCCCUACUAGUUCGCUGAAUGAACCUGACAAAAUGUUCUAGGAAAUUGAUCUAGGUCACUAUGACCUUGAGGUCACCUUCUGAACUAAAUCAUUAAUUCAACUCUUCUUUUGCCUGAUGAGAUGAUUUUUUUUUUCUAUUGCAGUUCUGAUCAGUUGUCCCCUCAACUGAAGAAUACCGUUCUCUCAUCUUUUCCACACUAUGGACAUGCAGGAAUUGUUGAAUCAGCUCGAGAGCUGUACACAGUACUUGAGGGACAGCCCAUGCAUCAAGGUCAACAAGAGAACAUGCAUUUUUUUCUUUGUGUGCAGAGCAUGUUAUAUUAUCUCUAUAUGGUUCUUUUUUCUUUCUUCUUAAUUUAAAAGUACUAUUAGGUCAGGACCUAGUAUAUUGCAUUAACUCCAAACAAGAAUACCUCAAUUUGCUACAAUGAAUAAUUUUUGAACAACCAUGUAAGGCUGCAUGCUGCCUCUUCUUAAAUGACAUAGCAGUGCUCCUGCUGAUUUAUCCAAAAAAAGGAACAACAGUAUAUAUUUUACAUUUUUACUCCUUUUUCUUUGACAAAUGGUAAUGCAGCACUAUAGCAUUAACAGCUGUCAUGGAACUGCCUGCAGAUAAGUCAGACACAGUGACAGCUGGAUUCUUAUCUUCUCUUCUUGGGGAUGGUUGUGAGUGCCAUGGAUACAAUAUUGACAUUGUUGGACAUUCUUUAGGAGGUUCUGUAGCUGCACUUCUUGGUAUUAAGGUAAGCUUUUUAUUUUUCAACAUACAAAGAAUUUUAUUUGAAGUCACUUGAUGAUGUUGGCUUGUCAUAUUUAAUUAUAAACUUAAGUGAGUCUUCUUGAUGAUGUUUCACUUAAAUAUGGAUACCAUUAGGGAACUAAGUAUUUCUGUAUUACUUAGUUGUUUGUCUUCGUACAAUUGUUGACUGUUGAGUUCAUCUUGGUAAUCUAUGGCUGCUGCGACGAGCCUACUGUUGAUGAUGAAUUAGGAUUUAAUUUCUUUAAUGAGUUGACGAAAUGUUGGGCAACUAGAUGAGGAACCACCAGAGCAGGAGAAUUUUAGAGGGGUUCUGUAUGUUUUUGUCUACUCAGUUUUUGAGACAGUGCUAUAUCAAAUCACAUCUAGGAAGAUGAGCUCAUAAUAUUAGCCCCCCAAAAAACUUCCUUAUCAGAAUGAAAAGCCCCUUACUUAGCAAUGCUGAGUUAAAAAUAUGCAAAUGCUCGGUGAUUGGCAAUAAAUGAAGCAAGAAAUGCUGAAGAUUUUCCAGAAUGCAUGGCUUAGUUAUUGUAUUGUGCCUGUAAUGUUUAUUUUCUUGCAAUUGAGUCAUCUUUGUAUACAAAAAUACAGCUAUACGGACAAUUCCCGAAAUUACAUGUGUAUGCAUAUGGAGCCGCACCAUGUGUGGAUUAUGUGAUAGCAGAUGCAUGCUCACAAUUUGUUACCAGGUGAAAUUUAAAAUCCUUUACAAGUGGAAUUUACUUUAUAGUUAUUUAUUUGCCGAUGCUGGCAGCAACAUGUGAUUUCUGAUAAACCAUCCAUCACUUACAGCAUAGUCCACAAUGAUGAAUUUUCUGCACGAUUAUCCAUGAACUCAGUGAUUAGAUUGCGUGGUUUGGCUGUCAAGGCUCUGUCAAAGGCUUCGCCCAAUUCUGCUAAAGUGGGUAAACUAGUUGGUGGGAUGAUGAAUGCCAGAACGGAUGAGAAAAAUGCCAUAGAGCAUUGUGCUCCAAUUGGUGCUCUGCAGAUAGUCAGUGAGGCUAAGCUAAGUAAUGAUAAAAUGCAUGGAAGGAAUCCAAUGCAUACAAUAAGAGGUGGCUUAUUUCUCUUUGGCAAAGCAAUAUCUUGCUUGGUAAAUACCCCAAAAUAUCGAGUUAGCUCCACAGCAGCAAUUAAUUAUGAGUUGGGCAGAUCUAGAAUGACUACUGCCAGUGAUGGAGGGAAAUGCAUUGUUGCACCCCGUGGUUCUUUGGAUGUUUCACACUGUAGAGAAUCUAGAGAUGAUCAGUUUCAAGAAGAUUACUUUUAUGAAUGCGGUGAGGGGUACAGACUGUCUCGUUUAAAUAAUGGUACCGAACUCACAUCUGCUUCAAAUGACCACAUCAGUACAAUAAGCUCAUCUGAAGGACAGUCACCAGAGGUUUAUCUUCCAGGCCUUGUUGUUCAUGUUGUUCCAGUAAAGAAAAGUACUUCUCCAUUGCAGAAGACAACUGUGACUCGUCGCAAGAAUAGGAGCUACAAAGCAUUUAUCGCUAAUCGGAAAGACUUUAUGGACCUUGUUGUGUCGCCUCGCAUGUUCCUUGAUCAUCUCCCUUGGAGGUAUAUCCCCAAAAACUCUACUCUCAUGGAAGUUCUAUGUAUGUAAUGGUUAUAUUUCUGUGCUAUUCCAUAUGAAAAUUAGUAUGAAUUUCAGACCAUCCUAUAUUAGCAGUGUUGAAAUUACACCAGUUUCAGUUAGCCCUUCAAUCAAUCUAAGUAACAGAAAUUGUGUAUAUUUUGACGAGCAGCAUACGGGCACUAUUCGCCCCUUGGAUUGUAUAUUGCAGGGUUUGGCUUUGGCAAGAAUAAUUGUAUGACUUAGCUAGUGAAUAGCAAUGAUGUGGAUUCAUGUAUCCUUAUUUGCGAAAUUGAUUAUUAACUGUUCAGAAAAGUGUGAAGAAUGUCUGCUGUAUUUUCCGUACUAACAGAAAAUGACCUUUAUGGUUUGUAGGUGUCAGUAUGCGAUGCAAAAGGUUAUAGAAGCACAGAAACGGGAGCAGCUCAUCCAUGAUUCGUCAGCUGCAGAGGACGCUGUAUGAAUCUAUUAGCUGCGCUUGCCUUCUUUGUUGUACAUACGUUAGGUAAUUAGGAUCACCUGCUCUAUGUGCAAUAUCAGUCUUCGGUGCAUUAUUGUCUGUAAGUAGAUGAGGAUUACUCUGAUCUCAGCAUCGUUGUACACAGCCUUGGAUAGGUUUGCUCUGAGAUCAACGAUACUGGCUCUGUUAUUAAUGAAGCCAGCGUAGUAGAUUAUAACCACCAGUAUAGUAGGUUAGAGCAUAUAUAUAGCAUCAAAUUUGGUUACAACAGCAUUGUAUAGGCUUUGCUCUGAGAUGAACCACAAACCGGCAUUGUUAUUUAUGAAAUUGGAGCGGUAUCAAUCAGUGCUGUAACUUAUAUCAAAUUUAUGAAAUUUCGUUAUUUAUGAAAUUGGAGUAGCAUGAAAUUGAAAUCUGAGAUCAAGUUCUUUUAUCAGUCAGUGCUGUAACUUAGAUGCCUUUGCACGGUCAUGUAUGUAAACUAUGAUCAGAAUUAAAAUAUGAAGUGUCACCAGGGAGUAAGCUAUUAUGCGGCUGUUGGAUGAAGUUUCCUCGGCAUUACGUUUUACUUUGUGCUGCUCCGAAGUCUGAAAGAAUUCCAGGCUUCCUGAUCCAACCAAAGGUCGUGUAACUAGAGCAUUUGCAUUCGUUUAUUUUGACUGGCUUGCCGCAGGCAUGACUUGUGAAGCAGGUCUACAUGAUUGAAGGUGAGUUUUACUCGCAAGUGCAAAAAGAUACCGCUCCAACUCGGUCAAAAAAGGUACUUGGGAAGUUACAAGUGCAGGACUUUCCUUGCCAUCGACUUGUUGCGAGGAUCACUUUUAAAUCCAUACGGGUUAAUUUUCAAGGGAAAAAAUGUNNNNNNNNNNNNNNNNNNNNNNNNNNNNNNNNNNNNNNNNNNNNNNNNNNNNNNNNNNNNNNNNNNNNNNNNNNNNNNNNNNNNNNNNNNNNNNNNNNNNGGGGGGGGGGAAUUUUUUUUUGAAAAAUUAUAGAUUUCCCGUACGGAGAGAGGGAGUUUUUGCAUUGAAUUCCAUCUGUCAGGAAACAAUCGCACACGCUGGUGUGUGACAACCAGAGGGUGAUGAGGAUACAGAGAUUAGCCACCGUACCACCUCCCCAUAUCAUUGCGACAUGAAUGGAUGGACAUGGAAUCAUGGAUGCGAUGCGACGGAGGAGGUUUGCACGGAGAGUAUUCAGGGCGCCUCAACGACCUCAUCUCCCAUGCGGCGAGCACCGUAAAAGCGCUGCGUGCAAGUGUCAGCAUCCGGGCCGGGCCCUACCCCAGAAAGCGAGCGAGUGAAGGAAGCUGCCGUGGCCCUUUCCGCGCCAGGGACGUCGUCUUCAAUCCAUGAUCCAUCUCCUGGAAAAACAAAAAACAAAAUUGACUCGAAUCCUGCAGAAAGGUUGCGCGUGGCGUCAUCUCCGUCAGAUUGGAUUGGAAAGAACCAAGCAAAGGACNNNNNNNNNNNNNNNNNNNNNNNNNNNNNNNNNNNNNNNNNNNNNNNNNNNNNNNNNNNNNNNNNNNNNNNNNNNNNNNNNNNNNNNNNNNNNNNNNNNNNNNNNNNNNNNNNNNNNNNNNNNNNNNNNNNNNNNNNNNNNNNNNNNNNNNNNNNNNNNNNNNNNNNNNNNNNNNNNNNNNNNNNNNNNNNNNNNNNNNNNNNNNNNNNNNNNNNNNNNNNNNNNNNNNNNNNNNNNNNNNNNNNNNNNNNNNNNNNNNNNNNNNUUUUAAUCGAUCUGGCGUAGCAAGUGAGACACCUGCUCGUUGUGUACACUUUUUGUACGUAAAGUACGCACGCUUUUGUUCGAUCUCUCGUUUCAGCAGGCCGAACCGGGUUGUUUACAACCUCUGCACCGGCAGGGAGGGCGCCGAGAAGCUUCACAGGUUAGGUUAGCUCCCCGUGUCGAACGAACACCGCCGGCGCAUUCCGGUUCCGCACACUUUUUCCUGAGGAGAAAAUCGUCACCUGGCUUUCCGAUCGAUCCGGCAAUGUGUGCGCUGUGGUCUCACCGACCGGAGAAGGAGCGGAGGAAAGGCUAGGCUGGAAGACGGGGUCGUCGAUCGAGCACCGCGCCGCACCGGCGGCGUGCAGGUUUGACGAGCGCGAGACAUUUGAUUGCCUUGUCGCCGAUGAUGGAUGUGAUUCCUCGGCCGGCCGACGAAGAUGGAAAUUCCACGCCAAGCGGACAGGCUAGCCAGGCAAAGUCAUUAAAGGCCAACGACGACGACGACGUGGGCCGUGGCCGAGUCGCACGUUGGUAGCUGGGCCGUACCGAGGUGGGUAGGCGUACGGUGGCCAGGUGUCAGGAGAAUGCGGGCAUGCGUGGUCUCGUCAAGAGGCUCGGAGGAGCACGCACGCUGCGCGUACGCCACGCACGCCGUCGUCGUUCAGGCACGCGAUGUCAGUCGGCCGGGCGCCGCCCAGGACAGCUGCAGGUCUCCUGCAGUCCUACUACUACUACUACCAGUACUAGUAAUAAGACUGCGUAUGCGGAAAUGUGAGGCGGCAUGCAUUUCGGGUAUUCCCCCCUCGUGCUAGGAAGGGUGUCGUUUCAGCUAGAAUGACGUUAUUUGAGUACGUAUCAUUGUUGGUUGUAGGGAGGAGAGGCGCAUGCACGCACGACGACAUUCGUGGCCAAUCAUCUACGCACAAUAAUGUCACACAUGACGAGCAAGAAAAUACUGUUUGCCAUGCCACUGUUAUGCUUGUCUUGGGUACACAGAGUACUGCCACCAACAUGCCCUCCAUAGUGGUUCACCUCAAGACAAAGAAAGAACCAAGAGAAGAGGAUGGUGAGCCACGCACGCCGCUCGGCACCUCGCCAGCGGGAAACAACCACCAUCACCCAUCCCAUACCGACAUUCACCACCUUUCGCCGGCGACGGCCGGUAACACGGGCGGAGUCAGAAUUUGAGGUAAGAGGGGCAAUGGAUAAAUUAAAGUAGAAUUGAUAGCCAUGUGAGCUGGUUUUAGUCAUAUAUAAUAAUAGCAUGUUUCACAAGUCUUAACUAAAAUAAAAUUACAUAUCUAUCAACUUAAAUUUAGCUAUACGACUAGCAGCAAGAUCGUAUGCUGUAGUAAUAUCAUCAGUAUUGAUUGAUGCAACCAAUUCCUUCUCAAUAUAAAUUACCAAACAAUCUCGUAGAAAUCCAUCUCCCAUUGUACAUCUAAGAUGUGUCUUCGCAAGUUUCAUAGCUGAAGGGCAUCUUUCGGUGGUUGCAGUUGAUAUUGGAAGAGUUAAUACUAAUCUUAAUAACUUGUUCCAAACAAUAAUGAAGGGAGAAGGUGAGCAGCAACUAGAUAGGCUUAAAUGAGCGGCUUCUUAUUGGGCCUCAAAAAUAAUUAACGUUUCGAAUGAAUGGAAGGAGGUGAGGAGCUGAACAGCUAAUAUGUAUAUGUAUAUUUAUACCAGAGUCUAGAGGAUUAGUAGCGCGUUAGGGGGUGCCAAGCCCCCGUGGCCCUCCUCCCUCCGCCACUGGCCGGUAACCCCCACCUACAUCCUCCAUCCAAAAUCUACCAACAUUCGCCGGCAUCUUCGCACGCCGCGAAGGAGGCCCUAGACCUUCUCUACUACUUGGACUCUGAAGAAGACAGCCUGUGCUCUCGCCGCUUCAAUGAGUGGGCACUGAGGACGGAGAAGGCGCAGCAGGUGACAUUGAAGACAGAGAAGGUGCUGCAAGCAGAGGAAAGAGGUGAGCAGGAAUCCAGGGACAAUGCAGAGGGUCGCGAUACGGCACCUCCUGCCCUUCGCCGGAUUCCCUCGCUCAUCGUAAAGCCGGCCUCCCAUCACGUCUCCUAUAGGGAUGCACUCUUAAGACCACGCACCUUCAAACCAAGAUUUUCCAAGGACUCGUCAUCUCACGGAAAGCAGGUAUGGCUCCAGGAGAGGAAGAGAAAGCAGAGUUUGGGGGUCACCUCGGCCUGGUCAUGGCUUGGUCCCACAAGCACUUAUGACCACUAAGCUCCUCCACACGCCACCGCGCAAUGGCUCUAGUUGCUCAGGGCGAAGGCUGGAACACGAUGCUUCAAGUGCCUAGCUCCAGAUCAUCGCAUUGAAGUAUGUAAAGACCCGCCUAGGUGCUUUUUGUGUCUGCGCUCAGGACACAAAGCUCGCCACUGCCGCCCCCACCACGUCCAAGCCAUUUUCGUCUCCCCCGCCGUCCUCGUUGCCGCAACCAACACCACAUCCCUCCCCAGCAUCCUAGUUGCCGCAGCCUACAUCACAUCCCUCCCGAGCAUCCCAGUUGCCACAGCCUACAUCACAUCCCUCCCCAGCAGCUCUCGUUCCCAAGAACCCAGAGCUUCUGCGGCUACUCCCCUACGGUAGAGCACCGCAGCGGUGUCCAAGAGUGCCUUGACAAAGGUCACCAUGGAGUAGGGUGACCUGGCACUCAUCUCUGGUGCAGCACACAGGAGACCGGACCAUGUUACGGUCUGUGUGCCACACUCCAAUGCGGUAAGGGAGGAUGAGCGGCAGCUCUCCCUGACUGCGCUCAUCGGAGUGCAGGUCGAUCUGCGGGCGAAGCUCUCAAGCGAAGCAGUGCGCUGGGAUGCUCUACAACAACUUCGCAUCCCGCCACAUGAGUUGGGAGUCAAGCACCUGACGGCCUCCACUUUCCUCCUUCACUUCGCCACCCUAGAGCGAUGCACCGCGACGCUUCGUCUUGGAGGUUUGGCUGCUGGACAAACAGCUCUGCGGCUCAUGCCAUGGACCCGUUAGGUUAGUGCCUCAGCUGCCAAGCUCAUGUAUCGCGCAAUAGUUUGCAUAGAAGGGAUACCAGAGCAUGCUCAGUAGGUAGAAACCAUAGCUAAGCUCUUCAAUGCUCCAACAUUCAUAGAGGAGAUUGAUAAUGAACAUGAAACCGAGCAAGAGAGAGAUUGUCUGUGUUUAUAGGUGUGGACGGCUAAUCCUGACGGUUUAGCAAAAAUAGUGUCCUUACAAGUUGCUGAACCCCUAACCUUUCCAGAGGAGUACUAUUGGCAAAUGGGGGAUUUUGAUUUGCCAACAACUAGAUCUGGUCCUGCUGAGAUGCUAGAGUACAAUGUGAUUAUCCAUCUGGACAGGGUUCUAGAAUUUUCGCCUUUGUCAAGCAGUCCCUCACAUGAAAUUUUCCACAACGGCAUUAGUGGUUUGCCUGAUGAUCUCUAUGAUGAAGAAUGGCUGGUGAAACACCGUUUUGUGUGGCAUUAUGGGGUCCUAGAUGAUAGAGUUGUCAGGCGUAGAGUGCCAGUUCAAGAGAGGCUUGGUGGGCGACGAGACAGAUCACCGUCGGACCGAGGAGAUGCUAGAGGCCGGGGGCCAAUGCAGCAGCCUCCUCCAAGUUGGCACGACUUGAGGAGGGUCGAGGCAAGGGGGUUCCAUGGUUGUAGCAGCAAUCAGGAUGAUGGGCGAAGGAGCUUUCAUGGUUGCUGUCACCAGCAUGCUAGGGAAGAAACUCUCCUCAUGGCCAACAGUAACCAUAAAGGGGGCUCCAGCAAGAUGUACAGUGAGCAGGUUAGAUACAAACCAAAGAAGAAGGCUCUGACACAACCUUUGCAGUACAUAGAACCUGCAUUCCUAUCCGGUGAAAGUCUGCUGCAAGGACCCACCUUCGAUCCGAUGAGAGAGGAGGUCAGCCUCAUGGGCAAAGCUGUGCAGCGUCAGAUUACAAACAACAGUACAAGAGACAAGGAGAUAGGGUGAAGAUAAUAGAACGGGCACAGCAAGGGCAAGCAGACCGCGCAGAGCACGCUGGACACAUAGAGCACGCCGGCCUAAUGGACUGUGCAGACAAGCCGCAGAAGGAGGGGAACCAGCAAUUUAAAACCAGUAAGGGCCAAUAGAAAACUGGAGGACACAUGGGAGAAGACCAGGUGCAGGAUCAUCAGAUUAUGGAAUGUGAUUUGGUUCUCCAUGAAGUGUUCUUCACCGAAAGAAAUGAUGAUUAGGAAUUAACCCAGGUAGGAGCCCCGGAGUUGAUUCCUGCUGAGCAGCCUCCGAUUGUCAAACAAGCUACAGUCAACAUGGGCACACUGUUACCAGGAAUGCAAACCCCCAUCACAAAGCCAGUUUCAAAAGGAAUCCUGGCGCCACCUGUGAUUCCACCGGCUCCAUACCAGACGCCCCGCCAGUACAAGGGCAAAGAGAAGGCAGAAGAGACAAAUAACAAAGCAGUUGACUCAGCAACUAAACAAUAUAGAAAUGGAGUUCAAGGGGGACUGAAUGAAGAUAGCGCUUGCAUUCAGGGAAGCCUCUCAACACCUCAACAAAAACAAGCCGGUAGAAGGGGGCUUGGAAAAGAAAAUGAGGGCAACUAUUCACUGAACCAAGCAGCAACAGAAUCCAAGAGGAAGAGUGAACGAACCGCCAACAAGUCCAAAACUAUUCUAUCUAUGCAAGAGCAGGCCACUCAGUUGCUCACAAAGAAGUGUGGCAUUCUUAAUUCGAAGAAGGUGGCUGACGAAGCAGAUCACCACAGAUUCAUGACUCAAUUUGUGGACCCCCUCCAAAACAGUGCAGUGGAUGGCUUUCGAGAUGCAUUUGGUUUGAAUGAUCCACAGGGAGGGUCUCUUAGUGCGGUGGCACUGGAGGCAAAUGAAUAACUUCAAUGCAUCCAUAGAAUGGGUGUGGGGGUGUGGGUGUGUGUUGUAUCAGUUCCAUGUGUUUUCUGUCAUGCUGUUUGUGGAUGUGCUAUUCGUGGUGUUCAGUGUGGAAAGGUGUUCAAAAGUUCAGGGUAGAGUUGGUGUUGUGGAUAGAGGGAGGAUCCAGUGUGGGCUAUUUUUUCAUGGUUACUUUGUAUGGGAUGUUGGAAGUUACAUGGUUAGCUAUCAAGGAAGGGGGUUUGUCAAGGAAGAGGGUUCAGUGGUUCUUGGCAGAACAAGGGUACUGAUAGACAGCAAAGAGAACCAAAAUGCAAAUGAAUGAACAGAAAUGCAUCAUUUUAAACUAGAAUGUGAGGGGUCUUAAUGGAAGAGCAAGAAGAAAGGUAAUAAAGGAUCUUCUGAAGGAUCACAACUACACUAUUGUGUGCCUUCAAGAAAUAAAGAUGGAAAUUAUAGAUGAAUUUGUGGUAAGGGAGACUUUAGGGCCACAAUUUGCAAGAAGUUACACUUAUUUGCCGGCCCAAGCAACAAGAGAGGGAUCUUACUUGCAGUGAUGAGGACUACUUCAGUUUGUCCCAUUCUGAACCAAAAAGCAAUACACUCACGGCUAAAUUAGAAGUUACAACAACACCAUUAGUUGUGGAUAACGAAAGUCUAUGGGCCACAAGAUGAAAAUGCUUGGCCACUGUUCCUGAAUGAGAUUAGGUCUUGUAAACCAGCAGAUUUAGACAAAUGGCUCCUACUAGGGGACUUCAACAUGAUCUUAAACGUUGAAGAUAAAAACAACACAAAUAUCAACAAGAGGAUUAUGGGAGCCUUCAGGACAACAGUGGAUGAUAUGGAAUUGAAAGAGAUUAACUUGAGAGGAAGGAAAUUUUCUUGGACAAACAAUGUAACACAUACUAGAAUUGACAGAGUUUUUUUCUUAGGGGAUUAGGAGUGCAUGCUACCUAACUGUAUCCUGCAGGCAGAAUCUUCGUUAUCUUCAUAUCACUGUCCAUUGUUGUUGUUUGCACAUAAUAACUUGAAGACAUUCAGAGGGUUUCGAUUUGAAUCAUUUUGACCAAAAAUAAGAGUAUUCAGAGAGGAAGUCAGUGACAUCUGGAACAAGCCCUUAUCACUACAUAACCCUUUCCUCAAACUACACACUAAGAUGCAGCGUACUACAAGAAGGCUGAGGCUUUGGGCGAGAUCAAGAAUUGGAAAUAAUAGGCUUCUGUUGGCUGCUGCCAAGCAACUGAUAUUGAUCCUUCAUGUGGUACAAGAACACAGAAUUUUAACCCCACAAGAGUUACUGCUAAAAGGGGAUUUGAAGAAUAGACUCCUAGCCAUGUCAGCAAUUGAAAAUCUACGAGCAAGACAACAAUCAAGAAUCACAUUCCUUAAAGCAGGAGAUGCAAACUCCAAAUACUUCUUUCUCAGUGCUAAUGGCAGAAGAAGGAAAAACUUCAUCAAGACAUUGAACACAGGUCAGGGGGUUAUUCACCAACAGGAAGAGAAAGAGGAAGCCAUAUUGGAUCAUUUCAGUUCGGUGCUUGGGAGCACAACAGAAAGAAAUGAAACACUAAGCUGGGAACUAGUCAACCUGCCAAGGCAAGACCUGCAACAUUUGGAAGCUGACUUCACUGAAGAGGAAAUUAAAGAGGCUAUAAUGGACCUCACGCCAGAGUCAGCACCAGGGCCUGAUGGUUUUAUUGGGAUUUUCUUCAAUACUUGUUGGGACAUCAUCAAGGAUGAUAUAAUUAUGGCAGUCCAGUACUUUCAAAACCUCCAUGGGUAGCGCUUUAACAUCCUGAAUUCAGUUCAUAUUGUGCUCAUACCGAAAACUGUUGAGACAGCAAAGAUAACUGAUUACAGGCCGAUCAGCUUAACAAGCAGUAUAGCAAAGAUUAUUUCAAAGAUUCUAGCCAACCGUCUCUCACAAUCACUGAAUGUGCUUGUGUCAAGAAACCAAAGUGCCUUCAUUAGGAAUGAAGUAUUCAUGAUAACUUCCUUUACACUCAGAAUCUGAUAAGAGAUUUACAUAGGGCACAAAGGCCGGCUUUAUUUCUCAAGCUAGACAUAGCAAAAGCUUUUUACACAAUUCGGUGUGAUUACUUGAUGGAAGUGAUGGAGCACAUGGGGUUUGGCACAAUAUGGAGAGAAUGGAUCACAAUUUUAUUGUUCACUGCAACUUUGUCAGUAUUGGUAAAUGGCUCCAGAACAGCAAAAUUCAUACACAGGAAGGGGCUGAGACACGGGGAUCCACUUUCACUAAUGCUGUUCAUUUUGGCCCUAGAGCCACUGCAAAAACUUCUAGCUUUGGCUGAGCAAAACUCUGCACUAUCUCCUAUAAGCAGUAGAGCUGCAAAAAUCAGAGUGAGUUUAUAUGCAGAUGAUGCAGCAAUUUUUGUCAAUCCUAUCAAGGAAGAAAUUGACACUGUCAAAACAAUCUUUGAAACCUUUGGAAGAGUAUCAGGUCUUAACAUCAACAUUGCAAAGAGUGCUGCAUAUCCUAUUAGAUGGGAAGGCAUUCAAGUGGAGCAGGUGCUGCAAAACAUGCCUUGCCAGCUAAAAGAUUUUCCAUGCAAGUACCUGGGACUGCCACUGUGCCUUAGAAGAAUUACGAGAAUUGAAGUGCAACUUGUCAUUGAUAAAAUUUCAGGAAAACUACCUGCUUGGAAAGGUAAACUCCUUGAUAAUGCCGGAAGACUGACAAUGCUUACUUCAAUGCCUAUAUAUUUUCUGUCGGUCUUCUCCUUGCAAAAAUGGGCUCUUAAGAAGAUUGACUAGCUAAGAAGGGGUUUCCUAUGGAAGGGUUCUGAUAGUGCACAAGGAGGUCACUGUCUUGUGAGAUGGAAAAAAUUUGUGCUGCCUAAAUGCAAGGGUGGACUGGGGAUUCUGGACCUUGACACUUUCACUCGGGCAUUGAGAUUACGGUGGCUCUGGUACGAAUGGAAUGAACCGGACAGGCCAUGGGUGGGAACUACAACGCCUUGCACCAAUAUAGAUCGUCACCUAUUCAGAGCAAGCACGUCUGUGACAGUUGGAGAUGGAACACAUGCAAAGUUUUGGUAUUGCAGCUGGCUCAAUGGAAAAGCACCGAUGGACGUAGCACCCAACCUUUACAAGCUUGCGUGGAGGAAAAACAGAUCGGUGCAGAAAGAUUUAACUAAUCACAAUUGGACAACAGAUCGGUGCAGAAAGAUUUAACUAAUCACAAUUGGACAAGAGGACUACGGCGCAUGAAUUCGGUUGAAGAAAUGAUUCAGUUCGUCACAUUGUGGGACUUGAUUCAGAAUGUUCAAUUAAACGGUGAGGAAGACAGCAUCCGAUGGAAAUGGACAUCAACUGGUCCAUACACUUUAAAGUCUGCGUACAUGGCACAAUUUCAAGGAACGUACUCAUCCUUUCAAACACUGAACAUAUGGAGAGCUCAUGCAUAAGGAAAGCAGAAGUUCUUGCUGCUAGUUCAGAGUAAAAUUCUCACAGCAGAUAAACUCCUGGUAAGGAAUUGGCCAUGCUCACCACUAUGCGUUCUAUGUGAUCAAGUUCCAGAAACGACAUCUCAUCUAUGUCAGCAAUACCCCUAUGCAAAAGAAAUAUGGCUUCUGGUUGUCAAUUGGACAUGCACGAAUGCAACAAUGCAGGCAAGGAAUGAAUAGGAAAUUGAAGAUUGUGGAACAUAUCGCUGGCCAAACUGAAUGGCAAGACACGACGAUCAAUUGCAGCUAUCAUGAUGUACACAACAUGGCACAUAUGGAAAGAAAGAAAUCGAAGAGUCUUCGACAACAAAUCUCUUAGGCCUGAUCAAGUUCUCGGUAUGAUUCAAAAUGAUAUCAACACACGCCGGCAAGUGUGUGGGAAUCCUUUGCUAGGAGAUGAGCUCCAUGUAUCUUAAUGUUGGUUGCUUAUCAUUAUGUUCUAGUGUCCGAGAGAGAUCAUCUCAUUUAUGUAAUUGACAACUACCUGUAAUUUGGAACAUCUUUUCUCUCUUAAAUGCAAGCCAGUGCUCUGCCAAUAUGUAAAAAAAAAGUGGUUCACCUCCACCAAAUCGAGACCAAAGUCUUUGCAGUGGCCUCCAAAAGUCUCCGGGUUUUCACCGCAUUCCGAUGCGGUGCAGGCAUCCACGAUUCCACGCCAACACAAACCCAUCCGACGAGUUAGUAGCUUGCAGAUGCCGCCACUCGCUGCGCUCGCUUUCAAGAGAAGAUGACUUGCAGCUGCCGCGGAAACGCACGCAGACACCCCCGCCGAAGCCGAACCCAGCAGCGCUUUUGCCCGAAUUCAUUGCGGCUGAGCGCGGUCAGAGGAGGCCGCCUUGAAUCAAAUGCGCCUUUUCCCUUCCGGGUCUCGACAGGCAACAAGCUAGUGAACGUCUGUGUUGUGUGGCCCCCCGCAUAUACUUCAUGUUCCUGUCAUCGAUCCUCUCUGUUGAGGACGGACGGGCGAGCGAUCGAGACGGACAGAUCGGCCGGCGAUCGCUUUCGGUUGACGCCGAGUUAAGAGCUAGCGCGCGCGACAGAGCUACUAGUUUCUUGCUAGAACGUGGCUCUGUCUCGCUUGCUGCAGGUUUGGUGAGCCAAGUAAGCAUCCGGCAAGAAAGUGGAGGAGGAGUAAUUUGGAUCCUCGAAGAAGACACAGAGGACGACCAACUGGACAAGCAAGAGGCAGAGCAAGCUAGCUACCACAGUGAGCAACAGUCGUAGGCUUGUACUAGUAGCAGUAUUGCCCUGGCCGACUGGCCCUGUCUAGUACUAGUAUCUUUCAGUGACCAGUGCAUCGCGACCGCGUGCCCACACACAGAUAGCCAAAUAGGGAGGGAGGGAGAGGGGAAACGUCAACGCCUUGAUUGAAGUCAACACUGGAUCGGAGCUGCAUGCGUUACGCUUCUUUAUUUCUCCCCCGUCGUCGUCGUGAGCCCGCCCGUCAACCGUCUCGCUCGACGGGGGCGGCGCGGCCUGGGUUCGGCCACGUCGGCUCUGCCGUUGCCGCGCGCCAGGGAUCGACGCCGAUGGAUAGGAUGUCCGGUCGAGCCGCGCUUUCCCAACCAGCCUGCUGCCGGUCGAUCGGCUCCAACUUUUUGACAUUGAUAUCUGCUCCAAACUAGCAGGAGUAUUAAUGUUGUAUGGACCAAUGGUAGUGGUACUACACAUCAUCAUAUACAAGCAUACUGUCCAUACUGUGCCGGCCUGCUAGGAACCAAAUACGCAGCAGACGAGCAGUCGAUUCUAUAUUUCUAUCUAUCUCAUCCAAAUAUCUCUCUUUGUGCUACCAGUACAUUAGUGUUCCAUCCAAAAAAACAAUUAUAUUCUAAAUAUCAGAUAAAAUGAAGUAGUUUACUUCAAACAUCUACGACUGCAUGUAUAGUACAGUAUGCUAUAAUCUUGUCCAGUUGCUUGUUCAAUAUUAUCUGCAAGAGUUUCCAGUGUACUCCGUAAUGAUGGCCGGCCGCCAAUGCAGCAGCGGCUCCGUCUCGCCUCGCACAACCGUGUCGGCGGCGCACACGACCAAAAGUUUUGUUUGAGGCCGCUGCGUAUACUCCAUCGAUCUGCGUAGACUCGUGCUGCAGGACCACCAGCCAACCUGCCGGCCGUCCGGCCGGCCAACACGACGACGACGACACAGGUCGCCGGCUGCGGUUAGCCGCUUUAUAUAUCCGGAAAGUCCAAAAGAUCGAUCGUUUCAAGAAGUUGCAUGAUCCGGGCGCAUGCCGCCGCUUACCACGCCGAAAAGAAAGCACACUCGCCGGGCCGGUGGUGCAUGCAUGCAACCAUACCUUUACCAGGGGCCUGGCUACGUUACAUUGCACCCGGUCCGCCAACAGGGAUAAAAAGGGGGUCGUCGUCCAAGUCCUACGACACCAAUACGACGCGCCAUGGAAUCCAUGACGACCGGACAGACAUGGGUGGUGAGUCCUUGAAAAAAGAGAGAACGCUCGUGCACGCGUGUGCUGCGUUGCGCCAACCUUCGACCGGGGCGGAGAUGGUCGCCGUCGACGACGACCUCUUUCCAUCUGCCGGGGAUCCAUAUAUACGCGCCGCCACCGGCGGUCAAUGUUACUGUCCGGCGCGCCUAACUAGUACUAGUUGGGGAAACAAACUAAAUUAACCGCGCACGCACGUCGCCGUCGCCGUCGAUGAUGAUAGCCGCCGCUCCGGGCGAAGCGAGUGAUUCCGAUCGGCCUCGUUAGUGCAGUGUGGUCUGUGCACGGCGGACCACACAGCGAUCAUUUCAAUUCCUCUCAUUCUCUGUUGUGUUGUGAGCGCGACGGCGAGAAGGAUGGAUCGGCCGGCGGUCGCUUUCGGUUGACGCGGGAGUUACUAAGAGCGCGCGAGGCAGAGCUCCUGCAGGGCUGCUUGAGUGGCUGGACAGCAACACGCCAUGUCGACGAGCUCCGAUCCGUUCCGCAAGUCAGCCAUGCUCACUCUGACAGUCACAGGCUCGCUCCUCCGCCUCCUUAAUGUCCUGGUUCCUGUACGCUGAGCACGACGCCCUCUUUCCCCUUGUAUUGCCAGUCGACCUCGCUCAUUGAUCCCACCCACCCAUCUCCGGCGGUCUUCACACUCCAGCGGUUGCGUAACCGCAGCUAGGCAAGCAUCGGGAUCAGGUGAAAACGCAGAGUGACACAAGUACGGUAGCAAGAUAUACACAGUAGGCCAAAUUAGUGUCCUUUAACCUUGACUUUGUGAUGCUGUACUGUAGGCAGUCACUGUUAACAUAUACACUCAUCUCUGUGCGUACGUCGCAGUAAGCAUAUGAUUCGAGCCUUGGAGGUACGUACUAUGGCCACUUUCUUGCUGGAAUGUGACUCUGUGGUUGCUUGCUUGCUGGUUUGGUGACUGGUGAGUCAAGCAACCAGCAGGAAAGCGAAGGGAUGAUCCGGAGGAUCCUCGAGAAGGGCCACUAAUUAUCCGCGUGUAAAGAAUCGGUGCUAGUUACCUAAGAGCAGGAGGGGUCGAGAGGUAAAUUAGGCAACUUAAAAACUUAAUCUAUAGCUUCCACUAUUUUAUAUAAAGAUAAACUAGAUCAUUCUGUCCUAAAUGUGCAUUCUAUGGUUGAUCUAGAGUGGAACCCUCGUCCCAAAAUAAGUCUUGCAACCUAGAGCCAAUCCUAACAAGAUACUACAAUAAAAAAGUAAAGGCACACAAGUUGCAAGUAUGAAAUGCGGAAAUUGCAAGUAUGAAAUGCGGAAAUGUAAGAGGUUAGGAUGAGGGGAGGCAAACUCUUGACACGAGGAUUUAUCAUGUGGUAUCGGUAGGCAUUAAGCCACCACUAGUCCACGUUGUUGAAGCACUCACACAAGAGUAUUGCUUCCUGGUCACCGAGUCUCUCCCAAGGCAUCCCUUAACUUGCCACAAAGGAAGGGGGUCUUCACGUUCCCCGCACAAGAUCGUCGACGCCGCUCCACACCAAGCUGGAGGGUCGAAGACUUGCUGGCGAGUCACCAAGGCUUCAAGGCGCCGGCACACUUCUUGUACAACGGUGGUUCACUCUAGAAUCUGAUCACAAGGUCGGCACACCUUGCACUCACUCCUCUCUAGGCCUAUCCUAGUACUAAUCACUCCGUAAGCUUGUGCUAAGCCUUAGAUGAAUCACUUAAGCACUUUUGAUGGCUUGGAUAUAUUCUUGAUGAGUCUUGAUCUUCAAUGCAUCCUGGACACUCCAACAACUUCAAAUGGACGAGUAGUCGGGUAUAAAUAGCCCCAAGGGCUCAAAGAGCCGUUGCUCUAACGGCUAGUUAAAAAAUAUACCAUUGCAUGUUCCGAUGAUCUAUUUUUAUCCUGCAUCAAAAUAUCCGGUGCAACUAGCCGUCGGACUCCCCACGCCCAAAUUCCUCAGAAAUUCAACCGACGCUUUAUCCGAUGCUACCAUCGGAUCAUUCGGUACCACUGUUCACGUCACAUAACCGUUGAAUCCCCUGACCCCUGACGUCAUCGUUCCAACGCUUUCUCCGAUGGAGCGGUCGGAUCAUUCGGUGCUGAAGUUAUUCUAGCCAAAACCUUCUGUUUGGAAUCAAAGAAAAUAUGCUUUGUCCGACGCUCCUUCUUGCGCAUACCGUCGGAUCAUCCGGUGCUAUUGGAUUUUCUUUGCCUUCCAAGCCUGUGCCUUAGAAUUCGUCCGACGCUACUAUAAAAGCGACCAUCGGAAAAUCCGAUAGUUGACUUUGCCUGAUUUCUUCCACAGCGUACCAAAUACUCUGACGUUUAAUCCGAUGCCUUUCUGGAGGCUAUCGGAACAUCCGAUGGUUCUUUUUCUUUAUUCCAAUUCGUCCAAUGCAUCAAUACCAUAGAAUAAUCCUAGAUAUCAUGGCUUGGUCACUUAAAUACUAUAGACUGGAUACUCGAAUACCAUGACUUGGAUACUCGAAUACCAUGAUUUGGGUGUCAAGAAUACCAUUAUUUGAAUCUUGCCAUAAUUUGGUUUGCAUUCUUGGAACUAAAAAAUAUACAAAGUACAUGCUAGAUAAAAGUAUUAGUUCCAAUAACUAUGUUGUUACUUAAUCACUAAAAUCACGAACUAUGACUUAAUGAGAUCAUCCCCGCUACGGGAUUCCGUCGUCUCCCUCCCCGGACGGAUGAUGGGCGCUUGCUUGUUGGAUCUUGGCAUCUCUCAAUUUAAUGGCGAAAACAAAAACACUAUACGCAGCGACAGACGACGGGCCGUUGACCCUCGCCUGGGAUCAUUAAGCAAUGACGCCAUCAGUGGCGCUAAACGUCUCCGGGUCCGACCCCAAGCCGCCUCGCGGUCGCCGCGCCAACGCUAGUAAUUGCUGGUGUGCCUGGCCCUGAGCUUUUCCCACGUCACCUGCUCUAAUGCCACCGUCCCUCGUCGUGAUGAGUCCCAAAAGCGGCUCGCGCGGCGUGGGGCGGCCACGUCGUCGCCUCCCGACGGCGGGCGCGUCGUGGGCGGCGCGCGGACGGGGUUCGGCCACGUCGGCGCCGGCGAGGGAUGAUGGAUCUAUGGGCCAUGGCCGGCCGACAUGCUUCCCCAACCAGGCCCCUUAAUUGCCCGUUGAUCGGCUUCGGAAUUCAGAUUGGCUCAACUUUUCGGCAUAAAUAUCUGCUCCUCGCUAGCAGGAGUAUUGAUGUUGUUACGUAUGGGCCAAUGCUACGACUGAAUCAUACAGUACCUUUCUUUCAAGGUACCAAUCUUUCUUUUCCAGGGUGUUCAUACCGUGCCGGACUGCUAGGAAACCAACACAGAGCGGGCAAUUCCGAGUAAACAAGCAUGUGCAUGUGGCUGUUGGAUGAAGUUUCCUCGGCAUUGCGUUUUAAUUUGUGUGAAAAUUUUUUGUGCCCUGGUCCGGAGUCUGAAACAAUUCCGGGCUUCAGAAUUUCGACCAAAGGUCGUGUAACGUUAAGCAAGUAAGCAUUUUGCAUUCAUUUACGAGGAGCGUUUUGACUGGCUUCCUGUUCCGCAGGCAUGACUUGAGAAGCAGGUCUACAUGAUUUGGAGGUGAGUUUUACUCGCAUGUACUACUGCUCCAAUUCAGUAGUCAAAAAAGGUGACUUGGAAGUUACAAGUGCAAGACUUUCCUUGCCAUCGACUUGUUGCCAGGAUCACUUUUCAAUUAAUAUACCGGUUAAAUUUCGAGGGAAAAAACGGUGAAAUGGUUUUUUUAAAAAAAGUAUAGUAACUUUCACGUACGGAGAGACGAAGUGAUUGCAUUGAAUUCCGUCUGUCAGAAAACAAUCGCACACGGAUGGACGAUGGAUCAACAAGCAUGCUGUACGCGCUGCCUGGUGUGUGACAACCAGAAGGUGAUGGGGAUACCGAUUAGCCACCGUACCAUCCCCCAUAUUAUUGUGCAUUUUACGAGUUGAAUGGAUGGACACGGAUGCGACGGAGGAGGAUUCCACGGAGUACGACCUCAUUCAUCCCCCAUGCGGCGAGCAGAGCACCAAUAAAAAGCGCUGCAAAUGUUCGCUUGCCACACCUUGAAAUUUUUAGAUUAUGAUUAGAAAGAACAAUUAAAUAAUAAUUUUUUUUUAUAAUUUUAAAAUUUUUCCAACAUUUAUUUUCUUGAUAGGAAAUUUAGUAUAGGAAAAUAAUUGAGUGUUUUUAUGAAUUAAAUAUAAUGGUUCUAUAUGUGUUGCAUUCAUGCCAAUGCAUCUUGGUAUUUCAUGAGUGCAAAGGUUUUAAAAUACAUUUAGAUGUCGAUUAGAUUCCUAUGAGAAUUUUUCAGAUUUUUCUGGUACUUAUUCUCAUUUUUCUAGAGCUAAAUCUAUUUAUUAGAAGGCUCUAGAACCCUCUUCACGAACUCCAAGUGUUUUAUUUGGACUCCUCAUAGCCCAAUCUACCUCUAGGAUUUUUUUUCCUGGAUUUUUUAGGAUUUUUUUUGAAUUAAAUGAAUUAUCUGGAUUUUUAUUUCACAAGAAAUAGAAAUCCUUUUCGUCUGGAUGAGCCUUGGGCCCGACCCGCCCUGCUUCGGCCCAGCCAAGCUCGUGCGCCGCCGCUAGUUUCCUGGCACCGCCGUCGCCGCCUUCUUGGCGUGCGCGCCACGGUCAUCAUCGGGCCCUGCGUCCUAUAAAACGCAACAGCCGAGCCUCUGGUUCUCCCUGUUGCUCACACCGGCCACGCCUCGCUCAUCCCGGCUCGCACAACACUACCGCCGGCCUUUGCUGUGUUGAUGCACCGCGCCCCUUCGUCCCUGGAGCAAGACACCACCACCACCACGAUCCCCUCUACGAGACAAAGCCGGUGCGCUGCUCCUUGUCAUCGUCAAGUCACCGGAGUACCGUGGCCUUCGCGAAGAGCAGAGCCACAGCCCAAGCUCUAUCCGCCCGAUUCGCCACCCAUGGGCACAGCCGGACGAAGCCGCCAGGGCCACCAGCUUCAUCGAGCUUCCACGCAUCUUCUCCACCACGCGUUGUCAUCAGUUGACCGCCGAAGCCCUGCCAUCCGCGUGAAGCCCUGAACCGCUGCUGCCAAUCACUGUCGGGCCAAAUUCCAGCCGUCCUCCUCCACCUCCGGUGUCGGUGAGGCCUCCCGUGAGCUCGCCUCAACCUCCUCUUCCAAUCCCCCUCCUCACAGUGGUCCCCAGGUCACCGGAGUGCGGAACCGCUAUCCGCCAUGGCAAAAGCUCUUGAGCUUUUGCAAAGAGCCCCUCGAGCUAAUCUGUAAUUUUUGGCUGAUUCUUUGUAUCUUUGUAUAGUUGCUGAGAAGCUCCUGAAUAGAUUAGAUCCUCUCAACCUAACCCAAGCCAAGAUCUUUUUUGAUCUAACCCUGCUCUUUAUCGGAUUCACGAGCACUGUUUCAUGUGUCUCGGGAAUCUUCACUCCUAGUCCUCCCAAUCUAUAAUUAAUCAUGAAUAGAUCCUUAAAACCUUGUUUAACCCAUAGAUUCCACGUUUUAUCUCCGUUUAACCUUGUUCUUGUUACGUUAGAUUCAUGUCAACUUAAAUCACGCAUUAGAAGCAAUGUUGGUCAAACUUGAGAUGCUUUGACUCUCCAAGAUUCUUGGAAUGACUUACAAUUUGGGAUGGAGGGAGUACUUAAAUAUUUAUAAAUAAAAUUAAACUAAGCUUUACAUCUUCUUUGCAUAUGUAAAUAUGACUUGAUUAAUCCCAACUAAGGAUAUUUCUCUAAAAUAUCUUUACAUUUUUUUCUCAACUAAAAUAAAUGAAACAUGUAACUCAUGUCUUUUCUUUUAUAAUCCAAAUCUUAGUUCCUUGCGUUCGUGUGAUACUAGAAUCGAGCCCUAGUGCGUUCUUUUAAAGCUUUUCUCUUUUAUUAGUGUAUUGUUCUUAGUUGUGUUUGUUUGCUUUGUAUGCUUGUGCCGGUGAUUGCUUUGAGUAGAAGGAUUGCUGUUUGAAAACUUUGAAGAUUAAGAGUUUCAAGAGAGUAAGAGAUGAAGAGCAGUAAGAGUAUCUUUUUGUUGGAGAAAGGCAUCAUCCUUCUAUCUAUGCUUAUUUACAAGAAUACCAUGCAUUAAUUGGAACAUGGAGCGACCACCCAGGAAAACAGUGCAACCACAAGAACUACAUAGCUCUGAUGUUGAUUAAUUAAUUAGAGACUCUAGUUCAGGGUAAUCUUACCGAAAGGGCAAGAGGGGGGAUUGAGUCGUUGUAUAGCCCUAUCCUCUUAGGAAGUGGGCUUUGCUAAGACACUAUGCCCAUUAGAGAGGUUUAUGCACGUCAGACACCGAAACUUUAGCGAGUUACCACUUAUUAAGGAAUCUUUGUAAGGCCCCGUAGCGUCCCUAUGCAGUCACACCUCAGUAGUGUGACGAGUACCUAAUCAGCACAGCAUGGUUGGGUCUAAAGUUCUUCUGAACUUUUACGUGACUUGUAGGUAAAGAUGUACGUCCUCUUCAGAGUGUAAAACUGAUAUAUCAGCCGUGCUCACGGUCAAGAGCGGUCUGGACCCUCACAUGAUAAUUGAACUUGAAGAUGGACUUAAAUCGUUAUUCUGGUUAUUUCUUGUAGCCUUGCUGAGUACCAACCAUAAGUGUACUCACCCUUACUUACUGCUGCUCAGAAGAGAAAGUUGUGUGAAGUUUUCUGAAGGUGAUGCUGAGUUCUAGAUGUACGCGACCCCCAGUCGAUUGCCUGUGAAGUUUGGAGUCUACGUUUCCAGGAUUAAGUUGUAUAUCUCUCGUAAAUCAUUAUUUAUAUUUUUUUAUGCGAUACUGUUACUAUUAUUUACUGGUGAUGUUAUGAAACUAUGUUAUGAAACUAGAUCAUAUAGGUAGCACUUGGUUUUAUUUUAAAUUCGGGUUUGACACCGCUGCUUGGCCCUAGAAAGCGACCGAGUGAAGCUGCUGCCGUAGCCCUUUUCGCGCCAGGGACCCACGCAUGGGAUGAUGCACUGCAAACCUAUCGGUCGAUCGCCGCCGUCAUCUCUCCUGGGGAAAAGCCAAACCAAAAGGGAGUGGAAAAAAAUAAAAUGAUUCGAUCCUGCAGAAAGGUUGUGUUGUGUGUGGCAUCAUCUCCAUCCAUCCGAUUUUUGGAUUGGAAAGAACCAAAGGAGGAAUAUAAUCAUACGUGAUGACGCCAAGUGUUGAUUAAUUGGUGAUUAAUGGUCGGUCCGGGCACGUAAUGCAUCCAUCCCAGGAAAGUUAAGCACAGUUUGCUGAACCCAGCUUGCUGUGCUUGGAUGAGCACAAAUAAACCAAAAAGGAAGCUGCUUCGAUCGGUAGAGAAAGAGAUGAUGAUGAUAUAUUCGAUGCGAUGGGUCACCAUGACAUAUCAUUUGUGAUUGAGUGCCCGUAUUAUCCAGUGCAAGUGCUAUUAUGCUAAUGCAGCUAGCGAUUGCUUUUUAAUUUAGUGUAAGGCAAAAAUGCGAUCCAGCCGUUUUCUUUCCUUUUUCUGGAUCUGACGUAGCGAAGUGAGACACAUGCAUGUAUGCAAUUAAGCACGCACGCGUUGAGCCGCUCGCGAUCGCAUGCCAGAACACUUUUUUCCUGAGGAGAGGAGAAAAUCUUGGGCGGCAAUGCGCUGUGGUUUCAGUGACCGGGAAGGAAAAGAAAGCAAAGUCUAGGCUGGAAGACGAGGACGAUCGACCGAGCACCACCACACCGGGCAUUAUCGCCAUGCAUUGUCGCAGGUGGAUAUGUGACGAUAUCAUCAUCAUUAGCGAUGCAUCGAUGGAUCUUCCUCGGCCGGAAAUUCCACACGCCAAUAGGACAUGCAUGCGGGGUCAGAGGCAGGGGAGGAGAGCACGCUGUGCGCACGCCACGCAUUUGUCAAUCGGGCGCCGCCCAGGACAGGUCUCCAACAGUCCCACUACCAGCAGUCGUGAGGUCGCCGUAAAUGUGAGGCGGCGGGCCGGCCGGCCAGCCAGCCGGUGCACAUGUCACGUGUCAGUUGUGCUGUGCGGUCGGUCACGCUAGCUUACAUUACACAGGAGAAGGGCAAGCACUGUAUUCCUUCUCUUUUUGCUACUGUCCGUCAGUAACAUAGUAGUAUCCUCUAGCUACGGUGUCUGGCUCGCCUACGCCUUCACCAAACCGGCCAGAGUCUUUGCGGUGGCCCCCAAAAGUGUUCCGAGCCCGUUUAAUUUUUUCACCGCAUCCCGAUGCGGUGCGUGCAUCCAAUAAUCCAACACAUCUGAUGGAGUGGUGGUAGCUUGCCCCUGCCGCGCGCUCGCUUUCAACAAAUCAACACAAGAGAGGAUGGCUUUUUUUUUUGAGGAAACAAGAGAAGAUGACUUGCAGCUGCCUGCCGCGGAAAUGCACGCAGACGCCCCCGAACCCAGCAGCGCUUCUGCCCGAGUUCAUGCACUGCGGUCAAAGGAGCCUUUCAAUGCGCCUUUUAAUUUGCAGCUCUUUUUUUUAAUUAAACGGCACGUGCUAAACAGAUGAUUAAACAGACACGGCUGAGCACUGUGUAGCUUAAAACGGUCGUGUAGGCAAACACUGAGCCUACGACACAUCCAUCUAGCGCGAGCUCCAGCAAUUGCGUAACCGCAUGAAGGUACCGAGAUCAGGGUGAGAACACAGAGUAACAUGUAUGAUAGCAAUGGCCAGUUCCUGAAGAAUGCUAGGAGAAAGCUUUUAUUUUUUGGCCUCAAGCUCUCAGUUCAUACUUUCCCAAACAGUAAAGACAUUUUUGUCUUGGGUGUUUGGAAGUGAUUCAGCCUGAAUCCUAUAGAGGAGCUAGAGUCCGAACCAUCCCAAACAAGACCUAAGCAUAUAGUCUCAGUGGAUUCAUCGCAGUAAUAUGCUGUCUAGUAAAUUAUGCAUAUGGUGCAUAUUAUACAUUCGGCGAGUAGAUUAUUAUUUAAUCAAGACACGUACUAUAGCAAGUUAAUUUCUUGCUAGAAUGUGGCUCUGUUUCGCUUGCUGGUUUGGUGAGUCAAGCAAACGGCAAGAAAGUGGAAGGGGUAGUCCGGAUCCUCUGAGAAGAAACUGAGGAGAAACAGAGGACCAACUGGACAAGCAAGACAGCAGAGGUAGCUAGCAGUCUAGCACAGUGAGCAACAGAUGACGCUUGCUCAAUCAGUGCUGUUCCAGACUUCAGUUCCCAUGCCAACACGCAAAUCAGAAACGGCCCUCCUCCUAAACACAGCGCUACGUCACCCUGCUUGUGCUCCAGUACUAGCAGUACCGUCCUGGCCCUGUCUAAUUAAUGUGCAAAAAGAAAAAAAAAUUAGGGAGUAUCUUUCAGUGACCAGUGCAUCGAAUGUUCACUCGCGACCGUGCACACACAGAGAGAGAUCAGGGUGGCAAAAAAACGUCAACGCCUUGAUGGCAUGAUGACGGGUUCCUACAGGCUACAGCCCUACGGACAGCAGGGUGUCCACCUCCAAUCCAACCGUGUGGACGCCCUGCGGGAUCACCGGAUCAGCACCAGGUCAACACUGUCUGCCGUGAACCCGCCCGUCAACCGUCUCGCUCGACGUCGACGUGGGGGCGGCGCGGCCUGGGUUCGGCCACGUCGGCUUUGCCGUCGCCGCGCCAGGGAAGGAAGGAUCAAAGGAUGGACGACGACCGACCUGCUUCCCCAACCAGCCGCCUUAAUUAUAUUGCCGGUUGAUUGGAUUCAGAUUAUUGGCUAAACUUUUCGGCAUAAAUAUCUGCUCCUAGCUAUUGAUGUUGUAUGUAUGGGCCAAUGGUAUUAUACAGCUUUUCAAGGCGUCCAUACCGUAUCGUGCCUGCCUGCAUUUUUUAACUGAUGGGGUGUUAAAACUUAAACAUGUGUUUAUGUGUUUGGUUGGAAGACAACUUGGAAUGGGACGAUCAUUUCUUAUUUGGUUUGUUUUUUGUUUGUUCCGAAGAUAUGCUGUGUUGAUCUUUUUUAGCAUUUGAUAACAAAAGGGAAAAUGGAAUACCAUGGCUUAAUUCUUGACGCUGAAUGCCUGACGGUGGUAGCCGUGUUGUCGUUGGCCCCCCAGCAACAGCAAAUGAUUGCCAAAAGCAAGUCCGCAGCUCGGCUCACCUUCUUCCCCUGUAGCAGCGACACCGUUGCGGGCGACAGUUUCUUGUUCAAUUAUUCGUUUUUUUUAAAGACGCUUGUUCAUUUUUUUUAAUUCAAAAGACGUUUGGUUGCGAUGCUAAAAGUAGGAUGCUGUGACACAUCCCAAAUGCGUCACGUACAUUUUGUGUCUUCUUGAGAACAUAGGACUUCGAGGGCACGGCACGGCUCAUGGAGCUGUUGCUUCUUUUCUUUUCUUUUCUUUUCUGUUCUUUUCUUUUCUUUUCUUUUUCCUGAUGUCCUUUUCCGGCAAAACGACACCCUGCCGACACUGAAAAAAUGUUCCCGAAAAUGGUACCAGUGCAUUACUAUUCCAUCCAAAAAAGAAACAAUUUCAAAAUACCAGAUAACAUGAUGUCAGGUUUAAAAAGAUCAGACCCGGGGCCCUCGAAGCUGUGCUUUUCAGGAUUCUUGGGCAUGCUUAGCUGCAACCUCAAUCGGGAACCAACCACCUAUUGUUUCCACUUGAGGUUUACUUCAAAUAUUCUAUUUAAUCUUCAUCAGUUGCUUGCUCAAUUAUCUGAAGGGAGAUUCCUAGCGAUCCAAUCCCGGAGUUCCCAGUUGCUUUCCACCACGAUUUGUUCGUCCUGCUCCUGCAAACUGCCCGCCUUUUCAAUUUCUUUUGGAUGUAUUUGUUGGGAAUAAAAUCUUAAGAAAUGCAGCUCAUGAACCUGCAUGGGCAGGCCGAACACAUACGUGGAUCUCGCAGCUUAUUUGGUCAAUCGCUUCAUCGAUCUCUUCUCCCUUCACCAAUCAUGCGGCCGCAUUUUGGCUUGUUUUCCCAUUUCAUGUGAGGAUCUCGGUCCUGCACCAAUAUGCCUCAAGUCCAAACUUCUACAACUUCAAAAAUGAUAGCAUGAGUUCGUCAAUAAAAAAUAAUGUACCUCGUGGUAUAUUAAUACUUCGACAAUGUCUUAGUAUGGUGGUAGGUGGUGACUCUACUUUAAAAUCAUACUCCAAUUGUAUAUAGUGGUACGAUGAGCUAGUCUAGAUGUGAAUGAAAAUUAAGUAUCAUCAAAUUAGGCUUCGUUUUGGAUUGGAGGAGCUUUGGUGGAAAUUGGUCUUCUCUAAUACCCAUCAAAUAAAAAAUUAUGAAAAUACAUUUCAUAACAGUUUUAAUUAUGCUCAUUUGAUAUCGUAAAUAAUAUUUCUCUUCUCUAUAAUUUUUAUCAAAUAUGGAAUAGUUUGGCUUAAGACAAAACAAAAUAUCUUAUAUUUCAAGAUAGGGGGAGUACAUACAAAAAUCAUAUGGCAUGUAAUCCAACACAUCUAAAAAUUUGAUCUUCCUAAAGAAUAUGGGCCUUUUCUCCAUAUUAGAUAAUGAUCUCCUAAAGAAUAUCGACACCAUUUUAAAUCAGUUAUCCUGAUAUUUAAUAAUUUGAUCUUCCUAAAAAAUUGUGGACAAAAUUCAAUCAACUAUUCGCUCUAUCAUGAAUAGUAGAUUAAUCUUCCCAUUCCCACUCGUUUUAUAUAUGGCGUUAAUUAGUAAGUUCAAUUUUUUGAACUAACCAACGUCAUGUAUAAAAGAAUAGAGAAAGUACUUCGUAUGUAAUUUGAGGAAAACAAACUACGAAGUUAGGUGCAAAAUAUGAGUAGCAAUCAUUGCAUUUUAACAGCCCCGCCGGCUGGUUUAGACCGACAGUCCAUACACGUAGGCAUGGAUAUGACGUUAACACAUCCAACUGCACUCAAAAAUUCUGAACUGAACCAGAUCACACGACCAGCGAAUCCGUCCUGUUUGAUGCCCAGGAUCCCAGACGCAUCCGUGCCACGCUCCUGGCACUGCAUUCUUGAUUGAGCAGGACAAAAUCUUGCGAUCCCAGCUAGCUCUGCAGGAGAAGCCUCCUGCACAACGCAAUAAUCAUUCUGAUCUCUCCUGCUCAUCACCCGGAGUUUCAGUUCAGCAACUUUUUUUGUAGUACCCCCUUGUCAGCACUUCCCCUAUAGCUGCCCUUUUGUGCUAUCCAAGUCACAUCGCCAUUGCAAAUCUUUUUAAAAUCUUGAAUAAAAAAACUAGAGAUAAUUUUGUAGCUGAUAUCACCCAGCCUUCACCGUUUCCCGAUGCGUUUCUGAACAAGCAGGGGACAGCUCGAUCGGGUAAGCACGGCGGCAUGGGCCGUUUUUUUUAAAGAAAAUUCCCUGUAACACUAGAAGAUACACCAAUUCUCUACAUGACACUCGAAAUUUCAAUCUUAACACCGACUCUAAGUUUCAUGCACUAUUAGACACCAAUGACACCGUUAAAUUUGAUGAGAAAAAGGCCAAAAUACCCCUGUGUGCAUUAACGCAAGGUAUAAUUCCCUCCUAUGACAUUCUGUAGGCAACCAACAUUGAGUUGUAUUAAAUAAGACAACAAAACAUGUUUAUGAUGGAUUAAAGGCAAUAUUUACCAAAUAUAUAAAAUAUUCACAAGUUGACAGGUUCAAUUCACAAGUUGACAGGUUGAAGCACACUCCACAGCUUCAAGCACACUUCACAGGUUCACAGGUUGUAAAGCCAAUAUUGAGCAUAAAUAGUUGACAUUAUUCAAGUUCACAAGUUCUAGCACAUCUAAGCCAACACAAAGUCACCAACCCUUACAGAGGUUCUCAUAUGUUACAUCAAGUCCACAUGAGAGCAUCCAUUACACAUCAUAUUGUUACAAAAGCAACAGAUCACGUGAUCAAAGUGAGAUCACAUCAAGUUCAAAGACUAAGUCUCCUGUUGCUGUGGGUGCUCAUUGCAGGGCUUGCAGGAUCGUUCUUCUUGCUUUUAGUGCCUAUUGCAGGGCUAACAAUUGGAAGCACAAGCUUCUUUGCAUUAUCUUUUGCUACCCCCUUCCUCUUAGGCUUCCUCUUCAUCCCAACCGGUUUCUUCCCCCUCAUCAUUUUUGCAACAGAUGGAGCAACAAUUAUUUGCUCACUUGACACAUGAGAAUCAUUUGAAAUGAGAUCUGGAUGGUUAGAGCUAGUCGCUGACGUGCAUGUAUGAAUGUAGUUCGCACUAAGAAUCAGAUACAGUAAUUGAAGAAAAAAGGCAGCACAAAGAAUCGGAUAUAGUAAUCUAAAUGAAAAUAGAGACCUUGCUCAUUUUUUAUAACCAGAUGCAUUAUCUUUCUCCUCUUUAUUUUUCUUAGUUGGAGGUUCCAAGCUGAUUGACUGAGGUUCUCUGCAUGAGCAAUAACAUUAAGAAAAUAGUAAACAUGUUCAUUAGCAAUAAGAAAGUAGAAAACAAUGCAAUGUAGAUAGAUUACCUUUCAGCCAUAAGAAAGUUGCAAUGUCAUCUGGAUUACCCUUCUUGCAAUUGUGCCAAUGGUGCCCAUAAUAUGUACAGAUAGGGCAUAAAUGCUGGCUCAGAUGGUGAGGGAGUAUCAUCACUCUGCCACUCGGUAAUAGGUACAUAUGGUUCCAUGGGAUCAGUAUAGGAAAUGAAUAUUUCAACAACCUUUGUCUGCCUGUGUUUGUCAAACAUUAACUGCAAACCCUGAUCUGUUUUAACUUCAGAAAAGUUGUUCAGAAUACUAUCACAAUACUGAAUAUGUGGCACUUCCAAGUAACCUGGUGGAUAUUGAUCUACGAUAGAUUUAGUGAAAUCCUUGAAAUUGGUAGUGUCUGAACCAAUAACCUUAUCAAAGCAAAAAUAUCUGAAUUCUUUUCUCACUUUCUCAUGGUUGCCAAGAAGUCUAUGUUCAGAAAAUAACUUGACCUAGGAUAAUCAAACCUAAAACCUUGCGUGAAUCUAGUCCUACAGCAUCAUGAAUACUCCGCAGUCCAGAUUAGUUAAAUUCACCCUUCUGGAAGUCAAUCCUUCGGAAGAACCAUGGUUGAAAUUUCUCCCUACCUGCAACAGCUCGAGCCCCUGCCUGCCCAUUCUCCCACUUGGCCACCUGCGCCCGUCAGCGGGGUGCCUCCUGCGGCGCGGCCUCCCGUGCCCACCCGCACGGCCGCCGUCCCAACGCGCCUUGAUACCGUCCGCUAGCCCACACACGGUCCAUGGAGCUUGGGACCUAGGGUUUCGUCGGUGGGAUUUGGAUGAGGAAAGAGGAGGGUCGGGAGAAAGAAGACUACCGAAGGGAGAAGGGAGAAAGAGAGGCCCUUGACCAGCGGAUGGGUCCAAUAGGUAAGGGUAUUUUGGUCACAACAUUAACAAUCUGACAGGCUUCCAUGGGUAAAAAAUGAGUCUGGUGGACGGAACCGACUGCAGUAUCGUACAGGGAAGAUUGAAAUUUCAAGUGUCACAGAGGGAAUUGGUCUAUCUUCUAGUAUCAUGCAGGGAAUUUUCUUGUUUUGUUUAGUUCAGCUGCAUAUUCAGCUGUACGCCUGUACGGAGUGUUCGCUGCUACCCCCAUUCAAGUGUUCAACCAACCACUACUCGAUCAGGCUAUGCGCUGAUGACGAAGGGCGCCCCAUUCCCUCAUGCGUCCAACAAAAAAUUCUAUUCGCGAUCAACUCGAAACGGCUAUAUAUAUGCGCGCCCGAUCGAUCCACUGGUCCAGUACCAAUCCGUGCAUGAACAAAUGGCAUCCACUGCCACGAUCCAACCGCGAUCCGCUCUUCACAAGGCCAGGAGCCCAGGGCGUCCUAAACCAUGCCGAGCGCGCGUGGUCGCGGCCGCCGCCACGGUUAGCACGGCGGCGACGACGACGGCGAUGGCCGCUGCCGAGAGGACGCGCGCGCCGGCCGCCUCAGUGGCGAGGAUGAAAAGCACGGGGAGGAGGGCGGCGUCGGUCGCGAGCAUGUGGAGGCAGGUCCAGGGGUCCCAUGACUGGGACGGCCUGCUCCGGCCGCUGCACCCCGUGCUUCGCGACGAGGUGGCGCGGUACGGCGAGCUCGUCGCCGCCUGCUACAAGGUGCUCGACGUGGACCGGUCGUCGGCGCGGUACAUGUGCUGCAAGUACGGCAAGGAGCGCGUGCUCGAGGAGGCCGGCGUGGCCGGGGCAGGGUACGAGGUGACGCGCUACGUCUACGCCACGCCCGACGUGGCCGGGCCGCCGUCCACCUCCAGCUGGGUUGGGUACGUCGCCGUGUCCACCGACGAGAUGACCCGGAGGCUCGGCCGGCGCGACGUCCUCGUCUCGCUCCGCGGCACGGUGACGCAGGCGGAGUGGGCGGCCAACCUCAUGAGCGCUCUCGAGCCGGCGCGCCUCGACGCGCGCGGCGCGCACCCGGACGUCAAGGUCGAGUCGGGCUUCCUCAACCUCUACACCUCCUCGGCCGAUUCCGGCGGCGGCGGCGGCAUGGGGAGCUGCCGGGACCAGCUUCUCCGCGAGGUGUCCCGCCUCGUCACGUCUUUCUCCAAGGACCACCCCGACGAGGACAUGAGCGUCACACUGGCCGGCCACAGCAUGGGCAGCGCCCUGGCGAUGCUGCUCGGCUACGACCUCGCAGAGCUCGGCCUCAACCGCGACGCGUCCGGGCGUCGCGUUCCGGUCACCGUGUUCUCCUACGGCGGGCCACGGGUCGGCAACGCGGCCUUCAAGGAGCGCUGCGACGAGCUCGGCGUGAAGGUGCUGCGCGUCGCCAACGUCCGCGACCCGGUGACCAUGCUCCCGGGCGCCCUCCUCAACGAGGGCACAAGGGGGUUCCUCGCCGGCUUGGGCGGCGACCGCUACACGCACGUCGGCGUGGAGCUGGCCCUCGACUUCCUCCGCCUCCGAGACCCGGCGAGUGUGCAUGACCUCGGCGCGUACGUGUCGUCGAUCAAGGCCGAAACCUGCGGCAAGGUGCCAAAUGCGGCGGUGGACGGCAGCCGAGGCGGCGUUCUCGCCAAGGCGAUGGAGUUCGUCGAGGGACAGCGUGCGGUCGCGUUCGCGUGGAAGAAGGCUGCCCUGCAAAUGGGCGGCCUGGUGCAGACGCUGGGGAUGAUCUGAGCUCAGCAAGCAACCGGCGGUCAGGAUUAACCGGGCAGUGAUCCUCUUGGACAAUUUUAUUUUUGGAGGAUUCCAGGUGUUUUUUAGCCGAUUUCCUCUGUAUAGAUCGAUUGAUUAGCGUGACUUGAUCGCCGUAGAAGCGCGAUCAAAGAUGAUAUUCUUUGUUCAUUUCAUCUUAGUUGGCACAGUGUAUAGCUUUUCUUCUUCUUUCUUUUCGGAGAAGGAAAAAUUUCAAAAUACUCCCCUCGAGUAUAACCAAAGUUUGGAUAACCCUCUAAAGUAUUUCUUAGUUUAGUUUACCCCUAAAUUAUGACAUUUUGUUUAAUUUACCUCUUAACACAAUUUGUAUUUUUGUUUCUUCAUGCACAAGUGGAGUCUUUAGUUCAAAUUUUGAAAUUUUGUAAGAUGAUAGCAGACAUCAUAAGACAUAUUAGAAAACUAUAUCAUAAUUUUUAUUAUUAUUUUAAUAGGGUAGAAUUUUUAAUAAGAAAAUUUAUCCUUGAGAUACAAAUUAUAUAAAAAAUAAUGAUGAAAAAUUCAUAAAUAAUUUUAAAAUAUAGAUUACGAUGUCCACUACCAUCCUACAAAGUCUCAAAUUAAAAUUCGACUUGUGUAUGGAGGAAAAAAGGAUUAAUUGUAUUACAGGAUAAAUUGAACCAAAUAGCAUAGUUUAGGAGUAAAUUGAACCAAAACAUAGUUAGGGGAUUAUAUGAACUUUCGCUAUACUUGAAGGGAGUAAUUUGGACAUAUUACUUUGAAAAUGGGUUAAAUUUAAUUUGUAUAAACAUGAUUUUUAUGUACCCCUAACAAAAAAUAUAAAACUAUAUUGAGUGCUCCUGAUGUCAUCCUAAUCGUUUUCAUCUCCACCGUGCCAUGGCCAAAAGAAGUUGAAGCUCGAGGUCAAUUCCCAUAGGGAUGAAAGUAUUGUGAGUAGUGUUGGGAAUAGUUCCACUGACUUUAUAGAAGUAGAGUAGCACAACUUAUAAGCAUUAGGAUGUGCUCACCCAUCAUACUAGUUUUUUUGAGAAUAGUCUAAAUAUUGUUAUUGUUGUUCAUUCAUGCUCAGGCUUGUGAUGCGCUCCAAAGAUCCGGGGGAAUUCAUGCGCUUAGAAGUAGAGGCCGAAGGCGCAUUUCUCGUGGAGCUCUUUGACGGUGCACAAUACUACCAGGUGGUAGUAUAGAGUAUAGGUUGUUUUUUAUAUGGGUAAAAUUGUAAUUAAUCUAGGGGCCUGUCUAUCUAGACGGGCCCGACCGCCACCACACGCACGCACGCCGCGGCGCCCGAUCACCCGGUAACGCCACGUGCUCUAUCUUUCGUGCCUGUGAAGAAUUUUCCUCAGAAGCUUUCAUCAAUGGUUUCAUUUCUCGAUCAUCUCAAAUAUACAUGUGGAUCGAGAGACGUAACGUUUUUUCUGCUUUGGUAUUCGAGAACGCAUUUAGAAUCAAUUCAGAGCCGGCCGUGCAGCCUCGUCGCAACAAGCUGGGGAAGGCUGUGCAUUGCGGCUUGAGCGUUCCAUGGUUAAGAGCUUCCUCGUGUUCACCUCGGACUCUGGCAGCGUGCAGCGGCGAGCGGAUCAGCGUUCGUCGUCGAUGGCUGGGCUCCCUCCCGGCCUCCACAUCCCUAGGCACCGUGGGCUCGCAACGUGCCGGCGUUGUUGCUGGAGCGUCUCCGGUUGUGCCGCAGCCUUGCCGACGCGCUUGGAUGGGCGCGUGAACCUGGCGGAGGCUCGAGAUCGAGCACGAUCGAUCCAAUCAUACCCCUAUACUACUCGUACUACUCAUGUAUACUACCUAUACUACAACUUAAGGUUUUAGUAGUAUACAAUUAAUCUCAACCAUCAGAUCCUUAUAUACGAGUCCUUUUCGAACAGUAGUAUAAGAUAGUAUUGUGUACCGUAAAAGAGCUCUUCUCGUGGGGGCGGUGAGCUCAAAAAAAACAUUGAUUCUCGUGGGGGCGGUGAGCUCAAAAAACAUUGAACUAAAUGCACAGGCGAACACCAAUCAGCCAAAACUUCGUCACAGGGAGGAGGAUCUGGUGCCUCGCACGACGACGACGGAUCCAAACCCAAGCACAAUGCAUAACUCAGAAAGGGGAUGAACUUGUUGAAAACGUCUACAUAGACUCCAACCUAGACACAAUAAGGUGUAUAUACCCUACGAGCGGUUCCUUGACACUGUAAACCUUAGCGAUCAUGUAAUCGGAGCAAUCCUUGCUCGAAGCAGAGCGGACGAACACACAAUAGAACCCAUCCAAUCUAUUCGAUUUACUCGUCAAGAAGAGCUAAGCUUAUCUUCCUUUUGUGCUUCUUGUUCUAUCUGUACAUUAAUAUAACAUUUUGUCCCGAAAAUCACAUUCUUCGGUUAGGAGCUACGUAACAUCUACUCGGGUAUUUUUACUUCUACACUCGAAUUUCUCAACCAUUGGAUCUGCAUCCAAUGCCUCCUUCUUUUUCUACAUUCGUUCCUCUUCUUUGGUUAAACAACAGCCCCGUGCUUCUUUCUCCUGAGUCCUGACUCGAAAAACAUCAGCCAACUUCUUCCUCGACGCCGAUGCCCCAGCCCCACGCUCCUCCACUCCACAUCACUGCGCCUUCUUUUUCCCUUCCGGAUCUCGACAAGCCAGUGUACGCAAGUAAUGGGCGCCAGCUCCGUCUCGCCUCGCACGCACAUCGAUCGACCAAAAGGGUUGAUCAUGGCCGCUGCUAGGAAGCUGUCGCCGGAGACCUUGCUGCUGCUGGUGUCAUCUGGCGGUGCGUGGUGUAGUGUAGCUCGAUCGAGUACGUGCAUCGAUCGGAGACCUGCCGCGCUGUGCGUGCGUACGUGUCAGCGAGCGAGUGUUCCGUGCACGGAACGUGCAUAUUUGGCGUAUACACAUGGUCGUGGACUUUACAGCUAGCUAGCUAGUAGCCAUAAUCUUCUACACUUACGUACGCACGUUUAUAUCCAUCCGUGUGCUGGAUGGUAUAUGGUACAACAUCGUUGUAUCGAUGCCACGCACACGUACGUACGCCUUCCAAGUUUCCGGGAAGCGGCACGUAUUGACGUGUGUACGUACGUAUAACGGAUUAAAGCGAUCGACCGGCCGUGCGUGCGCCACUUGUGCGGCCGGCCGGCCACGUUGACUCGCAGGUGCCGCAGGACCACCAACCAGCACCAGCCCCGGCCGGCACGACGACACCGGUCGCCGGCUGCGGUUAGCCGGCCGCUUGCCGGUCAAGUCCAAAAGCUCGCUCGAUCGCGUCAAGUUGCAUGAUCGGGACGCAGGCCGCAAAUUAUAAGCACACAAAUGCACAGGACCUGAUCAUGGUGAUGGUACGUGCAUGGAACCUUGCCCACGUUACAUUGCAUCCGGUCCGUCAACAGGGUUAAAAGGGGGUCGUCGUCGUCGUCGUCCAAAGCCACGGAAUCCGUGACCGGCCGGACAUCUUGCUUGUUGCCAUGAAAGAGAGAAGCAGUCUCGUUCAUGCUCCUGUCUGGUGCGCCUAAUUAUACAGUACAUGGGGAAAGAAGAAAAAACAACUAACCACGCGCGCACGUCGCCGUCGACGGUAACCGCCGCCGCGCCGGUCGAUUCCGAUCGGCCUUAUUAGUGCAGUGUUGUCUGUUGAGGACGGGUGGUGAGCGCGACGGAGAGAAGGAUGGAUGGGCCGGCGGUCGCUUUCGGUUGACACCGGAGUUAUUAAGAGCGCGCGAGGCGGAGCCCUGGUAGAUGAUCUCCUGCAGGGCUGCUCUGCUUGAGUGGCUGGCCAGCAACACGCCAUGUCGACGAGCUCCACUCCGCAAGUCAGUCAUGUUCACUCUCAGUCUCUCACAGUCAGUCUCACUCCACCGCCUUAAUGUCCUGCCCCCUGUACGCUGAGCACGACGUGCUCUUGCUCCUCCUUUUGCCCGUCGACCUCGCUCAUCAACCCCGUCCAUCUCCGGCGGUCUUCACUCUUCACACGCAUGCAGCGCGAUCGAGCUAGCUCCAGGCUCCAGCAAUCGCGGAACUGCAGCUAGGCAAGGUACCAAGAUCAGGUGAGAACAGAGUGACACAUUAGUAUGCCUAAUUACUAAUUACUGUCCGCUAACAUUGACUUUUUUGACGCUUAACCUCAGUGCGUACGUUACAUGGCAGUAACUUGUAAGUAUGGUACCUAGUAAAUAAAGUAUGCCUAUGAUCCUUGCUGUACGUUCAGCGAGUAUAGUAGGUGGUCAAGCAGAUCUAGUCUCAGCCAGAUUUUUAAAAAACAAGGAUUCAUCAAGGUACGUACUAGAGGUAGCUAGUUUCUUGCUAGAAUGCGACUCUGUUUCGCUUGCUUGCCGGUUUGGUGAGUCAAGCAAUCGGCAGGAAAGCGAAGCAAUGAUUCAGAUCCUCCAGGAAGAAACCACUAGAGACACAGAGGACCAACUGGACAAGCAAGAGAGCACAGUGAGCAACAGAUGACGCUUGCUCAAUCAGCGCUGUUCCCACGGCAACACAUGAGGGCCACAGAAAUGGUUCCCUCCUACUAAUUCCCAAACAGAGCACUACGUCACCCACUCCCAGUCCUACUCUGUCACUAAUUAAUACGCAAAAAAGGAGUAGUAUCUUUCAGUGACCAGUGCAUCGAAUGUUCACUCGCGGCCGUAGGUUGAAAGUUUCACGAAGAGUUUCAUGAGCAUUCAUUUCCAUCACAUAUUACUGACUUAACAAGAUUUACGAAGAGAGGAGGUAUUUCAUCAUAUGUGAAAGAAGUUUCAUCCUUAUGACACUCAACAAGCACAGUUACCUACUCCCUCCAUUCCAAAUUGUAGGUCAUUUAGAUUUUUCUAGGUUCAUAGAUAUUAUUAUACAUCUAGACAUACACUAUAUUUAGGUGCAUAUAAAAAACUAUGCAUCUGAAAAAGCUAAAAUGACUUAUAAUUAGAAACGGAGGGAGUAGUUACCCGUCUUGAUAACUGUGCACUGGAACUAGUUGUACAGAGAUAGAGAGAGAGGAGGAGGAGGAAAUCGUCAACGCCUUGAUGACGGAUGCCAACAGCGCACCUGCAUCAGCGGCGAGCUGGGUGUCCAACCGUGUGGACGCCUGCGGUGUAACAGCGUGGCUGGAGCAGCGCCCAAGUCAACACUCGAGCUGCAUGCCUCCGCUUCUUUAUUUCUCCCUGUCGCGAGCCCGGCCGGGGACUUGCCCUGAUAAGAUGUCAAGAAUUCAGGCCGUGCAAUUCAUCCAUCUCUCCCGGCCAAUCACUUGCCGAACCUGUUUCUUUUCUUUUUCCCAACCUUUUCCAUUCCCGAUGAUCAGCAUCAUCGCACCAAUUAGAUUAUUACUACUCCUAAUCACAGAAAUGGAGAUGCAGCGGCGCGACGGCGGCGUGCUGGCCAAGGUGAUGGAGUUCGUUUUCUCAAAAAAAGGUGAUGGAGUUCGUGGGGCGGCAGAUGGGAGGCCUGGACGCCUGGUGCAGACUGCAGACCCUGGGGCUGAUCUGAGGUGACGAACCGGCGGUCAGGAUUAAGUGAUUAACCAACCGUCCAGCGAUCCUCUUGGACAAUUUACUUUUUGGAGGAUUUCGGGUGGUUUUUUUAGCCGAUUUCCUCUGUAUAGAUUGAUGGAUUAACGCAACCUGAUCGUUGUAGCAGCGAGAUCAGAAGGGAGUUCUUGGUUCAUUUCGUUUUUGUUGGCACAGACACGUUGUCCAGCUAUUGACAAUGUAACUGGAGCAAGGCUUCUGGUAUGUCGCUUCUCUCAAGCUGUGUGUAUCACACGGGCAUCUCAUCUACAAAGAUGUUGAGUGGUCUAGGUGUUGGAUCUGAAUCGGACGGCCUCGUCGAUCCGAUGACAAUUGACUGAUCAUCACCAAGCAACUACCCAAGUGUCCUAGGCUCUCCUUAGCUCGUGGGACGUUCGGUUGCUAUGCUAAAAGUUGGAUGCGGGUCCCCAAGUGCGUCACUGUAUAUUCGGCAAGGCUAUUUAGCCGAUGCUUCUUUUCCUCUUUUUUACAAUGAAAAAUGUUCCCCCAAAAUGCUACCAGCAUUACUGCUCCAUCCAAAAAAAAGACAAUUCGAAAUGCUAGGUAAUAUGAUGUCAGGUCUAAAAAGAUCAGAGCCGGGCCCCUCGAAGCUGUGCUUUUCAGGAUUCUGGGCAUGCUUAGCUGCAACCUCAUCUGGGAACCACCUACAGUUUCCACUUGUAGUUUAUUUCAAAUAUUAUAAAUAUUUAAUCAUCAUCAGUUGCUUGCUCAAUUAUUUGAGAGAGAUUCCUACCGAUCCAAUUCCAGAGUUCCAUGUUGCUUUCCCCUAGGAUUUGUUCGUCCUGCUCUUGCAAACUGCCUGGCUUUUCAGUUUCUUUAUUAGAUGUAUCUGCUGGGACUAAAAUAUUAGGGAAUGCAGCUCAUGAACCUGUGUGAGCAGGCCAAAACAUUAGCAGAUUGCAACUGGGAUUGAUCCCCCCCCCCCCCCCCCAAAUCACCAACCACGCAGCCGCAUUUUUAUUAAAAUUUGACAAUAGAUGAGACAAAAUUGUAGGUUGCCUAGUGUGGUUUUGCUUCCAACAUUUAAAGGAUGAUGUUAAUAUUUCUCAAAAUUGAUGUUCUUGAACAAUUAUGGCCAAAAUUAAAGCAAUUGUUUGCUCUAGCGCAUGGAUAGUACAUUAAACCUCCCCAACUCUCACUCUCCAAAGAAAUCUGCCAAUUCCUUAUACAGAAUUGUUUUUUUUCUGAACUGCGCAACUUGUUAUCAUAAAUAAUUCAAAAUAAAUAUGGAUGCCUUAAAUUGGUACAUAAGAAAACACAUAUACCUUUAGUGGAUUAUCACAAUAAGAAAUAUAUGUACUCCAUGAUCCAUGUGUUCAUGAAUAUAUUAUGCUUUGGGUCAUAGACUUAUCGAACUAUCAUAUUAAAAAUGCAGAGUCUUUAGCACUUAAUAUUUACCUUGAAAAUGCGGGUAAUAUUCCUAGUACUUUUCUUAACAAUGCGGUAUUUUUAAUGCCAUAGUCUAGUACCAAUACUUUUUAAAAAAUAAAAUCGAAUAGCAUUAACAACAGAGUACCUUGUAUCGGAAUCAUACACCAAAACAUCAGCCCCUGGCAGCCACAUAGGUUCCUUUCUUUCGUGAUCGACGUGGUAAUUGACCUGGCAGGAUGAUAUUUGACACAAGAACGACCUGUCUGCACCAAACCAAGCUCAACAUAUUAACUAGCAAACGACAAAACAAGUUGUCAGUAUUUAACUCCACACCUACCAACAGAUCCUACGGUCAUGUCAGAAUAUUUCGUUUCUGAUCUUGCCUCGUAUGCUAAUCUGAUAUCCUGCAUAAAUAUCAUGAACUUAAAGGUUUGGAUUCCAAGUUUCCAACACAUGAACCCCCAAAUAACCAAGAUAUCUUUCUGCGUUCCAAACGGGAUUUAUAAAAAGACUUCAAAUUAAAAUGCCAUCUCGAGUCGCCAUUUAGCUCCAUAAACGUAAAAGUUUUUUUUCUGAAUACGCAAAAGAGUUACGUAUCUUUCGAUUAAGAAGAAGGUCAAAGUUUCGUACAACGCGGGUCUACAGGGCGCACGCACAUGGCUAGGGAAUGUUAGGUGAUUACAUGAUGGAAUUUACAACCGAAAAGCGCGUAAACCUAGGUACUAAUACACUAGGUCGUACGCUGCAUUGCCGCUUGUAGUGGCCAACCUACAGAACAAAGGUGCUUUGCUCCUGCAGAGCACCAGUAGGCUGCCUGCUCCUUGACGUCUGUCAUGAGCUGUGCUGGUUGCUUGGGGCUGCUUCUUGUGAACACUCGGUCGUUAACGUUGCUUCCAAACCGUCCAUAAAACCAAUAUGUAUGUAGAGUCCAUCCCUUUCUUCUUCGGCUUGGCGAGCCUCCUGCACUUCUGAAUCCAAUCAUCCACCAUGCUUAUCCCUUGAACUGGCGCCUAAUGAGGAAUGCGCGGUAGGGAGCAGAUAGCAUGCCAAAUUUGUUGCGUGUAUGAGCAGUGUGAGAACAGGUGAUCUGUUGUUUCUGCUUCCUGAUCGCAUAAACGCAAAAGUGACAUUUAACUGGGACUGCGAGCCUGACGGCUUUCAUCUUAACGAAGCCAUUGGAGGAUUAGCACCGUAAUCAAGAAGAACCUUUGUGUCCAUACACGUAGGCAUGGACAGGACGUUAGCAUAUCCAACUGAACGCAAAAUCUGAACUGAACCAGAUCACGCGACCAGCGAGGACCGCGUCCUGUUCGAUGCUCAGGAUCUCGGAGGCAUCCGUGCCACGAUCCUGGCGCGGCAUGCUUGAUUGAGCAGGACAGAAUCUUGCGAUCCCAGCUAGCUCUGCAGGAAAUGCCUCCUAAACAAUGCAAUCUGACCUCUUCACUGCUCAUCAUCUGGAGUUCAGUUCAGCUACUUCGCUUUUUGUAGUACCCCCUUGCCAGCACAACUCCAUAUCCUUUGAGCUAUCCAAGUCACAUCGCCAAUGCAAAUCUUUUUAAAAUUUGAAAAUAAAAAAACUUGAGAUAAUUUUGGAGUUGAUAUGAAUAUCAGCAGGGAUUGCAAUUCCCGACGCGUUUUUGAACUAGAGAACUAGCAGUGGACAGCUACUGUAAGCAUGGCGGCAUGGGGCAUUCUCGUUUUGCUAUGUUGCAGGUGAACUUUUCAGCUUGCAAAGUUGCAAUCCAGCUGCACAUACAGUUGUACGCGGUGUGACCUGCACUCGCAUUCAAGAAGUUCAACAACCACUACUCGAUCGGGCAAUGAUAAGGCUACGAAAACAGGGUAUAGAUCCUCGCCGCCCAUAAUUCCAUAUGCAGCCAUGGCAGUCAAUGGAACGGCAGAAGAAACCAAAAAAGAGUCAGGCAUUCAGCUGGACUGACAACACCACGGCGAAUGGAUAUUUCGGUGUUCUGUUACAGUCAUCGCAGCAGUGUCGAUCCCAAACGUCCAGUUAGAUCUCUGUCAGCCGUGAAUCAGCGACGUACACGUCCCUGUCAGCGAGGUUUACGGCGGCCGCGGUCGGUUUCCGGCGAGAGCGGGCCAAGCAAGAACCAACCCCUGCGCAUGAUUGCGCGCGCGGGUCGGCGUCGUCGUCGUCGUCGUCAUCAGCCAAUCACCCCCCACCCCACACAUGGGGGAUCAGAUUCGAGGCCGACGGAAGCGCGGCAAUCAAUGGGGAUCCUUUUCGGGACGCGACGGGGUCUCGGCGAUCUGGACGGCCAAUAGCCGGCCAGGUCUGCGCGUAGGUAGCUGCUCCGGCGACGGCGACGGCUCCGACAGUAGAGCAACUGUUCACUCUCGCUCUCACUCGAACGACGCAUCCUCCCGUCACCCUCAGCUCCCCAUCGCCAUUGCCCCAAUUACGGCGAGCUACAGGGACAUGGCCGGCCGUUCCUUUCGCCUCCGAUCUUCCACGGAAAGCCGCAAGGUAUAUACGGCUGUUGUUCUGUGAAAUUACUGUCUGUGAGUGAUGCGGCCCCACGACCGUUUAAACCAACUAACCGAUGCCUUCUGGAGUACAGGGACGGAUCCCCAACCGAGAAUGACUGUUUUACUGUGGCGCUAGCAGCGGUGAUGGUGAUCACGAACUCCAGCGAGAUGAGCUGAGCUGAGCUGAGCUGAGCCAUGCUUAUCACGCAAUGCCGCGAGCAGGAGCACGAGCAGCGCAUGCGCGGAUAGUUCAUCCUUGCGUGUGUUGCCAUUUUUUUCGAUGUGAUCGAAAAGGUGAAAUGGUCGUCGUGGCAGCAGCCGGCCACCGGCGAAAGAAAGUUGAACGACUGCAACUGCAACCGAGAAAGGAACGAAGCAACCGGAGCAUCAGCGACUUGCAAAGUUAUUAUGCGAUCGAGGCCGGAAAGCGCCGACGACCACCGGCGCGUGCGACGCGGCCGGAUGUUGGGUGUCAGGGCGGUGCGCGGGGGGGGCGGCGGCGUGUCUUUCUCCGGCCGAUGCCUACGCCGUAACCACGACAAUGCCGCCGGCCGGGAGACCCAGGGGCCACCUACAUGUGCAUCAACCGACAUCCUAUAGAAUUAUAGAUGCAAUCCAUCGAUCAGUUGUGCUCUCACCAAAGAGGUAUUUCUUCUUCUUGCAAAACAUAAUAGUUGGCUUUUUGGUAACGUGUCGGUCGCUAAGUCGCUGAAAUAUAAUUGACUGAAGAAGAUACAUGUAAACAGAAGAAGCAAUACAAUGCAAGUCCGAUGGGUAGAUGUGAUGUACAUCUGAUCCGGAUGUAUGGUUCGGGGGUCCUUUUCGCUCCGCUUUUCGAGAGCAAAUGAAGCUCACAUCACCGACCAACCCCAAUGAAAGCCCCCAAAAGCGAGCGAGCCAAGGAAGAAUUAGCGGCCACGUACCUACGUGAGACGAUGGUGUGUCAUGCUAGAUCCGCAAUCAAUUAACAUAUCGUCGUUAUGGGGGGCAUGGAGCGCGCGGGGGCCAUAUACAUGGCCUCCGUUCGUGCACGUAGGGUCGCAAGGACGAGCAGGGUCAUGGGCUAGCUCACUUGGUGUUGUGCUGAUGCCGUGGAUUAUUGAUUGCCCAAUUGGCCGCGUAGGAAACCGUCUCCAUCGCCUGCUUCAAUACGCUUCACUUCAACUUCGUCGUCGUCGUGCGUCGUGCUCCUCAAACUUUUAACACUAACAGCCGCCCGCUGCAGGCCCAUGCACAGGGCCCAUUGCUUUAGUACGCCUCCUUUUUGCGUCGACGGGUGUGGGCCCAACAUUUUGUUUUGGGGAUUAAAAGGAAAUACAUAGCAGAGAUUGUUUCCCUAUUUUUUUUCUUUGAAAAAUAUACACCAUUCGCAUAAAAAUUAUCCUUGACGUUUAGUGUGGCACCUCAUUGGCAGGGAAGCCGAUACCUAUUUAUUAUUAUUUUUUUAUUCCGAAUCCAUUUAAUUUGCUCCCACGGGAAGUCGAACCUAAACCUGUUGAGUGUUACUCAAGUGCUCUAACCGCUAGGCUAGAUAUCCUUUCACAUACCUCCUUAUUUUGAAAUUAAAAUAAUUUAACUUUUUUAUUUGGCACUUGUUGAACUUUCAUUUCUUAUCUUGACACUUCCGUCUAUUCUGCAAGUUAACUUGUGCGAACAAUAACGAUUCUCUCCCCUCUUUUCCUGACCAAAGCAACGUUCAAAUUACCUCCAAAAUCCAUGAAACUUUUUUAUACGAUAGAUGAAGAUAAAUCCAUUUUGCAUAAAAAUACAUAUGUAGAAAUUCACAGAAAAAGGCCAUCUUUGAAGAAUAUCCAAAUUUUUAGGGCACAAACAUCCUUCAAAAAAUUAUAGAAAAAUACCUAAUAUUCCUAUUUUGGAUGAAGUAAUUUAAAAAAUUAUUUUAUACCAUAAGUUUUGAAGAGAAUUUUGAACUUCUUCAACAAAAACAAAUUUUAAGUUCUUUAACAAAAUUGAAUUUCUAAAAUAACUUCAAAUUCAUUGAGUAACUUGUGAUUGAAAAUAAUUUUAUAAAUUACUUCACCCCAUGAAAGUUAUAUUACAAAAUUUCCAUAUUUUUUGGAAAGUAAGGUUGUUCCCUAAAAAUUUAGACAAUCUUCAAAAGUAGCUUAUCUUGGUGGAUCUCAGCUUUAAGCUUUCAAAUGCCUCAUAUGUGUUUUUUUAUGUAAAAUGAGUUCAUUUCCAAAUGUUGUAUAACUAUAAAAAGUUUUGUGAUUUUUGGAGGUGAUUUAAAUGUCGUUUUGGUCAACAAAAGAGUGGUUAUUGUUCACACAAGUUAACUGGCAUAAUGCACUGAAGUGUCAAAUGAGCAAUAAAGGUUCAUGCCAUUGUCAAAUAAGAAAGUUCAAACUUUUCAAUGUCAAAUAAGAAAGUUUCUACUUUCUAAUUAUCAAAUAGAGAAUUUUCUCUUAAUUUUUAAGUGACCAUAUGAUCACAGUUUCUUAAGGUUUUUAUGUUAGGGCUGGGGUUUUUUAGGGUUUCACAUGUAUAUGACAUUAUGACCAUAUGAGAACACACGCUCUUUUCAUCCAGUGUGUAUGCACAUGAAAUUUGUCAUUUUAUAUGAAUUAAACUUGAAUGAGUUUGAACUUCAACUUUUGCAUGGAUGCAUAGCAUAGUCUUAGGUGUACAUGUACGAAGAUUGUUUUUCCAAAACUUCUAUGUUUAUAUACUUUUGAGAUGAAUUUGCAAAUUUUCAAUAUUCACAGUGUUUUCACCAUAUAUGCACUUGAGGAUGGGGAGGUCCAUGCAUGGAAGAGAUAGAUACAGAAAGGAGGAGGGAGGCCAACCAAGGGUGCCCAUGCCACUAUCACUAGAUGUUGUUGUAACCUCGGUAGCUACUAUCCUCUGUGAUGCCCUAUUGCUCGUUGUUUCUCUUUGCACUCUUUGCACUCCCACUAUCAACCUCCACCUCAAAUGAGUCAAUGUCAUAUGCUGGACAAUGAAAGCUUAGAGUUGAAGCGAACCCUGCACGACACCCUCUAGAGGUGUAGCACCUCCACCAACGCACCGGCACUACUAACCCCUCUUCUAUGGCACGAUCUUUAGUGUGUGUUUGGGUACGACAUGUUUGGUUGUAGAGAAGUUGAACUAAGGGGGUGUUUGGAUACUAGGUGCUAAACUUUAGCAGCGUCACAUCGGAUGUUCGGAUGCUAAUUAGGAGGACUAAACACGAACUAAUUAUAAAACUAAUUGCAAAACCCUGUGCUAAUUCGAGAGACGAAUCUAUUAAGCCUAAUUAACCCAUCAUUAGCAAAUGGUUACUGUAGCACCACAUUAUAAAAUCAUGGAAUAAUUAGGCUUAAUAGAUUUGUCUCGCGAAUUAUACUCCAUCUGUGCAAUUAGUUUUGUAAUUAGACUAUGUUUAAUACUUCUAAUUAGCAUCAAACAUCCGAUGUGACAGGUGCUAAACUUUAGCAUUGAGUAUCCAAACGGGGCCUAAAUGUCCAAUGUCCUUGUAGAGCGGAUGCCAGUCAACUAAACAAUUUUGCAUUGUGUGAGGUUAGGCUCUAGUACUAUAAUUUAAUUUAGACAUGUGCUAGAUGGGUGUGCUUGUGUGCGUCCAGUUUGUACUUGAGAAAAGGACCCUAUCUUAUAGGUGCACGAGCUCUAGCUUCUGAAAAGGUUAGUUUUGUUUGUUACACAUGGAAAAUUUGGAUGUAAAAUGUGAAGAAUGUACCAUAGAUGAUCUGCAUGAAUAGUAAACGUGCAUAAAAACAUGGUAGUAGGAUUUCUUGUACGUGUUAAUUAAAUCUAUACCCAGUUUUUUUUACUUUAAAUUAAAAAAUCCCCUGGAACUUAUGAAUUGUCCAGAUAAGCGUUAAUAAGUUUCUAAUAGUGGAAAGUUUGUCAAAAUUCAUAGCAAAAAAUUUGCAAAUCUGAUUAUUGCGUUGAAAGUUUGAAGGUUUAUUUUUUUUCAAGUUGAGUGUAUUGAGUUAAAUUCGUGGUUCCUGUUUUUUUUUUGACAAAUCCGAUUAUUGCGUUGAAAAUUUGAAGGUUUAUUUUUUCAAGUUGAGUUGUAUUGAGUUAAAUUUGAGGUUCUUGUUUAUUAUAUUGAAAGAUUUACAUGGGUUGCUGUCCACGGUCUUUUAUAGACCCAUAUUGCUCUCCAUAGUUUGGCAACCUAAUGGGGUAUGCUAGACAGAGAGAUGAGAGAUCUUGAAGCGGGACUCUGACGACCGUUGCUGGGACGUCAUCAACGUGCACGGGCGCCUACCAGCUGUCAGCUCUGGCCCUUGUCAUGGCUGGUGCCAUCCUUCUCCUCGACGUGGCUCAGCAAGGGGAAGGCACGCGUGUCCGUGCUCAAUUCAAAACGCACUAUAUAUACAUGCGCGCCCGAUCUCCCGGGACAGUACCAAUCCGUGCACGAACAAAUGGCAUCCACAGCCACGAUCCAACCGCGAUGCUCCCUUCACCAGGCCACGAGCACCCGCCGUCGUAAACCGUGCCGCGCUCGAGUCGCCGCCGCCGCCACAGUGUGCACGGCGACGAUGGCCGCCGCCGCCGAGAGGACGUGCGCGCCGGCCGCCGCGGUGGCGAGGACAAGCACGCGGAGGACGGCAUCCGUUGCGAGCAUGUGGAGGCAGGUCCAGGGGUCCCACGACUGGGACGGCCUGCUCCAGCCGCUGCACCCCGUGGUGCGCGACGAGGUGGCGCGCUACGGCGAGCUCGUCGGCGCCUGCUACAAGGUCCUGGACGUGGACCCGUCGUCGCCGCGGCACAUGUGCUGCAAGCACGACAAGGAGAGCGUUCUCGAGGAGGCCGGUGCGGCCGGGGCAGGGUACGAGGUGACGCGGUACAUCUACGCCACGCCCGACGUCGCCGGGCCGCCGUCCACAAGCGGCCGCUCCAGCUGGGUCGGGUACGUCGCCGUGUCCACCGACGAGAUGACACUGCGGCUCGGCCGGCGCGACGUCCUCGUCUCCCUCCGCGGCACGGUGACGCAGGCGGAGUGGGCGGCCAACCUCAUGAGCGCGCUCGAGCCGGCGCGCCUCGACGACGCGCGCGGCGCGCACCCGGGCGUCAAGGUCGAGUCGGGCUUCCUCAACCUCUACACCUCCUCGGCCGACAAGGCGGCGUGCCGGUCCUCCGUCGGCGGCAUGGGGAGCUGCCGGGACCAGCUCCUCCGCGAGGUGUCCCGCCUCGUCACGUCCUUCUCCAAGGACCACCCCGACGAGGACAUGAGCGUCACCCUGGCUGGCCACAGCAUGGGCAGCGCCCUCGCGAUGCUGCUCGGCUACGACCUCGCCGAGCUCGGCCUCAACCGCGACGCGUCCGGGCGCCGCGUGCCCGUCACCGUCUUCUCCUACGGCGGGCCCCGUGUCGGCAACGCGGCGUUCAAGGACCGGUGCGACGAGCUCGGCGUGAAGGUGUUGCGCGUCGCCAACGUCCGCGACCCGGUGACCAUGCUCCCGGGUGCCAUCCUCAACGAGGGCACGAGGGGAUUCCUCGCCGGCUGGGCCGGCGACUGCUACACGCACGUCGGCGUGGAGCUGGCCAUGGACUUCCUCCGCCUCCGGGACCCGGCGAGCGUGCAUGACCUCGGCGCGUACGUGUCGUCGAUCAAGGCGGAAACUUGCGGCAAGGCGCCGAAUGCGGCGGCGGACGGCGGCCGAGGCGGCGUUUUCGCCAGGGCGAUGGAGUUCGUCGAGGGACAGCGCGCCGCCGCGUCCGCGUGGAAGGAGGCCGCCCUGCAAAUGGGCGGCUUGGUGCAGACGCUGCGCAUGAUCUGACGGCUUAGGAGUUUGUCAUUUUUGCUGGCCACUGAUUGUUGACCCUCUUGUCAAUUUUUAUUAGGGUUAAUAAUCAGUUAGUCAGAGUCACGUCCCUUUUUGCCAUUUUGUCUGGCUGUAGUAGUAUUUUUGUGAGAAGCAGAGUUUCUCCUUUUUUGUUGGAAGAAAGAAUGGACAUGCUUCUUCCAUGUAAAUACACUACACAGCCGGCAAGAUGGGUUUUCAGUUUUCACAUGUCUGAUUCAAAAAUUGAAUGUUUGUUAUAACUUUGGUUAUGUUCGACCAAAAUGUUAGCCAAAAUUAAAACCCCAUUCGGAACAAAAUCGUCUAAAAACAAAACUUGCAUGGCGCUCUUACCCAGCUAUUAAAAAUGGCAGUUUUAUUUUAUAUAUCCCAGGUACAUGAAAAAUGAUGUAAGGCAACCAAAAUCUUUUCAACAUAGCCAACUAGCCCGACAUAGAGCGGCCAGAUGUAAGAUUUUUUCCCUAAAUGCAAGACAUGCAUUUCCAUGCCAACAUCCUUCUGUGGCCUUCUCAUCUGGGAUGCUGGGCAGAGCUUUGCAUGAUAGGUACUCCAGGUUGGCAGCUUUCGGCUAACUGCAAAAACACAACGAGAAGUGAGCACCAGAGCCCCCACUCACGCAGACUACAUCAACAUCACCUCCCCCCAAACAUGCCUCUCAUUCUUAUCGGCCAUGGAAUGGAUGGGUGACGCCGUGACGGUGGCGGCGUCUCCUCCACCUCCAUCCUUGUUUCGGAGUUCAGUUGGGCCAGUGUUUUUCGAACCUGCCGUGGUUAGCCAAGUAGAAUUUGUGAUGAAUCAUUCAUCUUUCCAAUAACACACACCAUGCCAGUUUUGCUUGCCGUUGUAGGGAAGACAAUGCGGUUUCGACUUUCGAGUUUCCUCUUGCGUAAGAUCAAGUUCGUUAUUCAGGAACUAUUCAGAGCAAGUCCCAGCAGAUGUUCCCGUUGCCGCUGUGCUGUGUUCGUCAGUGCCAGUGUCAACACCAUCUCCAUGUCCACAGGGCAGAGCCCCCAAACUGGCCGGCCUGAUGGAGAUGUCAACUGUCUGAGGCGCCUUCUUACUUCAUAGCUCAUGGAUCAUAGAUGCACACAUCACGCGGCGUCCUCGGCAGGAAGGAUCCAGCCACUAACCAUUCGCGCGUGGUAGUGUACCAGUUCGAAUUGGCUGAUGAAACUGAAAGGCUCCGGUUUGGUUACCCUGCUUUUGCCAGGAACGGCAACCCGCAACAGAGGAUGGAAGGGCAGGGGCGUGGCUCGGGUUCAGUAGCGCGCAGCGUCACUGUCGAGAUCUGGCUGCUCCUCCGUGUCGUCGUGGCGGACUUUGCGAAUGCAACGCCAGCGCUUUCAUUUGCUCCGAGUCUCCGAUUCCUUUCUCGCGCCAUGGCGGUGUUCGUUGGAAGCUCGUAGCGGAGCGGGACCUGGAGCUCGAAGAAGGUUACGUGUUGGAGUACCUCGCGGCGGCGAGGAAAUGGCGAAAGGCAGCGGUUCACUUGCCGGUUCUUGUGGACCAGAUGGCCAAACGGGCGGCCCAUCUCGGCCUGUCACGAGCCCAAUUAGGCCCAGCCUGCUUAGGUCCGGCCUAUUUAGGCCCGCACAGUAAUCGUGCCAGGCCAGGCCGGCCCACGUGCCGAAGGAGCAGCCCAGGUCCGGCCUGCUGCCUUCUUAGGAAGGCCGUGCCGACCCGCUGGCCCGGUGGGCCUUAAUAGGCUCGUCGUGCCCAUGCCAGCCCGCAGCACGGCUCCGGCUCCUCUUUUCCCCGCCACGGCUGAGUAGUGGCCCAGGGCCGGCCCGUGGUGUAGGCCGGGUCGGCCCAGCCUACAAGGCCUUCGUGCCUGGAUCGGGCCAAAAUGCCGUGCCGUGGGUCAGCCCAUGGGCCGCGGGUCAAAUGGUCAUCUAUACUUGUGGCGGUGCUCUCCGCCGAACAUCUGGUGGGUCGGAACGGCAGGAGCUCUGCUUUGGCCAGACUACUCUGUCUCUAUUGGUAGGGACGGUUGGAACGUGCAGAGAGGCAAGCAGAGAGAGCGCAGCGGAGGGCGGAGGCGGUGUUUUACUGGGCUUUAGCUUCCUUGGUUGUUCAAGGCCCAGCCCGCCGGAUAUUUUGCCUGGACAACAGCGAAGACUUCAUGGGCCUCGAAGGCCGAGAACGUUGGGCUUUGAAUCUUUUGGGUGUGGCAGGGCCACAGCCCAAACAAAAACCAAGUCGUCACGGAAGUACUUGCUCCACCGGAUCAGCACCGGCUGAGAGUUUGAGCCGACAUGCUUCUUACAUAUAGAAAAAGCUGAGCUGACUUUCAGGUUUCAAAAUAAAGCUAUCAAUUGUCAACCUCAGGAACCGACGGAACUACACGUACCUGCGCCCUUUGACCUCGAGACAGUUGACUUUGAACAGCAAACGCUUUUCUUUCCAUGGAGGAGACGACGACUUUUGAGCAAAGUAUAAAAAUCUUCUGUCAAAUUCAUGAGCUUUGAACUCCAUAAAUAACCCCCAGUCUAGCUAGCUCCAGCCCGCCAUCUCUCUAAAAUCUAACAAAGGCCGUUGGCCGUGAUGCUGCCUACGUGGCUGGCGGCGCGCGCCAGGAGCCCACGAUAAUCAAUCGCUCCAACGAAAUGCUGAACCACCACCAAAAGGCGCCACCGAUAAUUGCUUGGCGCCAUGCCAACUUGCUCGUGCAUACAUGCUCGCCGCCCGUGAUCAAGUUGCCAGGUGCAGGUGCGGCUAGCGCCUCUCCCCGAUCGCCGGAUUCCGUGCCGCGGCACAUGCGCCCGCCCGGCCAUCCAGGCAGGGGAUCCAGCAACUUGCCCCGGUUGCGCCAGGGAAAGCCGAGCGAGAGAGCGACCACUACACCGCGCCCGGCCGCCCUCGCGGCAGCACGGGGAUGGAGGAGCUCCAGUGCUCAACUUGGCUCGUUUGGUAGAACGUGGUUCUAGCUGAAAUAGUUGUGGUCGUGAAUUUUUUGAAGCAGUUUUUUUUUCCUCCAGCUUAUCAGGUUGAAAAAAUGAAAUAGUUGUGGCCGUGAUUUUUUUGAAGCAGUUUUUUUUUCCUCCAGCUUAUCAGGUUGAAAAAAUGUUUAACAAAAUAGUUUCUCCUAGUUGUUUAAAAUAGGUAAAAAUUGAAAUGUCCAUUAUACCCUUCUCUUUUUUUCUCUCUUUUCUUUUUUCCUUUUCUUUUUUUCCCAUCCCAUUCUUUUUCUCACUCUUUUUUGUUCGCCUAUGCCUUAUCCAUUCCACCUCCCCAUCCUUUUUCCACGCCACCCUCCCUCCCUACGGCCGCACUGCUGUUGCUCCCCGCUGGCUGUCCACCUCCCCGCACCCACCGGCCAUCUCCCCAGCGCCAACCGGCCCCAAGGCAUCCCCUGCGGUGGCCUCGCGCUGGAGCUCGAUGCCGCCAAGCAGCAGGUCGACGCCGCUGGGCAACAGGUCGAGGCUGCCAAGGCUACAAUGGCUACGGAACUGCUCCGGCGAGUCAUCGGAGGCCGUUGUCACGCCCCCGCCGCACCAUCACCUCCCUCAGUCUUGCCCUCUGUGUUGGCCAUCCUCCGUCGUGAGCCAUGGUGGGCAAAAGGAUCGAAUGCCCCCGCGACCGAGGAUGAAGCCACGGGGAGCCUAUUUUUUCGACUUCUCCUCCACCGAAAUGCUUCAAAGAGCGGAUUUCGCGAAGCUCUUCGACCGGAGCCAUUUUGCUCCUACCCCUUUGGUAGAACUUCACCAGAAGCUGGUAAAGGUGUGGAUGGUGAAUCCCUGCCAAAGGAGACUUAGUACAUUAACUAGUGUUGUGUGUACUUGUAGAUCGUUCUGGGAAACUGAUUUUAAAAGAGGGCCCCUUCCACCUAGUCUUGAGCCGGUCUCCGUGCCAAUUUGGGGCGCUGAACAAGUUUUAAAAUCUUUUUUCCGAAACAUUGUCACGAGCUUUGCAGGAGAUAAGAAGUUUGAACAUAGUUUUACAUAGAAAUUACAUGAAAAUAAUCAAAAAGUUUUAAAAUCUGCGAGCAUCACGAUCAAGGCCUUCCUUUUUAUUGUUAUACGAUGCCAGUUUAAUCCGGUUCUCCAGUCGUUGAUGCUGGCAAGUUGCAAACCAAAGGCGGCAGGCGCCCCAGUUUUGCUGCAGUUCCUUUCAAACAAAGCACGCAGUACGUGGUUUUCCCUCCCUCUUGGUGGCUAGAGCCGUCUCCCUCCAUACGACUUGGGACAAAUGACUGCACAAACUGUCCAAAAGUUUGCUUUUCUUUGUACUGGACAAGCGACUUAGAAAGUUUAGGAUAUGUUUGGUUCUUAGGCACCACGUGUUGCCCCAAUGAAUGCAACAUCGCCGUGCUGCAAUAUCAAGGCAAAGUUUGACUGAAUGGGAUACAUGCCACAAACGGUGCCAUAAUUCAUUUUCGUGCCACAUAUAGGUCCCACUAUGCGUCAGCCAUACAAAGAAAAUAUGUGCUAAAGGUUGGGCUAGCUAAGAGCAUAACGUUUGACCAGGUUUUGCAAAGGCAAAAUUGCGCCACAUAUCGGCAACGCGCGGCUCUGAACCCCCCACCCAGUCCAUCAGUAGAAACUUGCCCACGUGCACGCCGUCAUAUACCUUGAAACGAUGCCAUCACUAGAUUUAACAACAGGUGUGUUGGCAACUUGGCAUGCUGGGCACUUUUAAACUAGGGCCGGUGGCCAUGAGCUUCAGCCUUCAUAUGCCGCUCUGUCUCUGUCUCUGCCUCCGAGGCCGGCCGGCAGCCGCGCCGUCGUGCGCGUGUACCUUUUUCCCCUCACAUGGCCACAUGGGAGUGGUGGGGUGGCAAAGUGAUCGAUCAGGCCCCGGUGUCGUGCGCAGGGUGCUCCGUGUGGAAGAAACACAAAUCAACAAAAGUUAAGCUGGGAACAUGCAUGGCCGCAGGGGGAUCGUCUCGUCAGAUAAAGGAAUUGACAGUGGAAAUCAUUAUAUUAUUUUCCCUCACAACCACGGAAUAUAUAUAGUAUAUAGAUAGGCUUGGGUACGGAAUAACUUAUUCCGUAUCCGAGAGUUCAAGGAUUGAGACCUGGCACUAGAAAAGCAGCAUAAAAGCAUAGUAGUAGUAUAUCUGAUCCAGAUGAGGGAGCCGACAGCAGCUCGGCAUGCAGUCCGGUCAUUACCUAACCCGGCUUAACCUUAUCGUGAUGCAAGGGGCGGCGAACACACAGGAAUUAACAACUGGUAUACGGUUGCCUGUGCUGAAAAGAUAGCUAUUACAUGCAUGCACGCACCGGAAUCAUCAACCGUCGUCAGCAUUCUUCCCCCUUCCCUAGCUAUAGAUAGCUAGUCCGAUCCUCCAGUCUAGUCUAGAGUCUAGACUCACCGGACCAGACAGAAGAAAGGUUAGCCCGCAAAAAUGGACGGUUUUCGCAUGACUUCAACGACAGAAUUUAAAGUGCUUGACGAGACAGGAAUGUAUCAAGAAGAUGUCUGACGAAUGGCGCACCCACCCCAACUCCGCAACACGCUAAUGUAGAGUAUCUCGUGAUCUCAUCUGCUCCCGGCCAUGAGCCCAUGAAUCCCUGCUAGGCAACGCAUGCGCAUCGGGUUGGAUUCCGGGAAUCUAUAUCAAUAUACCAUUUCACACUUUCAGAGCUGAAUAGCGACAGGGUGUAAAGGCCAAAAGAUGUGCCCCGGGGAGGGGGGAGGGGGAAGAAAGGAAGGAGGUAAAAAAAAAAAAAGGCAGUUGGGUGAUGUGGCAGCGGAGAGGUACGUCGGUAGGUACCCACUCCCACAAUUCCGCCGGUGGCAGGGGGUGGAGGCAGCUAUAACCAUUUCAACCGACUAUAAGUUGGAGUAUUUUUUUUAUUAUUUUGUUUUCGUGUAAUUUUUUCUCCUAUUUAAAAAAAUAAAGUUAAAUUGGAAGCACUAAAUAUUCAAAUAUGUCACUAUUAGUUGCAAUAUGAAACUUCCUAAUUUGAGAGAGGUAGAGUGCUUCAAGGAAAUAAUUGAAAUUGAAUUAACUCCGGACCAUUAAAUACAUAGCUAUUUCUAGCGAAAUUACAACGGAUAAAAACGAAAUUCAUGCACAACAUACGAACACCAACGACUCUAGACUGAACAAUUAAUUAUAGAUUGCAGUGGCAUGUGUUGCACGGAUGUUAUCCUAAACAUGUGCUGUUGCUAAACCUAACAUGCCUUAGGUAAUUGAAAUAGCUGGGGAUAGAGCUAUCUCUACUUUCUAGUAGAACUGGUUUUGCGAAAGCUGGGAGGCCCAGCCUCAUAGUAGCCAGCACCCCCAGAAGAAGGCGGAGACAGUGGGCGAUCCUUAUUGUGGUGGUAGGGGCACUUGCACCAUGAAUCGGUACAAAUCAAGUGACCUGCGAUGUUAACCGCCCAAGGAUUUGCAUCAACUUCGGAUUAAAGAUCCUCCACCCUACACUCAAGGUCAAAGAUCUUGCACUUGAGGUAGUGGAUGUACUCUUGGGUUGGCUCAGGAAGUGGAGGAUCGACCCACUUCGCAUAGCGGCAGUUUCCUUCAUCGAGAUAAGAUUGAACAUGAUGUUAGUUUGUAGCACGAAAAACUUAGCAAGAGUAAGGAAGUAAUAACUUGACUCACCAGGCCAUACGGGCAUAUAGAGAAACGCCGGCUUCCAUCACCGUAGCCAUCAAAUAGCUACACGACGCAAGACAUGCCAUGAUGACACAUUGGCCACGUAUCAUGGCGGUCAUCAUAAGGCCUAAUGCAGUUUGGAGGGGUGUAGUUAGCCUUGUCAUACAGAGGGAAGUCGUCGAGGGAUGCCUCAUACUCCGUUGGGCUAAAAGAACCUGACCAAGUGAUGGUGGGAAUAGGAGCAACCCCUCCUCUUCCUCUGCUCCCACGACCUCUUCCCUUUGCGGAUGCCAUUGUUCUUCCUCCUACUCAGUGGUGUGGAAGGAUACGGGAGAGGGAGGUCCAUAUAAGGAGUGUUGAGAUGGAGAUGCAUUGUGCCCCAUGUGUUCAGUACCCCAUCAUGUUCAAUCAUCUUGAAAAAGGUUAGAUAUAGGCUUUGCAGGUGCAUGAAUGUAGGGCUCAAUGUCGAGUCCCAUCUGCCCGAGAAGGCUCAUAUUUAGGGUCCUUGCAGUCUACUGUGUAUGUUUUUCAGUGACGGUUCACGCCAACAAUAGAUUAGCACUAUUUGAGUACUAUACUGGCAGUUGAGUAGUAUAAUGGCAAUAGUGUGGAAUCUGAGUACUUGAAGCAUGGAGGUGAAAUUUUAUCACAUUACAAUUUACUAGACAUGAGUUAUUUGAAAUACAACAUAAAUGAAAUAUUACAGGAUAUAGAAUUAUUAAAAUGUCUUAAUAUUACAACUUAGUUUUCAGUCCACAAUAUAAGAAUUAUAGGAGUCUCUCCACAUAGACCAAACAUGACGAAUUACAUUACAAAUUACUAAGUUGACAAAAAGUAGGAGUUCAUAAACAUACAACACACACUACUAGUGCUGCAUACAUUAAUCACAGAAGCCCGUCAUUGUUCCUCGUGCACAACGACCCCAACCACGUGCUGGAGCAUUUGUGUCACUUGUUGAUUGUUCAGCUUGGUUACUCCCACCUCCAUAUGUCAUUGCAGGGUACUUCUUGUACGUGUGACAUGUUUCAUGGCACUUCGAGCAGAGGCGCACUUCAAGACCAACUUCAGAUUGAUCCAUGUUGUUCCGGAUGCGUCUGUUCUUGCGUCGCCCAAUCCCUUGGAACAUUUCUGGAUCAGGGUCAGUAAAGUAACGCGUGUUACCAGGAUUAUUUAUGAAGUUUCCUAGUAAACGAUAUCCAUAAACCUCGUUCCUCCAAAUGGCCCAUAUAGUUUCCUUGAUGAAGUAAUGUGGUACGAACCUACGAGGCUGAAGUCUUCCUGCCUCAAGGCAUGCAGCAAUGACAUAGGUGCAAGGCCUAUGAAGCAGUCUUGGCUUUUGGCAUGAGCAAACACAUCCUUCAUUGCCAAUGAUUCACUCCUGUGUUUCUCGCGCCUCCCUCCCAAUCGACCUUUGUCCCUGCAAACAACCUCGUACCGGCGUUCAACAGCACCCACUUCAGUAACACAAUACUUACGAGCCUUUUCAAUCGUCUGCUCCAUAUACUCUGUCAUCUUGUAUCCAUAAAUUUUAUGAUUAUUGGUCAUUGACUUAUUGGCCACCACGUACCAUUCGCUGAAGUAUUUUAUGGUACGGUAUAAGAAGAAUUCCAGGAUACCAACUAGGGGCAAUCUCCUGACACCACGCAGGACCCAGUUGUACACCUCAGCUAGGUUUCUAGUCAUUAGACGCCACCUAGCACCUCCCUCGUCAUACAAUAAUGCCUACUUUUCGUUCAGCUCAUGCUCAAUCCACUAUGAGAAUGUCUUAAUAGACCUACCCCAUCUUCGCCUGACAUUUAGACCAUCCAGUCCGACGUCCUCCAGAAGACACAAGGUGGUCGGCCUCGCUGUUUACCGGCCUCUUACCUAGCUCUUCGGAUUGUUUCUUUGUAAACUCAUCAAGUUUCUUUCCAAGUAGAUUGAAUUUCCUCUCCUGAUUCUGGGUACAUAUCCGUUUAAACAUCUGCAUAAGGGUCUUAUUUUUGAAUUGGUUAUGAAAGUUUGCCCCCAUAUGUCUCAUGCACCACCUACUCUUCAAGUCCGGCCACUGUGCCGUCCUGCGACGUUCCACAUUGCCAUUUUGUCGGUCUUUGAUUGCUUGUAGAAUGUCUUUGUGCCGAUCAUGAAUUAUACAAACGCCCCCCACGUCCUUCACAAUCAUCUGCUUAACCCUCUGCAAGAACCAAUACCAACUAUCUCCAAACUCUUUCUCUACAAAGCCGAUCGCUAGCGGCAACACCCGGUUGUUACCGUCGGAUCCAAUAGUUGUCAAGAUUGUACCUUUAUAUCUUCCCGUCAAAAACGUGCCAUCAAUGCAAAUGACCGGGUGACAUCGUUGAAAAGCCUCAAUGCAAGGACCCAAGGCUAAGAAUGACCGGUGCAGAACCUGUUUGCCUGGAUUUUGAGCAUGCGGAUAGGCUUUCAAGUUGUAGUAGCUUCCUGGAUUCCUCUGGCAUAUGGUGUGCAACAGGGCAGGCAGGUUAUCGUAUGUACCCCACUUCAUCUCUAACGCCUUCUACUUGGCUCGGUAAAUUUUGUGUUAGCUAAUCUUGUACUUGAACUUCUUCUCUAUAGCACAAAUAAUUGACUUGGGCUCAUAGUUAGGAUUCUCCACUAUCUGAGGAUACAUGUAUUGAGCAACAAAAUUAGCAGUGAGGUUGCAGUGUUAUGCUUGCAAUUCAUCCAGCAAGGUAUUGGGUGCUCUACCACUCUAGUCACCUCCCAGUAAUCUUUCCACUUCCCCUUGUAUGCGUGCCCCCCAAAUGAGCAAUUGCUUUUGACACAACAUACAUCAUACAUUGUCGGGUUGCUCUUCACCACCCUGAACUGCCGUUGCAAAGAUAAAUUCGACCAUCGCUUCAUAGCUGCCUUCAUCCCCACUAGGGUACAAAGCACCGACACAAACCUCAUUCUCCCUGUACUCCCAAGGGACAAUUUUCCCUUCAUUGACUGCUAGGUUGCUAACUUGACCAGUUCCGUGGGACAGGAUUAGCAUCAUCCUCAUCCAACAAGUCAUCAUCCAUGGCACAAAGGUCCUCUUCUCCUGCCCUCUCUACCUGCUCAACUAAUCCAGGGAUGUGUUCCCCCUCAUUAGCCUCGCCAUUUGGCUCACGGGGUACCUCUUCAUCCUCUGCAUAUCCUUCUUCUACCCCAUCUUCAGUUUGCCCAUCGGUAAUCUCCAGACCUUCCUCGCCUCUAACUUCCCCACCUCCGACUUCUUCUUGCAACUGACUGUUAGACCCAAUCAUCUGGAACAUUUCAACAAACAAUAUCAGCGUUAAACCGCGCUCAGUACAAGCAUUUACAUAGGUCCUCUAGUUCUGGGUUCCUUCAAGCAACAUCAACUCCCAAAAUAUUAUGUCAGUUCGAAACCUCACUAUAGCCCUAACAGACAACUCAACUUGAUCUCUAUCAAGAUUGAAAGCCUUGAAUAGUCAGUUGCAUAUUGAUGCCCAAGUCCUCUCUCUUGCUCUUAGCAGUUGUUUGCAGAACGAUUGAAAUUCAGACAAAUCUACCCCUUCUGAACCAUAUCUAACCUCCCACGAACCAUAGAACAUUUGGAAAAAUAAACUUUCCGAUAUGCCUGUCAAUGUACACGGCAUGAACAUAUAUUAUUACUAAAUGUUAUUAAUUUAACUAACUCCAACAAUACCUACAUUUCAACAACUAUAUAAAGAUCCAACUCGUGUAUUGCCAAUAAUAACAAUUUUAUAGUUAUCUAAAUAUAUCAACAAAUUAAUUUAUUAUAACCUGUCAAUAUACACGACAUCAAGAGAGAUCAUUACUAAAUAUUACUAAAUUUAACUAAUCCUAAUCACACCUACAUUCCGAAAAACUAUAUAAAGUUAUACACGACAUUAACAAAAAUUAUUACUUAAAUGUAAUAAUUUGAACUAACCCUAAAAACACCUUCAUCCUGAAUGACUAUAUAAAAUAUAACUCGUGCAUUGCCAAUAAUAUUAAUCUUAAAUUUAUCUAAAUAAAUCAACAAACUAAUUUUACUAUAAUCAAAAUAACUAAGCUAAAUCCACUAUACCGACAAACUAAUAUUUGUCUAUAUCUUAUAUGAACACCUAGAUUUCAUCUAAUACUUAACACUACACCAUUUAUAUAGCAUAUCAACUACUACAUCUACCAACUACGAGUUAAGCUAAACUGCGAGAUUUCAAAUAAUACCUCAAGUGAAGCGAAGAUCUGGCAGAGCUUCACUUCAAUCUCCACCCUACUCCCCUCCCUCUCUUUUCCCUUCCUCUCCUCUCCUUCCUGCCUUUCUUUCUCUUCUCCUCCCUCCCUUUCUUCCUCUUCUCUCCCGGUUCCUCUCCUCUCUCCCUUUCUCUCGGUUUCUUGCUCUCCCUCGGAUGACCAGCGAGCGCGCUCCGGCCCUAGCCGCUCCGCGGGUUUUAAAGGCGGGCCGCCUACCGCCGAAUCAGGCGGCGGUAACUUCCCGCUCCCGCCGUUUGAAUCGACGGCAACCUAUUACCGCCGCUUCAUCCGGCGGUGACUCCAUGGGUUCCACGGAUCCGUGUGCCGCCCGCCGUUUCAGACAACAGUAAGCAGUUUUAGGCGCUGACGUGGCGGACCUGCAUAGCUACCACCGUUUCAUCCGGCGGUAACUUUUCUUACUACCGGUUCACACAGCGGUAGCCGUUUCAUCCGGCGGUAGGGGUCUAUUUCUGCAAACUUUUUACUUAACUAUUUAUUUCGGCAAAAUCAUAAAAGAAAAAAUAAAAAAUAAAAAAAUUCAGAAAGGAAGAGACAGUGACGGGCCUUGACCCAGGCCCGGAAGCCCAACAGGCAACAGAGAGAGCAAUCUGGCUGGUCGCGCGGGCCGGCCGGUCAGCGUUGUGAACGCGCACGCACAUGUCGGCUCGCGCGCACGCGCACAUGGCGGGCGCCUGACUUGGCGCCCCGGUCUCGGUCCACCUGUACCCGCGUCCUUCCUCACGCGGUGGGUCCCCCCACCCCCCGCCGCGGUGCGUGCACCCACCCAUAAUCCAUCCCCCCUGGCUGCUUCGGAGCCGGCUCAAAAGCAGCAGCCACCGCGCCCCGCAUCACCUCGCACUCCACCACAGCAAAUUCAACGCGCUCCCCCGACCGAUCGCUCGCUACCCGCGCGCGCGCGCAGCACGCAGCAGCCAGCGGGCGACAUGAACCGCCUGCACCACCACGGGGUGAUGCCGCCGCCGGGGACGGGGCAGCUGGCGCGGUACGGCUCCGCGCCGAGCUCGCUCCUCGCCGCCAUCGCGGACUCCGUCACCCGCGGCGGCGACGCCCACCCGCCGCCGCCGCCGCCCGUGAGCCGGUUCUACUCCGGCGAGUCCUCCGGGCUCACCUCUUGCGAGUCCAGCUGCCGCACGGACGGCGGCGGCGGGCGGCCGCUCGAGCGGGCGUACGGCGGCUCCGGCGAGAUCCGCGUGCCCCCGCCGCCGCUUCAGCAGCAGCAGUCGCUCGCGCCCCCGGGGCCUCCGCACGGGCUGCUCCGCCACAGCAGCUCCCCCGCCGGGCUGCUCUCCCGCCUCAUGGCCGACCCGCACGGUACGUCGUCUCGCCCCUGCCCUGCCCAGUGCCCUCCCCUGCCUCGCCGUCCGCCUCGAUCGCUCGCGUGGUUGCGUGCACGUAUGCCGCCCGGUUUCGCCGGUUCCCCUGCUCUGCGCGUGGUCCACGCACGGACGGCAGGAGCAUGACUCGCGUGCCUCCAGCUUGUGCUUGCUGGCGCGCGCCUGGCUCGUCGAGGCAUCAUCUGUAAAUCUAGUAAAGUAAAAACUAGAAAAGUAAAAAUAAAUAGUAAUUCGGGACGGAGGGAGUAUAAGUUAAGCCAGUUAACGGUGCUUAUCGGGCGAUGAUUAGCGGAAUGGUUGGUGGUCAAGUCUCGGUCUAUCUGAUUUGUGCGGUUGGCAUGUGCCAGGAAAGCGUAGGAUAGUAUCCAGUCCAAUCUCAUCGUUUAUCAAACAGGGGGAUUAUUCAAAGAAACCACAAAACAAAGCCUGCAUUCUUUAUCCUACUGAGCACAUAAUCAUCGCGUACCAAUACCUUGCCAUUGACUCGUUAUUUUACGCAAGGUCUCCCCUGGCUUCACAUGUGCAGGAGCAUGCAUGCAUUUAGUACAAUCUUUUACUAAUCCCAGCUUUAACAAUGGUUUGCCUUGGUAGUGACAGUGCAGUGCACCUGAGCCGUGGCGAUUAAGAAACUGUGGCUCCCAUCCCCACACCCCAUGCGCUGAAUCCGCACGACCAAUGGAUCAGGCCGAGCGCUUGCUCUUUCGGUUUCCGGAAAGGCCGCCUUUUCCGUCUAGGUUCCUUCGGCCAUGUAGGUGCGUUGCAUUUCGCAUAUGAUGCCGACGUGAGCUUGAUGCCGCGACGUUAAAUAACCGCGCCCCCGUCCAAUCAUCGUGCUCACGUCAUGCGGGCGUCACGGGAGAUUGCGCUCUGUUUUCUCCUCUGUCGUUGGAAAACUGAGAAGAAAUAGCAACGAUCACUUAAAUUAGACUGGGUGAUCUUAAAAAAUUACUGUUAGUACUUAAUUAGGAUGGGCGUUAUUGGGUUUGAAAAGCCAGAGGCAUUUUGCGACACAUUGUCUGGGACACGUCAGCAGCUUAGCGUAAAGCGAAUCGCAACAGCCGGGAACAUAUCUUUUAGGUUUUCAAAAGAAAGAACGGAUCUUUUUAGGGGCGGUAUAAAAAAAAGAUGGCAUACUGACUGUACGACUGACCGGUGGGAGCACCGUGUUUUUUUGAAAGGGACCACCGCGUUUCUUGGUACCAACACAAGUGCUCAGCUCAGUUUAAGAAUGGCUUUUAGUUAAAACGCCACGAGCAGUUACUGGCACGUGGGCACGAGUCCGUUUGGACUGUCGUAUUGGUUAAGCACUCAUGCACGCAUGAAUCGUUGCCUUGUGGUCUGAUCAUCGGAGCGAGCCGACGGUUACGACAUGCGGAACUGAUGUGUUCUUCUGAUGCACGAACGGCAGGCAUGGCUCCGACGAGAGGUAUGGGAAGCUACUCGCAGGCGGGCACUGACGCUUCGAUGGCGCACGGCCACAGGCAGCUCAGUUCGCAGUGGAGCUUCUCGAGGCAGGACCUGCCGCAGAUAUCGGAGAUGGGGAUGAUCCCCGACAUCGGGGAGAGCAUCGUCGCCGGCGGGUGCAACAGCUCCAGCGACGGCGGCGGCGGCGCGCAGUCCUCCUCCUACCUCUCCCGGAACUUCUCCGUCAGCUCCUGGGACGACACCAACUCCAUCAUAUUCUCGUCCUCGAGCAAGAAGGCCAAGCUGGACCCGGCCGACGAAAUGGUCACCAGCUUCAGCAACAUCGACUCGCAGGUCACUUCAAAUCCUUUGGCUCUCCUUGCUGCGCCCUGGCAUGGAUGAUUCAGUUUUGUGCUGAUUGGAAUCUUCUAUGUUUCUGUCCAUACAGUUUGGGUUGUCAAAGUCGUCGCUGGAGAUGCCCGGCAUGGAUGAUUACCUGCAGCUGCAGCAGGAUUCCAUCGCUUGCAGAGUUCGUGCAAAGAGAGGCUGCGCGACCCACCCGCGAAGCAUCGCUGAGAGGGUUAGUUCGGUUCCCACCCACCUCAUUUGCUGAAACUCCAGUACGAUGUUGCGAUAUUCUUCCGCGGUGUGCCAUCUUGAUGUUGGAUACUAAUAGGCAGAACAAUCUUCUUGUUGACGUUUAGGAAAGAAGAACAAGGAUCAGCAAGAGGCUGAAGAAGCUGCAGGAUCUUGUGCCUAACAUGGACAAGGUAAAUUAAGCUGAAUCGUAGAUGGCCGUUUUUUGCUUCUAACCAUAGGUCAUGGAGAGAAAUAUUAAAAAAUCAGGAUUCAUCCUUGACGUUCCUCCCCAAAAUAGUAAUAAUAAAAAUAAAACAGGAUUUGCUAAACAACUGAACCUAGCUGCUCCUACUUGGUGGCAGUUCAUUCCAUCAGUAAUUCAGUGUGCAUUCUUCACAAUGUGCACAAAGUUUGGGCGAUAAUUUCCAGAAUCAUCUAAUCGCUAUCCUUUAUUUGUGUAAAAAAUGCAAAUCCUGUUUUUCCCAUUUCAUUACAAAAUGCAAAUGAUGUUUCCGUAAUAACAAUAAGAUCCUGCUAUUCUGAAUUGGUGUUUGUACAGUUGUUUAUCACUAUAAGUGAUGUGGUAUGCUCAUUAGUUUUUCUCUUGAAUAUGCAGCAAACAAAUACGUCAGACAUGUUGGAUCUUGCUGUAGACUACAUCAAAGAGCUGAAGGACGAAGUUGAGGUAUGCAUAUCUGUCUAAAUAAAUUAAGCUGCAAUUUCAGAUUUCCACACAUGCACUCAGACAUUCCGAAUUUUAAUUUUGACACAUGUACCUGUAGUCAGUUACUAUACUAAUUUUCAAAACAAAUAUUUGUGAUUAGCCUUUUAUCAACCAUACUACAAACAAAACAUAUCUCUUAAUCUGCUAAAAAUGGAUCCUUGCAGAAGCUAAAACACGACCAAGCGAACUGCUUUUGCUCAGGCAAUCAGAACUGCUGACACUGGAGAAGCAAAGGAUAUGAUUUUCGAGCCCCAGUGUUUGCUUCAGAAUAACUGGCUGCAGCAAUGCUUAACCGCUUCCAUGACUCAGCUUUCCCUUUCAUGGUUGUACUAUGGAUAGCGUCAAUGGCUUCAAGACUAGGAGAUGACACGUAGGUUAUCAUAAUUCACAUCCUGUGAAGCGGUGUCUUGUGUGUAAAAAUUCCUCCAUUUCAGCGCGAAUGGGAUUGCUGUUGAUAAAAUUAUUGUAGGAAUAAUUUUUGUGCUCUUUUGUCAUCGAGCUCAAUUUUGCAAUUUACUAAUUUUUGAGAAGACCGUAACUUGGCACUAAUGCUAAUGAUUUGAGAAGACCGUAACUCAGGCAUAGCAAGGAUAAUUCUAACUUGAGCAUUCAGCUGAACAAAAGAAUAUUUUACUCGUAUUCAUAUAUCAACUCUCUAGAGGCAUUCUGUUGUAUAAAAUGAUGGAAUAAUUUAUACUUGAGCACUGUAAGCUAAAAAUGGUAUCGGGCCAUUUCAUUAAUUUUCUUACUGGGUCUGGAGUUUAUUUAUACAUCAAUCCUUGAAGAAAAGAAAAGGCCAUAGCACCCAAUCGAGGCUGUAUUUCAUAUGUGUGCUACUGUAUAUGUUUCGGCAAAACCUCGUCGGCGAAUCUUGAGCUGCUGCCACUUAUGCAGCUGUCCUAUAGAAGAAGCUCAGGUAACGCAAUCUCCGAUUAUCUACACACCUCUCCUGAAAUUUUACAGGGGGGAAUCGGUUCCUCAGAGAUAAGAUCGAGUAGAAGACUUGAGCCAAAACAGAAACAGAGAAGUGCUAGUUCUGCUUAUUGUCGGAUUUUGUACAGCACUAUACUUACAGUCUUGAUUGUGUUCUUACAAGAGAUGGCUGAAGUGCGUCAUAAUGCCCGUAACCGUCAUAGAGAACGCGGACUGGAUUGUCCUUGCCAUAUUCCUGGCCAUAUUCCGCUAUGAUUCUGGGGCUAUCAGAGCUGCUUGUAUACAUGUAAACGGUGAUGGGCAUCCUGCAAGGCAGCAUUUGUCACUAACAAUGAUGGGUAAGAGGCAAAACUUAACAUGGGAGGUGGCUGCCUACCUGAGAACAUGGGAGCACAUGAGCAGUUCGGGUUCUCCUCCCCAAGCAUGUGGUUUUCUCAUCUUUUUCACGUAGCUCUCGAAAUCGCCUUCUAGGAACCUAACAUUAAGACAAAGUUAAUGCGAAAGCGGUGUCUUUGUAUAUUCGAGACAGAAAUAUAAUUUUUAACACAUAAUCUUAUGGAUGAGAAUAUUUUGAAAGGUAAACUUGCUGCAUCCUGCAUGAGAAUAGUUUGUAUGCGGAAACUAAUAACUACACAACAUAUUACUUCCUAUUGCGGAAAAAUUGUGGAGGGACUUUAAUGUAUCAGAAUAAUAAUAGUGGAGGAAGGAUGAAACCAUUCAGUGUCUUCUCUUCUCUUAACAAAUUCAUCAGCCACCUGGAAGAGACCAACAGCAGGUUAGCAAUCAUACAAAUAGGAGGAAUAUCGCAGAAUUCUGUCGAAACACAUCAAACAACGAUGUUCUGAAUGAACAGAAGCUCAAGCUCAGGUGAUGGUGGACACUCACUUUAGCUCGAAGCUCGUCAGCCAGUUCCUUCUGGGCGCUGUCGCUGGGUGACAGCUUUCCUCUCCUCAAGCAGGCCCCGUAAGCAACGGACCUGAACAAGCAUCGGCCGUCCCCUGUGAUUCCUGAAAUGUGAAGGCGGUGUCACUGUGAUUCAUACGGUACGUUCUGGAAUCCGGAGUACCAACUGAUGAUCAAAACUCCAUCAGAAUCAGCCGAUGGAGUUGCCCGCACAUGAACCGAAUAAUUAGUGUUACUUUAGGCUUGAGAUUAGCAGCAGGUAUUGUCAAAAGGAGGUUAUCUGUUCUAUCAAUCCUCUUUCUGAUUUCUGAAUUCGCAAAAGGGAAUAAUACCCUCGUCUCUGAAGAUGCAUCUGAAACCACUAUCAUACACUAGCAAAAAGAUAGUGGAAAAGAGGAUACAGAAGUAGCGAAAAAGCAUCUUACUACGAGCCUACUGCUCCUACAACUCCAUUGGUAGUUUGUGAUGAUUACAGUCUCUGUAUUCUUAAUCAACACGAUCAAGCCACUUUAUUCUCGACCGCGUCCGAAACCUAAGAUCUCCGAUAAACAAGCCAGAAACCGCUGCCAAAAGGAGUAAAGAAUCGGUCCUUUUUGAACACCCGAUCAUCAACAAAAGAAAUAAACCUUUUUUUUAGUGCUUAAAACUAUAGGCCAAGAAACCCGAUAGAAAGAAGAGGAGGAGGAAUCAUCAAUCAUUAUGAAUGAACCAACGAAAUGGAGGAACCAGCUGAUGACAUACUGAUCGAGCGAAGCGGGCGGAGCUCUCGAUCCGACAUCCGCUGGACGGCGAUGGGGCGAUCCCCCGAUCCCCUGCCCGGCCUCCUCGGUCGGCCCGGCUGCUCCGAUCCCGCAGCUGCCGGGCGCGGAGGGGAAGCGGGAGGGCGGAAGAAGCACGCAAGGAGCUGGAAAUGGCCAGAUGGGAUGGAAUGGAACAAAGAGGGGCAGGGGAGAGGGAGGUUGGAAUUGGAAUUGGAUUCUCUCGCGGCUGCGCGCGCACGUCUUUUCCGCUGCCUUUUUGCUAUUCCGGCCUUUUUCUACCGCUCGCUGGGUUGAGUGGAGGCCUUGGCUCCCGCGGAGCCGUUGCCGUUGCGCUGCCACCUGCCAUGCACCUUGCUCGGCUCUCUUCUUUGAUUUCCCGCCACAAAUCGUUGCCGAGCCGUGGAUUUCCAAUUAACCUCCCUAGUGGACGGAGAUUAAAGAAGAAGCAGUUGAUGCGUGUGGGUCCCUCGCAGACGCAUGUUUUUUUUUUCCAAAACCAUGUUUGAUUCUGGAGCUAAAGUUUAGUCCGUGUCACUUCGAAUAUUUGGAGGCUAAUUAGGAGGACUAAGUAUGAGUUAAUUAUAAAACUAAUUACACAGAUGGAGGCUAAACGGCAAGACGAAUCUAUUAAACCUAAUUAAUCCAUCAUUAGCAAAUGGUUACUGUAGCAGCACAUUGUCAAAUCAUGGUCUAAUUAGGCUUAAUAGAUUCGUCUCGCCUUUUAGCCUCCAUCUGUGCAAUGAGUUUUAUAAAUAGUCUAUAUUUAAUACUCCUAAUUAGUAUCUAAACAUUCGAUGUAACAGGGACUAAAGUUUAGCUCAUGAAUCAAAAACCUCUUGAGACUCGUAUGGUACAAGCGCACACAUACUUAGCCAUAAGACACGCAUAUAUCUUACCUAUACGGAAAAAACUCCGAGAGACUAAUUUCUUCAGGAUGUUUUUUGAAGUGGAGUUUUAAGUUUAAAUUUUGCAAGAUUACAAUAGACAUCAUAAGACAUGUUAGAAAAAUGUAUGGUGAAUUUUUAUCAUUAUUUGAAGGGUAGAAUAUUUAAUAAUAAAUUUUAUUCUUGAGAUACAAAAUUAUAUAAAAAGUAAUGAAGAAAAAUUCAUAAAAUAUUUUUUUAAUAUAGAUUACGAUGUCCACUACCACCUUAUAUAGGCUCAAAUUAAAAUUCAACUUGUGUAUGGAGACAUAAAAAUAACAAAUUACAUUAUGGGGUAAGUUGAACCAAAUAGCAUAAUUUAGGGGGUAAAUUGAACCAAAACAUAGUUUACGGAGUUAUCUAGACUUUCGCUGUACUUGAAGGGAGUAAUUUGAACUUUUUUCUAAUUUUUAUGUCGAGAGCAUGCUGCGACGCGAAAUAGCCUCUAGUCUAUUGGUUAGAGCAACUGAGUAGCACCUAGCAUGUCCGGUUCAACUCCCCGUGAGAACGAAUUAAACGGAUCUGGAAUUAAAAAAUUAUAAAAAAAAUAGGUACGAGCUUCCUGCUGACUUUGGAAAAAAAGAAAAGAAAAGGGUGCUGCUACCCUUCAGUUCCUACCGCAGCACAGGGCCGGCUGUGGCUCAUAUGGCAGGAGGUACGACCGCGCUUAGAGCCCAGCCAGGCUGAAGAGGGGGCAGGAGGCCAGGAGUAGCCCAUGUGUUUCCUAAAUUUGCGUAAGUGUAGAUGUGCUCCUUUUAAUCAUUUUCGGAGCUCAAUAAAAUAAAAAUUAAAUCUUAAACACUUAACUUUUGCCUCUUAUGAAAAAUGUUCUAUGAAGCAUGUAGUUCAACAUAGACAUGUUGUGAGUCUGAGAAAUCAAUGUUUAAUUGCUUAAAUGGAUGGUCAACUUCGGUCAAAUCAUGCUCCAGACUUAAACUCUGAAAAAGUUCAGUUUUGAUCCAGUAUUGGCCAAACUUUGGAGCUCCAUAACUUUGAAUACAAGAAGUACUCUCCUAUGUGCCAUCUACAACUUUUGUAUUGGGUGAUCGAAGAGUUUGAAUGUGAAAUCUUGAGUUUUUGGGUCGCAAGCUUGUUGACUUUUCGGCUGAAUCGGCCAGAGCUUCGGUCAUGGCCGACCAAGACUGAGCGCCUCGCCACGUGCUCGCCGUUGCCCGGCCAGGCGCCGCGCCUUCGCCCAACCGACGAGCCGCUAGUCCGGGAUCUCGCUCGCGCCCGCGCCUCGCCUUCAAAGCCCGGCACCCUCCCUACUCUCUUCUCCCUCGCUCAGUUUCUUCUUCCUCCAGCUCAAGAAACCGAACCGAGUUCCCACACCCGCCGGCCAAAAUCCACAAGCUUCACCCCACCGUUCUCAAAUCACCGCCGCCCACCGCUCCUACACCUUCCCAUAUCCAUCCUCCACCACCUCAUUCCCGCCGCCAUGGCCCAAAACGCCGGACAUUAGAGCUCCAGUAACCGCCAUUGCCGCCACCCGCCUAAGCUCCACCCCACCUUCCCGCUCUUCCCUCGCCCAAGUAACCACUCAAACGGAACUCUGGUAAGCCCGUGGACCUCAUGCUCUCUCUAGCUCGCCGUCUCGACCAUGUUUCCACGCUCGUUCUUGAGCUCGCCGCCGGGCACGCGCCGCCGCUAGCCGCGGGGUAGGCUAGGGUUAGUGUUCCGGGGAAAUAAGUAGGGGAGGAGGUGAGCUAGACGAAGGGGAACGCUCCAGUCAAAAAGGUUGGGGAAGGCGCCACCGCCGCCGCCCGUGCAUGCACACGGUGAACUGGGGGUAGAAGAAGGCCAGGGUGCUGUGUGUGAGAGAAAUAGAAGUCCAAGGGGGUUUUCCGUAACAUAUUGGGUUUAAGUGCAUAGGUAGAAUUUUUCCAGGGGCUUACGCGCUAGAUAUGAGGGCUCAAGUGAAAAAUAAAGGGUAUAUCUGCUUGUUAAGUUUGUUCCCGAGGUCCUAUCUGAAAAUCUAACUUUUUCUUUUUUCGUCUCUAGUUUUGUUUGAAAUGGCUGAAUCUUGUGAAAUCCAUAACAAAUCGUAGGAAAAUUGUACAAAGUCAAAAUAAAUUGUUUUGGGUUCCUGAUGCUCCGUUCUACCUACUAAAAAUACUUAUUCUGGUGAAAAUUAUGUUUAUAGUAUGUUUAUGUUGCUGAUUAAAAUGCAUAUUUUUUAAUCUCUUUUAAUUUUAUUAACUAUUUACAGUGCCCAUAAAAUGCAAGUAAAUUCACAGUAAUGCUAAUUUGAGUUGAAAAGUAUUCUGGAAAGUUUUCAGCACCAAUUUGCUUGUAUAACUCCAUGUAAAAUUCAUUCUUCAUAACUAGAAAGUUUUCAGCACCAAUUUGCUUGUAUAACUCCAGUUAAAAUUCAUUCUUCAUAACUGCAGUAACACACUGUUUGAUUUUUUUAGUAAAUUCUGUGAUAGUCAGAUAAUGCUGAAACUUUUACUGAAGUAUAUUUGUUUGUUAUCGGGAUGUGCAUGAAGCGGAAGUUCAUUAUGAUGCCUGGUUGAUAAACUUCUACUCUUAUGGAAAGAAGAAAGUGUACGUGUGCAGAAUGAGGAAAAAAAGAAGACUUUUAAUUUAUGAGCAUUGUUGUUCGUAACCAUCAAUGAUUGGUUGGUGCUUGGUAAUCUCUUUGACAGUCAAAUAAGGGAUUUCGAGUCUGCACGUAUUGUUUAGAUGAUACUUGUAGCAUGUAUUGAAACAUUGUAGGAAGGUCGUGUAUACGGGUCAUCGUCAAUUUCUUCUUGGUAAUCACCUGUUAAGAAAUAAAGGGAAGCAUUUUGAAGGGGAGGAAGAAAAAACAUACUAAACCCGUUCACCGCAAUGGUAAACGUGUAUUUUCUAUGAUAAAGGCUGUGAGGGUUAUCUUUGGCAGGGCUUUGGUAGCCAACUUGUUUCAAACGACGAGGACGGAUAUACAUCAUGUGGAAAAGAAGUCUAUAUUUUGGGAGCUACCUUAUUGGAAAGUCCUUUAGGUCCGAAAUGCAAUUGAUAUCAUGCACCUGAUGAAAAAUCUUUGUGUGAAUGUGAUUGGUUUCUUGGGUAUAUAUGGAAAGGCAAAGAAUACAAUUGAAGCAUGUCAGGACCUAAAACGUAUGAAAUAAUGAAAUAGCCUACAUUCAAAAAAGAGAGGUGAUGGACAUUACUUGUAUUCUGCCAGUUACACUCUCAGCAAGGAAGAGAAGGAAAGCAUAUUUGAGUGCUUGAAUAGUAUCAAGGUCCCAUCAGGCUACUUCUUAAAUAUACAUGCAAUAAUAAAUUUUAAACAAAAGAAAUUCACAAAUCUAAAGGCCUAUGUUUGCCAUGUCCUGAUGACAAAAUUGUUGCCUGUUGCACUGAGGGGUAUUCUACCAGAGAAUGUGAGAAUGGCAAUCGUGAAACUAUGUGCAAUCCUCAACAUAAUUUCUCAGGAGAAAAUCCAUCCAAACAAUCUACUAAAUCUGCAGAAUGACGUGGUGCAAUGCCUAGUCAGUUUUGAGAUGGUCUUUCCAUCUUACUUCUUUAAUAUUACGACCCACCUUCUAGUCCACCUUAUUGAAGAGAUUUUUGUUCUCGGUCUUGUAUUUCUAUACAAUAUAAUCCCUUUCGAGAGGUUUAUGGCAAUUAUGAAGAAGUAUAUUCGUAACCGUGCCCAUCUGGAAGGAAGCAUUACCAAAGGGAUAUGUGGAUUCCUCAACAUGAUUUCUCAGGAGAAAAUCCAUCCAAACAAUCUACUAAAUCUGCAGAAUGACGUGGUGCAAUGCCUAGUCAGUUUUGAGAUGGUCUUUCUAUCUUACUUCUUUAAUAUCAUGACCCUCCACCUUAUUGAAGAGAUUUUUGUUCUCGGUCUUGUAUUUCUAUACAAUAUAUUCGCUUUCGAGAGGUUUAUGGCAAUUCUGAAGAAGUAUAUUUGUAACCGUGCCCGUCCGGAAGGAAGCAUUACCAAAGGGAUAUGGAGUAGAGGAGGUCAUUGAGUUUUGUGUUAACUUUAUUGAUGACCUGAGUUCGAUUGGAGUCCCUGUAUCACGCCAUGAUGGGAGCCUAAAGGGAAAGGGCACACUAGUGAGGAAAGCUUGGAUGGACAUCGAUGAGGAUACAUUUCCUAAAGCACACCUAACAGUCCUGUAACAAUCAUCCCUGGUCGCUCCAUAUAUGGAGGAGCACAGGGCUAUUGUACAGUCUUCAAACCAAGAGAAGACUGAUACCAGGAUUACACGUCAUCACAUUGACACUUUCGCCUCUUGCUUGCGGUGAUGACUGAUGGGUGAUGACACAAUUGCGGAACAACUAGCAUAGUUGGCUAGGGGUCUACAUAUCUCAGUAUCAACAUUCCAGGAAUACGAGAUAAAUGUGUACACAUUUUACACCACAGCCCAAGACCAAAAGAGCACAAACCAAAAUAGUGGUGCCCGUCUCGAUGCAAUAGACAACAAUGGAAAAAAAGAUAGAUACUAUAGUGUCAUUGAGGAGAUAUGGGAACUUGACUAUGAACCUUUGAAAAUCUCUCUGUUUCUGUGCCAAUGGGUGAAACUUACUGGAGGAGGCGUAACGACAGAUAACUAUGGGAUGAAAAUAGUGGACUUCAACAAGAUUGGAUACAGAGACGAACCAUUCGUUCUAGCCAAUGAUGUGACUCAAGUUUUCUACAUGAAAGACAUGUCAAGCAAACCAAUAAGGAAGGGUGCUAAUAAGUCAGAUGAUCAGCCAAAGCGUCACAUAGUUCUUCCAGGGAAAAGAAAAAUCGUUGGAGUUGAGGACAAGACUGACAUUUCAGAAGAUUAUGAUCAGUUCGAUGAUCUUCCUCCAUUUUCAGUCGAGGUUGACCCAAGCAUCAUGUUAGCUAAAGAGGACACUCCAUACUUACGCCGUGAUCACAACCAAGGGACGUUCGUCAAGAGGAGGGUUAUUAACGUUCCAUUACAUAAUGUUGCGUAAUGUAUUUGAAUUGUUAUGUUGUGUUUUUGGUUAUCAACAAAGGAAUUAAUGUAAUUAUAAUUAUGAAUGGUUAGAUCUUGUUGCAUUUUAAGGACGUCGCUUAAGAACAUUGCUCUGCAUUUGACAUCGCUUAAAGACUUGGCUCUGCGUUUGACCUUGCUCAAAGACAUAUCUCUACAUUUGACCUCGCUUAAAGACUUGGCUCUGAAAUGUAAGAACCUUUGUUGCACUGUGGGCACCCACGACCCCGCCUUCCGCGGCAACGAGGUGCGUGAAGCGGGCCCGCGCAUCAAUGGGUGGCAACCAGCCGUCUGCGGUGCGGUGCGGUGGCCGGUGAGCACAGCGAAGUAGUAACUGCCUGGUGAGCCCUGCGCCGCUCGGCCUUCGUCAUCGACCUCGUGUCCGUAAAAUGUUAUCAUCCAAGGUUUAUGGCCAGUUGAUUUUUUGAAUGAUAUAAGCAAAUCCCUGCAAUACAGAAAAUGUUUGUACCAUAAAAAGAAAACAAAUAAAAUUACUGAUUUGUCUUCGAAUAAGUUGGUUGAACAAUACUAUUUGCAAAAAUCUCACCCUAUUAAACAAGAAAUGAUUUUUACAUGGUUAAAAUAUUAAAUAUUUCGAUUUUGUGUAGCACCAUUAAAUAUUAAACAAUAAAUUUACGUUAAACAAGUAUAUAACUAAGUCAUGGUAAACAUGUUAAUAACACUAUAGGUCCUAUCCUUCUAAAUUUUUGCAUGGUCAAAAAAUCUAUUUUUCCAAAUUUUAAAGUUAACAUAAGUAUUAUGACCAUUAUAUAUAACCUAUUACUAAGUUAAAAUUAAGAACUUUACCGUGUUUGAUAUUUGAUCUCAUCUGACAUUUUUAUAGUGUAUAUUUAAUAAACAUGAAGCUACCAAAUUAUUUUUCCAAUUUUUAUGAAUGUUAUUUGAUUUACUACACAAUAAAUUAAUACAAUAGCAAAAGUAAAAAGGAAGAAAAUAAAAAGAUGGGCUGGAAAACCCUUUAGUACCGGGUGGGGAAACAUCCAGUACUAAAGGGGAACAUUUUUAUUUCGCGCUCGCGGAGGCCUUUAGUAUCGGGUGGGGGAACACCCGGCAGUAACCUUUAAUAGCGAGCGAGGUGGUUGCCCGAUACGGGGGGUUUUAAAAGCCAGCGCCAUCCUCAACACUUCGCCAUUUCCCGCUUCGUCUUCCUCGCUCCGCGCCCGAGUCCGCCGCCCCCUCGUCGCCGUCGCCGUCCCCAUCGUCACCCCCCGCUGCCGCCGCCCGCCCGCGUCGAUGCCCCACGUCGCCCUCUCGCCUGGCCCGAGGCCACCCCCCAACGUGGCACCCCCCUCACCGCUGUCCCGUCGCCCGCGUCGUCCCCGUCCGUGCCCUCGUCGUCGUCAGCCGCCUCUCCGUCCGCGCCGUCCAGUUGACGUAGCGCCAGCGGCUGAUCCAGUUGAACAUCUUUUGGCCCGCACCUGCACUGUUCUAUGGUAUUGGGGAUGGACUGACAGUUACCACAAGUUUACAGAUAUGGUUGCUGUGCAACUCAAGUGGAACCAGAUGGUUAAUAUUCAGUGGUGAGCCUAUAUUGAUCCCUACAUAUUCAGCAUUUCCUAAUGAGUGUCAUGUCAAUGGUGGUUCUGUAAAAAGUGCUUGCCGAACCUUUUCAUUGAGUUGGAGUUCAGGCCUGCAUCUAUUUCUCAAAUUAGUGGUUUCACAUCAUAUCUUGAUUGGUGGUAAAUGCACAUGGUUUUCAUAGGACCUGGAUGACAAGCUGCACACUGAAAAUUCGCAGUGGCAUUUCAGAUAUGAUGCUUCACAAGUCGUCAUUUAUAUCUUGGAGAAAUGCGCAUUGGCUGUUAUUCACUUAUAAUCAUGAGCUAGACCAGUGGAAGCUCUCAUUUGUGUCUCUGAUAUGCAUCUACAUGAAUAGUUGCUGUUUUGCUAGCAUCAGUAUGUGGCACAAUGGAACGGUUAAUCUGAUCUGGUGGCGAAAGAAUAUAAAGCUAAGGUUCUGUGAUCUUCUGUACAACAAUUUCCAGAUGAAUAAGUCAGUUGCUCAGUGGAUUUGUUGGAAUUUACAGAUUACGGUUGCAUGGAUCUUCUCACGUUUAAGUAUCCUACCUGCCUAUUCUAUUUGGAUGCAAUAAAACGGUGAUAGUUCAAUUGGCUAGCUGGCCUCAUGUCGUGAUCUGUGCAGUAUAUUGGCUUGAUACAUAUGAUAGCUGCUUGUUUUACAACUGCGAAGGCUGAGAGUUAAUCCAAGAGUCAAUUUCAGUGGGUAGCAACCAUGAGCUUCAUCGACUAUCUCGUUUUGGUAGUUCUGACUGACAGGUUUACUAAAUCUCACCUUCUGCCCUGUACUCAUACAUGGGACCCUGGAAGCAUCAAAUUAUCCCCUCGGGGGCAAGGCGGUUUUCAUGGAAGGGGAAAUGUCAAGCAAUUACAAGGAUCAUGCCAUUGCAACUUCCAUUUAUGUCUGGAAAGGCAUGAGCAAUCUCUACUGCUACCUUCUCCAAACAUAUUGACUGAGCAACAUGUCAUCAACUUAUCGAAUGGAGUUUCACAUGCUGGGAUGAUAUACAGUACGUUUCAACGGCAGCCCUAGGAUUAGAUUUGUUAUUUAGAGAUAAUAUUAGGUUAGGUUGGUUCCUUAGUUCUAGAGAUUGGUUUCUUAGAAGUCAUCCCAUCCACGUAAGGAUUGGAUUGUAUCUCUUAUUCCUGCCCUGGUGGUGCGGCCGCCAGGGCAUUGGCAUGGUUGCGCCGCUUGGGUUCAGGCAAUCUAAAGCGUGCAUGAACAGUGCUGCUCCAGCUCAUGGGACCCUAAUGGGCUGCACAUGACAGCACCUAGGAAGCAGACACUUUAAAUGAAAAUGUGUUUUGCAUUUGAACGCUUGGUCAAUCAAAAACCCAUCGAAGCAGCUAGCAGAAAAACUUUCCAGGUAAAGAAUGCGCCAUAUGAACUAGCACUGACAGUCUAAUGUGUGAUUUCAGUGUGAUGAACUUGCUCCGUUUCUCUCGAAAUUGUAAGCUGGCAGUGAAACUACUACUACCCUCCCCAGUAUUGCUGCCACUGCUAGUACAUCCGUGUCCUUUUGAUUAUGGUUGCCCAAAAAAUCACUUACAAACCAUCAAUCUAACAAUUGGGUAUAUGCAGGCAUCUAACACAAACUAAUUUCUUGGCGGUGGUUGUCAUAAAAGCUAGGUACUGGCCAUUUGCCACACACUAAAAUUUAAUCUAAAAGAUACCAUUAUUGAGAUGCAAAAUCUAGUAACAGUAUUUGCAGUAAACUCUCCUAGGUACAUACCAAUGAGCAAGAAAAAAAAGGUGGUCGAGUAAAUAAUCAGUCAGUCACUGCACGGUGACGGCCUUUUUCUUAUCAGGCAACCACGAGUCAACGCCAACAAGUCUUAGAAGGGAAUUAUAGGAGGUGGAUUAACUAUGAAGAUCAAUUAACUACCCGCAUUUACAUUUAUGAAUAUUCCUGUUCUAUAUUGUCCCUAACCCACAUUUAUGAAUAUUCCUGUUCCUAAACUGGCUAAACUGCCCGUCAUGCACACACUUGUCUGAUGCAGCCAAGCCAAGCAAUGACCAUUCCUAAUUACUAACAAAAUACUGGCAGAACCUCAGCGAAACAGAUAUGUUGAAUAUUAUGAAAGUACAACAGCCAGUAGAGUAGCAUACAAAUUUCUUAAAUGUCAAAGCAUGAUCAAGCACUAAGUAACUUACGGGAAAACAGCAAUAAAUUCAAGCACAAUUCAAUCUGUCUUCCAGAAAUUAUUACACAUCAAAGGCAUACCAUAGGCAAAAGAUCACCAUAAACGCCUGUAUUCUUGAAUCAAUGCAGCCAGUGACUUGUGCAUGCAUCAUCAAAUCUUAAUGUGGCACACAUCACCUUUCAUGUUGCCAUCACUCCAAAACAGUUCAUUCCUCAGCAUCCUAACUUACCAUCAGUUACUGAAAAAGAAGUAAAAAUAUUGUUAAUGAAGGAUAUGUACAAUAACAUAGCGCUUAUUCUGAAAGACAAGAAAAGGAGCAUUUAGAUGGAAUGAAAUCUCUACCCUAAAUAGUAGCAGUUUAACAUUUUCACGCUUAUGUUCAAAGAUACUCCCUCCGUUCCAAAAUGCAGGUCGUUUUGGCUUUUCUAGAUACAUAGAUUUUGCUAUGCACCUAGAUAUAAUGUUAUGUCUAGAUACAAAGCAAAAUAUAUGUACCUCGAAAAGCCAAAACGACCUACAUUUUGAAAACGGAGGGAGUAGGAAGGAAGCAGCUUGAUUUCGAUGGAAUCAUUUCCCAAAAAAAUAAUUGCAUUUCUACUUCCAUAUCUACGAUGAUGUUCAUAUUUUCAAAUACCCCACUAAAUUCAACUAUGGUAUAGUCAUAUAGGACCAGAGCCUCAUAGGUAUGAGGUUGGACCAUAUUUUUAAUUAACCCAGAGAUAAUGUCAUAUUCUGAAAAGGGUCCAGCUUUAUACGCAGUAGACCUAAAUCCUAUGUGUUAAAUUGGGCAAAUAACAGGUGGAAACUUAAACAUAUUUGCAGAUUUAGGGGAGUGGUAUUUAGUAUUUACUUAGCAAUGUAACACGUCAACAAUGGACUCAAUAGCAUUCUGAAGAUAAGAAACUGAAAUGCAGAGGAAGGAUGAGCGAUGGACAAUGUUAUGACUCGAAACAGNNNNNNNNNNNNNNNNNNNNNNNNNNNNNNNNNNNNNNNNNNNNNNNNNNNNNNNNNNNNNNNNNNNNNNNNNNNNNNNNNNNNNNNNNNNNNNNNNNNNNNNNNNNNNNNNNNNNNNNNNNNNNNNNNNNNNNNNNNNNNNNNNNNNNNNNNNNNNNNNNNNNNNNNNNNNNNNNNNNNNNNNNNNNNNNNNNNNNNNNNNNNNNNNNNNNNNNNNNNNNNNNNNNNNNNNNNNNNNNNNNNNNNNNNNNNNNNNNNNNNNNNNNNNNNNNNNNNNNNNNNNNNNNNNNNNNNNNNNNNNNNNNNNNNNNNNNNNNNNNNNNNNNNNNNNNNNNNNNNNNNNNNNNNNNNNNNNNNNNNNNNNNNNNNNNNNNNNNNNNNNNNNNNNNNNNNNNNNNNNNNNNNNNNNNNNNNNNNNNNNNNNNNNNNNNNNNNNNNNNNNNNNNNNNNNNNNNNNNNNNNNNNNNNNNNNNNNNNNNNNNNNNNNNNNNNNNNNNNNNNNNNNNNNNNNNNNNNNNNNNNNNNNNNNNNNNNNNNNNNNNNNNNNNNNNNNNNNNNNNNNNNNNNNNNNNNNNNNNNNNNNNNNNNNNNNNNNNNNNNNNNNNNNNNNNNNNNNNNNNNNNNNNNNNNNNNNNNNNNNNNNNNNNNNNNNNNNNNNNNNNNNNNNNNNNNNNNNNNNNNNNNNNNNNNNNNNNNNNNNNNNNNNNNNNNNNNNNNNNNNNNNNNNNNNNNNNNNNNNNNNNNNNNNNNNNNNNNNNNNNNNNNNNNNNNNNNNNNNNNNNNNNNNNNNNNNNNNNNNNNNNNNNNNNNNNNNNNNNNNNNNNNNNNNNNNNNNNNNNNNNNNNNNNNNNNNNNNNNNNNNNNNNNNNNNNNNNNNNNNNNNNNNNNNNNNNNNNNNNNNNNNNNNNNNNNNNNNNNNNNNNNNNNNNNNNNNNNNNNNNNNNNNNNNNNNNNNNNNNNNNNNNNNNNNNNNNNNNNNNNNNNNNNNNNNNNNNNNNNNNNNNNNNNNNNNNNNNNNNNNNNNNNNNNNNNNNNNNNNNNNNNNNNNNNNNNNNNNNNNNNNNNNNNNNNNNNNNNNNNNNNNNNNNNNNNNNNNNNNNNNNNNNNNNNNNNNNNNNNNNNNNNNNNNNNNNNNNNNNNNNNNNNNNNNNNNNNNNNNNNNNNNNNNNNNNNNNNNNNNNNNNNNNNNNNNNNNNNNNNNNNNNNNNNNNNNNNNNNNNNNNNNNNNNNNNNNNNNNNNNNNNNNNNNNNNNNNNNNNNNNNNNNNNNNNNNNNNNNNNNNNNNNNNNNNNNNNNNNNNNNNNNNNNNNNNNNNNNNNNNNNNNNNNNNNNNNNNNNNNNNNNNNNNNNNNNNNNNNNNNNNNNNNNNNNNNNNNNNNNNNNNNNNNNNNNNNNNNNNNNNNNNNNNNNNNNNNNNNNNNNNNNNNNNNNNNNNNNNNNNNNNNNNNNNNNNNNNNNNNNNNNNNNNNNNNNNNNNNNNNNNNNNNNNNNNNNNNNNNNNNNNNNNNNNNNNNNNNNNNNNNNNNNNNNNNNNNNNNNNNNNNNNNNNNNNNNNNNNNNNNNNNNNNNNNNNNNNNNNNNNNNNNNNNNNNNNNNNNNNNNNNNNNNNNNNNNNNNNNNNNNNNNNNNNNNNNNNNNNNNNNNNNNNNNNNNNNNNNNNNNNNNNNNNNNNNNNNNNNNNNNNNNNNNNNNNNNNNNNNNNNNNNNNNNNNNNNNNNNNNNNNNNNNNNNNNNNNNNNNNNNNNNNNNNNNNNNNNNNNNNNNNNNNNNNNNNNNNNNNNNNNNNNNNNNNNNNNNNNNNNNNNNNNNNNNNNNNNNNNNNNNNNNNNNNNNNNNNNNNNNNNNNNNNNNNNNNNNNNNNNNNNNNNNNNNNNNNNNNNNNNNNNNNNNNNNNNNNNNNNNNNNNNNNNNNNNNNNNNNNNNNNNNNNNNNNNNNNNNNNNNNNNNNNNNNNNNNNNNNNNNNNNNNNNNNNNNNNNNNNNNNNNNNNNNNNNNNNNNNNNNNNNNNNNNNNNNNNNNNNNNNNNNNNNNNNNNNNNNNNNNNNNNNNNNNNNNNNNNNNNNNNNNNNNNNNNNNNNNNNNNNNNNNNNNNNNNNNNNNNNNNNNNNNNNNNNNNNNNNNNNNNNNNNNNNNNNNNNNNNNNNNNNNNNNNNNNNNNNNNNNNNNNNNNNNNNNNNNNNNNNNNNNNNNNNNNNNNNNNNNNNNNNNNNNNNNNNNNNNNNNNNNNNNNNNNNNNNNNNNNNNNNNNNNNNNNNNNNNNNNNNNNNNNNNNNNNNNNNNNNNNNNNNNNNNNNNNNNNNNNNNNNNNNNNNNNNNNNNNNNNNNNNNNNNNNNNNNNNNNNNNNNNNNNNNNNNNNNNNNNNNNNNNNNNNNNNNNNNNNNNNNNNNNNNNNNNNNNNNNNNNNNNNNNNNNNNNNNNNNNNNNNNNNNNNNNNNNNNNNNNNNNNNNNNNNNNNNNNNNNNNNNNNNNNNNNNNNNNNNNNNNNNNNNNNNNNNNNNNNNNNNNNNNNNNNNNNNNNNNNNNNNNNNNNNNNNNNNNNNNNNNNNNNNNNNNNNNNNNNNNNNNNNNNNNNNNNNNNNNNNNNNNNNNNNNNNNNNNNNNNNNNNNNNNNNNNNNNNNNNNNNNNNNNNNNNNNNNNNNNNNNNNNNNNNNNNNNNNNNNNNNNNNNNNNNNNNNNNNNNNNNNNNNNNNNNNNNNNNNNNNNNNNNNNNNNNNNNNNNNNNNNNNNNNNNNNNNNNNNNNNNNNNNNNNNNNNNNNNNNNNNNNNNNNNNNNNNNNNNNNNNNNNNNNNNNNNNNNNNNNNNNNNNNNNNNNNNNNNNNNNNNNNNNNNNNNNNNNNNNNNNNNNNNNNNNNNNNNNNNNNNNNNNNNNNNNNNNNNNNNNNNNNNNNNNNNNNNNNNNNNNNNNNNNNNNNNNNNNNNNNNNNNNNNNNNNNNNNNNNNNNNNNNNNNNNNNNNNNNNNNNNNNNNNNNNNNNNNNNNNNNNNNNNNNNNNNNNNNNNNNNNNNNNNNNNNNNNNNNNNNNNNNNNNNNNNNNNNNNNNNNNNNNNNNNNNNNNNNNNNNNNNNNNNNNNNNNNNNNNNNNNNNNNNNNNNNNNNNNNNNNNNNNNNNNNNNNNNNNNNNNNNNNNNNNNNNNNNNNNNNNNNNNNNNNNNNNNNNNNNNNNNNNNNNNNNNNNNNNNNNNNNNNNNNNNNNNNNNNNNNNNNNNNNNNNNNNNNNNNNNNNNNNNNNNNNNNNNNNNNNNNNNNNNNNNNNNNNNNNNNNNNNNNNNNNNNNNNNNNCCUGUCGGUGACUUGCUAAGGUGCCUCGGCGAGCGCUGCGGGCGUUGGUAGGGUUCGGAAAUGCUCUUCGUAGGUCGGUGUAGGCCUGAGUGCGGCCCGUUAACGAAUGAAGGUGGCAGCCCGUAGCCCGCGGGCGGACACAGGUCUUUUGUUUUUUAUUUUCGUUUGCUUGCUGUUACCGGUACAUGACAGUGUUGGCCAUGGUUCACAUCAACUCACGAUAGUAUUUAGAUCUGUUUCUUUAAUUCUUGAUGAUUGCAUCUGCAAGUGAUCUAGAUUCUUAGGAUAAGUAUUUUAUCUAUCCUGUGCACACAUUUACUCUAUCUACCCACUUUGAUCUAGAUUUCUUAGUUUAAUUGGUUAGAUCAAUCUCAUCGUACACUAAGUUACUUAGAUUAGUGCUUAGUUAAGCAUGCAAAUCCCUUGUUCUGUGGAUUGUUAAACCUUGGGAAAUCUCUAAGGGCCUGUUUGUUUUGUUGGACUCAGAUGGAAUUGGAAUUAGUUUCUAAGGUCGACAUGUUUGGCUCCCCCGGAAUUGAAAACGAACAUUCCUCAGGAUUCCAGCUUAGCCUACCGCACAUUCCGAACAAAAAACAGGAAACGAUUUCCCUACCCGACGGCCUCCCCUGACUCACCUCCCUCGACUCCUUCUCACCCCCGACCCGCCGCCCCCGACAGACUCCCCGAGCGCUACGCUGUCGCCUCCCGCGCCAUGGCCCCCUCCUCUGCUAGCCCCUCUUCCACCUCUGCCGCCCCCUCCUCCUUGUUCCCUUGCAGCGAUUCAACGAGGUUUGCCGCCAUGGAGGCAGCAGGCGUGACGCAUUGAGGCGCGCGUGCGGGAGUCAGGGCUAGAGCCGGGCACAUGGAUCUGGAGGUCGCGGGCGGCGCGGCGGCGGCGCACGGGAAGGUGAGGCAGCCAGCUCGUGGCCUGGGGUACUUGGAUUUGGAGCACUGGUCUAUGUUGGGUUGUGGGGCUUCGCUCCUCCAUUUCUUGACUGCUUGCUUGAUUGCUGCUUCUUCUCCCGCAGAGGUGGCGCGGGGAGUCAUGGCGUGCGACGUUGUUGCUCGCGUGCCAGAGCCUCGGGUGGUGUACGGCGACAUGGCCACAUCGCUGCUCUACGUCUACAAGAGCGCCUUCGUCGGCAACGACAUCCAGCACCCGGCGGGCAACGAGGAGAUCUACGGCGUCCUCUCCUUCGUCUUCUGGAUGCUGACCCUCAUCACACUCCUCAAGUACGUGCUCAUCGUGCUCCAUGCCGACGACGGCGGGGAAGGUGGCACCUUCGCGCUCUACUCCCUCAUCUGCCACCACGUCCACACGAGCCUCCUGCCUGGUGGCGGCACCAGAGAUGAGCUCAUGGAGGAAGAGAAGGCCACGGGGCGCCGCGGUGAGCAGCCCGUGUUGAGGGUCAGGGCAGUCCUGGAGAAGUACAGGGUGCUACAGAGGCUGUUGCUGCUGUUCGCGGUAAUGCAUCCAAAUAGCAUUUGGAAUUUAAUUCUAAGAAAAACUUUCUGGGUACAUCCAAAAAAGAAAUUUCAAUUGAAUCAAAUUCUACGGAAUCCAUUUCCUAUGGAUAGGAAAUCUAAUUUCUAGAAUAAGAUUCAUGGAAUAGAAGUUUCAAUUCUAGGGAAACAAACGGGGCCUAAGGGAAAAUCUACAACUCAUUUGUGCAAGGAAAAGAUUAGGGAUAAAUCAAGCCUGGAACAGAUUUAAUAGAUUAAUUGAACAAGGAACUAAGCUUGAAUUCUCAGGUGAUGUGUUGUUGUAUACAUUCUAUUUUCACUAACCUAAAAAUAUCAGAAUGUGUGCAGGAGGAGACCUUAUGGAGAAAACACUCAAGGAGGCUGCUCAACUAUUAUAUUGGGAGUUCGUCCAAAUGUGUGCAGGAGGAGACCUUAUGGAGAAAACACGCAGGGAGGCUGCUCAACUUUUAUAGAAGAUUAGCAGAGGUGCAGCUAUGAACAGAGAAUGGGAUAGCUUUCAAUCUGGAGUGUAAAAUCAAGGAAAUCAAGGAUAAAUACUUGCUAGAAUUUUCAGAAAAGAACUCUAGAAGGAUAUUGUUGAUGGCUCAUAAGUACCAAAUUUAGGUCGUCAACUCCUGCAUAAACACAUAAAAAACGAGCAUCAACAGUAGUGGUAGGAGUUAUUACUAACAAAUUCCACAAGUGUUGGUGAAUAUUUGUAUGCAGGUCCAUUAGAGGAGAAAACACACCCCAAGAGAAAGGAAACACACUCUCAACCAAUCAGAAGCAAGCACACAGAUUGAAGAGCUCACAAAUGGGAGUAAACCAAUAAGAGUCACUGCAAAACACCGCGUACCCACAUGGGGACUCACCUGGCAGGUACCCAGCUAAAGGCGAUUGCCUAAGGUGGUUCCUCAGGGUGGUGGCUCCGUUCACCUCCAGUCGCCACGUGUCGCUAGUUACCGACCUUGCAAUGGCGGUUGUGGAAGAUUCCCCGAAUAUUCCCCUCAGGAACCGACCCCAAGUGCCUAUAAAUAGAAGGGGAGGGGUCUCAUUUCAAGACACGCCACCAACACCACUCAAGAGGAUUUUAGAGCUUCAUUGCAAAGGUGGAGUGCUACUUAACUAGUGCUUAGAGUAGGGAGAGAGUGAAGGGUAGUUCGAGGAAGCGUCGGGUCUGUCGGCGCCCUUCUCCAAGCUUACACCUCUACAAAUGCUGGCUUCCUUAGGUAUAAAGUAAGUUUGUAUUCGUGAUUACUUUCUCAUAGUAGUUCCUAUAGUUGAGUGAGAUCAGUUCUCUUACUUGCGGGUUCGUCGCUCCGUAUUUAUAUGGAGUGUUGUAUGUUUGCUAUGGGACGUUAGAUGUAUUUAGACUGCUGUAGUAAUCAGUAGCGUAGACGUGGUGUCUAUACUAAGGGUUAUCCUUCCUUUGCCUUAUAUCCCACGGGUUGCUAGAGGUAGGCAGUUGGUGGUGACAACCCUAUUGGUCCUUUAUAAUCCUCCACAUUUGGAUAUAGCGUAAAGCCGUUGGCCGGAGAUGCCUGACGAAUUCAAGGUAAGCCAGUGCCCAAAGCAAGUUCAUUAACCAAGAGAUCGACCUUUAACUCCCCUAUAGAAUUAUCUCUAGGAAUCCUCUCUACCCUCGCCAUCUAUCUUGGUGUGUCCUUGGACCGACUAGACUAGGAUUUAGUAUACAUAUGUUCCCUUGGAUUCGAUACCCUUGGAAUACUCUAAGAUGAAAGCUACAACGGUAUCCGUACGCUUGCAGAUUUAUUCGCAUUCGUUAAAUAUACCAACAAGGUUUCUGGCAUCCUUGCUUGGGAACGGUUGUUGUAGCUAUCUUGUUACCUAGUCAUCCUCGUAUCUUUUUAGUUUUCUUUCUUCUACCUUUACCCCCGCUAUCAUGGAGAAGCCUUCUAUCCAAAACCUGUCUUCUCCUAGGGGUGAGUUCUGUGAGCCAUCACCAUCCGAACACCCAAUUCUCACAUCCGGCUAUGAACUUCGUCCCGACCUUAUCACUUUGAUUCGGGGACUUUCCUUCUCUGGUUUAGAUAGCGAGAGCCCUGUUGGGGGGAAAUAUUAACGACCUCCCAAAACCGCUUAAAGCAACAGUCAUGAAGGCCCAGGCCCACCUGCGGUAAUUAUGAUCACAUCCGGCCCAGUGAAGGCAGAGAACAUCCCACUCCGUCUUGCUCGGCCCAGGGCCCCAGGGUCGGACAAUCCCGACCCCUCGAUUGAGGGACUCCGCCUCGCCCGACCGCGGUCCCAGGGUCGGGAGCGCCCGACCCCUCGCCGCAAGGCUCCGCCUCGUCCGACCCGAGGAACCGGGGUCGGGAGCGCCCGACCCCAACACAGAAACUCCACCUCGCCCGACCCUGGACGCGGGGGUCGGACUCACUCGGGUCCACGAGACGGAUAUUCCCCUCGGGCGCGGACCGGAGGAUAAGGAUAACGAUCUCGUGGGUCCCCCUAUCGACCUCGCCAUAAAUGCGCCGCGGCCCUGUCAAGCCACAAGGGAGCGGUCCCCAACGUAACCGGUCACGAAUACCGGAGCACGGCCGUGCGGCGCAGGCUGCAGUGGCCACGGCUCCUUCUGAUUCGCCACAGGGUACUCAUGAGCCGCGCCGAACGACACAGGAGGACGCAUCGCUUGCUCUCGCGCCCCGUGCUCCUAACUGCAGCGUUAGGGAUGCGACGUCCGGGUCUUACGGUAAUCAGCGGGGCAACAGAAUCAGGCCUUCUCCCCGGCGGGCACGGAUGCCGAGGCUGAGGCUCAUCAUCACUCUCGACGGCGAUGGCGACCAGGGAGAUCAUCGACAAGAUCAGGAGGGAAUCGCCCUCCCUCGUCGGGCGCGCUGAUAGAGACCGAGGGCCGGAUUGGGAGCGGCGGCCUCGGGGCCCUCCCUUGUAUUAUUUUUCUUUUUGGCUUAUCCUUUCUGCUUCCUCUCCUAAGGCCCGUCUCAACUGUAACCCCGGGCUCCUUCUUGUGCUAUAAAAGGAGGACCGGGGGUCACGAGACGGGGGGAGAGACUUUUUUCCUCAAGCCAGCAGCACACUCUCACACUCCCUUAGAGCACAACCACCCUCAAGAGACCUGAGAUUAGUUCCCUCUCUCGCCCAUCUGUAACCCCUACUACAGAACCCCGCGUGGGUAACACGAGCAGCCUCGAUACUGGACGUAGGGCCUUCUUUGCCCGAACCAGUCUAACCCCGUGUCUCCCACGCCACCAUCCGAAGCCUUACGCGCAUAAAAGAAAUUUACUAGUCUAAGUCUCGAUCCACAAAUCCUGACAACGACAGUUGGCGCGCCAGGUAGGGGACCUUUGCGCGUACGUCUCCGGCUUUAGGUGGCCAGCCACGACAUCAUCUUCGCUCCGGGUUCCUUGCUCCGCUUCAGGAGCCUGGACUUCCUCGCCACCGGGGAGGGGAUCGAACUGAUCCCUCUCCUCGUCUUGCCUGCUCGUCCCGCCAUCUCCGGCCCCGCCGUCGGGACAGCGGUGAGCGGCCAGGCGCGCGCCGGAGGGCCCUUCCCAAAUGGUCGGCUCUUUGGGCUGCGCAAUGCCGCGGCAACUUACGGUCGCCUCCUGACGCGGUCCAUGACCGUGUCACCCGCGAGCGGCAAACUCGCGGGCGUGGCGAGGAUGAUCUCUGACGUCGGCUCCAGCAACGGGAGCCACCACCCCUCGCGUGAGUGCUUCAUGGCCGAAGUGCACUCCGAGGGGUCCAACGACGAUGGCGCCGAAGGGAGACAGAGGACUCCUCUCCCGCACGCCGCAGCUACGACCGGGGCCUUGCCAAGGGCCCCGGAGCGCCUUCGGCAGCCAGAGGCGCACGCAGCAUCCCGCCAUGAGGUCGAGCGCCCCCGCCACGAAGGCGGAGCACGACAGCGGGCGCGCGACGUCCAGCAACGCAUUUGCGCGGACGAAGAGCGCCCUCAGCUCUUCGCCCACGCUAGCUAGAACGUCGCAGCUGUGGCGGCCCUACUCCGGCAACUCCCCAAGUCGGUGACGCCCGAGGAGCGACGGGCGCGUCGGGAGAUGCGCGACUUGCUCAAAUGCGCCGCCGUCCAGCAGGCGGAAAGUUCCGCGUCUCGACGACGCGGGCAAAACGCCAGCAGGGCGGCGCCCGACACGCCCCCGGAGAGACGGGGGGAGUCUGUCCACCAGCCUCCUCCUAGGGCAAACCAGGCCGCGUCCGUUCGGCGGACACCACCACCCGCGGGAGGCGGGGCUCGAUCCGUCCAUCGACGCGUCGGUCCCGUCCGCGACGCCCGCGACACCCUGGACGCGCGGAGGCGCUCCCGCGCGGAUAGGGAGGACGGGGUAGAUCGCGGCUACCACGUCCACCACGGCGGGCGUUACGACAGCGAGGAGGACCGCAGCCCGAGCCCCGACCCGGUGGGGCCGCGGGCCUUCUCCACGCGCAUCCUGAACGCGCCUUUUCCGCCGCACUUUAGGCAACCGACCAACGUAGCCAAAUACUCAGGGGAGACGAACCCCGGGGUUUGGCUCAGCGACUACCGGCUCGCAUGUCAAGCCGGCGGGGCGGACGAUGAUCUAUUCAUCAUCCGCAACCUACCACUCUUCCUGGCCGACUCGGCACGAGCCUGGCUAGAACAUAUCCCUUCGGGACGUAUCCGCUGCUGGAACGACCUGAAGGAGAUAUUUAUAGGAAACUUCCAGGGCACGUACACGCGCCCCGGCAACUCCUGGGAUCUCCGGAGCUGUCGCUAGGGAGCAGACGAAUCCCUCCGGGACUACAUCCGGUGCUUCUCCAGGAAGCGCACCGAGCUCUCCAACGUCGCGGAUGCCGACGUCAUAGGGGCCUUCUUAGCGGGAACCUCCUGCCGACCCCUCGUCCACGAGCUAGGGCGCCGAGGCCCGCGGACCACGGAGGAGCUCCUCAACAUUGCCACCAGCUACGCCUCGGGCAAAGAGGCUGUUGGAGCGAUCUUCGACCGCUCCAAAGGCAAGGCAAAGCGGGAGAAGGAUGCUGACGAAGGCACCUCCAACCGCCAGCAGAAGAAGAAGGGCAAACAGCGACGCGAGGCUCCCCUCGUCGCUGCUGUCGAGCGCAAGCGAGGACAGCCGCCCCGGGAGGGCACUCCUGGCUUCUUCGACAAAUUACUUGAGGGACCGUGCCCGAACCACGAGUUCCCCGCGAAGCAUGCCUACAAAGACUGCAACCUCAUGAAGAGGUACUUUGUAGGUAAUCCAGUGAAGGGCGACCGGAAGCGGAAGCCCGAUGAAGAGAAGAAGGGCGACGAAGAGAAGGAAGAUGGCUUCCCCAAGGUGGACGGCUGCUUCAUGAUCUUCGACGGCCCGGCGGCGUACGACUCCAAGCGCCAGCAGAAGCUGGAGCGUCGAGAGGUCUACGUGGCCGAGCCGACAACGCCAGCCUUCCUCGACUGGUCGGGACCGGCCAUCACCUUCGAUCGGUCCGACCACCUGGGAUGCAUCCGGCAUCCAGGACGCUACCCCCCGUCGUCGACCCCAUCGUCGGCACGACGCGCCUCACCAAGGUGCUCAUGGAUGGAGGCAGCGGCCUCAACAUCCUCUACGCCGAGACCCUCGACGCUAUGGGGAUUGACCGCUCCCGCCUCCAUCCCAGCAAGGCGCCGUUCCACGGCGUCGUGCCGGGAAAACAGGCGAUGCCUCUCGGGCAAAUUGACUUGCCCGUCACUUUCGGGACUCCUCCAACUACAGGAAGGAGGUCCUCACCUUCGAGGUGGUGGGGCUCCGCGGAACCUACCACGCCAUCUUGGGGCGGCCAUGCUACGCGAAGUUCAUGGCCAUCCCCAACUACACCUACCUCAAGCUCAAGCUGCCGGGGCCCAACGGGGUCAUCACCAUCGGCACAUCCUUCCAGAAGGCGUAUGAGUGCGACGUGGAAUGCUGUGAGUACGCCGCGGCCAUCACCGUCACGAGCGAUCUGGCGACCCAGCUCGCGGAGGGAGCCGAGGACCAACCCGACUCCAAGCAGUCGGGCACCUCCUUUGAGGCCACCGAAGGCAUCAAGGAGGUCCUCCUCGACCCCAGCAGCUCCGACGGCAGGACCGUGCGGAUCGGCGCUACCCUAUCCCCCAAAAAGGAAAGCGCGCUCGUCGACUUCCUCCGCGCGAACAGCGACGUCUUCGUGUGGAAGCCUUCGGACAUGCCCGGCAUUCCGAGAGAAGUCGCCGAGCACUCCUUGAACAUCAAGGCCGGCUCCAAGCCAGUGAAGCAAGGACUGCGCCGUUUCGACGAGGAGAGGCGCAAGGCCAUCGGCGAGGAGCUCCAGAAGCUUUUGACAGCCGGAUUCAUCAAGGAAGUGUACCACCCCGAGUGGCUAGCUAACCCUGUUCUUGUAUGAAAAAAGAAUGGGAAAUGGAGGAUGUGUGUUGAUUAUACCGGUCUCAACAAUGCGUGUCCAAACGAUCCGUUUCCUUUGCCACGCAUAGAUCAGAUAGUCGACUCGACCGCCGGGUGCGAAACCCUUAGCUUCCUUGACGCGUAUUCCGGCUACCACUAGAUCAUGAUGAAGGAAUCCGACCAGCUCGCUACCUCUUUCAUCACCCCCUUCGGCCCCUACUGCUACGUUAAGAUGCCGUUCGGCCUCAAAAACACGGGGGCUACAUUCCAGCGAUGCAUGCUGAAGUGCUUCGGGGACCUCAUCAGGCGGACCGUUGAGGCUGACGUUGAUGAUAUCGUAGUCAAAUCCAAGAGGGGCGACCAGCUCGUCCCCGACCUCGAACUAGCCUUCGAAAGGCUGAGGGAUAAGCGCAUUAAGCUCAAUCCCGAAAAGUGUGUUUUCGGAGUCCCAAGAGGCAUGCUGUUAGGCUUCAUCGUCUCCGUGCGCGUCAUCGAAGCCAAUCCGGAGAAGAUAGCGGCCAUCAGCGACAUGGGGCCAAUCCGGAACAUAAAGGGAGUCCAGCGCGUCACGGGAUGCUUAGCGGCCCUGAGUCGCUUCAUCUUGCGCCUUGGCGAGCGGGGGCUUCCUCUCUAUCGACUCCUGAAGAAGACUGACCGCUUCGAAUGGACCGGCGAGGCCCAGGAGGCACUUGACCGGCUCAAGGACCUCCUGACGAAGGCCCUGGUCCUGGUCCCGCUAACCGACGGCGAGCCACUCCUGCUCUACAUCGCGGCGACCACCCAGGUGGUUAGCGCGGCCCUGGUGGUGGAACGAGAAGAGGAAGGACACGCUCUCAAGGUGCAACGCCCGGUGUAUUUCAUCAGCGAAGUCUUGUCCGAGUCCAAGGUGCGCUACCUGCAGAUCCAAAAGCUCAUCUACGCCGUCCUCAUCACAAAGAGGAAGCUGCGCCACUACUUCACCUCCCACCCGGUAACGGUUGUCUCGUCGUUCCCACUAGGCGAAGUAAUCCAGAACCAGGACGCCACGGGACGGAUCGCGAAGUGGGCGCUCGAGCUCAUGGACCAGGGCAUCGCCUACGCCCCCUGCACCGCCAUCAAGUCCUAGGUACUCGCUGAUUUCGUGGCAGAGGGGACGGAGGUUCAGACGCCAUCGGCGCCGGAGAAGCAGGAGUACUGGACGAUGUACUUCGAUGGGUCGCUGAUGAGGGCCCGUGCCGGAGCAGGUCUCGUCUUCGUCUCUCCUCUAGGCAUGCGCAUCAGGUACAUGAUCCGCCUCCACUUUCCUGCAUCCAACAAUGUCGCUGAGUACGAGGCCCUCCUCAAUGGGCUUCGCAUCGCCAUCGAACUGGGCAUCCGUCGGCUAGACAUCCGGGGCGACUCCCAGCUAGUCGUUGAACAAGUCAUGAAGGAGUGGAGCUGCCACGACCCUAAGAUGGCAGCCUACUGCAACGAGGUUCGCAAGCUUGAAGACAAGUUCGACGGGAUGGAACUCAACCACGUCGCAAGGCGCUUCAACGAAGCCGCCGACGAGCUGGCGAAGGUAGCAUCCGGCCGAAUGCCCGUCCCCGACGGCGUCUUCAUCAGCGACCAGUUCAAGCCUUCAAUCCGUUACCCAGAGCCAGCGAGGGUCGGCGAAGCGCCCCCGGCCUUGGGGUUGGGCCCCGACCUAGAGGAGGUAGGCAGCGCGCCACCCAUCCCAGGCCCGGACACCAGCACCGACGGGGUCGGCACCGCUUCGCCCGACUCGGCCCUGGAAGCCGACCCCUCCGACCCCAUGGUCAUGGAAAUCGCGGCAGACCCCGUGGCGGGGCCUGACCCCCCAGCCGACUGGAGAGCCCCAUACCUCGACUACCUCAUCUGCGACACGCUUCCGGCGAACAAAAUGGAAGCCCGUAGGAUCGCGCGUCGCGCCAAAUCCUUCGCCGUUAUCGAUCAGGAGCUCUACAAGAGAAGCCACACCAGCAUCCUCCAGCGCUGCAUCCCGAUCAAAUAGGGAAAGGCACUGAUCCAGGACAUCCACGCUGGAGCCUGCGGCCACCACGCUGCGCCAAGGACCCUCGUCGGCAACGCCUUCCGGCAAGGCUUCUACUGGCCGACGGCGGUCGCCGACGCUACCCAAGUAGUCCACACCUGUGAAGGGUGCCAGUUCUUUGCGCGCCAAACUCAUCUACCCGCGCAGGCGCUCCAGACCAUCCCCAUCACGUGGCCGUUCGCGGUCUGGGGGCUGGAUCUCGUCGGGCCCUUCAAGAAACCGCCCGGGGGCUUCACCCACCUGCUUGUCAUCGUCGACAAGUUCUCCAAGUGGAUCGAAGCAAGACUGGUGGCGCAAAUGAAGUCUGAGCAGGCGGUACAGUUCUUCACCGACAUCAUCCACCGCUUCGGAAUCCCCAACUCCAUCAUCACCGACAACGGCAUGCAAUUCACCGGGAAGAAAUUCCUCCAGUUCAGCGACGACCACCGCAUCCGAGUGGACUGGUCGGCCGUGGCACACCCCCGCACGAACGGGCAGGUCGAGAGAGCCAACGGCAUGAUACUUCAGGGUCUCAAGCCACGGAUCUUCGACCGCCUGAAAAAGUUUGGCGGACGGUGGGUCGCCGAGCUUCCAGCAGUCCUUUGGAGCCUGAGGACAACCCCUAGUCGGGCGACUGGCUUCACCCCGUUCUUCAUGGUCUACGGGUCCGAGGCCAUCCUGCCCACCGACCUGGAAUACGGAUCACCGAGGGUCAAGGCGUACGACGAACAAGGGAACCAAGCAUCGCUCGAAGACGCACAAGAUCAGCUCGACGAGGCCCGCGACGUGGCCCUGCUGCACUUGGCUAAGUACCAGCAGGCGCUACGGCGUUACCAUAGCCGCAAGGUGCAAGGCCGAGCCUUCAACGUUGGCGACCUGGUGCUCCACCUCGUCCAGGAUAACAGGGGUCGGCACAAGCUAACUCCCCCAUGGGAAGGUCCUUUCAUCGUCGCGCAAGUACUACGGCCAGGCACCUACAAGCUAGCGACCCCCGACAGGCAGAUCUUCGGCAACGCUUGGAACAUAGAACAGCUAAGGCGUUUUUACCCCUAGUUUUCAUUUCCAAGUUCUGUACAUAGACUUGUCUGUAAAUCUAAAGUUCUCUUUUUUGCGGAAAAAGAAAUUUCAAGCCGAUUCUGUUCAGGCUUUUCCCGUCGAGCUCAGGGAUAUCCGACCCUGGCUUCGCUCCAGGGUCGCAUAUCCCUCGGGGGCUAUCAGGGGCUCCGGCUCAAGCCACUUGGCACCAUCUAAAAAACGUUUUUCCUUCCGAACCGAACCCCCCUUUCUGAACUUUCUAGGCAUAAAAAGGAGAAGGUGCGCGAACGGUGUUCAGGCAAGAUUGAUCGGACUGUGAAAAAACCUACGCCCCAACGGCUACGGUACCUUCGCUCAUCAAAGCUUACUGACAUGCCCGACAACGCACUCUAAACUUUCCAAGUGCAAAAAACAAGAAAGGGGAUCGGAAACUUUUGCACAACAAGUUAUAGGAAAGGCCUCUAUGGCCAUCGCGAAACAAGUCUGAAACUAAUGUAUUUACAUCUGGGGCGCCAGCCCGAUACAGUUAGUUCACCGGGGGAUCUUCGGGAGGGAUGGCCUCAUCCUCCAAGAGCUUCGCCAGGGCCUCCGCCGGGUUGAACACCGAUGCGUCGAUCUCAUCCAGUUCGGCCUCGGAGUAACCGGCGGCGUAUCCUCCGCUCAUCCCGGCGAAGUUGAUGCCGGAGUAGUGGGAGCCGAAGACCCCGAAGGCUCGCCUCACGCCGGUGUGGAGCGCCUCCAGGGCGAUCUCGCGGGCUCGGCGGUAGGUCAUGAGGACAUGACUCACAAGCGAGCUCGUCCCCUCCUCCUGGACCACGCUAAGGCUGUCACAGACGAUGCAGACUGCAUCCCGCAGGUUGCCAUGCUCAGCGCAUUCCGCGUCGAGCGCCUCCCUCAGCCGGGUGAGCUCGCCUGCAAGGACCACCCAGAAGAACCCGCUAAAUCAAAAAUCACCGCAACAUCGCAAAGACAAAGAAAUGAACAGAGUCUUACCCUCGUACUGGGCCUUCAGCUGGCGCUCCUGGGCCACGGACGCCUGAAGCUCCCGCGCUUGCGCUUGAAGCUGACUGACCUCCGCCCGAAGGUCAGCCGCCACCUUCUCGGCCUCCUCCUUCCGGACCUUCUCAGCGUCCUGGUCCUGCCAAGCCUUUUGCCGCUCGCGCCGGAUGCGCUCGACGGUCUUCUGAAGGGCUUCAUGCUCCCCAUUCAGCCGUGCGAGCUCCUCGGCAUUGUGGUGGGCCUUUUCAGCAGCGGCCUUGAACUCCUCGCGGUCGAGGCAGGCCUUAUCGACGACGGCUUGGAAUUUGGCUUCCGACCGUCGCACCUCCUCCUGCGCCGCUUGCUCGCGCCUUUGCAGGUCGUUAAUGACCCCCUGGGCGGCAGCAACCUGCAUGGAUAGCUCCCUGGUUCGCUGGCUCUCCAAGUUGAAGCGCUCCCAGAGCCCCUGCUCCAGCCGGAGGAAAUCAGAUUUCCCCUGACUGCAUUCUUGGAGAGCCUACAAAGCAAUACACCAUCAGGGGCAAGGUAGCGGGAAAGGGACAAUCACCGACAGGAGGGGCGACGUACCUGGCUACCAGGGAGGACGACAUUGUCCAACUCCCCCAACACCGAGGACAGAGCCGCGCAGGCGCUGGCGAGGCUGCCCUUCACCGCCUGCCACUUGCGCCACUCCGCGGCGUCAUCCAGGGUGAAGAGGUGCCUCAGCGGGUCCUCACGGGACGUCCAACGCAGGACAGACCCCCUCCACGCCCUGGGGGCGGAAGUGGCCAAAGCCGAAGCGGGAGUCGACCCGGAAGCCUCCGGGUUCGCCGACGGUCCCAGCGCCUGCGCCCCUGUCGCUGUCAGGGCCGCCGCGGACCCGCUCGACGGCGCCACCGCCCCCGACGCGGGCGGUGGAACAAGUAUCCCCGUGGUCACCUCGCCUUCUGCCGCGACCGCCAAGGCGGGCUCCUCCGCCCCUGCCGGAGCCUCUCGAGCGGGCACCUCCGCCCCCGCCGCCGGUGCCACCUCCGCCGGGACCUCCGGGGCAGAGGUCCCCGCCUCCGUCACCGAUGCCCCCUCUGCCACAGCCACGGAGGCAGACACUCCCUCCUCUGUCGCCGCCACCAUCCCUGUCGCGGCUACAGGAACAUCAGUCCCUGUUCCCGUCGCCGCCAUCCCCUCCGCCUCGUCGGCGUCGAGGUCGAUCACUUCCCCGGCCUGAGGGCCCUAGGGAGCGACGCUCUGCACCGAGAGGUUGACCAGGGAAGCAGAAGGCGGAGCGGGGUCCACGCCCUCUCUCGCGCCCGAUGGCGCCGCCACUCCGCCGGUCGCCAUCACGGGGGCCGCUUCCGUGGCGGGACCCGUGACCUCACCGGGGACCCCGCCGCUCGCCGCGGGCGGGACUGCGGUCCGCCCCACAUUGGCGGACGACACCCACAGUGCCUUCUUGGGCGCCAGCUGCAGGACAAGACCACGGGGGGCGGCGCUGCGAAACAACAAACAAAUGUUAGCAGAAACAAAUGCAAGGUGGGGAAAGAAGCGAGGUUCACGAGGAAAUCCAACUUACGUUCCUCCGGAGCAAGGACGACGCGCGCGCUUCGCCUCGGAGCCGGACGCUGACCCCAGGGCAUCCGGCAACGGCCGCUUGUCGCCACUCCGCUGCUCUUGAGUCUCAGGCGCGACGGAGGGGGCGGGCGCUGUGGACCUCCGGGGAGCGCUCCGCGCUGACUCCUGGGGAGCGUCCCGCGCCGACCCCUGGGGCAUGGCCCUGGAGCCUUGCGGAACCAAGCCCCGGGUAGACGAUCCUUCCGCCUCAUCCCUCACGGCCGUUUGCGGGCGCGCCUCCCGGAUUACGAGCGCACCCGACCGAGGGGACGAGACCAGCUCUUCCUCCUCCUCAUCAUCCUCCUCGUCUUCCUCCUCGUCAUCAUCAUCGUCAUUGUCAUCAUCGUCCGACACGACCUGCCCUUUCCGCCGCCGUUGGAACUCCUUGGCGGCCUUCUUCCUCUUUUUCGCUGUCUCCCUGUCCUUACGGCGAUUCUGCUCUUCGGCAAGGAGACGGUUUUACGUCCGCCGAUCGACGUCCUCCGGCACCGGCGGAUGCGAGUCCACAACCCAGGUCAGCAUGCCCUGCCAACACAAAAAUGGCCCCGCGUCAGAGCGACGACCAUGAGGCACGAGAAAAGAAGGUCGGCGCCCCAAUCCCUUACUAGGUCGACGAAGCCCUCGUCCGGGCGCAUCGGCGGGUGCCCGGGCACCGGGUAGUCAGCGUCCUUGUCCUCCAACGCCUCCCGAAUCUGCUGUCGGAUCUCGGAGGCGGCGAGCGCGCCCGCCACAAGGGCGGUGCCCUCGGUCGGUGCGCCCGGAGUCAUGGCGGCGAGCGAACGGACCCGGAGCAUCAGAGGCGCCACCCGCCGGGCAUGGUACGCCCCAAUGACCCCUGCGCCGGUAAGCCCUCUCCUCUUCAGCUGCUCGAUAGCCUGCAGCAGGUCGAGGAUCCGCUUCUUCUCCUUCUCGACCGGUCCGUACGACCACACCUCCGGCACCGCGUCGAUGGUGCGACCAGUAAAUUCUGGCAAGGGGGAGUUCGAAUAGUUCUUCACGUAGAACCACUGGUUGUGCCACCCCUUGUGGGACGCCGAGGUCUUCAUCGCCAUGUACUCCUUGGAGCGAGUAUGGCGGAGGUGGAUCCCGACGCACCCGAUCGGCACCGGGGGCGACCGCUGCUGGUUCCCCCUCCUCUCCGUUUUCUGGUACAGGCUCACCGUGAAGAAGUACUUCCACAGCGAGAAGUUGGGCUCGAUGCCCAGGAACCCCUCGCACAGUGCAACGAACGCUGCAAUGUGCUGGAUCCCGUUGGGGUUGAGGUGCUGAAGCUCGAGCCCGUAGUAGUGGAGGAGCUCCCGGAAGAAACGGCUCGGCGGAGUCGCGAACCCCCGCUCGUGGAAGUGAGCGAAGGAGACGACGUAGCCGGCGGGAGGCGUCGGCACCUGCUCCGACCCCGGCAGCUCCCACUCGCCCAUCUCCAUCCUCUCGCAGAGGAGGCCUUUCCUCACCAGGCCUUCGGCGCGCGAGGAGUUGAAGUGAGAAAUCCCCUAGGAUCCCAUCGCCGGAGGAGGAAGAAACUUGACGGGGACGGAAAGAAAGGGCGUAGCUCUGAGCGGAGGAAGACGAAGCGGACGCGGAUGAGCUGAGGACGAGUCUAGAGGGCGAAAAGACUUGAAAGCAGAAGGCGGACGGAACCAGCAAGGUGGAGCCUUCAUUUUUAUAGGGAAGGCAUGAAGGGAGCGGAACCGACGCCCCUGUCACCAUAAAUGCGGCGCCAGGUACGCCGCUGUCAAAGCCCACUUUCUUUUUGGAAACCGCGUGCAAGAUCGGCCGCAGAGACAUCCUCUCCUCCUCAAUUCGUGGAUCGGCGCCCUCCAUAACUCCGCCUCCCGGAAGACGCGCACACAACGUCCCCCACGUUCGGCCCAAGACGCAGCAUCCGCCCCGAUUCGGCCCAAGGCCCACUGAAAGGUAAUAAGGGAUACGGGGCUAAAAACGCCCCUACGGCCCAUUACAGUCCAGAGGUUUGAAGGCUGGCCCGCUACGGGUUCGACAGCCCGAGCAAGGGGUGAGAAGGGACGAGUCCGCUAGCGGCCAACACCCAGGCGAGCGAAAGCCAAGGGCGUCCCGACCUCACGUUCGAGUCCAGACCGGCAUCAAAAGUUCAUGGUUUUUCCACGAGGAAAGGCAACGAGCCCCCGGAUCCGACCGAACGGACUCGGGAACUAUAUGAACUGGCCGACUGGAGCCUGGAGUACGCCACCAGCUUGGCCCGAGCCGGACCCCCCCGAACGGGGACCGGGACUCCACUCGAACCGACCCGUUCGCAGCUCAACGAGCACCACGGUUCGUCCACCGAGGAUAGCGUGGCACGGCUCAUCCCCUCCGUCCCAGCGAACGACCGCUUGAGGGGUAACGAUCAAAAGCCAAUCUAGCCUCCCGAUUGGUCUCCUGCAAUGCGCGGGGGCUCGGGGGCUAGCAUCGCAACCAGUGACCACGCGUGUGGUCGCGAUUUGAGGACUCAAGGUGGGAGCGCCCUACGGAGUAAUGAGGAGUCCUCCCGCAACAAGUCAUCCACAGGACGCCUCUCCUAAUCGAACUCCCUAGCUAAGCCGGACCAACAAUGCUCCCUACCCCUGAUCGACCGCAGCUCGCAGGGCGAGCAGAGAUCCCCGACGAGCAAUGAGAAAAGCCUUUGGAGGAGCACCUUUGCUUCACCACAGGCUCGGGGGCUACUGUUGGGGGGAAAUAUUAACGACCUCCCAAAACCGCUUAAAGCGACAGUCAUGAAGGCCCAGGCCCACCUACGGUAAUUAUGAUCACAUCCGGCCCAGUGAAGGUAGAGAACAUCCCACUCCGUCUCGCCCGGCCCAGGGCCCCGGGGUCGGACAAUCCCGACCCCUCGAUGGAGGGACUCCGCCUCGCCCGACCGCGGUCCCAGGGUCGGGAGCGCCCGACCCCUCGCCGCAAGGCUCCGCCUCGUCCGACCCGGGGAACCGGGGUCGGGAGCGCCCGACCCCCACCACAGAAACUCCGCCUCGCCCGACCCUGGACGCGGAGGUCGGACUCACUCGGGUCCACGAGACGGAUAUUCCCCUCGGGCGCGGACCGGAGGAUAAGGAUAACGAUCUCGUGGGUCCCCCUAUCGACCUCACCAUAAAUACGCCGCGGCCCUGUCAAGCCACAAGGGAGCGGCGUCCCCAACGUAACUGGUCACGAAUACCGGAGCACGGCCGUGCGGCGCGGGCUGCAGUGGCCACGGCUCCUUCUGAUUCGCCACAGGGUACUCAUGAGCCGCGCCGAACGACACAGGAGGACGCAUCGCUUGCUCUCGCGCCCCGUGCUCCUAACGGCAGCGUCAGGGAUGCGACGUCCGGGUCUUACGGUAAUCGGCGGGGCAACAGAAUCAGGCCUCCUCCCCGGUGGGCACGGAUGCCGAGGCUGAGGCUCAUCAUCACUCUCGACGGCGACGGCGAUGAGGGAGAUCAUCGACAAGAUCAGGACGGAAUCGCCCUCCCUCGUCGGGCGCGCUGAUAGAGACCGGGGGCCGGAGCGGGAGCGGCGGCCUCGGGGCCCUCCCUUGUAUUAUUUUUCUUUUUGGCUUAUCCUUUCUGCUUCCUCUCCUAAGGCCCAUCUCAACUGUAACCCCGGGCUCCUUCUUGUGCUAUAAAAGGAGGACCGGGGGUCACGAGACGGGGGGAGAGACUUUUUUCCUCAAGCUAGCAGCACACUCUCACACUCCCGUAGAGCACAAGCACCCUCAAGAGACCUGGGAUCAGUUCCCUCUCUCGCCCAUCUGUAACCCCUACUACAGAACCCCGCGUUGGUAACACGAGCAGCCUCGAUACUGGACGUAGGGCCUCCUUUGCCCGAACCAGUCUAACCCCGUGUCUCCCACGCCACCAUUCGAAGCCUUACGCGCAUAAAAGAAAUUUACUAGUCUAAGUCUCGAUCCACAAAUCCUGACAACGACAAGCCCAUACCACCAUCUGCGAGAAUUUGAGCAAGUGUGUUCAUGCUACGCUAUCGCGAGCAUGUCACAUGAAACCCUCAAGUGGAAGUUGUUUCCUUUUUCUCUUGUAGAAGGGGCUAAACAAUGGUACAUGCAAACCGUAGGGGGCGUGAACGGUAGCUGGGAUAGACUUAGAGACAAGUUUUGUCUCUCAUUCUUUCCCUAGUCCUGUGUUGUCGCUCUACGAAGGGAUAUCUUCAGCUUUCAGCAGAAUGAGAAGGAAUCCAUAGGUGCCGCUUGGGGCAGGUUCUCACUCUUAGUGAAGUCCAGCCCUGUCCUGUCAAUUCCCGACCAUGUGUUCCUUGAGCAUUUCUGCAUGGGUCUCAACACGGAAUCCGCCCUUUACCUUGAUGUUACUGCUAGAGGGUCAUUUGCCCACAAGGCUCCAGCCGAAGGUAGGAAAAUCUUAGAUCGUAUCACCAAAAACACCACCUUAGUGGUCGAGUCUAGACCCUCUCGAGAAGAGCAUAUGUCAAGCCAUGAGGACAUUCUAGUAGCUGAAUCCGAUCCUUCACCUUCCACAUCCUUAGAUUUAGCCCUAGAACUUUCUCCUAAACCAUGAGUUUCAGAGGAAGAAGAAAUUCAACCUUCAGAGCUCCCUUUAGAAUUCAAGGAUGAUCUCUUUGAAGAUUUCGAAAACACCUCAAAUUAUCUUUGCAAGAGGAAACCGUCGGUACCCGUCCCUCCUGAUGAUCCUAUAGAAGCCACCUUCCUAAGGGUAAACGUUAGGAAGCUGACGGCCAUUAUGACUAGUGAGUAGUCGAGGGAGCUGGAGCUAUCGUCAGAAGUUCCUCAGAUGAGCUCCCCUCCAUCAACCAUUCCGUGUGCCAUAAGAGGAAACCCGGUAAACAUUCUCUAUAAUCCCACUGUCGGAGCCAACAUCAUCUCCAGCGAAUGCGUGAUGCAACUUUUUGGAGACGAGCCGUUGGUUCCGACCGAUAAAACUUUCCAAACCUCCUCUAGAGAAUUCCUGGAAGGAGUUGGGAUUCUGCAGCACAUGUCUAUUAGACACAAAGACAUCGAAGCAGUCCUUGACUUUCAUGUUUUUGAUGUACAAAGCUUCGAUCUCAUGAUCAGGCAUCCCAUUGAGAAGUUACUCAUAGAUGCUCCGACUCAGGAUAAGCUUGAUGCCCGGUUAGGGAUGGAAACCUUUUCUAUCCAGAUCUCUAGAGCCAAAAACUUCAUGACAGAUCCUUCCCUUGAUUCUGAGCCGAUCGAAGAGGUGAUGGGAAUUUCUCCUUUCGAUUCACCGGAAUCCCACCUUAAAAAAGACGCUGAAAUAUUCAUGGAAGAGGAGGAUGAUCUCGCCGAACCCAUAGACGUAUCCGAGUUUGAGAUGCCUCCUAGAUCUCCGAUCAAGUUAAAAACCUUACCUGCAAGCCUCUGAUACGCCUUCCUCCAUGGUGACACGAGUCUCCCACUAUCAUUAGUGACAAACUUUCGGAAGAGGAAUUCGCGAGACUCAUCGCCGUCCUAGAGAAACAUCAAACCGUUCUUGGAUAUUCCCUCCAAGAUCUCAAGGGAAUUAGCCCAACUCUUUGUACCCAUUGCAUCCCCUUAGAUCCUACCAUCACACGUUCUAGGGAACCUCAAAGGAGGUUAAAUAAUGCGAUGAGGGAUGUUGUUAAGAAGGAGGUCCUGAAACUCCUACACGCUGGGAUUAUCUACCCCGUGCUGUAUAGUGAGUGGGUUAGCCCCGUUCAGGUAGUACCUAAGAAGGGAGGAAUGAUGGUUGUCACCAAUGAAAAGAAUGAGCUAAUCCCGCAACGUCUUCCUACUGGGUGGAGGAUGUGCAUAGAUUAUAGGAAGCUCAACAAGGUGACAAAGAAGGAUCAUUUCCCGUUGCCCUUCAUUGAUGAAAUGUUGGAGCAGCUUGAAAACUGUUGACGCUGGAAUUUGACACGUGUUUGGAAUCGGCGUCAAAGAAGAAGGAAGGCGGCCGACGCGGCGGACUAGAGGCUACAGUUGGGAAUCGGCCGAUUAAAGCUACAGUGUUUCGGCCGAUUGGUGAAAAGAGUCGAUGUGGGCUGGCCAAUUGGGAGCAAGAGUGGCUUGUCUAGUACGGGCCUAAGGUGGGGGUCAGGAUGAAGAUCAGCUGAAGAAGGAGGUUGGCACGUUAGAAGAUAGUAACCGACUCUGAUAUGAGUCGUGCUUGUAAAUAUUUGAUAUUGUUUAAAGUUAGAGAUAAAUCCUAGUCGGUUAGGAAAUCAGUUGUAGUAGGGUAUAAAUAGGUUCCUCAUAAGGCUUGUAAAAAACAACACAUCAAUCGAUACAACAAAUCUACUUUUUCCUCACAAUUUACUUUCAAGUCGGCGACUUCGCCAAAACCUUUUAUUUUUCACGAGUUCGUACGAAUUGACAGGGCUGCAUCGACACGAUCUCCGGUCAAUUGGUAAGUUCUGCUUAUCGAGUAAUAUCUAAGCUUUAACUUCCAGCACAUCGCUGUUGUUUCAUUUAGAUUUAUUCACCGGUUAUCGAUAUUAACUAGAAUUAUAGGUUUUUAUCUAUUGUUUUAGUUUUAUCACCAGUUAUCCAGCUUGAAGUAUGAACUGUCAGCUUAUUAUUAUUAUUUUUAUUAAUUGUCAUAUAGUUGAUUAGAUCUGUUUCAAGUGUUGCUUUGUAGCGUUGUUUAAGUUGCUCCAGUAGUUUCUUUACAAUUGCUACGUGGUCAUCGGCUGUUCUAUAGCCGGUUACUUGCACAGUAAAUCGACCGAUUCGCCGAUAUGUUCUUCAAGAUAGAUCGGAACUUUAGCCGAUUGAGACCCCUGGAAUUUAAUAUGUUUCUUUCCUUGUCAAUCAGCAGAUCUCAAGGACGACUAGAAGGAAGAGAUAGCAAGGGUUUUGGAAGAAUAUAAGAAGACAUGCCUACAGUCCUUUAGUCGAACCAGGAGCGGGAAGACGAUCAAGAAAGCUCCUCUGCCACCUCCUCGCCACAUCACCGUCACCGAGGACUCAGGAAAGAUGUCUGAUAUGAUACAACAGUCAGUCUAUCAAGCCAUGAUCGACCAGUCUAAAGUGAUGACUAACACUGUAUACAACACCAUCGUCAGCUCCAUGGUCAACGGCGCAGUUUAGGGGUAUCAGGGACUAGCUUACGCCCCUCCCAUCGUGGCACCAAUGAGAAGCUUCUCAAUGGUGCCAAACACAUCUCAUUCGGCUCCACAGCCGAUGCAGAUGCAAAAUGGAGGAUACAACACUUCAAUACCCUUGGGAUAUAACGGCGCAACGCUCUAGCAGACACGAGCACCAUUUUACCCUUCACCAAUUCUCCCUGCACAACCGCCAUUCCCAAACAUGCAGACUAACCCCUAGGUCUAGGGUUUAAUCACGUAAAGGUCUUGGGUUUUAACACUAAGGUCCCUGAUGCAACUUUCCCAAAAGCAAUUGGGUCCUCGGCAGCGCACGGCGACGGGGGGGCAAAAUCCUGGCGAUGCGCCGGCGACCUUGGGACGGUGAGUGGCCGGGAGGGCUUACGGGCUCACCUUGGUCCGGUUUGAAGCGGUUGGGGGCGACGGGGAGGCUUGGCUAGGGCGGAACGGCGAAAGGGCAGAAAGCUUCGGUGGCGGAAAAGUCUGGCGGUGUUCCGGCGGCGGUGGCGCUUCUCGCGGGCAACAAGCAAGCUCUAGAGCUGCGCGAGAGGGUGGCAACGUGGCUGGUGGUGUCGGCGAGGUGCGGGGUUGGGCGGAAGGGGGAGCUCCAGGGGGAGGCUUGGCCGGGGCGGAACGGCGGAAAGCUUCGGUGGCGGAGGAGUCCGGCGGCGUUCCGCCGGCGGUGCCGCUUCUCGCGGGCAACAAGCAAGCUCUAGAGCUGCGCGAGAGGGUGGUGACGCGACUAGUGGUGUCGGCGAGGUGCGGGGUUGGGCGGAAGGGGGAGCUCCACGGAGAGGGUGUGCGGUGGAGCGGGGGAGGGGGGGUGGAAACAGGGGAGGCGUGGCGAGGUUCGGGCGAGCGGGGAAGAGGGCAAAUGGGUACUUUCACUUGCCUUUAAUGUUGACAAAGUUCUUCCUUAAGCACUAAUGACUUGUUCAAGAGUUAAACACAGCUUAAUUAAUCUAGGUUGUUACACAAUUAUUAUAUGUAAACAUUAUUUGAAUUCUCUUCUUAUCAAAAGAAACAUCAUCAUACAACAAAUUGUCAUUUUUCAGCCAUAUGGAUUGAGGAGCAGGCCUCAAAAGAAACGAGACAAGAACAAGAAGUUAGAGGGCCGAAUCAUCAUCACAGAAAUUGCUGAAGAUGGUGAACCGAUUGCUCCUGCCAAUGCUAAGAUAAAAUUGGUGAUUCAGAAUGGGUUUCUUGUCAGAGAUAACAUCCUAAUUAGCUUUCAGAAUUGGAAAAAACAUGACAUCGUCGCUUCAACAAGCAUGGUCCCGGCCACCAUAAGCUUCGUACAUGACCUAGAGAAGAAUAUGUUAUGGGAACAGUUAAAAGAUAACUUCACGUUCGAAGGUGUAGAGGAAGACAAAGUGAAAGAAUGGGGCUUUAAGAAGGCUGCAAUUGCUUUUCAGACGUACAAGAAAAACUUGAACAAAGAGUACAUAAAGAAGGGGUUUACACCUGAUUUCAAUAAGCACCCGAAGUUAAGGGAUCAUUGGGGUUCCUUUGUACAGUUCAAGAAAUUGGAAAAGAGCUAGUUGCAAACUCAUACCAACACCGACAAUGCUCACAAGAAGCAAUACUUUCAUCGUCUUGGGACAAGAGGUUACAAGUCGGGGAUCAUGAAAUGGCAAAGGAUGGAAGAUGACCUAAUUUCCAAGUGAAUAGUACCACAGACUCUCGAAUGGCCUGAGCGAGCAAAGAAUUGGUUUUAUGCUCAUGGUGGUAGGCUCAAUCCCGAAGAUGCAUCAAUUGUGUUUGGCAAUGAAUUAAGACAAGCGGCUACGAGACUUGAUGACUUAGUAAAGAAAACAGCUAAUGGAUCCUUCGUGCCUGAUCGAGAGAGGGGCAAGCUGAUUAUGGUACUUGGAAAUCCCAAACACCCUGGACAAUGCUGAGGCAAACGAGUGAUUGUGUGGAAGUUUGCCUUUCGUGAGCACAUUGAAUCAUGUAGAAGUCGCCAAAGAAGUAAGGCCAGCCACACAUGAAAGCUGCGAGAGUUGCAAGAACAAGUAGCAGCAUCAGAGGCAAGAAUGGAGGAAAUAAUUGACCGACGUGUGGCGCUACCUCUGAGCAAACAAGCCAGUGAACAAGCAGCUGCUGCAGCAUCAGGGUCACAUGUCGACGUAAGCCCGACUCAGCGUCGAAGCAGUGUCGCUUCCAUGGAAGCCCCAGCUGGAGGAUCCUCUGAGAUACUUGAGGACAACCAACGCCACCCCGUGGACGACAUUACUGCGAGAGGACCUUGUGAGCUUGUUACUCCCAUGAAAAACAAGCUCAUUGUAGUGGCUUAUAGUGUGGAUGAGCAACCGACGCAAGGCCAAACACUUCAUGGCGUGGAGAUUCCAGCUCACGGUUAUGCCAAAGUUGGGUUGGACCGAGUGGUCGACAGUUGGGAUGAUCUGGAACUAGAGAUCCCUGGAGGUGACGGGGAAAAGAAUCUAGGAGAAGCCAUCCAUGGUUGGAUUCUAUGGCCCAAGCGCUACAUAAGGAUUACGCAACCGAAUCCCCCGAUCUUAGGAUCAUCUCCUCAAGGAUCAAGGGCAAGAUCACCUACGCCAUCUGUCAGGGCACCCUCUCCACUACCAAACAGGGAUCCUAGCAUGAGUUCAGUACCAGAAAGGGAUCCAAGCAUUGAGUCCACCUCCACCUUCUAUGAAGAAGCCUUUAGUUCCACCUCCACCUCCUAAGAAGAAGCAGAAGGAGAAGCCACUAGCGGAAAAAUUACCAUAUGAUUUGACAGAUGAGGAACUCAAGGCAGCAGUGGAUGCUGAGAAAAAAAGCAUGGAGGCAGGCUCAAUCAGAAGCAUGGAGGCAGAAACAGAAAGAGUAGCCACCACUUAAUAAGGGUAAACUUCAGGCUUUCAUCAGAAGCAUGGAGGCAGAGCAAAGGACCAAAGAAACCACCGCUAUCUGAUUACGACAGGCAAAUAACAAAGCAGGCUUCUAAGAAGAGGAAGAAAAGUGGGUCAACUAUUCCUCAACUCGGAGCCCAAUCCAACCAAUCGGUUGCCCCGCUCAAGGUGCUUUCUAAGUUUGAUAAGAACCUGCUGCAAUUCGCUAAAGAUACAAAACUCACCACAACUCAACUUUGAGGGGAGGAUCACAUCCCAAAGCACCCUGGGGCUGCUAAAUGGAAAUAUGAGUAUGGGAAACCGCCUGUGUGGCCGCAGUUGGUGGACCGUCUUCCAACGAAGAUGUACAAGUAGCACCAAUAGUACGUGGAGGCUACAGCAGAGGGAUUUGCCAUGCUCGAAGUUCGGAUUGGUGAUCAACAUUUUUUCCGUGGGGAUGACAUCAUAAUUGUGCUGCUAGAGAAACUGUAUUUCCUGUUCAAUCAAGACGCACUUGACAAGUCACUCCUCAGUUGCUUGGUUCUGUAAGUCUUUAAUAUAUUCCUCUAACUUCAAAAUCCCCGCUCUAGUCAAUUUGCGAUGUCUUAACUUCUAUUCAAUUUUGUAUCAUGCAGGAUGGAGAUUCAAACUUGUCGGAGGAACGGAUACUAUGACGUAGGCUUCAUGGACCCUGAUGUUGUAAACGAGGCAAAUCUAAGAGAUAAACCAAAUCGGACCUUGAAGAAUAUAUAUAUAAGUUCCUCAACAAGCAACAUUACAAGCACCUACUAAUACCGUACAACUUCAAGUGAGCGUGUUUCCCAUCUCUUUCAUUUUCAAACUAGCAGUUAAACAUGAGACUAACUAGCUUUAAUUUGACUGUACAGAUUCCAUUGGAUACUCAUUGUUGUUGUGCCUAAUAUUAGCGCCGUAUAUGUCUUCGACUCUUUGAGGAAACCAAAACAAGAAUACAAUGACAUCAUAGACGCUAUGAACAAAGCAUGGGCUUGAUUCCGUCAAACUCACGUGGGUGAAUUCAAGGAGGAACUUGAAUGGAAGACUGAAUUCCCGGUAGGUGUUGAAUUUUCACAUCUCAUGACACUUCCUUUAACACAACAAAUAUUUCAUAACUUUUUUUCCAUAUAUAUAGUGUUCGAGACAGGAGCCGGGUACUAAUUUAUGCGGGUACUACGUAUGUGAGUUCAUCCACGGCUUUAUACAUCCGAAUCGUAUGACCGACCACGAAUUAACCAUACGUAUACCAAAUUCUCAGCAAUAAAUUGGUUCUACUUAGAAAUCAAUUCAUGUGUAUAUACUUCAAAAAUCAAUUCAUAUGCUAUUUCAAUUUAUUUGCUUAUAUUUCAAGUAAGUUUCAAUUGUGCAAACCCAUUGAUCUACUAUAUAUAUAAUAAGCUUUACCAAUGACACAGUUGAUGUACAGGAAGGAUAAACUCAUCGACACGGAAGUUUUCAGGGGAAUACAAGAACAACUUUGGAUUUCUUCUGGAUGAGGUCAUAAAUCUAGCGGGGGAGUUUCAUAAUAUUGGAUCAAAUCUACAUCACCGUCAGGGCUCGAGUUCAGAAUAGUAGAUACGAUAUGUGUAUGCACAAUGUGUGUGUGUGUAUAUAUAUAUAUAUAUAUAAAUAAUAGUAUCUCAAAUGUAAUAUUUAAGAUAAAUAGAACUUCAUACAUAUUAGCGUAUUAGAAAGGAAAAAAUACGAAAUACAAAUAUAGAAUAAAGAAACAAAAAGAGAAGAAAGGAAAAAAAACAAAUUAGUAUCGGUUGGGGAGACCAACCGGUAAUAAUUAGGCCACCCCCGCACACGAUACCUGAUCCCUCCUCUAGCACCGAAUUGCUAGUACCGGUUGCACAACCGGUACUAAAGGGGGUUCCGGACCGGUACUAAACGGGGAUUCCUAGUAGUGUAAUAAUGAUGGCAAAUAAGUAAAUACCCCACAAAUCCGCAUACCUCAAUCAACCUCGAGCCGAUUCAGAAUUAUCGUUUCACUCUGUUAUUUUUUAAUCUUUUUUCCGUGUGUCUGAUUUAUGCGGGAGGAGUUGGGAGUUCCUGUUGCAGAGAGUCACGGGAGCAGAGAUUGAGAGAUGGCUGCUGCUGAAGUAAAUUCAUUGAUUCUGGUUAAUUAUAUAUCAUUUGCUAUUUCUCAUAAAUCGUACUCAUAAAUCAUAGUCGGGAAAUUACGCCAAUCAUUGUUGUCCUCAAUGAGACGACCAGACGAGUAAGACGAGUAGGCCAGAGUAGUCCCCGUUUUUUCUUGCAACUGUAGUUUGAAACAAGAAUGCUCGACUUACCUCAAUGAGAACAGCUAGGAAAGACAGCGCAAUUCUUGUGCUGACAUAGCGCCAGCGGCUGAUCCAGUUGAACAUCUCUUGGCCUGCACCUGCACUGUUCUAUUGUAUUGGGGAUGGACUGAUAGUUACCACAAGUUUACAGAUAUGGUUGCUGUGCAACUCAAGUGGAACCAGAUGGUUAAUAUUCAGUGGUGAGCCUGCAGUGAUCCCUACAUAUUCAGCAUUUCCUAAUGAGUGUCAUGCCAAUGGUGGUUCUGUAAAAAGUGCUUGCCGAACCUUUUCAUUGAGUUGGAGUUCAGGCCUGCAUCUAUUUCUCAAAUUAGUGGUUUCACAUCAUAUCUUGAUUGGUGGUAAAUGCACAUGGUUUUCAUAGGACCUGGAUGACAAGCUGCACACUGAAAAUUCGCAGUGGCAUUUCAGAUAUGAUGCUUCACAAGUUGUCAUUUAUAUCUUGGAGAAAUGCGCAUUGGCUGUUAUUCACUUAUAAUCAUGAGCUAGACCAGUGGAAGCUCUCAUUUGUGUCUCUGAUAUGCAUCUACAUGAAUAGUUGCUGUUUUGCUAGCAUCAGUAUGUGGCACAAUGGAACGGUUAAUCUGAUCUGGUGGCGAAAGAAUAUAAAGCUGAGGUUCUGUGAUCUUCUGUACAACAAUUUCCAGAUGGAUAAGUCAGUUGCUCAGUGGAUUUGUUGGAAUUUACAGAUUACGGUUGCAUGGAUCUUCUCACGUUUAAGUAUCCUACCUGCCUAUUCUAUUUGGAUGCAAUAAAACGGUGAUAGUUCAAUUGGCUAGCUGGCCUCAUGUCGUGAUCUGUGCAGUAUAUUGGCUUGAUGCAUAUGAUAGCUGCUUGUUUUACAACUGCGAAGGCUGAGAGUUAAUCCAAGAGUCAAUUUCAGUGGGUAGCAACCAUGAGCUUCAUCGACUAUCUCGUUUUGGUAGUUCUAACUGACAGGUUUACUGAAUCUCAUCUUCUGCUCUGUAUUCAUACAUGGGACCCUGGAAGCAUCAAAUUAUCCCCUCGGGAGCAAGGCGGUUUUCAUGGAAGGGAAAAUGUCAAGCAAUUACAAGGAUCAUGUCAUUGCAACUUCCACUUAUGUCUGGAAAGGCAUGAGCAAUCUCUACUGCUACCUUCUCCAAACAUAUUGACUGAGCAACAUGUCAUCAACUUAUCAAAUGGAGUUUCACAUGCUGGGAUGAUAUACAGUACGUUUCAACGGCAGCCCUAGGAUUAGAUUUGUUAUUUAGAGAUAAUAUUAGGUUAGGUUGGUUCCUUAGUUCUAGAGAUUGGUUUCUUAGAAGUCAUCCCAUCCAUGCAAGGAUUGGAUUGUAUCUCUUAUUCCUGCCCUCUUAGUGCGGCCGCCAGGGCAUUGGCAUGGUUACGCCGCAUGGGUUCAGGCAAUCUAAAGCGUGCAUGAACAGUGCGCCAGCCCAAUAAUGGGUUGGUGCUGCACCAGCUCAUGGGACCCUAAUGGGCUGCACAUGACAGCACCUAGGAAGCAGACACUUAAAAUGAAAAUGUGUUUUGCAUUUGCACGCUUGGUCAAUCAAAAACCCAUCGAAGCAGCUAGCAGAAAAACUUUCCAGGUAAAGAAUGCGCCAUAUGAACUAGCGCUGACAGUCUAAUGUGUGAUUUCAGUGUGAUGAACUUGCUCCGUUUCUCUCGAAAUUGUAAGCUGGCAGUGAAACUACUACUACCCUCCCCAGUAUUGCUGCCACUGCUAGUACAUCCGUGUCCUUUUGAUUAUGGUUGCCCAAAAAAUCACUUAUAAACCAUCAAUCUAACAAUUGGGUAUAUGCAGGCAUCUAACACAAACUAAUUUCUUGGCGGUGGUUGUCAUAAAAGCUAGGUACUGGCCAUUUGCCACACACUAAAAUUUAAUCUAAAAGAUACCAUUAUUGAGAUGCAAAAUCUAGUAACAGUAUUUGCAGUAAACUCUCCUAGGUACAUACCAAUGAGCAAGAAAAAGAAGGUGGUCGAGUAAAUAAUCAGUCAGUCACUGCACGGUGACGGCCUUUUUCUUAUCAGGCAACCACGAGUCAACGCCAACAAGUCUUAGAAGGGAAUUAUAGGAGGUGGAUUAACUAUGAAGAUCAAUUAACUACCCGCAUUUACAUUUAUGAAUAUUCCUGUUCUAUACUGUCCCUAACCCACAUUUAUGAAUAUUCCUGUUCCUAAACUGGCUAAACUGCCCGUCAUGCACACACUUGUCUGAUGCAGCCAAGCCAAGCAAUGACCAUUCCUAAUUACUAACAAAAUACUGGCAGAACCUCAGCGAAACAGAUAUGUUGAAUAUUAUGAAAGUACAACAGCCAGUAGAGUAGCAUACAAAUUUCUUAAACGUCAAAGCAUGAUCAAGCACUAAGUAACUUACGGGAAAACAGCAAUAAAUUCAAGCACAAUUCAAUCUGUCUUCCAGAAAUUAUUACACAUCAAAGGCAUACCAUAGGCAAAAGAUCACCAUAAACGCCUGUAUUCUUGAAUCAAUGCAGCCAGUGACUUGUGCAUGCAUCAUCAAAUCUUAAUGUGGCACACAUCACCUUUCAUGUUGCCAUCACUCCAAAACAAUUCAUUCCUCAGCAUCCCUAACUUACCAUCAGUUACUGAAAAGAAGUAAAAAUAUUGUUAAUGAAGGAUAUGUACAAUAACAUAGCGCUUAUUCUGAAAGACAAGAAAAGGAGCAUUUAGAUGGAAUGAAAUCUCUACCCUAAAUAGUAGCAGUUUAACAUUUUCACGCUUAUGUUCAAAGAUACUCCCUCCGUUCCAAAAUGCAGGUCGUUUUGGCUUUUCUAGAUACAUAGAUUUUGCUAUGCACCUAGAUAUAAGGUUAUGUCUAGAUACAAAGCAAAAUAUAUAUACCUAGAAAAGCCAAAACGACCUACAUUUUGAAAACGGAGGGAGUAGGAAGGAAGCAGCUUGAUUUCGAUGGAAUCAUUUCCCAAUAAAAUAAUUGCAUUUCUACUUCCAUAUCUACGAUUAUGUUCAUAUUUUCAAAUACCCCACUAAAUUCAACUAUGGUAUAGUCAUAUAGGACCAGAGCCUCAUAGGUAUGAGGUUGGACCAUAUUUUUAAUUAACCCAGAGAUAAUGUCAUAUUCUGAAAAGGGUCCAGCUUUAUACGCAGUAGACCUAAAUCCUAUCUGUUAAAUUGGGCAAAUAACAGGUGGAAACUUAAACAUAUUUGCAGAUUUAGGGGAGUGGUAUUUAGUAUUUACUUAGCAAUGUAACACGUCAACAAUGGACUCAAUAGCAUUCAGAAGAUAAGAAACUGAAAUGCAGAGGAAGGAUGAGCGAUGGACAAUGUUAUGACUCGAAACAGAGAACAACCGAGGAGAACCACAGGGAGCCAGGGGCUAUUACGUUUCAACUAUAGAACUACCAAUGAACCACAGAUGACGAAGCAUGCCAAAGUGCACAGCAAACAAUAAUAUUGCAAAAAAAAACGAAAAAGAAGUGUUUUGAUCACUAGAGAGCUAGCUGAACUCACUCACAUUUCAUUGGAGUCUAUUAAAAUGUAAAAUGAUAGAAACUACAACAAACAAUAACCAAACAUUGAUAUAUAUAACAGUAAAGGGUGAAUGCAAUUCAUCGCCAAAACUCAGGAUUGAAUGCUGCUGAUCACUACAAUGUUCGUUCCUUACCAAUUUUUUCUAUAAAGCCAUUGGAUUCGUUGCUGCUAUCUUUAUGCUAAUGAAGAUGAAAUAUGGCAGCUCUAAUAUAAAUUACCUUGAAGAAGUUGCUGGACACGUCUCAUACUCGGGAGACACUACCAUGGCAACGGAUGACACUGGCACAUGGUUCCCUUUCAGUUCCAAACUCAGUCACACCUUUCAGUUGUCUGUUUCCCAUGUCAACUUCAAGAACAUAUGCCUUAGGCUGCCGGAAUUCAGCCUUGGCAAUCAAGAAGACAACAUUUGAAUCAUCCAUGCUGGGAGUGGGUAGAAAAACAGUGACGUUCUCCAAGUUUCGCCCUGGGUCGGCAGCCACACUGUUGCCCUGUGAUGGUGCCUUCGGCCACAGCAGUUGGUACUCCAGCAUUUGCUUUUGCAUCUGUUCAUUUAACUUGAUGUCGUUUGCGUGGAUUGGCGGGUAGUCAGCCUGCCAGUCCUCAAAGGAAUUGGUCAGAUUGCAGUUGCUCCAUUUGGUGAUCUCCCAUCCUUCAAAUCUAUAAGUGGGUAUCCCUCUUUCCUUGUCUGAAGCAGGAAGGCGUUUGUAGGUGGUAUCCAAAUCAACAAACCUGAGGCAACGCUUUUCCUUGCUGAAGGCAAUUCCCCGGUACAGCUUUGGAGAUCUAAACUUGAUCCGAGACUCACCAUUAGGUAGAUACAUUGCCCUCGGCAACGGCAAAGGCACGCCUCGGAGCUUGGGGGCGGGGAGGAGCACAUCGCAGAGAAGGAUACCCCUCCAGAGAUCGACCCAGCCCAUGGUACCGUCUUCACCCCCAAGCGUGAUCACGGUGUUUGUGGUAUGACUCAAAAGCCGACAAGCAUCCGUAUCCCUUGGGAUCUCCAUUGGGAACUCGCUCUGUGGCGCCUCCAGAGACACAUCCUUGGAUGUCCACCUCCCGAUCUCUGAUUGUAACAAGUGAAGCGUGAACACCUCAUCGUCGCUUGUGGGCACCAGCGCGGCGACGGUGUAGUGGUUACCCCGAGGUAGGAGGCCGAUCUCGUCGUCACGGAUGAAGAAAGGGCUGGGGUUGGGGAUUCCGUUAAGCGACGCGCUGUCGACAUGGUAGAUGAAGUAGUCGCACUCCUCAUAGAGGAUGGGCUCACGGCAGCGGAUGGCGACGCGGAAGAGGAUUAGGCCUUCCACCACGCGCAGGAUGCGGGGAAGCUGCGAGAAGGCGCUGGAUUCCAGUUCGGGGCAGUGCACGUACAGGCGGGAGGGGAGCGGUGGGCGCUCACUCCAGAAGGACGCCACGAUUAUCUCCAUCUUCCUCGUCAAGCUAACGGCGGUGGUGUGGUUGGGCUUGUGGCCGAUGUAGGCAUAUCCGUCGAGAAGGACCUCCUCCAAGGCACAGGAGGCGGGAACAGGGGUGGCGGUGCCANNNNNNNNNNNNNNNNNNNNNNNNNNNNNNNNNNNNNNNNNNNNNNNNNNNNNNNNNNNNNNNNNNNNNNNNNNNNNNNNNNNNNNNNNNNNNNNNNNNNGAGGCGAAGAUGAAGGGCAGCGGAUUGGAGGAGGAGGCGAAGAUUGAGUUCAUAGUCAAAUCCGUCGGCGGAGAUAGGAAGACUAAGAUGGAGAUUAAGAGGAUGCUCAAGAAGGCCUUUCGAGAUUUUGAAUGAGCCCCUGUCAAGUCUCAAUCGGAGGAGGCAAAGAUGGAGGACAGCGAAUCGGCUGUCGGAAAUAGGAAGACUAAGAUGGUGACUUAUAGGGUUGACAAGAAGACCAUUGAUUUUUUGAAGAAUCAUCCCCCUCUCAAGCCUCCUCCCAUCGGCGCCUGUGAGCCUGAGCUGCGCCAACGCUUUAUUGAUAUUACUGCUCCCUAUGUUGAGGUUGAACGUGUGCUCCUUGAGUACUUGCAAUGCCAUUACUCCAUCAAGGGGUAUGCUGAGGUGCAGCUGGAGGUCACCGAUGACGAAGGCGAUGACCACAAGUUGGUGUAGCACUGUUGUCACGUGUGGUUGGUGUGGUAACGAGUUAAGGCUGCCUAGCAUAAUAAUAAUUUUAGUAUAAGUGAUGAACAACCUUCGCUUGUUCAGAGAUAUUCAGCUUUGUUAGCUUGUACUAAGAGUAUUUAAGGGGAAGGGGUGGCGUUGGUAGGGUUCGGAAAUGCUCUUCGUAGGUCGGUGUGGUAUAGGCCUGAGUGCGGCCCAUUAACGAAUGAAGGUGGCAGCCCGUAGCCCGCGGACGGACACAGGUCUUUUGUUUUUUAUUUUCGUUUGCUUGCUGUUACCGGUACAUGACAGUGUUGGGUAUGGUUCACAUCAACUCAUAAUAAUACUUAGAUCUGUUUCUUUAAUUCUUGAUGAUUGCAUCUACAAGUGAUCUAGAUCUCUAGGAUAAGCAUUUUAUCUAUCCUGUGCACACAUUUACUCUCUCUACUCACUUUGGUCUAGAUUUCUUAGUUUAAUUGGUUAGAUCAAUCUCAUCGUACACUAAGUUACUUAGAUUAGUGCUUAGUUAAGCAUGCAAAUCCCUUGUUCUGUGGAUUGUUAAACCUUGGGAAAUCUCUAAGGGUCUGUUUGUUUUGUUGGAAUCAGAUGGAAUUGGAAUUAGUUUCCAAGGUCGACAUGUUUGGCUCCCCCGGAAUUGGAAACGAACAUUCCUCAGGAUUCCAGCUUAGCCUACCGCACAUUCCGAACAAAAAACAGGAAAUGAUUUCCCUACCCGACGGCCUCCCCUGACUCACCUCCCUCGACUCCUUCUCACCCCCGACCCGCCGCCCCCGACGGACUCCCCGAGCGCUACGCUGCCGCCUCCCGCGCCAUGGCCCCCUCCUCUGCUAGCCCCUCUUCCUCCUCUGCCGCCCCCUCCUCCUUGUUCCCUUGCAGCGAUUCAACGAGGUUUGCCGCCAUGGAGGCAGCAGGCGUGACACAUUGAGGCGCGCGUGCGGGGGUCGGGGCUAGAGCCGGGCACAUGGAUCUGGAGGCCGCGGGCGGCGCGGCGGCGGCGCACGGGAAGGUGAGGCAGCCAGCUCGUGGCCUGGGGUACUUGGAUUUGGAGCGCUGGUCUAUGUUGGGUUGUGGGGCUUCGCUCCUCCAUUUCUUGACUGCUUGCUUGAUUGCUGUUUCUUCUCCCGCAGAGGUGGCGCGGGAAGUCAUGGCGUGCGAUGUUGCUGCUCGCAUACCAGAGCCUCGGGUGGUGUACGGCGACAUGGCCACAUCGCUGCUCUACGUCUACAAGAGCGCCUUCGUCGACAACGACAUCCAGCACCCGGCGGGCAAUGAGGAGAUCUACGGCGGGCAAUGAGGAGAGGAGAUCUACGGCGUCCUCUCCUUCGUCUUCUGGAUGCUGACCCUCAUCACACUCCUCAAGUACGUGCUCAUCGUGCUCCGUGCCGACGACGGCGGGGAAGGUGGCACCUUCGCGCUCUACUCCCUCAUCUGCCACCACGUCCGCACGAGCCUCCUGCCUGGUGGUGGCACCAGAGAUGAGCUCAUGGAGGAAGAGAAGGCCACGAGGCGCCGCGGUGAGCAACCCGUGUUGAGGGUCAGGGCAGUCCUGGAGAAGUACAGGGUGCUACAGAGGCUGUUGCUGCUGUUUGCGAUAAUGCAUCCAAAUAGCAUUUGGAAUUUAAUUCUAAGAAAAACUUUCUGGGUACAUCCAAAAAAGAAAUUUCAAUUGAAUCAAAUUCUAUGGAAUCCAUUUCCUAUGGAUAGGAAAUCUAAUUGCUAGAAUAAGAUUCAUGGAAUAGAAGUUUCAAUUCUAGGGAAACAAACGGGGCCUAAGGGAAAAUCUACAACUCAUUUGUGCAAGGAAAAGAUUAGGGAUAAAUCAAGCUUGGAACAUAUUUAAUAGAUUAAUUGAACAAGGACCUAAGCUUGAAUUCUCAGGUGAUGUGUUGUUGUAUACAUUCUAUUUUCACUAACCUAAAAAUAUCAGAAUGUGUGCAGGAGGAGACCUUAUGGAGAAAACACUCAAGGAGGCUGCUCAACUAUUAUAUUGGGAGUUCGUCCAAAUGUGUGCAGGAGGAGACCUUAUGGAGAAAACACGCAGGGAGGCUGCUCAACUUUUAUAGAAGAUUAGCAGAGGUGCAGCUAUGAACAGAGAAUGGGAUAGCUAUCAAUCUGGAGUGUAAAAUCAAGGAAAUCAAGGAUAAAUACUUGCUAGAAUUUUCAGAAAAGAACUCUAGAAGGAUAUUGUUGAUGGCUCAUAAGUACCAAAUUUAGGUCGUCAACUCCUGCAUAAACACAUAAAAAACGAGCAUCAACAGUAGUGGUAGGAGUUAUUACUAACAAAUUCCACAAGUGUUGGUGAAUAUUUGUAUGCAGGUCCAUUAGAGGAGAAAACACACCCCAAGAGAAAGGAAACACACUCUCAACCAAUCAGGAGCAAGCACACAGAUUGAAGAGCCCACAAAUGGGAGUAAACCAAUAAGAGUCACCGCAAAACACCACGUACCCACAUAGGGACUCACCUGGUAGGUACCCAGCUAAAGGCGGAUGCCUAAGGUGGUUCCUCAGGGUUGGCCGAACCCCUAGUGGCUCUGUUCACCUCUAGUCGCCACGUGUCGCUAGUUACCGACCUUGCAAUGGCGGUUGUGGAAGAUUCCCCGGAUAUUCCCCUCAGGAACUGACCCAAAGUGCCUAUAAAUAAAAGGGGAGGGGUCUCAUUUCAAGACACGCCACCAACACCACUCAAGAGGAUUUUAGAGCUUCAUUGCAAAGGCGGAGUGCUGCUUAACUAGUGCUUAGAGUAGGAAGAGAGUGAGGGGUAGCUCGAGGAAGCGUCGGGUCUGUCGGCGCCCUUCUCCAAGCUUGUACCUCUACAAAUGCUGGCUUUCUUUGGUAUAAAGUAAGUUCGUAUUCGUGAUUACUGUCUCAUAAUAGUUCCUAUAGUUGAGUGAGAUCAGUUCUCUUACUCGCGGGUUCGUCGCUCCGUAUUUAUACGGAGUGUUGUAUGUUUGCUACGGGGCGUCAGAUGUAUUUAGACUGCUGUAGUAAUCAGUAGCGUAGACAUGGUGUCUAGACUAAGGGUUAUCCUUCGUUUGCUUUAUAUCCCACGGGUUGCUAGAGGUAGGCAGUAGGUGGUGACAACCCUAUUGGUCCUUUAUGAUCCUCCAUAUUUGGAUAUAGCGUAGAGCCGUUGGCCGGAGAUGCCUGACGAAUUCAAGGUAAGCCGGUGCCCGAAGCGAGUUCAUUAACCAAGAGAUCGACCUUUAACUCCCCUAUAGAAUUAUCUCUAGGAAUCCUCUAUACCUUCGCCAUCUAUCUUGGUGUGUCCUUGGACCGACUAGACUAGGAUUUAGUACACACAUGUUCCCUUGGAUUCGAUACCCUUGGAAUACUCUAAUAUGAAAGCUACAAUGGUAUCCGUGCGCUUGCGGAUUUAUUCGCAUUCGUUAAAUAUACCAACAAGCUUUUUGGCGUUGUUGCCUGGGAACGGUUGUUGUAGCUGUCUUCUUACCUAGUCAUCCUUGUAUCUUUUUAGUUUUCUUUCUUCUACCUUUACCCCCGCUAUCAUGGAGCAGCCUUCUAUUCGAAACCUAUCUUCUCCUAGGGGUGAGUUAUGUGAGCCAUCACCAUCGGAACACCCAAUUCUCACAUCCGGCUAUGAACUCCGUCCCGACCUUAUCACUUUGAUUCGGGAACUUUCCUUUUUUGGUUUAGAUAGUGAGAGCCCAUACCACCAUCUGUGAGAAUUUGAGCAAGUGUGUUCAUGCUACGCUAUCGCGAGCAUGUCACAUGAUACCCUCAAGUGGAAGUUGUUUCCUUUUUCUCUUGUAGAAGGGGCUAAACAAUGGUACACGCAAACCGUAGGGGGCGUGAACGGUAGCUGGGAUAGACUUAGAGAUAAUUUUUGUCUCUCGUUCUUUCCCUAGUCCCGUGUUGUCGCUCUACGAAGGGAUAUCUUCAGCUUUCAGCAGAAUGAGAAGGAAUCCAUAGGUGCCGCUUGGGGCAGGUUCUCACUCUUAGUGAAGUCCAGCCCUGUCCUGUCAAUUCUUGACCAUGUGUUCCUUGACCAUUUCUGCAUGGGUCUCAACACGGAAUCUGCCCUUUACCUUGAUGUUACCGCUAGAGGGUCAUUUGCCCACAAGGCUCCAGCCGAAGGUAGAAAAAUCUUAGAUCGUAUCACCGAAAACACCUCCUUAGUGGCUGAGUCUAGACCCUCUCGAGAAGAGCAUACGUCAAGCCAUGAGGACAUUCUAGUAGCUGAAUCCGAUCCUUCACCUUCCACAUCCCUAGAUUCAGCCCUAGAACUUUCUCCUAAACCAUGAGUUUCGGAGGAAGAAGAAAUUCAACCUUCAGAGCUCUCUUUUGAAUUCAAGGAUGAUCUCUUUGAAGAUUUCGAAAACACCUCAAAUUAUCUCUGCAAGAGAAAACUGUCGGUACCCAUCCCUCCUGAUGAUCCUAUAGAAGCCACCUUCCUAAGGGAAAAUGUUAGGGAGCUGACGGCCAUUAUGACGAGUGAGUGGUCGAGGGAGCUGGAGCUAUCGUCAGAAGUUCUCCAGAUCAGCUCCCCUCCAUCAACCAUUCCGUGUGCCAUAAGAGGAAACCCAGUAAACAUCCUCUAUAAUCCCACUGUCGGAGCCAACAUCAUCUCCAGCGAAUGCGUGAUGCAACUUUUUGGAGACAAGCCGUUGGUUCCGACCGAUAAAACUUUCCGGACCUCCUCUAGAGAAUUCCUAGAAGGAGUAGGGAUUCUGCAGCACAUGUCUAUUAGACAUGAAGAUGUCGAAGCAGUCCUUGACUUUCAUGUUUUUGAUGUACAAAGCUUCGAUCUCAUGAUCAGGCAUGCCAUUGAGAAGUUACUCAUAGAUGCUCCGACUCAGGAUAAGCUUGAUGCCCGGAUAGGGAUGGAAACCUUUUCUAUCCAGAUCUCUAGAGCUAAAAACUUCAUGACAGAUCCUUCCCUUGAUUCUGAGCUGAUCGAAGAGGUGAUGGGAAUUUCUCCUUUCAACUCACCAGAAUCCCACCUAGAAAAAGACGCUGAAAAACUCAUCGAAGAGGAGGAUGAUCUCGCCGAACCCAUAGAUAUAUCCGAGUUUGAGUUGCCUCCUAGACCUCCGAUCAAGUUAAAAACCUUACCCGCAAGCCUCUGAUACGCCUUCCUCCAUGGUGACACGAGUCUCCCGCUAUCAUUAUUGAUAAACUUUCGAAAGAGGAAUCCGCGAGACUCAUCGCUGUCCUAGAGAAAUAUCAAGCCGUUCUUGGAUAUUCCCUCCAAGAUCUCAAGGGAAUUAGCCCAACUCUUAGUACCCAUUGCAUCCCCUUAGAUCCUACCAUCACACCUUCUAGGGAACCUCAAAGGAGGUUAAAUAAUGCAAUGAGGGAUGUCGUUAAGAAGGAGGUCCUGAAACUCCUACACGCUGGGAUUAUCUACCCCGUGCCAUAUAGUGAGUGGGUUAGCCCCGUUCAGGUAGUACCUAAGAAGGGAGGAAUGAUGGUUGUCACCAAUGAAAAGAAUGAGCUAAUCCUGCAACGUCUUCCUACUGGGUGGAGGAUGUGCAUAGAUUAUAGGAAGCUCAACAAGGUGACAAAGAAGGAUCAUUUCCCGCUACCCUUCAUUGAUGAAAUGUUGGAGUAGCUUGAAAACUGUUGACGCCGGAUUUUUACACGUGUUUGGAAUUGGCGUCAAGGAAGAAUGAAGGCGGCCGACGCGGUGGACUAGAGGCUACAGUUGGGAAUCGGCCGAUUAAAGCUACAGUGUUUCGGCCGAUUGGUGAAAAGAGGCAAUGUGGGCUGGCCAAUUGGGAGCAAGAGUGGCUUGGCUAGUACGGGCCUAAGGUGGGGGUCAGGAUGAAGAUCAGCUGAAGAAGGAGAUUGGCCCGUGAGAAGAUAGUAACCGACUCUGAUACGAGUCGUGCUUGUAAAUAUUUGAUAUUGUUUAAAGUUAGAGAUAAAUCCUAGUCUCUUAGAAAAGCAGUUGUAGUAGGGUAUAAAUAGCUGCCUUGUAAGGCUUGUAAAAAACAACACAUAAAUCAAUACAACAAAUCUACUCUUUCCUCACAAUUUACUUCCGCUUAUCGAGUAAUAUCUAAGCUUUAACUUUGGUACGAUCUCCGGUCAAUUGGUAAGUUCCGCUUAUCGAGUAAUAUCUAAGCUUUAACUUUGGGCGCAUCGCUGUUGUUUCAUUUUAGAUUUAUUCACCAGUUAUCGAUAUUAACUAGAAUUAUAGGUUUUUAUCUAUUGUUUUAGUUUUAUCACCAGUUAUUCAGCUUGAAGUACGAACUAUCGGCUUAUUAUCAUUAUUUUUACUAAUUGUCAUAUAGCCGAUUAGAUCUGUUUCAAGUGUUGCUUUAUAGCGUUGUUUAAGUUGCUCCAGUAGUUUCUUUACAAUUGCUACAUGGUCAUCGGCUGUUCUAUAGCCGGUUACUUGCACAGUAAAUCAGCCGAUUCGCCAAUACGUUCUUCAAGACAGAUCGGAACUUUAGCCAAUCGAGACCCCUGGAAUUUAUUAUCUUUCUUUCCUUGUCAAUAAACAGGUCAGAUUGACUAGCAUGCCACACGAACCGCACCAGGCAAUAACCCGAACAGGAGUUAAGCAGAUUCUCCCGGGUCGUGUGUCCGACGCUGAGAGUCGUCGGCCGAUUUUUAGCGUCAACACACUUUUGGCACGCCCGGUGGGACCGAAGCAAUAUCCAUCAUGUCAAAGGCUACCGAGAUUUCUAAAGAUAACAUCAUCGAAAUCACUGAAGUAGAUCUCAAGGACGACAGAAGGAAGAGAUAGCAAGGGCUUUGGAAGAAUAUAAGAAGACAUGCCUACAGUCCUUUAGUCGAACCAGGAGCGGGGAGACGGUCAAUAAAGCUCAUUUGCUAACUCUUUGCCACAUCACUAUCGCCGAGGACUCAGGAAAGAUGUCUGAUAUGAUACAACAGUCAGUCUAUCAAGCCAUCAUCGACCAAUCUAAGGUGAUGACUAACAUUGUAUACAACGCCGUCGUCAGCUCCAUGGUCAACGAUGGAGUUCUGGGGUAUCAGGGACCAGCUUACGCCUCUCCCAUCAUGGCACCAACGAGAAGCUUCUCGACGGUGCCAAACAUGUCCCAUUCGGCUCCACAGCCAAUGCGUAUGCCAAAUGGAGGAUACAACACUUCAAUGCCCCUGGGAUAUAAUGGCACAAUGCUCUAUUAGACACGAGCACCGUUUUACCCUUCACCAAUUCUCCCCGCACAACCGCCAUUCCCAAACUCGACGCCGUGGGGAGCAGCCGCAACGCCUGCCAAUUAGGACCCGUCAACUAGUUACGGAAAAUCUCCAGUGGAGGUGCUCUUCCAGUUGGCCCCUCGGCCGAGAGCCACACAAUACCAACAGCCCACUACAGAAAUUGGCAGGGGGGCAAGGGCUCCAGAACCUCUCAGAACUGUGGCACCACUGGUAUUGUACGUAGAGACGGCAGACCCACUACGACAAGUUGAUCCCGUGCUACAUCAGCCAUCGGCUCCUCAGCCGACAAUCCAGCCACAAGAUCCGCAGCACGUACCUGCCUAUCACCCAAUUGCGGUACUGCAAGUCCAGCAGCACAUGUUGAUUCCUCAACCGAUUGUGCAUCAGCAACUACCGCAUCAGCAACAAGUAGACUGGACCACAAAGGAUAACUAACACAAUACAGGACCAGUUUGGGUUGAAACCAAUGGUACAGACGUACACGUACAAGACACCAUACCCGUCCGCUUAUGAUCUGUUGCCGUUCCCUCAUCGGUACAAAGUAGCCAACUUCACUAAGUUCUCAGGCCUAGAUGAUACGUCUACGGUUGAACACGUCAACAGGUUCAUCAUCCAGUGCGGAGAAGCUGCUACACAAGAUGCCCCGAGGGUCCGGCUAUUCUCGUCAUCUCUUUCCGGAUCGGCCCUUCAAUGGUUUAUGACGCUACCUCCCAACUCCAUUGUCACUUGGGCCGAUUUGGAAAAAUAGUUCCACAAGUACUUCUAUGUGGGGAUCCAUGAGAUGAAAAUUUCAGAUCUAACCAGCUUCAAGCAAAGAAGUGAUGAGUCAGUGGCCAGCUACAUACAGAGGUUCAGGGAAAUUAGAAACAAGUGCUACACCCUGGUCUUGACCGAUACGUAGUUGGCCAAUAUUGCUUUCCAAGGACUCCUGCCACACAUCAAAGAGAAGUACGUCUCCUAGGAGUUUGAAAACUUGAGUCAGAUCGUUCACCGACUGUCCGGUCAGGAGGUGCGCCCUUUCGACCAACGAAGAAAUUUUCAGAAAAAGGUGGCAUACGUGGAGGGAUCUGAGUUGGAAGAAGAAGCAAAAAUCGGCCUAGCAGAAUGGGUGAAAGGGAAAAAGCCAAUAUCGUGCACGUUCGAUAAAAAGGAACCAGAAACAUUUGGCUUCGACACAUCAAAGGCCGACAAAAUCUUUGACUUGUUGCUUCAAGAGGGACAGAUCAAGCUUUCACCUUACCACACGAUCCUGUCGGCCGAGCAGCUUAAAAAGAUGAAAUAUUGCAAGUGGCACAAUGCCACAUCUCACGAUACGAAUGAAUGCAAGAUCUUCUGACAACAAAUACAGUCAGCUAUCGAGCAGGGAAGGCUCAAGUUCGAAGUCCAGCAAAGCCAGCAAAGCCGAUGAAGAUCGAUCAGCACCCCUUCCCUGCUAAUAUGGUUGACGUAGGGAAGAACGCGCUACAAACCAAAGUGCUGAUGUCAGAAUCGGCCAAAAGGAGCGGUGCGGUGGAUCCCAGAAAUCAGACCUCGGCCGAAGACAUUAAAGGUAAAGGCUGGAUGGAAACCAGAGGCGAGAGCUCGGGGAGGCCGCGACGCCCCGACACGUGCAGGGAUCUACUCAACAAAUAUCAGAGGCAACGGGAGGACUCGAGGCGUCACGAGGAGAUGAUGCGCCUGCAUGAAGAUCACUUGAGGUACCCGUUUUUCAUCCACAGUUGGGAAAACAACCUCAGGUUACCAUCGGCCGACAAUUGCCCUGAAUGCAACGGUCAGUAUCGUAGCAGUCGGCCGUUCAAGAGAUCACGCUCCAGAGAGCCGAUCAGCAGAAACAGGCACAAGCAAGAAUAUUGGCACGUUUCAGUGCGUGAUUGGUUAGGGGGCAGAAUAGACCAACGCAAUCGGCUGGGGGGCAGGACCAAUGCACAUAAUCGGCUGGGAGAGAUGGCCGAUGCAAGAGUCUUAGAUGAAAACCCUCUGGGACGGGAGCCAGACUGGGAGCGUGCAAAACCGCCUAACAAACCAGUAAAUCCCAAAUGGUGCCCAGACGGUCUAACCAAGUCCCAAAAAAGGAGAGUCCAGCGCUUACGCCAAUGGGAGCAACAAGAAGAGGAACAAAGGCAACCGGUGGACAGAAGAGGCGACAGGUCUCGGGUUUGGCGCCCCAGAAGAAAAAACGACGAAGAAGAAGGCAAUGACCAUGAUUCGGCAGCUGAUAUCAACAUGGUGUUCAUCUUGCCGAUGGAGUUCAUGGCUCCCACUGACCGAGAUGAUGCAGCGGAGAUUGAAGAACAGAUGGCAGAAUUGGCUUUAGAGCCACUGACUGCCACUUUUGAGAAACCCGAAGAUGAUAAACGCCAGCAUCUCAAGGCUCUGUUCCUUAAAGGACACGUCAACGGAUGACCAGCCGCGAAGCUGCUGGUGGACGGAGGCGCCGCCGUGAACAUCAUGCCAUAUGCUACGUUCUGUAUGCUGGGCAAAGAAGAGGAAGAUCUAACCAAGAUAGACAUGAUUCUCAAGGAUUUCGAAAGCAACAGAUCUCCGGCCCGGGGGGCACUCUGCAUCGACCUCACCGUCGGUAGUAAGACCCUCCCCACCACUUUUCUUUUUUAUUAAUGGUAAGGGGUCCUAUAACAUGUUGCUCACGCGAGAUUGGAUCCAUGCAAACUGCUACAUCCCAUCCACAAUGCACCAAUGCCUCGUUCAGUGGGUCGACAACAGCAUCGAAGUAGUCACCGUCGACUCUGCCUACAGCGUUGCCGCAGCCGACGCGCAGCAAUGGAGUUGCGAAAAUGUCAGAUGCAUAUCUGGUAGAACUUGGGACAUUGAUUUCCUAAAAGUGUCUGAUUUUGAUCUACAGCUGAUCCAAGCAAUCGGCUCUGAAGAAUCAAAUUAAAUGGAUCAGUUCGUCCGAGAAGAUAGGAAGCUUGGGCACGGUUUUACGUCGGCCGAUUCAUUGGAGAUGGUGGACCUUGGACACGGCAGCAAGCCAAGGCUGACGUAUAUCAGUGCUGAGUUAGACCUCGAGUAUAAGCGUGAGUUAACAUUUCUUUUAAGAGAGUUUAAAGAUUGCUUUGCUUGGGAGUAUCACGAGAUGCCUGGUUUAGACCGGUCUAUUGUUGAACACCGGUUGCCUAUAAAACCAAGGUAUCGGCCAUAUCAGCAGCCUGCGCAGUGUUGUAAUCCUAAAAUUUUACCUGAUAUAAAGGCUGAGAUUACAAGAUUAAUCGAAGCGGGGUUUAUUCGGCAGUGUCGCUAUGCCGAGUGGAUUUCCAAUAGUGUGCCCGUCUACAAGAAAAACGGAAAGCUACGCGUGUGCAUUGACUUCAGGAAUCUUAAUCAAGCCACACCAAUGGAUGGAUAUCCGACGCCGACGGCCGAUGUUUUGAUAGACUCGGCUGCAGGACACAAAGUCAUCAGCUUUAUGGAUGGUAAUGCUGAAUAUAAUCAAAUACUAAUGGCCGAAGAAGAUAUCUCAAAAACAACCUUUAGAUGUCCAGACCAUCUCGGUUUGUUCGAAUGGGUGGUGAUGACUUUCGGUCUGAAAAAUGCUGGAGCUACGUAUCAACGGGCCAUGAAUUACAUAUUCCACAAACUUAUUGGUGUCCUGGUGGAAAUCUACAUCGACGAUGUCGUAAUCAAGUCAAAAGGACACCAGGAGCAUUUGGCCAAUUUUACGCAAGGUGUUGGAGUGCACAAGGAAACAUGGGUUAAAGAUGAAUCGUAACAAGUGUGCCUUUGGGAUUUCGGUCGGCCAAUUUCUAGGCUUCAUGGUCCACGAGCGCGGCAUCGAGAUCAAUCAGAAAAUUAUAGCCGCCAUCAACAAGGUCAUGGCCCCACAAGACAAAAUCGAGCUACAGUCCUUAAUCGGCAAGGUUAACUUCAUCCGGCGAUUCAUAUCAAACUUGUUUGGACACAUUCAAGCUUUCACCCCAUUAUUGAAACUAAAACCUGACCAAGAUUUUGUCUGGGGAGAGGAGCAACAAAAAGCAUUGGACAACAACAAACAGUUUUUGGUCUCACCUCUGGUAUUGGUUCCUCCGCAGGCCGAUAAGCCAUUCAGAUUAUACCUAUCGGCCGAUGAACGGGCCAUUAGAUUGGCGUUGGUCCAGGAGUUCGAGGGGAAAGAGAGAGUAAUCUAUUACGUCAGCAGGAGACUUCUGGACGCUGAAACUAGGUAUCCCCCGGUAGAACGACUGUGCCUUUGUCUAUAUUUCUCUUGUACCAAGCUCAGGCACUACUUGUUAUCAGCCGAGUGCGUGGUGGUGUGCAAAGAUGAUGUUGUCAAAUAUAUGUUAUCACUGCUGAUUUUGAAAGGGAGAAUUGGAAAAUGGAUUCUGGCGCUCUCAGAAUUCAACCUAAGGUACGAAUCGGCCAAGGUCAUCAAAGGUCAAGUGAUGGCCAAUCUCGUGACUCAGCACUAUGGACCAGAGGUUGCCGUCGUCGAGCCAGCUCCGUGGAAACUAUAUUUCGAUGGGUCUUCGUGUGGGGCCGGAUCAGGAAUUGACAUCAUCCUCAUAUCGCCUCGGGGGGCAAGCUAUGAUUUAUCUCUGCCGAUUGAGGCAACCGCCACUAAUAAUCAAGCGGAGUACCAGGCCGUUCUAAAAGGCAUCUAAUUACUCAGAGAGGUCAAGGCUGACGUGGUUGAAAUUUUCAGGGACUCCAUGCUCAUCGUGGACCAACUAACUGGCAAAUCUGAGUGCAAGGAUGAUAUUCUAAGGAUUUAUUAUGAAGAUUGCCUCCAGCUGCUGAAGGAGUUUAAGUCCGCGGUGAUUGAGCAUAUUCCUAGAGAUUACAAUGAGGAAGCUAAUAGGCUCGCUCAGCAUGCCUCCGGAUAUCAGUCGAUUCAAGGAGUUAUGGCUGUUGAACUCGCCGAUAACAACUGGAGGAAGGAGAUCGCCGAUUACCUAAAGGACCCGUCCAAGAAGGUCGACCGACGAGUACGUUUUCAGGCUACGAAAUACGUAUUGCUUGAAGAUGAAUUGUUUAAUCGAACAAUUGAUGGGGUAUUACUCAAAUGCCUCGGAGCAGAAGAAGCAAAGAUUCUGAUGGGGGAAAUCCACGAGGGCGUAUUGUAACACCUCGUGUUAAUGACACCCUAAAGAUACCAAUGAAAAGUGGUAAUGAUGUUUGGAGCAAAAAGAAAGAAAUUUGACUCAAAGUCAAAUUUGAGCCGAAUUUAGCUAAAAUUGCGAUUUGGAGAUUUAAAUUUGGAAAAAUUUAGCAAAGAUAUGAAGUUGAGGCUUGAGAAAGUUUAGAACUCAAGGGAAUGAAGUUGGACAUUAAAUCAAUUCCUAAACUCCUCAAGAAAUGCAAUUGAAAAUGAGAAGCAAAUGAGUAUUGUUCCCUGUCUGAAAACAGGAAAUUCAAAAAAACUAUACAAGUAUCCAACAUGGAAAUUGAUGUCUGCCUAAAUUUCCAAGUAAGUGGACAAAGGCAAUAGCACAGUAGUGAAAUAUAAUCUUUGGACAAGUUUAGUAGGGUGUUGUUGAUCAGGAAUAGUGAAGGAAUCAAAUUUAAGUUGAGACUCAAAGUUAGCACUCUGGCAGUUCGGCCUAACUACUGAAACUGCAUUUUUCCUAAGUUUGAAAACAGCAGCAAGUGGCUAUGUUUGGGGCAAGAUUCAGAGAAAAGUAGUGCAAGAGAUAUAUAAGUUUAUAUGCAAAAUGGAAUCCCUGUUAGUUGUAGAGCAUGAAUGGUUAGUGUUGAACUAUAUGGAAUAAAUUUGAGCCACUGAAAUUGAGUCAAAAGAAGGGUAAAUGACCAUGAGCUUUGACUGUCGAACUGAAUCAGGGAUUCAGAACAAUUCCAUGUCACCCGAGAGAAAAACUCAAAAAUGUCAACUUUAGGAUGUUUAUCUCGGGUGAAAGCUUAUAUAUCAAUUGAAGGGUUUGAGUUUAUCUCCAAGUUUGCCUAAAGGACUUUGGGACCGUCGGAUUCAAAAUCGACCGUGGUUAAGGUCUGAAUUUUCGGACUGAAGGAAAGAGAAGAGAAGCGGCAGAACAGAGACGUGUCACCGCCGGCAAUGUCGCCAGUCUUCCAGCUCGACGCAUAGGGCCACCUCCUCACCACGCAAGCCUACGACUAGGCCAUGGUGUUGUCCAUGCGCGCGGUGAAUUUUUACCGCCGUCGCCCUUUACCGUGCUGUCUUUUUACCGCCGCCCGCAGUGCACGGCCAAGCUUCUGCCACCGAGCAAAUUUCCACCGCUACAUCACCUCCCGCCUUGAUUCCUUUCACCCACAUCCCCACCAACACCUCCUUGACCACCGUGCCUACUUGUUGUCCAACCUCCCCGCCGGCAAGCUCUUAGCCGCCGCUGUUUCCGUCCGCCGCUACCAAGCUUCCUGCUCACGGUGAGCUCUCCCUUGCCGUCGCUUUUGUUCCUUUUGGUAAGCCGUGGGUAAGUCCAUAGGUCACUAGGAAGCUGUAGAGGUAGUUAAAGGGCCGAGUGGUGCCGUUGCCGUGCUUGGCCACGGCCGCCCGUCGGUCAAGCUGCCCACCGCCAUGGAGAAGCUAGCUCCGGCCAUCUCUCGGGGAGCCGCCGCUGCCCACGGGUGCGCUGUGGCGUGGGGAUGCCUCCCCAGCCCGGCCCCGUCGCCGGUGGGGCGCCGGCUGUCGAGCCGCGCCGCCCCCUACCGCGCUUUGUUUUGGCGCGAGGAAGAAGAAGGUGCUGGCACCGGGGGGGCCCGCGCGUCAGUAGAAGAAGGGGAGAAGGGCCGGCCGGGGUAGGAGAAGAGGUUGGGCCGGUUCAGCAGGCCGGGCAUCGGAGGGAGAAAAGAAAAGGAGCCGGUGGGCUGGCAGGCAGUUAGGAAGGGGAGGGGUGUUUAGAGUCGGUCCAGUGGGCCAGCGGGUAAGGUGAAGAGGAGGAGUAGAUGGACCAAUGUCGCGGGCCCAGCACGAGUGAGAGAGGGUAGAGAGGAGGCGGCUGAGAAAAGUUGGGCCGGGGGUUUAGGGAUAAAUUUAGGUUUUUCUUUAUUAGAUUAAUAGAUUAAAUUCAUUUUUCACCAUUUAAAUCACAGAAAUUUCUAGGAGUGUCCAAAAUUAGUGAAACCAAUUUUGUUAGGAUUGUUUUAUUUUCCUUUAUGCAUUAAAAUUCUUAUACCUUAGGAAAAAAAAUAAAAUUUAGGUAUUUGUUUAAUGCCUUUUCCUUAAGGUAUUUAAAUAAAUACUUAACCUUUAUUAAAAUGCAUAAAAUAUGGAAUAAUGUUUUCGUAUUCACAAAUUAUUACUAAUCCAUAGGAAUUAGAUUUGAGAUUAGAAAAUAUUUAUAAUGUUUUCUAAAAAUAAAAGAAAAGGCUUGAGGUAGGAUUAGUGAAGGAAAUAAAAAAAUGGUGGGUUAAUUUUUUUCGGGUAUUUUGUGUGUUGGCUUUCAACUUUAUCAUGAUAAGUUGUGUAGUCACUUGUUGGCUUGCAACUUUGUCAUGAAGGAAGGUUGUAUAGUCUUGUAUUCAAAAAGUUGCAUCACUAACCCAUGCAUGUACUAUAUCUUAGACACCGAAGCACCUGAAGGAGAAUUCUUGGAAUUAUCAGAAGGACCUUCGGAAUUUGAGGAGAUCGUUGAAUUGAUCCCCUGUGAAGCCAGUCCGUUGGACAACGCUAACAGUUUUACAGAUCAAGGCAAGCCCCGGUGCAUCUAUACCUAUCUAAUUAAAAGUAUUAUUUCAUGGGUCCAAUUACUGGUUAUUUUUCUAUAUGAAUGCAUUAAGUCUAGGAAUUGAUUGAAACCUAUUCUUGUGCAUGAUCCUGCCUUGUUAUAAGGACAUCUUUGCCACUUGUUCAAUAAUUAGUAAUUAACCCAUGCUUAGCAAUGCUUAGAUACUUAAAGUAACUUGGUUACCGAACCUUAAGGUAAAUUGUUGGGUCAUACAUGCUAGAUAUGGAAAGAUAGCUUGGAAAUUUAGAAAGCCGACAGAAGCUAUAGAUGUUAGUUCUGUCUGCUAGAUUAAUUUGGUUAAGGCCCGAUUGUUGUCUUAACCUUUGAUCAAGUGAAUGUCACCUGAUUGCUUACUGGGUAUGGGACCAGUUGUUGAUGCCAGAUUUUGACACAUAUGAAAUCGGCGUCAAGGAGGGAAGAAAUCAGGAAAUGCGGCAAAAUACGGACGUCAUGAUUGGGAAUCGGCCGAUUGGUGCUACAGUUGAGGAUCGGCCGAUUGGUGCUGCGGUAUUUCGACGGAUGGAGUUGGUGAAAAUCAGCCAAUUGGGAGGCUGGAGCAAUUGGGCCAAUAUGGGCUUAAAAUGAACUAUGAAGAUAAAGGGGAGAUCGGCCCAUGGGAGCGCAAUGAUCAAUUCCAAUACGAAUCAUACUAGUAAAUAUUUGUUUUUGUUUAAAAUUAGAGAUAGAGUCCUAAUCGGUUAAGAGAUUGGUUGUAACAGGCUAUAAAUAGCUGCCUUCUUAGAUCUGUAAUCAUCAUCAAAUCAAUACAACAAACUACUAUUUCCUCGCACUUACUUUCGAGCAGGCGGCUUUGCCAAUACUUUUCUUCUUUCCACGAGUUCGUACGGGUUGGCGGGACUGUAUUAGCUUGAUCUCUGGCCAAUUCUGUAAGUUCCGUUUAUCGAGUAAUAUCUAAGCUUUAACUUCGAGCGCAUCAAUGUCGUUUCGUUUAGAUUUAUUCACUAGUUAUCGAUAUUGACUAGAAUUCUAGGUUUUACCUGUUGUUCUAGUUUUAUCAGCAGUUAUCCAGCCUGGAAUUAGAACUUUCGGCUUAUUCAUAUCUUAUUGCUUGAAUCUAUUAGUCUUGGUAUAGCCGAUUAGGUCUGUUCCUAGUGUUGCUACCGUAGCGUUGCUUGAUUUACUUUAACAGUAUUUUUCGCCAACGUUGUUUGGUGAUCGGCUGUAUUAUAGCCGAUUUCUUUAUUACAGCAAAUCGGCCGAUUCGCCGAUAAGCUUUCUCGAGAUCGGAACCUUAGCCGAUCGCGACCUCCGGGACCUGACACGUUUCUUUCCUUGCCAAUCAACAGGUCAGAUUGGCUGGCACGCCGCGCGAACCGCACCAGGGCGAUCACCCGAAAAGGAGUUAAGCAGAUUCUCCCGGGUCGUGUGUCCGACGCUAGAGAUCCGAUCGGUCGAUUUCUAGCGCCAACACGCUUUUGGCACGCCCGGUGGGACCAAUACAACCGCUACUAUGUCAAAAGCUGCCGAAGUCUCGAAAGACAACGUCAUUGAGGUGACGGAAGCAGACCUCAAGGACGACCGGAGGGAGGAGUUGGAAAAGCAGAUGGCAUACUACCGGAAGACGUGUCUACAAUCCUUCAGUCGUACCAGGAGCGGGGAAACUGUCAAAAAGGCCCUGUUUCCAACUCCCCGCCAAAUCACAAUCGCCGAGAACUCAGGCAAGAUGUCCGAGAUGGUUUAACAGUCUGUUUAUCAAGCUUUCAUUGAUCAAUCCCCGGUGAUUUCUAACAUGGUAUACAAUGCCGUGAUCAGCUCCUUGGCCAACGGCGUGUCCCAAGGAUACCUGGGGCCGGCAUACGCCCCACCCAUCAGGACCCCGACCAGGAGUUAUUCAAGUAUACCCUACUCGGCUCCUCAGCCGAUUCAGGCUCCAACUGGAGGUCCCAGCGCCCCUUCAUCGUCAAUCCCUCUGGGGCCUAACGGCGCGCCGUAUCUCCAGCCGCAAUCUAUUCAGUUAUCCUCCGUACAAUUGCCUCCUUUGAAUUCCGUGCCUUGAGGGGCACCAUCGGCGACGGCCGUCCAAGAUCAAUCGGCCAGCCAUGGAGGCUCUCCAAUUCAGGGACCUUUCCAAUCGGCCGCGCGGCCGAUGAUUCCAUAGUAUCAGCCAGUCGCGUCGGAGAUGAGCAGGGGGGCGGAAGCAACGGAAGCACUUCGGGGCGCUGCGCCGAUCAUACUAUAUGAUGAAACGGCUGGUUCACUAAGACAACCGGUUCCGACUACGUAGCCGGCCACGUCGCAUCAGGCGCCGCACGCUUUCGGUCACCACCCGGUCAUCCCGCCGCCGGUCUACCAACACGUGCCGGUUCCCCAGCCGAUAGUCCAUCAACAACAACCAGACUGGACAGCACGCAUAGCGGAGGUUAUUCAAGAGCAAUUCGGUUUAAAACCAAAGGUGCAAACUUACACAUACAGGAUGCCAUACCCACCAAAUUAUGACUUACUGCCGUUUCCCCAUCGGUACAAAGUUCCUGAUUUCACCAAGUUUUCGGGACUGGUUGAUACCUCAACUGUAGAACACGUGAACAGAUUCAUCAUCCAAUGCGAGGAGGCAGCGGCACAAGAUGCUCUACGGGUGCGCCUCUUCUCGUCAUCCCUGUCCGGGUCGGCCUUCCAAUGGUUCACUACACUACCACCCAACUCAGUAAUUACAUGGGCUGACCUGGAAAGGCAGUUUCACAAAUACUUCUACGCGGGGGUACACGAGAUGAAGCUUUCAGAUUUAACCAGCCUCAAACAGAGAAGUGAUGAACCAGUAUCCUCGUACGUGCAGAGGUUCAAGGAGAUCAGGAACAAAAGCUACACCCUAGCCCUUACUGACGCGCAAUUGGCCGACAUAGCCUUCCAGGGUCUCCUACCUCAUAUCAAAGAGAAAUAUGCCUCACAGGAGUUUGAGAGCCUGAGCCAAAUCGUGCACCGAUUGUCUGGUCAGGAAGUACGCCCCUUUGACCCGCGAAGGAAUUUUCAGAAAUGGCGUGUUUGGAAGGGACUGAAUCUGAAGAAGAAACAGAAAUCGGCCUGGCGGAAUGGAUUAAAGGAAAAAAGCCGAUAUCAUGUCCGUUCGGGAAAAAGGAGCCGGAAGCAUUCGGUUUCGACACAUCAAAGGCCGAUAAAAUUUUCGAUCUUCUCCUCCAGGAAGGACAGAUCAAGCUCUCGCCAUACCAUACGAUCCCGUCGGCCGAGCAAUUGAAGAAGAUGAAAUAUUGCAAGUGGCAUAAUGCCACCUCUCACGAUACAAAUGAAUGCAAAAUCUUCCGACAGCAGAUACAAUAAGCCAUCGAACAAGGCAGGCUCAAAUUUGAAGUCCCAACAAAGCCGGCCAAGCCGAUGAAGAUCGACCAGCACCCCUUCCCCACCAACAUGGUUGACAUGGGAAAGAAUUCACUCCAGACCCAGGUGCUAACAUCUGAAUAGGCUAAAAAGAGCGGUGCCAUAGACCCCAGAAAUCAAACGACGCCCGAAGACAUCAAGGGGAAACGACGGAUCGAGGAUGAAGGCGAAGGAUCGGGAGAACCACGCAGGCCCAUCACCUCCCAAUUUCUACUCAACAAGUAUCAACGACAACAAGAAAGUUUAAGAAUACGGGAGGAGAUGAUGCGACGACAUGAAGACCACUGGCGAUGCCCAUUCUUCAUCCACUGUUGGGAAAAUAACCUUAGGUUGCCAUCGGCCGAUAAUUGCCCUAAGUGGAACCGCCCAUAUCGUAACAAUCGGUCAUUCAGGAGGUCUCGUUCCAGAGAUGGAAGGCUAGAGCCGAUCAGCAGGAACUGGCGUGAACAAGAGGACCGGCGCCCUUCAGUGCGUGAUCGGCUGGGGGGCAGAAGUGACCGAUAUGACCGGUCGGAAGACAGGCGCGAGCGAAACGACAGGCCGGAGGGCAGACUCGAUCGGCACAACCAACCAGAAGACAGAGUCAGCGCUCAUGAUCGGCUAGAAGAGAUGGCCGACACUCGAGUAUCAGACGAGAACCCCUUCGGACGCGAACUAGAAUGGGAACGUGCCAAGCCAUUGACUAAACCUGUAAACCCUAGGUGGUGCCACGACGGAUUGACCAAAUCUCAGAAACGAAGAAUCCAACAUCUCCGCCAAUGGGAACAACAGGAAGAAGAACAACAACAUAUGAUGGACAAGAAAAGCGACAGGCCUCGGAUUUGGCGCCCUAAAAGAAACGACAAAGGGGACAAUGACAACCAGGAAUCGGCAGCCGACGUCAGCAUGGUUUUUAUUCUGCCGAUGGAAUUCAUGACUCUUGCCGACCGAUAGAACAUGUCGGCAAUAAAAGAACAGAUGGCACAAUUGGCUUUACAACCAAUGAUAGCCACGUUCGAAAAACCCGAGGACGACAAACGGCAACACCUAAAGGCAUUAUUCCUCAAGGGGCUUGUCAACGGCCGACCCAUCACCAGAUUACUAGUAGACGGAGGAGUUGUUGUUAACAUCAUGCCGUACACCAUGUUUCGGAAGCUAGGAAAGAGUGAUGACGACCUGACCAAGACAAACAUGAUGCUCAAGGACUUCGAAGGCAACGUGUCUCCCGCCCGCGGCACGCUCUGCGUUGACCUCACCAUCGGCAGUAAGACCCUUCCCACUACUUUCUUUAUUAUUAAUGGCAAAGGGUCCUACAACAUGCUGCUCGGACGAGACUGGAUACAUGCAAAUUGCUGCAUCCCGUCUACAAUGCACCAAUGCCUCGUGCAGUGGGUCAGCGACAACAUCGAAGUGGUCACCGUCGAUUCCACAUACAGCGUCGCGGCAGCCGAUACACAGCAAUGGAGCUGCGAGAAUGUCAAGUGCAUAUCCGGGAGGAUAUGGGACAUUGAUUUCCUGAAGGUGUCCGAUUUUUGUAUACAGCCGAUCCGAGCAGUCGGCUCCGAAGAUUCCGAUUAAAUGGAUCAGUUCGUCCGGGAAGAUAGAAAGCUAGGGCACGGGUUCACGUCGGCCGAUUCAUUAGAGAUGAUAGAUUUAGGCGAUGGCACCAAGCCAAGGCCGACGUACAUCAGUGCUAAUUUGGAUCCAGAAUACAAAUGUAAAUUGACAAGUUUAUUAAAAGAGUUUAAAGAUUGCUUUGCUUGGGAAUACCAUGAGAUGCCCGGACAAGUUUAUUAAAAGAGUUUAAAGAUUGCUUUGCUUGGGAAUACCAUGGGAUGCCCGGAUUAGACCGGUCCAUUGUCGAACACCGGUUACCCAUAAAGCCGGGAUAUCGGCCAUAUCAGCAACCCGCACGGCGAUGUAAUCCUAAAAUCCUGCCCGAUAUAAAGGCCGAAAUCACGAGGCUAAUCGAAGCAAAAUUUAUUCAGCAAUGCCGUUACGCCGAAUGGAUCUCCAACAUUGUACCCGUGUACAAAAAGAAUGGGAAGCUCCGCGUGUGCAUCGAUUUCAAGAAUCUCAAUCAGGCCACGCCGAUGGACGGGUACCCAAUGUCGACGGCCGAUGUGCUGAUAGAUGCUGCCGCGGGACACAAAGUUAUUAGUUUCAUGGAUGGAAACGCUGGAUAUAAUCAGAUACUAAUGGCCGAAGAGGACAUAUCCAAAACGGCCUUCAGGUGCCCGGAUCACCUUGGUUUAUUCGAGUGGGUGGUAAUGACUUUCGGUUUGAAGAACGCCGGCGCUACGUAUCAGCGAGCCAUGAAUUACAUAUUUCACAAACUUAUCGGCAUUCUGGUGGAAAUUUACAUCGACGAUGUCGUGGUCAAAUCGAAAGGACACCAGGAACAUCUGGCCGAUUUGCGGCAGGUACUGGAAUGCACGAGAAAACACGGGCUGAAGAUGAACCCGAACAAGUGUGCUUUCGGCGUAUCCGCUGGACAAUUCUUGGGAUUCAUCGUUCACGAACGUGGGAUAGAAAUCAACCGGAAGACCAUAGCGGCCAUCAAUAAAGUCCUGGCCCUACAGAAUAAAGCUGAGUUGCAGUCCUUAAUCGGCAAGGUCAAUUUCAUCAGAAGAUUCAUAUCUAAUCUAUCCGGACGUAUCCAUGCCUUCACACCAUUGUUAAAGAUAAAACCCGACCAAGAGUUCGUAUGGGGAGAAGAGCAACGCAAGGCACUAAAAGAUAUCAAGCAGUACUUGGUCUCGCCACCAGUAUUGAUUCCACCUCAAACUGGUAAGCCAUUUAAGUUGUAUUUAUCAGCCGAUGAACGAGCUAUUGGGUCGGCUUUGGUUCAGGAGUUUGAAGGAAAGGAACGAGUAAUAUAUUACGUUAGCAGAAGACUUCUGGACGUUGAAACAAGAUAUCCCCCGGUAGAGCGGCUAUGCCUAUGCCUUUACUUCUCAUGCACCAAGCUCAGACAUUAUUUGUUAUCGGCAGAAUGUGUAGUCGUAUGCAAAGACGACGUGGUAAAAUACAUGAUGUCAUUGCCGAUUUUGAAAGGACGAAUCGGAAAAUGGAUCUUGGCUUUAUCUGAGUUCGAUUUACGAUAUGAAUCGGCAAAAGCCAUCAAAGGUAAGGUUAUGGCCGAUUUCGUUGCCCAGCACUGCGGACCAGAAAUCGCCGUCGUGGAGCCAGUACCGUGGACCUUAUAUUUUGAUGGUUCGUCAAGUGGGGCCGGAUCAGGAAUCGGCAUCAUUCUCAUAUCGCCUCGGGGGGCAAGCUAUGAUUUCUCUCUGCCGAUAGAAGCAUCCGCCACUAACAACCAAGCAGAGUACCAAGCUGUGUUAAAAGGACUACAAUUGCUAAGGGAGAUCAAGGCCGACGCCUUCGAGAUUUUUGGGGAUUCCAUGCUUAUCGUGGACCAAUUGACAGGAAGGUCCGAAUGCAAGGAUGACAUAUUAAGGAUUUAUUAGGAAGAUUGCCUCCAACUUCUGAAAGAAUUCAAGUCCCGGUUAUUGAGCAUAUCCCUAGGGAUCAUAACGAAGAGGCCAAUAGGCUUGCCCAGCACGCGUCCGGAUAUCGGCCGAUUCAGGGCGCCAUGGUUCUAGAGCUCACGGCCGACGACUGGCGAAAAGAGAUCGCCGAUUAUUUAAAAGAUCCGUCUAAGAAAGUGGAUCGGCGAAUACGAUUUCAGGCCACAAAAUAUGUGUUACUAGAAAAUGACUUGUUCUACCGGACGAUUGAUGGUGUUCUACUCAAAUGCCUAGGAACAGAGGAGGCGAAGACUCUGAUGGGAGAAAUCCACGAAGGAGUAUGUGGAGCCCACCAAUCGGCACAUAAGAUGAAGUGGAUGAUUAGGAAUAAUGGAUACUACUGGCUGACAAUCCUCGAAGACUGCUUCAAAUAUUAUAAAGGAUGCCAAGAUUGUCAGAAAUACGGGAAUGUGCAACGUACGCCCGCAUCGGCCAUGAACCCGAUCAUCAAGCCGUGGCCGUUCAGAGGUUGGGUAAUAGACCUCAUCGGACAAAUUUAUCCUCCAUCAAGCAAAGGACAUAAAUUCAUUCUAGUAGCCAUAGAUUAUUUCACCAAAUGGGUGGAGGCGAUUCCGUUAAAAGCCGUAACAUCGGCUGCCAUGGUCGACUUCGUAAGGGAUCAUAUCGUCUAUCGUUUCGGCAUCCCUCAGACUAUCACGACGGAUCAAGGAACGAUGUUCACAUCAGGAGAAUUCGAAGAGUUCACGGCCGAUAUGGGGAUCAACCUGCUACACUCCUCUCCGUACUAUGCUCAAGCCAAUGGUCAGGCCGAAUCUUCCAAUAAAGGGAUAAUCAAGUUGAUCAAAAGGAAGAUAGAGGAACAACCCAAAAAAUGGCAUUUAUGUCUGACCGAGGCUCUAUGGGCAUACAGGAUGGCCUACCACGGGGCCACCAAGGUGUCUCCUUAUCAGUUGGUGUACGGUCAUGAGGUAGUACUGCCAUGGGAGUUGAGAACAGGAUCGAGACGCACGUCGCUCCAAGAUCAGCUGGCGGCCGAUGAUUACUCCUCGCUCAUGAAAAGAGAACUUGACGACUUGGCAGGUCAACGUUUGAGAGCUUUGAUCAGUAUCGAAGAAAACAAGAAGAAAGUGGCCAGAUGGUAUGACAAGAAGGUCAAAAUUAAGCAGUUCUCCCCGAGGGACCUCGUAUGGAAGUUAGUGCUGCCGAUUGGGUCAAAGGAUCCUAAAUUCGGUAAGUGGUCUCCCACUUGGGAAGGGCCGUAUAAAAUCGGCCGAUGUGCCCCGGGAAAUGCUUACAUUUUGGAAACAAUCGAAGGAGAAGAGUUUACUAGGGCUUUGAACGGGAGAUACUUGAAAAGGUAUUACCCCAGUAUAUGGGUCGGAGCAUAAGAAUUGAUCGCAGAAUAUGACGGACAAACACGCAGCCGAUACGAAAGAAAAAAUCGCCUAAAGGAAAAAUAUAAUCGUCCAAAUCAGCCGAUUCAUCAUUCGGUACGGAUGAUAGAUUACACGGCCGACGUAGUACAAGUCGCCCUUAGAACAAAAAAUAAUCAACCACACUUCUUCUUGAGUUCUCUCUCAAUCCUGUCUAGUUCUAUCAGAAGACGGAUACUUCGUUCUUCUAUGUCUUUCAUCGCGGCCUCCGCUUCAACUUGACGAGGAAGAGGAUGACUCCGAUCCAUCGUCGGGCGCGAUGUCCCCGCCGCGGUGUCUUCAAGGGUAACUGGACGAGGGAGUGGGUGGCUCUUGUCAACUUGGGGUCGCCUGUUGUCAUUGCCGUUGAUGAAGUUCCAGAUCCGUUGGACGUCGGCAGGGACAUGAUCUCGAAGUUCUUCACGAUGAGCCCUAAUCAGGUCCUUAUCUUCUUGUGAUAAUGCUUCGUCAGAGUACACGAGCCCGAUUGCUCGUUCGAGUUCAGGACUAAGGCGCCGUGGCUGGAAAAAGAAACAAUAUAUAACCGCCUACGUUAGAGUGUUUUGGGGGAAUCGAACUGAAAGAAGGCGGAGAUGGAUUUCCUACCUGGUUAACAGAGGAGAAAGAAGAGGAUGAAGAAGACAUGGCUGUAAACACUCCGACGAAAACAAAUCGGAGAAAAAGGAAUCAAGUGGAGCGGGUGUUCUCAAGAGCGAAACCAAGGCUGGCAUUUAUAAGUAGAGAAAGCAUGGAUGUUUGGUAAGGCGUGUCCCGUCAGAAGUAAAAAGGGCAAUAAAUAAGAAGGCAUCGUGAAGGACGGUUAAAAGGGCAUUAAUGUUCGGCGUCGAUCGCCUCCCCGGCCUGAGGGCCCCAGGGAGCGAUACUCCGCACCGCGGGGUCGGCCGAGGAAGCGGAAGGCGGAGCGGGGUCCACGCCCUCUCCCGCGCCCGGUGGCGGCACCACUCUACCGGUCCCCGCCACGGGGGCCACUUUCGCGGUGGGACCCGUGACCUCACCAGGAGCCCCGCUGCUCACCGCGGGCGGGGCCGCGGUCCGCUCCGCAGGGGCGGACGACACCCGCAGCGCCUUCUUGGGCGCCAGCUGCAGAACGAGGCCUCGAGGGGCGGUGCUGCAAAACAAUCGACAAACAUCAGCGGAAACAAACAUGAUGCAUGGAAAGGAACGAGGUUCGCGAGGAAAUUCAACUCACGUUCCCCCGGCGCAAGGACGGCGCGCUUCGCCUCCGAGCCGAACGCCGACCCUGAGGCGUCCGGCAGCGGCCGCUUGUCGCCGCUCCUCUAUUCCUGGGCCGCAGGCACGGGGAUGAGGGCGGGUUCUGUAGAACCCCGGGGGACGCUUCGCACCGACCCCUGGGGAGCGCUCCGCGCCAACCCCUGGGGCACGGCCCCAGAGCUGUGCGGGACCAAGUCUUGGGCGAAUGAUCCGCCCGCCUCAUCCCUCGCGGCCGUUUGGGAGCGUGUCUCCCGAAUAACGAGCGCGCCCGACCGGGAGGAUAGGGUAAUCUCCUCCUCGUCGUCGUCAUCCUCCUCCUCUUCCUCCUCAUCGUCGUCGUCAUCGUCGUCAUCAUCGUCCGACACGACCUGUCCUCGUCGCCACCGCUGGAACUCCUUGGCGGCCCUUUUCUUCUUCUUCGCCGUCUCCUUGUCCUUGCGGCGCUUUUGCUUCUCAGCAAGGAGACAGUUCUGCAGCCGCCGCUCGGCGUCCUCCAGCACCGGCGGGCGCGAGUCCACGACCCGGGCCAUGCUGCCCUGCAAACGCAAAAAGAACCCGCAUUAGAGCGGCGAACCAAGAAACACGAAAAAAGAAGAUUGGCGCACAAAAUCCUUACCAAGUCAAUGAAGUUCUCGUCUGGGCGCAUCGGAGGGUGCCCGGGCACCGGAUAGUCGGCGUCCUUGUCCUCCAGCGCCUCACGAAUCCGUCGCCAGAUCUCGGAGGCGGCGAGCGCACCCAUCGCAAGGGCGGUGCUCUCGGUCGGUGCACCCGGGGUCAUGUCGGCAAGCGAGCGGACCCGAAGCAUCAGCGACGCCACCCGCCGGGCGUGGUAUGCCCCGACGACUCCGGCUCCGGUCAACCCUCUCGCCUUCAGGUGCUCGAUCGCCUGCAGCAGGCCAUGGAUCCGCUUCUUCUCCUUGUUAACCGGGCCGUACGCCCACACCUCUAGCGCCGCCUCGAUAACGCGGCCGGUGAACUCCGGCAGGGGGGAGUUCGAGUAGUUCUUCACGUAGAACCACUGCUAGUGCCACCCCUUGUGGGACGCCGCGGUCUUCAUCGCCAUGUACUCCUUGGCGCGGGUAUGGCGGAGGUGGAUUCCGGCGCACCCUAUCGGCACCGGGGGCGACCGCUGCUGGCUCCCCUUCUUCUCCGCCUUCUGGUACAGGCUCACCGUGAAGAAGUACUUCCACAGCGAGAAGUUGGGCUCGAUACCCAGGAAUCCCUCGCACGGCGCGACGAACGCCGCGAUGUGCUGGAUCCCGUUGGGGUUGAGGUGCUGCAGCUCAAGCCCAUAAUAAUGCAGGAGCCCGCGGAAGAAGAGGCUCGGCGGAGUCGCAAACCCCCUCUCGUGGAAGUGGGCGAAGGAGACGACAUAACCGGCGGGCGGCGCCAGCGCUUGCUCCGUCUUCGGAAGCUCCCACUCACCCACCUCCAUCCUCUCGCAGAGGAGGCCCUUCCUCACUAGGCCUUUAGCGCGCGAGGGGCUGAAGUGGCAAAUUGCCCAGGAUCCCAUCGCCGGAGGGGGAGGAGCUCGACGGGGGAUGGGGAGAAAGGGUGCGACGCUGGGCGGAGGAGGACGAAGCGAGCCCAAAGGAGCUAAGGGCGCGCGAGGAGGCGAAAAGGCUUGAAGGAAAUGGCGGGCGGAACCAGCGAGGGGAAGUACUCGUUUUAUAGGGAAGGUGCGACGGAAGCAGAACUGACGCCCUUAUCGCAAUAAAUGUGGCGCCAGGUACGCCCCCGUCACGCCCGUCUUCUUUUCGGAAACCGCGCACGAUCUGCAACAGAAACAUCCUCUCCUCCCUCGAUUUACGGGUCGGCACCCUCCACCACUUUGUCUCCCGGAAAACAUGCACACGACGUCCUCCACAUUCAGCCCAGGACGCGACAUCCACUACGAUUCGGCCCAAGGCCCAUCGAAAGGUAAAAAGGGGAUACAGGGCUGAAAAUGCCCCUACGGCCCAUUACAAUCCAGAGGUUCGAAGGCUGGCCCGCCGCGGGUUCGACAGCCGCCUCAGGAUAACCCUGAGUGAGGGGUGAGGAGAGACGGGUCCGCUAGCGACUGUCACCCAGGCGCGCAACAGCCCAGGGCGUCUCAAUCUCACGUUCGAGUCCGGAUUGGCAUCAAAGUUCAUGGUUUUUCCCCGAAGAAAGGCAACGAGCCCCCAGAUCCGACCGAACGAACUCGGGAACUAUAUGAACUGGCCGACCGGAGCCUGGGGUACGCCACCAGCUUGGCCUAAGUCGGACCCCCCCGAACGGGGACCGGGAUCCCACUCGAAUCAACCCGUCAGUAGCUCAACGAGCACCACGGUUCGUCCGAUGAGGAUAGCAUGGCACGGCUCGCCCCCUCCGACCUAGCGAACGGACGCUUGAGGGGGAACGAACAAAAGUCAACCCAACCUCCGACCGGUCCCCUGCAACGCGCAGGGGCUCGGGGCUGGCCUCGCAACCUAAGGCCACGCGGGUGGUCUCAACUUAAGGCUCGCAUACGGAAGGGAACGACAAGAAGCCCGCCCGCGCCGAGUACCCCACAGGACGAGUCGCCUAACUAAUCCCCUCGGUCGAACCAUCCGAACAACACCUCCUAUCCCGGAUCAAUCGUGAGGAUCCCGCUCUGGCGAUCACAGCAGCCUCUGGAGGAGCGUCCCCGCUCCACCACAGGCUCGGGGGCUACUGUUGGGGGGAAAUAUUAACGAUCUCCCCAAGCCCAUGGAAACAACAAAACGCAAAGGACCAGGCCUGCCUGAGGUAGCAAGAUCGCCGUCGGUCCAAUAUGGGAAGGAGAGGCCACUUUUCGCCUCGCCCGACCCGGCGUCACGGGGUCGGACAUUCCCGACUCCUUGAAGACUAAACUCCACCUCACCCGACCCAGGGGACCGGGGUCGGGAGCGCCCGACCCCCACCGCAAGACUCCGCCUCGCCCGACCCUGUGCACGGGGGUCGGACUCGUUCGGGCCCACAAGACAAAUAUCCACCUCGGGCGCGAAUCCGAGGAUCAGGGUGCUGAUCUCGUGGGUCCCCCUAUCGAACUCACCAUAAAUGCGCCGCGGCCCUGGCAUGCAGAAAAGGGGUGGCACCCCCAACAUAACCUGACACGAAUACCCAUGUGCGACCGUGCGACGCGAGCUGCAGUGGUCGCGGCCCCCUCUGAUUUGCCACAAGGUACUCAUGGCCCGCGCCGAACGGCAUAGGAGGGCGUUCCGCUCGUUCUCGCGCCCUGCGCUCCAAAUGACAGGGAUGCGACGUCCGCGUCUCAUGGGCGAUCAGCAGGGUAACAGAAUCGGCUAUCCUCCCCAGCGGGAACAGAUGCCAAGGCUGAACAUCAUCAUCGUGCUCGGCGACAACGGCGACCGGGAGAUCAUCGACAGGAUCUGGAAGAAACCGCCCUUCCUCGACGGACGCGCUAACAGGGGUCGGAGGCCGGAGCGAGGGGCGGCAGCUCUGGGUCCCUCUCCUUAUGUUAUAUUUUUACUUAGCUUAUCCCUUUUACUCCUCCUCACGCCUGGCUCAACUGUAACCCCGAGCUCCCCCUUGCGCUAUAAAAGGAGGACCGGGGGUCCUGAGACACGGGACUCAAGCAAACAGAAUACACUCACACCCACCUAGAGCAUGAACACACUCUCAAGAGACCUGGGAUCAGUUCCCUCUCUCGCACUCCUGUAACCCCUACUACAGAACCCCGCGUGGGUAACAUGAGUAGCCCCGAUACUGGACGUAGUGCGUUCCUUUGCCCGAACCAGUCUAACCCCGUGUCUCCCACGCCACCAUCCGAAGCCUUACGUGCAUAAAAGAAAUUUACUAGUCUAAGUCUUGAUCCGCAAAUCUUGACAACGACAGAAUCUGAGCUAAAAUAUUGAAAGUAAGGACUCACUGUGGUCGCUUUUAGCAAAACAAACCCCUCAGCCAAAGAGCCUUGCAUGUCUAGAAGUGGUGGAGUAGCUCUUCCCACCGGUCGGUUAAGUCUUGUUGAGCUUAGAAGCUCAGCCUUGUUUGUGGCUCUCUUUUCAGGUGAAGUUGCAGCCUCUGAGUUUGCUGCUGUUGGCACUUGGCCGCCCUAGCUUCCUCCUGGGUGGACGGUCGAGUGGGAUCCCUCCUCGGACGGCGAGGAAAGGGAUCACUGAUGUCCCGAUCAGCCUCAUCAGGGACAUCCGACUUUGGCGCUAACUUCCGUUAUUUCAUCUUUCCGCUGCUUUUGAAUCUUGUAAAACUCUGAAUUUCGAACCAAUGUUGAAAUAAAUCGUCGAACUUGUUUAAUUUGGUUGAUCUGUUGUAUUCUCUGCACCACUCACCUUCGUGUGGGUUAUGCUAACUUGGUCUUGUUAAGUGGUUAAAUCGGAUGAAAUCCGACGGCACUUCGAGUUAACUUGACUAAGGCAUGAGUGUCGCGUGUCAGGCGGCUUAACCGUGAUUUAAUUAAGUUAAUCCGAGGUGGUUCCGCCACAAUAUGGCACUGAGAAAAAAUUACAGCACCUUACUUGUGUCAUCACUGAGUUACUGUAGAAAUUUGGGAUCCAUUGGCUUACCACAAAAAGAAUGAAACGUAUUUUACCACCAAGGGUAGCAUCAACUUAAUCAUUUUUAUCUCAAAACCUACAGUGAUUCUGAGGGUGAAAUUUUAACAGUAGAUUGAAGGUGUGUUACAGUGGCUUUGGUGAAAUUUUCAUGAUUUUUGGAGAAGGACAUCUAUUUCCCAUAUUUUUCUCCUAUUUAUCUUGUUCUAUAAAGGAAAGUGGGUUUCUUUCAGUUUCUGACCAUAUUCCAUAUUUUUCCUACAAACUGCACUUCAAAACUAAGCUACUCCAAGUGGAUUCAUAUUUUUCUCAGCUCUAGUUUAAAACUUAUGCAAAAACGAAGAUUUAACCCUAGAUUUCAAAUAUAAGGUUAAAACAGUGAUAUCAAGUUCUACUCCAGGGCUCUAAGUAUUUUUCUGAGCUUCUACUCACUGAAACAUGCACCUCAGAGUUGGAUUUACCCUUUUAGCAUUUUUCUUCGAUUUACUAUGAUUUAAAAGGCCUAAGCAAGAAAUAAAACUAUAGGAUAUUAUUUACAACAGUAACAUGGGCAAGAUUAUUUUUGUAUGAAACUAGACAGUUCACUGAGUUCAACAAAAGUGGUUUGGCAUUUUUCUGAUUUUUCUACGUUUUAUGGUGCAUUUACAAAGUUUAAAUCAUUUUCUGCAGAUUUAAAACAAAAAACCGAAAACAACUUACAAACUAACCCUCGGGUCUACGGUUUAAUUACAUAGGGGUCCCUAGUUCUUGCGCUAAGGCCCUUGGAAGAAGGUAAACAAUACAGACAGGUACUCGCGGCGGCUGGCGGCAAUGUUCGCCCGAUUCCGGCGAGGUGAGGCUCGAGCCAGGGCAACAAGUAACCGGGGAGGAGCGCGGGCUCAUUUAGGGUCGAUUGGCGGCGGUUAGGGUGGCAGGAGCAGGCUCGGCGGCGGCGAAAUGGCUUGGGGACGAAAGCGGCUUCGGCGGCGGGGUCCCGACGAUGUUCUGGCGACGGCGGGGCUCCUGAAGGGCAACAAGUUGCUCGGGGACGUGCGCGGCGGUGUGGCGGAGCGAGCAGCGGGGUGCAGGGUGGCGUGGAGGUGGGAGCUCCACAGGAGACCCGUGCGGUGGCGCUGGAAAAACAGGGGAGCGGCGGAGCUUUGCGGGUGUGGGGAGCUGCGCAGGCGGCUCAUCGUCUCAUUUUAUAGGGUCGGGGAGGUGCGGAGGGCAAGGGCGGAGCCAAUGCUGGCGGCGGACGUGGCUAGAGGCGAGUGGGGGAGGAGAACGAGGUGGCGCCUUUGGCCGGCGGCUCCCGCUGGCAGAAGAAGGGCGCGGGCGCAUGCGAGGAUUUUCCGGCGAUUGGGCGGGAGAGAUAGGAGGGGUGCGUGAUCUUCUUUGUCGGGCGGAGCGAUAGGGCCAACCGGGGGUUGUCCUGUCGCCGUCGAGCGGCAGAUUGGGGAGGCGGAGCUCGGCCAUCGAGCAGCCAUGGCGUGGCGGAGGGGAGCGGCAGUGGCGCAACGCGGCAUUAGGCGUGGGAGAUACUCGGGCAGAGGGAGGAUAGAGUCAAGUGGUCAUAGGGCGUCCUGGCGAGCGAGUUGUCCCGUCGAGGCCGUUGGUUGGCUGUCGGCGAGCUCGCCGGUGGGCGAGAGCCACGCGGUGGGCGACGCUCGGGCGAACAUGCUGGGCACGUCCCGGGCGCGCGCUGAGCGGGGCGCUCCUUGGGGCCGCCAACAAGGCCGAUUUUGGGGGCAUUUUUCUCCAAACUUUUCAAAGGAACUCGUGAAACUCCAAAAGUAAAACUUGUAGACCUGACAUCCGGCUGCAAACUUUACAAAAGGAGUUUGCUUGAAAACAAGACGAAUUUGAAACUAUGGAGUUGCAAAGUUCGGCAGAACGCCGGCCUCCAGGGACUUAGGCAUAACUUGGUUUUGCUGUUUUUCAGCAUUUUGGCCAACUUUGGCUCAGAUUUUGAAUAGCUUCCCGUUUGAAUCAGGCCAAAGUGUUAUUAAACGAAAAGUUCCUCGAUCUUAGGACUCCAGCUUCUAUUAAGGACUUUUCUUAAGUUCAGUUCAGAUUUUUGGAGGAACAGGCUCGCCAAGAUGCGCGGCGCUCUGGACAUUUUUCAGACUUAGCGCUGGAAUGCAAAAAGGCUGAGUUGACUAUUUUACUCGACUUUGACCAAGUUUUUGAGCAGGUUCAGUUGUGAAAUGGACCUGGGUCAGUGUAACAAAGUUGGAACACACUCAAGGAACUCCAACUUCUAUUAAAGGUCUGACUUGAGGUUAGAUAUAGAAUUGUGAGAUAACAGGCUGCAAAUUUGAGGAAAAACAUGAAUUCCAGGACUUAGGUCAAUUGUAGGGUUUUAAUAUACUCCUGAUUUGAUUCUUAUUUCUCCCACUCCGAAUCAGCCAAAGUGUAUAUAAUAAAAGUUGCUUGAAAUUAAAAGUUUUACAACUCUUAUUCAGGCAAAAUUUUAAGUUUGUAUAAAAAACUCAUUUUUUAUAUUUAACUCCAAAAAGAGCUUUUUAGGGCAAAUUGGACCUUUCACCUCUUUUACUUAGUGACUAAUGACUUACUUAAGUUUAAUUACACCUAAUUAAGGUAGAGUUGUUACAGCUAGCCUUAGGUGAGUGAGUCACUUUGGCAGCACAAGAGUCAUUUAGGUUCUUCCUAAGCUCCUUAGAAUCAUUAUGGAUGAACUUGAGCUUACGAACGUUACCAUUUGGGCAAUCCUUACCAAGAUGACCCUUCUUUUGACAUGCAUAGAAAAUUUUGUGCUUGAUGUUGCUUGUUGUUUUCUUAUCUUAACUUCGGACAGUAACACCUCCCAUAUAUUUUUCUUGAGCUUUAAGGAAGUCUUUGUUUAGCUUGAUAUGGGUCUCACAGCUAAGACCGGUACCUCCAGUUUUGCCAAACCGGAACCUCUCGUUUUCCCAGAGUGAGACUCAUUUCUUGUACAGGAUGCAAUCUUGUGUCCUUUUUCAUGACAGUUGAAGUCGACGCCAUGAAUAAACUAUUGGCGGGUACGGGUGACCCGCCGGGUAUUUACCCGGCCGGUUAUGGGUAUGGGGAAAAUGCCCCACCCAUUGUGGAUAUAGGGAUUCUGACGGUCUCAAAUUUUUAUGGUGGGGAUGCGUCUGGGGUGGCCAUUCUCGAUGAGGAUUUACCCAUCGCCAUCCUUACGCGCUUGCGGUUGCAGAGAAGAGUUUCUGAUUUCUGAAUCCUGCAUUCCUGCUGAAUCGGUGGGCGUGGGCCAGCAGGCCGUAAUUGGGCUGAGGAGCCUAUCCAGGCCCGAAGAUACCACUGUCCCCUUGCCUAGGGCAAAUGAGCCGCCAAUGACUUGGUUCUCUGCCCGCGCCCGCCGCCCGCCGCCCGCCGCGUAACCCGACGAUCUGAGAUGGCCUAGGUCGCCGACGACUCGACAUCUCUGUGCGGCGGGUGUGGACCCGUAGACGCGCCGAGCUACCGGCGACGACCACGGGCUGUCUCUACCGGCGACGCCCGUGACGCGGCGAGGACGUCGACCUCCUCCACGCAGCAGAGCUCUCCUCCGCCCUUGUGUCGCCUCACGCCGUUCGUCGAACUCGUGGUAAAGUAAGUUGCAACCGGCUCAGGCUCAAUUUGUUGUCUGGGAACUCUAAUGCUAGGACUCUUGUAUGUAUUCAACAGACAUAUCACCCCACUACGCAAUGUCCCAUCGUAUGACCUCCUUCCUACCACCCAAAUCUCCUCUGCAGGUCUUGAAACAGAAAGAUGAGGUACACGGCACGGGAGAUGGAGUUCAUGGGCGGAUCUACAAAAGUUUUGGUCUGCAACGACAGGGCGGCUUCUGCCCUAACUUCUCUUUCGAAUUGGUUGGUUUUGAACAAUGAAGCCAAUUUUGAUUCCCGUGAACCCAAGUUUACAGUGGCCCAAUUCAUGGAAAGGCUUAUUUCGGGAAAAAUUUUGAACUGGCAUAAGAACAAUGUACUGCCAACGCCUGAGAGUCAGCGAAUCGUUGUAGAGUACUUUGAUAUCACUAAGAGACUUUGCACGGGCAUUAAGGUUAACCCUGUGGCUGGGUAGGUUAUCCUUGUGGGUUAACUGUUUUUUAUUGUUUCAGUAUUUCGUGACUUUGCUUUGUCCUAAUUUCCAUUUUUUGGCCUGUAAACACUACAGCACUGCCAAAUUUGAGGAUUCAAGAGAAUAUGAUUUAUUUCGCAUUUUGGGAGUUCCACUACUCCAUGCACCUGCAUUCAAUGAGCAGGUAUUGACUCCAAUCAUUUAGGUGUAACAUAAAUGAUUAUGCAUGAUAACAUUUCUUUAGUAUAUCACACGUUGAAAUCAUUGUUGCUCAAAGUAAAUUUGUUUAUUCCUGGAUAUAUGAUUGACACCAUUAGUAAGAUUCCCAGGUGCAUAGUCCGAUCCCACCCUGAUUAACCGGACUACACAACAUAAAGUGUGAUAAAUUAUGAACUUUAUCAACCCCAUGGUUAAACCAUUCAUAUUGGACUCACCAUUGUCAGUAACCUGGGAAAAAAAGAAAAGGGAGUUCUUAACUUUAUGCAGAUGUCUUAUUUUCCAAAUUUUAUAAGAUGAGCUUUCUCAUUUUUCCAAUCUUAUAAAAUGAGCUUGCCUAUGAACUUCUAGGUUUUUCCCUCUUUACAAGAGCAACUUGAGCCUGGACAAAUUGGUAUUUUGUAUUUGAACGGGGAAUUCAAUACCAUUUGUAAGGUAUGAACCUUUACUUUAAGUGGAGUCUCUCAUUUUUUAAUAAGCUUUCUGGUUUUAUAUCUUCUGUAUGUUUUAUGCAGCACAAUGGUACUGUAUACAUGUUAGUAGAAGAUGAAGCCCUUCACAAGAAGAACCCUUCUGCUUCUUGGAAAACUAUGGUAUGUAACUAUGUCAUUGCAUGCCCCUUCUGUGCAUCUGUGUUUUGAAAAUGGCAAUUGUGCUUAUUAUUGUCUUGUUCCAUGUUGAUAAUAUUAGGUCGAUGAAAAAGAAAUAUUUGUAGCUGGUGACUUUUCAUACACCAGGGUAAGGAAUCAGCAGAAUGCUUUGUUUUUUCCAACUGGUACAGUGUUAACUAAUCUAAGGUUGAUGUUGUGUGUACUGUAUUUUGUUGCAACAGGCACACAUCAACCAGAAAGUGUACAAGUGUUCGAAAUGUUUGGAGGAAUUCUGCACAGAAAUUAAUUAUGAAAGACAUCUUGAAGCUCAUGUGCCAACUUCCAAAGCUGCUCUGGUUUUUGCCUUACCCCCCCCCCCCCCCCCCUCCUCUCCCCAACAAAACACACGAGCUCUUUAUAAUGUUUCAUUGAAUCUUUGUAAAUAUUCUGUAGAAUCGUUCAUGGAACAAGGACGCAUUUGCGAAAUACUGGGAUCAGGUAAGCUAUUUACACUGGGUUGCUUAUUGUAUAGUGUAUAUUGCUUUACAUAUUUUCAUAGUUUUUUUUCAUGGUUUAGAUUUCGGAUGAAGAUGCUUAUAGCAUCCUGUCUGAUGGUGAUCAAACUGUAGAGGUAUUUGUGAGCAUUGACAUUUCUUUGUACAAUUUUAUCGAGCUUCUAUAAUUUUGUGGUUGGCUUGACAUGGAAAAAAAAAUGUUUCUAGAAAUCACAUGGAUUGCCUGUCGACCCAAUUUUCAAGAAAUGGAUACUAGGACCAGAAUUUCUUGUAACACCACCUGAGGUGAGGGAUGCUCUGAAACAGCUGAAACAACUGAAGGUAAAGAUUGUUGACUCAAACUGUUCAUAUUCAUCAACAUCAACAUGUAUAAUUUGUAUCCACCCACCCCUGUUUCUCUAUAGCAUUUGAUGGAAAUGAAAAGGGAGAAGCCAUCGUCUGAUGUGCUUCUAGGUAUCUUAAAAGUCGGAAGUGAGGGCACUUUCUUCUCCACCAAUUUGCCCGAAGGAGGGUUUUCGUUUGUGGAGGCAGGCAAAAGUCAGAAUACAACGAGAACCAUGCUAACAUAUUUUAGCUUGAGAGUUGAAGAAGUGUUGGUAAUGGAACUUACUUAAUUGUUAUGAAGUUUCUUUUCAAUUGUUCCUGACUACAAAUAUGACAUCAGGCUAAAAAGUGGUAUACUGAAAAGAUGGUGCAAGCAAAUGUAGUGAUGGAAGAACUUUUGGACGAAAUUACUGAUCCAAGGUUUGCUGCUGAGUUCAUCCAAAAGUCACAUUUUGAAAUAUUUUUUUACUAAGAGCUAUGUUCUGUGAUUUGCAGCCAGUAAAUAAAUUUGUACUAAAAGCGAUGUUCUGUGACUUGCAGCCAAGAAUUGGCAUCUGCCAACAUUGAAAAUGUUGAGGACCUCGAAGGCAAGGAUAUUGCUUCCAUUGUGUCGGAAACUUCAACAAGUUCUCAUGUAUCAGAUGAUGUGGUCCAUACAGAGGAAAAAGAUGAGGAGCGAAAGUUAUUACCAGCUGAUAUAGCCCAUUUGCCUGAGCUUCUUGGGUAAGUUCUCUAGUAUCCAUUUCUCCUUUUCAUGUAAUAAAAAAAAUCGAUGAAAGAGAUAGAAAUUCUUAAUUCUCUACGGAUUAUCAUGCAAUGAGCAUAUUUGCUAGAUAUGUAGAUAGCCCAAGACUAAUAUUUUUUUUACAUGCAGUGAAGAAUAUUUCCCAAACUUCGUAUCGAGGAAAAGAUUGGUUAGGUUGUUCACUCUUUUCAAUAAGGAUAUAGUUACAGUUUUGACACGAACUGGGAGGAAAAUUGCUAAACGUUUGCUGAACUACAUAUUGAAAGUUCAUAAGGCUGGCCACUGCUGGAAUGGGGAAUGGAGUAUACUUGACAUUCGGGUUCGUGGGGAUGGUGCAACAUUAAUCAUUGACAAGAUGGCAGUAAAUGCAACUAAAGAUGGAAUUGUUGCUGACCUUCAGAAGUUCAUAGUCCUCUUGCGCCCGUAUUACAAGAUUGAAGGCAUCAAGGGUCCAGCCUAUUUUGACGAAUUUCAUUCUGAUGUGAUGUCUCUCCCUGAGCUUGAGUCUGAAAAAUUUGAGAUUUUCCAGAAGUUUCUUGCUGACCAUAUGGCUUUUCUGCCACCAGCGUCCACGUCAAAUUUGCUUGAAAGGCUCUUCAGAUUGUGUGAUGACGCCCGUAGACAGAAUGCAGAUUUUGAAUAUCGUCCCCUUCGGCGCUUAGAUCGCGUUGGGUGGACAAAAAUAGGUGCUAUCAUGCCAUAUAACAAGGUGUUCCACUAUGACGAAGCUUCUAGUAGUAUAGAAACAUACAAAGAUCAUUACUGGGAUCUCCUCAGAUUUGUGAGGAAUUUCAGUAAUCAUGGCUUGAAAUACACACAGGUAUAUAGUUUCUGUAUUCUAUCUGUACACAUGUAUUGUAUAAACAUGAAUUGUAUCUGUUCCUAUCUCAAACACAAGAAUUGUAUCUGUUCCUGUCUGCAUAGUUUCUGUACUGUUCCUAUCCCGUACAUGUUGUAUCUGUUCUACUUUUCUAGUUCAAACAUGAAUAUAUAGUUUCUACAUAAAAACUAACUCCAUAUUAUUUUCGGAUGAAGAUCGAUGGAGUUCAAUCAAUCGAAGAUCCUGUUAUACUAGAUAUUAUGGUUGCAUAUGACCUUGGCAGAUUUAUUACAAAGCUGGUUCUGCAUGUGUUAUAUGUGUUUGAAAAACCAGAAAGGUGUGUCUAUUAAUAUCUCUGUCUGUCUUUAUCUAUACAUUUUGUUACAACUUUGGAAUAUGUUCUAACAUAAAUCUUUUUUCUUCUUAGGCUUGUCAGCACUUGGAAUGCAUACAAAACAUCCGAGUGAGUUUUGUAUUUGAGUUUUCUUUUGUUGGGGUUAGAAAAGGGAUUUAACCUUUGCCACUCUUAAGAAUGGCACAUUCCUGGGAAAGAAAUUGCAAUCCUGAAGUGGGUGGCAUUCAGGAUGUGUCGUUCUGUGGGAAAAACUUAAUUCCCUGUUCUGUUUGGGAAGACUUCAUACAGUCUGAGUUUAUUUUAUGGUUAUGGAUGCAGUGAUGCAACUGAGGAAAUCGAUGAAGAUGGGACUGAGGAAAAUGAAGGAAUUUGAGGGAUCUACAGGUAACAGAUUUAAUAAACAUUACAGGUCAUUGUUUCCUUGUAAACAGAAGGGCUCGUCAUGAUGUAUGUUCAGCUUGUCGCUCUCUAAAUGUCAACAUUCUUUCUUGUUGCAGUUGCUUCCUGUUCCCGGAGCUCCUGAGAUGCCCCCACCCCACCCCACUCGUCAAAGCUUUUGAGAUGGAACUAACAUCCCCCCCACCCGUCAAGCUUUUGAGAUGGAACUAACACCCACCCCACCUGUCAAGCCAUCCCCUAGAAUUGUCCCUAUAAUUUUGCUGCGUGACUUCAAAUGUGAUUGAACACGCAAAGAGGCCAUCUUUAGUUACUUCGGUCUUUUGAGGUGGAACUAAGAUCCCUGAGAAUAUUCAGUUACUUCUGUCUUUUGAUGGAAUGUUUUAGUCAAAAUUAGCUUUUGAAAAUUAUUCUAAACCUGAGGUUAGGAAUUUUGGAUGUCUUAAUGCCUCAUCUCUCAAGCGAUUGUUCGCUUUUGUUCACCGCUCAAUGAACAUCCUUACGGUCAUAUGGAUAUGCUAACCUGGUCAGCCUUGCCUGUUUGUUUUAGUACCUGUACUUCGGUUGUUUGUAAAUUGGACGUACUCCUAAAAUACUUUACCAUCCGUCGUGUACUAAGCACAGCCGUUCACCAUGCGCCGGAUCUCUCCACGAGGCCGUCGGGCUCCGACGCUGGUCUUACACCUCUUGUAGUUGUUUCUCUCGUCCAUGCACCUUCUAGCAAAUACAGGAACGGAACAGGGACCCAAUCCAAUAGCUAAGAGGCCAGCAAAAUUCACGGAUCACAUUUGGAGCACUAAUGAAGGAAAAUCUCAGGUAGGACCCCGCGAUGUCGGGGCGAAACGUCAACAGAAAAAACGUGGAGUCAAUUCCAUGCGAGUCGAGUCAUUACGCUCAUCAUCCCUGUCGGCAGGAUGUGUCAAUGCCACCAUCUACCACUACCACCUGGUGUGAUUAUCUCUCACCAAGCUCAUUUGCCGUCGAUCUUACCCUACGCUGCAGUAGUGUCUGGUGAAGAGCCUUUUGGCGCAUCAGGUGUCAACAGCAGCCUAUCCAAGUGUGUUUCAGGUCUGAUCAGUUCUUUCCUUCAGGCAAGCAAAACGAGCUAUGCAUCUUGCAUGUAAAACACUCAGUUGCUUGCAAUGGAUGCUGGAUUGACAGGGAAGCAGCAUCUUAUCUGAUAGAGAAGAAAGAAACAACUGUACACAUCUCUUGACAAAGGCAAAAGUGGAAAAUGCCCUACAUCACCCCACCGAGCAGGGGGGGAAGAACAUGAAGGUCUUCGCUUUACCCGUAGAAAACGACACCGCCAAAAAAAAACACCAAAAAGAUCAGGAGGGAAACAAGGCAGAAGGAGAUGUACAUAUCCACUGAUCGACUCAACCCUACUCUAGAUCCUAGCACUGGUACAGCGAGAAGCCUCUGUUCUUCCACAGAGAGCUCAAUGUCCGCCCCAGCUUCCGGGACUUGGACUUGCACAGCGGCUUUGACUCCCGGUGGCACACGAUGGCACCACCACCGUUUCCCGCCUCCGUCAGCUGGCUCUGCUGCUGCUGCUGUUGUGGCUGCUGGGGUGGCGGCGCAUCUCGCUGCCUCUGCUCCCGGAAUAGCUUCAGGAGCUUCUGGGCCUUCUCCCUGCCCCUCCCAGUCCCAGCCGCCGAGAUGGAGACCAGGGAUGGGACCACCCCUUCCUGGAGCACCGGGACGAUGCACUUGUCAUCGGCGGUGCACAUCACCAGGAGGCAUGACACAGCCUGCUCCUGCUCCGUCAGUUCGCCCGUGUCGAGCAGCGUCGCUAACGUGCUGACCAAACCCGGUGUGGACAUGAUCUCCUUCCUGCCGGCCUGGGUGGCUGCAAGGCUGAUGAGCACCGCAAGGGCCUUCUCUGUCCAACCGAGGCCCUCCGAAGCUGGAGACUCGGUGAGAAGACAGUGGAGAGCAUCCACGAUACCUGCGGUAAGGAGUGCCGGGACGCUGGCCUGGUGGAUCGAGAGGUUGUACAACGUGUACAGGGCGUCAUGCUUACAGGAACUGCUUUUAGUGUCGCCGGCCUCUUGGCUGUACAGACAGUCGACUAGGAAUGACACAGCCUGGCUUGAACCGAUGACGGCCUUCGCAUCAGGUAGGCAGGAAAGGUUAAGGUACAGUGCUGUGGAUGGACCAGAUAGGCGAGGAUUUGAUAUCAUCUGCUCGAGUAGAUCAACAACUCCAGCAGAUAACAGAAGUCCUUUGUUUCUGAAAUAAGAAUGGGUAUUGAUUGGUAAAAAUGUUAGGAAAAAAACACUUACACUAAUUUUGAGUUAGCAUACACUCUAGAUAUCUCCAACUAGCGACAAUAGGCUAGCAGCAGAUGACUAGGCAAUAAUACCUGUUAUUGUUGACUGCGAGGUUGAAAAGAGCCAUGGCGCCAACUUCCUGCGCCUUCUCAUUUCCAUCAUUCACGGCAUUCCUCAAGAACUCAACUAGCGCCUCAGCAAACCCGUUUGAGCCUAGCUGGAUCCUUGCUUCCUCAUCAUCUUUCAAAAGAUACCUUAUCUGCUCCACCAACCUACACUGCUUGUUCAUGUUGCUUCUUUCAUGAAGCAAGAGCAGCAAGUUCCCAUAGCCCUCGUUUAAAUCGAAAUCAUUACAAGAGCUGUCAUCCAGCGUUCCUGAUUCGCUGUUUGCCGGCUCCUCCUGUCUCAUACUCUCCAUCGGGACAACCUUGACACUCUUCACAUUGGUAGAAUCAAAACUUUCAACAGGCACGCAACCUGUAGCCUCAGUGUCUGAGUAAGCAAGUCUCCAAUUUACAUCAAAAGACCCCGGUGGACCAUCAGGAACUGGAAAAUCAUUCUGCUCACACCAGCUGGCGAUCAGGGCCUUGACACAGUAGUUUGGAGUCAAUGACAGGUGGGCAAGUUGCUGCUGAGUUUUUGGACAUGUGCUGUGACCAUCAUUGAACCAUUUCUCAAUGCAAACACGCUCAUAAGUCUGCCCAGAUGAAAUGAUGACUGGGUCAUACAUGAGCUGUAAGGAAAUAGGGCACCUAAGUUCUUCAGGAGGGAUCGACAUAUUUUCAGACCUUGGACCGCCGCCACGUCUGCAGUUGAAUGAUCCGAGCCGAGAAUUGAAAGAUCCAAACCUUGAAUUGAACGAUUGAACGCUCAAAAGCUGUCUACUGAAUGCUCGGCCAUUGCCGUAGGGCCCGUACAUGUCAUCCAUGCCUAAUACUGUAGGUGAGCAGGGAGACGAUCCUUGAGAAUCUGUAUCGUCACCAGCCUCACUUCUGAAGAAUUUUGAGUAUUUCCUCAUGAGAUUGUACAAGUAUGACACAACAAGCUCUUUCCGCUUGUCUUCAUCAGAACAAGCCUUCUCAAUUAGCUUCUUGAGGGCUCUUCUCUCAGUGAGUGCUGCCCUAGAAGAUGUAAUUCCCAAUUUUAGAGCAGCCAUAUGGAAGACAUCCAGCUCCCCACUGUCACUGGAACCAUUUGUUUUAUUAUUUCUCUGGAGCAAAUUGAUCACAUCAUCACCAGCUUCCUUCUCUGACCGAUCCAAUGAAAAGACAAUCUCCUCUAACUCGCUAACAAUCUCUGUAAUCUGUACAUAAACAAGUUCAGGGUGUCAGUAAGUACUGCACAUUCAAAUAUAUUGCAAAUUCAUAAAGCAACAAAGGCAAAAGGUAAGAGAACAGUGAUCCAAAGAUAUUGACUAGAUGAGUUUCUUUGCACAAUAUACCUUACAGCUGAUAUCUUCCGUUACUAUGCUUUCAACGCGCCUUAGACUUUCCUGAAGCUGGCUUCUAGAUUUCUCAAACUUCAAAAGCACAGUUUCCGAAGUGAUGGCCUAGAAGUAAAAUAAAAUCACUGUUAUGAAAACUGUUCCAAUCACACAAAUCUCCAAUAGAAAUUGUGGUUCUAUCCAGUGUGUUGUAGUAUCUCAGAGAGAAACAAGAAGUUACCAAGUAGAGCCUGCUGCUAUCUGCACAAUGUUGAAGAAGCCCUUUGGCUUUAUCUAGAGCUACAUGUAGUGAACACAAUGCCUGUAUACCAGACUUGCUUCUGGGUCUUGAUGCUUCGAUGAAAGGGAAAAUGGUGGAAAGCUUAGAUACCGCUGGAUGAAAUGCUCUACAAAUUCCUGCGUGCAACUGCAUAAACAAAAAAAAAUCAGAUUUUGUAGUGAAAUUAAGCAAAUCCCAAAGCGAGAAGGUAUAGGUCACAUUAACUUAUUGUAAGUAUAUUACUUGCUCCAUACAGUACAAAGGCCCCUGCUAAGCAGUAGAUUUUUUUAAGAAAAAAGAACCUUAUAGAAAUCAAAGCAUUGCAAUAGUACUAACCAUUGAAAAUAAAAAGGUAAUCCUCAUUGAUCAACAAACAUAGGAGGCUUUUAGGAUGUACUUACAAAAGGUAGACAAACAACAGAUCAACAGGAAUACCAAAUGAAUUCACUGUAAAGAUGAUACCUUGGCAUCAUUAGCCAGAAAAGGACCUUCUUCGGCCUCCAUCACGUCCAUUAUUAACUUCUACCUGAGCUCCAACAUCUGAUUACAGGACACACAACAAAAAGGGAUAACAUUAGCAUUUCGCUCUAAACAUUCUCAAAAGAUAAAAUUAGAUAGGCUUUUCCUAAGGACAAAAGGAAAUAACAGGUUUGGACAUUGGAGAAUGGGACAAAGAAAACAUCCAGCCAUUUCUAGUAGAAAUGGAAGAGAUAGGAAUGGCUGAAAUCUACUGGCAAGCCCACAACACACUGUUGUCCAAAAAUCAACUUUGGUUUUCAGAAACAACCCACUGAAAAGGACGUUUCCUCUACAAAAUUUGUGAUUUCCAGCUCCUGGAGCCCAAUACAAUUUUUUAUCAACCAAAUUCACCUGUUUUGAACAAAUCUAAGGCUCCAAUGUAACCAGCGUGCUGCAUUUGACUCUUAUCAUGCCAAAAAAUAAAAGAGGAAGGAAAGAAAAAACAGGUGUCGGCAGCUUCAGGGGUGGACUGUGGACAUAGCGUGGGGCAUAGGGGUUCAGAAGAACCGACAUUUCUUUUCCCAAAAUACAAAGACCAAUCUUGCGCGCUGAAGAAGAACUGCUCGAGCCAUCGGUGUUGAUGAACUUUAGAGGGCGUGGCGCCACGCAGAACACAAAUCCACAACUCAAUGGUGGAUUUGAUUGCUCGUGCCUACAGCUAAGGAAUGGAACUCUCGGGGCACCCAUCCAAACAAGCUAGGAUUGCUCACCAAGGAAAGAAGGAAUCACUCCACGGCAGGACGGAUCUCCACCCCACGCCACUCCACCAGACCGAGGGAGGAGCACCGCGCCGGCGGCGGCGGUGGACCGAGAAUCAGGCUUAGGGAGGGAGUGACUGUGCGGCAGCGACACGAAAGGUUGGAGGAGGCGAGCUGCGAGCCCAGGUUGAGCCUCCAGAGCCAGCCUCGCAGGGAGGCCGCGGGCGCGCGUGGAUGAGGAGCGGGAGGCCGAAUGCAGCCACACCUUGGCGGGCACACUCACCACGCUCUAGCUUUGAUCUCUACCCGUACUGACGGAAAACGGAUCUCACCGGCGAGGUCUCCACGCGGCUCCGGAGCUUGCCGGCGACGGCGGCGGAGGCGGAGGGGGAGCGUGGGGCGGUGGGGGGAGGAGAGAGAGGAGAGAAGGGAGGAAUAAUGGAGAGUGGGGGGACGUUGGAGUUGAGAGUGGAUUUUAUUCAGAUUUCAGGGCCUGGGCCCGGGAAAGUGAAAUAAAUGCCAUUUUCUUUUCUCCCUGUGGGGUUUUCUUUUAUUUAAUAAUGUUUCCUAAGGGGCUAUUGAAAUGGUUCAGCUCCCUUCUCUGUUUAUUUUUAUUUAUUUUUGUUGCAUCAUUGCUUAUGGUGGAGUUUGGAUAAGCUUUUCAGUUUCUUGGAAAUGAUUUGUCAGUUAGACAAUGUGAGAUGUGGACUUGUUUCUAGUAGCAUGGUUGGUUAGUGUCUUAGCGAGCAUGUGUGUUUGAACAAAAUUGUACAAAAUUCACACUCAAACUUUGGAAGUUAGGUUUAGGUUUUGUUUGAUCAUUUAGUUUUUUAAUAUUUUCCUUUGUUUCAUCACCAGCCAUAUAUUUUUUCUCUACUACUCCCUCCGUCCUAAAUUAUAGGUUAUUUUAACUUUUUUAAAUUUAUAGAUUUUGCUAUGCAUAUAAACAUGCUAUGAAUCUAUAAAGCUAAAUGACCUAUAUUUUAUAGGAUGGAGGGAGUAGUUCUUAUUUAGCAGUAAUAGAAGAAAUGCUAGAGAAUUGCUGUUAGCGACUUGUGGCUGCCUUUUAGAAACCCUAUGGAUAGUGAUACAAGGAUUGAUUGUUGAAAUUCUAGGCACCACAGAGUGGUGUGUAUCAUACUCAACAUUAUGUGGAGAAAAAAGUGUUUUAUUAGCCAUUCUUAGAAAAUUUUUAGAUUAUAGUCGUGGAUAACAAAAAGUUGGUAAGCCGCCGUUUGUCUUUCGUUUUAGUAAAAGUAGGAGAAGUGUCACUGUUCAUGAAGGGUUCAUUCGAUCCAUGUAUGAGUUCUCAUAUAGUUACAAACAUCCAAAGAGGCAUGUCAAAUACAAGUUGUAGGAAGGGAUUCCAAUCAAAGCAAGAUGACCUAGAUGGCAAGUCGUGAUGUUCCGUUUAUUCCUCUCACUCCCUCUCCACGAUGAUAUUGAUGUCCAAACUACUUGGUCAAAAAUUUCAGAAUGACUACAUCACCUUAUUUUUUUCAAUUUACUUUACAAUGAACUAAAAAAUAUUUACUUUACAAUGAAGAAAGAGCAUCUCAACAGCGUAUCUGAACUCAUGAUAUAUGUGUAUAAAAUAAAUCACAAAUCUUCAAACGCAAAAUAUUUUCCCUAAAAAAAUCCAUAUGAAAAAUAAACACCAUUUCCAUGAUUUUUUGGGGGGCAGUUUUUCUCUCACGCACUAGUACCGUAUAGUAUUUAGCCGAGAACAGUGCUGUGAUGUCCUUGCUGAUCGACUAAAUCACUGCAUUUUCUGCAACCAGCACAUGAUUGAUGUUUCUGCCACACACUUCUCCAAAGUAAAGCCAAGUUGCAUAUGCCCGUGGCUAAACAUUGCCACUCCCAAGCACCCUUUCGGCCUUUCUUUCUCUAAACUAUGAACCCGCCGAUGAAUGUGCAAAUGGCACCAAAAUUAGAUCCCAAACUUAACAACUGGAACCAAGAUUAACACACAGAUCUAAGCUAUAGUGCCAGCAUAGUGACCCCCCUCCAAGUGGGGGGUUUUCUAUUCCCUUUGCUGCAAGGGAUCUCUGAUUCCAUCCAUCAGAUGCCCAAACCAAACCAAACCACAGCCCAGAGACAGGAGGUAUAAACAAACAAAUCUUGACAUCCCAACAAAAUUGUUUAUGCAGCAGUACUAGCCGGUUGAUUAACUAAGAGAAAACAAUGCAUAAUUAUGUUUGAAUGGCCCCUCCACUGGCAGAUGAUUCCAUGCGUUUCCCUAGCUUUUUUUUUAAUACAGAUUUAAAUUUGUCAGAGUUAGAUCAAGCCUUGCUUUCCAGUGGAUCCUCAGAGAGACCAAAUCAUGCAUUCACCCGGUGAGUUAUUCUAAUUCAGUCAUCAGAGAGCUAGUUUAAGAAUUAUUAAGAGGACAGGGCAAGUGCUAGCUUUGAGGUGAUGCCAUGAGGCUUUAGGCGACAGGCACUUGGGAGUCGUAUGGAUGAUAGGGGCCUGGACGUGUCAAGGAAUUAUUAGCGUCUUUAGGGGCAGGGAAUAAGGGAAAAGAUCUUGCUGUUGGGUGGAGGCGUCGUUUGGCUGAUGACCAGGCUUUGGGGAUGGAUUAAAGAAAGGGGAGGGAGAGAAUUGACCACUAAUCCUUCCAUGGUGUGAGAUUAUUGCUCGCUCCUUUUUGAAGCAUUUUGUCUUUCUUUUGGCACCCUUUUUAAUCUUCUAAGUGCUGGGUGUAUGUUUCUGCACCAACAAUCUUUGAACUAGCAAUGCUGUCCACUAGUUAACAAGGGGUUGUUUGGAUCUUUAGUCCGGACUAAAAUUCAUAUCACAUCAAAUAUUUGAAGGCUAAUUAGGAGGAUUAAACAUGAGCUAAUUAUAAAACUAAUUACACAGAUGGAGGCUAAUUCACGAGACGAAUCUAUUAAGCCUAAUUAAUUCAUCAUUAGCACAUGUUUACUGUAGCAUCACAUUGUCAAAUCAUGGACUAAUUAGGCUUAAUAGAUUCAUCUCGCAAAUUAGUCUCUAUCUAUGCAAUUGGUUUUGUAAUUAGUCUAUGUUUAAUACUUCUAAUUAGUAUCUAAACAUUCGAUGUGAUGUGAUAGGAAUUUUAGGAGUGAUUAAAGAAACAAACACCCCCUAACCUUGUUUAGAAUGGAGGAAGUUGGGAGGAAUCCUCAACCCUGAAAGACAAAAGCAAUGGAGAGAAGGAUUGCAGUCUAAUCCUGAAAAACAUGCAAAAUGAAUAAUCCAGUAAAGAAAGAAUCCCAGGGAGCUAUUGGUCCUCUCUAAGCGAGUGCGGUCAAUCGACAAGCUCGCGGUUAUGAGAGGUUUGCAGGUACAAUUGCAACGCAGGCAGACCUACACAGAAUUAACGCUUCUUGCACGGAGAUCAGGAGGCACUAAGCUACUCCAAGAUCCAAAUCUUUUGUGAAGAGAGAGAAAGAGAGAAGCACUGCUUGUACUGCUAACAAUUCACCAUACGCAGUAACAGCGGCACACGUAGCAGUGCGCAUGUAAAACGAUCCAUCACCCAUCACUGUUGGCCGACCGAUUUGGACGUGUUGCCGGGUACUACUAGAUGCACGUUUCGCCCUGUACAGCAUCCGAUUUCGCCAUCGACCCACUCUCCAUACAUGUUACUGCAUCUCGGACGACCAAUUGGUGAGCCGAUUUCACCCGCGAUGUAAUCUUUGUUAAACAUUGUCAACCACAUGGCAGCAUUAAUCACCGAGGGAGAGCCUUGGUUACAUACAUUAAACCUAGGAUGCACAAAUGUCCAAGUGAUGUGGCGUCAACCACAAUUUUAUAAUGGCAAAAUAAGCAUCUUGGUUCUGAACUGGAUCAACUUCGUCCCUCAACUUUCAGAUUAUCCAAUUUAAUCCCUCAACUUUCGUUUUUGAUCAAACUCAUCCUUGUGCUGAUACGUGGCUCCAUAUUGGUAUGAAACUAAUACAAAAUGUCCACUUUACCCUUGGCUCUUUUCUCUCUACAAUUUUCACCUUUACAAUUACAAUAACAUAUGAUCCAAAAUAAAUAUGAGGAUACAUAUGUUUGCUAGGGAGUAUAAAUACAUACAUGGAGUAUGUAUAACGUACCACAAGUAUGUGAGAGCAGGUUGAUUUUAGAACAUGACUACACAUAUUGAGUUGUAUAUAUACCAAAAGAAUAUAAGUAAAUACUUAUUUGAGUACAUACAUUUUGCAUAUCAAAUUCGUACGAGCACAUGAAUGACUUUAAAGAGUACAAAUAGAUAUACUUUUUAGAAACCAUAUUUUGUGGUAGUUUUAAAAAAUAUAUUGUUAUGUACAUGUAUUAAGGGAGUAUGAGCACAUACAUGUUUGACCUAGAUGAGCCAAGGGCAAAAUGGAAUUUUUGCAUUAGUCUUAUGCUAACAUAGAUCACCACAUCAACACAAGGACGAGUUUGGCCCAAAAAUAAAAGUUGAGGGAGUAAAUUGGCUAAUCUGACAGCUCGUUCGGCAGCUGCGCUGCUGGCUGCUGGUUGCAGCUGCUGCUUGGCAGCUGCCUGCUUCUAGCUGCGUUGCAUCUACUGCUUCUUUGUAGCUGGCUUGUACUGCGGGAUGCCGCAAUUGAGUUCAAAUUUUUAGCAGGAACGCACGCAAUUGAUUUUGAUUUUUUUGGCGCAAACGGAGACCAACCAAUCAAAGUAACCCACCAUCACCAUAUCAAUAGUCAAUGAAUCAGUGUCGUUCUACUAACAGCCAUUACAAUAAAAAAAUUCCACACAAAUUACUUGACAUACAACAUAUGGUAGAAACAAACACACAUAGACAUAGAACAUUACAGGGAGGCCAACAGCAAGGCAUCCAGUACCAUUGCUAGGGUCUGCUUGACCUGGCUGCCUAAAUAUCAAAAUUUGCUGUCAUCACCUGCAUGUACCCAUUUUGGUAUAGCCAUAGGUCUCAUCAACAUCUAUGCAAACUUGUAUAGAAGCAAAAUCCAAAACCAGCCAUACCUGUUAACUACAUCAAGGAGAUUCCUGUCGUAAUCCAAUCUCGUACACUUGCCAUAUCAGGUGUAGCAUUUGCUGCCACCCAUGCAGACACGGCGUAAUCCGGAGUUCGCGCCAUGUUCCUAUCUGCGGUACUUGCAUCGGCACGGUCCAACAAAUAAUUGUGGAGUGCAAAGCAAGCAAUAAUGAUCUUUGUUUGCCUCUCUCGAUCAUAGAAUGAUACUUCUCGCAAAAUAUGCCACCUCGAUUUGAGCAUGCUAAAUGCCCGUUCCACAACAUUGCGAAGACUCGAAUGGUGGAAGUUGAACUUCUCCAAAAUUUCAGCCGCUCUUCGGCUGAACUCCUCUAGAUGGUACCUCGUAUUGCGAUAUGACCCCAGAUAGCCCUCACGAACUGCGUAACCCGAGUCCACCAGAUAGUACCUUCCUACACAACAUCAAACAUAUUCACCAUUAGUGCAACACUUUUACAAUUGUAGCUUCAUGAACGUAAUUAGCCAACUAACAUACCUGGAGGUGGAUGUGGGUAAUUUGGUGUCUCCAUACAGUCCCUCAACACCGCCAUGUCAUGACUGGACUCCGCCAUGUCAUGACUGGACUCCGUCCUCCCUGCUCCUACAUAUGUGAACCGCAUGUCCAUAUCCACUAUGACUAACACAUUAAAGCUUGGCCACCCUUUCCUAUUAAUGAAGUCCAAAUGUGACUCACGCACGAUUUGUACGGGAACGUGAGUUCCAUCUAAAGAACCUAUGCACCCAUCAAAGAACGGUGCAUAUGGGUUGAGCCUAUUAUUAACCUUUGAGUACGACAGGUCCUUUGGAGCGAUAACCGUCUGUGCGAAUGAGAACAUGACAUCUGCCACAUGAGCCAUCUUCGUACUAAUUGUGUCCAAUGACCGCUCAAAUCUAUCUCUAAUCUGUCUAGAAGCCUAUUGUGUCCCACAAGCCCAGACGAACAUAGCUAAAGUCUCGAUAGAUUCGGUCCCUUGUGUUGAUUCCAGCCCAUUAUAAUUAACUAAGAUAUCAUGCAACUGAAGAAAUACGUCAGGAUACAUACGAAAAUUGUCGUAGCACCUCCAACUUUCCUGCAUAUUCAGCUCAACCCAUUGAUGUCCGGUCAUCCGUGGCAACUCAACGGGCGGGUUCACCACAGGAGCUGGACUUCUGCUCGCAGCUGCAAAUGCUGCUACAGCUGCUGCUACCCUUGUCAGCUGGUAUACGAUGGAGCUAGCAUCACUGCCAAUGUUUUUGUUUGAUUCCUCAGCGUAGCUCAUAGUGCAAGCAACCUGCGCACAGAAUAGACAUUAAUGGUUCAGUCAUAAGUCUAUAAAGUAAAAGUUCCGCCAUAAGUUAUAUAACAAACUAUUUCAAACCUGUCAAGAAACUUCCCUGUCCUGCUCCCUGGAUGACUACAUAGGUCCACAAUGGUCCUCCACGCCUUCCUAGUACAAUGAACAGCAAGAUAAAACUUCUUUCUCACUAAUGAACAUGCAAUGUAAAUCACAUGCGUUUUCAUGUAAGAAUGAAAUAGAUGCACAUGCAAUGUAAAUCAUGGACCACAUUUAACUUGGAAAAUUAGACAUCACACACAACACAUUGUUCAGGCCAGAGGCCACAUUACAUGCUAAGAUAUUGUUCUCUACCAUCAGUACACAACACUACAAUAAAACCAACGGAUGCCACAUUGAACUACUUGUUCUCCCUCUCCCAGUUGAAUUGGAUCCAAUGCAGGCGGUCCUCUCUGGCUUUCAUCUUCGUGAAGGCCCUUCGAUUCACUGCAUUCUUGCAUAAAUAUAUUGCCAUGCAGUACAGAUCAGACCCCUCAUCAAUACCAUCUUCUUCUAAAAUCUACAUUGCAAGGUCCAGCUCCUCUUGCUCACGGCUGCGAUGUUUCUGGCUUCUCGUAGCUACAAUUUCAGAGAGUUCUCUGACGUAGUCCUCCAAGUUGUCACUCUUUUUUUUUUGGAGGACUGUUGUGGCGGAACCGUCCAACUUAAACUGGUUUAAAUGUGCCUAAUUGCUGUCGAUGCAGCAAUUAUGCGAAACGCACUUAAAACAGUAUAAGUUCGGUCGUCCGUCGAGUGUCCCUAGGACCCCUCGAAAGAUCCACGUCGUGUCUCAUAGCCAUACAUCAGGAUUGUAUCCGCGAUGGGAUAACAUCAACAAAUAUUACAUUUUUACAUACAUAUACGAAGUACGAGUUAACACAAGACAUAGUUUGAGGCAAACUUAACAGUGCAGCGUUAGACAGAGUUCUAAGAUUUAAAACAUAAACGGUUCGGAUGGAGAUGAGCAUUAUGAGACUUCUUCUAAGGGUAUUGUGAGACUCAUAACAAUACCCUAGGGUUUCGAGGCUUCCUCCUCAGUGGACUCCGGCGGUGCUUCUGAAAAGAUAGCCACAAGGGAUAAUCCUGAGUACGGGGUACUCAGCAAGUCUUACCCGACUAACCAAUAUAAUAGUUUCUUUUGGAAGUACAUGAUAGCUUUUCGGUGUACUUGGCUGAUACAUUUUUGCCAAAAAGCUUACUACAAGUGAGACCUUAGUUUUAUCUUUUAUUUGGGUUAAGUCUUUACCUAACCAUUCUAGGUGAUGAUAAAGAUUAUUUGCAACAACAAGGUAAUAAGUCAUACAUCAAACAUUAACAGAAAGAUAUGACGUUCAUGAGUUUAUGCUACGAUGCUCAACAAUGAUCAAUCGCAUUCAUAACCGAGAAUUGCGGCGAUCCGGAUCAUAUUACAUCCUGUAGGAGAGUACCCUGAUCACCAGCUAUAUACGACUGUCCAGGUCGUAUGUAAUGACUUUUCGAUUAGCAAAUCCAAUGAUUGGGAAUAAGACUACUCGGACCCAGGGACGCACCCCCACAUGGGACCCCACGUCUGGCCCGAUCACCAUGUGAGUUUCAGGCUACGCCCCUGCCAAUCUCCAGCACGUCAAGCGCGGGUACGAAGUAUUCCCGAUCAAAGAGUUUACUAACCUACUGGGCUUUACUGGUCCCAUACCCAGUAAGUGAUCAGAUGAUUAUCACUUGAUCAAAGGUUAAGACAACGAAUCGGGCCUUAACCAGAUUAAUUUAGCAGACAGAACUACAUCCUUAGCUUCUGUCCGCUUCUCAAUUUCCGAGUCAUCUUUCCCUAAAUAACAUGUAUGACUCAAAUUUUUUCCUUAAGGUUGGUAAACCAAGUAUUUAAGCAACUAAGCAAUUCUAGACUUGGGUUAUCUACUAAGGGUUUGAACAAGUGGCAAAGAUGUCCUUAAAACAAGGUAUGAUAAUGCACAAGAAUGGGUUUCAAGCAACUCCUAGACUUAGUGCAUACAUAUAGCAAAUAACCGAUAAUUGGACACAUGAAAUAUUGACUCCAAAAUAAUAGGUAUAAUGCACCGGGGCUUGCCUUGUUCGAUAAAAAAGUUAGUAGUGUCCGAAGGGUUGGCCUCGCAGGGGACCAAUUCAAAGACUUCCUCAAACUCCGAAGAUCCUUCUGAAUAUUCCGAGUAAUCUCCUUCUGGUGCUUCGGGGUCUAUAGCAUAACAUAUGCAGGGGUUAGGAAUGCAAAUUUUUAAAUAUAUGACUGUACAACUUUCCUUCAUGAUAAAGUUGCAAGCCAACACACAAAAACCCGAGAAGAUUAGUCCACACUUUUUAUUUCCCUAAUUAUCCUUACUUAAGGCCUUUUCUUUCAUUUUUAGAAAAUGUUAUAAUUCUUUUCUAACUUUAAAACCUAAUUUCCUAUGAAUUAAUAAUAAUUUGUGAUUAUGAAAAUGUUAUUCCAUAUUUUAUGCAUUUAAUAAAGAUUAAGUAUUUAUUUAAUUACCUUAAAAGAAAGGCAUUAAAAUACCUAAAUUUUUAUUAUUUUUCUAGGGUAUAAAAAUUUUAAUGCAUAAAGGAAAAUAAAACAAGCCUAACAAAAUUGGUUUCACUAAUUUUGGACACUCCUAAAAAUUUCUAUGAUUUAAAUGGUGAGAUUUGAAUUUAAACUAAUUAUUCUAUAAAGGAAAUCUAAAUUUUCCCGAAAAACUUCCCUGGCAACUUUUCUCACGCGACCUUCUUCUACCCCCUCUCUCUUACGCUGGGCCCGCGGCGCGGACCCACCCCUUCUCCUAUUCAUUCUACCCGCCGGCCCCUUUCUCCUUGGCCGGGCUCUACUGGGCCGAUUCCUCCUCUCUUCUUUAAUCCGAAACCCAGCAUCGGCCCACUGGCCCACUCUUUCUUUUUCUUCUUUCUUUGUAGCGCCGGCCUGCUAGAUCUCUGGGCCUCCGGCCUUUUUCUUCCACCGGCGACCCACACGCGCACCUGGGCCUCCAAGACCGCGGCCCAUCCGACGCCCGCGCUCGGCCGGCCUCUUCCUUUCCUUCUUCUCCCCUCUGACGCGCGGGCCCGAGGCUCCAGCGCCUUAUUCUUCCUCCCGCCAAAAACCUACGCGUGACAGGGGGCGGUGCGGCUCGCCGGCCGGCGCCCUACCGGCGACGAGGCUAGGCCGGGGAAGCAACCCCAUGCCCUAGCGCACCCGUGCGCGGCGACAGCUCCUCGGGAGAUGGCCGGAGCCACUCCCUCCACAGCGGCGGGCGGCGGCACCUACGGCCGGUCGCAGCUACGCACGACGACGGCGCAACCUACCCCAACGACUACUACUACACCAUCCUAGCAUCCCAAGGACCUGCCUACGACUACCCAAGAAGGAAGAGAGCAAGCGCAAGGGGGUUGUCACCGUGAGCAGGAGGUAUGGCGACGGCGGACGAGAACAACGGCGAGCACGGUUACUCCGGCAAGGAUGUUGGACAACAACUCGACUGGAGUGUAGCUGGGGUGUCUGUGGAGGAGUGGGCGAGAGGAAUCGACGGGAGGUGCGGUGCGGUGGGAGAAUUUUGCUGGGCGGCGGCAGUUUGACAGAAGGAGCGGCGGCGGUAAAAGAACGGCAGUAAACGGGCGGCGCGGGAGCGGUAGUUAUACAAACGUUUUACUGCACGCAUGGGCGACACCGUGGUCUACUCGUAGGCUUGCGUGGUGAGGAGGUGGCAUAGCUGCCGCGCUGGCGGGCGACCGAGAACGGCGGCGGCGACAUGUCGAGCUCGGCUCUGUCAUCCUCCCCCUUUCUAUCUCUGGCGCCCGAAAAUUUCAGAGCUCCACCAUGGCUGAUUUUGCAUCCGACGGUUCACAAGUGUCUUAACCAAAGUUGUAGAUAAGUUCGAGCUCUACACUUCAUAUUUAAAAUCUUACCCGAGAUAUUCAUCCAUUUGUUAUGAAUUUUGAAUUCUUUCUCUCCUCUGUCUGAACUUCUCUGAACUUCAAGGUUCAGUUCGUCAGUCAGUUGGCCGACUCAUUUACCCGACUUUGCAAAUGAUUUCAGUGAUCCAAACCCUUUCCUUGCAGUCCAACUUCUUCUCAUUUGUGUUCUACAACCUUCAAGGAUUCCAUUUUGCCCAAAAACACCUACACCUUUUGAUCUACAUUCCUCUGAAAUCAGCUCCAAACUCGGCCACAUAUUGCUGUUAUCAGACUUAGCCAUUUUCAGAAAUGCUACCUACCGUGACAAAGUGCCGACUUUAGGCCUCCAUUUGAAAUAGUUCCCUCGACUAUUCCUGAUCAACAACACUUGAAGAUUCUUGUCCAAAGUCCACAAUUUAAUAUGGUGUAGUUGUUUCGAUCCACUUGUUUGAAAAAUUCAACAGAAAUCAAUUUUGAAAAUGGACUUUGCUGCUGUUUUUCUGAAUUCCCUAUUGUCGGAUGGUGAACAGUACUUGGGUUUUUAAUUUCUUUCUUUGAAUUUUCUUGAGGUAUUUGGAACCAGGUCUUGUCCCAAAUCUUGAUCUUUAAGUUCUAAUCACCCUUACACCUCCCUUCCAUAUUUUUGCCAAAUUUUUCUGAAUUUCAAAUUUGAAAUUUAAAUUUCGGUCAAAUUUGACCCGAAUUUGAUUUUUGGCCAAUUUCUUUUUCUUUUCUUCACGAAUUGCUUCCAUUUCUUCAGAGUCACUUUGAUGACUAAAAUGGCAGGUAUUACAACUGUCAACAACUUCCUCCUGGGUUAGCCUUUUAGACAUAUUACGAGCACUACUAGCAGCCAUGGGGUCUAGGUACAUGUCUGCUGGAGUGUCCUCGGUCCCAAUCCUAGGUGUUGCCUCACGGACACCUCCUGCAGUUAGCAAGGUCCCCCUAUCUUGGAUGGUGUGGCCAAACAGCGUGUAAAGUUCGUCAAGGAACGAUGGUGGUUUAGCAGUACUUGUCUAGGCAGCACUAGCACUAGUUUCCUGCAGGUCACAACACUACAUGUUAGACAAAAUUUGUUGCUUGAAUUGAAUGAACAAGAAGUAUUGCAAAGGUGACAGCAUGUACCCCUUCGUCGGUAGCCCAAAAAGUAGAAUUAGCUGCAACGCCAUCAGUAUGUUUGUCACGGCCUAGGCCUGAUUGGACUUGUAGGUCCCUCUAAUUCAUGAACGACCUUUGCAUGGUGCUCAGCUUAUUCUGCAGCUGCUUGCUGCCUAAAGUUAGACCAAUCUGUUGUUUGAAGUUGCGGUAGACGUGUUGCCAUCCCAACUUAGUUAGGCAUUUGUUGCUCCAAUUCAGUUGGUUCUUCUCAACAACGCAGAGGUCGAGGAAUGUUUUUGUUGUUGCCUCAUCCCAAUUGGCACGGCUGCUAGCUAUCUGAGCCCAGUUGUACAAUGCAUAGUUUGAGUAGGUAGGAGCUGCAAUUUUAUUUUAACAAAGAAGAAAAUGCAGGAGACAUAAAAGUAGACAAACUCAAUACGUAAUGAACAUGUCACUUGCCUUAGCAGUUGUCUUGGCACGUUUGUAACGGAGAUUGUAUGGACAGGCUGGUGGGGAAGAGCACGAAGAAGUGGAUGACGAUGCCAGUGUGGGCACCGUUGCGAAGGCUAAAAGUGUACUGCAGGUAGGCUCGCUGCAGAGGAUUGCAUAUGUCAGAUCAAUGCUUCAAAUUUGCACUCAACAUUGUACCAGAAUUUAGUUACUAAUCCAGUAAAAAUUUAGAAAAGUUUAUGUCAAAAUUAGCAGCAAGAUAAACCAUGAGGUAACACAGUGGUGAAGCACUAGUGCAGCAACAACAAUGUAAAACAUUGUCCUAUAUAUUUCAGAAACAAGGUAGUACACAUUUCAAUUCACCAAACCAGUAGCAUAUCAAGCUGCUUGAGUACCAGAAUUUAGUUACUAAUCCAAUAAAACUUGCCUAAAGUUCUAUAUGUUCUACUUACAUCAAACAAAGACCUCAACAGGGAGGGAAAUCAAAACAUUUGAUCUUUUGUUAUGAGAAAACACAUGAGCUGCUCCUUCUGAAUGGAAAUAUCUGCAAUUUAGAAAUUGUGUUGUCAUAACGCUAGAUGAAAAAUUAGCAUCAAGCAAAAGCAUGAGGUAACACAGUGGUAAAGCACAAGUGCAACAACAACAUUGUAGAAUCAUGCUGACUUGUAUAUUUCAGCAAAAAAAAACUACACAUUUCAAUCCACCAAACCAGUAGCAUUUGAAGCUGCUAGAGUACCAAAUUUAGUUACUAAUCCAAUAAAACUUCCGUAGAGUACCAGAAUUUAGUUAGUAAUCCAAUAAAAAUUCAAAGAAGUAUUUGUCAGCAUUUACUAUGAAAAAAUAUUUAUUUGUACCAGGAAUCUAUGAAUAUAGUAUAGUAUAUUAGUAAAAUUUCUGGUUAUCCAGGCAAUUUCAACCAAAAGAGCUUGAAACGGAUUAAAAUUAGGAUAAAGUAGCAUGAAACUAGGCCAAGCUUACAAAAUUUAGAGAAGAUAAAAGGCAGAAAUACAAAAGGUCAGCACCCUAAUACUAGUACCAACCCUACAGAUGCUACAAAGGUUCAGAGAUGUCCUACACUCAAUCAUAAAAUCGAAAGUACUUAAGUUAAGCACCCAAACCCCCCCACCACCACUAUCGCUACAAAAAUAUCCGCUUGAGCAAGAAACCUAUGGCGGUAAAACUGCUACAAAAAAUGGGGAUUACCUGGAUCUAAAUGGAGGCUUCCUCAAGUUAUGGCGGCGGCAGGGCCGGGAUGUGGCGGAUGGGAGAUCUGAGUGAGGGCCUCUUGCUCGAGUUGGCAGGCGGGGGGUGCCACGGUGAAGACAGCGGCCGCCGCGAGCUCGGAUCCCGGCUGCCGUGCUGGGCGGUGACCUAGAUCCCUGGCGGCCGGCUUCACCCCGGGUGCCUCGGCUCUGCGGGUAGACGAUGGAGGACGCUGUGGGGGUGAAUGGUUCGGCGUCGGUGAUGAAAAGCCCACCCCGUGCUGGAUCUGCUUGCUGGAGGCCGCUUCGUCGACGAAGGGAGGAUGACGCUGGGGACGGAGAAGGAGGGAGCGAUGGUGGCGGAGAGCGGGCGAGAGCGAGAGAGUGGGCGAGAGGAGAGUAAGGUGGAUAAGGUUUGCAUUAUUGUGGAUGGAAUGAGAGAGGGAGAGAAAAGGAGGUGCGAAGCCGUUAAUGGGCAGCCGAACGGCUAGGCUCAUCAGCCCAGCCGAAAAAAGCACAACCGGCUUUUUCAGCCAGCCGAACGAGCUCUGAAAGUUGAGGGACGAAGUUGACCCUCAGGGAUCAAAGUAACUAUUUUGCCUUUUAUAAUUGCAAAAGUCAUGUAGGAGUAGAAUUGUAUACCGAACCCACACCACACGUACCGUACGCACACCUGUAUAUGGGCGGCUGUGUUUGCAUCUGCGGAGGGAUGGAUGAGACAGAGCUGAAUAGCUGAUGGAUGAUUCAGACAGAAAAAAAUAUCUCGCGAUGAUUGGAGAUUCGGAGGCGCCACGGGCGGGUGGGUGGGGGAGACAGAGGAGAGACGGCGGCCGGAGCCGGGAAAGCCAGCGGCACAUGCGGCCGGCCGGGAAAGCUAGCGGCAAUAGUAAUUGGGCGGCGCUAGUUUGCUUGCCUUGUCCCGGCUCGCCGCCCGCCGUGGCUGUCGGCCGCGCGCCGCCGGCCGCACCGUGACGACUCAGAGCCCAGAAGGGUGGCGGAGGCGCGCGCGGCGCCGCUGUAGCCGGGGCCCUCCCGUUGAAGCCGGGACCCGGGAUCGGACGGCCACUGUUGCAGUCCCACACGUGGACGGACGGUAACGCGGCUUAACGCCCCGGGCCAGCGAUCGUACGUACGAACCGGUCGGCGAUUGGGCCCAGCCACGCCACGCAUCCCGACGCCCGCGGCGGGUCCCAGCUGGCGCGGGCGGGGGGUGGGGGGGGCACCACGGUGGCGGUGCCGGCUGUCACCUCGUGCUGUGCUGGCAGGUAAGCUGACUACUAGGGCCUUGUUUAGUUGGGGAAUUUGGGAGGUGCCAAAUUACUGUUACAGCACUGUAGCACACUGUAGCGUUUCGUUUGUAUUUGUGAAUUAUUGUCCAAAUAUUGACUAAUUAGGCUCAAAAGAUUCGUCUCGCAAAAUACAACAAAACUGUGCAAUUAGUUUUUAAUUUCAUCUACAUUUAGUACUCCAUGCAUGUACCGCAAGUUUGAUGUGAUGGGGAAUCUUCUUUUUGCAUAGUGUCAAAGUUGGGAGUUGGGAGUAACUAACAUGGCCUAGCUGUGGCCACCACAGCAUCGCUACCAGAGGUGGUGGCAGCCGAGGCCCGGCUGUCCACGCGGCGACCUCCUCGUGCUUUGGAGCCACCGAGCCAGCCUACGUGGUCCGUACCACGUGCCGCGUGCGCGUGCAGCUGUAUACAUUUGCCAAGUACUGGGAGUAGUAUCAGGAAUAAUAAUAGAAAGAAUAUGUUUUUUUUCAGUUGUAUUCCUGUGAAGCGGAAGCUAGGUACACAGAGAAAUAGAGAAGCAGCACGUUACGGCACAUGCGCAUUCGCAGCUACGAUUCCGUCGCCUUCACUCAAAAUACACCACCCCAUGUAUGCUGCAUGCAUGCAGGCAGGCAUGAAUUGUUGGUGAGCUCCAACCAGCCAACCAACCAAGCCCGGAAGCCCCGCAGGCACGCACCGCCACCGUCGUGCCCCCGCAUGGGUCGAUGCCGGGUGCGAUGCGACCGUUUCCUUCCCGCGCACUCAUGCGCUAGCUAUGCGAGCCCGUUCGUCUUCCUUCAGUUUCACUUCAAAACGUACCUGACGGCUAGCUGACGCCACCAGCCAAGCUCGUCCCUGCACGCACGCAUGAGCAUCGCUCGACCUCGGCUCGUGUGUGUCUUCGUCGCCACUUGGUUCUAAGCUGAGCUCCUCUGUUUUUGCCAUGCACACGGGCCUUGGUUCUGAAUGAGUGAAUGGGUUUAGAUUACGUGGUCUGUCCCUGAAAAAUCCGAAUAAGAAAGGUUGCUUUUGUCGCACUGCAUGAUCCGGCCGGCCGGAUCGCAGCGCGUAUUGAUUUUCGAUUUGGUUUGUGGUCGGCAUCGACCACAUGCGAGAUUCCUGCUGCGGUGUUAUUAGUGUGUGUGUUGUGAUGCUUCUGCAGGUGGCGGUGGUGGCCUCCUCUCCUCCACACCCAAGUGAUGGAUCCAACACAACAGAGUUUAAGCAGGGCAUCGUCGUGCCUAUAUGCUCUUGAUGAUGGCAGCGGCAUCACAUCUUCACCAGUGAUCGCGCGCACGGCAAUCAUCUCUGCAUCCAUGGGCCUGGCCGGCCACCGACACCAAUUGCUGCAGUGCUGAUUUUGGAGGAACUGAAACCACGCCAUCGCUACACGCAUCAGUUGUUUUUCUAAGAUAAGAACUCCUAUACGGAGUAUGUUUUUGUUUUACAAUACAGUAUCGCUAUGUAUUCGAAGAAACACACACUGUUUCCUAGGAGGCUUCCAGAUGUUUCCCUUGCAGGAGACUCUUGGCGUCAUGGUGGUGGUAGAGGCGCCAACUGCAAGAUUAUCGGAGGUGUUUGGGAGAUAGGGGCUAAACUUUAACCCUGUCACAUCGGAUGUUCGGAUACUAAUUAGGAGGACUAAAUAUGAGCUAAUUACAAAACUAAUAGCAGAACCUCUAGGCUAAAUCACGAGACAAAUCUAUUGAGCCUAAUUAAUCCAUCAUUAGCGAAUGGUUACUGUAGCACCACAUUGUCAAAUUAUGGACUAAUUAGGCUUAAUAGAUUCGUCUCUCGAUUUAGCCUAGGGGUUGUGUAAUUAAUUUUGUAAUUAGUCUAGAUUUAAUACUCCUAAUUAGUGUCCAACCAUUUGAUGUGACGGGGUUAAAAUUUAACCCCCUCCUCCCAAACACUCCCAUGGUGCCCCAGCCCUAGCAGCACCAUGAUGGUAACCUGGACCAUAGAGGCAACCAGCUCUUGACCUCCGCACACCCAGGGGAGACAAACCAUGGUUGAUCACACGCCAAUGGUCGGCGCAAGUCACAUGAGAGAGAAAAACGCAAAAACUUCUCUCGCUCUCCACAUGCGCUCAUCAGAGGUUUCUACGUAUACACGGUCAACAAUAAUAAUGCAAACUCCUGCCGGCACCAAUGAUUGGCCGAGGCCGGUGCCUGCUCUGCGGUUCUGCCUGCAAGCAGCCUCCAUUAUUUGCUCCUCCUCUUCCUCGAGUUCCCAGCAAGUGAGUCGGCAUUCAAAAAUAUCAUCACACACUAAACAGUAAUGCCAGUACACUUAGAUCAUGUCACACACACACACACACACACUAUCAUAUCAUAUUCAUGUCGUGUGGGCCAACCCAGCACAAGCUUCAAAGCUUUGAGAAAAUAAAUGGCGAUGCAAUUGAUAUCUAUGCUUAGUACAAUCAUUUGCGUGUGCGUGUGGUUGUAUUUGCAUGCAUGGUAAUGCUAUGGCGCCUAGCUGCUGCACUUCAUGCUUAUUGCUUGCUACUAGCUGUCGUCCACAGGCAGCUCCAGCUCGGCAGCUCGCCGUGCGCCGUCGUGAGACCUCAUCAAUAAUCCGCCAGCGGGCAGCGGCGGGGCUAAACUUCCUCGUACGACGGCCGCUCGUCCAAACAUUGGCUCUGCUCUGCAUCCGGCAAAAGUUAAUACGAUUCCAAGUGAAAAAUCACCGCAUUUGCCUAUCUUCGGCAAUUAGCACUACUGAACUUGUAGCCACAUAGAUCUCUAGUGGCUCCGAUGGAUCAUGCCAUGCAUGUGGAUAUUAGGAUAUAGCUCUUGGUACUAAAUGUGUUUGGCCCCGGCACAGUUAGCUGGAGGGAUGGAUCGGGACACGCUGAUUUGAUAGGCCGUGGUGCUCAUAAAACCCCCGAAAAGGCGCCUUGAUUACGAGUAGUUUAGGGUGUGGAUGGGAGCGCGCGAGAGACCACUCGUCCCAUCAUCCAUUUGCAAAUGUGUAGUCGGCACUAGCAAGCUCAUCGUUACUAGUGAUUAGUCCCGUAAGGAAAAUAGCUCUAGGUCAUAAUGAUUUUGGUGAUUAAUGAUAACAGGAUUAAUGUGUUUGCAAGAUGUACCUUUGUAGGUGUUUUAAGGUUACAAGACCAUCAAAAUGAGAAGAAAAAGAAAGACUUAGAAGAAUUCUAUGGCAUUCAAAUGAUAGUAAAAAAUUCAGAGAUAGUCUUAUUCUAAGACUUAUAAUGAUGGUCAUGAAGACGGGACAAAGACACGCAAAGAUUUGAAGCGAAUCCUACUUAAAAUAUGCACCGACACAUUCCACUGACUCAUACUCUGGUAAUAGUAAUCAUCACCAAUUCAAUCGGUGACCACACGACAAAGGUAGGCGUGUGCACCGUUACCACCGAUUCAUACUCUGGUAACAGUAACCGUCACCGAAUCAGUCGGUGACCACAGCUAGGGGCAAGGUAGGCGCGUGCACUGUUAGCACCGAUUCAUACUCUGGUAAUAGUAACCAUCACCGAAUCAGUCAGUGAUCGUCAGCUUGGCUCAGAUCGGCUCUGGAAGUUUUGGAGUAUAAUUGAGCCUCAUCGAUUCAUACAGUGGCUACAGUGACCAUGGCAGCGAAUGAGUCGGUGAUGCGCAGAAAGUUGCAACGGCUAUGCAAUGGCUAGUUUCUUGGCUUGGUGCUAUAAAUACCCCUUUGCCUGGCCAUUUCAAGGGUGUUAGAGCUUGGAGAAGCUAUAGGAUUGGUUCUCACAUACACACAAGUGCUCUAUUCACCAAAGUGCUAAAGAGAAGAAUAAAGCAAUUAGCAUAAGGCUUAGGUCUUGUUUAAUGCUAGUUUAGACCUUUUGACGCAUUGCUUUAGGGAUUAGCGUAGAGUUAGGCGAGGUUUGCACACCGUAUCGGUGCUUGCUCACACCAAGAGUUGUAAAUCUGGGGCUUGUAAGUCUUGCGAGACCCUCCAAUCGCGUUUGUGGAGUGGCCGCCGGUGCUUGUGAGAGGGAGGAGAGGCCCUCAGUGUUUUGACAAAGCUCUACCAAGUGAAGAGCGGCAAGGAGCAUUCAGAAGAGGCUAGGCGGAGAUCCACUUGCGUGUGGGGAAGACCCGUCGGCUAUCCUACAGAGUUACUUGACCGAGGAGUUUAUGCCCUUGCGCGGGCAUUCUCUUUGAGAGCAUUCUCUUUGAGAGGGGCUCCAACAACGAGAACUAGUGGAAAGCUUUGCUUUCGAUACUUGUAAAAAACACCGUGUCGCCACGCUGGGAGUUUGCCUUCUCUACCUCAUUUACCUUCCGCAUUUUUUAUUGCACUUACAAUUCCGUGUUUACCUUUUCUAGAAUUGCCAUGUAUAAUUUAUAGGAUUGAAACUUAGGGUGCAAAACUCUUUUGCGGUAGAAAUAGCUAUGUGAAUAUUUAGAUAGAAAUUGAUAUAGAUUUCUAUAUGGGUUUGGAGCUUAAUUUUUAAAACACCCAAUUCACCCUGGUCCUUCAAGUCCAAUCAAAAUCAAAUGGAUCAAGCGGAAGCUAGCUACGCCGCGUUACUACAACUUCUACAAGCAUGCAGCUAUAGCUAGCUUGCUAGUCAAACGGCCGGAUUCCCGGCUGGUCUUAAUGCCUAAAGGCGACGUGCAAUAGGGAAGUGGCCAAUCAUGAAUUCCUAGUCCGUGCGUGUAUCGGCAAGAUUAUCUGUUUUGAUCGAAAUGAUUAUUCUUUUUUUCUCUGAAUACACAAAUACUCGUUUCUCUUAAUUUAAUAGGCGAAUUGUAGGCAUAUGGACCCAUGGAUGACUAUCGAGGUCAAGAUUCCUGCCAACAGUGGGGCUGUGAAAAGGCCUCUACGGAGGGACCAUACGACGUGAUGUCUUUCUUCCCAGUAUUAGUCAGCAUAAACAGCUGAAUUAUCGGCACAUCACAAGGAGGCCGGAAAAAACUACAUAUACUAAGUCCUGCCUCUAUUUUCCUUUUUUUUUUGUCUGGCACUGCAGCGAGAUGUUUCUCCUUGUAGUUUUCUUUUGCCGCCAGUAAUUCUUCACCCCUCUCAGGCUCAAUUCAAUGAUGCUAAACAAAUGGAGAUGUGCCUGAAUGAUAACAUCAAAUGCCGGAUGGCAUACUCCGAUCGGAAGCACAAGCAGUUUAACUUCUCAACUGAAAAUGUUCAGCACGUACCGCCGCUUAACUAACUCAAUAAUGGCACACACCAAAUCGCCACUAACACAAAACGGUCAUGAUCAAUGCGCUAAUGAUGGCCACGCUGGUGCGCCACGAUACCCAGCAUAUACAUCAACAGAAAGCGCCGAGCGAUCAAUGCGCAUGUGCGUGUGCGUAUGCCCCGCCCUAGAUAAUAGGCCUACCAAACCCUCGCUCCACUCCUUUGGCGCCAUCAGCAGAAACAGCAAGCCCCACACCUAUAUAGGCCCCGAAUGUGCUUGCAAAUACUUGCAAACUUCGGCAUCUACAAUCAUGGAAACCCCUAGAAAAUUUCAAGCCCCUCUUGGCACCUCCUCAACGCAUGCACACGCGUGUGGAGGGUAGCAAACAAGAAAGGAAACAAGAACGAGGAAGCGGCUAAAAACGCACCCCUAACGAGGUGGUAGGAUAUAAGGAUAGCUCAUCGAGAUGGCGUCAUCAUCGUAUGGUAGAGUUCGUUCCCUCUGGUCAAGAGACGCAGCAGGCCUCAAGAUCACCACCACAAGGCACAGGCAAGCGCCGCGAGCAUGUGAGCCGCACAUGACGGUGUCCCCCCCGGAACCACCCUCUCUGGCCUCUCGCGUCCUUGGGCAUCAUCGUCGCGGGAUCGAUCGAUGGAUAGAUCGGGGGCACGCAUAAGCACAGCUUCUUAACGGGAGGGGAGGCGACGGACACGGACAGGCUCCAGCCUCCAGGUGCAGCGCAUGUGCCGCAACGUACAGCGCCCAGCCACCGCGUUGGAUUGCUGCUGCCGCUCCCGGCGGAGGGUGGGCGGGGGCGGCUACGGAGCACAAGGGCCAGCCACAGCCGCCCGGGAUGGCAGGGGCGACGCCGACGCCCGACGCCAUACGGGCAACUCGUACUUGCCGUGUCCGUGCGCGUUGCCGCACGCUUGCUGGGUGUGUCCUUGCCGUCACGCGUCGAGGCUGGAUUGGGCACCGGCGGACGACAGGGCCUCCUGCUUCGGAUCGCAGUAAAGCGAGUCACCACCUGGUUGUUGGCUGUUUUUUCUCUAUAGAUCGUCGUUGCUCUGGACAUCGUGCUCUGCUCGAUCUUUCUCAUACACUGAUACAAGUGCUUGUUGGGAGUGCCCUGUUCUAGUUUCGUUUCCCUCUUUCUUCUCUUCUAUGGAUAAGAAUUUUUCGCCUCUUGAAUGAAUCCAUCCAAUAAGCCAAGCCUAACUGCCCUGCCUAAGAUGACUUCCAGGCGAGGAGAUAUUUAUUUAGGUCUUCCGAAAGAAGUAGCAGCACCAAGUGGUAGUUAAGAGCCUAGUUGCGCGAUUACAUAAUGCACAUGGCGCUCAACUGAAAGCAUUGUCACUGUCACCUUAACAAAGGACACCCCCCACCCUCCAUUUAUCUUUAUAAGGCGUGACAUGACUUGACAGGGUCUCCUAAAUUACACUUUGACCGUUCAUUUAUUUUAUAUUAUAUUGUUUAUGAUUAUGAACUUAUGAUCAUUGGAGAGUACAUUUGAUAAAGAAUCUAACCAUUACAAGUUUAUAUUAUAAAAAUAAAAAAUGUUGGUUAAAUUAUUGAUCAAAGAUUGUAAAGUUUGAAAAUCUUAAUAUACGUGCGCCUUAGAAAAACAAAAACGAGGGAGUAAAUUAUUGCUGUUGACUUGCCGAAGAGUACCUCCAGCAGACAACUACUCGCCGAAAGGUUUAUAAUCACGCCUGGGGGUGUUUGGUUCUUUAGGACCUCCUAAAAUUCAUGUCACAUCGAAUAUUCGGAUGUUAAUUAUGAGGACUAAAUAUGAGCUAAUUAUAAACUAAUUACACAGAUGGAGGCUAAUUCACGAGACGAAUCUAUUAAGCCUAAUUAAUUCAUCAUUAGCACAUGUUUACUGUAGCAUCAUAUUGUCAAAUCAUGAACUAAUUAGGCUUAAUAGAUUCGUCUCGCAAAUUAGUCUCCAUCUGUACAAUUGGUUUUAUAAUUAGUCUAUGUUUAAUGCUCAUAAUUAGUAUUUAAACAUUCGAUGUGACAGGAAUUUUAGGAGGUGCUAAAGAAACAAACACGCUUGAGGCAGUAGCUCCUCUUUUGACCUUGGGAUUGGACGAAAUGGUAAAAGGCAAUGAGGUAGUACAACCUAAUCACCUAAACCUUUUUACGCCACAACGAACAAAAAGUACUGCAGGGGGCAUCUACCGGCACCUGAAAAGAUGCCAUGACACUUUCUUAUCUCGAGAAAAGGAAAAGGAUGCCACUUCCAUUUUCUUGGAUGAGCAGACCAUGACUACCAUUCCUACACGAAAAUAUGCCUGCAAAGAGACCCUCACAGAAAAGGGGCCAACAAUUGGACACUUCCGUAACAGGCCCGUCAGUGGAUCAGAUCAACGAGAAGUGAUCAGCCCAGGUCUCAUCGGGUCUUCCAGCAAGAGGCCUGAACAUACACCGCAGGCUCUGUAUUCCCAGAGGCAUCAGCCAAAAACUAGUUUCUAUAACAAAAACACCAGGCAAGCACAAGCAGAGGAAGGCCAAUGAAAUUCUAGUAGCAUUCAAUUAAGAAUGCUUCUCAAUUUAACUUCAACCAGAGGAGUCUUCAAGAUAUGCAGCAUAUAUACACGACUACAUCACUGCAUCUUACCGACCCUUAACAAUGUUUAAAUAGCCACAAUACCUGACCCUCCCUCAGCACCUACGAGCUCUCAGUAUGAUUUCACAAAAAGUGGAUUCUCUUCAGGAUACACUACACUAUAUAAGCAUAGUUAUAACUGAAGGCUAUUAUAAUGAGAUCACAGCACUGCAUGCUGGUGACUUCAUGGCCCAAAAUAUUGUUUUAGUGGAACAAUCGCUUCAUAAGUUUUGUUCCCACUUGCCAGUACACCAGAUCACUGGUUAAGCUUCGACUACAGCUGCUAGAUCCUCUUCUGACGACGUUUCUGGUGUGACAAUCUCUUCAGGCAAAUCACUUGGGGAACCGCCUUCAGCCUCCUGCUCUUUAGGUGCUUCAGUUUCCAUCAAUUUCUUAAGUUGCAUCUCUAGAUCUUUUGCAACACUCUCAUUUUCAGUAAGGUAAGAUUUAAGGUUAUCUUUACCAUGGAAAGUAAUAUCAUUGAAACUAUAAUAUGCUCCACUAAUCUUCUUGAUAAGUUUGCGCUUCAAUCCGAGUUCAACAAGCUCAGAACUGCGGCAUAUCCCCUUUCCAAAUUCAAUCUCAAACUGUGCAGUCUUGAAUGGUGGGGCAUGCUUGUUUUUCACAAUCUUCACAGCAACUUGACUACCUAUUGUCUGCAAAUAGAAACAAUUAUCAUUCAAAAGCAACAUAAAGUUACGUGCAUACUGUUUCAGGGAGCACCAAAUCUUACUACAUGCAAAUCUAAUAUAAGUCAGUUAUUCUGAUUCACUACGAAACAAAACCACUAAUAUUUAUGCUUGUAGAGUGACAGCACAUGUAUGUGCCUAUAAGUUGCCUAUUCUAUGUGUCUAGUAGUGGUUCUGUUAAAUAGGUCUCAUGCAGAAAUGGACAUCUCUGUUUCGACAAAGUCAUGCUGUGAACAUACAGAACUUUACAUGUUAAAGUAUUGACUAAUAAUAGAAAACAUGGAAAUAUUAAAGAUACGGCUUAGUUAAAUACCUCUUCUCCUUUCUUUACCAAACCAAUACGCUUGAUGUUCAAGCGAACAGAAGCAUAAAACUUCAAGGCGUUGCCACCGGAAGUUACCUCAGUCGGUCCCCCAAAUCCAAAUGUGGCUACCUUGGCCCUGGUCUACAAUGGCGAUGAAAAAACUAAGUUAGUAGCAAAAAAUACAAAGCUCAUUGCAAGGAAAAGAAUAGCUAGAACUUCAAUUAAAAACAGAUGAACUGCAUGUAGAAAUGCUAAGACUGCACAAGAAAAAUCUGUACCCCUUCAAAAAAUGGACAGAACUGUUAGCUAAUGUUUUCUGAUCUACAGUAUGACAUUCUUUUUUUAGCUUUAGAAGCAUGUAAUUCUGGAAUAUGAAGGUAAAUAAUGUACAAUUGUAGUAACAAGAACAUGUUCAGACUUGUUUAUGUGAUGCUUCACUUCAAUGUGGCAAAUAAUGAAAUCAAUAAUUCAAUGCUACAUAAAUUACUUUAACCAAAGCUGAGGAAUUAUGUAUGACUAAUACCUGAUUAAUAAAUAACAGAAUUGUCUGGGAAAGUGAAAGGGAGUGGCUCAGCUUGCGAAGAGCUUGGCUCAUCAAUCUAGCCUGAAGAGCAACAUGUGCGUCACCCAUCUCCCCAUCAAGCUCAGUCUUUGGGACAAGAGCUGCUACCUGCAUCAUUGAAUAAAUAAUAUUAACUGUAAGCUAAAUCUGAAAGAAAGAUAUUGUUUCAGGCUAUUAAAAUUGAGCUGCAUGCUUGAACUGCUAAUUGGAAAAUGUUUUUCCAAACUAAAAUGGAACUGCACCACUGCACAGAUUGAGAGUAACUCCGCUCAAAAAGAGAGAAUCAGAUUGGUGAAGCAGCUAGAUGGAGCUAGGUCUUACACUGUCUACUACAACAACAUCAACAGAUCCACUUCGAAUUAGUGUGUCCACAAGACUGAGUGCCUGCUCAGCACAGUCUGGCUGAGAAAGGAGUAAAUUGUUGGUGUCAACACCAAUUGACUCCGCAAGAGCUGGAUCCAAAGCGUGCUCCGCAUCUACAAAGGCACAGUAACCUAGAAAAUGGCAAAAAUAUAAAAUCAUUAAGAAUAUUUUAACAGAAGUUGAAAAACACAAGCUUGUAGCUAAAGAUAGAAAUUCCUGUGCACGUAAAACUAAAAUUUAAUCAUUUUUUAAACUACUCAAAUGAUUGUGCAUGUCAGGGAAAAAUGAUAAGGAUUGGUAGACAAAGUAUGUUCAUACUAGAGAAAGGUGCUGUCGGCCGACUUCUUUUCAUGUUUCAUACUCUAAAUGUAAGACAUACUUUCAUUUUUACUUCAGGUAUUGCAACUCCCAUUCUUCAAAUAGCUUUUGUUUAAUAGGUGGGCUAGUAACCUUUUUCAAGGAAACUGGCAUCUGUGAAUGAAACUGAAAAGCAACCUAUGUUCAUGACUUGUGUUAAAAUAGAAUACUUAAAGAAUUACGAAUCAUCAUGCAUUGGAGGAACUGCCUUAAAAAUUGUCAAGGUUGGUGUGGUCUCCCCUCCUAGGUCAGGGAGAGGGAGGGAGGGAGGACCCAGUUUCCAUAGGAUAGUGCACCCCUUAGUGGUGAAUGCUAUAAAAAAGCAGCUGAGCAUUAAAUUAACAACAUCAUGUGCAUGCUAUAAAUAAAAUCUUAAACUUCAUAGUUUUGGUUAUCCUAGUUAUCAAGGUACUUUCCUCUUUUUUCUCUAUCCUAAGUAGCAAGUUGCUAGGUCAAGGAAAUCAUACUAUAGAGGGGUAGAAAGUUCUGAGUUUACCCCCAUUCUUUUGUGCUUCUGCAAUGACAUGUAGAGCAAGAGUUGUCUUGCCUGAAGCCUCUGGACCAUAAACCUCUAUGACACGCCCCUACAAAAGAUAUUGGCGCGAAACUUUUACAAAAUAAAAUAAGUCAACGAAGAACAUCAGAAACUAGACUAACUGAAUUUUUCCAAUUUGAAAAUAAAAUCAUGCAAUGAUCAACUGAAAAGAAGAUCUGCUUAAAUAAUUUAUAUGCAAAUGCAUACCUUUGGAAACCCACCAGUUCCAAGAGCCAUAUCCAAAGCAAAAGACCCAGUAGAUAUUACAGGUACAUCUCUAUGGCCUUGUGAACGGCCAAGCCACAUUAUUGCCCCCUUCCCAAAUGCUGAUGUUAUUUGAUCGAUAGCCUGGUGUAAAGCCAAGUCCUUCUUCGACAUAUUCUCCUCACCAGAGUCAGUUCCACUUGACUUUGACUUCUUUUUCGCUACAUAGGCAAGAGAAUCAGUAAGUGAUCCAGUAGGUAUUAGGAGAGGAGCAUAACAGAAAGAAAGGAAAAAGUCAUCUAGUAGUAUAAUCAAGUUACAGUGCAGGUAACAAUAGGAGAUUAAGACAGCGACACUACGUGGAUAGCACGAGGGGAACUGCAGAUGCCAAUGCUCACUAUAUAUAAUAAAAGCAUGUGAAAAAAGCAUAUGGGAGUUAAACUACAACCUUUAGAUGAGAACUCUCGGCAAUGAAACGUGGAGCCACAGAUCCCUUGCUUAUAGCUCUGCGCAAGUAUUAGAGAAACAGAAAAAUAGUAAAUCACUAGGAAGAGCCUUUUCUAAUUCUAGUGCAUGUAUCACAUUGCAUCUAAUGUUAUUACUUUUUUUAAUUCUAGUCAUCCAGUGUUGCAGUUCAUACUAUAGACAAAUAAUGAGCCAGUCAAUCGGAUUAGCACUGGUCAUCCAGUUAGCAUGGCAUGAGACUGAUUGUAACCUCUGGAAAGGCAGUGGUGCCUCUCUACUAAUCUGACACAUAUAUAUUAAUAGCAAUGGAGUGUGCUUACGACUUUGUAUGAUGAUUGGAAAAACAAACUUACCACGCAGUAUGGGGAAACGUUAUUUCCCACAGAAACGAGAUAUUUAGGCGGCGCUCAAUAAAGCAGGGAGAAGUAAGCAUUAAGCAAGUGAUCAACGUGCAUCAAUUUAGUGAGAUAAAAGGUCAGACAGGAAAAUAACGGGUUUGCUCAGUCGGCAAUCGAGAUUCCAAUGGAGGAAUCAGCCCCCAAAGGCCGCGAUUUCACAUUCAAAUGAUCGAACUCCGCGACGCCGCGACCAAACUAGGGUUCCCACUCCCAAUCAGCACGCUGGAAACACUAAACUAAACACAUCGAUCAUUCCACCGGGAACCCACCAUUCGCCAACCCAUCCCAGCCCAAAAUCAUAAAACCGAUUAAAUACAGCGGAGAGAACCUCAGGGUGAGAAGAAGAGUAGGAGGCGGCGGCGAUGGCGCGCCGCAGCGAGACGCGCCUGAGGAGGGUCGCCAUGGCGGCGGCUUCGUCCCCAGCCGCUGGAAGCCGCGGGGAGAAGGGCGGGGGCGGAGGAGGAGGGGGCUAGGGUUUAGGGGUUUUGCGGGGCUUGGGGUUUUGGCUCCGCUCCGCCCGCUUUUUGAGUCCGGUCUCCGCCUCACCGGGCUCCCACUCCGGGUGUCGGGAAGAGCUCCCCCCUGGCCGGCGGUCGCGGGACACACCGCGAUGGACCGCGCGUGGACCCAUCUCAGUGCGGAGCCAACUGUUCAGAGUCUCAAGAUGACCCACCCGUGGACGUGGUCCACAGAGGUUUCUUUAUGUUGACUGGAAGCGGGCCCACAUGAACUCGCCUGAUGGGCUCGCACAGAGGCCCAUCAGUGGACGAAUACGUAUACGGCUUGGCCCAUUUCGCACCGUCGUAUCCCCUGCUUCCAGCUUGCAGAGUUGCAGUACAUCCUCAGAUCCUCCUCCGUCCUCCCCUCGCGUAAGCUCGUCGUCUUCUCCGGCUGGAACCUCCGGCCAAAACCCAAACAAAACCGCUGUUCGGAGGGGCUUGCCUUGAGUGAGAUUCAAUCCUUCGGGGCGCCAUUGCCGCCUGCUUCCUCUGCUACGAGAGGUGGGUCCUUUUCCAUAUCCAUUUCUGCUCUUCUCGUCCCGCUCACUCCGUCGCUGGAUGCUCCUGCUCCCGCGGCGUUGCUUCUCUGGGGGGCUGACCACUUCAUCUCCAUCCUCUAUUGCCUCCUCGGAUGCGGCAGCGACUCAGGCCGCAAAUCGUGCAGGGAAAGCGGCACAGCGGCGCGCGGCUGUGCGGCGCUGCUGGCGACCUUGGGGGAAGUCCGUACCGCGUACCGGCCCCUGCCUCCGGUGGCCGUCCUCCGGCCUCCGCAGAAGCAUCCGCCGCUCUCGCAGCGCCGACCGCCGGCGGCCUCGAGUCGGGAGCGCUGUCGGCAACAGUAAACCCGACCAAUAUUUUUUGCAAAUCGCCCCCUCAUUUGGAUCGCAACUAUUAAUCGCGAUCCAAAUAUUUUCAUAAAACCCCCUAUUUUGGAUCGCGAUUAUUAAUCAAGAUCCAACUAUUUGCUCAAAACCCCCUAAUUUGGAUCGCGACUAUUAAUCGUGAUCUAAUUUUUUGCGAAUCAGUCCCUCAGGAGUUUGCCGGCGAGCCGCGGCCCUUGACGCAUGCGGAGCGUGCGUUCACACCUCCCUCUCCUCGUAGCCGUCCUGGUGCUCCUCCUCCCAGUGUCCCUCCUCUUCCCGCUGCUUCUCCACGUGAGAUUCGCGUGAAUUCGCCGUCUUCCCCGAUCGCAAUCUCGCAACAAAACCAUCGAAUCGAGCUGCUGGUUUGAGGGAGGGCCUCCUUUGAGUGAGAUCCAAUCCUCAGGCGCCAUUUUCUUACUGCGUUCCCCACAAAAAAAGUUGGGUUCUUCCCAUGACCGUCGAUACUCUUAUCGCCCCGCUCGCUCCAUCACUGGUUGCUCCUGCUCCCGCGGCAUCACGUUCUCGCCAAUACGAAACCUCGCGGCGGCGUUUCGUUGGUACGCCGGCUUCAUUUCUCUUAGCUUAUGUGAUUUUUCUGUGCUUUUGGUUAUGGAACUUAGUGACCUUUGUGGCUCAUGGAUGAGGUCUUAGAAUACUCAUGGAUCACCAAUUGAGCAUUUUGUAGAUGAACUGGUGGUGUAAAAUGGGAAAUUAUUUGUGUCCCUGGGUACUGAACCAAAUUUAACCUGCGAAUGGAGUGUCUUGAACUGCAUUACUACCUAUCUUUACAUCUCUAUUUGUCUUUGGACGUUUGAUGCAUAUGAAAAGUCGGGCAUUUGCUUAAGUUUGUUCACAGUGCAGCCUUAUGUUGGAUAUAGUGCUAUUAAUGAACUAUAUGAGCAUUUUAAAAUAAACCACAUAUACUGGAGGAAUGACUGAUGCCUGUAUGUUUUGAUGCUGAUUUCAGUUAAAACAAAACUAGCCAUGGAUGUCAAGAGUUUUGACCUGGGUUGUUCCUUGGGUAUGGAGAAUGACAGUCUAAGUUUGUCGCCAUUUCUGAACAAACUUUUCAGAGAGGUCUGUAGUUUUGACACCCCAACCUCGAGGCACAUUACUUUGCAUUUUGAUGAUGAUUUGAGUUGCAGUGGGAGGAUCGCAAGGCAAGGGGAUUGUUUCACCAUGACAUCAGCUCGUGUGAAACUAAGGUUUUAUUUUCCAUUCUCUCUGAUUAACUGCCCAAGUUUCUUUUGUUGAUUUUAUUUUUUUUUCUAUUCUAAUUCUAUACAAUCAUGUGAUGAUAGGUACUACCUGGACAACACAACUUUGUGGCAACAUUAAUAGAAGGACGUGAUCAAAAGAAACGACCUACUGAGUUCGGAAUGAACCAAGUCCUCCAGCCAUUUGAUAGUGGGAAGUUCAAUUUCACAAAAGUUAGGCCAGAGGAAGUGAUCUUCAGAUUCUGUGAAGCUGAUAAAGACUCUGCCCAGUAUUUUAAUGAUGCUCCUGAUACUGUUUCAUCUUCAUCUAGUGCCAUUUUGAUUAAUGUCAGUGUGUUCCCCUCUCAAAAAUUCACUUACACCUUACUGAUAGAAUUAAAACAUGAUUGAUCGUUUGUCAUUUCCACAUCACAGGUGAGUCCAAUUGGUUACUGCCAUGUUCUUUUGACCCCCCAAAUCCAGGAUUGUUUGCCGCAAAGGAUUGAUCACGAGAGCUUCUUAAUGGCCAUGUAUGUUGCUAGGGAGGCAAGGAAUCCCUUCUUCAGAGUUGGUUAUAACAGUUUGGGUGGCUUUGCAACUAUCAACCACCUUCACUUCCAGGUUAGUCUUUAGAAUCGUAUAGUUGUCAAUUGCACUAAGGCAACUGUCCCUUUUUCACAGUACCUCUCAGCAAGUCCUGUACUGACAUUUUGUUCAUUAGGCAUACUACCUGAAAGUACAGUAUCCAGUUGAAAAGGCAACCACAGAGAAGCUCACAACCCUAGUCAAUGGUGUGAGCAUUGCCCAGCUGGUGGGUUAUCCAGUAAGUGGUUUUGUGUUCGAAGGUGGGGCGAGCCUUGAGGAUUUGUCAUGUAUGGUUUCGAAAGUCUGCAUCUUCUUGCAAGAGAACAACAGACCUUUCAAUGUCCUUAUCUCUGAAUCCGGCAGGAGAGUUUUCCUCCUACCACAGGUAUUGCCAUGCAACCUCCGUUCUGAAUUAUGAAACAAUGUUCUUAAUUCAUACUUUAGCAUUGUAUUGACAUUUAUCUCCCUCCUAAUCGAUCGACCAGUGCUACGCGGAGAAGCAGCUCCUCGGAAAGGCAAGCCAAGAGUUCCUCGAAAUGAGAAUCAAUCCCGCAAUCUGGGAGCUCAGUGGCCAUUUGGUACUGAAGAGGAAGAAGGACUACGAUGAAGCCUCUGAGCUAUACAUAUGCAGAUUUUUGGUUGAAGCAGCUGUUUCUGAAACAGAAUUCCAACAGCUGAAGCAAUGUGUGCUUGACUUCCUGACUGCCUCUGCUGCUUGUAAUUCGGAUAUAGAUUCCUAGAGAGUGGUGACUAAUGAUUUUGGGUACUGUAUUCAUAACUGUUACGAUGGUAUAUCAUACAUUUGUGACGACUGUUCAUCUCUGCAAUGAGAAACACCUGUCUUCUCCAUCUGCAAUUUCACAACAAAACCACCAGAUACUGGUACACAGUAGUUGGCUUUGUAUUGGAAAGUAGCGCACGGCUUGGGGAUUUGCCGAAUGUGCUGCUUUCAGCGGUCGAAAUAUUCGUUGAAGGGAACAAUAGACAAUUCAGCUUCCUUAUCUCCGAAUCUGGCAAGAGAGUUUUCCUCCCACAACCAUUACUUAUUGCCAUGCAACCUCAGCUGUAUUAGUCCUGAAAUUUGGACUUGCUCAUUCUUCAAAGUCUAGCAGUGGGAUAAUACCAUUUGCCGCCCUCAUUGGAUCAGUGCUGUACUGCUAUGACAUGAAGGAGCUGCUUGGUCCAGCGAGUCGAGAGCUCCUCUACAAAGAAUAAGUCCAACGAUCUAGGAGUUCAGUGGCCAUUUUGGUACCGAAAAGGACUAGAUUACAGAUUACUAGAGUGAAGCUGGUGAGAGAAACAUUCUGAUUACUGAUUGAACAUCAGGAUUUGAAGAGAUUCGUCCUGACUCAUGAGUUCCUGACCGGGGCUGCUGGAUGCAACUCUGCCAUAAGUUUGCCUAGAGUGCUGACUAAACGAUUUCGUAUCACUACAGGUUAAAGAAUUAUAGUUGUAGGUGAACUAAAUUGGUCCAAAACUGCUCUUAUGAGAUGUUACGUACUGUGAUUUAAGUCUCGAUCAUGCUUAUGAGGAGGUGGUACCCAGAGGUUUAAUCGAGUACAUACUUUUUAAGGUAUCAACGGCCUAUUAGCUCAGUUGGUUAGAGCGUCGUGCUAAUAACGCGAAGGUCGCAGGUUCGAGACCUGCAUGGGCCAAAGUUUUUAGUUUUUUCUGAUUCUCUUUUUAAUUAAUUUAUUUUUUUGCAUGGGGCCGCAGCCCGGGGAUUUGGGCUUUACCGGCUUCAUCAUCUUUCUUCCCAGCUACAGCAACGCUAAGCCGUACUAAAGGGACCUGUAUUUUUAGCGUAUUCACGUGGACGGUGGCAUGGCUGCAAUCUUGCAGACGGCGUGUUUCAAGACCACGAGUGUAGGUGUUGUCAGUGCAUGCUGAUCGAUCUACAAGUAUUUUGACUUAUCUACAGCCGCCGAACCAAACGCAUGCACAGUUUUUUUUUCCCUCUCUUCAUCGUUUAUUCUAUUACAAAACGCAAACGCAUUUCAUGCAGACACCGACAGCGAUAGAGAUGUGAAAGUUGACCCCAUCCAGAAAGCGGAGUGCUCGGUGCUCCAUGAAACAAUCUCACUGCUUUAUGUGUCAGGGUCGUUCAGAAUUAUCUUAAUUUACUUAGACUUUUAGUAAACGCAUACGUGUUUUUGUUUAUGACGGGUGAUUUAGAACAAGUCAUUACUGCGCCAUCAGCUUCAACUAACCGUGCCUACGUACGGCUACAGAUGCCGUAUCCUCACGUUCAACCACGUGUUCUAGAAAUCAAUCCUCCCUUGGGUAGACGAAAGGCUGUACUGGAUUAGAACUUGGAAGGCUCUAUAAUUCCUGCAUGGCAUUUGAAGUCUGUAGCUGCAGUGGCCGAUAUAUUUUUACUAUUUUCUUUGUUGAUUGAAAAAACAUUUAAAAAAUAGGCAAAAGCCCAGAUGGGCUAACGGGCGGAUCAAGAUGACUAGCCCGCCCAUAACCCGGGCAACUACUAGAUUUAGGCGGCCAGGCCGGGCCCACCGCAUCUACUGCGACCUGUGCUGUGCGCCAAGCAUGAAACAUCCGGGCCAGGACUGUACUCGGCCACGUUGCCUAAGUCCUACCUCUCUCCGUCCGUCCAGCCCACACAACUCCCUCUCUUCUUUACCCGGCUUGCGAUUCCCCUCCCCCCAAACCCAGGCUACCCGAUCCGGAGCGUUUCUCUCUCCGCGAUGGCCGAGCAGCCCCCGCCCGGCGGGAUCGACCCGCGCAGCGGCUUCUGCGCCGCGACGCGGACCUUCCACAGCCUGCGCCCGUCCUCCACGCUCCCGCCGGACUCCCUCCCGGCCACCGCCACCGCCUACGCCUUCUCCACCCUCCGCUCGCCGCUACCCGACCGCCCCGCGCUCGUCGACGCCGCCACCGGCAUUGCCGUCUCCUACCCCUCCUUCCUCGCCGCCGUCCGCUCCCUCGCGGGGGGGCUCUGGUCCGCCCUCGGCGUCCGCCCCGGGGACAUCGCGCUCGUCGUCGCUCCGUCCCGCCUCGACGUCCCCGUGCUGGACCUCGCGCUCAUGUCCGUCGGCGCCGCCGUCUCGCCCGCGAACCCGGCGUCCACCGCCGAGGAGUUCGCGCACAUGGUCGCGCUCGCCAGGCCGGUCGUCGCGUUCGCGGCCCCCGAGGUGGCCGCUAAGCUGCCGAGGGGCCUCCGGUGCGUCGUCAUCGGGUCGGACGAGUACAAGAGGCUGUCGUCCGCCGGAGGCGCGUCGCCGCCGCCGCCGGUGGCGGUGAAGCAGUCCGACACGGCGGCCGUGCUGUACUCGUCGGGCACCACGGGGCGGGUGAAGGCCGUCGCGGUCUCGCACCGCAACCUCAUCGCGCUGAUCUGCACGCACAGGGCGAACCGGGAGAAGGUCGAGAAGGAGGCUGCCGAGGCCGGCGAGGAGCCGCCCCCACCCACGGUGACGCUGCUCCCCCUCCCUCUCUUCCACGUGUUCGGGUUCAUGAUGCUGCUCAGGUCCGUGGCCAUGGGGGAGACCGCCAUCCUCAUGGAGCGCUUCGACUUCGGCGCCGCGCUGCGCGCCGUCGAGCGGUACCGCGUCACGCUGCUGCCCGCGGCGCCCCCGGUGCUGGUGGCCAUGAUCAAGUCCGAGGAGGCGCGCCGCCGCGACCUCUCCUCCCUCCUCGUCAUCGGCAUCGGCGGCGCGCCGCUCGGCCGCGAGGUCGCUGAGCGCUUCGCCGCCAUCUUCCCCGACAUAGAACUUGUUCAGGUUCCACGCACCCUGCAGAUAAUCAGUUAACACCAAGGCUCUCUUGUGACGUUGUGCGCACGCCAGAUUCCAUUCUGAAUCUAUGUUUCUGAUUCCAGGGCUAUGGUCUGACGGAAUCGUCUGGAUCGGUGGCUGCCACGGUUGGUCCGGAGGAGUCCAAGGCCUACGGUUCGGUUGGAAAGCUGUCAUCGCACAUGGAGGCUAAGAUCGUCGACCCCACCACCGGCGAGGCGCUCGGGCCGGGGCAGCGCGGGGAGCUUUGGGUCCGUGGACCAGUCAUUAUGAAAGGCAAGUAGACUAAACCUUAGGGGGUGUUUGAUACCCGCUAAACUUUAGCACCUGUCACCAUAUCGGACCAUAUGAGAUGUUUGAUACUAAUUAGAAGUAUUAAACAUAGUCUAAUUACAAAACUAAUUGCACAGAUGGAGUCUAAUUUGCGAGACGAAUCUAAUUCACGCGACGAAUCUAUUAAGCCUAAUUAGUCUAUGAUCGGAUGGAUUAACUUUUGCACGCGAAGUUCUUCCGAUGAUUAUCCAUUCCCUAGGACUUUCAUCGGUAAUAUAAUCACACGGUUGGAUUGUACAGUUUUGUUUUGUCCGAGUCAUGGGCUGUUGAUUGCCGUGUCUGAAGCCAUGCAUUCCUGUCAUUAGACCAAGCUCUUCUAAGGGCCUGUUUGGCUCUAGGGUGUUAAAAGUUUACACCCAUCAUAUUGAAUAUUUGGAUGCUAAUUAGGAGUAUCAAAUAUAGGCUAAUUACAAAACUAAUUGCACAGAUGGAGUGUAAUUCGCGCUAAUUAGUCCAUGAUUUGACAAUGUGGUGUUACAGUAACCAUGUGCUAAUGAUGGAUUAAUUAGGCUUAAUAGAUUCGUCUCGUGAAUUAGCACAGGGUUUUGCAAUUAGUUUUAUAAUUAGCUCAUGUUUAGUUCUCCUAAUUAGCAUCCGAACAUCCGAUGUGACACUGUUAAAGUUUAGCACCUCGUAUCCUAACACCCCCUAAUUUGCAAGCUGCAUGGUUUGCGUGCCAUGUGUUUCAUGGGGGCCUUUCUUUGUCAUUUUGCUUAAACAUUUGUCCAUCCAAAUCCAAAUACAGUUGGUCAGUGCAGUACCUUUAUAGCUACAGAUCUGCAUCACUGGCAAUGCAUGGCUGCCUGUUCUGCUACUUUAUUUCUAAUGAAUAGUACUAAUGCCAUCCUGGCACUGAUAAGCAUUCAGUGUCCGUUGAAAUUGUAUAUUAUCAGCGAGCCAUGUGGACAACAUGGUGUUUUAUGUCUGAAAAACAGCACUUCUUUCGCUUUCAUGCUUGGCGUAGCAACUGUUUAGAAUGUGAGCUGGUCUGGGACGCCAAUGAACCGACUUCAUCAGAUUAUUUCAAGGUUUGCUAGUAGCAGGACACAGAUCAUAGAUCAUAAGUUUUUUGUCAUGUUUUUAUUUUUUUUAAGGCAAUACGUUCCCAGGGAACUUUUUUUGUUUUAUAUAUUUCCUUUGAAUAUUGGAAAUUGUUCAUUUUUGGGCUACUACAUGAGUCAUAUGAUGAUUUUUUCCAGGUUAUGUGGGUGAUGACGAGGCAACUGCAGCAACAAUGGAUUCAGAAGGCUGGUUGAAAACUGGUGAUCUAUGCUACUUCAAUGAAGAUGGUUUCCUCUACAUUGUUGAUCGAUUAAAGGAGUUGAUAAAAUACAAGGGAUAUCAGGUGAUGCAGACUAUCACAGCUAGUACAAAAACUGCGAUAAAAUUACCAUUGAAGGAUUUUAUCUGACAAAUUUUUGUUUGUGUUUGCGUGGUACUGAUAUAAAUCUUGCUUCAGGUGCCUCCAGCUGAACUGGAGCAUAUCCUGAAUUCUCAUUCUGAUAUCAUGGAUGCUGCAGUUAUCCCGUAAGUACCUGGCAGUAAACCUGUGAAAUUCUAUACGACUAUAGAUUCGAACUAAUGCUGCUGUAAGAUUCCUUCAUCAUGGGACAAUAUGUGAGAUGUUCCUUCUGUAUGCACUAUGCAGAUAUCCAGAUGAAGAUGUCGGGCAAUUACCAAUGGCUUUCAUAGUGAGGAAACCAGGCUCAAACCUCACCGAGCAACAAGUCAUGGAUUACGUGGCUAAACAAGUAUGCUUCUCCUUUUGAUUAGUUCUGCUCCAUAUAGUUUCAUAUUGAACUACAGGUGUCCUGUCAUAGUCAACUUCGUUCAACCUUUUUCCUAAACAAAUUGUGCAAGUUGCCAAGUUGAGUAGAAAUUCUUGCUAUUUUAGUAUUGUUAGUUCACACUGGUUUUGUGCUUGUCUGCUGUUAAGCAUAACAUUCUUUGCCCUGAUGCAAAAGGCAACACUGAAACGUCAUGUACUACUAUAGCAUACUGUUUGCAUGUAUCUAUGGAAAGCAACCUAACUUUCCAGCGGCCAUUCCAGCAAGGGAUCAUGCCGCCACUGAUCCUUUCUUUAUGCAUGAUAUUCUAACAACCUUUUGCUGGAAUAACUUGAUAAUGCCUUAGCACUUCAGGCUAACUCCGGCCUGAUUUUUUUCCUUUUAUGGCAGGUCGCACCGUACAAGAAAGUCCGCCGAGUGGCCUUUGUCUCUGCAAUACCAAAAUCGCCUGCCGGGAAGAUCUUGCGGCGCGAGCUUGUACAGCAGGCCGUGUCCAUGGGUGCCUCCAAGCUUUGAGGUUUAUGCUGACUUGGAAAUCUAGGAGGAAAGUUCUUGUGUAGUAUACCAUAUUACCAGACCCGGGAUUUGUACUGUUAGAAUAAUUAGGUUGUUGGCCCAUUAUUUAAUUGAUCAAAUAAAUCCCAAGGCUCAUUAGUGGUGGUAGUUACACUUGGAAGUUGAGAGGGUCUCUAACCAAUCAAUUUAUAAGGUGGAGCUAUGCUGCAUCUGUUGAGAAGUUGAGGGAGGGAUAGCAGGACGUGCUCGCCGCCCCGCGCCGUGAUCGGACGGGAUGUGUGGGCUGGGCUUGGUCAGGUUUUGUUAACAGAUGAUGGACAGGAUGUGUGGGCUGGGCUUGUUCAGAUUUUGUUAACAGACGAUUGAAUAGCUGGUAGCUAUACCUAUCAGUUACCACCAGAAAUUGAUCGUUUGAUUGCUACAUUAACCUGGGCAUCCAAGAGUCUUUGUAUAAGAGAGGUGCUACCUCUCAUUCUUUUGCGUGCGUCAAACAACUCCACCAGAGCUUGCUAUCUUCCACUCUUGCGUUGCGCUCUUGUCAUAUCCGUUCCGGCUGUCUACGUGCACAAAGUUGCAUCCUUGUUUGGGACUCUGCACCUGAGGAGUAGGAGGGCGAUCAAGUUUUUGGGGAGCGCAUUUGCGCGACUGCUUGCUGUGUACGUCUACUUCCUGAAGGCGCAACUGCACGGCGAACUUUUGCACUGCGUCAACUCUCGAUCGACUACACUGAACAAGCUCAACUAGCAAUGUUGGGUAAUGGCGCAUCUGGUUCCUCCGGAACUGGCCCCAUCUCAGAGUACUUUCUUAUGAACCAGUCUUUCGUUUCAAAGUAUCUGUUGCAUGCUUUAUGUUCACUGCAAAUAUAAUAGAUCAUGUUCCUGUGUAUGCUAUCUUAGAUCAUGUUCCUGUGUAUGCUAUCUUUAAUGUUAUGAUUUAUGUUUUAAUUCGGAUUAAACUGAACUGCAAACUUUCUCUAAUUUCAACAAUCCAAAAAUUUGAUAGGGCUUUUUCGGUAGUUGGCUUUGCUACGUAAUUGAAACCGAAUGUAUUUGAUGGAACGAAUUAUAAGAGAUGGGUUGGCAGACUUGAGUUAUGGCUCAUGGCUACGAACGUGUGGUUAAUUACCCAUGAGCGUCCUGUGGGACCGCACACCUCCGUUGAGGAUUUAUUGUAUAUAUGUCUGCUGACAAUUUGUUCAAAGGGGCUGUGAUCAGUGUUCUUGUUGAGAACUUGAUCGAUUCAUACAUGUAGCUUCCCUCUAGCAAGGCAGUGUGGGAUGCACCCAGGCAAAUUUCGGGGUAUCCGAUGCAGGGAGCGAGUUGUACAUCAUAGAGCAGUUCUAUGACUACAAGAUGGUCGAUGACCGUUCUGUAGUUGAACAUGCUCAUGAGUUACAGGCUCUUGCGAAGGAUCUUGUGAAUGUCAUGUGUGAGCUGUCGGAUAAAUUUAUGGCUGGUGGUAUCAUUGCUAAAUUGCCUCCUUCUUGGAGGAACUUUGCUACUACUCUGAAACACAAGAGACAUGAGUUCACUGUAGCCGGUCUGAUCGGCACUCUUGAUGUUGAGGAAAGGCGAGAGCAAAGGAUUCACGUGUGCGUGGCAAUGAGGGAGGUUCUAGCGCUCAUAUGGUGUAGAAAAGGAACUUCCAAUCCCACAAAAAAUAAGGGCAAAGCGAAAGCUAAGUUUCAACACAAGACUACUCAGACUACCAACUUUAACAAAAAGAAGAACAACAAGGGAAAGUGCUUAUGUGCGGUGUUUUUUACCAUUGGGCUAAGGACUGCAAGGACCGCAAGGACAAACAGCAACACGGGCAGAAGAAGUCUGCUAAUGUUGUUAUUAGCGAUGCUGAGAAGGGAACAUCAGGGUAUGGUAAUCAUGCUUUUGUUCUUUCAAUUUAUCAUUUACCAAAUUGGUGGAUUGACACCGGAGCUAAUAUACAUGUAUGUGCCGAUAUUUCUUUGUUUUCCUCUUACCAGGUCACAGGGAUUAGAUCCGUGUUGAUGGGGAACGACUCAGGUGCUGCUGUUCGCAGUGUUGGUACGGUCAAUCUAAAGUUUACUUCGGGAAAGACUGUGCGGCUAAAGAACGUGCAUCAUGUCUCCUCAAUAAAUAAAAAUUUUGUUAGCGGAUCCCUUCUUUGUAAGUAUGAUUUUAAGUUGUUGUUCGAAUCAAACAAGUGUGUUGUUUCUAAGUUUGGCUCCUUUGUUGGCAAAAGAUAUGAAUGUCAAGUGUGUGUGCAAUCUAAGCAACCCUGCAAGCCUCACAAGGCUACUGAGGCGAGGAACUUGUCACCAUUAGAAUUAGGGGGUGUUUGGUUCCACGAACUAAAGUUUAGUCCCUAUCACAUCGAAUGUUUAGAUACUAAUUAGGAGGACUAAAUAUGAGCUAAUUAUAAAACCAAUUGCACAGAUGGAGGCUAAUUCGCGAGACGAAUCUAUUAAACCUAAUUAAUGUAUGAUUAGCACAUANNNNNNNNNNNNNNNNNNNNNNNNNNNNNNNNNNNNNNNNNNNNNNNNNNNNNNNNNNNNNNNNNNNNNNNNNNNNNNNNNNNNNNNNNNNNNNNNNNNNUUGAAAAUCAACUUGAGAGGAAGAUAAAAUGUGUUAGAUCGGAUCGAGGUGGAGAGUAUUUUUCAAAUGAGUUCAAUUUGUUCUGUGAGGAACAUGGCAUUAUUCAUGAAAGAACACCACCUUAUUCUCCUGAGUCAAAUGGAGUGGCUGAAAGGAAGAACCGUACUCUAACUGAGAUGGUUAACGCCAUGUUAGAAACAGUUGAACUUUCGUGGGAAUGGUGGGGUCAAGCUAUGUUGACUGCCUGUCAUACUCUUAACAGAGUUCCUUUGAAAAAGAAAGAGAAAACACCAUUCGAGGAAUGGGAAAAUAAAAGACUAACACUCUCAUACUUGCAUACUUGGGGUUGCUUGGCAAAACCAAUUGCUAAGAAGCGCAAGCUCGGACCGAAAAUAGUUGAUUGUGUCUUUCUAGGCUAUGCUUUUUUAUAGUAUCGGAUAUAGAUUUUUGAUAAUUAAAUCUGGAGCACCGGACAUGCAUGUUGGUACAAUCAUGGAGUCCAGAGAUGUCACAUUCUUUGAGAAUAUUUUUCUAUUAAUUCCCCUGAAUGUAAUGAUACAAUAGUACACUUUGAAUAACCACUUGAGGAGAAUCAUGAGAAGGAUGAUAAUGAAGGAACUCGAAAGAGUAAGAGACGAAGAACUACAAAGUCUUUUGAUGAUGAUUUCAUUGUGUACCUUGCAGAUGACACUUCAAGAACCAUUGCUGAGGCUUAUGGAUCUCCUAAUGCUGACUAUUGGAAGAAAGCAAUUAGAAGUGAGAUGGAUUCCAUAAUGUCUAAUGGGACUUGGGAGAUCGUUGAUCGUCCAUACGGGUGCAAACCUGUAGGGUGCAAGAGGGUGUUUAAGAAAAAGCUUAGGCUUGAUGGUACUAUUGAAAAGUACAAGGCGAGGCUUGUGGCCAAGGGUUACACCCAGAAAGAAGACGAAGAUUAAUUUGAUACUUACUCACCAGUUACCAGAUUGACCACGAUUCGAGUACUACUAUCCUUGGCUACCUCACAAGGUCUUCUCAUCCAUCAGAUGGAUGUUAAGAUAGCUUUCCUUAACGGAGAGUUGGAUAAGGAAAUUUAAAUGGAUCAGCGUGAUGGUUAUGCAGUAGAAGGUCAUGAACGAAAAGUGUGCAAAUUGUUAAAAUUUUUAUAUGGACUGAAACAAGCUUCUAAGCAAUGGCAUGAGAAGUUUGACAAGACUCUCACGUCAGCCGAGUUUGUUGCGAACAAAGCCGACAAGUGCGUGUAAUACCGCUUUGGUGGGGGAGAAGGAGUGAUCUUGUGUUUGUAUGUUGAUGACAUAUUGAUCUUUGGUACUAAUAUCAAUGUGAUUGAGUAGGUUAAGAGAUUUUUGUCUCGAAGCUUUGAGAUGAAAGAUAUGGGAGUGGCCGAUGUAAUUUUGAAUAUUAAGCUACUAAGAGAAGGUAAUGUGGGGUUACACUUCUGCAAUCCUAUUAUGUGGAGAAGAUCUUGAGUCGCUUUGGUUAUAGUGACUGCAAGCCUGCUCCCACGCCUUACGAUUCCAGUGUGGUAUUGUGGAAAAACUGUAAAAUCACAAGGGGUCAAUUGAGAUAUUCUCAAAUCAUUGGCUUGCUGGUGUAUCUAGCUAGCGUUACGAGGUCUGAUAUCUCAUUUGCUGUGAGCAAACUCAGCAGAUUUGUGUCAAAUCCUGGAGAUGAUCACUAGCAUGCUCUUGAGAGAGUACUGCGCUAUCUAAUAGGCACAAUGAGUUAUGGAAUUCACUAUGCUGGGUAUCCUAGGGUACUGGAAGGUUAUAGUGACUCAAACUGGAUAUCAGAUACUGAUGAGAUAAAAUUUACGAGUUGAUAUGUGUUCAUACUUGGAGAUGGCGCUGUUUCUUGAAAGUCUUGCAAGGAAACCAUCUUAACAAGGUCAACAAUGGAAGCGGAACUCACAACACUGGAUACCGCCAUAGUUGAGGCUGAAUGGCUUCGUGAUCUCUUAUUGGAUUUGCCAGUGGUUGAGAAACCGAUAUCGGCUAAUGAACUAUGACAAUCAAACAAUGAUUGCCAAGGUGAAAGUACUAAAGAUAAUAUGAAGUCAUCAAGACAUAUGAAGAGGCGGCCGAAGUAUGUUAGAAAGAUGAGAAACUCCGAAGUGAUAGCACUGGGCGAUGUCCAAAUAGCUAAAAAUCUGGCAGAUCAAUUCACGAAAGGUCUUUCACGAAAUGUGAUAGAUGAGGCAUCGAGGAAGAUGGGAAUGAGACCCACAUGAGAGUCCAUUGUUUAGUUGUGGACAAAUGUAGCUUAUGUUCUAGGUGGAUGUUCAACCUUAUUCAGAUCUCCAUCAAAACACAGGUAUAUCCAACAAUAGUGGAACAAAUUCCCGAAUGAGCCUUGAAAUUUGGUGGGGAUUGUUAGAAUAAUUGGGUUGUUAGCUCAUUAUAUAAUUGAUAAAAUAAAUCCUAAGACCCAUUAGUAGUGGUAGUUACAAAUAAAAUAGUGGUGGUAGUUACAAAUAGAAUAAAAGAAUCUGAUAGGGUCUCUAACCAACUUAUAAUGUGGAAUCAUGCUGCACCUGUUGAGAAGUUGAGGGAGGGAUAGCAGGAUACCAUCGUGUCAGUGGGGUGGUACUUGGGCACUGAUGGAUUCACACGAGUCAUGAACUAUAUUUAUAAAUAUAGGUUAAUUAUAAAACCAAUUGCAGGAAUGAACGCUAAUUCACGAGACAAAGCCUAAUUAAUUUAUGAUUAGCACAUAUUUGCGGUAGCAUCACGUGGUCAAAACAUGAACUAAUUAGGUUUAAUAGAUUCGUCUCACGAAUUAGCCUCCAUUUAUGCAAUUGGUUUUGUAAUUAACCUAUAUUAAAUAUAGUUCUAAUUAGUAUCUAAAUAUUUGAUGUGGUAGGGAUUAAGUAUCUAAACAUUCGAUGUGAUAGGGACUAAAUUUAGGAAGCUUUUGACAUGGGCAUUUAGCUUUUGAAACAUGGGCAAACAUUAUAUAUUUACAUAUCCGACAAUUAAAAAAAAGUUAUAUGCAACAACACAAGCGAAUAUGUUUACACCUUUUAAUGUGAACCAAAUUGGAUGAAUGCUGAAUGCGCUGACUAAAAUUCAAGCUGCAUCAGGAGAAAGUAAGCUGCACCAGGAGAAAGAAAGCUACAUUAUAACCAGUUGAAUUAGCUCCGUUUCAUUAGCCGAUCAGAUCCUUUUGUUUUAAAUACUUAGCCGAUCAGAUCAAAUGACAUCUUUUCAAGUUGUUCACGGCCUCUUGCAACUAGCCUAUAUUCCCCCGCCGCCGACGCCGAAGCCCCAACCGACCAAAUCGAUGCCGUCGAUCGCCGGCGGCGGGCGCGGGCGCCUCUUCGCCGCGCACCGGGGCGCGAUCUGGUGGCUCCGGGGCCGCCAGCACCCGCCCUUCUCGUCCCUUGCCGGCGGGGGAAGCCGAGGCGACGCGCCGCAUCUGCCGGUGCUCAUUGUCGGAGCUGGGCCCGUCGGGCUCGUCCUCUCCUUCCUCCUCACCAAAUUCGGUAAGAGCCCCGUGCCCCUCGCGCGUGGCUGUUCCGAAUCGUGCUUCUAAAGUAGUAUAGGCGGUAGUGUUGAGCUGAGCGGAAAUUCAAUGAGGGAACCGGACGAAUGUGAUGUGAUGAAACAAGUCAUCUCUCAAGUGCGGAUCGUGGAAAUUCUUGUGAAGACCGGCAGCCUCUGAUACAGUCACUCGUUUAUCCCAAUCUUGCAGGGAUCAAAUGCGCGGUGAUAGAAAAGAAUGUGGAGUUCACUCGGCAUCCUCGAGCGCACUUCAUCAACAACCGCACAAUGGAGGUGUGUAUUUUUACUAUUGCACUCCUACUUCGCUAUGUCAGCUUUAUGUGUGUUGUUUGGGCGGUAAAUUUCACUGGUGGUUGGCAUUUUCAGAUCUUCCGCAAGUUGGAUGGCUUGGCUGGGGACAUCGAGAGGUCCCAGCCACCAGUGGAUCUGUGGAGGAAAUUCGUAUAUUGCUCUUCACUCUCUGGUUCUGUUCUUGGAUCGGUUGAUCACAUGAAGCAGGAAGGCCAGUUCAGUUCUUCUCAUGUUGAGCGUUUGUUGUCUUGCACCUCUGUUCAUAUGUCUUGUGACGAGUAUUUUUUGCAGUUUUUGACAAGGUCAUUAGUCCUAUAUCGGUAGCACACUUCUCGCAAUACAAGUUAGUCGAUUUGCUACUCAAGAAGUUGGAAGGUAUUGGUUUCCAGACAUGCUUUCCCAGUGAGAUUGGUGACUCAGCGCAGGAUUUGGGGUUGGAAAGCAAGAUAUUGAUGGGGCAUGAGUGCACAUCCUUUCAGCAGACAGAUGAGGGCAUUUUGGUUGGAGCAUCAGUUAACAAUGGUGGGAGGAUACGGGAGAAGAAGCUACAUUGUGGUCUUCUUAUAGGGACAGAUGGUGCAAGAAGCACGGUGCGUGAAUUGGCAGGUAUAUCUAUGGAGGGUGAGAGGGACUUGCAGAAACUGGUCAGUGUGCAUUUUCUUAGCAGAGAUCUAGGCAGAUAUUUAUCCAGUCAGAGGCCUGGGAUGUUGUUCUUCAUUUUUAACCCAGGCGCAAUUGGUGUACUUGUUGCACAUGACCUGGAGAAUGGGGAAUUUGUAUUGCAGGUAUGUUAACCUUCACUAUUUUAGAAGCAAGGCUUCAGCAAAUGUUACAUUUGAAAUUGUAUAUUUCUCAUGUGUGGAAUAUCACCUUCUAUUCUAUUUUCAGAUUCCAUUUUAUCCUCCUCAGCAGAUGUUUGAAGAUUUCAGUGCCAAGGUGAUCUAGUUCUUGUAUUUUUCUUUAUUCUAGUUCAUUAUCUAACAAGAUGCCGUUUGCUGCAUCUAAAUGUGUUUCUAUUUAUUUCUGAAAUACUUGUGCUGUAGUGUUCUUGAAACAACUUAUUUCUAAACUGGAAUAUGUUAUGCAUAGGUGAAUUGUUGACUAAUUUGACGCAUAUAUGUAAAUGCACCCCUGCUUACUUUUUAAGUUUUCCUUGUGAUUUUAGGUAUGUGAGCAAAUCAUUGUCAAAUUAGUUGGAUGGGAGCCUGCUGAUGUUCAGGUUUUAGACAUAAAACCAUGGGCUAUGCAUGCUGAAGUUGCAGAGAAGUACAUUGGCUGCAACAAUCGUGUAAUCCUUGUUGGUGAUGCUGCUCACCGUUUCCCUCCUGCUGGUGGUUUUGGUUAGUGGUUUACUUCAUUUUUGAUACUGAAAUAUUACCAUUUCCAUUUGCUUUAGUGUGCAUCAGAAGUCCAACGGUCAGAAUUGUGCAUUUGCUGAUUUGUUUUUGCAGGAAUGAACACCGGUGUUCAGGAUGCGCAUAAUCUGGCUUGGAAAUUGUGCUUACUCUUGAAUGGUGUUGCUUCACCAUCAAUAAUGCAAACUUAUGAAUCAGAGCGCCGACCUGUUAGACACUUCUCACAGCUUGUCAGUUAACAUCUCCUUGACAAAGUUAAUUAAGUUUGAUUCACAUGCUUGCUUUUUGCAGGUUGCUAUUUUUAAUACAGGGCUUAGUGUGGAGAAUUUUAAGGCGGCAAUGUCUAUUCCUGCUGCCCUUGGUCUUGAUCCAACUGUUGCAAACUCAGGUGCAACAUCCUGCUCCAGCAUGAUGGCAGCAAGCAUUCAGUUAUUUUCUUGUUAAAGUAAAUACUGACACUGUUGCAGUUGCGCUUAAGUUAUCGUGCAAUGUUAAGUACAUCGAAACUUUUGCCUUGUCAUGAUCUGACCUUGUGUAUCCUUUACAUUUAUUUGGCAGUGCAUCAGGUUAUCAACAGAAGCUUAGGAUCUGUCAUUCCCAGAAAUUUACAAAAGGCAGUUCUGGAAGGAUUGUUUUCCAUUGGUCGGGCACAGGUCUCAGACUACAUUUUGAAUGAGAGAAACCCCCUUGGGUCUUCGAGACUAGCAAGACUGAGAAGUAUUCUUGAUGAAGGAAAAAGUCUACAGCUGCAGUUUCCAGCAGAGGAUCUCGGCUUCUGGUAAGACUCACUAGUGUGAAUCAUUUUCCAAAAGGGGGUGUGUUUUUUUCUUUCUUCCUUUUCAUUCAGCUGAUGAAUGAGCAAGUGUGCAAAGUUUCGUAUGUUGAUCUAUUGUGUGCUUUCAGCUAUGAAGGAGGAGCCCUAGUCACUGAAUAUUGUGCUGAAAACACUCAGAAAGCAGAGAAAGUGAAGCAUUUCAAGAGGUCAUCAGAGUACGUACCAUCUGCUAAGGUUGGUUCACGGCUACCACAUAUGCUAGUAAGAGCACGUUCAGCUUCAAGUGAGGUAUAUCCCUUGGACGCCUAAUUGAUACGGCAUCUUUUUAGCUAUGUCUCUAAUGUUUCAUACAUUGAGAUUGUGAUGGAUUCUUGCAGGAUGUGUUCUCAACACUGGACCUGGUAAGCGGGGAUAACCUCGAGUUUGUUCUCAUUAUCGCACCAAUGAAAGAGUCAUACGAGAUCGCCCGUGCCACCCUCAAGAUAGCAGAUGAGUUUAAGUUAAAAGCCAAAGUAUGUGUCAUGUGGCCACAAGGUUCAGCGGAUGUGGAAAUGGAAGAGAGCAGAUCUGAGUUGGCACCCUGGACGAACUGUGUUGAUGUUGAGGAAGUACCACGGGCACCUGUUAAUUCAUGGUGGGAGAUGUGUCAGAUCAGUAGGAAAAGUGUCAUUCUUGUUAGGCCUGAUGAGCACAUAACAUGGAGAACGGAAUCAGACAUGGUGAGGGAUGCCGAUUCAGAAGUUAGGAGAGUCUUCUCUCAUAUUCUGUGCCUAAAUAGCCACCUGGUAUAGGAAUUUGCAAAUUAUCUUUCACUUGGUUAUGCAUAGCAAAGAGUUCGUGUUAUUGUGAUAAUACGAACCAGAAUUUCCACUCAAGUGAUAUUUUACCUGCACUUGGAGUUGGAUGAACGAUUGACUGCGACAACAUUUCUUCAUAUUACAUGAUACUGUGGUAUUUUGGCUGUUCUGGUUCUUUCUGGUGCAGUGCCAUUGUCCGAUCUUUGUUUUGAGUUCUCCAUUUGUCGUUCAUAAAAAGUCAUCGCAGCGCCUCAUCCACAGAUCCACUAUGAGCUUUUUUUUUUUUUUUGCCAGCACCGCGAUGUCCAUGGGGCUGUAGACGAGCGACUCAUCUUUGAAACCCAUGGAUUAUCCAUGUACAAUAUUUUUUUAACAUCUAUCAACAUUUGUUGACAUUUAUUUUCAUUUUUUUAAAAUCUGAUUUAUACCAACAUUUUUUUAUCCAUACAAACAUUUUUCUUUAACUAGUUUACAUUCACCAAUAUUAUUGCUCAAUAAUUUUUUACAUGCCCUAACUUUUUUUUGCACUGACCAUCAUUUUUUUUUACGUUCACCAAUUUUUUCCUAAAAAAUAUUGAGAUAGUUUCUCUAAAAUGUUGAGAUAGUGUGUUUUGCACCGUCGUGGAUCAGUUUUUAGACUACUGGUAAGUUCUACUGUAAAGAGCGAGAGAAUUGAUGUCAAUUUCCACACAGAAUUAUACCUACGUACCACUGGGGAGAUUAGUAUCGUCUUAAUCCCCGUUCUAAAUCCCAUCCACGCCUUUUUUUUUACGCCACACCCUUCCCGUUACCUGCCCACCAUACCCGCACCACUAACGAUGCACGCAUCCACGCCCGUCCUUCCUUUUUUUUCCUCAAUCCCACCUUCUCCACGCCGAUCCUCAAGGCAUGUACAACAGUUUAGACAGUUGUUGUCUCUAAGUAUUUCCAUAUCACAUAAAGACAAUGACAUAGACAACUUAUGCAAUGAUUCGUCUUUUAGGCUGUCUAUAAACUAUUUAUUUCAUAUACAUACACAUUUAUCAUGGUGAUCAAAAAUAAAUUUGAUUUUGUAUACCACUUUGUUGCCCAUAUGUGUGAUCAUAUUUGGGUACACUCAUUUAUCACUUAUUAGUACAAUACAAAGUCCCACUGAACAAAUUUGGGAAAAAGACAAUAAUACUGCAAAGCUGAUACAUGCUAAUCUUGACAACAUGCUGAUACAUGAUUGUGUUCUGAAUACACAAGAGCUACAGUAAGAGAACAAGAUCCAUGUAAGAAUUUGAAGCUUAGGAGCCUUACUAGUAAGAAUAAAACAGCAGUUGGCCCUAAUGCUCAACAGUUGUGCUCGCAAAAAUAAGCGUCUUGAAUUGAUGAACUGAUUACAGGAACAUGCUAGGAGACAACUUGAACCGACAGACUGAACAAAAGACCAUGAUUUCAACUUGCUUAAUCUUUCAUCAUAUUCUGAAUCAUAAAAAUCACUCUUAAAAUUAGAAACACAAUUCUACGUUUCAGAUUUACAAACACCAGAUGUAAAAGGAAUCACGAAUCAGAAAAGAGAAGAUCUGCACAUCUUCACUCGGUAUUAUUUGCAUCAGUGAUGUUGAAGUAAACAUAUAAGCAAAGCAGCACUGGCGUUCAGAGAAGCAAGCACGGAAGCCAUGUACUUUGUUAGAUGGACUGGAGUAGCGGACCUGAAUGCCGAUGGGUCAGCGGACGGUAGCAAGGCUUGGAGCCAGAUCCAGGCUUCGAGCAACUCGCCGCCCUGCUCUCCCUUUCGCUGCGCCGGUCGGUGGACGGAGCAACGGAGACGGAAGCAGCUGCUGCCGUCGAGCCUUUCCGCUUCUCGGUCGUCAUCGCGCCUUUCCGCUCCCCCGCUGCCGCCGCCGCGCCCCCGUCCGCUCCAGGGAUGCCGUCGCAUCUGGUAAGCCUUGCGCAACUGCUGCAUCCGGCAUCUAGGAAGGGAGGAGCAUCGAUUUUGCCACGGAUUUUGGCGCGCGGGGAAUGGAUUUUAUUGCCAUCGUAGCUGAUUUUUGGCUCACCGCAGCCGAUCCACGAGGAGACGACGACGGCAUACAACGGCGAUGGGGCCGGCGGUUUGGCUUGGGAGCACGAGCCCGUGCGUCUCUCUCCUCAUUAAUCGCUGUACACGUGGGACAGAUUUGCCUCCGUGGCAGCAUAUAGACAGCUGCUGUCUCUCUGUUGUACAUAGCCUCACGCCCCUUCCCAUCCCCUCCCCCAUCGCAUCUCCCCGCCGGAGCGGCCCCGCUGCGUCCUCCCCCUCCACUUCGAUACCCUCCUCUCCAUCUGCAGGGACAGGCGUACAGAGGGGUAAGCCGGAUGCCUGUGAAGGAGGCGGGCUCGGCGAGGGGCGCCCCGGGGACCGCGGCUUCGGCGAUCGCUGCGGGGGUCGUAAGUCGUUAUGAUUCCAGCAAGGGGCGUAUAAUUUAUAGACUUCCCAUAAGGAUUCGAAGCGUACCGAAGACUCGAGGGCGGUCAUAUAUAUACAUAUUCCGAAAUCUAGGGUUAGCAAUUCCCGCAGUCUUCUCGUCGCCGCGCAGUUGGUCCUAUUCCGAUCUAGAUCUAACCAGGAGAAGAGAGGAGAGAAGACGAGUAUGGAGGGAAACGGAGACGAGGGGAUAGAGCAGAGGAAGGAGGAUCAGUUGUGGGCUCCCCCCGCCGCCGCGAACCAGACGACCCCGACAUCCACCGUCCCCGGGAAAGAGGUCAUGUCUAUUGAUGACGAGGCCAUAUCCGGCGUCAAUCCCCGGAGUGCCGCUGCUGCGCAGAAUAUGUAAGUCUACUUAGAGCAUGUAUACAGUGGGAGUAGCUUAGUUUUAAUAUUAAAUUGUUUGAUUUCAGUCGUUUGCUAUACGAUUCAUUGAUAUCUGGAUGUAGCUGUUGGUCUUUAGUGACAUGUGUAGAUGAAUUAUUAUCAAUCCAAUAAGAUUUUGCUAGAGCAUGUGUACAGUAGGAGUAGCUUAGUUUUAAUAUUAAUUUGUUCGAUUUCAGUCGUUUGUUAUACAAUUAAUUAAUUCGUUGAUAUCUGGCUGUAGCUGUGGGUCAUUUAGUAACCUGUAUGUAUUCAAUAAGAUUUUGCUACACAUUUCCAAUGCAAUCUGUGCGUUUUUAGUUUAAAGAGUUGAGGUUGUUCUUAUUGCUCUAAUGAACACUAAUUUUAGUUGAAAUUGAUUUUGUUGCCUUCUUGCUAGUAUUACAAGAACUUUUGACUAUAUUAGUUAUGGCAAUUUCAUUUUCACCUUCAUCUUUGCCAUGUGGUUUGUCAGCAACGUAUUCUUUUUUUUUUAAGAAUAAUUAGCUUGUUUCAAGUUAACAAUUUAAAAUAACUUCUUGGUCAUAACUCAAUGGACUUGGGGCUGACAUACUUGUGCGUUUCCAGUGUGGCUGCUUGUCAACUGUUUGUUGCCAAACAGAAUUGGGAUGGGCUGGAGACUUAUCUUGCUGAGUUCUUGAACAAGGUUCAGGGCGACAAGUUCUAUCCCCACCCAGGGCUUUUUUGCUCCCUUUACCAAGCACAUAUCUCAUAUCUCAUUGGGAAAAAUCACUUUGUGGAGGCUCAAGCUGUUUUCGAUGGCAAGGUGAAGCCUCUUCUUGAUCAAGAAAAAGAUGACAUGUACAAGCCAUUUGACUUAGAAGCCCGUGUGCAAAUGUUGCGGAACUGCGUGUACAAUUGGUAUGUUGUAUUUCUUUAUUAUAAUAAUGUUUGUUCCUAUCGCAUGUUAGUCAUAUUUCAUAUGAGGCGAACAGGCCUCUAGCUGAGUUGGUUAGAUGGUCUCAGUAGCACUCAGGUCCUGGUUUCGACUCCCCGUGGGAGCGAAUUUCAGGCUAGGGUUAAAAAAGUCCCCUCGUCUGUCAGCAUAACCAAAGCACAAAUUAAGGCCUGGCCCAAGUCGUAGCUGUGGUUGGUUUGGACCCUCCUACCUGGAGUAGUUGCAGUGGUCACCAGCCCAGCGGUAGUCUCACAAGGGUUAUGGCCCCUGUGUAAGGGUGGGGCAAAGGUUCGGGAGUUUUCUCGGCCUGUGUGAGAAGGUCUUCUCUCUUAGGAAAAAGCCCGGGGGCUGUCUUACCCCCCGCAGGUCGAGUUUUUUUUUAAUAUAUGAGGUCGAAACACUAACGAAAGUUCAUAGUACUCGUUUCAUUUAGGCCAAUACAUUAUAAAAGUUCAAUUGUUUAUACUUGCAAAAUCAUUGUUUUUUAAAAAUAUUCUUCUGAAGCUAUUACUACAAAGUUUUGUAUUCCUUUAUACUCAUGGAGAUUUGUUGGAGUGUGGCUAGUAAUUUUUUUGGAUACAUGUUUUCAAGUUCUGUGUUUUAUUUCUUAUGCAGUUUGCCUUUGGCUGCUGCUGCUGAUGAAGAUAUGAAUGUAGUUCUUGCUGAUUAUCUGAUGCUGUAUUUCCCGACUAGGUAAGUAUUUUCAAUCACCUGAUAAAUUUUGUUGCCAAUUACAAAAUAUAGUUGCAUGUGUUUCACGAAAUAAAUCAUUGCUGUUAUAUCUUAAUCUAUCUAGAUUAGUUCUUUUUCUCUAAUUAUAAAUUUAAGAAGUAUUUACAAGUCACUUUCACUCAUGCAAUUGUUUACAUUUAGAAUGAUAUUAUCUAUCUCUUAACAGAUUUAUAUAAAGUAAUUACUAAGUAGUUUUCAAUCCUACACUUGUUUAUAUUUUGAAUGAUAUUAUCUGGCAUGAAUUAUGUGGCUACAUUUGAUAAAGUCAUUGCUUUAUACAGCUUGCAGAAUGAGGCAAAGAGAACAAAUUCAAUUUCAGAUUUUUUAGUGACUUUCAAUGAUAAAAAAGGAAAACGCCAUCGUUGUUUGGCAUGUCAGUGGGUGAUGUCAGCUUCAGCCAGGUCAAUAGAAUAUCACAUCAAGCACUCAAAGCAAAUUAACUGCUGUCGCAGAGUAACAAAAUGGAUGCUUGAAUAUCUCGCAGAUGUCAUGAAUGAAAAAGAAAUUAGUAUACAGGAUAUGACUGCUGCUUCAUCGGGGAUUCAGUUAAGAAAGAGGAAGGCUCCAUUCUCACCUCGAUCUACUGUGUUAGAUCUUGAUCAACAAUUUCCUAUUCCUGGGAAACAUGCUUUUGAAAUAUGGAAGGAUCUUAAUGCAUCUAACAUGUUAGCUUUGUAUGCUCUUAUGAAAGGCAAGUCCAAGUCAACCGCAGCAGCAAAAGCAAAAGAAAUAUUGUUUUGCCAAGAAAAGCUUAUCAAUGAGCUGAAGAGAUUGUUUUUGAGUCCUACGGAUAAACAUGUUCCACUGGGUUCUCUGGCAUUCAUGAAGAUCAAGGCUCUCCUCAAUCUGUCAGAUGAUCUCUUGCCAUUGCUCAAGAACCUGCCAGAUGCUUCUGAACUAUUGUUAGAUCAAGAUAAGAAAGUUACUGAACUGAGGCGUUGCUUUAUGGUUGCUGCUGCUGAGCGCCUCCCUCCAACAACACCUGUUGAUGUUACGUCUCCCAGCACUGAUAGUUCCGAGAGUGUCUCCAGCAAACUAUGUCUCCUAUAAGUUGUUUUAGUAGAUGCCCAAAAAACUACUGUAGUACUUAUGAGAAAGGUUCAGGUGCUCCUGCGCGCAGGUUGGGGUGCUACCAUGCUACCAACCCACCUUUAGAUGUGCAUCAAAAAUUCAUCAACAAAUUUGAAUGGAUUUUCUUAUAAUCUUCUACCAUCAUGCAAAAAUCGAGGAUGAACAAAAUUUGUGCAAGAAAAACAACAAAAAAAGAUAAUUCAGUGAAUGAUUAGUUGCGGAUCUAAUUGAACCUGCACCUGUUACUGUUGAUGCCGUGAUUUGUCUUUUUUUUUUGUUUCCUUUUGCACAAGUUUUUGUUCAUCCUCAAUUUUUGCAUACCAUUCAAAUUUUUAGAUGACUUUUUUAUGCACAUCUAGAGGUGCAACCGCCGGUGGGUCGGUAGCACAGCUCGCGGGAGCACCUGAACCAUUCCGCUGAACUUGUAUAUUUCAUUUUCUGUUGGACCACGUUGCUUAACGGGUUUGUUAGAGCCGGCACAUGCACCUCCGAACCCAUUAGCGCAUGCAUGGGAGCUGUAUCGCUGGAGCCAGGCAUGCAUUUGAUGCUGAUUGGUUGCCUUGGUUGCUGGCUCUCUCGCGUGAGUUGGUGUUGAAUUCAGUGCUCCCGUGCAGGCAAUUUGCAGCGCUCGAGCCAGGCCCAGCGGAAACGGAACUCAUUUUCGUUUCUCCGGAGCCAGGACAGGCUACGACCCCCUCGUUGCACCUGCUCAGCCUGGCCGAACCCUCCAGAUGAGCAACCAAUCAUCUGGAUGGUCCCUCAACCCUAGAGGUCGGGGCUCCUGAUGUGGUCGAACGAGGUGGGCCAUCGUAAUUCAACUUCCCGUCCCGUCCUUGUUCCUAUGGUACGUCAAGGGGCAGCGCCUCGCACUGUGCGACGAGGCAGUUCCCGUGCGCGCGUGGCGGGCGCUGCGCUAGUCAUGGCAUGCGACGCUUUGCACAGGAGCCUGACUAGCGGCACCGUGGAGUGAUUACAGCAGCCCACGCCGCCCGAGCCCCCCCCCCCCCCCCCCCCCCCGAGUGGUCGGGAGCCUUUCGCCUGCUUGGCAUGCGAUCUGUGGGCCUCAUCACCGCGUCGUGCUCUGCAGGCACAAGCCGGUGUCAAGGCGGCGAGCUCGUACGACCCUGCCCAUGCUUGGGACGUGACGGCAGGCACGGAGCAGAGUACUAGACGUGCCAUACGGGCCAUGAUGGCUCUGCUGACCGAGGCCUCGUGGGGGCGGUCCCUUGAGUGAAGCCACACUGGACGGCCCGCGGGUCUUUGGCCGUCGCCGGAGGAGAGGCCUACGCGCCGCAUCGGCGGGACGUGCAUUUAAGGUAUGCUUGGUUUGGUGUUGAAUUAAGUUGGAACGGGUUUGAUCCUAUCAGUCUGUGUUUGGUUGGAAAUGCAGUGGGUUGGGUUCAUCCUUCAUAGAGAAUAUACCUCAUAGAUACAAGUUGGAGUUGUCCGCCUAAAAUAAGCGGACCAUCCCGACCCACAUCAACGCCGUCCGUCUCUGUUCUCCCGUGGGGCGGCAGCAGCAGGCGGGUUGGUGUCGGGGAGAAAGGAGGAGGGGCGGGCUGGCAUUGGGGAGGAGGGGCGGCCGGCACCGGGUGGCGCCGGCGAUAAGGGAGCGGCAGGCGGUGUCAGGGAGAAGGGAGGGGCGGGCCAGCGUCGGGGAGAAGGGAGCGACGAGCCGACGUCGGGAGCUCCGCUGAUCUAAUGGGCGACAGGUGAGUUUGCCAACAGAUAUGGCUAACGGUGUUAAAAUGAUAUCUAUAUCAACCUUCUCAACUCCUCUAAUUAAAAAAAACUCGAUAUCCUUCUCCUUCGAAUACAAGAUGGAAAAGUGGAUCGGCUCAGGUCGUUCCAAAACCACAAACACAUGCUUGAUGCCUAGCCCGCGCCAGUCCUCGCGGCGCUUGCGGUUGCAGAGAAGAGUUUCUGAUUUCUGAAUCCUGCAUCCUGCAUUCCUGCUGAAUCGGUGGGCGUGGGCCAGCAGGCCGUAAUUGGGCUGAGGAGCCUAUCCAGGCCCGAAGAUACCACUGUCCCCUUGCCUAGGGCAAAUGAGCCGCCAAUGCCUUGGUUCUCUGCCCGCGCCCGCCGCCCGCCGCGUAACCCGACGAUCUGAGAUGGCCUAGGUCGCCGACGACUCGACAUCUCUGUGCGGCGGGUGUGGACCCGUAGACGCGCCGAGCUACCGGCGACGACCACGGGCUGUCUCUACCGGCGACGCCCGUGACGCGGCGAGGACGUCGACCUCCUCUACGCAGCAGAGCUCUCCUCCGCCCUUGUGUCGCCUCACGCCGUUCGUCGAACUCGUGGUAAAGUAAGUUGCAACCGGCUCAGGCUCAAUUUGUUGUCUGGGAACUCUAAUGCUAGGACUCUUGUAUGUAUUCAACAGACGUAUCACCCCACUACGCAAUGUCCCAUCGUAUGACCUCCUUCCUACCACCCAAAUCUCCUCUGCAGGUCUUGAAACAGAAAGAUGAGGUACACGGCACGGGAGAUGGAGUUCAUGGGCGGAUCUACAAAAGUUUUGGUCUGCAACGACAGGGCGGCUUCUGCCCUAACUUCUCUUUCGAAUUGGUUGGUUUUGAACAAUGAAGCCAAUUUUGAUUCCCGUGAACCCAAGUUUACAGUGGCCCAAUUCAUGGAAAGGCUUAUUUCGGGAAAAAUUUUGAACUGGCAUAAGAACAAUGUACUGCCAACGCAUGAGAAUCAGCGAAUCGUUGUAGAGUACUUUGAUAUCACUAAGAGACUUUGCACGGGCAUUAAGGUUAACCCUGUGGCUGGGUAGGUUAUCCUUGUGGGUUAACUGUUUUUUAUUGUUUCAGUAUUUCAUGACUUUGCUUUGUCCUAAUUUCCAUUUUUUGGCCUGUAAACACUACAGCACUGCCAAAUUUGAGGAUUCAAGAGAAUAUGAUUUAUUUCGCAUUUUGGGAGUUCCACUACUCCAUGCACCUGCAUUCAAUGAGCAGGUAUUGACUCCAAUCAUUUAGUUGUAACAUAAAUGAUUAUGCAUGAUAACAUUUCUUUAGUAUAUCACACGUUGAAACCAUUGUUGCUCAAAGUAAAUUUGUUUAUUCCUGGAUAUAUGAUUGACACCAUUAUUAAGAUUCCCAGGUGCACAGUCCGAUCCCACCCUGAUUAACCGGACUACACAACAUAAAGUGUGAUAAAUUAUGAACUUUAUCAACCCCAUGGUGAAACCAUUCAUAUUGGACUCACCAUUGUCAGUAACCUGGGAAAAAAAGAAAAGGGAGUUCUUAACUUUAUGCAGAUGUCUUAUUUUCCAAAUUUUAUAAGAUGAGCUUUCUCAUUUUUCCAAUCUUAUAAAAUGAGCUUGCCUACGAACUUCUAGGUUUUUCCCUCUUUACAAGAGCAACUUGAGCCUGGACAAAUUGGUAUUUUGUAUUUGAACGGGGAAUUCAAUACCAUUUGUAAGGUAUGAACCUUUAAUUUAAGUGGAGUCUCUCAUUUUUUAAUAAGCUUUCUGGUUUUAUAUCUUCUGUAUGUUUUAUGUAGCACAAUGGUACUGUAUACAUGUUAGUAGAAGAUGAAGCCCUUCACAAGAAGAACCCUUCUGCUUCUUGGAAAACUAUGGUAUGUAACUAUGUCAUUGCAUGCCCCUUCUGUGCAUCUGUGUUUUGAAAAUGGCAAUUGUGCUUAUUAUUGUCUUGUUCCAUGUUGAUAAUAUUAGGUUGAUGAAAAAGAAAUAUUUGUAGCUGGUGACUUUUCAUACACCAGGGUAAGGAAUCAGCAGAAUGCUUUGUUUUUUUCCAACUGGUACAGUGUUAACUAAUCUAAGGUUGAUGUUGUGCGUACUGUAUUUUGUUGCAACAGGCACACAUCAACCAGAAAGUGUACAAGUGUUCGAAAUGUUUGGAGGAAUUCUGCACAGAAAUUAAUUAUGAAAGACAUCUUGAAGCUCAUGUGCCAACUUCCAAAGCUGCUCUGGUUUUUGCCUUAACACCCCCCCCCCCUCUCCCCAACAAAACACACGAGCUCUUUAUAAUGUUUCAUUGAAUCUUUGUCAAUAUUCUGUAGAAUCGUUCAUGGAACAAGGACGCGUUUGCGAAAUACUGGGAUCAGGUAAGCUAUUUACACUGGGUUGCUUAUUGUAUAGUGUAUAUUGCUUUACAUAUUUUCAUAGUUUUUUUCAUGGUUUAGAUUUCGGAUGAAGAUGCUUAUAGCAUCCUGUCUGAUGGUGAUCAAACUGUAGAGGUAUUUGUGAGCAUUGACAAUUCUUUGUACAAUUUUAUCGAGCUUCUAUAAUUUUGUGGUUGGCUUGACAUGGAAAAAAAAUGUUUCUAGAAAUCACAUGGAUUGCCUGUCGACCCAAUUUUCAAGAAAUGGAUACUAGGACCAGAAUUUCUUGUAACACCACCUGAGGUGAGGGAUGCUCUGAAACAGCUCAAACAACUGAAGGUAAAGAUUGUUGACUCAAACUGUUCAUAUUCAUCAACAUCAACAUGUAUAAUUUGUGUCCACCGACCCCUGUUUCUCUAUAGCAUUUUAUGGAAAGGAAAAGGGAGAAGCCAUCGUCUGAUGUGCUUCUAGGUAUCUUAAAAGUCGGAAGUGAGGGCACUUUCUUCUCCACCAAUUUGCCCGAAGGAGGGUUUUCCUUUGUGGAGGCAGGCAAAAGUCAGAAUACAACGAGAACCAUGCUAACAUAUUUUAGCUUGAGAGUUGAAGAAGUGUUGGUAAUGGAACUUACUUAAUUGUUAUGAAGUUUCUUUUCAAUUGUUCCUGACUACAAAUAUGACAUCAGGCUAAAAAGUGGUAUACUGAAAAGACGGUGCAAGCAAAUGUAGUGAUGAAAGAACUUUUGGCGGAAUGUACUGAUCCAAGGUUUGCUGCUGAGUUCAUCCAAAAGUCACAUUUUGAAAUAUUUUUUUUACUAAGAGCUAUGUUCUGUGAUUUGCAGCCAUUCAAUAAAUUUGUACUAAAAGCUAUGUUCAGCAUAUUUGCCAGAUAUGUAGAUAGCCCAAGACUAAUAUUUUUUUUACAUGCAGUGAAGAAUAUUUCCCAAACUUCGUAUCAAGAAAAAGAUUGGUUAGGUUGUUCACACUUUUCAAUAAGGAUAUAGUCACAGCUUUGACACGAACUGGGAGGAAAAUUGCUAAACGUCUGCUGAACUACAUCUUGAAAGCUCAUAAGGCUGGCCACUGCUGGGAUGGGGAAUGGAAUAUACUUGACAUUCGGGUUCGUGGGGAUGGUGCAACAUUAAUCAUUGACAAGAUGCCAGUAAAUGCAACUAAAGAUGGAAUUGUUGCUGACCUUCAGAAGUUCAUAGUCCUCUUGCGCCCGUAUUACAAGAUUGAAGGCAUCAAGGGUCCAGCCUAUUUUGAUGAAUUUCAUUCUGAUGUGAUGUCUCUCCCUGAGCUUGAGUCUGAAAAAUUUGAGAUUUUCCAGAAGUUUCUUGCUGACCAUAUGGCUUUUCUGCCACCAGCGUCCACGUCAAAUUUGCUCGAAAGGCUCUUCAAAUUGUGUGACGAUAUCCGUAGACAGAAUGCAGAUUUUGAUUAUCGUCCCCUUCAGCGCUUAGAUUGCAUUGGGUGGACAAAAAUACGUGAUACCAUGCCAUAUAGCAAGGUGUUCCACUAUGACCAAAGUCUUUCACACCCAUACAACGAUAAUUACUGGGAUCUCCUCAGAUUUGUGAGGAAUUUCAUUAAUCGUGGCUUGAAGUACACACAGGUAUAUAGUUUCUGUAUUCUAUCUGUUACACAUGUAUUGUAUAAACAUGAAUUGUAUCUAUUCCUAUCCCAAACACAAGAAUUGUAUCUGUUCCUAUAUGCAUAGUUUCUGUACUGUUCGUAUCCCGUACAUGUUGUAUCUGUUCUACUCUUCUAGUUCAAACAUGAAUAUAUAGUUUCUACAUAAAAACUAACUCCAUAUUAUUUUCGGAUGAAGAUCGAUGGAGUUCAAUCAAUAGAAGAUCCUGUUAUACUAGAUAUUAUGGUUGCAUAUGACCUUGGCAAAUUUAUUACAAAGCUGGUUCUGCAUGUGUUAUAUGUGUUUGAAAAACCAAAAAGGUGUGUCUAUUAAUAUCUCUGUCUGUCUUUAUCUAUACAUUUUGUUGGAAUAUGUUCUAACAUAAAUCUUUUUUCUUCUUAGGCUUGUCAGCACUUGGAAUGCAUACAAAACAUCCGAGUGAGUUUUGUGUUUGAGUUUUCUUUUGUUGGGGUUAGAAAAGGGAUCUAACCUUUGCCACUCUUAAGAAUGGCACAUUCCUGAGAAAGAGAUUGCAAUCCCUGAAGUGGGUGGCAUUCAGGAUGUGUCGUUCUGUGGGAAAAACUUAAUUCCCUGUUCUGUUUGGGAAGACUUCAUACAGUCUGAGUUUAUUUUAUGGUUAUGGAUGCAGUGAUGCAACUGAGGAAAUCGAUGAAGAUGGGACUGAGGAAAAUGAAGGAAUUUGAGGCAUCUGCAGGUAACAAAUUUAAUAAACAUUACAGGUCAUUGUUUCCUUGUAAACUGAAGGGCUCGUCAUGAUGUAUGUUCAGCUUAUCGCUCUCUAAAUGUCAACAUUCUUCCUUGUUGCAGUUGCUUCCUGCUCCCGGAGCUCCUGAGAUGGCCCCACCCCACCCCACCCGUCAAGCUUUUGAGAUGGAACUAACACCCACCCCACCCGUCAGGCUUUUGAGAUGGAACUAACACCCACCCCACCCGUCAAGGCAUCCCCGAGAAUUGUCCCUAUAAUUUUGCUGCGUGACUUCAAAUGUGAUUGAACACGCAAAGAGGCCAUUUUAGUUACUUCGGUCUUUUGAGGUGGAACUAAGAUCCCUGAGAAUCUUCAGUUACUUCUGUCUUUUGAGAUGGAAUGUUUUAGUCAAAAUUAGCUUUUGAAAAUUAUUCUAAACCUGAGGUUAUGAAUUUUGGAUGUCUUAAUGCCUCAUCUCUCAAGCGAUUGUUCGCUUUUGUUCACCGCUCAAUGAACAUCCUCAUGGUCAUAUGGAUAUGCUAACCUGGUCAGCCUUGCCUGUUUGUUCUAGUACCUGUACUUCGGUUGUUUGUAAAUUGGACGUACUCCUAAAAUACUUUAGCAUCCGUCGUGUACUAAGAACAGCCGUUCACCAUCCGCCGGAUCUCUCCACGAGCAGCCGUUGGGCUCCGACGCUGGUAUUACACUUCUUGUAGUUGUUUCUCCUCCAUGCGCCUUUUUAGCAAAUACAGGAACGGAACAGGGAUCCAAUCCAAUAGCUAAGAGGCCAGCAAAAUUCACGGAUCACUGUUUGACGUUAUUUUGUCACAAUAUUAAAAGGGGUUUUUGAUGAUAGUACCCUCUGACACUUGGUAGCUCAAACAACUCAUGGAAGAACCUCAAGAAGUAAAGAAAUCGAUGAAAAACUCAAAAGGAUAUCGAAUUGGAUGAGUUAUACAGAUAAAGGGACCAUCGGAUGAUCCGACGCCCUGUUUUUUAGUUGCAUCGGAUGAAUUUUCAGGGAUUGGAAUUUCUGGAGGGAGGCAUCACUUGUUCCGAUGCCACCAUCAGAUGAAUUGGUACAGAGCAUCGGGCAAAGAAGGUUUUUCAGUUUUGGGCCUUCAACGCGGGUGAUCCGACGCCUUGUGGAUAACCGUCGGAUGAAUGCGUCGGAGGAAGCAUAUUUUCAAUUGAAGCAGACAGAAGGGUAUUGGCCAAAUACCCUUCAGCACCGGAUGAUCCAAUGCUUAGCUCGAUACCGUCGGAGCAAAUGCCGCAUGAACUUUUCACCAUUACUUUUCUAACGGUUAGAAUUUGGUCAUGUGAGUGACCGGAUGUUCCGACGCCCCGGGGAUGGAGACCAUCAGAAAAUCCGAUAGUGUGCUUUUUACGUACACAAUUAAGACUCGAGCCGGGCCUGCGCAGGCGAGCGCUGGGAUCGAGGUGCGCCUCUGUGACCGCCCCCGGCGGCGUCCACAUCAAAGAGGUGGUGGCUUUCACCGCGAGCGAUCGAGCUGUUACGUUCUCUUCGUGCUUGCGGGAGCAUGCAGAUCAACGACGCCGCGCGCGCAUGCAGCGGGCGUUCGUCUCAUCACCUCUUCCCAUGCUUUAGCACGCGCAAAUUGGAGUACGUGGAGUCUAAUUCGCGAGAGGCUUAAUAGAUUCGUCUCGCGAAUUAGACGAGGGUCCUUCAGAAUCCCCCCGAUCUUGGGAUCAUCUCCUCAAGGAUCAAGGGCAAGAUUACCUACGCCAUCUGCCAAGGCACCCUCUCCACUACCAAACAGUAAUCCUAGCAUGAGUCCAGUACUAGAAAGGGAUCCAAGCGUAAGUCCACCUCCACCUCCUAUGAAGAAGCCUUCAGUUCCACCUCCACCUCCUAAGAAAAAGCAGAAGGAGAAGCCACUAGCGAAAAAAUUACCAUAUGAUAUGACAGAUGAGGAACUCAAGGCAGCAGUGGAUGCUGAGAAAAAAGCAUGGAGGCAGGCUCAAUCAGAAGCGUGGAGGUAGAAACAAAGGGAGCAUCCACCACUUGAUAAGGGUAAACUUCAGGCUUUCAUCAGAAGCAUGGAGGCAGAACAAAGGACCAGAGAAACCACUGCUAUCUGAUUACGACAGGCAAAUAACAAAGCAGGCUUCUAAGAAGAGGAAGAAAAGUGGGUCAACUAUUCCUCAACUCGGAGCCCAAUCCAACCAAUCGGUUGCCCCGCUCAAGGUGCUUUCUGAGUUUGAUAAGAACCUGCUGCAAUUCGCUAAAGAUACAAAACUCACCACAGCACAACUUUGAGGGGAGGAUCACAUCCCAAAGCACCCUGGGGCUACUAAAUGGAAAUAUGAGUAUGGGAAACUGUAACACCCAGUGUUAUUAAAAGCCUAAGAAGGUAAUUUAGAGGGUAAUGAUGAAUUUGGAUGCAACGGAGGUAUUAUUGACCAAAGUCAAAUUUGGGUCAAAUUUGACCAAAGAUUCAAGAUUUAAAAAAAAAUUCAAAGGACUCCUACAACCAAGAGUUGGGCGACAACUUGAGAAAGCCCCGGAAAACUAGGGUAUUGUUAUGAAUCUCGCAAUACCCUCAGAAGGAAAAACUCUUAUGUGCAUCUCCCACCUGGACCAGUUUAUGUUUAAAACUCCUAGAAUCCCUCUAACCUGCAUUGUUAAGUUUACUUCAAACUACGUUAUGUAAUAAUUCGUACCUCUUGUAUGUAUGUACAAAUGUAAUGUUUGUUGAUGCUUUCCCAUCGUGGAAGCGAUCCUGGUGUAUGGCUAUGAGACAUGAUGUGGAUCUUUCGAGGAGUCCUAGGGACACUCGACAGACUACCGGACUUAUACUGUUUUAAGUGCGUUUAGGAUAAUUGCUGUUCCGACAGCGAUUAGGCGCAUUUAAACCAGUUUAAGUUGGGCGAUUCCACCACAGAAACCGCCUGUGUGGCUGUAGUUGGUGGACCGUCUCCCAACGAAGAUGUACAAGUUGCACCAAUAGUACAUGGAGGCUACAGCAGAGGGUUUUGCCAUGCUCGAAGUUCGGAUUGAUGAUCAACAUUUUUUCCGUGGGGAUGACAUCAUAAAUGUGCUGCUGGAGGAACUGUAUUUCCUGUUCAAUCAAAACGCACUUGACAAGUCACUCCUCAGUUGCUGGGUUCUGUAAGUCUUUAAUAUAUUCCUCUAACUUUAAAAUCCCCGCUCUAGUCAAUUUGCGAUGUCUUAACUUCUAUUCGAUUUUGUAUCAUGCAGGAUGGAGAUUCAAACUUGUCGGAGGAACAAAUACUACAACGUAGGCUUCAUGGACCCCGAUGUUGUAAACGAGGCAAAUCUGAGAGAUAAACCAAAUCGGACCUUGAAGAAUAUAUAUAAGUUCCUCAACAAGCAAUAUUACAAGAAGUACCUACUAAUACUGUACAACUUCAAGUGAGCGUGUUUCCCAUCUCUUCCAUUUUCAAACUAGCAGUUAAACAUAAGACUAACUAGCUUUAAUUUGACUGUACAGAUUCCAUUGGAUACUCAUUGUUGUUGUGCCUGAUAUGAGUGGCGUAUAUGUCUUGGACUCUUUGAGGAAACUAAAACAACAAUGGCAUCAUAGACGCUAUGAACAAAGCAUGGGCUCGAUUCCGUCGAACUCACGUGGGUGAAUUCAAGGAGGAACUUGAAUGGAAGACUGAAUUCCCGGUAGGUGUUGAAUUUUCACAUCUCAUGACACUUCCUUUAACACAACAAAUAUUUCAUAACUUUUUUUCCAUAUAUAUAGUGUUCGAGACAGGAGCCGGGUACUAAUUUAUGCAGAUACUACGUAGGUGAGUUCAUCCACGGCUUUAUACAUCCGAAUCGUAUGACCGACCACGAAUUAACCAUACGUAUACAAAAUUCUCAACAAUAAAUUAGUUCUACUUAGAAAAUUAAUUCAUGUGUAUAUACUUCAAAAAUCAAUUCAUAUGUUAUUUCAAUUUAUUUGCUUAUAUUUCAACUAAGUUUCAAUUGUGCAAACCCAUUGAUCUACUAUAUAUAUAAUAAACUUUGCCAAUGACACAGAUGAUGUACAGGAAGGAUAAACUCAUCGCACAGAAGUUUUUAGGGGAAUACAAGAACAACUCUGGAUUUCUUCUGGACGAGGUCAUAAAUCCAGCGGGGGAGUAUCAUAAUGAUGGAUCAAAUUUACAUCACCGUCAGGGCUCGGGUUCAGAAUAGUAGAUACGAUAUGUGUAUGCAUAAUGUGUGUGUGUAUAUAUAUAAAUAAUAGUAUCUCAAAUGUAAUAUUCAAGAUAAAUAGAACUUCAUAUAUAUUAGCGUAUUAGAAAGGAAAUAAAUACGAAAUACAAAUAUAGAAUAAAGAAAUAAAGAAAAGAAAAGAAAGGAAAAAACAAAUUAGUACCAACCGGUACUAAUUAGACCACCCCCGCACCCGGCGUGGCAGGCCCUUUAGUACUGUUUGGGAUCCCGACCGGUAAUAAAGGGUACCUGAUCCCCCUGUAGCACCGAAUUGCUAAUACCGGUUGCACAACCGGUACUAAAGGGGGUUCCGGACCGGUACUAAACGGGGAUUCUAGUAGUGUAAUAAUGAUGGCAAAUAAGUAAAUACCCCACAAAUCCGCAUACCUCAAUCAACCUUGAGCCGAUUCAGAAUUAUCGUUUCACUCUGUUAUUUUUUAAUCUUUUUUCCGUGUGUCUGAUUUAUGCGGGAGGAGUUGGGAGUUCCUGUUGCAGAGAGUCACGGGAGCAGAGAUUGAGAGAUGGCUGCUGCUGAAGUAAACUCAUUGGUUCUGGUUAAUUAUAUAUCAUUUGCUAUUUCUCAUAAAUCGUACUCAUAAAUCAUAGUCGGGAAAUUACGCCAAUCAUUGUUGUGUUACUGCCUCAAUGAGACGACCAGACGAGUAAGACGAGUAGGCCAGAGUAGUCCCCGUUUUUUCUUGCAACUGUAGUUUGAAACAAGAAUGCUCGACUUACCUCAAUGAGAACAGCUAGGAAAGACAGCGCAAUUCUUGUGCUGACAUAGCGCCAGCGGCUAAUCCAGUUGAACAUCUCUUGGCCUGCACCUGCACUGUUCUAUUGUAUUGGGGAUGGACUGACAGUUACCACAAGUUUACAGAUAUGGUUGCUGUGCAACUCAAGUGGAACCAGAUGGUUAAUAUUCAGUGGUGAGCCUGCAGUGAUCCCUACAUAUUCAGCAUUUCCUAAUGAGUGUCAUGCCAAUGGUGGUUCUGUAAAAAGUGCUUGCCGAACCCUUUCAUUGAGUUGGAGUUCAGGCCUGCAUCUAUUUCUCAAAUUAGUGGUUUCACAUCAUCUUGAUUGGUGGUAAAUGCACAUGGUUUUCAUAGGACCUGGAUGACAAGCUGCACACUGAAAAUUCGCAGUGGCAUUUCAGAUAUGAUGCUUCACAAGUUGUCAUUUAUAUCUUGGAGAAAUGCGCAUUGGCUGUUAUUCACUUAUAAUCAUGAGCUAGACCAGUGGAAGCUCUCAUUUGUGUCUCUGAUAUGCAUCUACAUGAAUAGUUGCUGUUUUGCUAGCAUCAGUACGUGGCACAAUGGAACGGUUAAUCUGAUCUGGUGGCGAAAGAAUAUAAAGCUGAGGUUCUGUGAUCUUCUGUACAACAAUUUCCAGAUGAAUAAGUCAGUUGCUCAGUCGAUUUGUUGGAAUUUACAGAUUACGGUUGCAUGGAUCUUCUCACGUUUAAGUAUCCUACCUGCCUAUUCUAUUUGGAUGCAAUAAAACGGUGAUAGUUCAAUUGGCUAGCUGGCCUCAUGUCGUGAUCUGUGCAGUAUAUUGGCUUGAUACAUAUGAUAGCUGCUUGUUUUACAACUGCGAAGGCUGAGAGUUAAUCCAAGAGUCAAUUUCAGUGGGUAGCAACCAUGAGCUUCAUCGACUAUCUCGUUUUGGUAGUUCUGACUGACAGGUUUACUAAAUCUCACCUUCUGCCCUGUACUCAUACAUGGGACCCUGGAAGCAUCAAAUUAUCCCCUCGGGGGCAAGGCGGUUUUCAUGGAAGGGGAAAUGUCAAGCAAUUACAAGGAUCAUGCCAUUGCAACUUCCAUUUAUGUCUGGAAAGGCAUGAGCAAUCUCUACUGCUACCUUCUCCAAACAUAUUGACUGAGCAACAUGUCAUCAACUUAUCGAAUGGAGUUUCACAUGCUGGGAUGAUAUACAGUACGUUUCAACGGCAGCCCUAGGAUUAGAUUUGUUAUUUAGAGAUAAUAUUAGGUUAGGUUGGUUCCUUAGUUCUAGAGAUUGGUUUCUUAGAAGUCAUCCCAUCCACGUAAGGAUUGGAUUGUAUCUCUUAUUCCUGCCCUGGUGGUGCGGCCGCCAGGGCAUUGGCAUGGUUGCGCCGCUUGGGUUCAGGCAAUCUAAAGCGUGCAUGAACAGUGCUGCUCCAGCUCAUGGGACCCUAAUGGGCUGCACAUGACAGCACCUAGGAAGCAGACACUUUAAAUGAAAAUGUGUUUUGCAUUUGAACGCUUGGUCAAUCAAAAACCCAUCGAAGCAGCUAGCAGAAAAACUUUCCAGGUAAAGAAUGCGCCAUAUGAACUAGCACUGACAGUCUAAUGUGUGAUUUCAGUGUGAUGAACUUGCUCCGUUUCUCUCGAAAUUGUAAGCUGGCAGUGAAACUACUACUACCCUCCCCAGUAUUGCUGCCACUGCUAGUACAUCCGUGUCCUUUUGAUUAUGGUUGCCCAAAAAAUCACUUACAAACCAUCAAUCUAACAAUUGGGUAUAUGCAGGCAUCUAACACAAACUAAUUUCUUGGCGGUGGUUGUCAUAAAAGCUAGGUACUGGCCAUUUGCCACACACUAAAAUUUAAUCUAAAAGAUACCAUUAUUGAGAUGCAAAAUCUAGUAACAGUAUUUGCAGUAAACUCUCCUAGGUACAUACCAAUGAGCAAGAAAAAAAAGGUGGUCGAGUAAAUAAUCAGUCAGUCACUGCACGGUGACGGCCUUUUUCUUAUCAGGCAACCACGAGUCAACGCCAACAAGUCUUAGAAGGGAAUUAUAGGAGGUGGAUUAACUAUGAAGAUCAAUUAACUACCCGCAUUUACAUUUAUGAAUAUUCCUGUUCUAUAUUGUCCCUAACCCACAUUUAUGAAUAUUCCUGUUCCUAAACUGGCUAAACUGCCCGUCAUGCACACACUUGUCUGAUGCAGCCAAGCCAAGCAAUGACCAUUCCUAAUUACUAACAAAAUACUGGCAGAACCUCAGCGAAACAGAUAUGUUGAAUAUUAUGAAAGUACAACAGCCAGUAGAGUAGCAUACAAAUUUCUUAAAUGUCAAAGCAUGAUCAAGCACUAAGUAACUUACGGGAAAACAGCAAUAAAUUCAAGCACAAUUCAAUCUGUCUUCCAGAAAUUAUUACACAUCAAAGGCAUACCAUAGGCAAAAGAUCACCAUAAACGCCUGUAUUCUUGAAUCAAUGCAGCCAGUGACUUGUGCAUGCAUCAUCAAAUCUUAAUGUGGCACACAUCACCUUUCAUGUUGCCAUCACUCCAAAACAGUUCAUUCCUCAGCAUCCUAACUUACCAUCAGUUACUGAAAAAGAAGUAAAAAUAUUGUUAAUGAAGGAUAUAUACAAUAACAUAGCGCUUAUUCUGAAAGACAAGAAAAGGAGCAUUUAGAUGGAAUGAAAUCUCUACCCUAAAUAGUAGCAGUUUAACAUUUUCACGCUUAUGUUCAAAGAUACUCCCUCCGUUCCAAAAUGUAGGUCGUUUUAGCUUUUCUAGAUACAUAGAUUUUGCUAUGCACCUAGAUAUAAGGUCAUGUCUAGAUACAAAGCAAAAUAUAUGCACCUAGAAAAGCCAAAACGACCUACAUUUUGAAACGGAGGGAGUAGGAAGGAAGCAGCUUGAUUUCGAUGGAAUCAUUUCCCAAAAAAAUAAUUGCAUUUCUACUUCCAUAUCUACGAUGAUGUUCAUAUUUUCAAAUACCCCGCUAAAUUCAACUAUGGUAUAGUCAUAUAGGACCAGAGCCUCAUAGGUAUGAGGUUGGACCAUAUUUUUAAUUAACCCAGAGAUAAUGUCAUAUUCUGAAAAGGGUCCAGCUUUAUACGCAGUAGACCUAAAUCCUAUGUGUUAAAUUGGGCAAAUAACAGGUGGAAACUUAGCAGAUUUAGGGGAGUGGUAUUUAGUAUUUACUUAGCAAUGUAACACGUCAACAAUGGACUCAAUAGCAUUCAGAAGAUAAGAAACUGAAAUGCAGAGGAAGGAUGAGCGAUGGACAAUGUUAUGACUCGAAACAGAGAACAACCGAGGAGAACCACAGGGAGCCAGGGGCUAUUAUGUUUCAACUAUAGAACUACCAAUGAACCACAGAUGACGAAGCAUGCCAAAGUGCACAGCAAACAAUAAGAUUGCAAAAAAAAAAAGGAAAAGGAAGUGUUUUGAUCACUCGAGAGCUAGCUGAACUCACUCACAUUUCAUUGGAGUCUAUUAAAAUGUAAAACAAUAGAAACUGCAACAAACAAUAACCAAACAUUGAUAUAUAUACAGUAAAAGGUGAAUGCAAUUCAUCGCCAAAACACAGGAUUGAAUGCUGCUGAUCACUACAAUGUUCGUUCCUUACCAAUUUUGUCUAUAAAGCCAUUGGAUUCGUUGCUGCUAUCUUUAUGCUAAUGAAGAUGAAAUAUGGCAGCUCUAAUAUAAAUUACCUUGAAGAAGUUGCUGGACACAUCUUAUACUUUGGAGACACUACCAUGGCAACAGAUGACACGGGCACAUGGUUCCCUUGCAGUUCCAAACUCGGUCACACCUUUCAGUUGGCUGUUUCCCAUGUCAACUUCAAGAACAUAUGCCUUAGGCUGCCGGAAUUCAGCCUUGGCAAUCAAGAAGACAACAUUUGAAUCAUCCAUGCUGGGAGUGGGUAGAAAAACAGUGACGUUCUCCAAGUUUCGCCCUGGGUCGGCAGCCACACUGUUGCCCUGUGAUGGUGCCUUCGGCCACAGCAGUUGGUACUCCAGCAUUUGCUUUUGGAUCUGUUCAUUUAACUUGAUGUCGUUUGCGUGGAUUGGCAGGUAGUCAGCCUGCCAGUCCUCAAAGGAAUUGGUCAGAUUGCAGUUGCUCCAUUUGGUGAUCUCCCAUCCUUCAAAUCUGUAAGUGGGUAUCCCUCCUUCCUUGUCUGAAGCAGGAAGGCGAUUGAAGAUGGUAUCCAAAUCAACAAACCUGAGGCAGCGCUUUUCCUUGCUGAAGGCAAUUCCCCGGUACAGCUUUGGAGAUCCAAAAUUGAUCCGAGACUCACCAUUAGGUAGAUACAUUGCCCUCGGCCACGGCAAAGGCACGCCUCGGAGCUUGGGGGCGGGGAGGAGCACAUCGCAGAGAAGGAUACCCCUCCAGAGAUCGACCCAGCCCAUGGUACCGUCUUCACCCCCAAGCGUGAUCACGGUGCUUGUGGUAUGACUCAAAAGCCGACAAGCAUCCGUAUCCCUUGGGAUCUCUAUUGGGAACUCGCUCUGUGGCGCCUCCAGAGACACAUCCUUGGAUGUCCACCUCCUGAUCUCUGAUUGAAAUAAGUGAAGCGUGAACACCUUAUCGUCGCUUGUGGGCACCAGCGCGGCGACGGUGUAGUGGUUACCCCGAGGUAGGAGGCCCAUAUCGUCGUCACGGAUGGAGAAAGGGCUGGGGUUGGGGAUUUCUUUAAGCGACCUGCUGUCGACAUGGUAGAUGAAGUAGUCGCACUCCUCAUAGAGGAUGGGCUCACGGCAGCGGAUGGCGACGCGGAAGAGGAUUAGGCCUUCCACCACGCACAGGAUGCGGGGAAGCUGCGAGAAGGCGCUGGAUUCCAGUUCGGGGCAGUGCACGUACAGGCGGGAGGGGAGCGGUGGGCGCUCACUCCAGAAGGACGCCACGAUUAUCUCCGUAUUCCUCGUCAAGCUAACGGCGGUGGUAUGGUUGGGCUUGUUGCCGAUGUAGGCAUAUCCGUCGAGAAGGACCUCCUCCAAGGCACAGGAGGCGGGAACAGGGGUGGCGGUUGCCAUGGACGGGAUUGGAGGCGGAUCGAUGGAUGAAACCGCGGGUACGGGAGACGCGAUGGGUGGCGCCGCCGCCGGACACGAAGAGGGAAGAAGGGAGGGAGGGGAAGGUGGGGGGUGCAAAUCCUUUAGGGCUCGAUUGCGUUGGUAGGGUUCGGAAAUGCUCUUCGUAGUUCGGUGUGGUAUAGGCCUGAGUGCGGCCCAUUAACGAAUGAAGGUGGCAGCCCGUAGCCCACGGACACAGGUCUUUUGUUAUUUCUUUUUCGUUUGCUUACUGGUACAAUAUAAUCCCUUGUUCGAUAGUGGCAUGGUUCACAUCAACUUUCGUUAAUUCUUGACGAUUGCAUCUGCACGAAUACCGAAUCACGCUGGUAAGAUACAACUCCUGUACGGCAUAUAGAUGCAGUUACUGCAAAUAGUUUCAAAAUAUACUGGUAGUCAAAAUCAAAAUGGGUUGGUACUACAAUUUGGAGCACUAAUGAAGGAAAAUCAUACGACUAAGUGACUAAUACAUCAUCUCCAUCCUUUUCCAAUGCCUGGUGUAAUUAAUGAAGAAGAUUGAGAUGCAAGACACUCCUGUAAUUACUUAGAAAGAUUUGUUUGAUUCAGUAACUAUGUUUUUGGAUUAAAUACUUAUUCCAUAUUUGUGAUUAUUUUCAAAUUAUUAUUAUUCUAUUGAAUUCUACGUGUAUUGCAAAAUAUAAAUAUUUUGUUGCCCGUAGCAAGAUCCCAGUUGUACCAGAUUCUUGAACAAUUUGUUCGCCGCCAGGCUCAACAUUCAGAAGGUCUGAACAUUCAGCCACAGUCAGCGGGCUGAUGCACGGGAAGUCGGGAAUGGUCUUCAUCCUCAAUCUCGCCGCCCUUCGCCGCUGGGUUCCCCUUCCACCGGCGACUCAUCGGUGUGCUUUUCCCACUCGCGCUUGCGGUUGCAGAGAAGAGUUUCUCAUUUCUGAAUCCUGCACUCCUGCUGAAUCGGUGGGCGUGGGCCAGCAGGCCGUAAUUGGGCUGAGGAGCCUAUCCAGGCCCGAAGAUACCGAUACCACUGUCCCCUUGCCUAGGGCAAAUGAGCCGCCAAUGACUAGGUUCUCUGCCCGCGCCCGCCGCCCGCCGCCCGCCGCGUAACCCGACGAUCUGAGAUGGCCUAGGUCGCCGACGACUCGACAUCUCUGUGCGGCGGGUGUGGACCCGUAGACGCGCCGAGCUACCGGCGACGACCACGGGCUGUCUCUACCGGCGACGCCCGUGACGCGGCGAGGACGUCGACCUCCUCUACGCAGCAGAGCUCUCCUCCGCCCUUGUGUCGCCUCACGCCGUUCGUCGAACUCGUGGUAAAGUAAGUUGCAACCGGCUCAGGCUCAAUUUGUUGUCUGGGAACUCUAAUGCUAGGACUCUUGUAUGUAUUCAACAGACAUAUCACCCCACUACGCAAUGUCCCAUCGUAUGACCUCCUUCCUACCACCCAAAUCUCCUCUGCAGGUCUUGAAACAGAAAGAUGAGGUACACGGCACGGGAGAUGGAGUUCAUGGGCGGAUCUACAAAAGUUUUGGUCUGCAACGACAGGGCGGCUUCUGCCCUAACUUCUCUUUCGAAUUGGUUGGUUUUGAACAAUAAAGUCAAUUUUGAUUCCCGUGAACCCAAGUUUACAGUGGCCAAAUUCAUGGAAAUGCAUAUUUCGAGAAAAAUUUUGAACUGGCAUAAGAUCAAUGUACUGCCAACGCCUGAGAUUCAUCAAAUCGUUCAAGAGUACUUUGAUAUCACCGAGAGACUUCGCACGGGCAUUAAGGUUAACCCUGUGGCUGGGUAGGUUAUCCUUGUGGGUUAACUGUUUUUUAUUGUUUCAGUAUUUCAUGACUUUGCUUUGUCCUAAUUUCCAUUUUUUGGCCUGUAAACACUACAGCACUGCCAAAUUUGAGGAUUCAAGAGAAUAUGAUUUUUUUCGCAUUUUGGGAGUUCCGCUACUCCAUGCACCUGCAUUCAAUGAGCAGGUAUUGACUCCAAUCAUUUAGUUGUAACAUAAAUGAUUAUGCAUGAUAACAUUUCUUUAGUAUAUCACACGUUGAAACCAUUGUUGCUCAAAGUAAAUUUGUUUAGUCCUGGAUAUAUGAUUGACACCAUUAUUAAGAUUCCCAGGUGCACAGUCCGAUCCCACCCUGAUUAACCGGACUACACAACAUAAAGUGUGAUAAAUUAUGAACUUUAUCAACCCCAUGGUGAAACCAUUCAUAUUGGACUCACCAUUGUCAGUAACCUGGGAAAAAAAGAAAAGGGAGUUCUUAACUUUAUGCAGAUGUCUUAUUUUCCAAAUUUUAUAAGAUGAGCUUUCUCAUUUUUCCAAUCUUAUAAAUGAGCUUGCCUAUGAACUUCUAGGUUUUUCCCUCAUUAAAAGAGCAACUUGAGCCUGGACAAAUUGGUAUUUUGUAUUUGAACGAGGAAUUCAAUACCAUUUGUAAGGUACGAACCUUUACUUUAAGUGGAGUCUCUAAUUUUUUAAUAAGCUUUCUGGUUUUAUAUCUUCUGUAUGUUUUAUGCAGCACAAUGGUAUUGUAUACAUGUUAGUAGAAGAUGAAGCCCUUCACAAGAAGAACCCUUUUGCUUCUUGGAAAACUAUGGUAUGUAACUAUGUCAUUGCAUGCCCCUUCUGUGCAUCUGUGUUUUGAAAAUGGCAAUUGUGCUGAUUAUUGUCUUGUUCCAUGUUGAUAAUAUUAGGUCGAUGAAAAGGAAAUAUUUGUAGCUGGUGACUUUUCAUCCACCAGGGUAAGGAAUCAGCAGAGUGCUUUGUUUUUUCCCAACUGGUACAGUGUUGACUAGUCUAAGGUUGAUGUUGUGUGUACUGUAUUUUGUUGCAACAGGCACACAUUAAUCAGAAAGUGUACAAGUGUUCGAAAUGUUUGGAGGAAUUCUGCACAGAAAUUAAUUAUGAAAGACAUCUUGAAGCUCAUGUGCCAACUUCCAAAGCUGCUCUGGUUUUUGCCUUAACAACCCCGCCUCCUCCUCCCAACAAAACACACGAGCUCUUUAUAUUGUUUCAUUGAAUCUUUGUCAAUAUUCUGUAGAAUCGUUCAUGGAACAAGGAUGUGCUUGCGAAAUACUGGGAUCAGGUAAGCUAUUUACACUGGGUUGCUUAUUGUAUAGUGUAUAUUGCUUUACAUAUUUUCAUAGUUUUUUUCAUGGUUUAGAUUUCGGAUGAAGAUGCUUGUAGCAUCCUGUUCGAUGGUGAUCAAACUGUAGAGGUAUUUGUGAGCAUUGACAUUUCUUUGUACAAUUUUAUCGAGCUUCUAUAAUUUUGUGGUUGGCUUGACAUGGAAAAAAAAAUGUUUCUAGAAAUCACAUGGAUCACCUAUCAAGCCAAUUUUCGAGAACUGGAUACUUGGACCAGAAUUUCUUGUAACACCACCUGAGGUGAGGGAUGCUCUGAAACAGCUGAAACAACUGAAGGUAAAGAUUGUUGACUCAAACUGUUCAUAUUCAUCAACAUCAACAUGUAUAAUUUGUAUCCACCCACCCCUAUUUCUCUAUAGCGUUUUAUGGAAGGGGAUAGGCAGAAGCCAUCGUCUGAUGUGCUUCUAGCUGUCCUAGAAGUCGGAAGUGAGGGCACUAUCUUCUCCACCAAUUUGCCCGAAGGAGGUUUUUCCUUUGUGGAGGCAGGCAAAAGUCAGAAUACAACGAGAACCAUGCUAACAUAUUUUAGCUUGAGAGUUGAAGAAGUGUUGGUAAUGGAACUUACUUAAUUGUUAUGAAGUUUCUUUUCAAUUGUUCCUGACUACAAAUAUGACAUCAGGCUAAAAAGUGGUAUACUGAAAAGACGGUGCAAGCAAAUCUAGUGAUGGAAGAACUUUUGGCGCAAUAUACUGAUCCAAGGUUUGCUGCUGAGUUCAUCCAAAAGUCACAUUUUGAAAUAUUUUUUUACUAAGAGCUAUGUUCUGUGAUUUGCAGCCAGUAAAUAAAUUUGUACUAAAAGCUAUGUUAUGUGACUUGCAGCCAAGAAUUGGCAUCUGCCAGCAUUGAAAAUGUUGAGGACCUCGAAGGCAAGGAUAUUGCUUCCAUUGUGUCGGAAACUUCAACAAGUUCUCAUGUAUCAGGUGAUGUGGUCCAUACAGAGGAAAAAGAUGAGGAGCGAAAGUUAUUACCAGCUGAUAUAGCCCAUUUGCCUGAGCUUCUUGGGUAAGUUCUCUAGUAUCCAUUUCUCCUUUUCAUGUAAUAAAAAAAUUCGAUGAAAGAGAUAGAAAUUCUUAAUUCUCUAUGGAUUAUCAUGCAAUGAGCAUAUUUGCUAGAUAUGUAGAUAGCCCAAGACUAAUAUUUUUUUUACAUGCAGUGAAGAAUAUUUCCCAAACUUCGUAUCGAGAAAAACAUUGGUUAGGUUGUUCACUCUUUUCAAUAAGGAUGUAGUUACAGCUUUGACACGAACUGGGAGGAAAAUUGCUAAACGUUUGCUGAACUACAUAUUGAAAGCUCAUAAGGCUGGCCACUGCUGGAAUGGGGAAUGGAAUAUACUUGACAUUCGGGUUCGUGGGGAUGGUGCAACAUUAAUCAUUGACAAGAUGCCAGUAAAUGCAACUAAAGAUGGAAUUGUUGCUGACCUUCAGAAGUUCAUAGUCCUCUUGUGCCCGUAUUACAAGAUUGAAGGCAUCAAGGGUCCAGCCUAUUUUGACGAAUUUCAUUCUGAUGUGAUGUCUCUCCCUGAGCUUAAGUCUGAAAAAUUUGAGAUUUUCCAGAAGUUUCUUGCUGACCAUAUGGCUUUUCUGCCACCAGCGUCCACGUCAAAUUUGCUUGAAAGGCUCUUCAAAUUGUGUGAUGACGUCCGUAGACAGAAUGGACAUUUUACAUAUCAUCCCCUUCAGCGCUUAGAUUGCCUUGGGUGGACAAAAAUAGGUGAUAUCAUGCCAUAUCACAAGGUGUUCCACUAUGACAAAACUAUUGUAGAACCAUACAAAGAUAAUUACUGGGAUCUCCUCAGAUUUGUGAGGAAUUUCAGUAAUCAUGGCUUGCAAUUCACACAGGUAUAUAGUUUCUGUAUUCUAUCUGUACACAUGUAUUGUAUAAACAUGAAUUGUAUCUGUUCCUAUCCACAUAGUUUCUGUACUGUUCGUAUCCCGUACAUGUUGUAUCUGUUCUACUCUUCUAGUUCAAACAUGAAUAUAUAGUUUCUACAUAAAAACUAACUCCAUAUUAUUUUCGGAUGAAGAUCGAUGGAGUUCAAUCAAUAGAAGAUCCUGUUAUACUAGAUAUUAUGGUUGCAUAUGACCUUGGCAAAUUUAUUACAAAGCUGGUUCUGCAUGUGUUAUAUGUGUUUGAAAAACCAAAAAGGUGUGUCUAUUAAUAUCUCUGUCUGUCUUUAUCUAUACAUUUUGUUGGAAUAUGUUCUAACAUAAAUCUUUUUUCUUCUUAGGCUUGUCAGCACUUGGAAUGCAUACAAAACAUCCGAGUGAGUUUUGUGUUUGAGUUUUCUUUUGUUGGGGUUAGAAAAGGGAUCUAACCUUUGCCACUCUUAAGAAUGGCACAUUCCUGAGAAAGAGAUUGCAAUCCCUGAAGUGGGUGGCAUUCAGGAUGUGUCGUUCUGUGGGAAAAACUUAAUUCCCUGUUCUGUUUGGGAAGACUUCAUACAGUCUGAGUUUAUUUUAUGGUUAUGGAUGCAGUGAUGCAACUGAGGAAAUCGAUGAAGAUGGGACUGAGGAAAAUGAAGGAAUUUGAGGCAUCUGCAGGUAACAAAUUUAAUAAACAUUACAGGUCAUUGUUUCCUUGUAAACUGAAGGGCUCGUCAUGAUGUAUGUUCAGCUUAUCGCUCUCUAAAUGUCAACAUUCUUCCUUGUUGCAGUUGCUUCCUGCUCCCGGAGCUCCUGAGAUGCCCCCACCCCACCCCACCCGUCAGGCUUUUGAGAUGGAACUAACACCCACCCCACCCGUCAGGCUUUUGAGAUGGAACUAACACCCACCCCACCCGUCAAGGCAUCCCCGAGAAUUGUCCCUAUAAUUUUGCUGCGUGACUUCAAAUGUGAUUGAACACGCAAAGAGGCCAUUUUAGUUACUUCGGUCUUUUGAGGUGGAACUAAGAUCCCUGAGAAUCUUCAGUUACUUCUGUCUUUUGAGAUGGAAUGUUUUAGUCAAAAUUAGCUUUUGAAAAUUAUUCUAAACCUGAGGUUAUGAAUUUUGGAUGUCUUAAUGCCUCAUCUCUCAAGCGAUUGUUCGCUUUUGUUCACCGCUCAAUGAACAUCCUCAUGGUCAUAUGGAUAUGCUAACCUGGUCAGCCUUGCCUGUUUGUUCUAGUACCUGUACUUCGGUUGUUUGUAAAUUGGACGUACUCCUAAAAUACUUUAGCAUCCGUCGUGUACUAAGAACAGCCGUUCACCAUCCGCCGGAUCUCUCCACGAGCAGCCGUCGGGCUCCGACGCUGGUAUUACACCUCUUGUAGUUGUUUCUCCCGUCCAUGCACCUUCUUAGCAAAUACAUGAACGGAACAGGGACCCAAUCCAAUAGCUAAGAGGCCAGCAAAAUUCACGGAUCACAUUUGGAGCACUAAUGAAGGAAAAUCAUACGACUAAGUGACUAAUACAUCAUCUCCAUCUUUUUCCAAUGCCUGGUGUAAUUAAUGAAUAAGAUUGAGAUGCAAGACACUCCUGUAAUUACUUAGAAAGAUUUGUUUAAUUCAGUAACUAUGUUUUUGGAUUAAAUACUUUUCCAUAUUUGUGAUUAUUUUCAAAUUAUUAUUAUCCUAUUAAAUUCUACUUGUAUUGCAAAAUAUAAAUAUAUAAAUGUUUUGUUGCCCGUAGCAAGAUCCUAGUUGUACCGGAUUCUUGAACAAUUUGUUCGCUGCCAGGCUCAACAUUCGGAAGGUCUGAACAUUCAACCACAGUCAGCGAGCUGAUGCACGGGAAGUCGGGAAUGGUCUCCAUCCUCAAUCUCGCCACCCUUCGCCGCCGGGUUCCCUUCCACCGGCGACUCAUCGGUGCGCUUUUCCCACUCGCGCUUCACCUCGCCUGCUCCGUCCGUCGGGAGUGAUCAGAGGUUGCUUCGGGUACGAAUGUACGAUGGCUUUGACUCCUCCAGGUCCCGCAUGAGGGGGUCGGAGCGGCACGUGCCCUUGCCCGACCGCGAGGUCGGGAGGUCAGGGAGCGGGCUGCUCUUGCGCAUCGUGCGGCCUUAGAUAUAAAUAAAUAGUAAAAUCUAUGUAUUAGAAAAUUCAAAACGGUUUGUGUACAUGUACAUGUACAUCCUUCCAAAUACAUAUGAAUUCAAACCGGUUUGUGUACAUAUCUCUAAUACAUAGCUCCACGGUGGCACCGAUCGACACAUAGGAGCUCGGGUCCAUCUGUCAGCCCGGCUGGACCGCUCGGCCCAUCUAUGGAACCCUGUCAACAGCGACAAGGUCCAGCUCCCACCCCUGACAGGAGUCGACGACGACUUACUGAUGCACAGCCACUGCCUCCUCUCCGACGAGCCGGCCGCCCCCGGCUGCGUCGUGCUGCUCGUCGAGGGCUUGGGUGACACCAUCAGGUACUGCCAUCCUAGAGAUGACCAGUGGAUGAAAUGCUACGAGGGCGGGGACGAGAUCGAUGGCCUUGUUUAAUUACCUCAAAAUCUAACUUUGGUAUGAAAAAGAAGAUUUUCCAUCACAUCAAAUUUACGGUAUAUGCACGGAGUACUGAAUGUAGACGAAAUUAAAAACUAAUUGCACGGUUUGGUUAUACUUUGCAAGACGAAUCUUUUGAGCCUAAUUAAUCAAUAUUUGGACAAUAAUUCACAAAUACAAACGAAACGCUACAGUGCUGACGCAAUGAUUUUGGUUGUCCAAAAUCGGGCAACUAAACAGGCCCGGAGUUAGCGUUCACAAGAUGGAUUUCUCGGAGAGACGGUGGUGCAGCGUGUACUAUGAUCUUGGGGGGCCGUGCUUUUCUCCUGUCCCGAUUCUACUUUGGCGCGUCAUGCUCUGCCGGCGAGUAUGGGCUGGUGCCCAACCGUGUGUAUUUCGUGUUUGAUCGCAACAACACCCUGCAGGUGUCCGAUGUGCAAGAGGGGACUUACCAACUGCAUAAACUCGAUGAAGCUCCGGAGAUGGACAAAGCAUUCUGGUUGCUCCCAAACUAAUCCAUAGGGACCGAUUAAGGAUGUAUUUUCUAAUAAUCGACAAUGUUAAUUAACAUAUACUAGUCCAUCAACCCGUGCUCCCGCACGGGUUAAUAUUUUUAGAAGCUAUUGUAUUUGAAAAUUAUUUAGAAAUUAAACUCCUAGCUAAUAAUCAAAAUUGAUUACCUACUACUCUCUUAUUUUUUUCAAUACGUCAACAUAAUACUUAUAUAGAUAUGUACCUAUCUUUAUCCAAUUGUGAUUGAUUUUUAAUUAAUAAUUACUCUAUGAACUUUUUCAUCCAUAUUCAUACUUUUUCCAUUUUGUAUCGCACCUCCAAUCCUCCAUACAUUAUGUUUAGCAUACAAAUCAAUAUUUUUCAUCGAUUCCUCACUACAUGUAUAAAUGGUCUAAAUGGUGACACUCAUCGUGUGUAUAUACUUUAACUUAGUAUUUUUAUAUUAAUAAUGACAUAAAUAGGUAAUUUAGAAUCAUAUAUUAGUUUAUUUUUGACAUUUAUGUAUGAUGCACAUGAAUAUAAUUAGAUUAAGAUUUAGAUGUUUAAUUUAGGUUAUUUUUAAAAACAACUUACGUGGGUAAUAUAGAUAAAAUUUUAGAAUGAUAUUUUAAUUUAUGCUUUAUAAUGAUAUGUAUUAGUAAAUUGGAUGAAGAUUAUGGGAUUACUUUAGAUUAUUUUUUAUAAUAGCUGAGCUCGGUAAUUUAGAUAUAGGUUUAGAGCUCAUUUUUGAAUAUUUUCACAAUGAUAGUGGUGGGUAACUUUUUAGAAAAUAUAAUAGAUCAAUGGCUAUGAUUAUUAGAUUUUACAGGAUUGGUGUUUGAUGUUUUUGAUUUUUAUGAGAAUUUGUCUCUUUUUUUUCUAGCUUGUCUGAUGGGAACUAAUGCGGAGUCUCCAAUGGAAAAAAAAAUGGGACUACAUUGCUAAAAAAUAUUACCAUAAGCUACCUCUCGUUUGAUAAAUAUUCAAACACAAUAGAUAUAUAUACUUAUUAUCUUCAUCCAAUUGUGAUAGAUUUAGUUAGUAAUUACUCUAUAAUAUUUUCAUCCACAUUUAUAAUCUUUAACUUUUCCCUUUGCAUCGCAGGUAUGCGCUUGAAUUUGUUUAAUGAACCCUAAGUUUGUGAUACAAUUUUAACAUAGAAAUCUAUAUUCUCGUCACUUUCUCUAUAUCUUUAUAAAUGGUGACACAUCAUGUGUGUAGACCUUAAUUAUUAUAUCAUAUACCAAUAGUGCAAGAUAUAGACGAUUUAGAAUCAUAUAUUGUUGUAUAUUUUAAUUAAGGUUAUUUGAUUCAAACAUAGGGUUAUCAUGUUAUUUUUAAUAAUGGUAUGUGUGGGUAAUAUAGAUGCAAGUUUUUAAGUAAUAGUGGUGGGCAAUUUGGUUGCAAAUUAGGGGGUUAUUUUAAAUAUUAUUUAUAAUGGCAUAAGUGGGUAAUUUUGAUGAAGAUUAGGGGGUUACUUAUUUUAUUUUAUAUAAUGGCAGAUGUGGGUAAUUUAUAUAUAGAUUUAGGGGGUUACUUUAGGCUAUUUUCAUAAUGGCAUAGGUGGGUAAUUUUUUAGAAAACACAAUAGAUUUAAUGGCUAUGAUGAUUUGAAUCUAUUGAUCAAUGGUCGGAUGUUUUGCUUUUUUGUGAGAAUUUCUAGGAUUUCUCUCUUUUUCUAGAGUGUCCACCUAGGAAUCCUAGGUGGCUUUACCUGGAGGCUUCAAAAGGAGCCUCCAAUUAGUAAUAGUAAGAUAGUUAUUAGUAUUCCUUCCGUUCCUAAUUGUAGGUCGUUUUAGCUUUUUUAGAUUCAUAGAUAUUAUUAUGCAUCUAGAUAUAGUGUAUGUCUAGGUGCAUAAUAAUAUCUAUGAACCUAGAAAAAUCAAAACGACCUACAAUUUGAAACGGAGGGAAUAGUUGUUAUAAAGUCUUUGCCGUUUCAUUGGCAACGCCUUCCAUUUUUUUUGAUAUGUUAAUGUCGUUUCUGAUUGUCUCUCUCUCAAAAUUUUCCUCCACCUUAAGAAAGCUUUCACAUUGUAAUCUCAUGGAAAAAUCUAACAGUUCGCUGGCAUGAUAUCGCUGCUGAAGUCAACGAAGCUCCGGAGGUGGACAAAGCGUUCUGGUUGCUUCCGACUAAUCCGUAGCGAGAUUAUUUAGGGAUGUGUUAGUUGUUAGUACAAAGCAUUUGCCCCUUAAUGAUGUCCUAUAAUUAUGUCAUUUCUAAUUGUCUCCGUUUUAACUCUUUAUUCUUUUCCCUUUUUUUCACCUUUAUAAGAAAGCUCGCAUUGCCAUCUCAGGGGGAAAAGAGAUAAAGAUCCCACCUUUUAUUGUGAUGAUGCUAUUGGCAAUUCGACAUUAUCACAUUGCUUGACCUAAUGCUGCAUGGUCCCAUGGUCCAGGUGAUUCCAAAUCCAAAUACUGAAGAAUAAAUCAGCUCCCCAUGGGAGUCAAUGAAUCGAUAAAACAGCAAGUCACAAAUCAUCACCAAAAUAAUCACAUUUUAGAUUUCACCAUAACCAUGAAGUUAUCGAACAAAUGUUCUGUACAACAAUCCUGUGAACAUCAUCUUGGCAUGCAAUCAUGUGCCACCAAAACUUCAACCUUCCACAACACUACACCAGAGUUACAAAUCUUACCAAUACCUAAAGUAGCAGAACACUAGAGAAACUUCUUCUCAAGUCUCUGCAGAUGCUACAACAGUUCUGCUGCACCUUCAAAGUUCAAACGAACAAUUGUCCUGCUGUGGCUAUUGUACAACCCAGCAACGCGCCAGCAACCACCUGGGUGCAAUUUAACGCUCAAGAAGUUAGCAAGGUAUAAAAAAAGAUAGUUCAUGAAUGUAUGCCACAACAACAUAGUGGUGCUGACGAAGCUGCAUGAUGUGAUAGCAGAUAAACAUGUCUUGCCAACUAAAAUGGGGGUAUAGUGAUGUGGGGACGGCCAGUUUGAGGUUCACUUGGCAUCCACAUAACCACAGUGCCAAUAAACCAUCGCUUUCAUUUUGCCAAAUAACAAUAAAAUGCACAAUAAAAGGACAUCUGAACAAACCUGGGUUGGUGUAUGGCCUAAAAGUUCUCGCAGUGGUCUUGCUUCAGACAAGGGAUGUUCAGAAGGAAGUUCACAAACUAUUUGAUUCAAUACCUGAAUAUUUGAGAAAACAAAAAUUCAACAUAAGCACAGAGAUUAGCACAAAUCUCAUCAUAAUACGUACAGAUCUAGCACAGGGUUGUAACAAUGUAUGUUAAUGAUACAGAAAAGCUACUGAACAAAGAGUAGAGAUGACACGCAAAGAGUUAGUAAUACCUCUGCUUGCUUUCCAGCAUGCAAUCUGAUACCAGAGGCAUCGUACAUCACCUGCAAGUCACAGAAUGGAAAUUUCUGAGACCUCAGCAUUUGGAACUAACUGAAAGAAAAUCAGCAUAAACUUAUGCACAAUGCCCACACUCAACACCAUAAUAUCUGACUCAAAAAUGGAAAUUGCUUCCAAGCAACAACAAUAUAAAUGCUCAUUUUCUUCUAUCAUGAAGGAAGCAAAACCACUUUGGAAGGAAGAGGGGUUGGGAUGGAUAACUGAUAACCUACCACACUUGCAAAUAUAGUUGCUGUUGCAAAGAGGGAGCAAUUAAAGCCAUCUUGGAAUCCAAUCGCUACUGCUAGUGCUGUAACCGUGGCUGAAUGUGAUGAUGGCAUGCCGCCAGAGCCAAUAAGCUGCUUAGGAUCCCAUCUGUUCUCCUUGUACCUUUGUUCAAAAUAAGAACAGAUAAAACUCACUGCAGCAUGGGAAACUGUAUAAACACAUGUUCAGACUUGAACAGAAAAAUUCAUUGCCGAUCUUACACAAGGCUCAUGCUAAUAUAUCUAUCUAUAUCGAAAAACUAUAGGACAAAUAUGGGAAGAAAAAAAUGGCCCUUGAUACAAAAGCAUUCUUUUGCCAAACUAAACAUUACAAUAGGCCAGGACACACAUCUCUAAGACAAACCAAAUAGGACAUUCAUAUGUGUAAGCAUAACAAGAACUCCGUGUCCCUGCUGUGCCUGCACUGUUGGAAGAGCACAACUCAGGGGCUCCUUGACCAUGUUACUGGGAAUCAAGGUCCAGAAACAUUGUGGAGAAUUCGAAUUUUUUUUAGAAAAAAAGGUCACCCUGUUUCGUCUUAUAUAUGCAUUACUGGUAGAAUGAUCAAGGAUCCCUGAAUGAAACAUGCAAUUCAAAAUGCGACUGUCAUAUGUGAAUUCCACAACCGCAGGUCCUACUGCUACAAAUGUACAAGGGUGUACACAGCCAGCAAACUGCACUUUAUCUAUGCAUUCCAGACAAACAAUCUAAAGGGCACCCCAGAAAGAAAAAAACAGAGACACACCAAUUCUCCUUGAUUUUUUUUCGAGUACAACUCCCCCUGAUUUUGACCAGAUCAAGGCCAAUUCCUGUUGCUUCCAGCUCAGUUCACCAAAAUUACCCAAAAUUCUAAGGAAAUCCAUCAUGUAAGAGGCCAUUACAUUCCCAAUCUACAUUCCUCUAGCUCUAGGCAAAGGGAAGAAGAAGAAUGAAUAAUUUUAAGCUGUGCCAAACAGGGCCUGGGAGGAAUGAAUCGGUUAUGCUCGGGCGCUCGGCUCUCCAACAAAUGGAACAUGCAAACAAUGUCAAGAGACGGCUUUGACCAUCGGAACCGCACGCGGAUCCGAUGACUCCCGCGCCCGAUUCCGCGGUCAAACACCAGCGGGCGUCCAAGGUGAAGGCAGGGAGAAAAGAGAAGAGAUGCCGUCGGACGUACCACGUGACGAAGAACUUGAUGGACUGCGCGAUGGCGAAUCCGAGCAUGGCGGCGACGAGGGGGUAGUUGUGGAAGACUGCGAGGUAGGAGAAUCCCGCUGCCGCCGGCGGCGAGGCGUCGUCGGCAGCACCACCGUCCCCCAUGGCCGAAGAAUCCCUGGCUCCUGGAUGGACGGCCCCGGCCCGGCGCUGCCUUGCCUAAUCCUGCCCAGGCCCCCCUCCCCGCAGCGCGCGCCCUUCGCUAUAUAUACAGCCUAUCUAUCCCCGCGCUCCCCGUUCGCUAAAAAUUCCUCCUUUGCGUCGCACGGGGCGUGCACCGCAGCCGCACCACCAAUGGCGACGGCGAUCCGCCGCUCUAUUCCUGUUGCUGCUGGAUUUGCUUGCUUCCUGCUCUGCUCUGCUCUGCUCUGCUCUGGGGAAGAAUGGAGGGAUGGACGAGCUCUUCCCUCUUAUUGGACGUGGGCUCUGAAAUUUUCUGUCUGAUGAUUGGAGGGAGGAGGCAUCAAACGGGAAGCCUCCGGGUCUGGGCGAAUAUGCCAAUGGAGCAGGGUGUUUGGGCUGUAGCAAGCUCUGGCUGCUGGUCCAGAAUUAAUUUGGCGACCCGGUAGAUCCGGCCUGGCGUAACCCUCCCUUGGCUGUCACGUCCCUCCCUUGGCGUGAUUGCGAAAGCAACAACAAACAACGGCAGCCUCAGCUUACGGUGCCAAGACAGUGACAAGCUGGGUCUGGGUGUGUGCUGCGGCUCCAAAAUAUACUUUAGAAGUUUUUACCGUCCCAAAUCUGAGAUGUUUGUGGCGAUGAUUGCACAGCUGAAGAACACGAAAACAAGCCCCAGAUGGUCACUUUACAUGCUGGACCACAUCUCAGAGAUGCCGAUGUAGCAUGUACAGAGCACGAAUGGUUGAAUCAUGCACGGGACGAGCAGCACAACCGUCAAUCUAGCUAACACGCUGAUGGGUACAGUUGCUGCAACUGGGAUGAAAAAAUAAAGGGACGUGGUGGUAGCGGCCAAUCUUGCUGCGAAUGUAACAUUUGCAGCCACGCAACGUUCAUAAUACUUACACGAAGCUUCACGCAUAAACCAGGAUUGAUUAUCCUAAUCGCAACGUGAGAACGCAGUUAGCCCAUCCGGUGUUGAUCAAUUCACCACCCAACCACAACCAGAUUGGGGAUCAUCAGCUCAAGUGCAUGGUCAGGUCAACAAAGAUGAUGCUAGACCUGGUCUGUGAUCUCUGUAUUCAACAAUGUCCAUAGAUCCAGUCCAACCAACCAUCAGGUUAUUUAGUCCUAAACAUGAGCUCAAGUUGGAAACCAACCCUUCAGCUAGGUUUCUUUCCACUUAGACAAGUUGACUGAAACCUUGCUUUAAACUUCUACAAGUGGAGAUCAGAAGAAAAUCACGGUCAAAAAUUGUCAAACCACAACUUCAACAGGCGACUGGGCAAAUAACCAUGAUCUCCAGUUUCUACAAUUAUAGCGCGAUAGCCGCACUGCUGCAGCCAGGGCUGAACCAAGCAAAGCCUGCAACCUAAUGCUGUUACUAUUUCAAGGCACAAAGCUACAUCAAAUAUUCACAUCUCUCCCACAAUAGACAACUAACUCUAAGCCGUGGCAAGCCUAACCUUUCAUUUCGUGAUGUAAAACCGGUUAUGCGGGGCGCGAGGGUCGGUCAUCUUCUUCAAGUCCAGAUCCAUCCCGUCAUCGUACUCCUCUUCCUCUUGUGGCUCCGAUGCCUUUCUCUGCCUUUCCCUUGCUUCAGCAGCUUCCAACUGCAGCUUCUUGUGGAUGUAGUCAUCAUACGACAUCUCGCACCAUUUCUUUGCGUCUCCGACAAUCUGUUGGUUGUGGCGUUCGACGUCCCGCUCCAGCCUGGUCUUCUCGGUGUUCUUGGGCUCUCCCCAGUAGUCAUAGCGGUACAUUGGCUUCUCUGGAUCAUAGUAAUCCUUCCCAUAGACCUCUGUCUCGUCUACGUCAUAUCGCCCAGGCUCCUCAAUAGGAAGACCAAGCACUUUCCGACUGCCAACUUAGGAGUUAGUGCCAAUGCACUAGGUGUGAUGAAAAUUGUACAGUUAGCAGACUUACCAGCAGAUGUCUCUGAUAAGGGCUUCUCUUUCUUCAAAUGAACGGCGCCAUUGCAUCAGAUCAUACUCAUCCAUCUCUUUGUUUCGUCGGAGCUUCCCAACUUUGUACUCCUCUCCUCUUUCAGCUGCUUCCUUUUUCAGUUUUUUUAUCAGCUGCAUUGAUCAACUUCAGCAUUAAAAUUUACAAGUGGUAAAUCAUUAAAGGAAUCUGUUGGGUUAUGGAAAAAGAGAUACCUGGCGCUCAGCACGAGCAGCAUCCAGAUCAAGUUCUUUGAUGCUUACAUUCUAACAAAAGAGGUCAGAACAGGAUGUCAUUAGGCGAUCAUCAUUUUACUUAAAGCUAAUAAUCAUGCAACUACAAUGAUCCAAAGAUGGUAAUCAGGAGCUACACAAGAUUACAUACCACAACUGUCUUUUUUAGCAGUGUUUCUUUGAAAUAUCCUUCAGUAUAUUCAACUCUGUUUACUUCAUCGAUUGAGGAUGCAUCAACUGUGGAUUCAUAUGUUGUAUCCUUGAAUUUAUCUGGAUUUUGCUCCUCGUAGUCUAAAAUCAUCUGCUCUGCAUUAUGCCAUUCCCAAAGCUGGAAAAAAGGAGAACUUUUCCUGAUGAAACUUUUUGAUGUGAAUGGAACAAAAAAGGCCAAGCUACAGCAGGAUGUAAGACACUAGACAUGAGGCAUAUGGUUGAGAUUCUUGGAAAAUACCGUUUCAACAAAAGGAUGAUCUGAUACCAAAGGUUCCUUUUCCAUAUCCUUUAAAGGUUUCUUCCUAGGAAUGGGUGGCCGGCCACCUUCACGCUGUCAGUUCAUAAAAAGGUUAGAUGCACACAAAGUGUUAAACCUAACCAAAUAGCAGAAAACUGAACCACAAAAGUAGAAGUUAAUUCUCACCCACAGCUGCUCUGGGUUAGUAUCCUCCUUACGGUGAAAUAUUGGUGGAAAGUCAAAUCUAUUGAAUCUGUGGCCAGAAAGAAAAUAGGAAAAUACCAUUCAGUCAAUUGGAAAUAAACUGAAGCACUGGAUACGGCGUUUGGCAUUAAAAAAUCAUACUGCCAGGACUGAACAAUUGGGGUUGUAAUGGUACUCACAUUAGGUGAUCAAUGUUGGGAUAUACAAAUCGCAUUUCAAGUGGAAAGCGGAAACGGUAGGGGUCUCGUUUAGCCUGCAGAGUAAUAGGUAGAUGUUACCAAGACAGAUCUACCUAGGAGGCAUAAACUUCCAGAACAUGAGUGGCACAGAUUGCUCUACAUAGGAGAGGAAAGGAAAAUAGCAAAUAAAACAUAACUUUCGGGGGGGGGGGGGGGGGACUGCCAAAACUGCACUUUGGUAGAUGAAAAGGUGCAUCUGAGAUAUCCUUUUUCUUUUGCAACAAUAUUAGAGUAUCCACUAUUCCUUUACCCUAUAUUAUUGCAACCAGGUAUCUUUUGAAACAUUAUUGAAGAAUGAAGAUCGUUUACCAGAAUCUCCACAUAGACUUUCAUGCCAGGCUUGAUGUGAUGUCGGAUCCAAUACCAGUCAUUCCCUUUUAUCGGCACCCACCUGAACACAUAGUGAGUCGUAAAUGUCACACAAGACAAAAAUCAGAGUAUACAGUUUGCCGGUGGUCUAAAAAAAGAAAUCCAGGUUUAGACAUAAGACUGUUUCACAAAACUAAGAUAAGUGUGUGCCUGUGUGAGGGUCACUCAUCACUGAUCAGUUGAAGUGCUGAUAUGUGUUUCGUGUUUUGUGCCAGCUUUCAGGUGAGCGAACAAUCAAGUGUGGCUAUCCAAUGUAGUUCACAAAUCAAAACCAUGGCAUGAUAGCAAGAAAACAUGACAACAAUAUAUUUGAACACAUGCAUCAGUAGGUACCAUGUUGUGCUACAUCAACAGUAUAAUGGCUUGCAUUAGCCUAGAAGAAAGGAGAAUCUUCACAUUCUGGUUUUCAAUGAAUUAGGUACACCGUACACAAAGUUCAGAGUUAUACAGGACUAGAAGUGCGUACCCCUCAUGGACACAGCCAAUGUCCACAAAGGCUCCCUGAUGGAGGUGAACAGUCGUCACUUGCCCAUAACAAAUCUGCAUGAGGAGCCAUCCAGGCAUUCAUAAAAUGGUUAGAAUGAGUCUAGAGUUACUGAAGAUAAAAACUGCACUAGAGAUGUUCGAACAUAACCUGUCCAGGAUAGUAGAAUGGAAGUUCAUGCUGCAUGAGAGCAAACAAUGAAACAAUACAUCAACAAUUACACGAAUUGAGAAAAUGUAUGCACUGAACAUUCAAGAGCUAAUGAACAUACCAUAUCUUCUCUGUAGUCCUUACCUCGUUUUCUUCUGCCAGGGUAGUAAUCCUGAUCAUACUGCACACAGUGGAAAUAGACAAGGUAUAACGUUAUGUGGUGACAUGAGUACAUGACAUGUUGAGCUUAUAUCUAAUCCAAUUGCGUACACAAAUAACAACCAAAAUUAGCUAAAUGGUUUGAAGGAUGAUCAUAAAAAGCUACUCCUAGCCUGUAGAACUAAGCACUAGAUGCUGCAAUGCUAUCAAUGAAACUGCAAGAUUAUACCUGGUAGGAUUCCUGCUCCAAUCUAUCCCGGUUUGCCUCCACCCAUUCCUUGUACUGCUUCAGGAACAUUUUGUACCUAUCAAGCGCCAGAUCCUCCGGCGCAUCCUCCAGCUUCUCAACGUUCGUCACCCCGGCCGCGGCCGCCGCCUCCAUGUCCAGCCGCUCCGACGCCGCCCUGUGCGCCUCCCUUAUAAACUCCAGCUCGUCCGGGUCCACCUCCCAGCCGGGCGGCGGCCAGUCCCGCGGCGGCACGAGCCGCAGCGGGAGCCUGCCGGCCCACGUCGUCUCAAGGGGCUCGGGCGUGUCACGCGUCGCGAAGAGGCGCUCGAUGUACCCCGGCUCGGCCUCCACCUUCUUCCGGUAGGCCGGCGUGAGCAUGCGGAAGGCCUCGAGGGACUCCGGCGACUGGAGCGGCACCUCCUCUCCCUCGUUGAGGCUGUGGCGCGCGAAGGCUACCUCCGGGGUCAUGACCUCCUCCCAGGGCGCCCACCCGUGCUCCACCCAGCUCCGGCGGCGGGCAACCUCUUCGGGCUCGGUGUUCUUAAUGCUGAUCGAGGGGAUGACCGGCGGGUCGGCGGCGGGGGUCUCGUCGGGAGGCGAGGGGUUGACGGACGCGGCGAGGCGGCGGGGGCGGGGCCUGAGGAGGGUCCUGGGGCGUAGGCUGGGAAGGGGGAGGUGGUGGUGGAGGAAGGUAGCGGCGGCCGGCGGGGUGGUCGCCAUUUUUGGUUGGGUUUUGGGAGCACGGAAUGGUCGCCGUGUCGUCACGGGGUUUAAGGGAGACGAGGGCGGGGGAGGAUAAGGUGCGGAUCCACGAGUCUUGUUUGUCGUCGGAAUUGUUAAAAUUUCUUUUUUAAGCAAAAUUGUUAAAAAAAUUUAAGCAAAAUUGUUAAAUUCUUUCAAAUGAAAAUUUCUUGAAAUCAAUUGAACUGGACCAGGAGUGUGUGACAAGGCUAUAGAUUAGUCUAAGGUGGCAAGGAUUUUAGAAUAAUUAAUAUAUGUUUUUUCGAGUAGUGAUUGAUUUUGUUCUAGAACAAUGGUAACUAGCGAUCCAAGUUUUGAUCUCUCUAUGUAAUUAGCAAGAUUGAUCCAAAAUUUAUCUAGGGCGAACUAUCCGGAUUUGAAGCAAGAAAAAGCAAAACAAAAUGUACAAAUGUUCUGCAGUUAUAUUUGGACAUUUGCUUUUGUUCCAGAAAAAUGGUAGGAGUAAUUGCUAGCAAUGCAAGUUUUGACCUCUCUACGUAAUUAGCUAGAUUGUCCCAAAACUUAUCUAGGUGAACUAUCCGGAUUUCUGCAGGAAAAAAAGAGGCGUUAAGCUGACGCCUAGACGCGUACAAAUGUUCCUCCAAAUCCAGCCGUCCACGCUGAAACCACCGGCCAGAUCUCGCAUAUCUUCGUGACCUCCGCUCGCUGGGACGCUGGCUCAGCCUCCGCUACAGUUUGUUUGCUUGCCUUUGCCUCUCUGUCUCGCCGGCUCGCCGCCCAGCCGCUCCGCCGCACGAAAACCUCUUCCCCCAUUCUCCUGUUCGCCGCCCGCCGCCCGCCCCUUUCUCUGGAACCUUCUAGAAGCCCUCAGGGCUCCGCGAUGGAGCCCAGGAGGCGAGAGCGCCGGGUCAUAGCCGUCGCAGGCGCGGCGGCGCUCGUCGCUGUCGGCCUCAACAUCGCCUUCUCCGCCGUCGCCGCCCACCGCCGGAGGAAGCGACGAGGUGAGCGCCGCAAAACCCUCGACCCUCGCUGUUGUGUCCCAAGUACUGGGUACGGUCCCUUGUGCAGGUAAACGACACUCGCUUUUGAACUCAAAGCCCAUUAGAUGCUCCGAAAUUGAGCGACCUGCACAGUGGCACAGGGCUGUGCUGUUUUGCUUCAAUCUCGUAUCAAUGUAGCAUAUGUUGAUGGAAUUUUGCCUUAACGCGACCCCAUUGCUUUGCCCUUUGAUUGUUACAAUUGCCUAGUGAAAUGUAGAAUCAUGCAUUAGUGAUACAAUUUAAGCAAAACUUUAACUCCUAAGUGAACCUUGAAAAGUUGUUGAUGUGUUUUUUUUUUAAUUUGAAUGGUUAAUGUUCUGAAUGGUUGCAGAGCUUCCAGGGUUUACUGCUCGAGUCAACUUGUCAGCAGCUGAGAUUAAAAGAUUAGCUGACCGUAUCAUCGCUAAGGCGAAGGAAACAUAUGAUUCAGUGGCUGCAGUGCCCCUAGAUAAAGUAUGUUUGCAACUUGUUGUGCCACGGCAUUUUAUUCACAGCGCUGUUUUGUGAAAUGUAGCUUUUAUAUGGAAGCUUAUGCAUGACUUUGGACUUGCGAUUUGAUCUAGUAGUAUUCUAGAGUUCUAAUGUUCAGACAACCAUAUAGUGGUAGGGAAGUACAUAUAUGUUUGCAGUAUGCUGGUUCUUAGAAAAAUACAAUGUGCAAUGAGCACAUACAACCCUCGAAUCUUGAGAAUUUCCUAACAUUUAAAAAUUGUAUUUUGCAGGUCAGUUUUGCAAAUGUCAUUGCACCAUUGGCAGAAUUAGAUGCGCUGCAAUUUCCUCUGGUUCAAGCUUGUGUUCUCCCAAGGAUGGUAUCACCAUCUGAGGAUGUUCGGAAGGCCAGUGCUGAAGCAGAGAAUCGAUUGGAUUCUCACUUUGUGAUGUGCAGGUGCAAUGUUGUUACUUAUUUGAUUAUUUCCUAUUCAUCCACUUGGAUGCAACUGUGGGGUAGUGAUGUAUGUUCCCUAACUUACAUUAGUGUAACAUUAGGUACUAUUGUCAAGUAACAUGAAGUGGUAAUGUAUAGCGCAAAAUCAUGCACAUAGCUUGGCCCUUGGUAUCUUUGUUAACCCAACUUACUCGGUCAAGUUAGCAUCAUUGGCAUAACUUCAGUGACCAAGCGGAUCGUAUUGUUUUGUAAAGGUUAUGAAGUAAACACAUGUUUAAGUUUAUGAAGUAAUGUAUCAUAUAUAAAGAAUGACAAUACUUAUAGUGCGUGAAAUUCCCUUUCUUCUAUCUGAGCCAGUGCAAUGCUAUAUAAGAGUCUUACUAUUUCCUGCAAGGUGACCAGGCAGCGUGAGGAUGUUUAUCGCGUCAUAAAAGCAUUCGCAGUGAAAGGUGAAAGAAUAGGUCCUGAAGCAACAAGAUUUCUCCAGUGCUUGGUACAGAAUUCUUUUGUACAUGUAAAUUAAUAUCAUGUUCUGACUGACAAUUGGUUGUUUGUGCAUGUGAUGAAUUAUAGCAAUAUCAUUUUGCUAUAAUUGUUGUAUCCAUAUUUAUUUUGAUAUUGCUUAUGAACAUAUAUCAUGUAGGUAUAAUCUGGUUAGUGACUACUCUCGUUAGGACAUGCUUAUCUAGUGCAUCUUCUCUUGCACUGAAUUGUCUUUGCGUCUCAGUACCCUUUCUUUUUGAAUUUGAACUUCUGAAAUGAUCUAUUAGCAUAAAGGAUUGCUGUCUUUUUAUAAAAAAAGAUUUAUGAAAGCUGAAAGCAAACCAUAGAAUUACUGAAGGAUGUGUGAUCUGUCUUGCAAUUAUACUAUUUGCAAUUUGCUCAAACAAUACUUUUCAAAUUGCUCUGGCUAAUCAGUGUUGUUUUGCUGAUUUGUAUAAUUAUGCUUGAACAGGUGAAAGAGUUUGAACGCAAUGGAGUAAAACUAUCUCAGCACAAGAGAAAAGAAAUGGAGAAAUUGAAAUCUCAUAUAGAUGAAUUAAACCUAAAGUAUCUCCAAAAUCUGAAUGAUUUCACUAAAUUCCUACUUUUAAGCGAGGAUGAGCUAGCUGGAAUGCCCUUUGAGUUCCUAAAGGUAAGCUAGAGAGUAAGCUUGAAUCAAGCAUACAUUCAAAAGGUACAAUAAGCAAUCCUUAGAAGGUUGAAAUAGUCUUUGCUUACUUUAUGCUUGAACUGAAGUUUGAAUGAAUGAAAAAGACUAUGAUAUUGCUUUCUAAUACUCGUUUACUCAAACUCAUCAACUCAGGAUCUGGAAAAGGCUGAUGGGAAGCUGAAGGUUCCAUUAAGUAGUUACCACGUUACUCCAAUUCUCGAGCACUGCAAGGUCAGUUCCCUUUCUUUGUGCUUAUGAGCUCUGACCAUUGAUUUGAGUAUUUGACUUAAAGGGUAAAAGUAGUAAUAUUGUAUGCUGUGGAUUACUCAAUUCCCCCUCUCCUUUUAUUAUUUGUUAUUGUUAUGCUAGGAAGUGUGCUGUUGGCCAGUUGCAAUUUAUAUGUUUCCCAUCAAGUUAUGUAUGACUUGGUGUUAACUAGGUGCAUCUUUUUCAAGGUUGGCUCUACCAGGAAGCAGAUUGCUGUUGCUUAUGGACAGAAAGGUGGGAAGGACAAUCUGGGAAUCCUAGAAAAUUUGGUAACCACAAUUUCACAUCUGCAUCUGUAACUUGCAUGCCCUUUUUGUUGCGGAUUUCAUCUUAUUUCACGGCAUCUAUUACAUUUGGUUCUUUGAGUUCCAGUUUAGGCAAGAGCACUGGAACUGACAUGUUUUUUUUUGAAAACUGACAUGUUGCACUUUCAUUUUCUAUGUAUAUUCAGGUUCAGCUAAGACACAAAUUUGCUAGACUUCUGGGGUAUGGCAACUAUGCUGAUUUUGCAAUUGAACCCAGAAUGCCAAGGACGUCAAGGAAGGUUUGUGCUUUUCUGCGAGGAAUGCCUGCUUGAUUCUUUAUUUUUAGCUAAAUCUUCCUGGUGAAACACAUUCUUCAAUAUCAAACUUGUUAUAUUCUUUCAACCCUGAUCUAGUCAGCUUGCUGACAAAUAUUGUUUGCUCAGUUUCACAUGGCACUAGGAAAACAAUAGAUGUCAAAGUCUUUUCUCUUGCAGGUCUUAGAGUUUUUGGAAGAGAUGUCGGAACAGUUAAGUGACGUAGCUAAUAGAGAGCUCAGCAUACUCAAAGACCUUAAGGUUUUAAGAACUCCUUUAGGCUCUGCUAAAUUUUCCAUUGAUCAAACUCUUUUCAUUAAUAAAUCAGAUAGUCGCUAUUGAUUUUCUGAUUUCAGAUGAAGGAGGAAGGAAAUGCUCAGUUCGGCAUGGAAGAUUUGUUGUACUACGUCAAAAGAGCUGAAGAAUUCAAGGUUGAUCUUGAUAUUGGUGAAAUUAAAAAAUAUUUCCCUGUUAGCCUGGUCGUAUCUGGAAUGUUGAAGAUGUAUCAGGAUCUAUUUGGUAAAAUGCUAGCCAUUAACUAAUGCACUACCAACCUCUAUUUUUCAUAAGGUAUGCGCACAGAUAUAUUUUUCUCUAAUUUCUUUUUUUCUCCUUUCAUGAAGCACUAAGAUUUGAUGAAAUUAAGGAUGCUGAGGUUUGGCAUGAUACAGUUCGUGUCUUUUCUGUUUGGGAUGCAAGUUCAAGUGAUCUUUUGGGUUAUUUUUUUCUCGAUAUCUUUGCCAGGUUUGUUCUCAAUGCAUGCUAGCGAAGCUUUAAUGAUUUUCAAGGUCUCAUGAUAUGAUAUGCAUGUUCAAUAGGAUACAAAUGCCAAAAGUACAUUGGUUUUUGUAUAAGAAAUGCAGUGCAAGUUGCUCUGGCUUCUUUCUCUUUUGCCCUGUUUAUCAUAAUUAACAAAAUGUAUAUUAGGGAAUCCAAUUCUCCUGGGCCUCAAACUUACAUUUCAAGGAGAAAUAGCCUCACUGAAUCCACAAAAGCCAUUAAAGAACACCACAUAAGAUUCCGAUACACAUAAAAGAGGGUAAUUUUUAUUAGCUACCUCUUUUGCUUCACAGGGAAGGAAAGUAUGCCCACACUUGCGUUGUGACACUUCAGAAUGGAUGCUUGUGUUCUAAUGGUACACGUAAGGUAACUCGGAAAAUCUCAUGUAUAUUGUAUAGUGCAAUCAGAGUAUGAAUUUCUUGCUAGAAUCACUUUAGUCCGAAGGAUUUGCAUAUUACCUUCUCUUGUAAUCUUAUAGGCUUCUUAUUAAAGCAAUUUAGCAUAUGAUCUAAUACAAUCAAAUUGUUAACAGCUCCAUUUUUUUUUUACCAAAAAGCUCCAAAGUAAUUGUUCUCUCACAAACUCAACAUAUCUAUCUGUGGGAAGUAGCUCUGUAUACUGUAAUUAUUGGCCUGUUGGUGACAGGUUCCGGCUGCUGUGCUACUAUCUCAGUGUCCAAAAGAGUUUGAUGGGAAUUCAGCAUUGCUGCGGUUCCCCGAAGUUGUCAGGCUAUUCCAUGAAUUUAGCCACGUGGUAUUGAUAUCAACUUUCUCAAACAUAUUCUCUUUCAAAAAUCUUAUAGAACUUUGAUGCGUAAAGCUGUCCCUCAAUUAAAUUUUUUUACAGAAAUGCUGCCACACUGGAAAGUUCCCGUCAUAAUUUUCACAGUAAAACGACUUCUUUUUGAAUAGAUGCAUUGAUUUCAAUAUUCCGCAGGUCCAUCACAUAUCCAACAGAGCCACCUUUUCAAGAUUUUCAGCUCUCCGGCUGGAGGGUGACUUUGCUGAAAUUCCAAGCCUGCUACUCGAGAACUGGUAGGCAUAACUUUUUUCUUCAUUUACAUGCCAACACUUGUGUUUAAUCUGUUGGAAACUGACAUUUCUGAUAUGUAAUGCAACCUUGCCAUCUCAGGUGCUUUGAGAGCAUUUCUCUGAAAAUGAUGUCCGGCUUCCAUCAGGUGGUGCAAAUAAAUUUAGCAUAUGAUGUUUAAUGUGUUGGGAUUGUUAUCACGCCUUGCAUAUUUUCAAGAAUAAAAGAAAAACAAAGAUGUAAGAAAACUGGUAAACAAUAUGCGGCCAUUUUAGAAGAUGGAAUUAUGGAAACAACUCCAUGGAUAAAAAACAAUAUUUCCGACCUUGCAUGGUGAAGACCUUGUGAAUCUGUUGAGACUUGUUUAGGUUAGCACUAAAGAGUUCUCUGUUUUUAUCAUUGUAGGACAUUACAAGAUCUGUAACUAGUGAAGCUUGCCAAUCUCUGAAAAGGAGGCGUGAUUUAUUUGCUGGCCUGAAAAUGAAACAAGAGAUCCUUUUGUGUGAGUCAUUUUGCUAUCUACCAAAUCGAAUGGAGUGAUUGUAUUGUUUCUCAAAUGUUAUCUAAUUCUUAAGUAGUGAGGUUGAGGUCCUGAUACAGUUUGACUGACACCUGCCACCUGAAUUUGGCUGGCUUUUCAUGUCAGCAUCACUUCAUUCUCUUAAUCAAUACUUCUUGCCAAUAACGGACAGUUUGAUUUGUACCCUACUAUUAGCUCAUGUUUAUUAAUUAGUAAGAAAAAUUCAUUCAAUGUAGUAACUUACAUAGUGUUUUCACUUUUACUAGGCCUUGUUGAUCAGAUAAUACAUUCAAGUGAGAAUGUGGACAUUGAUGACUUAAUCAAGGAGCUUCAUCCCAAGGUACUAAUGAUAGCACCUUGUUUCACUGUUUAUAGUAAUGAUAUCAAUUAAGGCAAAUGCUCCUUUCCAGGUAAUGUUGGGCAUACCUUUAUUGGAAGGGACCAGUCCAGCUUCAUGCUUUCCUCGUAUAGCUGUUGGCUACGAUGCUGUGUGCUACAGUUACAUAUGGAGUGAGGUUUGAGCAAUAUAGAUCCUAAGCCCCAAGGCAAAAUUGCUUCUGCCACAUUUGGAAAUCUUAGGAAGCACAUCUAUUUGAACUAUGCAGGUGUUUGCUGCUGACCUCUUUGUAUCAAAAUUUAAAGAUGACUUGCUCAAUCAGCAUGCAGGAUUGCGAUUCAGAAAUAAGGUAAUGACUAAUGCUUUCCUAGUUAUUCUGUACUGAAUUCAUUGAAUGCACAUGUGAAUUGUUACAAGACACUUGCAUCACUGCAGGUGUUGGCUCCAGGAGGCUCAAAAGAUCCCCUGGAGAUCAUAACCGACUACCUAGGAAGAGAACCAUCACUCCAACCUUUUAUUCAAAGCAGAACAGGGAACAGUUUGUGAGACAUCAUGGAUUAGAGUUUUUUAAAUGUAACCGUUGAAGAUCUGGUGACUGUUGAGUUCUUUUAUUUUUGCGUGAUGAUUAACAAGUAUGACCUCUGCAAUUCUUGUUCCCAACAUCAUUUGUUUGACCUUCAAGCUUCCAUCUCAUGCCUGGGAGCACGUGAAUUAAGAUUGUACAGGACGUUUGAACUUGAGCUUGAACUUCAAGUCUGUUGGUCUAAGCACAGAGCAUGCCUUUUUAACAGGUCUUGCUUUAAAGCUUUACAAAAUCAAAGUUGACAAUUGCAUGAAAACUUGGCAUGCACACAAAUUUCAAACUCAAAGCAUUUCUGAGGCUUGCAAAAGAAUUACGUGCACACUGAUACAUAUAACACAAAAACCUGAUGAAAAUGCAAAAUAUAGCAUUCAACAAAAGGGCAAAAAGGCUGCAUGUCACUGUAGAGCUGAAUGCUUCACAACUGGACCACUGAGAACGAUAUAUCUUUUCUCAAAAAAUGGUAACUUCAAGCACCAGUAAUUCCAUAAUACACAGAGGGUACAAAAGGAAUGAAAGAAUUGAGCUCUACAAGGGGAAGAGCAUCGUUUUGAGUACGUUCUACAACUUUGCACACUACAUUUCUUUGAUAAAAAUCACCAAAGGACUCAGUACUCACAUUAAGCUAACUGGUUACUCAGACUAUAAUCCAGCAUCCCUUUGACCACCAGUUGAAAAAAGAACAUAUUGAUGCUUCCCCGUAAAGAGUCUAUUUCACAUGCGUGAUCUUUGCUACAACUAAUACGAGAACUCAUGCCCUCUGAGGGAUAUGUAUUUCUUCAUCCAAAUGGCAAUGUCCUCAGCACAGGCCUGGGCCUGUGGCGUCUUUAGGAACACAUCCAGGGUUGCAAACUCAUGAACUGUAUCCUUGUAGUCGAGAACUGGUGAGUCGACAUUAACCUUGCGGAGUUCCUCAGAGUAAGCAAUUGCUCGAUCUCUCAUCCAGUCAUGCUCAGCAAUGACUGUCAAGGUCGGCGGCAUGCACUUCAGUGGUGGGCCUCCUCUUCCAGGAGCCAGAGGGUUGGCCGCAGGGUGGUCUAGGUUGAACUCUUUCUCUGACAAAAAUAAUUUCCAAGCAAGUAUGCAUGUGGACUUGUCAUAGAAAUAUGAAUUAGCAAGCCUUAUUUCCGAGUGUGUCGGAACACUCCCUAUGAAGAAGGGAUACAUCAGAACUUGUGCAACAACCUUAAUCGGGUCAAAUAGCUUGCUAUCUUCUACCGUCUUCCGAGUGACAUAAUCGGCAAUAUUGGCACCACAACUUGCACCAAGCAGAACACAUCUGCACCAAGAAAAGGAUACAGGGUAUGGUUAAACUCCAAUAAUACCAGAAUACAACAGUUACAGUUAGCACAAACGGAACUAAAACAGCCAACUGGAUAAGGUAGCUUGCAUGACUGAGAUGACUAAGGCAUGUAGUCAGUUUAUUAAGGGUUUAACUCUCAGGUAGGUGAGAUGAAGAUGGUACAUUGGCAUGACACAUGAACAAUCAUUUACAAGAUAACAGUAACAUAGGGAAACUGGAAAAGUGAAUUCUAAAUCUGAUUCAGAGAAUGCAGAAUUUAAGGGAUAUGCUUACUCAAGUGAAGCACCCUAUGAUGAAAUGCAAGACUUAACUGGUGUCGAAGUUCUAAUUGCGUGAGCGCAAAAACUGAACCGGUGUUAGUAUGCUUCGCCAUGGCAGUUAUCUACUCAAUAUGUAGCUUUGAAAUGAAUAAAACUUUGCACCAAAAAGAUGCUCACAAGACAAUUUUAUAAAUAAAAGGCCCUCAAACAUGCCAAGAAAAGAUUAAAAGGGCUUUACCCUCAUAGGUAUCCCAACAUUUUUUUUUUUUUUUUUUGGGGGGGGGGGGGGGGGGGUGGGGGUAAUGAUGAACUUAUACUUGCAAUUUCAGAGCUGCCUCUUAUUUAUUUGGGGAACUCCAUUCUACUAUGUACCUUUGUACCCCAUCAGGCUUCACACUAGAAGAUAACAGCUAAGGCGCAUGCAAAUGGUGUGAUAUAGCAUAAUCGCAUAUGACAUGUUGACCAAGCUUAACUGUCAACCAUUACAAAUUAAAAUUUUGUCAAGGGACGUGAAUGGUCGUGUUUGUUGAAUUGGUAAACGAGCAUAGAUGACACACUAACUGCAUAACAUUCAAGCCAUACAAUUUAAAAUUCUUACCCAGAAUUCUUGGGCUCUCCCACUCAUUGUCAUUUUGGCAUCGCAAUUUUCAUGUUCCCUACCCUUACCCAAUGUAGAAGAGUGCAGCACAGCUAUUAACAUGGUAAUGAUGAACUUAUAUUUGCAAUUUCAGAGCUGCCUCUUAUUUAUUAUUCAGGGAACUCCAUUCUACUAUGUACCUUUGUACCCCAUCAGGCUUCACACAAAAAGAUAGCAGCUAAGGCGCAUGCAAAUGGUGUGAUAUAGCAUAACCGCAUAUGACAUGUUGACCAAGCUUAACUGUCAACCAUUAGAAAUUAAAAUGUUGUCAAUGAACUUGAAUGAGCAAGUUUGUUGAACUGGUAAACGAGCAUAGAUGACACAAUGUAGAAGAGUACAGCACAGCUAUUAACAGGGGGAUUAGUACACUUUUUUUUACCUUGCAGGAUCACCAUGUGCAGCAAUCCACGGCUCAACAGUGGACGCACCGAAUGUGUCCACACCACUCCCGACCUUGCUCAUCAUGGCGAGAUUCGCCUGCUUGGCGAUCCACUUGAGCACCUUGACCCCCGUCCUCAAACGCGGCGGGGUACCGGCUCUCGGGCGCGAGCCUGUACCCCACCGCCACGACGAUGGCGUCGCAGAGCUUGGCCACCCUCCUGCAGAAGGCGUCGUUUGCCGCGGCGCUGCUGCUCCCAGUGACGAACCCGCCGCCGUGGAACUGCACGACGAUGGGCAGCCUCCGCCGCGCCGACGCCGGGGCGCGCGGCGAGGAGACGGCGUGCGGGAGGUACCCGCGGUACGGCGCGCCGUUGGAGGCGGGGGCCGGGGUUGGGUCGCUGGCGCGGCGCGGGUGGGCGAGGAGGUGCGCGUGGUGGGACGGCGGCGGGAGCGUGGGGAGGAAGAUGCGGACGGAGAGCGAGGAGUUGGGGUCGAUGUGGAGGUCCUUGGAGGCGACGCCGUCGGCGGCGGAGAAGACCGGGUUCGCGGGCGCGGUGGCCUCGUCGGGGCGGCAGGAGACCCCGAAGGCGGCCGCGGCGGGGUCAGGGUCGGCGGCCCCGGCGGCGGCGGCGAGGGACUGGAGGCGGUGGCGGAGCCAGAGCUUGAAGAAGACGCUGUAGAUCUUCACGCCGACGCUCGGCAUGGCUCGCCGUCAGCNNNNNNNNNNNNNNNNNNNNNNNNNNNNNNNNNNNNNNNNNNNNNNNNNNNNNNNNNNNNNNNNNNNNNNNNNNNNNNNNNNNNNNNNNNNNNNNNNNNNNNNNNNNNNNNNNNNNNNNNNNNNNNNNNNNNNNNNNNNNNNNNNNNNNNNNNNNNNNNNNNNNNNNNNNNNNNNNNNNNNNNNNNNNNNNNNNNNNNNNNNNNNNNNNNNNNNNNNNNNNNNNNNNNNNNNNNNNNNNNNNNNNNNNNNNNNNNNNNNNNNNNNNNNNNNNNNNNNNNNNNNNNNNNNNNNNNNNNNNNNNNNNNNNNNNNNNNNNNNNNNNNNNNNNNNNNNNNNNNNNNNNNNNNNNNNNNNNNNNNNNNNNNNNNNNNNNNNNNNNNNNNNNNNNNNNNNNNNNNNNNNNNNNNNNNNNNNNNNNNNNNNNNNNNNNNNNNNNNNNNNNNNNNNNNNNNNNNNNNNNNNNNNNNNNNNNNNNNNNNNNNNNNNNNNNNNNNNNNNNNNNNNNNNNNNNNNNNNNNNNNNNNNNNNNNNNNNNNNNNNNNNNNNNNNNNNNNNNNNNNNNNNNNNNNNNNNNNNNNNNNNNNNNNNNNNNNNNNNNNNNNNNNNNNNNNNNNNNNNNNNNNNNNNNNNNNNNNNNNNNNNNNNNNNNNNNNNNNNNNNNNNNNNNNNNNNNNNNNNNNNNNNNNNNNNNNNNNNNNNNNNNNNNNNNNNNNNNNNNNNNNNNNNNNNNNNNNNNNNNNNNNNNNNNNNNNNNNNNNNNNNNNNNNNNNNNNNNNNNNNNNNNNNNNNNNNNNNNNNNNNNNNNNNNNNNNNNNNNNNNNNNNNNNNNNNNNNNNNNNNNNNNNNNNNNNNNNNNNNNNNNNNNNNNNNNNNNNNNNNNNNNNNNNNNNNNNNNNNNNNNNNNNNNNNNNNNNNNNNNNNNNNNNNNNNNNNNNNNNNNNNNNNNNNNNNNNNNNNNNNNNNNNNNNNNNNNNNNNNNNNNNNNNNNNNNNNNNNNNNNNNNNNNNNNNNNNNNNNNNNNNNNNNNNNNNNNNNNNNNNNNNNNNNNNNNNNNNNNNNNNNNNNNNNNNNNNNNNNNNNNNNNNNNNNNNNNNNNNNNNNNNNNNNNNNNNNNNNNNNNNNNNNNNNNNNNNNNNNNNNNNNNNNNNNNNNNNNNNNNNNNNNNNNNNNNNNNNNNNNNNNNNNNNNNNNNNNNNNNNNNNNNNNNNNNNNNNNNNNNNNNNNNNNNNNNNNNNNNNNNNNNNNNNNNNNNNNNNNNNNNNNNNNNNNNNNNNNNNNNNNNNNNNNNNNNNNNNNNNNNNNNNNNNNNNNNNNNNNNNNNNNNNNNNNNNNNNNNNNNNNNNNNNNNNNNNNNNNNNNNNNNNNNNNNNNNNNNNNNNNNNNNNNNNNNNNNNNNNNNNNNNNNNNNNNNNNNNNNNNNNNNNNNNNNNNNNNNNNNNNNNNNNNNNNNNNNNNNNNNNNNNNNNNNNNNNNGGUGAGGAGAGGAGGAUGGGAAGAAAAGACGGGGGAAGGGUUGUGGAUGUUGGCUUUGUUGGAUGGAGCCUGCCAACGUGACGGUGCCGCCGCCGGGUGCGCUCUUGAUUCAAUUCAAACCCCCCCGCUCCGCUCCCUGGUUUUCAUUUUCUGCCCUAUUUUCCCUUUUCCUUUUGGUUUCUGGGUCUUGUGAUUCAAAACGGAUGGAUGCAUGAUGUAUCUGAGGCCUUGUGGGAACGCUUUCCUGUUAUUUCACAAUUUCGCCUUAUCAAUACGGGUUAUGUGUGCACAAUUUCGCAAUACAGGUUAUUACCAUUUUCUUUCUUUUUCUCCUUAUCAAUAGUAUGUUCGUAAGAUCGUUUCGUUUCAAAAAAUAGUAUGUUCGUAAGAUGAUCAUGCUAUGACUCAUGAGUCCACCAUUCCGUCACAGCACAGGUCCAGAACAGUUGUCGACAUACAAAAGGAUAGGAAUGUCACGAAUCAAUACGAAAUCUAUACUUCUGGUCAAAUUACUAGACGAGUGCAGAAUAACGUUAGCUUAUCAUAGUUAAGAUUUGAAAUGUGCUCAAAUAGAGUUCAAAUUUAAAAGGAGUGGGUAAUAUCUAGUUUUAAAGUGCUCGGAAAUUUCACCAAUGUUAGAUCUGUUUAAAAGUUUGAAACGAAGGAACAAAAAUGAAAUGUUACCAAAACCUGUAAACUGAACCGGGAAGAAAACGAGGCUGCGGGAAGAUUUUUAAAAUAUCUCGACGGAAAGGUUGAAAGCCCCGACGACAGCGAUGGCGGAGACAAGAUUCCAGCGCCGAGACCGAUUUUCCUGACUACUAGUACAUCCCAUUUCUAGAACAAAAAAAAAAAAUUAGCGUUCGCAAGCAGCGUCGUGGGUGAGCAAGCAGAACGGUCGCCUAUCAUGUGCUAGCUGUUGGCCUGUUGGGCUCGGUCUCCGGUUUCCGUUCCCGAAAACUCGCCAAUCACACGCUCCACGCUGGAUCCUUGCCCCCAUCCAGCUCGUCAGGCGUUUUCUGCAGCGACCUCUCCACCGCGGCGUGUUGACGGUGGAUUGGUGAGGCCGGGAGCGCCCCGCGCGGCCGGCAUCCGACGAGGCAGGCCGGGCACGCUGGCUAGACGUGUGUGUGUGACUCGGUACGCUACUAGACCGGAGCGUUCGGUCCGUUAUAGCGGAUUCACUUGCACCGGAACGCUUCAACGGCAGUGGGCGGGGCAGACGCACGCGCCGCGUCAAACGACCGACGGGCCCGCGGUUUUCAUCUCAUCUUUUCCAACUCCCACCCGAGGACGCCGAAAUCGACCGGGACGAUUUAUUGUCGAUUUCCUUCCGGUAGCGUGCGGCACGGGGCUGGCCAUGCAACACGGGCAAAUGUUUCGAGUUGUGCGCAGCUUUGCAUGCUGGAGGAUUGUGUUGUUCAGCUCUUGGGACGGAUGAUCAUCCGACGUAUCGUAAACUCCCUCCUUUUCUCCGAAUCAGAAUUUAGCAAAAAAAAAAACUUUACAAGUGUUGGCAAACAAUUAGCUAAGUUACACGCAAAUUUAGUGUCUAAUAGUCAUACCAAUAGGUUUAUAUUUCAAACGUCUUUAGUAAGAUCUUAAUCUUGUAAUAAUUAGUGUAUUUUAAAAAAUUAGUGAUCAAAGUUUGUUUCCAAAGGUCUUAUUUUUAAAGAGUAAAAUACACGGGCGGUCUCUGAAUUUGUUAUGAGGUGUCAUCUAGAUUACUAAACUCUCAAAAUGCAUUUUCAAACGGUAAUAUAUUAAAAAAAAGCUUGUACUUAGCUUGGGACACUACUGGAUUAGGACAAAAGUAUCAGAAAAUAUGCAAACUCAGACCACGCAUAGGAUGUGAUGAUUUCCCAUUAAACGCAUUGAAAGGACAUUGAUUACAAGUUAAAUAAAUUGUACAAUCGCUUGGAUUAGAAGGGUUUUCCAUUACAAUGCAUGACCAAAUGCUUAUUUCAGUUUGAUGGGAAGAAUCACACGGGCGUGAAAGUGAAUACUCCAUCCGUUCCAAAUUGUAGGUCGUUUUGACUUUUCUAAAUAUAUAGUUUUUCUAUGCAUCUAAAUAUAGGGUAUGUCUGUAUACAAACAUUUAUGAACAUAGGAAAGCCAAAAUGAUCUGCAAUUUGAAACGGAGAGAGUACAUCUCAAGUAUUAUCAUAACUAAAUAACAAUUUUUCCCUUCUAAACCCACCAAUCAAAAGAAAUUCUAGUUGAACUUCCGAUCUAGUAAUUUAAUUCUCUAUAUUACAUGGUAACAAAGGGUUUUCUUUUUUAGAAACAUCAACAAAGGAUUGAGAACGCUGACCCUGUGCAUCAGCAGAGACGCGUUCUUGGCGACGCUUACCUUGCGCCACGCGUCUUCCCGGACGUUGUACGCGUCGAUCCGGUCUUCCAGGCGGAGGACGAUCUCCUCGCCCUCCGCGGCGCCCUCCACCACCUCCACCGCCGUGGCGGCCACGAACGCCGGCGACAGGUCGGCGCCGUCCAACCGGACCGUCCUGAUCCUCUCCCUCAGCCGCCAGCAGCAGGCCCGCGGGUCGGAGUAGUCGUCGAGCACCCACAUCUCCAUGGCUCCGGCCGAAGCCCCGUUGGCGAGGGCCAGGACGCAGAGCUCGCCGCCCGACACGACGGCGCGUGCCGUCUCCAGAAGCAGCCCCGGGCGGUCCGGCGCCGCCAUGAGCCGGAACUUCUCGUGCGCCGCGUCGAACACGAGCAGCGCCACCCUCCCCGUCUCCGACAGCACCAGCCAGUGCAGGUUCCCUUACACGCUGACGGGACGGUCCCGGUCGCUCCUCAUGAAGAUCAAUGUGUUGUUUUGCAGGGGAGGAAACUCUCGCCAUCCGGCGUCGCCGCCGACCCGUAGGAUGCGGAAGAUCACGGGGGCCAGCAGGUCGACGCGACCGGGGACGGCUUCGUCGGAGGAGUGCAGGAGGUGGAAGCGGCGCGUCACCGGGUGAGCGUACCCGCCGAUGACCCGGCCGGUGCCGGCCGGGGCGGGCACGGUGGCGCAGGCGUCGGUGAGCGGGUUCCAGAGCACGUAGGCGUCGGCGGUGGCAGUGGGGCUCGCGUGAUGCGGCGGCGGUAGCAGGAACCGGGUAUAGGGCUGCAAGCACAGGACGCCGUCCCAGGAGCCGUGGAGCUGCACGCGAGGCACAACCCGAGCUCGCCAGGCCUGGGGAACGCGAUGGCGCGUGGGGACGAAGGCACUGCCACGUUGCGGGGGGCGUUGCUGCUUCGGUGCCAGCGGCCGCGGAAGAGGUCGAAGUUGAGAGCGGGGCCGUAGCGGCUGUCGAUGCCGAAGAAGGCGUGUUCCCAAGUGACCUUGGCGACGGCGGGCGGGCGCUCGGCGAGGGCGCGGUCGAAGGACGGGUGGGUGGUGGCGGCGCGCCAGGCCUUGCACACGGCGCGGAAGCGGCCGAUGGAGCAGGCCGGCAGGCGGACGAGGAUCUCCAGGAUCACGCCGUCUGGCAGAGGGAGCGUGCGCGGCCAUGCUGGGACGACACGGCCGGGAGAGAACAUGUCUUCGUUCUACUUUGGUCGCAUAGUCUAAUUUUUCUAGUUUAGAGAGACACCAAAUCGUGUUGUAAUCACGAUCCAGCUUGUCCUCCGGUGAACAGAGAUCGAAUCCUUGCAGGCUUGUAUCUUCUUCUCAUGUCGGAAAUACCUAUGCAUAUAUUCACAGAAAAUGGGGUUGGAACAACAACAUAGUGCUAAAAAGGAAGUGAAUUAGCACCACCCCAUUAACAAUUAUCAACUUGUAAUGUUGAUAUCUAGCAAACAUACUAUUGCAGAAUGUAUGGCACUAACCGCAGAACACCGAGAUCAUGCAUAUUCUGAUAUGAAGCAGAUAAAUAUGUGAGUUUGUACAAUCAUCCUCGUUUCACAAUAAAAAGGUCGACCAAGUAACUUCGACUUGCAGCUUGUAGACACCACACAUGAUCUCGAGCUUGUCUGCACCUUUUCUUAAUGGAGUGAACUCACGGAUAUAAUGGUUGACAUUAGCAUUCUGGUCACUGCUGCGGGCAUAGAUGUGGAAUAUCAACGUCUGAUGAUCACGGAGUCGAUUGCUGCAAUAUCCACACCAAUCAACGCUUUGCUAAAUUGUCUGUCAUUGCUCUCUCUAUCUUCCUUGAUCUUCAGAUUUAUCUCAAAAUUGGCAUCACCGCUAAAAACAAUUCAUCUACUUGGGCCAGCCAGAAUCAAAGAUGCACCCUACAAGCGGAAUCACAGAAAAUGUCAUCAAUAUAUUUAUUAGUGCGUGUCAAAGUCAUUCACCAUUAACUUGGCUUAAAGAAUAUUGGUCAUACAUGUGUUGGAACUCGGAAAUAACCCAGCAUCAACACAAGUUAGCAUACUAAUAAAUAGAAAUGAGGAAAAUGGAACUGCAUGUGGCCUGCCAAGAUCUUCAUGGAACAAUACGAUGUUUUUACGAUAUAUUUCAUGGAACCUUGUUCAUCAUUAUCUACUUUAAAGAAAUAUUGAAAAUGGUUUUCAUGACAGUUACAAUGCCCACUUACAUACUAUGGCACUUUAAUGACAGCAAAAUGAUCAUACUAUGCCCUGACAGAUUUAUUUUAAGUGACAACAUUCCACAGAAUACGUUGGUGUUUUUUUGACCAAAAACUGCAGAGGAAAAUCCCUCCAGUAAGAUCGUGAAUACAUUAGUGUUAUUGACAACCUAACCUAAAACUUUUACCAGAAAAGUGAAAAUGUGCAGCUGACCAUGUGCAGUAGUAAGCAAUGGAAUCACAAGCGCGACACCCAUGCCAAUGUAAUCUUCAGCAAAAGAUAUGCUAGAGGUCACAAUGCAAAAAUAGUAGAGUUUCAAUAUUAGAUACUGACAAAUCAAUGAUUUGCAAAUAAACCCACAAAAGAGGUAAAUAUGGCUUUCAGCCUACAUUCUUCAAAUACCUCUGAUUGGACAAGUUGGCAAUUGUCCCUGUUGCGACGGAAGAUGUAGAUGCAUUUCAUAUCCAAACGAUAUCUGACUAUCACAGUACCAUACACGUUGAUAGGGUAGCCAACAUCUGAGGACAAUAUCUUCAGACAGAUAUGUUUAAUGAAUUGGUCAGCUUGUGGUCAUCUCGGAUAAGUGAAUCCGUAAAGCGCAUCGGACCAUGUUGUGCUGAGGAAAAGGAAAAUAAGGUCAUUUUACAACCAGGGAAGAAUAGUAUGGUACCAAAAGUAAGUAUUUAACCAAAGAGAUAGUAAGUCCUCUGUCAGCAUAGCCUCAUGUCCGGAUUCUGUUCACACAGAAAGAUUAACAUUUACUUAGAGCCAGUCAGUGAAAUGAUGGAAGACAAUUAUAAUAAAAGGAAAGGCAGUAAUGAUAGGAAAUUAGGAAUAAGAGUCAAGAUGCUACACAUGGCGGCAUAAAGCAUGCAUUUCCCCCGUAGGUUAAAAUGGGAAAAAUAUCAGAAAAGGCAAGUAAGGGAUGACACCAGAGCAAAUGCAGGCUACCAGAAGCAGUGUGUAGAGUGUAGACCCUAUGCAAAUAACCUAGGUGCUAGACAGUCGCAGGUCUUCAAACUAAACCGUAUAGACUACAUUUUACAGAAGAAAUUCACUGUUAUCAGACAACAGGAAUGAAAACAAAUAUGCGUGCAUAUCAUGAAUAAGAUAGAAUCUAAUUAUCCGCAUCAUGAGCUCCCCAGUAAGUUUUGCCAUGUGAUUUUGGGAUUUAGUGUUCUUAUUUACAGCAAAGUCCUACUUCUGCUUAACGAAAACCACACAUGAAUGCAAAAGUAUAGUAGGCUUUGGUAUGCAUUCUUCGCAUAUGAAUGAAGGUCGGGAAUAGAGGGAUUACUCUCUUCAUCAAUGUCGAGGGUGCUGAAGUCGACGAACCAAACUCGGGUGUAGGAGCCGGAUCCCAUCUUGGGGUCGUACUCGAAAAGCUUUUCCAUCAUGGCCAAUCUCAGCUCACCCCUCGCCUUUUCCUCCGGCGUGUCGUCCUCCCACGGCAGCUUCCCCCGCGGCUUCUGGCUCUGCUGCCGGCGUUUCUUCUUCUCCGCAGCUGCCUCCUCCGCGUCAUCCUCGAAGUACAUGGGCAGCCCGUCGCAGUCGUCGGCCGCCAUAGGUCCUGGAACGGGAGGGUGGGCGGCGCUACCGCUACGUACGACACGCGGCCGGACCGGACCAGCCUAUGUAUUGAAUCGCCAACUGACUAGGCCUCAAACGCACGGCCCAAAAUUUUUUCACACGGACCAGCCUAUGUAGCCCACCACUUGACGCGCGAGGCCCAUCAUCAUUGCCCCAGGACGAUCCUUAAGGUGUUUUUUUUUGUUUUUGGAUUUUUAAAAAAAAAUUAAUGAAAUGACGAAUGAAUAUCUAACGUUGCACCGGUUGCAAACAACUUCAUGGUUUAAACGUCCUUUAACCUGAGAUAUGGUUUGAGCAAUAAUUUUUUUUCUUUAGUUUCAGGCGACAGCUCGACAGCUCUGAAUUGAAGAAGGGUAGAGGUCGGGCGGCGAUCCUCAGAUUCAAUUAGAGUGACACCUGUUAUGAUUCUUAUGAACCAAUAAUAUGCUUAUCAAUGAUGAAAGAAAAAUCAUGACAAGCAAGUAAGAGGAGAUGUAAAUAUACACAUUCAUUCAUUCAAUGAAUUUGGAUUUAUCGCCACAGCACAGAAACACUCGACAAAAAUGUGGCCUUGUUCAAUACAAUCUGGAACAAAACUGAAAGGCAAUGAAGAAACAGAACAUCUAUCCUGUUGAUCCACCUAUAUGUACAUGAUAUAUACGGACACUAAAAUGUCAGAUUGCCUAAUGUAAGCUCCCGUUGGUAAUUCCCUCAAUGACAUAUAGGCCACGACCAUUGUAGAAGCUCGGCGAACUGGCCUGCCUUUCUAUCGUCAAUGCCUGGGAAAACCAGCGGAACAAAAAGUUCCAAUGAAGCAGCCUUAUUUACCUUGCAGUUCCAUCCAUCAGCGACAUAUUGCAUUUUCAUCAACAAAAUUUUACAGGUUAAUGAGGGGGAGAAAUCCAAUAGUGUAGACAAGAGGCCAGCUUCUGAUCCGCUGGCCUGCUACAACACAGGACCACCAAGCUUUAUCUUUUCAGUCAUGUAUGCCUUUAUAUCCCUACAAGGAUUACAAAACAUUUGCGGGUGAGCUAAUGGGUGGAAGUGGGGUCUAUCGAGCAAUGCAUGCAUUUCAAGAGAGGAGUUGAGCAAUUCAGAUGAGUCAUGGUUUUACCUGCAUCUGGGAACCAUACAGUUUGCGUCGUUGCAAUGUUUUGAGUGCCAUAGCAGAAGUUUCCACAUGAAGACACACUUGUUGCAACCUCCCCAGUUGCGGGCACGGAUAUCACAUCGAACGCCAUGGAAGAACAAUUUCUUCAAGGUUAAACAAACUUGAAGAGUGCAGUUGCAAGGAUCAAAGCAUCUUGAUGCAUGCACAAGGCCUUCAACGUAGUCCUGUUUCGGAAGCAUGCACAAGGUUCAUAAGAACACAAGAGUUACUAUCAUGUACGAAUCUGAAAGCCAAGAACAACUAUGGAACCAGACAUCAAUCAACAGAAGUAAUGCUUGGAGAAUAACACCUUGACACUCUAAAUAUGCAACAGCAAAUUUCACAUUAAAAAAUCCUUUUUUUAAGUUAUGUUCUAAGAAAUAAGGGAGCAAUUCACCUGAGAUCGUAUGGCCAAAAUCAUCUUGUAAAAAGAACACCAAAAUAAAAGAAUGCCAGAUAAGCUCGCAAAAUUCUAAACUUUCUCAACUAGGGAACACAACAUAAGAUAUUUAGAAGCUCCGUUUACUAAUAUAAGAGGGAUACCUGUAUAGCAUUCAUCUGCAUUGUUUUGCUAGCAUCAAUCUGUCUUAAUUCAUGAAUAUGCAAACUUUCACCAUUUUGUUUGUAGCAUGGAUCACAAAAGGUGCAGCCUAGGCACUCUAGGCAUCGCCACACCAAGCAUUGAUCCACAGCACAGUGGCAAGCAGAACAAGUCGAAUUGUGUAGGUAAUAAAGAAUCAUCAUCGUAGAAUGUUUUGCCCGCCGGAUGGUAUCAAAUUGGAACUGGUUGUCUUGACAGUGCUUCAAGAAAUCUAUUCUGCUGUCAAAAUACUUGCUUUCCAUUGUUGGAUCUCCAUCGUCAGUCUCCGGAAGUGGUUCUACCUCUAUCUGUGGGACAGUAAGCUAUGGUAGUUAGUAUAUAAAUUCCACCAUGCAUCUAUUAAAAAGAAGCGUGUUGCUGCCUUAAUGAUUGAAAAAAUCGAUCCCAGAAAUGCAGUUUGCGUACAUACUCUUUGAAAUGCAUGCUUCUGUUUUGUUGUGGCUGGAUGCCUGUCCUUCUGUGCUGUAUUCUGCUCCUCUGCAUGACACCUAUGAAAUCAAGCAAUAAUGGGUGCCUUAUUGACCGAGAGUUAACAAGGUAUAAAAACUCACAGCUCAGUACAAAACCCAACUUACGAGAUGCUUACCUGUCGCAAAGAUGGAAAUUUUUACAGCUAGUGCAAACCCAACUUCUCCCAGAUACAAUAGGUUGGUGACAGUGCUUGCAAAACUGCUCUAGACAAAGCAUGAUGAAGUCUUCUUUCAUGGUGCGCAUCCUUUCUCCAAGCUAGCAACAAUGAAAAAUAAGAUGUUAGGUACCCACGAAUUGCUUGAAGGGCAAGAACAUCAUAAGCAAUAUAAAAUAAAAUAACCUUGUGCACAAGUAAAAUAUCUUCAAGGUUUCCUUUUCUGUCGUCACGUUUGGGCAACACGUAAGAGCCUUCCUACUUGUGUCCCNNNNNNNNNNNNNNNNNNNNNNNNNNNNNNNNNNNNNNNNNNNNNNNNNNNNNNNNNNNNNNNNNNNNNNNNNNNNNNNNNNNNNNNNNNNNNNNNNNNNCAUCACGCUUCGUAGAUGGGCAAGUCCAAAUGGAACAACUUACGAAUCCUCGUUUCUUGCAGUAGUCCAGAUAACCAAUCUACGAUAAACAUUAUAAUGAUCAAACUCAAGAAACAUAAUCUCAUUGCAGGCAGACAAAUAUAUGUUUGGUGAUUUGCAAUUCUCAUACCAAAAUUUCAUGAUAGACAAAAGUACGGAGAGCCUCCCCACUUGCAGAUUUGAUUUCAGGCCUGAAGUACUUGACAGAGUCGAUAUAUGCAAGAUAAACAUGCCUUUGAUUUGGUGAUGGGCAAUCUGAACCGUACUCUUGUACAUACAUGGCGAACAGGCAAACAUCCACACCUUCAAUCUUUUGAAACAAGAGAAUUGCCUAUAGAAAAGACAUAGGUCAGUUAAGAUAGAUAUAAUUAUCCACUAAACUCCUAAAAAAGUUAUUGACCAAGUAACCAACCAUCCUGUACCUUUGAUUUGUAUGGAAAUUCUCCAGGAUACUUUUCUUGUUUAAAAAAAUCAUGAAAACGAGGUUGAACUUGCAGUACUCUGUCAGCUGAAGAUACUACUCUAACUGCAAGACCUUCAACUCGUGGUACCUAAAAGCACCAAGGACAAAAGUCAAAUAAACCUUACGCGGAGCUGACAUCAGUUUGCUAUGCAAUUCCUAGAGACUAAAGCAAAUUAAAUACAGCCAACAUCAAUGGUCUGAUAAUUCUAAGAAAGCAUGUGGAGUCAAGAUGUGAAUAAGCAUCAAUGAUCAUCUUCCUAAAAAAAGCAUCAAUGAUCACAAUCUUCUCCAAAGUUCUAAACUUCCUAAGUUAUGGACAGAAUAGUUCUACGACCUGGAUAGCUACAUCAAAAUAAAGGGUAAAAAAAUUGAUUGUGUCAACUAUUAUGUGUGCUGACCAUCCUUUCAUGGUGCCCAAUGAAAUGUAAACACAGCACAAUCUAAAAAAUACAUUAAUACUGAUAGUCAAAAAGGAAAAGAAAAUAUGAAAAGAAGCCUAUUUGUUAUAUAUUACAAAAUAAAUACAGUUAUCACGCAUCAUCAAGACCAAUUAAAUGUGCAUUGCCAACAACGACAAAGGACAGCAUUUCAAGUGCAGACAAAUUUCCAGUGCUGAAUUACUGAAGUACAUUGAAAAUUAUAGUAAAAGGACUAACACUUGUAUCUGAUCCUAACAAGGAUAAGAAAGACCCCGUAGAACACACAUAUACAGAAAAUUGAAAUAAGAUUACGGGUUCAAUAUAACUAGAAGUAAAAUCCUUAAGUAUAAACUCAAUAGUAGCAGGUAUGAAUGAGCCUUAGUUUCUUAUGUCAUUCGAAGUUUCAGAUAUUUACCUCUUCAGCACCUUUUGCUGAGGCGUUUGCCCUCUGUUGCCUGUCCUGCUCAAGCCUCUCAGAAAGCCUCUGCUCAAUAUGAUCACUUAGUUUAGUUCUUGGUAACUCCCGUGCUCCAAGAACAGUGGAUGACUCCAGUGCAUGAAUGUCUCCACUAUCUUUUUCUUUCAAAAAACAUUUUGCACAAGUAUAUUCAGCCUUCGCCCCUUCACACUUUCUGUUAAAAAGAGCACAGAUUUCAUGCUGCCAAGCUUUGCAUUUGUCACACUGGACCCACUGAAAUGGCACAGUCAGCAAAAGAUGAGUAUUUAAUGAGUGCAUAAGGAUAGCUCAAGAGAUGAAAAGAACAUUACCCAUUCAGCCUCAGCAUCUGUUUCAGCAUAAUUGAAUCUCUUCACAUAUUUAGCUCUGGAACUGCUUAGAUGGUGGCAUUUGCUACAAAUAGAAGUUUUAUCCUUUCCAUUUUCAACUUCAGCAUAAUAGCACCCUGUAGAAUUUAUUAUUUUGAAACAGAGAGCACAAAAUCGCGGAGGUGGUUCAAAAAGAAGCCUCUCCAUCCCACAGAAACUGCAUGUAUUCUGAUCAGGCAAGCCUUCGAUUAAUUGGAUUUCUUGAGAUAUCACCUUGCUCUAAAAAAAGAAAGGAAAAUCAUGAGGGAUGUGAACUAUGGCCCUAAAUAAAUAGUUAAAAUCCUGAAUGAUAGAAUUGAUCCAAUCUGAAUGAAACAAAACCUUAACCAUCACAUGCAAGAUUCUUGUUUGAUCAUGUAGCAUCAACAUACUGUGUCCCCAAGCAAUCAGAUAGUUAUAUCAUAAUGUGCAAGGUAAUAUAUAACUAUCCGAUUUGCUUGGCAACAUAGUAUGUUUGAUGCUACAGGAUUAAAAAAGAAUCAAGUCUACUCAGAGUUACAGAAAACACAGGAGGUCCAUAUAUUCACUCACCAGACAAGUAUGCUGGUUUAUUAGACUACUCAAGUGAUCUCUAAGCUCCUCAGCAGUUAAUGCGUAAAGUAUAGAAGCCCCUCUUUUUCUCCUGGAACUUAUAUUGACCUGAUUCGCUGUCUGAUCCAAUGCAACAGUCUUAGAGUCUUUCAUCUCAAUGUCACCCUUUACACAGUGCAAUUCUUCUUCUGCAACAACAUCCAUGUUAUGUACAUCUUCACUACCCUGUUCUAGCGUAUUAUUGGUGUCAGCAUUAAUGUCACCUGACGAACUGCAAGGUGACUUUGUAGGUAAUUCCGUGAUUUCUGAUUGUACUGUUUCACCAUAUGCAUGAUUCUCAUUCACAACAGGCUUUUGCUCUUUUGGACUCUCUGCUUGAUUGACAUUGACAAGACUGGGAACAUCAGCUUUCAGGCGUUUUGCUGGACGCUUGCCAUAAGAUUCAUCUGAAACAGUUGAAGAUGGCUUUGACACUGUGCUAUUUGAUGUCUGCUCAGAUCUCCCAACUCUUUCUCUCUCAGGGUCACAAGGAUCACAAUCUGUCAUGAAGCAGCACUGGUACUGGGCCCUGGGUGUGCUUAAACUUGAGUAUUUCUCCCUGCACAAAUCUUCACAGUCUGACACACGACAAUAUUUCCCUUCCACUUCCAUGCAUCUGUCAAGAUGACAUUCUCCUUUGAGAUACAAUUCAUGCCUUUCAGUUGUCCUAUUUGAUUGAAUUGACAGCUCUACUGGCUGGCUCCAUGCACCAUCUAACUCUCUCUCAUAUUCUCUAUGUUGUUGAAAUGAUUGUCCUUCACCAGUGGAAUAUACAUCAGAACCUGCAGAAAGUUUUUGUCCAGAUGCUUUAGAGACAGAGUCCAUCGACGAUCUUAUCAUUGCACUGGGACUUGUGGUUGGAUCACACACGGCUGAUAAAGGACUGGAACUCCCAGACAUGGAUGAUAUUGGACUAUCAACAGGAUGAGCAUCACCUGGCGAAAUUUGCCCAUAUCAUUUAUGAUGUGAUGACCAAACCAAAUAUGGGAAGCGCAAAUGGUUACAAUCAAAUCAAAUAUGUAAAACAACGGACGCAAAUAAUUUACCUGGAAAAUGGUCCUUUACAUGGCCAUUUGGCAAUCCAUCACUGGCGGUCCCACCAAGGCCUGAACUACAUUUUGGAGGCACUGAUACACAUGGAGAAACUAUGGUGGUCCUAAAGCUUUCGGGCCUCACUGUAAGAGGAAAAUUAGCAGCUACCACAUUGUAAUUAUGUGGUAAAUAUCCUGCAAAAAUAUAACCAAUAAAUAAUCAUAGAUUUAAAGGCAUGUUGUGAGAUAAAAGUAAAACUCAUCAUCCUAACUUACUCUGAGAAGUGAACAUAGUAUGUGUAGGCACGUCUCUUGCACGUGCAGGCAAGUUAGUAAAACCAGGGGCAACUACAUCAUGAUAGACACUAGAGUCCGUCAUCUGUAUCCCAGGCAGCUGAUGUAAAUUCUUUGUCGAUGCAGCUGCUGAAGAUACCCAAGAAUCUCUGUGGUUUCUAUACGAUACAGAACUGAGCAAAGCAUCCACCCUAGCUUCUAGAGUGUCGAGAUCCAUGUAACGGACCUGAUAUAGAAAAGGGCUAGGUGUUGGCAUGACAUUAUAAACUAAAAAGAUAUUUAGUUAUGCAGUUACAACAAAAACUUAAUUGGGCAUAUAUAUAAUUAUACAGGUGCAACAGUGACAUGAAAUAUGCAACUGAAGCAAAAAAAAAAGGACAAAGUACAAGAAUAGCUAAUUUUAUUAUCAGUUAGCCUCAGUCAAACAUGUAGCCAUUUCAUAUGGUGAUGUAAUAGAAGAGCAAGGAUCGGACCUAAAUUUUUAGCAUGCUAUAUAAUGUACUGUAGUUCCAUGGCGGCACUAACCUUUGGAGCACUUCUGUAGAGUAAUUCGUCAAUGUUUCUUGAAAUUUUCAGAAGGUAAUCUGGGCUGAAUUUAGCAAAUAGUUCCCUCUUUCCCAAGCAACUUGCACUGGAUAGAAGAAAAGAAGCAUCAGAAAAUACUGUUGUUAAAAAAAUAUGCUGGCAAAAGGAAAGGAACGGGGCAAAUGAGCCCAAUAUCUCUUUUCGAGACAUUCUCUAGAAUUCCUGAAGAAAUUUUAUCUACUGAAUUAUGCAGGAAAAGGUUUACACCAAAAUAGAUAAAAAUGAACCAAAGCAUCUCUGUUCAACCAACUUCUAGUACUAUUACUUGAAAAAAAAUUUAACCUACUGAACUAUGCAGGAAAAAAAGAUGUACACCAAAAUAGAUAAAAAUGAACCAAAUCAUCUCUGUUUCAACAACCCAAUAGUACUGAGAGUUAACUCACAAAAUUGUUUAUAUGUACUAGGAAUCAAGUAAAAUUGCACAAGAACCAAGUAAAUGUGCAGCUAGAUACAAAUAAAUACAUCUCACAUCACAAAUACAGUGUAACAGUAAUCUAACAAGUAUAAGAUUGACCAUGCUGUAUCAGUAAAAUACAAACAAAAUAAAAAAUUCAUCAGCCUUGUAACAGUUCAAAAUGAAAGCAUAAUAGACGAGUAUAUGAUGCAGGCUACCUAGGUGAACCAUGUACAAUACCAGAAACAGUAUCAGUUGCUGCUAUCAGAUACUUGCAUACAAAAUUCCACUGGAAAUUGACAGCUCAUAAUGCUUUUUUCCCCUGAAUUUUCUGCCCACAGGAGAAAAUACACCAGCCAAUCGCUUGGAGCUACUCAAAGAAUAGAUGAUUCUGAAGUACCAAAUUUCAAACGUAUGGCCAACAUACUUUAGAUGUCAAUAUAUGAACAAAUUGCAUUUAUGUUCACAGAAGUACAGAACCACGGAACAAUGUAUGCUCACAUAGACAAAAUAUGAUUGCUUGUUCACAACUGUAUAGUGUUCGGGGAAAAAAUAUGAACAUAUAUCUACCAAGCAUGAUUAUGACUUAUGAGCAUUCCAAGAAUCAAAUGCAUUGAAGCAGAUGUGUCAAUUCCUAGAAUGUACCAGUAUUGACAUUAUUGCUUGUUCACAACAAGCGCCCAUAUUAACAGCAUCUAGUCAUUUACAAGUCAAAACUUACAUUUUUUUUUUGUGGUUUCCAAACUAUGGAUGUUGGUGGUUUCCAAACUUACAUUUUUUGAAUGACAAUGCUGCGAAUCGGAGAGGUAGACUGAUCCAUGUUAUCCGGCUGAAGCAUAUCAAAAUCGCUCGGUGACAUCUGUUGCCGAAUAGAAAAGCUGCUCGGUGCAUUGGAGGCCAUAACUUUCCCUUGCAGGGUUUGAGUCAUUAUGCUGGUAGAAUUCACCUGAAAUGCAGAAAUUCAUCAUUUCAUUAAGAGAUCAAUCAGCAGCUGCUAGCACCCACAUAGUGAUGACAAGAGACAGAUCACUAACGCAAAGCAAAGCAGCAGACGAUAAGCCAUAAUAGAAACAGAAUAUACAGUCAUUGGUCUGAAGCAAAUUGCCUAAAACAGGUAAACAUCACACAUAAGAACACAAGGAGCAUGCUCUGAGCAUAUACUACGGCCCGCAUCGACUCUCCUAUGCCACAGGUGCUAUACAUUGCAACCAAUUGUUGGCCAACCAGGAAGCCACAGCAAGCUUUACUGCACAAUUACUAAAGAGACAACAUAAGGAUUUCAGAAUGCAUCUAUAACUCCCAAUUCAACAACUAUCAGUAUCAUUUUUUAUUUUGUAUUUUUCUGACCAUCAAACGAUAUUAGCAAUUAUAAAAUACUCUAAAACAACACUACAAGAUCGGGCAAACCAAACAGGGCAAGGGCAUGAGGCAUCCAUCGUGAGCCGAUUCCCAACGAAAAUAAACAAGAACCCAAGAAAACCCAACUAGGGGAGCCAUACGGUGCCCGGACUUCUGUGGUGAGAGGUGCCACCGUGCCAGAUCGGAUCGGAACAAGCUUGACAUGCCGGGCAGGGAUCAGGAGCAAAGGCAUUACCUAGUUCUCCCAUGAUGGAGAUACAGCAGGCAGGUCCUGGCGCUCUGGCCUCUCCAUCAGCGGUGUAGAUGGGUACAAGACGGUCAGAGUCAGACAAGGGGAAGAGGAGAGAGAGAGAGAGCGGAAAUAAGUCAAGGCAGUGGGGUCCACUCAGCGGCCGGACUGACGGACUCAAGGCCAAUACCCGACCUGGAGCUCGAGUAGUUGAGGGAGGUUUUUGGCUUGUUUGGGAUCGCGUUUUUUAUAGUAAUGAGUAAUUAACUUGUUUGGGAGGUUUUGAACAUGUUUGCGACGUGUUUUUGGCGGGUGCGAACAGUGGACAGGAUGGGGCGGAUUAUUUUCUUUUUUUCCUAGAGUUGUGUGCGGAUAAUAUGUGGCCGGGCAGAGGAGGUGGCCAAGAUGGAGAGCCGUCAGCCAUGUAGCGGCAGGACACGGGCCUGUGCAUUGCACAGCUGUGAUCUGAGAGAGGGGGUUGAUCGGAUGCUCAAAUUCAUGUGCUUUCAGCUUCGAUGGGCUGGGUGGGUCGAGUAGUCGGAUGGGCUGAUGGCCUGGAUUUGGGCCUGGUAAUCGAUUAGCUUUUGGCACACCAUUAUGUCAGCAUUUUGUGCAGGCAUUACCUAACAACUGGCCAAUUUUCUAUUGAUUCAUCAGUCAUUUUUUUGUCCAAUUAAAAUAACACAUGUCACAAGGAAUAAGAUUAAAAUGGACAAUUCUGAAGUUUACCAUACUGAACAGCACUAGGAAUAAGAUAUACCAAAUCAAUGAUGGCACAACUUACAUAAAUAGCCAAGGCAAAAUGGACAAUUCUGAGCACAAGGAAUGACAUAUACCAAAUCAAUGAUGGCACAACUUACAUAAAUAGCCCAGGCAAGAUAGUUCGCAAACUUUUUUGUUCAAUAGUAACAAUGACAUAAAUUUAAACCUUAAGAGGCAUCUUUUUUUAUUUUAUAACUAUUACCUUAUAUCACUUCCUCUAAAGAGUAUUUACUCAUAUAUCUUGUUGCUGGCAGGAAUCUGCUGGCCAUCCUUCUUACGAUCUUCAGUUCCAAAUGAACGAACUGUAACAAAAGGUGGCCUGUUAAUACAAUCAGAGUAGACCCAAAGGAAAAGAACAAAGAAAACUUUUCUGAGCUAAAAGAACUAUACAAGUUAGCUCCAGGUAACUUGUUUUAAUCAAAGCUCCAGGGAAAAAUUAUGAAUACGAAAGCCAAUAAGCCUCCCAUACAAGAGAAACUCUUGGUGUCUUCAAGGACAAACAAAACAAAUGUAAGUUGCUUGCUGUACACUUUUUUGAAAUGUCUAGUCUCAAGACAGACAUCAUGCUUAAAACCUAACUGGGUUCAGGCAGCCAUCUAGGCAGGCUAGACAACAACAUUGUAUAAAUUGAAAAGGUUUUGAAGGAUAUUACUCAAAUAUGCUGGCAUUAGAUAAGGAUAUUACUCAAAUUAAAAAAGGAUCAGAUAGAUAAGUACUAAAUAAAUAUAGGAUCCAAACCUAGUAGCUGUCCAAAUGCUAUUAAAGUUUAUUAUUUCCUCCAGAAAAGAAUUAAGGUACACUGCAUGCGACUUUGUAGUUCUCAUGGAUUUGACUAUAUUAAGACUGGUAGAAAAUACACCUAUCUCUACAUAUAAUAGGUCCGGAAGACAGACCCAUGCCUAGAAGACAGCUUUUGCCCGCUGGUCACUAGGAAAAGAAGCAAUUAAAACUGGUAGAAAAUACACCUAUCUCAACAUACAAUAGAUCUGGAAGACAGACCCAUGCCUAGAAGACAGCCUUUGCUCACUUGUCACUACCAAAAAGAAGCAAAUCGAUUGACAGCUUGGCCACAGAUGUGUGCGAGAAAACAUGCAAUCCUACCGUCUCUUGGAAAUACAACAAAUAAGCACACAAGGCACAUGGCAUUAAGUAGAAGCAAAAAUCUCAAACAAGGGAUAUAGUUUGGAUCUGAAGUAUGUGGGCCUAAAAGUAAAACAUCUGCCUUUUUUGUCAACACUUAAGUGCACGGCAACUAAACGUAGUGGGACCCUGGAACACGUUCCGUUCUCGCUUUUGGUGUAAUAGACAUCCCAAAGGUGGCAGAGGUUCCUAGCCCUUUCAGCUUACAGUUUUAGGCACAAAGGAGUUUGAAGAAAAGGUGUGUACUGCCAAUGAAACUCCAGCAAGUGGAGCAGGAUUAUUCUGAAUGGGCAAAACCAAGAGGGCUUUCCAUAUAACCAACUAAUGUGCAAGCCUAGCUCGGAAAGUCGUUAGGACAUGCAUAACCUGCACAACUUACUGCAAUUUUCACUGUAUUAAAGCAUGUGCCUAGCUUAUCGUGCUAUUAUAUUGUGCAAGCUAACAAGAUGUCAACAACUCAAAAACAUGUACUAGAAGCUCCAGCCAACCACGAUCUUUGCAAGUUCGCAUAAUUUGCGCAAGCGCAACAUUCAGUACACAUUUUAGCAUUAAGUAUCCAUACGCCGCCUAGUUUACGAAAUAAUUAAAAAUUGCAAGUGGGUGAAAAGACUGAAAACCUAACAGAAAUCGUGAAAAGGAAAAUUCCAAAACCUAACCCGAACGAAAAACGGGAGUGAAUCCAUAACCCUGACGCAUCGUCCCAGGCCUCUCCGGCUGCCCCAACAGAGUACCCCGAGCCAUCUAGGAAGAGAAUAGAGGGAGGGCGAGGGACGCAGGCAUCCUACCGUUUCUGAGCCCGAUGCUGGAGCUGGGUUCCACGGUGUUGAUGGUGUAGAGGGUGCCCUCUUACCGGAUCUCGCUCAUGGACGUGAGGCUUAUCACUCUCCCGGUGUACGGACUCCGGCGCGCCGCCGACCGCGCCUAGGGUUUCGAUCCCCUGCUUCCUCUUCGCUGGUUUUUUUCCCCUCUCGUCCUAACUAUUUUCCGUUCUUUUCAGAAAAGCCCUUCUCUAUCGCUCCUCCGCGUCGUCUCCCCCCGGAAAUCUUUACGCCGUACGCCCCUCUCCCUCCUCCGGCCCAAAACUUUGAAAUCCUACAUGUAACCCAUGUAACCUUUUUUCUUAGAGGAUGUUAGCCCGUGUAACUCAUAAUAGAUAGAUGGAAAGCACCACGCGAGGCCCAUCUUCCGCACCAGCGCUGCGGCCCAGAACGGUUCUAAGGCGGGAAUCAUGUCCAUAAUAUUGGAAAUUGAUGCUAUUUAUAGUAGAUAAAUGACUAGGAUGGGAUGGAGAAAAAAACAAUUAGAUGGAUGUGAAUGAACAUGAACUUUCUCCCUUCAUCCUCAUUUUAAAUUUUCUAGGUUUAUAGGUGUUUGUAUACAUCUAGACAUACACUAUAUUUAGAUGCAUACAAAUACUUAUAAACUAAAAAAUCCAAAACGACCUCUAAUUUGAGACGGAGGGAGUAGAUGAUAAACAUGAGGUGGGGAACAAGCCAGCUACCACGGAAGAAGCGGGGAGUAGCAGUGUGAUAAUUUUUGGGAUGACUAGCUAUAUCAAUAACGGAGCAAAAGUAUCGACAUUUUGAAUGUAGUAGGGGGUGUUUUGGAUGCAAGGUGCUAAACUUUAAUAGUGUCACAUCGGAUGUUCGGAUGCUAAUUAGGAGGAUUAAACAUGAGCUAAUUGUAAAACUAAUUGCAUAACCCUAUGCUAAUUCGCGAGACGAACCUAUUAAGCCUAAUUAAUCCAUCAUUAGCAAAUGGUUACUGUAGCACCACAUUGUGAAAUCAUGGACUAAUUAGGCUUAACAGAUUCGUCUCGCGAAUUAUACUCCAUUUGUGCAAUUAAUUUUGUAAUUAGCCUAUGUUUAAUACUCUUAAUUAGCAUCCAAACAUACGAUGUGACAGGUGUUAAACUUUAAUAGGGGUAUCCAAACAGGACCUUAGUCUACCAUUUUAGAUAUACUACUUCAAAAUUUUAGUUAUACCGUUUCAAUAUCAGCUUAUAGAAUGUUGAACUAGAUUAUAAGAAAUGUAAAUCUAGUGUUUCAUGUGUUGAAUCUACUAUGUUGCUCCUAUUGUUUUAUUAGACCGUUUACUGUCAUCCAAAGCUUGUUGGGCCAUAAUUAGCCUUAAAAGCUAUAUACCUUCUAGAAAUAUAUGUAGGGAGCCAAUGUGCCUUUUCGUUUCGAGGUUUCUUAAAAUUCUUUAAGAAAUGGCGAAUAUGAAUAUCCACGUUGCAUCGGUUGCAACCACCAUGGUUUUUAUAUGCACGUAGCGAGACAAACACACAGGGGGAAAAAAGUGUGACACAUUCGCACACACUGGAGUUUUGUGGGUAGCAAAAGGAUCACCGUCACCGGCGGGCACGACGUGACGCGUCCCACCCGGAAAGCGCAAAUUAUUGGUCCUCGCCGUUUCUUCCAAUUUCCCCAUGCACCAUGAUUGAUUCCCGCGAAAGAAGAAAAGAAAAAAGUAGGAUAUCCACUGCCGCCGACGUCCCGUCAGCGUCUCCUGCAGGCUGCAGCGCCCCUGAAAUUCCGUGAACCCAACGCAUGGCCGCAAUGGGGCAUGGCCGGCUCACCGGCGACCUGACGCGGGAGAGGCAAACAUCCCCUGCCCCCGCUCCAGGCAGCGCGGUCACCCCUUGACCACCGCGCACGUGGUUCGCGCGGCCGCAGAACCACAGCUUUGUGCGGUAGCGGCCUGGCUGGGCAGUGGGCACUCGUCCUUCGCGGCUCACCGCACACGCGUCUCGCCUCUGGGUCCAGGCCCGCAGGCCGCAGCGCGCCAGCGCUCGGAGCCUGUACGGCUCGUGGGAACACGGUGGCGCCGCCGAUCCCGACGCGGCUGGCCGCUGCGGCGCUGCCGGUCGCCCGGGCCAGCGGAUGCGUUACCUCCGUGCGGUACGGUCCCUGCGAAAAUGCUCCGUAUUUUUUUUUUUUGGCAGUGGCAAGGCACGGUGCGCCCCUGGUGAACUUGGAAUGUAGAGGGCACAGAGUACAUGACGAAGCCCUGUAGGCAGGCACAUUGUCUGAAGAAAAAAAGGAAGAGAAUCUAGUGGGCACUAAAGUAAAGGCGAAGGGCGAAGAUCGCAGGCAAAACAGCAAUCCAGUACUGUCAGUCUGUUAUCAGAUAGCGAGCACUCGUCACCAGCACGCAUUGGCCGAACCUAAACAUAGAUCUAGAUCUUUUGCCAAAUGAACAGCAUGGUGUACAGGUAUCCAUGUCUCAAAUUAUCCAUCCGCAUGCAUCUGAUGAGCUUCUCCAGUAUGUUCUCACAAUAUUGUGGCUCCAUUAUGUUCUGAUGAGCUUCUCCAGUAUGCAUCUGAUGAUCUUUCCCUCCCUACAUGUACUCUGCUGUUAAUUUUAAUGCAUUGCCUUUGUCAAAAAAACAUAGAUCUAGGGCGUGUUCGCUUCAGCUUAUUCAACCGGCUUAUCAGUCACCAAACAGUGUUUUCCUCUCACAAUAAAUCAGUCGUUUCAGCUUUUCAGCCGGCUUAUAAGCUGAAGCGAACAGGCCUAGAUAAACAAGUCACGCAUUUGGUGUUCUUGAAAAAAAAACAUCACUUCCUCAAUUAAAAAAAAGAUCACGCAUUUGGUUAGACUAAAAUACGGGAGCAUCGCUCUCGUGUGGGCCUGCCUCCAUGUCUGAUAACUCCCAAGGAUGUGUUGCGAGAGUUGAGACUCUGAGAAGCACAUGCACGAGCAGCGUAGCCGUAGACCAUUUCCAAUUCUCGCCGAGUUGCCGCUGGAAUGCUUGCUGGAUAUCCUACUAGCGUUCGUGCCGGAGCCGGCCCUACUGUCUGUCUGACUCGCAGUCACCAGCGAAGGCACGGCAUCCUGUGACGCAUCAGCUUUACGGUGCCCGGUCGUCUGCCAUUAUAAUCCUGCGAGUCCUCUUGUUCUGCAGCCCAUGCCCAGUCACCAUUGCGCUCGCUCGCACCAGUCCCAGUCUCACUCUCAAGUUGCUUCACAGCGCCAGCCGCCAGUCAUUCCAUCGCUUGCAGAGCAAAAGAAACUCGUGGAUAGGAGCUGCGCGCUGGGCUGAAAUAUCAAGAACGUUGGCUGAGCGAGGCUGGAAACAGGCGCAUUCUCGGUCGUCGGUCGGCCCGAGGCAAAUUAGCGGUCUGUUUUCUGAACCGUUAUACGUCAGGAUUUACGCGUGAUCAACACCAAGAAUCUCUGCUGUUUUUAUGUGAUUGAUUGAUAACAAAAGUUUUAUUUGGAGCAUUUUCAUGUUGAUUCCUGGUCUAUUCACCUUCUGAUGUUGCUGUUUUCUGAAAUUCUGUUCGCCACCGUCAGAGCCAUCUCGAUUUGCACCUGUGGAAGUAUCUCAGCUGAGCCGCUGAAAACCAUGGAGGUGGAGGCCGUGGAAUCGAACGCCUUGCGCGGCGCCGCCGAUCGCCGGACGUCCAAGAGGGAUCGCCGGGUUUUCUGGGCCUGCAUCUUCAUCCUCGGUAACAUACGUGAACCUGUUUUCUUUCCCUGGCAUCUGUUUAAAUACAUACAAAUAUAUAUGGUUUCAUCUCAACCUUGUGCUGUUAAUAAUUAAUAAUCUGUGCGUGGGGUGUGGUUGGUCACCAGCGAACAACUGCUUCCAGUACACGGCCUACUUCGCCGUGUCGACGAACCUGGUGAACUACCUCAAGGACCGGUUGCACGUGGGCAGCAAGGCCGCCGCCAACGGCGUCACCAACUGGCUGGGCACGAGUUCCAUCACGCCGCUCGUCGCCGCAUUCCUCGCCGACGCCUUCCUCGGCAGGUACUGGACCAUCGCGCUCUUCCUCGUCAUCUCCGUCGUGGCCUACGCGGUGCUCGCGGCUAGCGCGGCGGCGGCGCUGGAGAGCGCAGCGUUCUACGCGGGCCUGUACCUGCUGGCGCUCGGCGGCGCGCUGCAGCCGGUGCUCACGUCGUUCGGGGCGGGCCAGUUCGACGAGGCCGACGAGGCGGAGCGCCGCCGGCAGAGCUCCUUCUUCAACUGGUUCUACAUGUCCAUCAACGUGGGAUCGCUCGUCGGCGGCACCGUGCUCGUGUGGGUGCAGUCCAGCGUCAGCUGGGGGCUCGGCUACGGCAUCCCGGCGCUGCUCAGCGUGGUGUCCGUCGCGGUGUUCCUCGCCGGCACCACCACGUACCAGAGCCACCAGCCGCCGGGCGGCAGCCCGAUCUCAAGGGUCGCGCAGGUGGUCGUCGCCGCGGUCAGGAAGUGCCGCGUGGAGGCGCCGGACGACGCGGCGGAGCUGCACGAGUACGAGGCCGACGACGGCAUGUCCGCGAUACAGGGGAGCCGCCGGCUCGCGCACACCGACCAGUUCAGGUCAGUUGUCGUUGCACGUAGUACAUGCAAAUUGCAUGUAGGGAAUAUUAUCAGCCGUAAUUUCUCUUUGUAUUCGUACAUAUAUACGAGCGUUAUUUUUCCAACUAUAAAAUAAUCUUUGGCGAGAAACCAUGAACACAUUUAUUCUUUGAUUCUUUUUUUUUCAAACACAUGUACAAGCACAAAAAGGCUCGCAUGUGCGCAUGCACAUGCACCCUACCUUAUGAACGUUCUUUUAGAACUAUCCUUACGAGAUUAAACGAACAUAUAUUGAGAUUAAGAAAACUCUCAUAGGUGGCUUGGUGUUGAUGGGUGUGUCAUCUACCACCUAAAGAUCUGGUUAAACUCGAAAUCUUUACGUGCCAUUAUUAGUGACGGUGGAAGGUCCCACAUGUCAUAUACAUAGCAUGGCAUAUGAGGGAUUGCAAAUUUUCUUGGUGGCAUAUAAGGAAAUUCCCUUUUCAUUAAUGAAUACACGCGGGGGCAUGAACCCUAGAGAUCCAUGAUGAAUAAAGGGUUACAACCAUCUCUAUAUAUUAGCCAAUGUCAUUGUUGAAGAAUCUAACCGUACGUGAACAAAUCUGAAUGGAUAUCCAGCUACUUUGUUUUCUCCUCCAUGUCCCAUGUGGUGAAAAGAAAGAGAGCAUCUAUGGCAAGUUGGCAACAUCAGACGUUUCAGGAUGGAGUUUCUAAUUAAUAUUCGAUUUUUGACCAAUCCAAUUUCGAGAUAAAGAAAGGUUUCGUAGAUUUGGAACACUAUAAAAAAUGGCUUUUAACUCCUGUGUGAAGUAAUUGUAAUUCUAAAAUGAAGUAACCCAACAAUUAUAAAAAAAAAAUCAAGUGUUAAGAUUAGGAUUUUCGAUGACUCUACAUGAAUUUUGAAAAUACUUUUUUUUAAGUCAUCGAAAAUGUUCAGUACACUCUGGUGAAAUUAGUUUAGUAAUAAUUAUAUAAAUCAGAAAACUUAAAAUCCUUAGAAGUCGAGCCAGGCCAUUGGUCACUUACCUUAGUCUAAAGCAUAGGUAGUAGUUCUUUUUUUAUUUGCGUCCACUCGUGUACCUUAGUCAUCAAAAGAUUGACAUGAUAAGCUACUUGAAGCGGACCUAACGUGACACCGUGCUCUGUGACAUCGGCCACAGUUUCGCGCUAGUCGGGUGCAUCAUUUUGGAUCAAUUUUUCUGACAGUUAAAAGAUGCUCCUCAGUUUCCCUUUUUGAAAAAAAAAAGAUGCUCCUCUAGCUAGGCGCCAACUUGUGUUGUGCCGGCCACCAUGUUCCGAUCGACGGGCUUCCUGUUGACGUGACGGGGACGUACGUGCACGGUCAGUCGGUCGCGGUGCAGCUCGAUCGCUCAAAUUCAUACUACCAAAUUGUUUAUUGCUUUGCACCGCGGCAGAUUUGUCGUGUGCAUGCCAACAAAAUGGUGCAGUGCACGCAUGAUAUCGUCUCCAUUUCGCUUUCUCGCCCAUGCCUUUUUCCUUUUUGCAGUGCUCUGUGUAGCAGUAGCAGUAGCACUCAUCAUUAUCAGACCGAUGGAGAGCACGCCAGACUACUACAGGAAUUAGAGUUUGUGCAUUAUUGGACACUAGCUGUCGUGGCAUCUUUUACCGAAACAAAGAGUCACUCGAUCAAAUGACGUGGGCUAAUGAUCUGUCGUGAUCAUUCAUGUAAAUUCAUGAACUCCCUGCAGGUUCCUGGACAAGGCGGCGGUGGAGACGGCGGGCGACAAGGCGCGUCCGAGCCCGUGGCGGCUAUGCACGGUGACGCAGGUGGAGGAGCUCAAGUGCGUGCUCCGCCUCCUCCCCGUGUGGGCGAGCGGCAUCAUCUUCGCGGCGGCGUACACGCAGAUGACCACCACCUUCAUCCUCCAGGGUGACACGCUGGACCCCUACGUCGGCGGCUUCCGCGUCCCCGCCGCCGUGCUCUCCGUCUUCGACACCCUCAGCGUCAUGCUCUGGGUUCCCCUCUACGACCGCGUCGUCGUCCCGCUCGCCCGCCGCGCCACGGGCCACGACCGCGGGUUCACGCAGCUGGCGCGCAUGGGCGUCGGCCUCGUCGUGCUCACCGCCGCCAUGCUCGCCGCCGGGACGCUCGAGGUCGAGCGCCGCCGCGUCAUCGCGCGCCACGGCAUGUACGACACCAACACGGGCGCCGACGGGGCGUACCUGCCCAUGUCCAUCUUCUGGCAGGUGCCGCAGUACGUGGUGGUGGGCGCGUCGGAGGUGUUCACCUUCAUCGGCCAGAUGGAGUUCUUCUACGACCAGGCGCCCGACGCGAUGCGGAGCCUCUGCUCGGGCCUCUCCAUGACGUCGUUCGCGCUGGGGAACUACGUGAGCUCGGCGCUCGUCACCGUGGUGGCGCGCGCCACGGCGAGGGGAGGGAGGGACGGCUGGAUCCCCGACGACAUCAACCGGGCGCACCUCGACAACUUCUUCUGGCUCCUCGCCAUGCUCUGCAUCGGCAACUUCGGCGUCUACCUGCUCAUCGCGCGGUGGUACACCUACAAGAAGACGGUGGAUUAGCUUAGGAUUAACGAUCACCACCUAAUCGCCUGUUACGUUCCUAUCAAUUGGCCUCCAAUGGUGUCAUUGAAACAUCGAUCUCACACUGGAAAUGGUGACGGAACUUACGGGCCGGGGGAAAACAGAAAAACGCCAUUGUAGCAUAAUAUGACUGGGCUUGGCCCAGGCGAAUAAAGCCUCACUGAUUGAGCCCAUAUUUUGUACAGCAGGCCUGCCUGAUGCGUUUAUGGUUCGUUUCGUUACUAUGUGGGCUGUAGCUGUCCUAAAUUGGUUGGGCUGACGGAAGCCUGUACAAAAUAGUCAUCGCUGGCCCAGCCCACGAGUCAAUCCAAACGUCGUAACCGAAACCGUUCCAUCUAGAAACAAUCACGUCCUGCAGUCUUCUUGUCGUCGCGGCGCCGUUGGCUUCGGCUCCUACGUCCCGUCUCGAUAUAACCAGGAGAGAAGAGAGGAGAGCAAACAGUAUGGAGGGCAAUGGAGACGAUGGGAUAGAGAAGAGGAAGGGGGAUCAGCUGGCGGCUACCCCCGCCGCCGGGAACGAGACGAAGGGGGUGUUUGGGAGGAGUGGGCUAAACUUUAGCCCUGUCACAUCAGAUGUUCGGAUACUAAUUAGGAGAACUAAACAUAAGCUAAUUACAAAACUAAUUGCAGAACCCCUAGGCUAAAUCGCGAGACGAAUCUAUUAAGCCUAAUUAAUCCAUCAUUAGUGAAUGGUUACUGUAGCACCACAUUGUCAAAUCAUGGCCUAAUUAGGCUUAAUAGAUUCGUCUCGCGAUUUAGCCUAGGGGUUGUGUAAUUAGUUUUAUAAUUAAUCUAGAUUUAAUACUCCUAAUUAGUGUCCAAACAUUCAAUAGGACGGGGGCUAAAAUUUAACCCCCUCCUCCCAAACACCCCCGAACGUGACAUCAGCCGCCGCCGCCUCCGGGCACGUGACGACCGCCACAUCAGCCGCCUCCAUGGCAAUUGAUGAUGAUGCCAUGGCCCGGGUCUUGACUGAGCGUGAUGCAGCCAACGCUAGCACCGGCGUCAAUCUCCAGAGUGCCGCUGCUGCGCAGAAUAUGUAAGUCUACUUAUUACAGCAUGUAUACAGUAAGGAGCAGCUUAGUUUUAAACUUUUAAUAUUAUUUUUUUCGAUUUCAGUUGAUUGAUAUACAAUUUAUUGAUAUCUGGAUGUAGCCGUGGGUCACUGGUGACCAGGAUAGAUGAAUUAUUAUCAAUCCAAUAAGAUUUUGCUACGCAUUUUCAAUGCAAUCUGUGUUUUCUGAGUUAAUAGGAUUGAGCAUGUUCCUGCUGCUCCAAUGAAUACCAAUUUUAAAUUGGGACCCCUUUUAAAUUUGGUUGCCUUCUUGCUAGUAUUACAAGAACUUCUGACUGUAUUAUGUUACGGUAAUUGCAUUUUUCACCUUAAUCUUUGCCAUGCAGCUGUACUCCAUACUGUCAGCAAUGUGUUCUUUUCGUAGAAUAAUUAGCUUGUGUCAAACUAACAGUUAAAUGGUCAUACUCUAUGGACUUGGGGCUGACACACUUGUAUGUUUCCAGUGUGGCUGCUGUCAAUUGUUUGUUGUCGAUCAGAAUUGGGAUGAGCUCUUAUCUUGCUGAAUUCUUGACCAAGGUUCAGGGUGAGAAGUUCUAUCCCCACCCGGGUAUUUUCUGCUCCCUUUACCAAGCACAGAUCUCAUAUCUCAUUGGGAAAGAGCAGUUUGCGGAGGCACGAGCAGUGUUCGAUGACAAGGUUAAACCUCUUCUUGAUCAAGACAAAGAUGACAUUUACAAACCAUUUGACUUAGAAGCCCAUGUGGAAAUGUUGCAGAAUCGUGUAGACAAUUGGUGGGUCGUAUUUUUUUAUUAUAAUGUUUGUUCCUAUCGCAUGUUUGCCAAUUGUUAUAUGAGGUUGAACACUGAUGAAAGUUUAGAGUAAUUUCAUUUUAGGCUAAUACUUUAUAAAAGCUUGAUUAUUUAUACUUGCAAAGCCAGUAUUUUUAAUAUUCUUUUGAAGCUAUUACUAAAAAUUUUAUAUUCCUUUAUACCCAUAAUAAAGAUCUAGAAUGCGGUUGGUAAUUUUUUUAGAUCUAAAGCUAUUACUAAAAAAGAUUUAUAUUCCUUUAUACUCCUUGUGCUACUCUUUGCCUUCAUAGGUCCCAUGUAUUAGUCUGGACGUGUCAUGUGACCUGUAACUAAAAACUCUCGGGAGUCUCCUGGCACGGCUGUGUCCUUAGGUGUCUAGCUUGAAUCAGGUUUAGCACUAGGGCCCGGACUUUUUCCCUCCUUUUACGUCCUUCCAUUCAUGUACUCGCAAACUCUUGUAUUUCCAUUAUCAAAUAAUUGAAAUGGGAGGAUGCCUCAAUUUAAAAUGAAAUAUUCCUUUAUGCUCCUGAAGAUCUGGAGUGUGGGUUUAGGAAUCUUUUUUGGAUGCAUGUUCUCAAGCUCCAUGUUUUUUUUUCUUAUACAGCUUGCCACCACGUGCUGAUGAAACUGAAGAUAUGAAUAUCGUUAUUUCUGAUUACCUCAUGCUUUAUUUCCCGACUAGGUAAUUAUUUUUCAAUCACCUGAUACAUUAUGUUGAUGAUUACAAAUUAUUGAUGCAUGUGUUCUGCAAAAGCAAAAUAAAUCAUGGCUUCUAUAUCUUAAUCUAUCUAAAUUAGGGUUUUCUCUAAUUAUAAAUAUGAAUUAUUUACUAGGUCACUUCCACCCUUGCUUGUUUAAAUUGAGAGUGAUAUUAUCUAUCUUUCUUAAUAGAUUUAUAUAAAGUAAUUACUAAGUUGUUUUCAGUCCUGCAAUUGAUUAUAUUAGAAUGAUAUUAUCUGGCAUGAAUUAUGUGGCUACAUUUAAUAAAGUCAUUGCUUUAUACAAUUUGCAGAGCGAGGAGAAUAGAACAAAUUCAAUUUCAGAUUUUGUAAUGACGUUCAAUGAUGAAAAAGGAAAACAACAUCAAUGUUUGGCAUUGACCAAAUUCAAUUUCAGAUCUUGUAAUGACGUUCAAUGAUGAAAAAGGAAAACAACAUCAAUGUUUGGCAUGUCAAUGGGUCACGACUUUAUAUAAAGUAAUUACUAAGUCGUUUUCAAUCCUUUAAAUUUUUAUAUUUAGAAUGAUAUUAUCUGGAAUGACUUAUGUGGCUAGAUUUAAUAAAGUCAUUGUUUUAUACAGUUUGCAGAGCGAGGUGAAUAGAACAAAUUCAAUUUCAGAUUUUGUAACGACUUUCAAUGAUGAAAAAGGAAAACGACAUCGUUGUUUGGCAUGUCAAUGGGUCAUGCCUGCUUCAGCCACUUCUCAGUCACUAGUCUAUCACAUCAAGCACUUAAAGCAAGUUAACCGUUGUCGUAGAGUAACAAAAUGGAUGCUUGAAUAUCUCAAUGGUGAAAAAGAAAUUUGUAUACAGGAUAUGACUGCUUCAUCAGGGACCCAGUCAAGAAAGAGGAAGGAUCCAUUGUCACCUCCAUUAACUGUGUCAGAUCUUGAUCAACAAUCUGUUAUUAUUCUAGAGGAACUUGUUUUUAAAAUCUGGGUUGAUCUUUGCGGAGCUAACAUGAAAGCUUUGUUUGCUCUUAAGAAGUUCACCGCUGCAGCAAAAGCAAAAGAAAUAUUGAUUCGCCAAGACGAGCUGAUCACUGAGCUGAAGAUAUUUAGUUACAUGGACGAACAUGUUCCGCUGGGUUCUCCUCUGGCAUUCAUGAAGAUAAAGACUCUCCUCGAUUUGUCAGAUGAUCUUCUCCCAUUGCUCAAGAACCUGUCAGAUGUUUCUGAACUAUUGUUAGAUCAAGAUAAGGAAGCUACUGAACUGAGGCGUUGCUUUAUUGUUGCAGCUGCUGAACCACCUCCCUCCAACAGCACCUGUUGAUGUGAUCACUCCCAGCACUGAUAGUUCCGAGAGAUCUCCAGCAAACUACAUCCCCUAUAAGUUGUUAAACUAGUCCAUAUAAGUUGUUUUAGAAGAAGCCACGAAAAUGUCGAGGCCGCUAAUUUUGCAGAGUAUCCGUAAUUGGUCUUCUAUAUUUCAUUUUUUCAGAAAUCUAUUCUAACUCUGUUUCACAUAAAAAAAAAAUCGAACUUUGUACUGGAAAUGGCCAUGGAACUGACGGGCCGGGGAAAAACAGAAAAGUGCCGUUUGUACCAUAUGACUGGGCUUGGCCCAGGCGAAUAAAGCUUCACUAAUUGAGAGCCCAUGGUAACGAAUACCUGUGAGGCAGACAGAGCUGCUUCACAAAUCUCUGCCCACUAUGGUCUGUUUGGGACGGCUCCCUACUACACGUUGGCCUAAUAUCUCUGGUAACAUAAAGAUCACAGUUUUUUUUUUGACAAAUAAAGAUCACAGUUUAAUUCACCAAAAAAGGAUCACAAUUUGAUGAUUCAAUAAAAAGGUCACAAAUUUUUUUUUUGGUCAAGAGGAACGAAUGCAAAAGUAUCACAAUUCAUGAUCGGCCAUCAUGGUUUAACUGCUUACACUGAGAUUUUCCAAUCGAGUUUGGAUCCUAUCCUGUACAGCAACAGGUUAAUUCCAUGCUUUGUUUCUGCAAAAUGCUUGUUGCUCAAAGCGCGACACCUGCAUCGCAUCGUAUCGAAGUUAACGUCGGUAGCGACGCCGCGGGUAACGCCGACAUCGCACCGGGCGUCACUAGUGACGACCUCGUGCCUGUUUCUACUUCACUUAUUAGUAUACACAUAUCAAUCGCAAUCACACAGCAUCGCGCGCCAUAACACAAUGCUCGGGGUUUUGAUUAUGUUAUUCUGCCGCGAGAGCGACUUGCAGCGACGACGACGCGUGCGUUUGCUUCCUCAAAAGCUACACAAGUAUACAAUGAUAGAAAAAUAGAUGCACAUUUGCAUCUUUACUAUAUGUGCAAAUAAGGAACCCUAACGCCAUUUUAACUAAUUUCAAUAUGGUUAAGAGGCAAAAGGGAAUUGAAGGCAGACAACUAGACGAUGCGUGACAACAAUUAUAUUCGUGUAUGGCGUCGACAGUAGUUUAAGUAAUAGCAACCUUGCAGCCAGUUUUGGACCAAAAAUGCAUGACAGCGAAUAUUAUCCUACUACUAGGUUCGAACACGUCCCUUGCAGAAACUCCAAUGUACGUACGAGCUCGAUUUUUUUCCCCUUGUGACUGAAUGGUAACUUAGUUUGCUACAUAUCUGUGGUCUUAUCUUCGUGCAAAAAAAUAAAAUAAAAUCUAUGGUUACAUGUUCUGCUUUGAGUUAAAUUUUUCGUUAUGGAAAUGUGGGCAAUUAAAUAUUUUUAUAGUUUCAAUUUAUCGAUGUAGUAGAUGUUAAUAAUCUUCUAUAUAAAUUUGGCCAAGCUUAGUUAGUUUGAUUUAUGACAACAAAAGUGCUUACAUUUUAACAGUGGAGAAUAAUGGAAAAAAAAACAUUCCUCUAUGUGGAUAGUGGAAGGUAGUAGCAACCAAGAUCCUGACACGGAUCCAUAACUACAUUUUGGUCUCUGAUUUGGAAGAUAGUGGCUUUGUCUUUAAAAAUCUUCUCCGUUCUUGUUUGGAAACUUUAAAUUAAAAUCUUCUCGGUUCUUGUUUUGAAACUAGCUAAGUAUAUUAUAUUAUGUGUAGUGGUGUACGCAGGCACUGAUGUUUUUAUUAAGGAUUUCUUUUUCAUAUGAUCGAUCAUAUUACUGCAGUGAUAAACCAAGUAAUUACCACAAACUCAUUUGAGUUAGGAGUAUCAACCAUAUGUUCAUUUAACACAAGAAGACCUCUUAGUAUUGGAUUAGUACCGUUAGCCAUAGAGCCGAACGAUUAUGAUCCUAGGCAUCACAUUCAAACAUAUCACGCAAUUUCUUUUCCUGCAAAACCUCGAAGGAUAGUAACAAUGCAGGCGGCCAAAGUAGAACUUUGGCAUAUUAGUUCUGUUGGUAUGGCUCGAACUGGAAAAAAAAACAGAAUGUGACAACCGUGACGAGUGACCAAUUCUCGAGCUGAAUACGUUGAGCUGUAACGGUACGGCUUUGCUAUAGCCUAGCUAGCUGGGAGCAAAUUAACAAAUUAAAGACAUACGCAUCUCCAGGACCAAAUCUUCAUGCAAAUCGACAAGGACGGAUAGAUUACAGCAAAUUCACUAUCUAAUCUAUAUGUAAAACCAACACGAGUUUUGAAGUCAUGGGUAUUGUUAAACGUGUUAAUCACCGACAUUGAUACGUGGGACUAAGCAGGAGAAACACAUUAUAGAUGGUGGUACUGGCCACCACACCUAUAACCAUUAAAUGUCUAUGCAGGACUUCUGACAUCAAAUUUGGUAUCUCAUGUUAUGAUCAGUGGUUCAGUGACUUCCCUACAUUCUCCUCUCUGCUACUCAUAAACUCAUUCAGUCACAUGGCUCUUGCCAUCCCAAGUCCCUUUCGGAGACACAGUGUGGUGUCCGAGGCAAAAGGCAAUGCAUGAGGAUCAUCUGAUUCCAGAUUUUCAGUUUCUGAGCAUUUCCAAACUCUGUCCUCGGAACCAACAAAUAAUCGUACAACUUCCUGAAUCUUCAGGUAUCCGUGAGCAUUAAGAUUACUACCAACAUCUCUCUCACCCAUUUUCAGCAGCUGGACACAUCGAACUACUCGAACCAGGCAUACACGGACACUACACCCGUCCGUCUCCCAUAGCUGACAGUAAUGCAUGCACUGCACCACCACACACAGCUCACUCGCCAGCACCGGCGGCGUGCAUCGUCGAUGGAGCUAGGAGAAUUAACACGCACGUCUUCCAGCUCUCCAGCAUCGUCGGUGUCGUCGGUUCUUUACUACCAGGCCUUCGGUCGGAGGCGGCCGCGCCGGUGGAGACGACUGAGAUGGCGUCGUCGCUGACGUUUUUGGUGAAAGGGCCUCAAUAUCCCCCACUAUUUUUCUGCGAGACCGAGCCAUGAAGCAACCCAUGGCUAGCUGUUUUAGCCACUGCCUUACUACGUGCAGCUGGACACCAACAUUUUUUUCCCUUCUUGCAGGCGAUCAGGUCACGGCCGGCGCGAGGGCUUCAUUCUCAAGCAUAUCUUCGUUUUUUAAUUCAUGCUGAGAUGAUCAUCUAUGUAUCUGUGAUCUUCAGAUAUGUGUUUGGCCUCAUAGAUUCGUGUGUGUUUUGAGUUGUUUUGUUGCGUUUGGUCGGCAAGUUUUUUAACUGCUACCCAGUUUGACAAUUACUGCCACAAUCAGCAUGAACAGAUAUUUUUUUAGAAAAAUGAAUGUGUGUGUGCAGCCAAUCAAUAUGGACAGAUAACUACCCGUUCGGUUCUCUUUCAAACCAGAGAAGAAAACAGUCGAUCCAACGCCAUCACUGAUGGUCACAAAAAAGUUAACUAGAGGGCAAAAACUUUGAUCCUAACGAAGAGACCAAUUCGCCUGUCCCCUCUUAGCAUUGAACUUAGUAUUACUACUAACUGUAGUAAGAUUCCAUGACUAUUUUGCACUGCUAGCUGCUGCAUCCUUCUUCAGCAGCCAGCGGCUAGCUAGCUUCUCGCGCCAUCUGUUUUACACCUUUCUUUCCAGCCAAGCAGAAUAGGACCAAAAACCCCUUCGCCUUGGGACGCCUUCCGUGCUGCAAACGCGAUCCUCCACACAUAUCUAUCUUGUCGUACCUAUCGCCACUCAAUCUGGACAGUGAAAAAUACAUUUUACUCACAUGAAGAAUCUGUGCGCACGGUUUUGUAUCAUCAGAACAUCGAUCGCCACCGAUGGAAUUAAACAGUUCUGAAUAUAUGCUGAGAUCUGAAUAGUUGUCCCUUUCAGCCAGACGAUUAUAUGCAUUUUUGGGCCAAAUUUCAGACACCAAAAAUUUUCUUUACAAUAUACCAUGAGCCUAGUGCCAAGUCUUUCAGUACUUAACAACAAAAGAGACAGGCAAACCUGAGUUGUAUCAUGUAGCCUUGCUUUAGCUAACAAAAAAGAAAGAAAAAUGGAGAAGAAAAGCCAGGUCAUCUCCUACCUCUCGCUUGUAUUGCUCUAUAAAUACCUUUGUUGGUUCAACCACGUAACAAAGUUAACUAGGCCAUCUGCCUUUGCAACAAGGCCUGACUAACUAAACUAACGAGGACUGCAUAAGCACACAGAUGGGCAUGCCCGAGCAGCCAUGCAGGAGCACGCCCAACUCGUUCACCACCUCCUUCGGCUCCUCCCAGCAGAUGCAUCACCUGCCACAGCACGAUGCUGCGCUCUGCACUGAGCCAGGACUGGGCUUCCCCUACUACUAUGGCACGGACCAGCAGGACGCGGCGUUCGACGGCGACGAGGUAGACCUCGGCUUCCGCGCUUCCAAGGUCACCAAGGUUGACUACUACAGCUCGCCUUACCAGCCAUCAUGGCCGCUGGCUCGUGCCGACGUCGCUGCCGCGGCGGCUGAAUCGUCGCGCGUCAGGAAGCAGAGGUUCCGGGACGUCCUCGAGAGCUGCAAGCAGAAGGUCGAGGCCAUGGAGGCCAUGGAGUCUCCCGUGGCGUUCCAGGAAGGUGAGGACGGGGGUGUUGCAGGGGAUGGUGGUGGUGCCGCGGCCGGCGGCGGCGGGGGUGGAGGUGGUGGUGGCGGCGGCGCCGAUGGCAUGCGCCUGGUGCAGCUGCUGGUCGCCUGCGCCGAGGCCGUGGCGUGCCGCGACCGCGCGCAGGCGGCGGCGCUGCUGCGGGAGCUGCAGGUCGGCGCGCCCGUGCACGGCACGGCGUUCCAGCGCGUGGCGUCGUGCUUCGUCCAGGGCCUCGCGGACCGGCUCGCGCUGGCGCACCCGCCGGCGCUGGGGCCGGCGAGCAUGGCGUUCUGCAUCCCGCCGUCGUGCGCGGGGCGCGACGGCGCGCGCGGCGAGGCGCUCGCCCUGGCGUACGAGCUCUGCCCGUACCUCCGGUUCGCGCACUUCGUGGCGAACGCCUCCAUCCUGGAAGCCUUUGAGGGAGAAAGCAACGUCCACGUGGUGGACCUGGGCAUGACGCUGGGCCUCGACCGCGGCCACCAGUGGCGCGGCCUCCUCGACGGCCUCGCCGCCCGCGCCGGUGCGAAGCCGAAGCGCGUGCGCGUCACGGGCGUCGGCGCACCCCUCGACACUAUGAGAGCCGUCGGCCGCGAGCUCGAGGCCUACGCGGAGGGGCUCGGGAUGCGGCUCGAGUUCCGCGCCGUCGACCGCAGCCUGGAGAGCCUGCACGCCGACGACCUCGGCGUCGCCGCGGACGAGGCCGUGGCCAUCAGCAGCGUCCUGGAGCUCCACUGCGUGGUGAAGGAGAGCCGCGGGGCGCUCAACUCAGUGCUCCAGACCGUCCGGAAGCUGUCGCCGAGGGCGUUCGUGCUCGUGGAGCAGGACGCCGGGCACAACGGGCCCUUCUUCCUGGGCCGGUUCAUGGAGGCGCUCCACUACUACGCGGCGGUGUUCGACGCGCUGGACGCAGCGCUGCCGCGCUACGACGCGCGGCGGGCGCGCGUGGAGCAGUUCCACUUCGGCGCGGAGAUCCGGAACGUGGUCGGGUGCGAGGGCGUGGCGCGCGUGGAGCGGCACGAGCGCGCGGACCAGUGGCGCCGCCGGAUGAGCCGCGCGGGGUUCCAGUCCGUGCCCAUCAGGAUGGCGGCCAGGGCGCGGGAGUGGCUGGAGGAGAACGCCGGCGGCGGCGGGUACACGGUGGCCGAGGAGAAGGGCUGCCUCGUCCUCGGCUGGAAGGGCAAGCCCCUCAUCGCCGCCUCCUGCUGGAAGUGCUAGGCGGCCGCUCGCGGCGUCACGCCGGCAGCUGGAGACGUAUAGGCAGCUGGAGACGUAUACCACCUGUCCACCCAUCAUCGGAUGGAUCUGCGGUGAUUUUAGAUGAAUAAGAGCUCAAGCUUAGAGGUAUAUCCAUGGCAGAUGAGCUCACACAUGCUAUAGCUGUUCGAGCAAAUAUAUGUGCUUGAACACACUUGUAUAAAUAAGGCCCUCAAAUAGUUCUUUGUUGAGUUGUUUUGACAAAUUUUGUGCAGGAACAUUAACCAAUCUGACUGUACAAGGAGAUUUUGACUUUUUGCUGUAACUUACCAACUCUUUCCCCUAUGUCUCUGUCAUGGGGAAUUGAUGUAAUCUUCCAAGGAGGAAUAGAAACUGAUGUUCAUCAUCCAUGGAACUGAAAUGAUCCUCCACUGAUAAACAGAGAUGGAAAGGUUAAAAAAAAAAGGCAGAGAUGGAAGGCAGAUCGAAUGCCCUGCUUUGUACAGUAGAGAGGAAACAAUAGGUUUGAAAUGUUAAUUUGUGGAUCAAACAGGCAAAACGAUCGAUCUGAUCGACUCCCUGUAAAUUUAGUAGUAAGUUUAUGGUGACUAAGUCAGGAGGCUCGUCUUUUGUGCACGUUAAAGUUGGACAAGUCUGACCAAGCACGGACCGACGUCCAAUGUGACAAAUCAAAAUCUUAAGAGUAUUCUGAACAUAUAGCGAUGAUUGUGUACAUAUCAGCCUCCAAUAGAACCCCUAUAGCUACUGGAACCAAGAAGAUUUCUCGUCUAAAUGCCAAAAAUAAACAUUCUGAUAAAGGAAUGAUCAAGAUCAUUGAGUCAAAUAACACGCAAGCAAAGUAAAUGAAUGUGUACAAAUAUACUGUGAAGAAGAAUCGAAGGCUUGAGCUUUUGGCUACUGCCGGUUCAUUACAGAUUAUUCUUUGAUGGUCGCUGUCUCUAUUUCACCAAAAUAGUCGCCUGAGAAAACUUCUCUUUUUCUUUGAUUUUGAAUCUGCACCCCAACAUGGUAAGUUCAAAUUAGUCUACCUCUCAAUCAGGAUGUAAAUGAGUCAAAUGUCUUUACUCCACAUAAACGCAGAGCGUUGUGGAAUGAUAAAAGGUCGAUUGGAUUGACGAAUAUAUAAACAAAUCAUGCAGAUCACAACACCAUUACCCCUUAGUCUCCCAGCUUUUAAUAGUGCUUCCUCAGCGAUUGGUCUCCAUUGCUGAGCGCACGAGAAAGUAAGCCCCAUCCCGACAGUCAGCCCUCGCAAAAGCUGUAUUGUUCGAAGCACUGAAAAUAGCUCUUCCGGGAAGCUCUUCAAAUAGGGGGACAAAUUAGAAAUAAGUCAUUUAAGGAAGCAGUUUAGGAAGUAAAAUGCACAUAAUUAAAUAGAUAAUUCACCAAUGUGUGUAAAUAAUGCAGACAGAUGGAUGAAAUAGAAUACAUGAUUUGUUAAAAAAAAACCAUAUAGGACAUUGUUUACAAGUUUGGAUCUUUAAGGUGCGAUCAUACCUCCACUCCAAUUUUAGUAAGUGAAGAAUCAUCGGCAAAAGGUGACAUAACAGUCACACCAGGUGGUAAUCUUGUGUCGAACAUUCGCAGAGAUAAUUGAAACAAUUCUUCUAGCUUAUUAUCAGCUAUGGUCCUUGUUUUGAUACCGAGCUCCCUGAAAUAUUUUUGUAGUCCAUGAGCAAAACAGGUUAUAUAUCAACAUUCAAGUGCUAUUCACCAAUAAUCAGCACCCCCUCUUGCCCUUAACUAUAUCUUUUCAUUUUAAACAGGAAUCAAUAUUACAUCUUCAUUAGUUUCUAGCUCAUAUAUAAUAUUUCAUUUUACUGCUUCGCAGUAACUCCAACUUACAUAGAUGUACACAGUAGAAAUAUAACAUGGCAUGCAAUUGAGCAUACCUGAAACCUUCUUCGGCCCUCAAAAAAUCAUCAUCAGCCAUUGCAACUACAAGAUUUGCAUAAGCAAGUCGUAAAUCGUCUGGCAUUUCUUUCACUUGUCCAUAAUCAAGUAAAGCCACCUGAAAAACACAAGAAUAACAUUUAACUGGAAGUUGCCAUUGACCUGCAAGAGGAGAUGGAAGAGUUUUAAAAGGUCUCUUGCCUCUGUGUCCUUACAGAUAAGGAUGUUUCCUGGGUGUGGAUCUGCAUGGAAAAAGCCAUCCUUCAAGAUCAUUUGACCAUAUGCAAGGGUAAGAUCUGACAAAAUCUUCCUGCAAUAGGGAAAAAAAAGGUGCUUUUGAAAUCACCUAAGCAUUAAAAAUUAAAGCAACUGAAGGAAAAACUAUAAAAAAAUAAAGUUUUCAAAAAAGGGUUGUUACUAAUUAUUUUUAAGGUCUACCAAACGUGACUAAUUGAGUGGAAUUUUAUUUUAUUCAUCCUAAUAGCACUGACCAACAUAGAAUCUGAAAGCUAUUAUAAGGUUUUGUAAAUUAAGCAAAUGAGAAUCAUACUCUUUUAAGAUGAAGGGGCUUACUGCUUUGCCAUUGCUGCAAUCUUACUACCAGGAUCUACGCCCCUUUUAGCCAUUUCAUUGCCAAGAUUCAUUAUUGGGGUCCCUUUGACAAAUUCCAUUACCAGAACUUCCCUACAAAGAAUAUAAAUAAUAGCAUUUAAGUCAUACUGACAGAAUAACCUCAUGUAUUGAUUGGUCAAAAAAACUCUCAUAAUGAUUAUGCAAAGAAACACAAGAGGUAGUAGGCUCAGUAAAGUUCAAGCCAAUAAAUGCAUUAGAGUUAAGUGUUUCUUCUAUCUAACAGCAAUAGAGUAGAUAAAUCACAAUGUUUCCUACAUUUGAAGCAUAAGAAGAAAGAAUGGUACAUAAAAUCAGCAGCAUACUUCUGGGUAUCAUGAAAUGGAAGCAAAGAAACUUGCGAUAAAUAUUUCUUUGUUUAUUAGCUUAAAUUCCAAACAAGCCAGCAUAUGACAAUGUUAAUCCCUGGAAGGCCAGAUAUGGAGCCUAGAGGGUCAGAAAGAUCCAAUAGCUUGAAGUCACUGUACGAUAGAUGGAAAAACACUAGAAAAAUGCAAAUGUUAACUUUACGUAAAGAAGCAUCUCUCAAAGGAAAUAUCUUUCUUGAGUAAAAAAGAAAAAACAUCUCAUUUAAUUCAAGCAUCCUGGUAUCAGUAAGUGGCUGAUUUAUAACUGCUUUGUUGAAACCAUCAAAUUAAAAACAGCCCUAGUAUCCACCUGAAUAUAUUGUGCAAAGAACUAGGAUUCAAUUAAAUAACCUGAAAACACUUUGAUUAAGUGAGCAGUUAUGAUACUAUACCUGCAAACCAUUCCAGGAAUCACACGAGGCACCAUAACCGGAGGUUUCUUAUUGUUGAGACGUAGGAAUUCUCGUAUCCUUUCCAUUGCCCUUGCUUCGCGCACAAAGUCAAACUCAUAGCAUAUCUUCAGAAGCAAACAUCAAUACAAAAAAUAAUAUCAAUACUUUAACACAACACAUGGUGCACACGGGUGUGAAAUAGAGGUAUUGACAAAGAAUAAAGAACACAACAAUAUUCUCUGCAGCUUAAAGAGUAAAAUCUGUAUCAAAACAAAAUUGAAGUUAACACAGCACAUUAUCGUAUAGGAGAUGCAUUUUUAUGCUCACCAAUCUAUUUGAACAAUUGAUCUCCAAUGUAAAUAUGUAAUUGGGCAAUAAUGGUGCAGCUGCAAAUAGGGGCCAUUCUUUGCUUCCAAUGGUUAAAAUGGGAAUACAAAAAUGACUGAGCUUAUUCUUUUGUGGACAUGCAGAUAUCUCAUAUUAACUUCUAUUAACCUUUAAUUGAAUUCCCAAUUCACCAAAGAUACAUAAUAGUUACAAUGGGCUAUACUAUGAAAACAAUGUUAAAAGGGAGCUUUCACAUUUUCUCUAAGAAGUUUAAAAUUCUAAUAGUGAGGGGGAAAAAAGAAACCUAUUUUAGUGCCCCUAAAUUUUAAAGCUACUGAUUAAUCAGAUAUAAGACAGUAGACAUCAAAAUCCAUGAUGCAUACAACUCUAUGUAAAGACCCACAUACAGUACAAACAUGCGCCAUUUCACGAGCUUCACCAGUAAUUUGACACAUGGCAGUCUGACUUAGUUUACGUCAAAUAAUGAUAAUUGCACAACAGGCUCCACAUUAUUCUUGAUGUUUGAUGUGGAAAAGUUAUAUAGAAUUACCAGAACAAGUGAAAGUAGAAUGAUUUAGGGUUGGGGAACAAAACCUGCUUUUCCAUCUCUUUGGUGGCAGAGAAUAGAUCAAAGUUGAUGUCAUACUUCUGCAAAAACAAGGCCAUUGCUUGCAUGUUCCGGAUAUCAACCUUCAUCAGAUGUUCAGCUCCUGGAUGUUGAACCUGAUCAAUUCCUAACAUCAUGACACAUCCUAGCAAACCUGAAAUUUCAAACGGCUGUUUACAGAACACAUGAAUGCAUAUACUAACCUUGACAGCAACAUCUGUCUUCGAUAAUUUAAGCCUUGCUCGAUGCACCUAACAACAAAUAUGAAGCAAAGGAUUAACUGAGAGAUUGUCUAAAAGAUUAAGUGAUAAAAUAAGAGAUCUGUUCCAGGCAAGUGUGCAAUGUUAUGUUAAAAAGCAGAAAAUAACAUAUGCACAGGCCUAACAUUGACAGGAAUGGUAGAAAGCACAGAUGUUAAGAAUCCCCAGAUUUCACAGAAAAGGAGAUUUACCUAAGCACGAACCUGUGCAAUAGAAGCAGACCCAACAGGCUCAACGUCGAACUCUUCGAAUAUGUCAUCAAAGCUCUUUCCAAACUGUCUCUCCACAACAUCUCUCACAACAUCAAAUGGUGUGGCUGGGGCCUUAUCACAGAGCGUGACGAGUCUCUUCACCCAAGCCAUCGGCGCCAAAUCGGGUUUUCCCAGAAUUUGUGCAGCCUGUUUCAAAAUCCACUAAUCCAAUGUCAGUCUCACAGAACACUCGAAUCAAAACCAGAUGGUACAAAAGCACCCCAAGCACAAUUGCAACUACGAUUUACCAGCACAAUCCGAUUGCAGCUGCUGUCAAUCACUCUGAUUUUGUUUUCAUACGAUUGACUGAGGCUGGAGAUAACUGGGGGCAGGACAGAAAAAACAGGGGAACCGAAGCCCACCACCAACCUUGAGGAAGAGUCCGCCGAGCUCGGAGCAGAGGGAGUACAUCUUCUGGGCGCCGAGCUCGUGCUGCUGCUCCCACAUGGCCCCCCGCUCCUCCUCAUCCUUGACGAACCCCGCCCGCAGCUGGCACACCUGGACCGACCAAAGCGCUCGCCAAUUAAACCCCCCGCACCUCACCAGGGGACCAUAUCGACGAGCACCUCAAAGGCACCCCACCAACGGACCAGCGGCUAGCUCGCCUACCUUGUAGCUGGUGUAGAUGUCCGCGGCGCGGACCCAGAACUGCGCGGAGCGGCUCCACGGGUGGAGGCGGUCGGAGAUGCGCUCCCGCAGGUCCUGCAGCUGCGCGACGGCCAGCGGCAUUGCAGUCGGGCGGACUGGGCGAGGUGGCCGCGGCCUCGGACGCGUGGGAGCGGGGAUAUGGAUAUGUGCGCACGCCGCUGCGGAGUUACGGCGGCCGCGGUGGCUGCGCCGUCGCGUUCCUUUCGUGCGCCCCCCGGUGGUGGGCGACGGCAGCGUCCGCGUGUUGUGUGGCUGACUGGCUACGGCGUACGGCGAGGUCGGGCCCACCACGAAUCUAGCGAGGGUAAAAGGACUUUUUCAGUCUUGUGGAGGCAAAUUGUGCGAGAAGGCGUGCGGGCUUGCGCUUGCGGCUGUGGCGCGACGUGGUAGGCGCGCUCCGUUGUAGGCUGCUGACGGCGACGGUGCUGCGCGAUUCUUGUCAGCGGCGAGAUCGCCUUAGAUCCGUGCAGAGUCCAGUUCCAAUGUUCCGUUCCAGCCUGGGGUGUUUGUAUACUCGGAUUACCCGUCACGUCGAAUAUUUAGAUACAAAUUCUAAUUCUAAAUAUUAAAUAUAGAUUAUUUAGGAGGCCAAACGGCGAGACAAAUCUAUUAAGUCUAAUUAAUCUAUGAUUUGACAAUGUGCUACUACAGUAACCAUUUGCUAAUGAUGGAUUAAUUAGGUUUAAUAGAUUCGACGCACUGUUUAGCCUCCAUCUGUGUAAUUAGUUUUAUAAUUAACUCAUAUUUAGUCCUCCUAAUUAGCCUCCGAAUAUUUGAUGUGACAUGGACUAAACUUUAGCUCCAGGAUCCAAACGCUCCCUAAGAACAACUCCAAGAGCACCUCUAUCUCACCCAUAAUACCUUCUUUAGGGGGGAAAUGGAAAAAAAAGGAACUCCAACAGUUCCCCCGAACCUCCUCCAAUCUUUUCGCGACGCGAAAAUCUUCCCCCGCGACGCACAAAUAUGCGGGACUUUCCUCCGCCCUCAAUCCGCCCCUGAGCCUGCUUUCCCGCGCGCGAUUCACCAUUCCCGCCAGCUCCCCUCCACUUCGCGACGCGCAAAUCUUCGGCUUUCGGCGGCAGUGGCAGCGGCUUUCCACGGCGAGCAGCGGGGGCUUUACCUAAUGCCCCCUAUCGUGACGGUGGGGAGGAGCGGUGUGAUGGUCGCGCCCUGCAGUGCGGGCUUCGGCGGCGAGGCAGCGGGUGCUGCCCUCGCGGAGGUGGAGGCGGAGACCGGGGGGAGGAGCGAUGUGAUGGCCACGCCUUGCAGCGCGGGCUUCGGCGGCGGGGCGGCGGGGGCCGCCCUCGCGGAGGCGGAGGUGGACACGGGGGGAGGAUGCCGAUGUGGGAGGAGGAGGAGGCGGCGGUGGGAAAUGGGCUUGAGGAUAGUUGAAUUAUUGGGAGAUAGACGGAGGCGGAGACCGGGGGAUGACGUGGGCUAUUUUGAAUUAUUGGGGGAUAGUUUUUAGCAUUCUGCUGUGGGUUGAUAUGUUUUUUGGGAAAAAAUUUUUUAGCAUAGCCCCCAAUACACUGUUUUGGGGGAGAAUUUUUUGAGGAACUCUUGGAGUUGCUCUAAGCCAUUCGCAUCAAACACAAAGCCUAGUGUUUGAGAUUCGUGCAGGGGCGCGAAGUUCAUUAGAUGCAUCAAACUCAAACCCUAACUCCCACCCCCUCCCUCCCUUGCCUGUGCCGCUGUCCCUCGCGCGGAAACUCACGCGUCGGUGUUUAAAUCUGGCAACCUACCAAGGGAGUACCCGAGGUAGUGUUUUGGUUGGUGGGUGUCGCCGAAAUCAGGAACCCGAUGGUGUAUGCAGGUACACGAUUUAGACAGGUUCAGGCUGCUAGAUCGCGUAAUACCCUACAUCUUGUGUGUAGCUUGCUCGUAUUGGAUUGAACUUGUCCUGAAGGGGUCCCUGCCCGCCCUUAUCUAUUGGGGGAGCAGAGUUACAUGGCGGUUUUUUUUACAAGAGUAUUAGUUAGAUUCGACCAGAAAAUUCUAUUCCAACUAGGAAGAGUAGAUUCCUUGUCCUCGACUAGUCCCUUGGACUUCACGUAGACUACGCCGUACUGCAUCGUAGUUUCCAUGUCUGAUACGUCUUGGUGUACAACCCCGUAUGUGGAUCUGUCCAAACCUUCUGGUGGGCUCAUAGAUGUAUGUACGACAAGCCCUCGAGUACGUUUUAGUCAAAUGCAAUAGUCUCGAGUACCUUCGCAGACUUAGUCUGACUAGUUUCUGGUGCUCUUCUGAGUACUUCUGACAUGACUGAGUCUUCAAGUACUCGGGUACUGUCAUGCGGCUAGAAUGUGGUCAAGCCUCAUCUGACUUUAUAUUUGGAAUAUUGGUCUUCAAAUCUUUAUAUGGAAGUGCGAUGAAAAUCACACUCCAUAUGGAGUAGCCCCUGCGCCUUAGGUUGAAUCGAAGAAUCAGGUUGAGGUCAAUCAGCAUUUGCUCUGUCCUUGUCUUGAUCUUGAAGAAAAAGAAUUUUUUAGCCAACGUACAUGGUGUACGCAGCCCCCGAGCCGUUGCACGACUUGUUUCAGGCGGUAUACGGGUCAUUCAACAGUGAUUGUGACCUUUCAGGUUCUAUAUUGUUUGUUGUAAAAUAUCUUGUGACAGAUGGUUGGGUCCGAAAUUAUUGCCGUUAUGCAAAAACAUCGGUCCCUUACUCCCGUUAACUCUGCCGCUGUUAUAAAAGUAGGGAAAAUUAUCCCUCCGUUCACAUUAUUAUUUUGCAUCUGCUAUUUGCCUCCCAAAUAACCCUAGUUCCUGAGCGCCGCCGCAAUUCAAUCUCAGAGUGCUAGCGCCGCCCCUCCCUUCCACCAAGCCCCCGAGCGCACGUGCGUUAGUAUACUCACGAGGAUCAUCAUGGGGAAGAAAGCCAUUAGUUCCAAGGGUGCUGAGGGUUCCAAGAAGGGAUCUUCGAAGGGAAGGAGCCCCAACUGCCGUCACCGAAGUACGGAAAGACCGACCAGACUGCACCACCGAACCAAGCCAUGACAUUGAAAAGGUCCACCAUGAAGGAGCCAGAGAUCCUCGAGCUGGUGGCGGCCAAGUUGUUGAAAGAUCAGGCGACCAUGGGCUGGAGGAGUGCCUAUGGUGAUACGUGGCCUUUUGAAUCUCAUCCCAAUGAGACGGUAACUUUCGGGCUUUUCGUUGAGCGUGGUUUUGCUGUCCCCACUUCUGAUUUUUUUCGAGGUUUGCUGGAGUACCACCAUCUGCAAUAUGUCCAUCUGAAUCCCAAUAGCAUCCUUCACAUUAGCAUCUUCGUGCUUCUGUGCGAAGCUUUCUUGGGGAUCCAGCUCCACUUCAACUUGUUUCGAAAACUUUUUCGUGUCAAGCCACAGCCCAGCAAGAGUCAUGCAAGGUAGUUGGGGGUGUCAGUAGUUAGAUCCGGGAGAGUAGUCAUUAUUUGGACCAUGAAACCAUUGAUUCGCAUUUCGGGUGGAAGCAGAAAUAGUUUUAUGUUAAGAAUCAUGAGCCGCAACUGGCCAAAGUUACUGGCCAUCGCCCAGAGUGGAAUAGCAGAUGGAUUGAUCAGCCAACAACUGGGGAGGGUAUGCAGGUGCCUAAACUUUUGGCCAGGAUCAUCGAGCUGAAAAGAAAAGGAUUGACAGGCGUUGUAGUGGCUGCCAGUUUCUUGAAAAGAUAGAUACAACCGCUGCAGCUUCAUCACACUUGGGGUUAUGAGUACUCGAGCUUGAAUGAUUCGUCGAGGAUGUUGCCCGAGGACAUUUCCGUCGACAAGGUGACGGUGAAAUUGAACCGGAUGUUCAAGAACAUCGAGGCCAUCCCCCAGGUAGUCGAAGAAUUCGAUGCUUUCAACAAGCCGAGAGAAGUAAGUACUCGUAGCCAUAGCUUCCAAGUAUCUAUACUUUAUUGAUCUGUUUCACCAACUUAUUCUCCUUUUGCAUAGGAGGAUGCACUCAUAUUCCUUUUGCCUCCUCCUGCCCCCGACGCCGAUGAUUUUAAGAACGCGCGGCAAGUUCUGAGACUGGGGGAACUGUGCUUGGAGCCACCCAGGAGGAAGAGGAGGAGGAGGGCGAAGAGACCGAGUCCCUCAGCAGCUCUGAUACUGACGUUGCUGUGGAUUUUUUGUUUUGCAGCCCCACACCGCUGAGCAGAUUGGAAUGUCUUCGGGUGCGUCAAAGCGCCCGGCUGAAGAUGAACCCGAUGCUAACUUGGCCCCACCGUCGAGGAAGAAACGGACGGUAAGCAAGAGGCGUGCUUUGCAUAGUCUUUCUAUUGUGGAGAACGCACCCCCACCGGUAUUGCUCUUCGAAGAAGGACAAAACCAUAAGGCGUGGACGCGAUUGCGUAUGUAUGCCAUGAUUACCGAUCUUGUCUUCUUAUGUACUGCAAGGUGCUGAUGACAUGACGAGGACGACUACUGACGUCGCUCCUUCUGAAGUACCUGUUGCAGGGGAUGAUCGCGAGCCCCCUACUGCUGCCGUGAUGCCCGCGAGUACAGAUCUACUCGUGGGAGGUAGAGGGUAGAGUACUCUGGCUGGCCUAGGUUAGGAUGUGUUACCACGUGCUGCGCCAAGGGUGACUGCUCCCACGCCCCAAUUGAUGUGUUUGGUGGGAGAUCUGUUGCUGAAGCUGCGGAGAUCUGCCAGGUAAGUACUCUGUUGGUCGCGAGUAAUGAUUUUGUGUUGGUUACUUGAUUUUGUUUGUUUCCUUGAUGCUCCUUUUUGUGCAGAAUGUCUUCAGAUGCGGACCUUCGGAGGUCAGAUCCGGAAUCAACAACUGAUGGCACAAGCUGCUUAGGUGCAGAUCCAGCCUCCGAUCUAACCAUGGUCCCGACAGUGGAGGAUCCGGCUUCGGUGCUAGAGGCGGGCACGACGUCCUUUUGUUGCGGUGCUGAUGCAGGAUGUGAUUAGCUCUCUGAAGGACGUGACUGUGCCAGCCCCCGAGCCCGUUCUGCCCCAGGUACUUUCAGAGGCUAGUCCUUUAGAGGAUCCAUCUGCCACAAAAGUCGUCGAUGCGAACCCUCUCUGCGCUGCUGACCCUGUGGUCCUUGAGCUCGAAGCUGCUCGUACUCUAGAAUCCGUGGCUGCUGCCGCUGGGGAAACGUUCAAAGCAGAGACCUCUGGACGUGAACUAGUGCCCUGCUUAAGGGGCGAGUUGGCCACUGAAGGUAUGAUGUAGCCCGAGGAAAUCCCAGACUUUGAAAGUCCGCUGCUGGAUCCGCAGACGGUGCCUCACAUCCGGGAUAUGAACCAGCGUGUAGCAUUGUACACAGAGGUAAAUUCUUCAUUUAUCCUUUUGCUUGUUAUCUAAGAUUGUCUUUUCAGCCUCUCGGGGUACUAAUUUCUGGUAACCAGGAGCUGAUCAAUCAAUCCCGCCGGAAUACCCAAUUCCUACGGGGAUUUGGUGAAGCCGUGCGCCGGAUCCGAGUGUUGGAGAGGCAACUGGCUCAAGAGCGACGCCAAUCUUCCCAACUUAUCAUGAAAUUUGAUAGUACAACGGCAUCAUUCCGGGCAGAGAGGCAAGAUUUUCACAAUGAAAAAGACUGCCUUGUCGCCCGAAAUAAGUCUUUGUAUCAUAAGCUUGAAGGUGAGUACUUGUAUUUGUAGUCCCCAUCUGUCUGUAGUCUUAUCCUUUUGACUUCUUGUUUCCUUUUCUCAGAAUAUAAGAGCAAGGAGACUAUGUUGAAGAGCUCUAUCACCGAUUGGAAGAACGCCUUCUAUCGGUUGACAGAGCAGCAUGACAAGCUUACGCGUCAAGUGGAAUAGAUGGAGAAGGAACGCAAGAUGCGCCGGGAUGGUGAAGUUGGCCUUGUUGAGGCUAUGACUACUAUUCGGGCGCAGCAAGAAGAACUCCAGCGGUGGUCAGAGGUGGCGCGGCCCAUAGCGGAUAUGGUGGAGCCCCUUGUUGAAGGUGUGGAGCCUCGCCCACUACUAGACAAGAUCCGGGAUGCGCCAUCAAAGAUCACCGGCUAUGUUCAAGGCAUGGUGAAGUCUGUGUCCAAGCAGGUGUUAAGCUUUGUCAAGUCAUUUUACCCCAAGACUGAUUUAUCUCUUGUUGCGGAGGGGGGUCGCUAGGGAUUGCACUGAAGAGGUUUUCUAGCGGUAUCUAGAGGAGAUGGACCUCAUCGCUAAAGAAGUAGCCAAGUUCUUGGAUCUCUAGUAGACUUAUCUUUCUCCCCUUUUUUGUUGGGCAUGAAAAACUUAAGUCCUGUAAUGGAACACCUGUAUAUAUAACUUUAAGUCUUUGAGCGAUUUGUUGAGCUCUUCGAUUUAGUUAUCUGCAUUGUUUAGUGCAUCUCAAACUUCGGAAGCGAUUUGCUGAGUACUUGGGCACUCAAGCUAUCCGGUAGUAAUCAUUGAGUAGUGUCUCCAGGAUUUUUCGCGAUAGGGCUUUUUUCCUUGACUCUUUGUAGUGGGAGAACUUGCAUUAUUGUUGUUUCAUUAGGAAGGACAAAUGUGAGUACUGUUCGCCCUUAUCUGGUUGUAAAAGGGACGAGCCGCAUGUGAGCACUGGCUUCAGGUUUCAGGCGAUAAGGGUCUUCACGUGAACACCGUACCAACGUCUGGCAGUCGGGCAACCUUUUUACUGUGUAGUCACGGGCUCGUGGUGUAUCACUCCUAUACGGUAGCUUGUUGCCUUGGCUAUAAAUAGGGCUGCUUCUGCCUUCGGAGUGCUCAUGUCUCGGGUUAUAGCGAUAGUUGGUUUGAGACUUUUGCUCUUCGCCAGGGGUAGCUUCCACUAGAUCUCAUGAUGCAAGGAGAAUUCUUGUAAUGAAGUAUAGCUUCCUUGAGCAUAGCUUUCUUGCGUGCGCUCUUUUUCCUUUUUUUGCCUCGACGCUUCUUGUUCCGAGGUGCAGAGUAGUCCUGGGUAUAUUCACACACGCUUUGCGUGAUAUUGUAAAAGCCUGGGAAAUCUGUUGUGACUGCUGAUAAGUAGUUGCUUGUAGUCGUUGUUGAGCAUAUUUGUUGUAUGUGUUGCCUCGACUUUUUGAGAUGGAAGCAUUGAUGUAUCUCUGAGACGACUGGUGGCUCUUUGUGCCGCUAGUCCGCAUUGCAAACUGCUAGGUGAGUUGAAUAACUCGCGUGGACCUGUAAUUACAAGUCGCACUGGGGCGUUGUGGCCCGGAGAGCUCUAUGGCUUAUAAGAUACUGCUGACCCGCUUUUGCAAGCCGCGAUUGAGGCGAGAAGGAGUAGUCGAAUGUUGCCAAAAAAUAAUUGCAUUGAUAUGCUGAAAAAACUUGCAAUGUUGGCCUGAUAGCCUGUUUGUAGUGCCCCGUAGUCUUCUGACUAGGGGUAUAAAUGACAGAGGUGCUCGAUGUUCCAUGAGUUAUCAACGUCUUUGCCGAAGAGGUGUUGUAGCCUGUACGAUCCUGGGCCUGUGAUCUUGGAUACAAUGUAUGACCCUUCCCAUGGUGAGUUAAGCUUGUGCAGCCCCUUGGUGUCUUCAAUACGCUUGAGGACUAUAUCACCUAUGUUGAAGGAAUGUUCUUUGGUGUUGCGAUCAUGAUAGCGGCGAAGCCCUUCGAGAUAUCUUGCAUAUUGGACAAGUGCUGCACAACGUGAUUCUUCGAGGCUAUCUAUAUCCAAAUAUCUUGUUUCCUCUGCUUCUUUGCUCGACUGCUGGGGAUUUCCACGUAACGUCAGUAGGGAGGAUAGCUUCUGAUCCGUAGACCAGGAAGUAGGGCGAUUGCCCGGUGGGCUUGCACGGUUGAGUACGUAGCCCUCAUAGGACGUUGGGUAGCUCUUUGAGCCACUUGCCUCCUUUGGUGUUGCCAAUGUCGUCCAAUCUUUUCUUCAGUGCUUCCAAAAGCAUCCCGUUGGCACGCUCGACUUGACCAUUGACCCUCGGAUGAGCCACGAAGACGUAACGGAUGUCGAUGCUGCUAUUUUCACAAUACUCCUAGAACUUGUGGUUGUUGAAAUUGGAACCCAGGUCUGUGAUGAUCUGGUUAGAGAAUCCAUAGCGGUGGAUGAUCUCGUCGAGGAAGUCGAGUACUCUAUCUGCCGUGGGCAGGUUACUGGCUUCACCUCUAUCCACUUAGUGAACUUGUCGAUCGCUACCAGUACUCGAUUGAAUCCUCCGGGUGCCAUUGGAAGUGGACCAAUCAUGUUGAGCCCCCAGCAUGCGAAGAGCCAUGUUGGAGGUAUGGUAAUAAGCUUGUAGGAAGGGACAUGUUGUUGUUUGGCGAAGAACUGACAACCCUGGCAUCGACGGGCUAGUUUUUAAGUGCUUGCUAGGACGGUUGGCCAGUAGAACGCUACUCUAAAAUCUUUGCCCACGAUCGUGCGUGAAGAUGCGUGGUUGCCGCAGAUUCCUAUGUGUAUCUCCUUCAAUAUGUCUUUGCUGUCUUCCCGUGUGAUGCAUUUCAUGAGUACUCUUGAUGAUACACCUCGUCUGUAGAGUUUGUCUCCGACUAGGACAUAGUUCCUGCUUCGUCGUAGGACCUGCUCUACCUGAGGCUUUUCUGAGAGUAGUUUUUGCUCUUUUAUGUAGUCGAUGAACGGAUUUCUCCAAUCCAAUUCAAUCAUCAUCACCUCCUGAUUUGGUGCCUCAGGACCGCGAUUGGUGGUUGUAGCGCGUGCUGGCUCUUCUAUGGAUGGCUUGCGGAGUUCGUGGACGAAGACUCCUGCUGGUACUUGAGCGCGGGUAUCUUGGACAAGACAUCUGCAGCAAUGUUGUUGUUGCAGACUACGUGGUGAAACUCCAAGUCGGAAAAUUUAUUUUCAAGCUUGCAUACUUCUCUGCAAUACGCGUCCAUAUUCUCCAUGUUGCGAUCCUAUUCGUCAUUGACUUGGUUGAUGACUACUAGUGAGUCGCCGUAGACUAGCAAUCUUUUGGUUCCUAGUGAUACCGCCAGGCGGAGCCCGUGCAGUAACGCUUCGUACUCUGCUUUGUUAUUGGAUGCCUCCCAGAAGAUCUGAAGUACAUAUUUGAGUUGCUCGCCUUUGGGUGAUAUCAAGAGUACUCCUACGCCGGCGCCUUCGAGCUUGAGUGAUCUGUCAAAAUAAAUCAUCCACUGCUCUGGGCGCUCUGCCGGCGUCGGUAGUUGAUUUUCCCGUCACUCUGCCAUGAAGUCGACUAGAGCUUGGAAUUUGAUCGCGGUUCUUGGUUUGAAUUCGAGGGAUAGCGCUCCAAGUUCUACUACCCAUUUUGAGAUCCUGCCUGUAGCAUCUCGAUUGUGGAGAAUCUCGCCUAGGGGGAAGUCGGUGAUAACAGAGAUCUUGGAAGUAGUGCCGCAGCUUCUGUGAGGUAAGUAGUAUGGCAUACAACAAUUUCUGAACCGGUAGGUACCGGGUCUUGGAAUCUGAGAGUACUUCACUGACGAAAUAGCCUUUAUACUUUGUAUAUGUGGCCUUGUUCGGAUCUCUCGACUACUAUUGCCGGGCUUAUGACAUGAGUAGUUACAGCGAAUAUAUAGCAGCAAGUCUUCAUUAGGAGUAGGUGCCAUGAGAAUCAGUGGUUUUGAUAAGAAAUCCUUCAAUUGCAGCAAGGCUUUGUCUGCCUCUUCGAUCCACUAAAACUUGUCUUGCCGCUUGAGUAGUUUGAAAAAGGGAAGGUCCCAUUCUCCAAGCCUUGAAAUAAAUCUGUUGAGGGCCGCCAUACACCCGGUUAGCUUCUGAACGUCCUUGAUACCGGACAGAGGUUGCAUGUCGAUGAUGGUGGAUGUCUUCUCAGGGUUUGCUUCAAUGCUUCUGUGGCUAAUGAUGAACCCGAGUAGUUUUUCAGCUGGUACGCCAAAGACGCAAUUUGUUGUGUUGAGCUUCCACCGGAAAGUCCACAGACUAGCGAAGGUUUCUUCCAAGUCGGCGAUGAGAUCAUCUGGAUUUCUAGUUUUGACUACCACGUCAUCCACGUAUGCCUCAAUAUUGCAGUGUAGCUAUUUCUCAAAUCACAUUUGGAUUGCGCGUUGGUAGGUGGUGCCUGCGUUCUUCUGCCCGAAGGACAUCAUCGUGUAGCAGAAAGCUCCGUAAGGGGUGAUAAAUGAGGUCUUGACCUGAUCUUCUUCCUUGAGAGCUAUUUGGUGGUACGCUAAGUAGCAAUCUAGGAAACAAAGUCGUGCGCAUCCAACUGUGGAGUCGAUGACUUGGUCGAUCCUCGGGAGCCUAAAAGGCUUCUUUGGACAGUGCUUGUUGAGAUCUGUGUAGUCCAUGCACAUCAUCCAUUCAUUGUUCUUGUUCUUUUAAACUAGGACGGGAUUGGCAAGCCACUCAGGAUGGAAGACUUCUUUUAUGAAGCCUGCCGUGAGUAGUUUUACCAACUCUUUCUUGAUGGUUUCCCUUCUGUCCUGGACGAAUCGUCGUAGUCGUUGUCUCUUUGAAGUAGCUUUGGGAUCUACAUUAAGUGAGUGCUCGAUCAGAUCCUGGUGCUCCACGCGAAAAUGUCUCGGUUAGCCUGAAGGAAACUGACGAGCGCGCUUUCCUAUUUAGCAUCCAGCCCUGUGCCAAUCAGGGCUGUCUUGGAGGUGUCGCCGGUCUCGAGGUCGAUGGCUUUGAAGUUUGCAUCGCUUGUCGGCUUGACCUUUGUAGCUCCCGACUUGUUCUCUAGAAUUUCGAGCUCUGUCGAGGAGAGCUUCUUUGAAGCGGUGAAAACUUGUUGUAUUGAAUUGGGCACUUGAGUAGUCGCGGCCAAUUCAACGGAUUCGGUGUCGCACUCGUAUGAUUUCUUCAAGUUUCCACAGAGGGAGAGGGCUCCCUUAGGUCCCGGCAUCUUGAGUACUAAGUACACAUAAUGCAGGAUUGCCAUUAACUUGGCCAAAUCUGGUCUUCUGAGGAUGACGUGAUAAGAAGUCUCAAAGUAUGCCACCUCGACUGGAUGUACUCGGUUUGGUAGUGCUCCUUGGUCCCAAAGGUAAUUGGCAGGACUACUUAUCCAAGAGGUAUAGCCGCUUUGCCUGGGAUAAUCCCGUAGAACGGAGAGCUCGUCGAAGUAAGCAUUUCUGUGAUGUUGAGGUCCAUCUUGUUUAAAGUCUUGGCGAACAGGAUGUUGAGACCACUGCCGCCAAUGAUGAGUACCUUGUUAAGUCUGGAGCCAGCAACAACCGGGUCCGGGAUAAGAGAGAAUCAUCCUGGUUCCGAGAAAUUUGUCCACUAAUCCUUCCUGGAGAAGGUAAUUGGCACCUCAGACCACUUAAGAGGUGUUGGAAUAGCAGGCUCGAUGGACAUGAUUUCCCGUAGUACUAACUUUUGAGACCGUUUGGAGGCGGUACCCGGGAUUCCACCAAAAAUGACGUUGAUAGUCUUGGAUGAGGUCUAAAACUUGCCUCACCGUCUUUGCCUUCAUUUACCUUGGCUUUUCCCUUGUCAUUGGUACUCGAGGGAUCUGGCAAUUCCUUCAUUACUCUGCGUAGGUUGUACCAGUCUAUCGCAGCGUGUUUGUGACAAGGGUGCCACGAGCAUUGUUUCUUCAGAAGCUCGCUGAAAGCAACCUUUCUUGGCCGAUUGCGACAUCGCUGCGACAGUGUUGUCUGGCUUGCACUUGCGGUUUUGACCUCCCGAGUACUUAUUUCGAUGGUCACCACUACGGUUCUUGUCAUGGUCCUGACCGUUGUCUUGAUUGUUAUUGUGUUAGCUUCGAUUGCGAUUCGACUCGAGUCUUUCGAUCUCUUUGUCUUCUUCAUUUGCCUAAGAUUGUGCCAUGGUCUUGAGCGAUUUGACAUCUUGAGGAUGUCGUCUACCGAAGUCUUGGAACAUGCAGUGAUCGUAGAGACCGUUCUGAAAACAGUCAAUUACGUCUUCUUCUGAGAUGUCUACAAUAGUGGCUUUCUUGUCGAAAAACCGACGCAGGUAGCUUCGCACAGUCUCGUCUCGCCGCUGCUUGACUUGUGCCAAGUCGUUUUUGUUGCUCGGACGCUACAUUGCUCCCGCGUAAUUGUUGAUGAACGCCUUCUUCAGGUCUUGCCAAGAGUCGAUUGAGUUUGUCUUCAAGGACUCGAGCCAAGUUAGUGGCGCGGUUUCCAUGCAUAUGGGAAAAUAUAUGGCUUUUGUGUCAUCGGUGCCCCCUGCAGCUUGAACUGACAAUGAGUAGCAUCGAAACCAUUGGACUGGGUCUUACUUGCCAUCGUACUUGGAGAUACCCAGAGGUUUGAAUUUCUCGGGUAGGAUAGUCUUUCUGACCCAACUUGUAAAGGCGGGGAAGCUAUCGUUGUCAUCGUCCAUGUAAUCAUCUUUGAGUUCACGUUCACGAUGCCUUCCAUUGAUGAUGUUUCGAGCGUCGCGAUUGCUGUUUAUCUUUUGUCGGAGAUCCUCGACGUCAUGUGCGGGCUCGAGAUCAGCUCUGUGGUAGUGCUAGCCUUCCGUAGAAGUUGUCCGACUACCCUCCGGUAUAUCUUUGUUCUAUCUUAGGCCUUCAAUUGCACCCUGGUUAUGUCUGGCGUCCUCAUGUAGUCGAGCUGAGGGUCCUGCAUGGUCUCUGUGGCUAUUGCCGUGCUGACUUCGCACCGAUAGGGUACAUGAUAUUGAAGGAAUCAGGUUCUGCCUGUCGAGUAGUUCGUAGGCACGUUCCACUAACUAUGAUAAUAUUGUGGUGUACUUGUCUUGUGGCAUGGCAUGUGUGAGGAGGUCAAUGGAAGCAACAAUGGCGAGAAGCGUCUGGUGCUGCCGCAUUUGCACUGCCUCAAAAGCUUUGUCUAGGGCUCUGCCAAUUGGCGGCGACGUUCUAGUCUUGAUGCAUUCCUUGCUCGCCGUCGAGUUCUCUGCCCUUUGGUUUCUUCCCCGAUGAUGUUGGCGGAGACUUCAUCCUGUGAAACAUCAUCUGGGUGAUGCUCCUGGUGAUGAUUCCUCUCUGGUUGUCGUUGUUCACCGUCCUCCCCAUCACCCGCUGUGAUAAGAGCAAAGAGUUUUCUAUCUGGAGAAGGGCUACCAGAGCUCGAGGUGAUGACUUCUGUGGAGCCAUCGUCUUCAUGGAGAGGAGACAGGGGUGUUCCCUCCUGGUACGGGAUAAUGUCGAGGUGGGUGAUGAGACGUGAUCCAUUGUCUUGGGCAAGAAAGGACGGCUUCAUGGCUGGCCAAUAGACGAAUAGGUGUUGAAGUAAUCACCAGACCCUAUUGCGGACCUGAUAAAGGGGUCUCCUCGACAGAAUUUGAGUAGAGAUCGAAAUCACGGUCCUCAAGCGCCUCCAAGUUCGGUUGCAAUUUGGACAGGGUUGCUUGAUGGAUAGAAAUCGCGUUACGGAGUCCGAACGGGAAUUGGCUCCGAGUUUGAUUUGAUUCGCAUGAUGGUUGGAUUGCCUACUCGUGGGGACCAAUUCGAGUGGAUGUAGAGCUCGAGUUGUACUCAGACUCGCUUCUUAGAUCAAAAAAUUUGUUGAAUUUCUCGACAAAAUCCUCCGUGGCUUGAUGAUCUAGGUUGAUGUCGUGGAGCUUCUUCUCUGAAGCCUCCACGAUGUAGCGGUGGAAGUUUCCAACGCCAUUUGCGACGUAAACCCAGGAGCCGAAGAUGAACGUCGCACCUGCUUUGAACGCGACUGUGGGCUUGAUGAUGACUUGAGCCAUCGAACUCGCAAGGGGAAUUUUGGUGACUUCCCGUACUUGGCGCGCUAGCUGUCGGUGUUUAAACCCGGCAACCUACCAAGGGAGUACCCAAGUUAGAGUUUUGGUUGGUGGGUGUCGUCGAAAUUAGGAACCCGAUGGUGUACGUAGGCACGCGAUUUAGAUAGGUUCGGAUCGCUAGAUCGCGUAAUACUCUACAUCUUGUGUGUAGCUUACUCUUAUUGGAUUGAACUUGUCCAAGGGGAUCCCUACCCGCCCUCAUCUAUCGGGGGAGUAGAGUUAUAGGAUGGUUUUUUUACAAGAGUAAUAGUCGGAUUCUACCAGAGAAUUCUAUUCCAACUAGGAAGAGUAGCUUCCUUGUCCUCGACUAGUCCCUUGGACUCCAUGUAAACUACGCCGUCCUGCGCCGUAGCUUCCAUGUCUCGGUGUACAGCUCCAUAUGUGGAUCUGUCCAAACUUUCUGGUGGGCUCAUAGAUGUAUGUACGACACCGCGCUGGCAACGCGGCCGGCCCUGCUGCUGCCGUAGCCGUCGCGGCCCGUCGCUCCGCGCUGCCCUGACCCGCGCGCAGGCUCGUUGGCCGCCACUACUAGUCGCCGAAGCUAGAGAGAAGGCGCGGCCAGUGGCAAAAAGAAAAUUAAGAAUUUUUUUUAAAAAAAUAUUGAAACAAUUAAAAAAUAUUAGAUCAAUUUUUUUAAAAAAAUGUUGGUUGAAUUUUUUCUAAAUAAAUGUUAAUCUCAACUUUUAUCGAAAUGUUGGUUGAACAAACAUUUUUAUCCAGUGGCCAUCAUCGAAUAGGAGGAUCCAGGAGGAAGAUGGGCCUCGCUGCGCUGGAAGUUUCAACUCUAUCUAGAGCCCCCGGCAGCGGGCGCAACGGAAAAAUAUCCCCCGAGCUGGAGAAGCCGCGGAGACCCGCGCCCCGCCGGCUUGCCCGUCGCCUAGUUGUCCAUGGCGGCCGCGAUGGGCGCCGUGAUCCGGCGGAUGCACGCGGCGGCGGCGGCGGCGCAUCCCCCGCGCCUGACGAAGCUCGCGCUGCACCCGCCCAAAUCCGUGAGUCUCCUCCACCUUAGAUCCUAUCUACCUUAGCCGAUUCCUGCGAGUUUGAACUGCUCGCGUGGUGAUUGCUGGUUAGUGUUCUGUUUGGUUUUGGUGUGAUCUAGAGUAGUACUGUCUACUGUCCCCUCGGCUGAAAGGAGGCCAAAUUCACGACAGCGCUCGGCGGCUCGGGGCCGCCGUGUUGUGCUGUCCGACUUCACCUGAUUGUUUGUCACAGCUGCUCAAAUGUUAUGUGCAGAUUUGUUCUUCGGUUGCCAUGCGUACAAGCAAAAGGAAAUGUUCCUUAUUGUCCGCCCGUGAGUGCUAGAUAGCGAAAUAUUAGUAAGGACUAAGGUGCUAUUCUGGACAUGUGACCAAGCUGUGCCGUGUGAUAAGAUAGCGAAAAUAAACCCCCAUUUGUGCUGAAAUUUUGUGCUAAGCUAUGCCGUGUGGUCAAGGCAGAGCCCCCAAUCAAUGUCAGGGAAACAGAUCCCUAGUGUCGUUGUUGAGGUUCUGGUCUUAAUUCCUUGUCUUAGGAUGUUUCCAAAUUUGACCUUAUCACAUCCUUGUUUUAGGACCACAUGCAUCUUAUCUCGAAGAAAUGGGCAUGUACGCCUUCUUAGUUGACACUUACUCUAGCUAGCAACUGCUGCCCAAUUGAUGGAUUGAUCAUCAGUAUCGUAGCAUUACAUGAGAUUAUUUGCUGAUGAAUGUAUAUAUAUCUUGACUGUCUACACUUAACCAUCUCCGCCACAAAUUUCAUGGGUAUGUGUCAUUUUCUGAACAUGAUAACCAUCCCAUGAACAGUACUCUUGUUGAUAAGUUUGCAUAUUUGUCUUAAAAUCAAAAGGGUCCUUUUUUAUGAAUGACUACUCUUGCGAGCUUGCUGUGAAUUUUACUCUGCCAUUGGUGGAAUGGUGCAUACUUUGGGGUAUGGUUUGUGCAUAUAUUCGGGAUUGAACUAAUUUCUGCUUCAUUCCAGGUGGAGGUUGAAUUUGCAGAUGGUAGCUCAUUUCAUCUGUCAGCAGAGUUUCUCAGAGUAUACAGCCCUGCAGCUGAUAGCAAAAUCAGAUCAGUGGGCGGUGAAAAGGUAAUUUCUAGUAUACUUUUAUCUGUCACAGUUGGUCUUUUUGAGCUUUUUGGUUAGUCCAAACAACAGUUCAUGCUAUUUACGAAUUACCCAUAGCCAGUGCUAUAUGAAAAGAAAUUUCUCUUGUAGCUUUUAGAAGCAUAAUUUUUCUGUGAAUGGAUCUGCAAAUUUGCAUGCAGAUCAUUUCAGAUGAAAUCUUCAAUGAUGUCUUUAGGAGAUUACUUGAUCUUUUGUGUCAGGUCUGUGCUUUCCCGAGAAUUAUGUUUUUACAGUGGAAAUCAUGUCUGAUCAGGUUAUAUUUGGGCGACGGCACGUUGGAAUCAUGUCAGCUGAAUCAGUAGGGAACUACGGAGUCCGGUGAGGGUCAUAUUAUCUCAUGGCAUGUUUUUCUCAUGUCAUAUUGCAGAAGUCAGUUGUGACAUCUUUGUCAAUUAAAAACAAAGAGUUUUGUUUCUAUCUGCAAAUCUCAUUCAUGACUGGAUGUUGUUUGCAUGUAGGAUACUCUUUGAUGAUUUGCACAAGACGGGGAUCUUCACAUGGGAUUACUUGCACCAUCUGGGUUCUAAUAAGUUCAGUCUGAUGCGAAGUUACAUCAGAACUUUGAGAAAGCAUGGACUCAGCCGGGAUCCCCGGAGAAGGAAAUGAAGGAAACGAUAGUCUCUAGACCACCUCACCUUGUGCUGCACGGAUUGCUCUGUCAGGCUUCGCCUGCCAUGUAUCUGAAGAGCUGCUCGAUUUAGUGUUAGUUGUAAACCACAAGGAGAUGAUUAACUACUGAGUGACAGUAAUGCACUAAGGAUGGAAAGAAGUUUGAUGGAGUUGAUUGACUUGUUGGAAUUGGACAAACACUUCCAGUUUUCAUAACGUGUGCAGUUUUUCUGUCCUCUCCCACUAGUAGAGAUUUGGGCUUUAGUCCCGGUUGGUAGGGUGCAAAUAUCCCGAAAAUCCAUCCAGGAUAAAUGGGGUCACCCACGGCCGGCGCUGCAAAAAAAAAAAAAUUCCCGAGCUCCCAGGAGGCGAUUUUUCACGCGAACUAUGCGCGUGCGCGGUUCGUGGGAUUCGAACCCACAACCUCCAGCCUCGCGCGUAGCUUCCUUGCCAAUCCACCUACACACCACAUCUAACUAUGUAGGGGAUGCUAUCCUUUUGUAUUAACUCGUGGGGGACCCUUUUAUCCCGGAUGGAUUUUCGGGAUAUUUGCACCCUACCAACCGGGACUAAAGCCCAAAUCUCUACUAGUGGGAGAGGACAGAAAAACUGCACACGUUAUGAAAACUGGAAGUGUUUGUCCAAUUCCAACAAGUCAAUCAACUCCAUCAAACUUCUUUNNNNNNNNNNNNNNNNNNNNNNNNNNNNNNNNNNNNNNNNNNNNNNNNNNNNNNNNNNNNNNNNNNNNNNNNNNNNNNNNNNNNNNNNNNNNNNNNNNNNNNNNNNNNNNNNNNNNNNNNNNNNNNNNNNNNNNNNNNNNNNNNNNNNNNNNNNNNNNNNNNNNNNNNNNNNNNNNNNNNNNNNNNNNNNNNNNNNNNNNNNNNNNNNNNNNNNNNNNNNNNNNNNNNNNNNNNNNNNNNNNNNNNNNNNNNNNNNNNNNNNNNNNNNNNNNNNNNNNNNNNNNNNNNNNNNNNNNNNNNNNNNNNNNNNNNNNNNNNNNNNNNNNNNNNNNNNNNNNNNNNNNNNNNNNNNNNNNNNNNNNNNNNNNNNNNNNNNNNNNNNNNNNNNNNNNNNNNNNNNNNNNNNNNNNNNNNNNNNNNNNNNNNNNNNNNNNNNNNNNNNNNNNNNNNNNNNNNNNNNNNNNNNNNNNNNNNNNNNNNNNNNNNNNNNNNNNNNNNNNNNNNNNNNNNNNNNNNNNNNNNNNNNNNNNNNNNNNNNNNNNNNNNNNNNNNNNNNNNNNNNNNNNNNNNNNNNNNNNNNNNNNNNNNNNNNNNNNNNNNNNNNNNNNNNNNNNNNNNNNNNNNNNNNNNNNNNNNNNNNNNNNNNNNNNNNNNNNNNNNNNNNNNNNNNNNNNNNNNNNNNNNNNNNNNNNNNNNNNNNNNNNNNNNNNNNNNNNNNNNNNNNNNNNNNNNNNNNNNNNNNNNNNNNNNNNNNNNNNNNNNNNNNNNNNNNNNNNNNNNNNNNNNNNNNNNNNNNNNNNNNNNNNNNNNNNNNNNNNNNNNNNNNNNNNNNNNNNNNNNNNNNNNNNNNNNNNNNNNNNNNNNNNNNNNNNNNNNNNNNNNNNNNNNNNNNNNNNNNNNNNNNNNNNNNNNNNNNNNNNNNNNNNNNNNNNNNNNNNNNNNNNNNNNNNNNNNNNNNNNNNNNNNNNNNNNNNNNNNNNNNNNNNNNNNNNNNNNNNNNNNNNNNNNNNNNNNNNNNNNNNNNNNNNNNNNNNNNNNNNNNNNNNNNNNNNNNNNNNNNNNNNNNNNNNNNNNNNNNNNNNNNNNNNNNNNNNNNNNNNNNNNNNNNNNNNNNNNNNNNNNNNNNNNNNNNNNNNNNNNNNNNNNNNNNNNNNNNNNNNNNNNNNNNNNNNNNNNNNNNNNNNNNNNNNNNNNNNNNNNNNNNNNNNNNNNNNNNNNNNNNNNNNNNNNNNNNNNNNNNNNNNNNNNNNNNNNNNNNNNNNNNNNNNNNNNNNNNNNNNNNNNNNNNNNNNNNNNNNNNNNNNNNNNNNNNNNNNNNNNNNNNNNNNNNNNNNNNNNNNNNNNNNNNNNNNNNNNNNNNNNNNNNNNNNNNNNNNNNNNNNNNNNNNNNNNNNNNNNNNNNNNNNNNNNNNNNNNNNNNNNNNNNNNNNNNNNNNNNNNNNNNNNNNNNNNNNNNNNNNNNNNNNNNNNNNNNNNNNNNNNNNNNNNNNNNNNNNNNNNNNNNNNNNNNNNNNNNNNNNNNNNNNNNNNNNNNNNNNNNNNNNNNNNNNNNNNNNNNNNNNNNNNNNNNNNNNNNNNNNNNNNNNNNNNNNNNNNNNNNNNNNNNNNNNNNNNNNNNNNNNNNNNNNNNNNNNNNNNNNNNNNNNNNNNNNNNNNNNNNNNNNNNNNNNNNNNNNNNNNNNNNNNNNNNNNNNNNNNNNNNNNNNNNNNNNNNNNNNNNNNNNNNNNNNNNNNNNNNNNNNNNNNNNNNNNNNNNNNNNNNNNNNNNNNNNNNNNNNNNNNNNNNNNNNNNNNNNNNNNNNNNNNNNNNNNNNNNNNNNNNNNNNNNNNNNNNNNNNNNNNNNNNNNNNNNNNNNNNNNNNNNNNNNNNNNNNNNNNNNNNNNNNNNNNNNNNNNNNNNNNNNNNNNNNNNNNNNNNNNNNNNNNNNNNNNNNNNNNNNNNNNNNNNNNNNNNNNNNNNNNNNNNNNNNNNNNNNNNNNNNNNNNNNNNNNNNNNNNNNNNNNNNNNNNNNNNNNNNNNNNNNNNNNNNNNNNNNNNNNNNNNNNNNNNNNNNNNNNNNNNNNNNNNNNNNNNNNNNNNNNNNNNNNNNNNNNNNNNNNNNNNNNNNNNNNNNNNNNNNNNNNNNNNNNNNNNNNNNNNNNNNNNNNNNNNNNNNNNNNNNNNNNNNNNNNNNNNNNNNNNNNNNNNNNNNNNNNNNNNNNNNNNNNNNNNNNNNNNNNNNNNNNNNNNNNNNNNNNNNNNNNNNNNNNNNNNNNNNNNNNNNNNNNNNNNNNNNNNNNNNNNNNNNNNNNNNNNNNNNNNNNNNNNNNNNNNNNNNNNNNNNNNNNNNNNNNNNNNNNNNNNNNNNNNNNNNNNNNNNNNNNNNNNNNNNNNNNNNNNNNNNNNNNNNNNNNNNNNNNNNNNNNNNNNNNNNNNNNNNNNNNNNNNNNNNNNNNNNNNNNNNNNNNAAUACUGUUUGCUUUGUUUAGAUGAGCUAUACAACAAUUUUGCUGGAUAGUAAAGAUUUCUGCGAUCUCACAUUUGAUUGAUGUUCAUUUUGUGCAGCCCAUUCCACAAGGGCAACUCGGCAAGGUCCUGACACGGCAACACGAGGUUUCAUGACGGAGAGAGGAAAGGAUGGUGGCAGGAGGGUUAGAGAUGAAAGUGUAAUGGCCGGCGACUGAUACUUGACAGGCAAGCAUAUCCUGAAUAGUGUGUGUAUAUUGUUUCAGGGCAAUAAUCUAUUUCUUAAAUUCAAAUCUCUAACGUAGAAGGCCAGAAAUCAUAAAACAACAAUAAGCAGCGCUUGCACUUCAUUGUUAACGAUCUGGUGUAAUCUAAACUUGUGGGGUUUUCAGACAUGCUAAAGUAGAGGCGUCUAAGGGCCUUCGGCGACCUGUUCAGCACUAGUCUUUGCAGUAACAGCAGUAGAAGGCUAGCACUAGCAGCACUUUCACCGUGUCGUAUCAUUGUUGCAGAAGAAGCAAGUGGGCUAUCAGUUUCACCAGGCACCAGCAAACCUUCAGUUGAGGUGUGGCCAAUGUUGUCAAAAUCGUAGAUUCUAAAUCGAAUGAGAGGUCUUUAUGUAAGAGCGCAAUCAUAAGAUCUUAAAUAUUCUUUCAGAGCUUAACUAUAAAAAUCGUAGAAACACAGACUCUAUUGACUAGAACAAUAUAACCAGGCCAUAAAGACGUAAAAUCUACGACAAAAUCACGAUUUUAAUUUGACGACCAUGGAUGUACCGAUCAAAAGGCUACAUAUCGUUACAUCCAGUAACUGAGACAGUGGUAAUGUGGUAUUUUUCUAAGGGAAAAAACUCGUCACACGUAUGCUAUUAAACAGCUGCUCGUGCUGCACUUCCUUUCACAUGCGCCGUAAAGCGACUCGCGUCUGGCUAACAGGUGAUUGCAGCCAUAAGGAUGAAGAUAGCUAGGCAAGCCCCUAGUGGUAAGAUCAGCAGGCCUUCGAUCCACGUCUCUGUUGUGAAAACGUAUUGUACAUAGAGGAACGAGACAGAAGCGACCACCACAAUGAAAAAAAAUCUGCAACAAAAAAGAAUGAAACGCACAGUUAUCAUGCUUGCCAUCGAUCGCAUAUGCUUCGAUCAUCAGGUCGAGCAGUUUUACGACGUGUUGUAUCAGCUAGAGAUCAUCUCACCUUUAUAAUGGUCUUAGCAGCCCAAGCCAAGAAGUCCUCCAAAGACAGGUCCGGCCGUGAGGGUUGUUCUUCACUGGAUCUAUCGUAUAUCGCCUCGGCGUCGACGGUGUGACGACCAUCCGAUUUGUGAACGGGGCCGUCCGAUCCACGUCAGGGAUGCACACGGGGCCACGUGGUGCAGCACCGGCCACGUCUUCGUGGUCACGUGCCGGUACGCGUUGGCCAGCACGCCGGCACGGCGGCGACGGUCCCGGUCACCUCACGCGCACCAUGCACCGCACGGCGAGGCAGUAGCCGUGGACGAGCCCCAACGACUCCACCUCUGCCAGGGACAUGAACCUGGCGUAGCCCGCGUGACGAACCCGGAGACGUGGUCGGUGCUCUCGUUUACGCCGUGUCCGUCCGGGUAGAACACGACGGCCCAGUCGUGCCCAGCGGCAGUGAACGCGCUUCACUGAAGCGGCGACGCCCAUGCCUUGGGUCAGCGAGUAGCCCGCGACCUUGAAGACGUGCGAGCCGCUGGACGCCUCGACGUGGCACGUCGAGGCCAUCUCCUCGGAUGCAAAUGCAACAGCCAUGGGUUGCUUUCUACGGUGUGGGCAAGGCAAACAGGUCGGGACAAGUAGUUAGGGCACAUCAACUUAUACCAGAAGAAGGCUAUAGUUCUAUCCAACCUUCAGGAACGAUCGAAAUUAGUGGAUCAAUGGGGAAUACCCCGUACCGCUGUCGUCCAGCUGUUAACGCAUAACGACGUCACAGCUCUUGCUCUCAGCCGUCGGAUAGCGCGAGGAUGCGAUCGACGCAAUUUCACAUUGUAACGUAGAGUCAAUGUCAGAGCAAAGAACCUCAUGAAGUAAACGGAACAAAAGCAUGAAAAGAUAACCCACGACAACAGAUGGCCGAUACUUUACAUGCUACGCCAAUCAUGACGACGUAGGUGUUCAAUCUCCAAAACGAAAUUGUUCAACCACUAAUUACACACUGGGGCAGAUCAAAGUACAUACGAGGUCAUCAACGUAACAUGGGGUUACAGUUAUAGUGCCUAAUUUGAUGCCACGGCCUGACAAGCGAGGAGCUUGAGACAUUUUGCGGCCACAGCACCAAGCACGAGCACCCCAUAAGUUAGGGUGCAUCAAACCAUUUGGCAAUCUAGAAGCAAUUGUGGGGGUUCAGCUUGCAUAAAUCAUUCUCCUGGAAGAAUUAACAGAGAAGAUUAUGUGACCAUACAAUAACUAAUGAGAACGAAAGCUUCGGAAUUGUACGCCAAGGUUCAGGAUUGGAACAUACCUACAGAAGCAGCGUGGUGUAUAAACUGGUCAUUUUUGUUUAGAAGGCACUGUUCGCGUCACAGUGGACACACCAUCAACAAAUUUUGUCCGGAAUAUUACGUUGGCAUUGUUGAACAUACCCUCUUUAAGCGAGACAACUAUGAACUGCAAACACAUUAUUUCCAACAUUCAGAAUUUAAGCCUUACAAGUUUCAGAACGCAGACGGGUGUGCAUCUGAAUCAGCAGUGCACCAGCAAAGCAACAGUUCAUUAGUGGUAAGCAACUCCUAGAGACCUGUCUUUUUAAGAAAGUUUACCUACUACAUUUAAAUAUAAUACACCUGACUAAACGGGAUUAUAAAUUACUAUAGUUGCAUUUAGAUUACCUGUGAGUGAGGAAAAUGAGCCUUGAUCAUUCUACCAAUGUUUUGUGUGUGGCUAAGGUCAAGGGCAGCAUCAACCUGCAGCACAUGAACAUAAUAGUCAAUUUAAAAUGGUCAACCUGCGCAAACGAUCCGCAAACUAGAACACUUGAGACAUCAGAUAUACAAGACUGUACGACAUAUAACAAUAAAAGAACCUUGCCCAAUCCAUGGAUUUAUAACUAAAUUAUCAUGAAAUGAACAAGUGAACAGGGCCCUGAUUAUAUAUGUUUUCUAAAUACCAAGUACUGCUCUGCAUGACUUUCUCCUGUUGCUUCAGUUUAAGACACACUCCCUCCGUCCCAAAUUGUAGGUCGUUUUGGCGUGCAUAGCUUUUGCUAUGCAUCUAGAUAUAGUGUAGGUCUAGAUGCAUAAUAAUAUCUAUGAACCUAGUAAAGCCAAAACGACCUACAAUUUGAAACGGAGGAAGUACCUUCUAGACCAGAACUAAGUUAUCCAACAACUGAGACCUACCAUGAGAACAACUUGCAACAGUACAAUGUGGCAUGAUUCCAUCCUAAGGUACGGUUGUCUACUCUUAGUCUUCACCAAUCACCACACUGUUUAUAAAAUAGGUAAAAGGCCUUCUUAGAUGAGAUGAACUCAAGCUCUGAACAGUUCCUUUAGUCUAACUAAUCAUAACCAAUGACUGAUUGUUUCCAUCUUUUAAAUUUUUUUAUCAAACUGAUCUCAAGAAAAAGCAUCAAAACUGAACUUACUUAUAUUUCAAAACUGAACUUACUUAUAUGUUUCAAUAAAUCUGAUUUUGAGAAAUUGCCUAUCGUAUUCACUUGCCCUAAUGCCUCAUUCUUGCUAAUACAGUAAAGUUAUGCUAACUCAAGAACAGUAGAUUGCGCCAAUACGAAAUCUGAAUAGUAAAUCAUAUUCAGAUAUACCUCAUCCAAUAUGUAAAGUGGUGCAGGUUUGAAAAGAAGCAGCGCCAGAAUAAGACUAAGAGCGAGAAGGGAUCGUUGCCCUCCACUAAGUUCAGACAGAGACUGCUUCCAAACUGUCCCAAAUGCUACACGAACUUCAAGACCAUCCAAGAAAGUACCACCUUCUGGAGGAUCAAGUUUUGCCAUUGUACCAGGUAAAAGAGUACUGAAUAUAGACCCAAAAUCCCUAUAGAAACAGAAUGGAGAUGUUAGACACCAAUUUGCAUAUUUAUGAGUAAAGGAAUACCAUGCUAAAACUAGGUUUUUAGCAAUAUUUAAAGGACCAAGUGCAUCUGUUCAGAUAUAUAAUAAGUCACCAAAGGAUUCAUAUACUGACUUGUUUACUUUGAGCCAUGUGACUUUCAAGGUUUCCUUCUUCUUCUCAUCCAACUCUUCUAUAACUUUCUUGAUUUUUGCCUUGUCAUUCUGCAGAUGAUAAAAGUUAUGUGUGUGCAGCUCUCAAAAUUAAUUAUUCUCAGGCUAUCAAGAAACUAUACAUGAAUAGGGCCCAACCUCAAUGAUGUUUUUCUUUGACAUCAAAUCGUUGUACUCAUCCUCUGCCUUCUCAAACAUUGCCAUAACUUUCUUAUUGACCCUUUUCUCCAGACUGCAUUUGGCAGGUACAUUGCAAAUUACAAAAUUACACAAUUGAUAUGAGUAGAGCUAUUCAGGAGCACUAGCAUCAGCAUCUGAUGAUUCAUAGUGAAAUGGAGCUAAUAGGAUCACAAAUACCUGGAUUGUUGAGCUUGAAGAUUUUCAAGUUCCUCCCGGGCUUUAUGUGGUUCACAAGAUUCAAAAUCAUAAUCUGUACCACUUUUCCCAAACAACUGCUUCUCAGUUGCAAUCCAACUAUACUUCUCCACUAGCUUAUCAACUACUGAAGAGCAAUCCUUUUGUUCUAUCUCCAUCCUCUUAACCUAAUAUGUUAUAUUCUGGUAUUAAAGCAUGUUCAAGCAAUCAAUUAUAAAUCAGAAAAAUGCAGCAGAGAUUAUAACCUCAUUUUCCAUUUUCUUCCUUUCAACAUUUGAAUCGCUUAAUUUCUGUUGAAGUUUCUGCUGUUCCUUGGCCAUGCGGUUUAUCUGUGAGUCGCAUUCCUUCAGUUUCGAACGCCCAACAUUGAGCUCACCUUCAGCUUGAUCAUACUCUUGCUUUAUGGCAGUAACCUGUGAUCCACGAGUGAAGUGCAACAGCAUAUUUAACUAAAUAAUCUAAAACUCAGCAAUAACACCAGGUACAAGGUAACUAUAACACCAGGUACAAAGUAACCUUGUCCCUUUGUUUUUCCAAGGUUUCAGACAGAGAAGUAAUUUGAGCCUUUGAAGUUGAUAACUGCUCUUCUAGCGUAGCAAGCUCAUUAGCAACCGCAUCUUUCUCCAUGAUCAGCCUCUCCCUCUCACUUUCAUAAGCCUAUUUCAGAUAUGCAAUUAGAAAUAUGUGAUGUGUCCAAGAUUGAAUUGUCAGGAUGACUGUUCAAGUAUAAAAGAAUGUAUGACCAGUAUCAGAGUAGAAAUUCAACAGGAUAUAUUCUGCAUGCUAAAAAAAAUCUCUAGCCUCUUCAUCAAAGCUAACCGCAUAGUUACCUUGCAAACUAACAUGUCUCUUCAGAAAGAGCUUGUGACUAACUCAAGGUAAUCAGCGAAAGUCAUAAUUUUCAGCUAUAUGCAGCUUUAAGAAAAUAUCCUACAUAUCUUCAUCUAACCAAAAAUAAAUAAUACUGCCUCAAAUAUGAGUUAGCACAAAGACCAAGGUCACAUGGGACUUCACAUACAAGCAACGGCACAAGGCUAAGACGCCAGGAGCACCUGCACAGGAGAAUGUGGUAGCAACAGCAGAGAUUUAGAGAUACGUCUAUAUAUCUCUUUAUUUGAUCUUUUUUUGCUUCGAGUUAGCAAGUGCUGAGAGAUAAGGUGUGGAUCAAUUAGGAGUUUGUUAGUGCUAAACUAGCUCUCUGUAGAGGGGAAAUUGGCAGUGUUUUGGGAUUAAUCAAUCGGGUCAACCUAAUACCCAGUUUCCUUUAUGCCUGCCUCGCCAGUGUGGUAGCCAAUGAUGGCUGUCUAUCUAAGCCAUGCCGACAAGGUCCUGGGUCACAUCCAGAACUCUCCCACAACUGCUCGCACAGAUCAACAAGGAGAAGCAGCUUGUAUUGAAAAUGCUUCAGAGAUUAAGCGGUAAAUCAGUUGUGGCAGCAACGAGAAACUAAGCAACCUUGAGUUGCUUUGACAUAGACUGCAUCUCUGAUUUCAGUGAUUUGAUCAUUUUUUCCAGUGCUUUGAGUCUGCCUUCGCGUUCAGUGCCGUAAGUCCUGAUCGUUUGUUCUAACUCAGAAACCAUUGACACACAUUUUUCAUACUGCACUUGCUUUUCUGUCAACUCUUGUUUUGAUUCCUGAAGCUCUUGUUCUAUUUUCUUUACGAGUUCACCUAACUGAAGUUCAAAUAAAAAAACUGUUAAUUUCAUUUGAAACUGGAAACUGGUAAGGAAACCAUAUUGAUGGUGUAAGCUAAUACCUUGUGGUGUUCAUUUUGCUCAACUCUUUUCUGAAAUAACGAGAGAUCAUAUGACUUGAGUUCAAACUGAGAUUUCAACUUAGUGUACCUUUCCUGCAAUGGUAAAAGGGCUCCAAUCUGGGAAAAAAGAAGAGAGGACGGGAGAGAUUAGAAUUUCUAGAAAAUGAAAUUUAGCAUAGGUUACAUAACCAACACAUAACUUGCUACAGAAGCAAUGAAGAGAGAUAAUUGAUAGAGGCCAGCACAAUAAAUGACUCAAUGAACCAGAGAUGACCUAUUUUCUAGUAUUGUGCAUACAUGCUAACCGUAUCAAAGAAUACAUGUCAUAACAAGAAUUACUGCGCAAGCAAAAUAUUUUACAAUUUACUAAUUAGAUAUGCAUUCAUGUUUCAUGUACUCUUUCUUCAUCUUUUUUUCUAGAAUACGCGGGAGAGCUGAGUAUUUUUGUAUUAAGAGAGAUAAAAGGUCCAAUCACACAACCACCACCUCACCUUGGACCAGAAAUGAAUAUUCUUUCUUAUCAGGAAACAUAAAUAUUAGAUGAAUUUACAAGCUUUCAGUUAACAGAUUAAAACAACACUUUAAGGGCAAAAGGUGGUUAGUAGGAUGUGUAGAUCUUUCAUCCUGCAAAUAAAUUCAUACAGUUCACAAGGAAAUGGUAAGAAGAAUAAAACUCACAUGCAGGCAUUGUGCAUUCAGUGGAUACCUGUUGUUCAAUGACAGAGAGCUUUUUCUGAUGAUCGGAUAGAUCAGUCUCAGCUUUAGCCAAUUUGUCGAGUUUCCGUAGCAAAUCCCCUCUACCUCUGCAUUAUUAUGGUAGACGUUACUAAGAAAAUGAUGGGUCUGUUUGUCUGGCCACAGGAUAGCCAUUUUUACUCUAUGGCAACUGCAGUUAAUCACUAGAAAGAACAAUGACUAGCCAAACACAGGCAUCUAUGGUGCAAAUUUCAUCAAUUAACAACCAAUCCAAUACAAUCAGAGCAUCUAAUGUGGUAGUUGAAAGAAGCUGGAAAAACCAUUGUUCUUCACAAAAAAAAACAUUUGUGUAACAAACAAGAAUACCAAAGGAACAUCAAUAACAAAUUCCACAAAGAAAAUGGUCAAGGCAAAAUAAUAGCAUUGAGUAAAAUAUUGCAACUCACCCUUUACUGCCUCCAGUCAAAAGGCCACUAGGCUGAUAAGUGUCACCUUCAAGAGUCACACUAGUACUGCCAACUUCUCUAUUAAAUGCAACCUGCGUCAAGAAGAGAAUUAACAGGAACACUAUCAACCACAAUUUGUAUUAUACUUGGAUACAUGUUCAACUAAAUUAAAGUAUAACAAAUUAUUCCCACAGAAAGCAACAUUACCUCUUUUGCUGCCUCCGUAUUGCGACACACAAAUGUUGAACCAAAUACAUAAGCCACAGCAUUCUGCGAUAAGAAAACCCAUUAAACAGACAACCAGAAGCAUGUGAUCUUAAGAUUUAAAGUACAAAAAAUUAUGAGUGACCACAAGCAUUGCAGAAUGCUUUUCUAGCACUUAUAAGUUUGAGGAAAACAACAAAACACUAUACAUCAGGAUGUAUACGAAUCUGCAAGAGUAAAGCAUUCAGUGAACUUUUCUCAAAAAUUAACUGAAAAGAUGCAAUACCGACCUUUACUUCCUCGCCAUAUCCAACCAAUUCUAGAGCUAAUGUAACAUUGUCAGGACCAACCUACAAAGAAAAUCAGUAUAUGCUUCUCAUUUAGACAAGUCAUCACCAACCAAAAGGUACCAGUAUAACCAAAGAGGUAAGGGGAAAAAUAUUAACCAGUCUACGAGCCGCCUGCUGAACUCUAUCAGGUAUCAUGUAUGUUUGGAUUUUGUUCAAAGGUAUGAUGGUUACUCGUUUUCGGAGAUCCCCAUUUUUCAAUAAUUUCUUGCCAGUGUCUUCUGUAUCAACAACCACAUUAAACAGCCUUCCACCUGCAGUAACCUGCAAUAUUUGGUUCAUAACUGAACUAGGACCAACUCCUUCGGUAAAAAGAAAAUUAGCUUCAAACCCGCAAAGAGAAGUUUUCUGAACAAACCUCCAGUGCUGUUGCUGCUGAGCUAUCCUUUAUUCUAAUAAGACGUGCAACGACCCCUUUGACUUUUGAUCUGUCAAAAUCCCUUUCAGGGUCUCGAUAACUGAAGUGGAGAUUAGCAAGCUCACCCGAAAGGUUACGAAUACAGUCCUUCAAAUUCUGAAUAAUUUCUGACUCCGUAGAAUGGUCCUGUAAAUGAUCAUAACACAGAAAAGAAUAAUUGUCAACAAUCAGAAGCAUAGCCUUCUUAUUGGCACUUCUUAUGCCACAAUAACACUUUUAUACCAGUGUAUACCUUUUGCAAAGCUUCCAUCUGGGCCUCAUUGUAAUUAAAAGAUCCCAUCGAUGUCUUGAUAGCUUCCAAGUCUUUUGUCCUUUCUUUCAGCUCAUUCUCAGCAGCAGUAGCCUCAUCACGUUUGGAUACUAACAGAGCUUUCUUCUCCUUCAGCUCCUUCUCAGAAUGACUUAUUUUGGUAGUCAGCUGCUUUAAUCCAGAUUCUGCAUCUCCAACUGCAGCUUUUGCAUCUCUAAGUUGAUCUUCGAGGCAUUUCUUCUCGUUUGCAUUACUUUUUCCUGCUAGCACACCCUGGGUAGAAAAGAAUUUAGUACUCCAAGAGUACACAAAGCCAAGAGGUAUAUGUUAAUGCAUUCUAUUUAAAGGUGUGUCAACUUUACAUACCUGAUAUUCUUUCUCAUUCUCAUCCAACUUCCUUGUCAGAUCUUCUGCUUUCCUUUUCAUGUCAGACGCCCCAUCUUCUACAUCUUUUACAGCAGCAUCUCUCUCGAUCAUAGAUCUUUUUAUGUCCUCAAUGUUUUUGAGAAUCUGCAUGUGAAUGGUAGACCUCGUAAGUUACUCAAAAUAAAAUUUAGCAUGUCUGACAUCAGUGCACCAUUACCUUCUCAACGCCCUUUUCCUCAGACUUCAGGGUUUCCUCUUGAUUGUUCAUCACAGAAGUUUCCUUAAUAAGUGCAUGAGAUAGUUUAUCCACUUUAUCUGACAAAGCCUUCAUCUCACCACCAAGUUUAGCUUCCUUUUCAGCAGCCAAGGUAGAAAUGUUCUUGUCCAUUUCCUGUAUAUCUGCUUUUAGCUUUUCUGUAUUUUCAUCCAGCUCAAGAAUCCUUGCCCUGAUUUGUUUGACAUCAUUGAGUGCACCAUCUCGCACUCUCUCAGCCUGAACAAACUCAUAGGCGAUACAGAACCUUUUGAGCCGAUCCAGUUCAGCAUUGCCAUUGGCCCAUUUCAUGUACUGGCACCGCUCUUUUCUAAGCUUCUCUAGUGCAGGAAGGAUUUCAACAUCAAGGAGUUUAUUAAUCUCAUCAACUUUGUUCUGUUUCUUCUCAAGUGUCUUAAGAGCCGAUUCUUUCUUCAUUUCAUACAUUCGUGUGCCUGCUGCCUCUUCUAACAUGGACAAAAUUUCUGGUGGCUUCAUGUUGAGCACUUUUGUUAUGCGCCCUUGCAUAAUUAGAAAAUGAGGAUUGUUUACAUUUAGCUGUACUGAGUGGAAAAGGGUCUGCACCCGGGAAGGUUGUGCAAGAUGGCCAUUGAUAAGGUAUUUGUUCCGUCCACCGACUACAAUCUACAAGUAUAGGACAAACAUUAACUUGGGACGAAUUUGGUCCACAAGAAACAACACAAAACUUUUUCCAGAAAAAGGGAGGAAUCAAAUAGCAAAAGAACACUCAAAUAAAGCAGAUAUAUUAGCCAUUGGAUGAAUUAAUCGAGCAAAUGAGAGGAAAUAAACAAAAAUAUUCUGCAAUCAUGCUAAAUACAUACUAAACAAAUUAAGAACAAUACAAAUGUACUGUCCAUACACCACUCAGACUAAGUGUUCGACUCAACAAAUGUGUCAGCUACAACACCCUUAAAAUAAAUUGAAAAAUACAGCUUCAAACAUUGCAACCCUAACUCCCUGCAAUCUAAAACUAACAAAAUCAACUGACUCUAAGCCCCAAUUGAUAUAGAAUUUAGCAAAGAUGACACUUUAAACCUUUCAAACAACCAACUCUACAAUCACCACCUCUGAUUGUUUCAGUAACAAGCAAUCCAUGUCUGCUUUUGAAUAACAAAAAGCUCAACAGCUUGAAACCACCCGAUCCCUGGUAUCAAAAAAUUAUAUGAUUCCAAGCCUUCAGGGUAAAAUCAUAAAUGAACUCCAAGACAUCCUCACAUGACCAGCCCUCCACACCCUGCAUCAACCUAAAUAGCAUCAUUCCAGUACAAUUGGACUCCUAGACCGAAAAUAAUUUCAAAAUUCCAGCUGCAAAUAUUUUUAAUCAUGAAUCACUGGGCGCAAAACAUCCACAUCACUGAAAAUGAAGUAUUUAAACUAAAAGAUGUGUCGACUAGAUUAUGCAUCAACAAAAUCAGAACAAAUCCAGUCCAUUCGUUGCAAAUUUGCAAUCCCUGAUCCUCGUAAGAAAAAUAAAUCAGCUAGAACACACGUCAACCAAGUGUUUGACUGAAAAAUGAGCAAGCUAGGCACAAAUUAGCAAAAAAUCAGCAUCAAUAGCAAUCCUGAAUUCCUUGCAAUCCAUGAACAAAGCUAUCCAUAUCAGCUUUGGACACAAAAAACACACUAAGAAACAUGUCCAGUUCAGCACUUGGAUCAACAUAUUUAAUAGCCAAAGCCUCAAUUAGGUACAGUAUUUUAGGAAAGAAACAAAAAGGCAGUCCGAAAUUCCUACUCCAUAAUCAACACCUCUAAUACACCAGUGUCCACAGCAUACAAAUUUGCUUCCAGAGUUUCAGUUCACAGAACCAAAACAACAUGCAACCCACCCUGGUAUCGAUAAAUUAAACAACUCUGAGACUUGAAGGACAAAAUCACACCCAACUCCUAAAAUCCGGUCAAAAUUCCAGCUGCAGACAUCACAAAUCACCACCUCCUUAUGCCUCGGAACCACCCCAAUCAGUAGCGCAUCUUUGGAAAGCAACCCACAGUGAAUCAUCAGUGGCAAUUUCGAGAUUAUGCGAAGAAAAUUGUGGCGUGAGUCCCAAAUGGCAUUAAGAAAAUCCCCCACGGAGCUCAAACACGAACAGGCAAGGGAACGCUUAGAAGACAGCAAGGGAUUUUUAACCUGGCGCGUGACGGUGAUCUCGGACGAAUCCUCGUAGCCGAGCGGGGAGCGGGAGCGGUCGGAGUUGUCGAAGACGACGGAGACGGUGGCCUUGGUGACCCCAGCCUGACCCUGCUUGUAGACGAGCUCCUGGAGCGAGGCGGCGCGGACCUGGCGGAGGUCGGUGAUGCCGAGCACGAAGCAGAUGGAGUCGAGGAUGUUGGACUUGCCGGAGCCGUUGAGCCCGGUGAUGGCGUUGAACAGCGGGUCGAACCCCGACACCACCGUCCGCCCCGCGUACGACUUGAACCCCUCGAGGGUUACCUCCUUGAUAUGCAUCUCGCCGGCCGCCGGGGAGGCGUCGCCGGCCGGAGAUGGGGCUAGGGUUUGGAGGCUCCGGGCGGGAAAAUUUCGAGGUGCCGGGUUUUCGCCCUUUCGGGUGUUGGGGUUGGAGAUUUCGAAAUGUUUCGAAGUGGACGGGUCGGAGGGAGGGGCGCGUCACCCCGUGUGAACUGAAGAAGAAAGUGAGAGCGGCCGUGUGAUGAUGAUGAGGGCGGUGAGUCCGUGAGUGGGGGGAUCUUUACCACCAGUGGGCUGAGAUGGCAGCAAGUUGGGCUUUUGAAUAGCGAGUUGGGCUUUUAUAGGCUGAGAGCCUGCUGAGAUGAUCCAAAACAAAGUCUUAUGUGCGGGCUCUUUCUCUCAUUUGUUCAAUUGUUCGGACGGAGCAGCUUAUGUGCUUCAAAUCGAACCGUGAUCUCAAAAAACCGAACUGAACACGAUUUAAGAUUUGACGCUCAUGUGUCAGAUCGAAAAUCGCACUCCAGAUAGCUGAAUAAAAAAACUGACGAGCGCAAGUGAUUGACCUGUUUUACUUUUACUUCUUUUUAUUUAACCGUGGGCCUCACCAAUCGAAUGUUUACUGGAGCAACCGAACCAAGAUAGCAUGCGAAUCGAGGUCCAUACCAAUCGAACCGACACUGGAGCUGCCCUUGAACUCCCAUGAGUCGUGUUUUGAUGAGAGCAUGAGGUCAUUGAACUCUCUGGCUUCAGAAGGAUGGAUUAUGCUCAUCUAAUUAAUCACAUGUUAUACAAAUUGACAGUUUCUGACAAGGGGAACCAAUAAGGUUUAAAAACGACAUAUGAGACUUUACAUCAUAAUAAAUAAACCUAUUGAAUCAGAUACAACAGCAGUAGCACCAAAAUCUGCUAGCAACUCAAAGAAAGGUGAAAAGAGGAUUUUGAGGAUCCAAGUCCUCUGGCUGCUUCUGAUGACUCGAAACAGAUGUUAGCUUCUAGAGUCCCAGGACUGCACCUUUUUUAUGUAUAAUGCUCACAAAGGAAUAACCUUAUGGAAAUACUGUCUAUUCUAUAGUCAGAAAUGGUGUCCUUAGAAUAAGGAAUACUUAGACAUGAGCCUUCAGACUUCUAGAAACCCUAGAUCUAGAAGCACUUCUCCUUCGGUCAGUGAAAAAUAUGGAGAUUACCAUUAAGAACACUAAAAUUGAUACUGCCCAGACAGCAAUUAUCCACAUCCUGGAAGAUCUGCCCCGUCUCCUUGAUCUAUGUACAUUUGGUAUGGUGGCUGCAGCCCUUUCGACAGUCUUUUCCCUUGCUGCGUCCAUGGACUCAAACUUUCCUCUAUUUCUACUUCUGGUUGACUCAUGUGCAAUUCUCUCAAUUUUGUUAGAAGAGGUGCUGUGGAUGGUGUCUAAUCGGGGGCAAUUUCGGCGCUUAUGGUGAAGGUAUAAGGCUUUAUUCAACGCCCUCCCACAUUCAAUGCUCAGAAGAUCCCUCUCCCGUGCAUCUAGAUCUUCUUGCAUGAUGGUAGCUGGAUCAGGUGGUUCAGGGAACUUGGCCCAGCAUGUAUUUACCACGUCAGAAUUUCUCCAAUCAGCCUUGUCAAAGCUCCAAUUACCAACUCCAAAUCUCAACCCAUAAUGAAAAACCUUAUAUUUUGCUCCAGGUAGUGGAACAUAACCUGGAUAUAUCAUUAUGUCCCUCCUAAUAAUGUGGCGCAGGUUAAUCUGCAAGUGAAUAAGGAAGAGGUCACCCCACAUGAUAGACAAUGAAUAGUGAACAGAUGAAAUAAAUUUUUAUUUUCUUGAAAUGAGACAAGUGUGUGCUAACUGAUGCUACCCACACUAUUUUUUUCUAGAAUUAAUUGCUGCAACUUUCAUACUAAUUUUCUAGGAGUGUCUCAAUGGAGCCUGUGAUCCUUGCAACAACAUUUUUAAAAAGAUGGAUAAGAAUAAAACUGCACGUACCUCAGCUGCUGCAAAUGAGUAACCGUACAUCUCACUAAUCCAGCCAGAUGCAUAUAUGUCACCAGUAAUGUUUGUCGCAUAAUGAGCUUUGUCUGCACGAACCUCCUCGGAUUUGUGUAGCCAAAGUAUAGCAAAAUGGCGAAGAUCAUCUAUGUGCAUGAUAAUGACACCACCAACCUUGUCACAUGCAGAGGGAUUGCGAGUGUGUAUCUUUGCAAGUAUGUUGUCACACCCAAUGAGGUAUCUGAUACACAUCAAGGGUAACAUUACUAAAUGGAGAACACAUGCUUCAGGUCAACCAUAGAAAAACUACAGCAUGGCCAAACACAGGCUACUUUCAUGGCACAACAAAGUCUUACUCAUAGGGAGUAGAAACAGGAUGACCGAGUUUUGCUCCAUAUUCCCAUGGGGUGAUGGGACCUCUCAUGAUCAUGUCAGCAUCUAAGAUGACAAUGAACUCAGCAUCAGUCUGCACAUGGUUGAGCCAAUGGAGAACUGCUGCAGGUUUGUUAAUUGCAGGGUACCUAGCAUAGCAAAAGAACUAUAUGAGAAGGUUCUCUUGAACAAUUUAGACACUAUGUUAAACGCUUAAACUCAGGUUAUACCAGUCCCCUGUCAAUGGAUGUCGGCUCAUAGAUGGAACAUAAUGUGUUGGAGCAAGGUCGUGGCCUUUAUAGUUCUUCAAGUCCUCAUCCGUACAGCUCAAUAAGCGUGUAAUGUUACCAGGCUGUCCGCUUAAACGAAAGCUGUGCAUGAGCCCAACAGUUUGCCAAUCAAAAUAUGAUGAACAUUCAGUGGAGAAAAGGGUGUGUAUUUUUGGAUAUUCUCUGUUUGCCUUGGAUAAUGCAGCAUGUUGCAUAAUCAUUGUGCUGUCAACCUUUUGACCCUUCCAAUUCUUUGGCUUUGUAAGCUCUGAAAACCUUCUGCUUUUAAGGAAACUCAGGUAUUUUGACCACUGUGCUUUCGGGCAGCCAACAGAUGCAUGAUGCAACAAGAGCCCUUCAUUCAAGGUGUUAAUGCACUCUAUGCUUAAAAAUAAGCCCCGUUUUACAUUUGGGUCGGGUUCCAUCAUCUCGACCUAUAAAUUUCAGCAACAUUCAGAAAUCUUUAACGUACAUCUAGCUAUAAAUGAGCACACCCUGAAAUAUGAUCAGAAAGACUUUUUACCUCUCUAGGAAAAGGAGGUGGAGGGAAUAAGCGGUUGCAAUCAUAAACUAUUCCAUCCUCAUGGUGUUCUAAUUUGCUGAAUGACCAGUUUCCAACUUUAAAUGGCAAACCAUAAUGCAAGAUAAGUGGUUCAAUGCCAGGUCUUGGAGUAUAACCUGGGUAGAUCAUUAUGUCAUCAUUUAUCUUGUGCCGUAGACCUACCUGUUCACGAGGACCAGAUAAUGAAGCUACAGGGAAGUUUGGGAUCCAUGCAGUCAAAAUUUUACUUUGUCAAAGACGCAUAGCUAAGAUAGUGAAUUCAACUUACUUCUGCAGCACCAAAUGAAUACCCAUACAUCUCACUGAUCCAACCCAUGCCAUAUAUAUCGCCAGUAAUAUUGGUUGACCAAUGGGACUUAUCUUGCCUCACUUCUUCAGUUUUUGAAAGCCAUAGAGGUGCUAGAGCUCUUAAGUCAUCAAUAUGCAUGGCGAGAAUUCCGCCCACUUUAUCACAAAAUUCUGGAUGCGCAGUGUGAAGCUGUGCUAGGAUGUUAUCACAUCCCUUCAAAUAUCUAGUUAAGAGAAAUAUAUAUUGAAACCAGUCAGAGGCUCAGUAUAAAUCAGACAUUACAAUGGGGCCCCAGCCUAUGACUGACAAGCAACAGGUAGUGUUGGAAUAUAAAAUACAUAUCUAAUUGUAUUCCUCUAGAAAUGUGAAGCAGAACAAAAAAUUCCUCCUUGACAUACUACAACCUUGUACAGCGAAUUUUCCUGACAUUCUAACAGGAAAAUAAAAUGUGAUUUAGAAAAUUACUAUUCCAAACAUAGGUAAGAUCAUAGUGAAAGGAAGAAUAUUAAAUGUCUAGAUUGUUGAUACAAAAAGAAUAAUUAGGUGAUUUAUUGAAGUUCAAUCCUUUCCAAUUAACUAAGGCCGUAUUGGUACAGAAAGGAGAAAGACAGAAAUUAACAGCCAACCGAGUAAAAAUCAUACCCAUAAUAAGCAGCGAACGGCUUGCCUUUCUCUGCCCCGAGUUCCCAGGGAAUAAUGGGUCCUCGAACAAUCUGGUCAGCAUCCAAGAUUACAACCCAAUCAACAUUGUCAGCCUCUGGACUAUGCUUUAACCAAUGCACCACCCCUGCAGGCUUAUUGAUGGCCGGGUACCUUCACAUGAAAAAUAGCAGGAUGCUCAAUGAGCUCACUUUCAUUUCAAACAAUGAAUUUUAACUUGAAAAAUAGCAACCCCAACAUCUCCAAUAGGUGUAUCUUUGGGAUCCCUCAUUCCAGUUGACUUCUCAACAUUUUAUUCUAUGACUAUCAGUCUAUCGCAAACUUCUACCAAAUAUACUACCGUGCCCAAAACCUAUGAUCUCCCCAUACUUUACAUGAUGCUGGAGUUUGACAGUUCAUUUGCAAUCCAUCCAAUUACUAGUCCAAUCAUUCAAAUUUUAUUUUGCAGUCAGCAGAUUAUACCAUAAAUCAGGGAUUUGUUCUCAGAAACGCUCUCAAGCAGCAAUCCAGAAAUGCUCAUCCCAUUUCGAAGCACCACAACUAACUACUCUAGCAGAAACGCCUCUCCAAACUUGUGAAAAUGGCAAUCAUAAUAACCAAUACAAUUUAGCUCUUACAGUUUGGCCGAAGGAACAAAAAAUCCCUACAGUAGUAAGUAGAGCACGGAGAGGAGUGAUGGUUGUGUAUGUGACGGCGAGCGUUACCAGUCGCCGGUGCGUGGGUGGCGGCUGAAGGAGGGGACCUGGAGGGUGUGGCCGAUGCGGAGGCCGCGGUAGGAGGGGAGCUGGUCCUCCGCGCAGCUGAGGAGGCGGGUGACGCCGCCGGGCUGCCCCGCCUUGCGGAGGCUGUGGAGGAGCCCCACCGCCUGCCAGUCGAAGUAGUCGCCGCACUCCACCGAGAACAGCGUGUGCAGCCGCCGCCCCUCCCCCACCGCCGGCGCCGCCAACGCCCAGGCCGGACACAGCAGGAGGAGCGCGGCCACCAACGCGCCGGCGAUCGCCGCCGCCGCCAUUGAUGGUGGCGUGGCGGAUCUCGCGCCCGCACGGAUCCCGCCUUUGGGCCUUCGGGGCAGACCCCCGGUGUCUCUCUGACCCUCCGGAUAAUUUUUCGCGCUUGGUUUGGUGUCCGUUUGUGCGCCCCCGUGUCAGAGUGGGGACUUCAUGAAGUCGCGGGUUUUAUCAAGUACGCCAACUUGGGACGUUCGCGUAAACGUACUGGCAGUACUGUUAUACGCCAACAAGCCGCAAAAUUUUCUGUCAAUUAUGUAGAUUCUGUAUACAAUUCGCGUUUCCUUGGUAGAUGAGGAGAAUCGAAUAACUGAAAAGAAUUCAACAGCAGAAGUUGCUGCUCGUCGUAGCUAUCACGUUUAAGGGGGUGUUUGGCAGCACUCCACCUCCCAAAAUCUAGUUCCACUUCAUCAGCUCCACACUUUCUCAGCUCCACUCCACCAACUCCAAGAAACUAUGGAGCUGAUAUACGCGUUUGGCUGUUUGUAGUGCUCCAACUCCAAAAAUACAAGGAUUUGGUGGGAAAGUUCUAUUUUGCCCAUGGUGAAUAGUUGGUUUUGUUUUUAGCAUUGAGGAGGGUUCUUUUAUUUUUUCCGUGCUACAGUACCACGGCGCUACAGUACCAUGGUGCUACAGUACCAUGCGCUACGGUACAUGAUGCUGCGGUACAUGACGCUACAAUAAUUUUUUAAUAGAAGGUUCAACUCGAUAAUGUUUUGCAAAAUGAAAGGUUGCAACAAAUACGGUACAAAAUUAAUCUUUCCAUUACAAACUAGUUCCAAGCAAGAGAGAGUGCGGUGGCUAGCUCAUCACGAAAGACAUCCAUAGUUGGCGUGUUGAGUGCGGAAGUUGACCCAUCUGACGCCGCUUGCGAAACUGCAUAUUUGUUAUAUCUUUCCGGUAGUAUAGUAGGAACAAAAUUAGGAUCAUGAUCAAACCGAGCAAAGUCUUCAUCUUGACCUCCAUGCUCACGAAUGAAAUUGUGAAGGAUCAUGGUAGCCACAACAAUCAUCUUUUGCUUGUACAUGGGAUAUGGUGGCAUCUUCCAAAAAAAUUGCCACUUCAUUUUUAAUAGUCCAAAAGUCACAUUGCGGAUAGAUGAGUGAACCCGAUUGAACCUUUCCAUAGGCGUCUUAGGUUCAAUACCUCUAUGCCAUUCCGGUAAAUGAUACCUUUCACCCUUGUAAGGAGCGAGGUAGCCAGGACGAUUAGGAUAUCCCGCAUCCGCAACGUAGUAUUUGCCUAUAUUCACAUAAAAAUAAUAUGAGUUAUGGAUUAAUGCUACAUGUUAAUCACAUUCAUAUAUCAAAUUGAACACAUGUUACCUUGUGGAGGAUGUGGAAAAAAUUCUUCAUCCACUCUGAGUGCAUUGUACAACACACUUGUAUCAUGCAUAGCUCCAGGUUGUCCCGUGAAAAUAUAAGUGAAACGCAUGUCAAAGUCGCAUACUGCUAGUACAUUUUGAGUGGCUACCCUCCUCUUUCCAAUAUAUCUCACUUGCUCAUCAGGUGAAAGAGCAACACGGAUAUGAGUGCCAUCAAGUGCACCAAUGCAAUCUUUGAAAUGUGGAUAUGCACGUUUGUCAUCUCUUAUCCUUUUAUGGAUUGUGGGGAAGUUGGGAUUCUUUGGUCGAAUGAAAUCUUUUGCCAUAGCCAUCAAAGUAUUUAGAACCUCAUCAAAUUUCAGUUUCGCCAGAAUGCUUAAAUCUAUUUUGAGCUCUCCUAUUAGACUCGUUUCCAGCACAUGUGUAUAGGAACAUAGCAAGCAUCUCUUGUGUGCUAAUGUGCAUAGAAGGUCGCAGCCCAUACCUUCCCACCAACACACCAUGAAGAUCCAAGAAGAUUUCAUUGUUCAUACGUAGUUGUCUAUGACUUUCUCCAGAACUUUUCAUUGUCUCUAGCAGCCAUCCCGUUCCACUUACACCAAAUGUCCUUGGUGGGGUUUUAACAAGGUAAAGGUCAGCAUAUAUUUGUGCAAUUUCUGCAGCACCCAACAUAAGAUUCCAAAAGACCUCGCUUUCAUCAUUAGAGUCAUCACUAUCGCUCUCACUUUCCUACAGAUAAGAGAUCAUAUGACAUAUAAAAUAAAAUAAGUACUUGGCAUUAAAAUAACACUUAAGGUUGAAUGACAAUACUUCAGUCCAACAAGUAAGUAAAAAUUGAAAUAACACUUCAGUUUCAAUAACAAUAGUUCAUACGAACAAAAAAGUAUUCUUAAAAUGACACAAUUCCUCAAUUGCCAUACUUGACAUUGUACUUUCUGCGAAGCCAAUUAAAUCUAAUCUCGUUUGUUGGCAGGGUCAUGAACAUUUCCCUUUGGUCCUUCUUCACAAACAACUCCGUGGCGAUAUAAUGCACAUCUGUAUCAUAUCCUGCCCCACAUUCCAACACAAGGUUCAUGACUUGUUGCACAAUUACUUCACCCAAUUUUUUAGAUGUAAAAGAGGAAGCGGACUCAGCAAUCUUGGUUACUUGUUCCUGAAUAACUUGUGUUGUUCCAGUUCUUUGUUUCUUUGCUGGUGGAAUUCUUUUGUUUGCUAACAAAAUAGUAGGAGAAGGAGUAAUCUCUUGGACCUCAUCUGUUUCAUCCCAAGCAACUCCGUCAUCGUCACAAUCAUCAGGGACAUCAUGAACCUCAUUCACAUAUCCGUUGUCAACAUCCUCUUUUGUUGGUGGUAUGAUGGGAUUAGAGCUCAUAGGAUUCCAAUGAUCGCCUUCAUCAUUAGUUAUGUCAGCAAACAUCACUGUCAAGUCCUCCUCAUUUUGCAACGGUUUUUUUCGAAACUUGCCGCAACCUGGAAUAUCCUGCAAGGACAUCAUCAUUAUUUACAAAAAGAAAUGACAUGAACCUAUUGCUUAACAGAAAUAAAAUAGUUUCAGAACUCACCGCCCUUGCCUUCUUCCACCACUCAUCAUCCAUAUCAAUCACACCUCUUGCUCCGUCCCAUCCCGCACCCGUUUGCUUCCUCAUUAAUUUCUUCCAAGUCGUUAAAUCGAUCUUCAACUUAUCCCACUUGUUCUUCAUUUGCCGCUUGGUCAAACGAAUUGCUGUGAGGUUGAAAAAUUCAUUGCUGACCUCAUCAUAGCCUACUGAGUUCAAAUGAGUGUUCGGUCUAUUCCCUUUCUUAACCAAUUUGGCAAACAACGAACAUAUGAUCGUCGUGUUUGCAUCAGUCCAUUCAAUUGAAUCACCCUGAAUAACAUAUGACAGUCCAUUCAAGUACAAGCAUUCAAAGUAAUCUGAUCUCGUUGAUAAAACCACAAUUGUUAUUCAGUCACAAUCCAUAUAACAUGCAAUCCAUAUAACAAAAUAUGCACCUAUGGCAAGCUCCGCCUUGAGCGGAUGAACAAGAAGCACCUUGGUGCCUGCCAGAAGAAGGCUGCUGAGGCAGAGAAGGGAGAGAAGAAGUGAAGUGACCGGAUAUAGUACCUUGUUUGUUACAUUCCAGUCUUGUAGUGGGUGCUACUGCCAAGGGUUUUUUCUAAGUUUUGUUUUAGUGCGAAAAUAGAAACCAGCUGAACGGUUUGGUGUCCUCGUACUGUUUGAUACCUGUUACUCGUUUUCUCUAUUAUAUAUGU
rnacentral:lncRNA from 1 species